rnacentral:lncRNA from 1 species
GAGGGCUUGCUGCUUGAAAUAUUUAACAAAUUUGUUAAUGAACUAAAAGAGAAGGAGCACAAGCGUCAAGAGGAUAAGGUACUUGAAUUACUACAAACCCUUAUUCUUCUGCUACUUUCGGGUGGGGGUAGUAGAUGUGUGGAUGUGAUUGUGGUAGAUAUUGUUUUGUGGAAAUUUUGACUUUUUAAGAGUCGCCAGUUAAUUUUGAAAAGCAAUUAAGAAACCUUUAGAGAGUUACUGCAAAUGAUUCAAAAUAGAAAAAUCGUUUUAAGUUAGAGAUUCUAGAUAAGAGGUUCCUAUUAACGUUUAAGGAAGGUAUUAGGCACCUAAAAUGUCCGCUAACUUGCGGUUAUCCGGACUGUUUGAAAAUCGUCUUUUGAUUAACUUUGAAAAAGUUUAUUUUUUGAAAAGAAAAGCAAUUUUAGGAAUAUUUUGGUGUUUAUGCAAAACCAGUUUUUUAGCGAUUUGACUAAGGAUUUUACUAGGUUCGCAAAACACACGUAAAACAAGUAAGCAAAUAUAAAAAAGGGAAAGGGGAGAAGUAGUGAUUUAGGCUUUUAAGCCCAAACCGUCGAUCCUGUCCUAAUGUAGUUAGGUUUUUGACCCAUCUUUCACCUGUCUUAAUUUUAUGUUUUCGAGCCCUUUUCGGCUCGAGUCUCGGUCCACCUAUUUUAAAUUUACAACUUUGUCUUCGAGGUCCAAAUGAAUAAAUAAAUAAGUCACUAAAUAAACAAAAAUAUAAAUAAGUAAAUAAAUAAAUAAUGGAAACAAUGGAUAAAUAAAUCAAUAAAGAUGAAUAAACGAGAUUUUCAAGUCCCCUUUGCCGCUUCGAAGAUGGAACUUUAACCUAUUCUUCUUUCGAUUCCUCGUAUCCAUACGCCAUGUGAUGGAUUCUUGGAUUUUCUUUUGGGCUUAACUCGGAAGGAUAGGCCUCAUUGGUCCAUUUAUGAAAUGUAAAGAGAGAAGGGGCCCAUUUGAACUCCAAGGGGUGCAUGCAAAGAAAGGAAUGAAGAAAUUAACAUACAUCCAAGAUUUUAAUAAUUAAUAAGCUAUAGCACUCCUGCUUCAUUCAAAUACACUUAUACACAGGUAAAAAUGCCAUAGGAGCAAAAGUCUAUAAUGUUUGAAUAAAAUGUUCAUAAUCAAUUAAAGAAAUUUCAACUACAGGUGGAAAUAAAGCUUUAACAAGAAAUUAUUAUGGUCUUUAGCGAAAUAAAGAAAAUAAUUUAUCACUUUAAUGCCACAAAAGGACCCAAUUAAGCAUGUCACAAAAAAGAGUUACAACUCCUGGAUCAUACUACAUAAACGAUGGAUCACAAGAAACGUUCAAAUUCCAGAAUUCCAAACAUACAAAAUUAAAGACUUAAUCACUUUAGGCAAGGAAUACGAUAGCUGAAACUUCAAGAAAAGCAAGGCUGAAAUCUUAAUGCCUUCGUUACCACUGGGUUAACAAACAAAUGAGAUUCAAACACUACAUAAACACAAUUUUAGGUAAUUUAAUCAUAAGACAAGAUGCCACAACUUAUAUGCGAAUACGAAAAGCAAGAAAGGAAAGAAACAUUAGCCCGUCAAACUUUAAUUUGUUCUCAUGAGUCAAUUACAGCAAAUUGAAUUAGCCAUGAAGAAAACAUAAUUCAGCCCUAUGGUCCACUCUCAUAUUUUAAAAUAAACUUUAGAAUCAAAUGAGACUAUUGUACAUCGAGAGUGGCAAGUCAGAAGAAAAUAACAUUCGAGUUCUUAUUUAUAACAAUUUCCUGCGUUUAAGCGAAAAAGAUAGGCGAACAAGCUUCCUAAUAUCUAUUCUUUGAACAUUUUUUGAAUUUCAAAAAUAUGUAAAGAUUUUACUCUCCUACUCUAUGAACUACAAAGCAACAUCGAAUAUGAGACCAGCAAAAUAGUUUCUAAAGUCGAAGCAUUAAACCUAACUAGUAACAUUCAGAUAGAAUAAAAUGAGAGAGAUCAAGCAUGAACGACAACUAAUCAAACACGGGCAAGAAUGAGUUUUUAGUAGAACAAUAUAUCAAACACGAAAAUCCUAUGCCUUCCAGGCCUCUGCAACAGUCAUUCCUAGCAAACAGAAGUGGAACCACGAAGAAGAAAAUGAUAACCAUAACAAAAUUUAAAAAAAAAGGUGUAUUUACCUCUUUGGGGGCAGAAAAAUGGGAUAACGAGCUGAAAAUAGAAUUCUGACCACCGAAAAACUCACAACUGCUUUGACAGUUCAGACGCACCUCCUAAAAAUAUAUGUUUCUUAAGCGUAAAGAGAAUAUUUUUUCCCUCGGGUUGGAUUCGGGUGCUGCGUCCUAUUUGAAGUCAUCUGCACCUGUGGUUUUUCUUUGAGAUUUUCAUCCUCUCAGAUGCUCUCGACAAUGCUUCAAGCAAAAAGUGUUAGUGCUAAACAUAAUUCACGAAAGAGGUAUGCAGUCUUUUACCAUAUCUCCACGUGAGUUGUGGACUAAAAAGUAGAGCCAUCUUUUCAUGUACCUAUUUGGAAUGAAAUAACCGGUAAUACCAAACACAACAACCCUCUUGGUUGUUGUAUAAUUAUGAAAUUUGUCGGUUGAAUAUGGCUUCAAAGUGGGUGGCCCUUUUGGACACCGGUGAUACUUUAUGCAGAACUGUCUCUACAACCGUGUAAUCUUGUGUUGGUGUGGCAACCCUUUGGGUACCUAUAUUAUUUGUUUCAUGUGGAACGAUAACCUCUUCGGAUAUAGCCGAUGAUCGAUUUAUAAAUUUCCUUUAAAUUAUCAAUCUUUGGAUAAUCUUUCGCAUUAUUUGAUGUUGGAUACGAAGCGACUUACAAAUAUUCUUUUGAUUUCUAGCGUUUAGGUAAUCCUGCACAUUAUCCGACUUUGAAUAAAAACUGGCUUACAGAUAUCCCUCAAAUCUCUAGCUUUCACGUGUUCCUGCACAUCAUCCGACCUUGGAUACAAUAUGACUUAUAGAUAAUCCCUCAAAUUGUUAGUCUUUGGGUAAUCCUGCACUUAAUCGACCUUGGAUAUGACACGGCUUAUAGAGAACCCUUGGACAUAUCAAUUUGAUAAUCUUCCAUAUUCUCCAGUAAAGAUUUAGUUACGACUUAUGGAUAACCUUUGAAAUAUUGAUUUUUGGGCGAUCUUGCACACUAUCCAGUUAGGAUGUUGUUGUGGCUUACGGAUGACCUACAGGCUAUCAACUCAUAGGUUAUCUUGCACACUAUCCUAUUUCAAAUAAUAUGACUUAUAGAUGACCCUCAAAUUGUCAAUUUCUAGGAAAUCUUAUAUAUCAUUCAUCCUUAGAUAGCGACUUAAAGGCGUCCCUUCAAAUUAUAUGCUCUCGAAGCAUUCAGAUGUUGAUUCAUAAAAUGAUAAGAUAUCCUCGACGCCAGUGUUUAUGUAUUACGUGUCAACAGACAUAAAAUGAUGAUGAUAUCCUCAACGCCAGUGUUGUAUCUUGCAUGUCAACAAAUAUAUUAAAUGUUGAUGAUAUACUCGACGCCAGCAUUGUGUCUUACGCGUCAACAGAUAUUGUAUAAUGAUGAUAUCUUCGACGCCAGCAUUGUGUCUUGUAUGUCAACAGAUAUUGCAUGAUGAUGAUAUCCUCGACACGAGCAUUGUGUCUUGUGUGUCAACAGAUAUAUAAUAAUGAUGAUAUCCUCAACGCCAGUGUUGUGUCUAGUGUCAACAAAUAUUGAAUGAUGAUGAUAUCCUUAACACCAGCGUUGUGUCUUGCGUGUCAACAGAUAUAUUGAAUCUGAUGAUAUCCUCGACACCAGCAUUGUGUCUAGCGCAUCAAUAGAUAUUGAAUGAUGAUGAUAUCCUCCACGCCAGCGUUGUGUCUUGCGUGUCAACAGAUAUAUUGAAUGCUGAUGAUAUCCUUGACUCCAGCGUUGUGUCUAGCGCGUUAAUAGAUAUUAAAUGAUUAUGAUAUCCUCGACGCCAGUGUUGUGUAUUGCGUGUCAACGGAUAUAUUGAAUGUUGAUGAUAUCCUCAAUGCUAGCGUUGUGUCUAGCGUGUCAACAGAUAUUGAAUAACGAUGAUAUGCAAUGGCCUUCUUGGCAAUGACAUGCAAUGGUUCUUCCGGUAAAUUAAAAAUAGUUUCUCCUGAAAUCAUUUGUCAGGGUCUUGCUUUCUGUAUGUACCUAUACUAAAGGUAGAAGAUUAGUAGACACAAAGUCUCUUUUUCUAGCGACUACUUUUUUUAGAAAAAUUCUAAAUACAAUAUUUGUAAAGAAGACAAGACACUUUUGUUUGUCCUCCAUGAUCUCAAGAAAUGAGAUAGACAAUUCGAAAGGUCGUCAAUAAAUGGGUGUUGAGCCGGUUUUUGGGCUACCAAAAGUACCAAAUUCUAAAUACAAUAUUUGUAAAGAAGACAAGACACUUUUGUUUGUCCUCCAUGAUCUCAAGAAAUGAGAUAGACAAUUCGAAAGGUCGUCAAUAAAUGGGUGUUGAGCCGGUUUUUGGGCUACCAAAAGUACUGUUAUUAACCCUUAUAUGCUCGGUCAUGGCUCCCGACUUGCUUGGGGAUUUUUUUUGAAAGAAACGCUCAUUUUGUGUAUCGAUCCCUGCGUCCACAAAAAAUGAUUAGUUUGAAAGAAACUACACCGUGUUGACCCCCUACGAUCCUUGAUUUACCCUCACCAUCUUUUAGGUAUUUCAUCAUGUUGGGACUUCCACCCCUGACUCCCCGUCCUAAUUGAUGUCUAGACAAUCACUAAGUAAAAGAUUUAUAUAGAUUUUUUUCAAAGUACUCUUAAUUUUUUAGAAAUUAGUUGAGAGCCAUUAUAAAGCAGUUUCAUAGCAAAUCAUUUGAAAACACAUGAGCGUAGUGUAAUUGUUUUCAACAACAAUUUAAUACAUCUGAGCUAGGUGGAAUACCCUACAUAUCACAUUUACACCAACUGUCAAACCUCGGUUGCCAUCGAGAUUAGAGUAUAAGUGAGGGGAAGACACAUAAGAUCACACAGCAGGGUGUCUCGGCCCAAUGGUAGUGCGUAAAAUCACAAAGUAGGUCUCCUAACCAUAGUCCCAACUUGGGAAUGACAUAAAGUCAGGUACGCAAAAUCACAAAGCAGGGUACCAAAUUCCCAUGUUGGCAAACACGGUUUCCAGGGAUGAGCCCUUACACUCAAACGCGUUCUUCGGGCAUCCACCUAUCUCAUGUAAAAUCAAUGCAUUCAAAUUUCAUCUGAUUCAAUCACAUAUCAUAUUCUGUAGGGUAUUGUCAUACCUGACUUGCAAGCCAUUAAUAUCGCAACAUUUUUCUCAUUCAACCAUUGUAGUCAACAUGUUUCAACACAAAUAGCCCUCUCAUUUUCAAGUCAAAAUCAUAUCAAUUCUCAAAACAUUUCAUGUCAUGCUUUUCAAGAUUUUUUCAAACAAUUUACAUCAUAUGAACAUUUAAAACAAAUUCACAUCAAGAGAGGGAUUCCAUAUAAUUCAUGCUCUAAAAUUAACACCUUUUCGAAACACAUGCAUAUACAUAUAUAAUAUGUCAAAUCACUUCGAAAAUAGGCCUAAAGACCAAAUCAAUAUUAUAGAAACAUUCCAAACAUGAUUAUAUUCGUAGUUUCAAAACCCCCAUUGUAAAACAUGAAUUUAAAGGCCCAUGAUAUUUUAGGAUAACCCCACGUACCUCUAUAUGCGAAGAUGAUAGGUGUUUCUUGAAGCCUACGUUCUGGGAAUUCCAAAUAUGCAAUUAGUUUCAAAAACCCACGGUUGAAUCUUGAGUUGCUUGGGUUUUUAUUUUGAAACCCUAAGGAGAGUUCUUGAGUAAUUUUGAUGAAUGAAGGUGUAUUUUGGGUUAUUUAGGGACUGAAUUUCGUGUUUAUGGCUAAAUAAGGGUGGGAAAGGGACCAUUUUGCCCCAAAAACGGAGUGUUUAAGUCACUUGAGUAGUAAUGUAUGCGGAGCACACCUUAUCGCAUAAUAUAGGUUGUGCGGUGCACUCUUUAUCACACACAUUAGGUUGUGCGUCGUACACCUUAUGGCAUAAGUUAGGGUGUGCGUCGCACACCUUAUGCUGCACGACAGACUCCACUUUACAAAGCCAUAACUUCAUCUUCGGAUGUCGGAUUUUUGUGAAAUUAGUAUUGUUUGAAAGAUAAUUCGAAGACCUUUCAUUUGAUAUAUAGUAGGCACUCUAAUUCGAUAUAUAUAAAGAGUAAUGACUGAUUGAAGUUGACCCAAGUUUUGACUCUUACUAUAACUCAAUCGAUGGAAAAGCUUUCAACUCGUCCUUGAGUUAGGGGACCUCUAUGAUCUCAAUUCAUGCUCAACUAGAUUUAUACACCACAUAGUGGAUUAAAACACUAUAUUCACANNNNNNNNNNNNNNNNNNNNNNNNNNNNNNNNNNNNNNNNNNNNNNNNNNNNNNNNNNNNNNNNNNNNNNNNNNNNNNNNNNNNNNNNNNNNNNNNNNNNNNNNNNNNNNNNNNNNNNNNNNNNNNNNNNNNNNNNNNNNNNNNNNNNNNNNNNNNNNNNNNNNNNNNNNNNNNNNNNNNNNNNNNNNNNNNNNNNNNNNNNNNNNNNNNNNNNNNNNNNNNNNNNNNNNNNNNNNNNNNNNNNNNNNNNNNNNNNNNNNNNNNNNNNNNNNNNNNNNNNNNNNNNNNNNNNNNNNNNNNNNNNNNNNNNNNNNNNNNNNNNNNNNNNNNNNNNNNNNNUUGUUAGUAUUUUCUUAUCGGUUAAACCGAAAACCGAAUCGUUAAGGACUAAAAAUUAAAAAAAAAUAUUUUAUUGGUUUGGUUAUUGGUUUAGCAUAGUUAAAAAACGAAAAUCGAUAAAUCUAAUGAUAAUAUGUAAAACCCAACCGAAUCGACCGAUGGACUCCCCUAGACACAAACGCUUUAAUUACUUACAAAUUGUAUGAGAUGCACACAUUUUGCAUGACAAAUUGCGAUACAAGACUCGCAUAUAUAUAUAUAUAUAUAUAACUUUAUAUGAUAGUCUAAGUAUUUAUUUGUGCAACACUCAAAAUUAAAAUAUAUAAAUAUUUGCUGAUGAUGUCAAGUUGAAAACACAUUUACGUAUUAUGUCAAACGUAUAAUUCCUUUAUAUAUUUUAACUUUAUAUGAUAGUCUAAGUAUUUAUUUGUGCAACACUCAAAAUUAAAAUAUAUAAAUAUUUGCUGAUGAUGUCAAGUUGAAAACACAUUUAUGUAUUAUGUCAAACGUAUAAUUCCUUUUUUGAACUAUAGCUAUAACAUGUAGCAUGGGAGAAUGUACUCUAAUUUUAAGUUGAUGAAUUCACCUAACAUUACUACAAUUAGUAGAGUAAUGAGCAAUAUUAUAUUCAUUGCUAUUUAUUUAUAUCUUAAAAAAGCAAGAUGGAGUCAGAGAGCAAUUAUCAUAAUUAAAGAGGAGCUAAAGGUAUAAUUAAAUGAGAAGCAUGGAGUCUUUUUAUAGAGUGUAUUAAAAAAUUAAUAACAAUAACAACAAUAAAUUCAGUGUAUUUCCACAUAGUGGGAUUUGGAGAGGGUAAGAUGUACGUAGUUCAUAUCACUACCUUCGGAGAAGUAGAAAGUCUAUUUCCGAUAGACUCCCGGCUCAAGACAAGAAAUAAUAAUUAAAUCUGUGAUAAAACAUGGAAUAUAUUACGUAAAAAUUAAUGCAUCCAUUAAUUUAAUGUGUAUUAGUAGUCCCUUGUUUGAUAUAUAUCUUUUUAUCUUAUGUAUAACUAAUGCAAAAAUUAGUUAUAUACUAAAUUGUGUAUUGAGGUGUGUAUUACUAAUACCUCAAAAUUUAUGACAUUAGUAAUGCAAUGGAUCUAAUGCAUGCAUUAACAUGCUUAAAGUGGGGGUAUGAUGUAAGAAAAAAAUUAUGUAAUUCGUGUUAUUUUUAAUACUUUGAAUCAAAUACUGUAUAAGAAACAACAACAACAACAACAACACCCAGUGUAUUCCCACAUAGUGGGGUCUGGGGAGGUUAGUGUAUGCAGAUCAUAUCACUACUCAGGUGAAGUAGACAGGAUGUUUCCAAUAGACUCCCAGCUUAGGAUCAUAAUAAUAUACCAAACAUAAAAGAUAAAUGCAUAUAAACUAAUACGAUACGCAAAAUAAAACUAAGAAUAUAACAAAUAUCAAAGAAAAUGUAUAUAAAUUAGUAUCGUAUGAAAAAAUAGUCAAUCUACCAAAAAGUGUCAGCUUUGUGUUGGGUGGUUGGUAGUCAAGAAAGUGUCUUUCCCAAAAAGAAAAACCCCAAUAAAGAAAGAAGUCCCUGCACUUUCACCAUUGAUUCAAUGUUAUUUUUAAUAUGUAGAAUCAAAUACUGCGUAAAAAAAUAGAAGCAUAAUUAAUGCAAAUAAUAUUAAUAUACCAUAUUUUAUAUUAUUUUAUAAUAUUUUAUAUUAUUUUUAUAAGAAAGUACUCUAAUUAAUUAUUUUGAAAUUAUCUAUCUAUAUAAUAAAGAAGGAUAGUCUAGCCUAAAACUAAGACAAGUGUCAUAUUGAGAACUACCUAUUUGAAUUUUUACAACAAAAAACCAUUAUUUCAUAACAAAACGCUAUUUUGUUGAUUAUUUAAAUAUUUAAUAUUAUUUCAUAUUUCAUAUUUAAUAAAUUACAUUUCAUAUGUUUUUAAUAAUAGAAUUAUAAGAAAAUAAAUUUGAAGGAUUUGAUUACAAUUCACUAAAAGAAAUAUUACAAUAAAAAAUUAUUUAAGAGAAUAACCAAUUAAUAAAUAGUAACUGAUCAAUUUAUAUAGAAAAUAUUGUAAUCAUUCUGAAUAAAAAAUAUUUAAAAAAGGUGUCAUCCCUCAAAAUAAUUAAGUUUGACCUAUUUUUUCAAACAAAUAAAUGAAUGAAUAUAAGAAAAUCCAUAAUUAGAAAAAAAUAAUUGUUACCUUAUUUGAGUUUUGACCAAAGUAUAAAGAUAAUAAUAAUCAAUUGAAUAUAAUUAAAUUAUAAAUUUAUAAGAAAUAUUUGAAAAAUAAAUUAGUAAUUGGGAAAAUAAAUAAUUGCUACCUUUUUAAAAUUCUUUCCAAAAUUAAAAAGGAAAUUGAUAUCAAUUUAACGUAAUCAAUCUAUAAAAACAUGAGAAAUUCAUGGGAGUGAAUUUCUGAAAUUAUACAGGUAAUUAAUACCAAUUAUUUUUGUAUUUGAGCCCUUUAUACAAUUGUAGAUUAAUUAAAUAUAAUCAAGCAAUAAAAUUAGGAAAUAUUUAUGGUAAAUAAAUAAAUAAUAUUAAUAAUAAUUUUGUUUCUAUCAAAUUAAUUAGAUUAAAUUGAACUAGAAAUUAUUUAAUAUUGACAAUUACUUUAAUAAAAAAAUAUAUGGAAAGAUUCGUAAUUGAUAUGCAUAUAUUGGUAAAAAAAAAAAAAACAACGAAUGGUGACUAUUACUUUACCUAUAAAUAUAUUUUAAAAUUUACAUACAACAUUAAAUUUAAGGAACUUGAGUCUAUAUAUUAUGAUCAUAAAAUUGAUUCUAAUUAAUUGAAAUUAAUUAGUUGAUUGUAUAGUUUUAUUAAAACAAUUUCGUACAUCAUUUAUUUAAUAAAAAUACAUAUAAUUAAUUGAUUGAUUUUGUGCAAUCUACUUUGAUCUUAUUAAUUCAAAUGAAAUGAUUUUUAAAUGAUAAGUUUGGAUUAUAAAAAUAAAGGUGAUUAUUGUAUAACUUUAGCAUUUCUUGUGUAUUAAAAAAGAUUUAUAGACAAAAAAAUGCCAUCCCUCAAAACAAUUAAAUUUGAACUAUUUUAGUGAAACAAUGAAAUGCAGAAAAUCUACAAUUGAGAAAAAAUAAUGGUUACCUUAUUUGAGUUUUUAGAAAAUUAUAAAGAUAAUUAAAUAAUCAAUUAACUAUAAUCAAAUUAUAAAUUCAUGAAAAAAUUUUGAGAAAUAAAUCAGCAAUUAGGAAAAAAAUAAUCGUUACCUUUUAAAAAUUCUUCCGAUUUUUAAAUGAUAAGUUUGGAUUAUAAAAAUAAAGGCGAUUAUUGUAUGACUUUAGCAUUACUUAUGUAUUAAAAAAGAUUUAUAGACAAAAAAAUGUCAUCCCUCAAAACAAUUAAAUUUNNNNNNNNNNNNNNNNNNNNNNCAUUAAAUAUAAUCCAGCUAUAAAAUUAGGACAAAUUUAUGGUUAACAAAUAGAUAAUAUUAAUAAUAAUUGUAUUGUUAUCAAACUAAUUAGAUUAAAUUGCGGUAAAAAUCAGUUAAUAUUGACAAUUAUUUUAAUAAAGAAUAUAUGCAAAGUUUCAUAAUUGAUAUACAUAUAUUGAUUAAAAAAACAACGAACAUUGACUACUACUUUAGCCAUAAAUAUAUUUUGAAAUUUACAACAUUAAAUUUAAGGAACUUUAGUCUAUUAUGUUAUGAUCAUAAAAUUUAAUCUAAUUAAGUGAAAUUAAUUAGUUGAUUGUGUAGUCUUAUUACAAAUAUAUCGUACUUUAUUUAUUUAAUGGAAGUAUAUAUCAUUUAUUAACUAAUUUUGUACAAUCUACUAUGAUCUUAUUAAUUCAAAUGAAACAACUUUUAAAUGGUAAGUUUAGACUAUAAAAAGAAAGGAGAUUAUUGUAUGACUUUAGUAUUUCUUAUGUAUUAAAAAAGAUCUAGAGAUAAAAGAAAUACAAUAUUACAAUAUUUUUGGGUUAUUUAAUUAAUUUAUCACGUUUCAAAAUAUUGCUUAUAUCAAUUCAGUGAUGUUUAUAUGGAAAAGUUAAAUUUUGAAAAAAUAAAUAUCUUUAAUUUCAUAAUUUAAGUUAAUUUGUGUGCUAAUUUGAAAAAGUUAAUUUAUAGUUUACAUCUUAUUUCUAUUAUAUGGAAAAUUUGACCUCAUAUGGCUAUUUAUAGCCAUUGAAUAACACAAAAUAUUUGUUACACUUUUCUUCUCUCUCUCUCUCAUGGGUAUUUCUCAAGUUUUUCAUUAUGAGUAUGUAAAUAUUCACUUGCCAUAUUUUUGGAUCCUUGUAAAUAUUCACUUUCCAUAUACAGAUCCUUGUAAAUAUUUACUUGCAAUUUACAGAUCCUUGUUAGUUGUAUAUAUUCAUGUACAAUCUCUAUACAUAGAGAUGACGAAGAACAACUUCUUCUUUUUUCGAUCAUCAACUAAUGAUGCAAACAAGACCCCUUCACCACCAUUAAAGUCCAAGGAAGUUUCUUCUUGGAGGAGUGUUUCAUUGUCAUCUGGAUCCUUCUAUGACAGUGGGUCAGGAAAAAAGAAUUUCAUGAAUCUGAGCAAAUCUCCCCAUGGUUACAGUAAGAAAGUUCAUCUUAAGAAAUAUGGUCGUGAUUCAAGCCGGUAUGCAUAUCAUUUUGCUGUAGCUUUCUUUUUCACACUUAAACUGAUGUUUUAAUUUGCAUUUGAUUGUCCAAAGUAAUGACAAAUGUUUCUUCACGGAAGAGACCUUAGCGUUCCAGUGUUGAUUCGAACUAUUAGAAGAUUGACAAAGAAGAAGGUACAAAUAGCUUCUGAAGUUUCAAGCAUGCUACAGAAUUAAGUUUCUGAAAGGGCUUCUGCUAAGGAAGAAGCCAGCAUAUUACAGGCAGAACUAGAUUCACAGACACGAAGAUUGAAGAUAGAAAAGAAUGAGUUACAAUCAGUACUGGAAAAGGAGUUGGAUAGAAGAUUCAGCGAUUGGUCUUUACAACUUGAGAAAUACCAAAUUGAACAACAUAGACUCUGUGAAAGGGCGAGGGAGCUUGCAGAGCAGAAUGUCUCUCUACAAAGGGAAGUCUCUUCAUUUAAUAAGAAGGAAGUAGAUAAUAAAAUCAAGAUGUCAUUUUCGGAGAAACACCUUGAAGAUUUGUCUAAGAGAAUAGAGCAAGUGUCAGAGGAGAAUCAAAAUCUAAGGCAGCAGCUUACUCAGUUACAAGAGGAAUAUCGAGUAGCUCAAGAAAAUUGAGAUUAUAUUUGACAAAACUACCAGGAAAAGGUUAAAGAGCUUAAAUUAGAGAUUUUGCUGACAGCUGUGCUAAGGGAGAAGCUCUAUUUUGAGGUGAUGGACAUAAAGCAACUUUAGGAUAAUCUAGCCGCAACAGUUAGAGGUAACGACAUUCUCAAAUGUGAAGUGUAAAAUGAGCUGGAGGCUUUUUCUUAUAACACACCCAAGUUGAAAUAUCUCGAGCUUCAGGUAAGCAGGCAAUGUUAAGAUCUCAUUGCAACGGAAUAGUUUUUAUUUUUCAACUUUGGAUAUCUCGUCUUUAUAUAUGAUAGCCUAUUUGUAUGUUACUCUCUCUGCAUUAGCUUUCUAAUUCUGUUUGAUUUUAGGUUCAUCUUUGUUCCAUCUGAAGUUCACGGUUUUCUUUAUGAACUUGUAUACAUGAGUUGCGGCAUGUGGUAGUCUUCUGUGAAAUGUCUGAUCGCCUUAAUGUGUAAUCAGUUAAACCAACCAAGAACAUGAUAAACUUUGUGAUAUCCUCAAACCUAUUGAUCUGAUUAUGCUUUGAUGUGGUAAAGUUACCCAAAGGGGUUUCGGUAAGUUUGCUCGUUCAUCUGACUUAAUUCUUAGACAAGCUCAUGAGUUAUCUACUGUGAAUUUUAACAGUUAAAAAGGAUUCAUGAUUUGGUUGAACUUGUAAGCAAUGAGUUUGUUUUGAAUUUCUGAUGAAAUGUUAUUGGUGAUCUUUGUGUCUUUCUUGUUUUUCAUCGUUUACGGUUGAUUCUGGCAGGUGCUAAAAAAUGAAGAAAAUAUCAACCAGCUCACUAAUGAUACAUGAAGGAACUUGGCAUUGUGAAGGCGAUACUACCAAAAGUUUUUCAGCAGAGAGAUUUCAUGUGGGAGGAAGUUAAGAGCUACAGUGAGAUGAACAUGCUGUUGAAUUAUGAGAUCAACAUAUUGAAAAGGAAGGUAGAUACCCUCGAUGAAGACUUUCUUAUUAAAGAGGAUCAAAUCACAAUCUUGAAAGACUCGAUAGGCAAACCUUUCGACCUUCUUGCAAGUCCUGAUUCUCUGUUGGGGUGAUGGAUGCUAAAUGGCCAAACUACAAUUCAUAUUUUGUUCAUUUACUAUAGUGUUCAUACUUCUCGUAUACUUACUGAUUUUACUCUUAUUCUUUCCCCUCUUUGAUACUUGUUAAAGAGAAAGUUUACUUCUUUCUUUUGCAACCUUUUUGAAUCUCCAAUUAUAAACAUUUCUUUUACUUGCUAUGAUCAAGACAAUGAACUUCUUUUGCUUUAUUUGGUUUUAUAAGUAUUGGCUGUUUUUUGUCUCAUGAAGUAUUUAGUGAGGAUGGGUGCUACCAUUUUCUUCUCGUCUGUGAGGUAGAGGUAUGUUUUGCGUAUAUUCUGCCCUUAUAUACAUCGGGUAUGUUGUUGCUGUUGUAUGGAGAUUGUGUGUAUAAUAACAAUCGUAUAUUUGAUGUCGGGUAAUCCACACUUUCAUUCCUUGCAGGGGAAAGCUCAUUAAGCUUACUGAUUUAACUUCUCAUUGAUGUAUUCUUUCACUAAGGUUGUCACUAGGUAGCUAAAAAAGCACUUGUCUAACUGGCAGUUCAUGUUCAGUUUAUGCAUAUAUUAAGUAACGUCCAAAUUUUUAACCAUAUAACUUUACCUUAAAAUGGUGCAUGGACCAGAGUUGCUCUUAAAUCUGGUUGGCUGGUAGACUCUUUCAUUUGAUUUGCAAUCAAAUAUUUGCUUUGUCUCAGUAUAUUUGAUUCUGUUAUGCUCAUUCACACAUGGUUUAUGCCAAGUAUGUGAGACACGUACAGAAGCCUCUAGUUUCAUCUUCUUUAUAUAGUUUUAAACUUCAUUUGACUUGCUAUGAGGGAGUUCCACCCUGCCCUCUAAUAAUUCUUUCAGAUACCCUUUUUCAUUUGCCUGCACCAUGUUUUAAAUUUUCCUUCCAGUACCUGAUGCUUCACCUGCCACAUUAAAUGUUGUUUGUACAUUUUUAAACUAUGCACUGCGUUCAAUUUCAAAAAAUGGAAAAAACUAUGCACUACAUUGUAGAACAUUUUCAUAAUUUUUUGGUAUGUCAGUAUGUUCUUUAUGUUUAUGCUUACAUCAAGUAGACACAGUUAUUAUGAAGGUGAAAUUGGUUUCUGUACCAUUUUCCUUUUGCGUGUAACUUCUGAAGUUAUUUGGGAUCCAUUAUUUAUAUGUCAAUGAGAGUCUUUGAUGUCUUUCCUGAUAAUAUUUAUGCUUACAUCAAGCAGGCAUAGUUAUUAUGAAGGUGGAAUUGGUUUCUGUACCAUUUUCCUUUUGUGUGUAACUUCUGAAGUUAUUUGGGAUCCAUCAUUUAUAUGUCAAUGAGAGUUUUUUAUAUCUUUCCUGAUAUUAAACCUGUCAUUUUUCUUUAACAUGUCUAAUCUCCUGUAUACCUGGCUUUUUGAUCUUCAAUGAUGCACACAAUUUCCCUUCAAGAACUUGCAAUUACCUAAUUCCUAGUAAGACAAUCUUAGAAUCUUCUAUGCCUAAAGAUGCCUAUUGGUGGUUAGUUUUUUUGCUAGGAGGUUGCAUUGUAAGGUACAAGCAUACAUGAUAUUGGUAAAACCAGCAAGCACCAUAUUUUUUUGAAAAUGAUAGCAUAUAUAUAUGUGGGUAGUAUUUUCCUUACAAAAAUAAACCUCUCUGUGCUUUACAAGGCCUCCAAAGUUCCAAAAUGGAUUCAGCACCCUCUACAAGAAACUCUUAACGUCAAAAUAAUAAGUUGUCUAAUCUUAUCUGCAACAAGAAUGACGAGCACUAUGUUCAAUUUGGAGCAUGUCCCUAAGCUCGUCUGGACUUAUCCUUAUCUCCAUUGCUUUCUAUUUGCUUGUUAUCUUUGUUCUUGCUAGAACCUGCAUUUGAGAAGCUUGUGUUGUUGUCUCAAGUUAAUGGUUAAGUUUUCUUUCCUUACCACAGUGCAUCAAAAUUCAACUUGUGGUGCUGCUAAAAAUGUUGGAACUGCUGCAAAACCUAAUGGCAUAAUGCAUGAACCUGUACUAAUAGACCCAAUGCAUUUAGUAACAACAACUCAUCUGUUCUCUUUUGCAUAUAAACAGCAGUUGAUAUUCCUUCUCAAACAGCAGGUCUAUCCACAUUUGAGCUCCCGGACCACGCUCUUGUUGGGCCUAGGCGUGAAGGUGGUGUUAGAGUGGGUAAAAGUCCCACAUUGUUGAGGAGUGAACUGUCGGUCUUCUUAUAUGGACUUGAGCAAUCCUUCCCUCAUGUUCUAGAUUUGGGGUUGAGUUAGGCCAAGAUCCUUUCUUUACACAAUCUACCAUCUUUUCUUACAUUGGAAACGGAUAGAGCAACUGUAGAGAAUGUUUUCAACCAGAAAAGGAUCAGGUGGGUAGAACCUAGCAGCAUUAAAAAAGUACUAAGCAGCUGGAAUAGGGAUGUAAAUGUAAUAAAGGAGGAGAGAUGGAAAAUUGUUCAAUAUGUAUAUGGUGGACAGUUUGGUCAGAAAGAAAUAAGGGUUGUUUUGAGGAUGUCCAGAAGAUCAACAUGAAUAGUUUAGCACUUCUUUAUUUUUGGUGUAAACACGAUGAUUAGCUCUAAAAGAAGACAUCAUUGAUGUGCUAGACUGUUUAAAGGCAACAGAAAGACAGAGUAAGAUGUAAUACUUUCUGAAGGGGGACAUCAUUCUUGUUGGCUAGGGAUUUGAACAAAGAUGGGAAGAGCUCUAUAUAAAGGACAGGGAUGACUAAUAUGAAAACUCUUUUUUUGGAUGGAACAUAAUUUUUGUUAUAAGAUAUGGAAGGUAUGAAGAUAGGCCAAAAUGUUCUUAACUAACGGACUUUUAAAAUUAAGAGCCCAAGACGCUAAACAAUGGGUGUAACUCAAAUCUAUUUGAAUAAAAGGAAUAUUAACUCUGAGAGAACAAAACAUACUCUCCAGUAGUCCAGUAAAAACAGUAGAUCUUAAAAUCCCACUGCUAAGGAAAUUAAUUUAAAUGCUGCUUUAGAUUAGAAAGUCACCUUGUUAUAUUAUGUGUUCAGUGUGUUCUCAUUUAUACUACUCAUCAUAUUUUCUGCACUAUCUUUUCAACAUUUUCUCUGAAGUCUAUAAUUUACUCUUCUUCACUUUGAACUUGGGCUCUGCAUCUUGGACUUCUAUAUGUUGGUUCACUUGUAGUACUUCUUGUGUAUUCUAUCCUGUAUGGUCUGACAACAAAGGAAUCAAACUGGCUUGGGGCUACAACAUCAGCUGCCAUGAUAAUCCUUGGUAGUUCAUUUUCUACAUAUAUCUGUCUCCUUUUCUGACUCGUAUUGUGAAAUAAUUUUUUAUUUCUUUGUGGUAAGUAAUGAAUUCACUAUCUUUUCAUUUAAUCAGAUUGGAACUUAGGAGCUUGAUUGUAUAGUUUUAAGCUUCUGAAAAGUCGAGUCGUCGUACUUUAUGUUGCCGGUACAUCUCGGGUGUUCCUGAUCUGUUUUGGAGUUCAUUACUGGUUUGUUGUUAACCCAUGCUAAUUCAUUUUCUUCCAUAAUAAAGUGUUCUUAUAAUUGUGGCAUAUGCAUCCCUUUUAAUAUUAUUUGUUGAAUAGAAACUUCUAAUCUUUUGUUAUCAAAAAGAAAUCUUCAAAUCUUUUACUGCAACAAUUUUGUUUCAGGUACUUUGGACAUUUUAUCAGUUAUGCAGUUUUAGUAUCUGUGCUGUUGGGUGCUACUGUUUCUCGACAUUUAUCAGUUACAGACCCAUUAGCAGCUAGACGAGAUGCCUUGCAGAGCACAGUUAUCCGCCUUAGAGAAGGUUUCUACAGAGAAGACCAAAAUAGCUCCGCAACCUCUUUUGAGGGGUGUGGCUCAAGUGUCAAACGCAGUAGUAGUACUGAUGCUGGUCAUCUUGGUAAUGCAACUGUGCCUUGCACUGGUUAUGGCAGUACCUAGAAUAACAUUGAGGGGAUUAAUAGUGAUAAGAGCAUAGACAGUGGAAGACCAAGUCUAACUCUACGUAGUAGUUCCUGUCGUUCAGUUGUUCAAGAGCCUGAAGUAGGAUCAUCAUAUGUUGACAGAAAUUUAGAGCACAAUAGUUCAUUGGUUGUUUGUUCUAGCAGUGGCCUUGAAAGCCAAGGCGGUGAUUCUAGUACAUCCACUUCUGCAAACCAACAGAUACUGGACUUGAAUUUGGCACUUGUAUUUCAAGAAAAUUUGAGUGAUCCCAGGGUUACAUCUAUGUUAAAGCGGAAAGAAAGACUCACUGAUUGUGAAUUAGCUAAUUUAUUGCAAGAUAAAGGGCUUGAUCCUAAUUUUCCAGUGAUGCUGAAGGAGAAUGGAUUGGACCCAAUGAUUCUAGCCUUCUUGUAGAGAAGUAGUUUGGACGCUGAUCGAGAACAUCACGACAGUAACCCUCCUGUCACUAAUUCAAAUGAUGUUGAGGAUGUGUCACCGAAUCAUAUUUCAUUCUCGGAAGAACUUAGACUCGAAGGAUUAGGAAAGUGGCUUCAAUAUUGUAGAGUAAUUAUGCAUCAUGUAGCAGGAACUCCAGAGCGGGCAUGGCUUCUUUUUAGUUUAAUCUUCAUUCUUGAAACCGUCGUUGUGGCUAUCUUCCGACCAAAGAAAAUAAAACUUUUGAAUGCUACACACCAAUAGGUAAGAAAUGCAUUAUAACUUUUAAAGUUCAGUUUAGUGUAUUUGGAGUACGGUGCAGCUAAAAUGUACUCCAUAUGGUUGUAUUUUCCAUUUUCUAACAAAAUUUUGUAACACCCCGCAUUUCGGACGAGAACGAAAAUCAUCAUUUUCUUUAUGUAAAGGUUCCAAAAGCCAUAAAUCUAGUGCAAGUUUAGUGUGUUAAUAAAUUAUGUAGUGUGGAAACCUAUUUGAGCAUGAAUUGAGAUCAUAGAGGUCCCCAAGCUCAAGGGCAAGUUGAAAGUUUUCUUAUCGUUAUAAUUUUAGUGAGCAUUGAAACUUAGGUCAACUUCAAUCAACCAUUACUCUUUGUAUAUAUUUAAUUAGAGUACCUACUAUAUAUCAAAUAAAAGGUAUUCCAAUUAUCUUUCCAACGAUACCAAUUUCGCAAAAUUCUGACACCCGAGGAAGAAGUUAUGGCUUUACAAAGUGGAGUGUGUCGUGCAGCAUAAGGUGUGCGAUGCACACCCUAACUUAUGCCAUAAGGUGUGCGACGCACACCCUAACUUAUGCCAUAAGGUGUGCGACGCACAACCUGAUGUGUGCAAUAAAGAGUGCGCCACACAACCUAUAUUAUGCGAUAAGGUUUGCACCGUAUAUAUUAUUACUCAAGUGACUUAAACACUCCGUUUUGGGGAAAAAUGGUCCUUUUCCCACCCUUAUUUAGCCAUAAACACGAAAUUUAGUUCCCAAAAUACCCUAAAAUACACCUUCAUUCAUCAAAAUUGCUCAAGAACUCUCCUUAGGGUUUCAAAAUAAAAACCCAAGCAACUCAAGAUUCAACCGUGGGUUUUUGAAACUAAUUGCAUAUUUGGAAUCCCCAGAACGUAGGUUUCAAGAAGCACCUAUCAUCUUCUCAUAUAGAGGUACGUGGGGUUAUCUCAAAAAUCUGAUGGGCUUAAAAAUUCAUGUUUUAAAAAUGGGGGUUUUGAAAUUAUGAAUAUAAUCCUGCUUUAAAUGUUUUAUGAUAUUGAUUUGGUCUUUAGGCCUAUUCCCGAAGUGGUCUGAUAUAUGAUAUAUGUAUAUGCAGGAAUUCUGAAAAGAUGCUAACUUGAGAGCAUGAAUUAUAUGAAAUCCCUCUUUUUAUAUGAACUCUUUUUAAAUUCACAUCCACAAUCACCUGUCACCACCAGCAACUACUUCCACUAUCACAACCAACAUCACUACCAACUACACUGCCAGCCGCUACCACACCUACCACUUCCAUUAUUCUAAUUAUAUCCACCUCCAACUAGGGGUGUUCACGGUUUGGUUUUUAAUCAAACUGAACCGCGAUACAAAUCAAACCGAUUAAAAAAAAUCUAUAUUUGGUUAGGUUUGGUUUGAUUUUGAAUUUUAAAAGACCAAUACUAAUUUGGUUUGGUUUGGUUUGGUUUUACUCUAAAAUAACUGACAAAAUAACCAAACCGAACCGAUAUACAUAUAUAUUAUAAUUAUUUAUAUGUUAUUCAUAAAUGUAAUCUAAAUAUUUGUCACAUUUUAUAUUUUAAUCAUGAUUUAACUUUAGUCGUAACACAUUCAGUCAUAUGUCUUCAUCUAGUUGACAAUACAUUAUGAGAUUCUAAAUGAAUUUCAUAUUUUGAAUGACAAAUGAUACUAAUUGUGAAAGUAAUAUCUUGUUAUAUAUUGAAAUUUACAGCUGAAAUUUAUUAGACUAUACACAAUCACUAAUUUUAACUUUCUUUUGAACCUUGUUGAGCAAGAAGUUUAUGUGUUCACCUUUUGGGGGUUUAUCAUAUCAUUCUAUUAAAUAUAGUUUUUAAAUAUUUUUUUAAAAGCAUUCAUAUGGUGUUAGCAUGGCUUUGCCAAGUAUAGCACUUAGUUGACAUCAUAGUUUAAAGAUUGAGAUACAACACUUGGUUGACAUCUCAUAUGUUAGAUUGGAUUGGUUUUUUAAAAUUUUCAACUUUUAUCAUAAACUAAAGUUAUAAACCAAAAAACCCAAAUCAAACCGAACUAAACCGACAAGAACCAAAUCGAUGGUUAUUUUUUUGUUUGGUUUGGUUUGGUUUUAGAAAUUUAAAAACCGAUUAAGUUGGUUUGGUUAUGGUUUUGACCAAUAACCGACCCAUAUCGACCCAUGAACACCCCUACUGCCAACUCCGCCACCAUCAACUGCUACCGGUUAAUCCCUACUACCAACCAACUCAUCUAUCAGAACUAGCACUACCACUAAUAACCACCAACACAUCAUCAACUUCCACACAUUGCUAAGAACCACUAACACAUCAUCAACUUCCACACAUUCUUCGAACACCAUCACCACCACUGUCACCGGCGUCACCACCUCUAUACAUUUGCUAUAGUAUCUGUACUAACAACCAUUCCACUAUCUCAGCUAACAACGUCUCCAACGACCACCAACACAUCGUCAACCAUCAUGCAUACAUUUUUUCUUCACCACGAUCAACACCUCCAACCACUAACAUUAACCAACUUCAUAUCACAACCACCACCACCACUACCAAUCGCCAAUAUCAUGAUAGUUACUACAAUACCAACUAUCCCUACAAUCACAACUAUCAUCACCAACAUUGCUAAUCACUAAUAUCAAUUAAUUUAUUACAACCACCACCACCAUUACAAACCAUCUCCACUAUCACUAACAAACAUAAAUUUUUAUUUUUUAAUCAAAUAAUAAUUUAAUUGCAUUAAAUUAAAAAAAUUCUAAUAUAUAAUUAUAUUUUAUUUAGAAAUAAAUAAAUUUUGCACAUUUAGAUAUUGAGAAACACCCAACCUUAAUUAUUUAGUUUUCAGAUCUAGAAACAAUAUCUUAACCAUUCAGAUGUGCAUUCAAAAUGAUUCAAAUGUCUGAAUAUUAAUAAAAACAAAUGCAGUCUUAGCUGAAACACAAUGGUGUGGUUGUGUGAUACUUUAAAGGAGUCCUCAAAAGUCAAAGAAACUACGUGAAAAAAUGGAAGUUUGAUGAUCACUUCUCAAAGUUGUUCUGCUCGAGAAACUAUAACAAUUAAGGUAAUAUAACCAUUAACAGCAUUCAACAGGGGAGAAGUCAAUUACAAUUGUCUGUGAAGUAGCAUUUAAUACUGCUUGGCUUGAUUGAAAGAAUCAUCUAUAUCUAUACUACAUUAAAAGCAUGGAACCCCUAACUUAAAAGUUUACGACAAUACCAUUCCUAUCAGCCUAAAUAUCUACUAUCUAGUAAAAAAAAAGAAAACUAAUUGGCAUAAAGAGAAACAACACAAAUGUUUAAUAGGAACAACCGGUCAUUGUUCUUAUCUCAACAAAAUAUGUGUUAUUUUUUUUUUUUUUUAAAAAGCAGAGGGGUAACUCUCAAAUCUCAAUCUCAUGCUUUUAAUAAAUGGGCGGGUUACUAACCCGCCCUAAAGCUACUUGGGCUGAAAUGGGUUGGGUUGAAAUGCUCUAAAAUGCAGGUCAUAACCCAACCCACCCAAUUUGAACUCGGAUUUAAUUGCUUUAUUUGUUAUUUUAUAAACUUUUAGUACUUGAAAAAUUAUUAUCUUUUUUUUUAACUUGGUAACUUUGUAUUACAUCACACAGUACAUGGGUUGUACUGAAACCUUUAUAUACAAGAGUACUCCUAAAUCGACUAUUCUAUAUCCAAAUUUAGUCUAGAACAUCAAUUAUCGAGGCAACAUCAUUAGAGUAUAGUUGAUUACACCAAAUACAUAAAAGCAAAAUAUAGUUGAGUUUAACCUUCUGCACACUAUUCUUUAUGCUCUCAAUACAUCUAGAAUUCCUUUCUUUCCAUAUAGCCCACCAUAUAGCACCAGGGAUAAUUCUGCAUCUACCUCUGUCCUUCGCAUGUACAUCUGCUUCUCCCAGCACAUUAAAGUCCCGGAUACUUUCCUACACAUUGUCCUAGAAAUGCCUUUUAGUCUUACGACAAUUCUCCAAAGUUGUUGGGUGUACUUACAAUGUAGAAAUACAUGGUUAACCGUCUCUAAAGUUUCUCCACAGAGGAAACAUCUAGAGCACAAGGUUUUCCCUUUCUUCAUGACAUUAUCUUGUGUAAGAACUACUUCCUUGGUCAAUAACCAGAUAAAGACAAAGCACGACACUGUGUGAGGUAUCCUACUUUCCCAUAUUUGCUUCCAAGGCCAUCUUGGAUCCAGGUGAUUUUUUUGGUUCAUCAUCUUGUAGGCUUUGUUGACACUAAACAUUUCUUUUUCAUUUCCCAUCCAACAUAGUACAUCCUUCACUGUCUGCAGUCCAUUGAAUAACUCCAUGGUAUUAAAAAAUUCAACUACUCUCAUUACCUCCCGGUCAUUAAGUUGCCUUCUGAAAUUAAAGUUCCACCCAUGUGGUGUCCAUAAUUCUGCUAUAGUCCUCUAUUGAAACAAUACCAAGUUGUAGAUAUCUGGAAAAAUCACUUCCAUAUUCCCAUCCUCAUGUCAAUUAUCCUUCCAGAAUGUAGUCUUGUUUCCAUUCAUCACAUUAAAGUUUGAGUUGCUUUUAACUUCAUUCCACUAGUGUCUAAUAGAUCUAAUAGAUCUCGAGAGGCUAAUCCCGUACGGAGUAGUCACUUCUUUAGUUAUCCAUCUAUCUUUUUCAGGAUAUUUAGCCCCAAUCACUUUCCUCCAAAGCAGCUGGUUAUUGUUUGCAUAUUUCCACAACCAUUUCAUCACGAGAGCCUUACUUUGAAUUUUUAGGUUCUCUAUCCCCAACCCUCUUGUUUUCUUGUCAAUUGUCCACCACAGAGAGCACUACCAUUUUUUCUCGCAUAUCUUUGUUCCUUAUUCUAUGUCUCCAAGUAUGCCCACACACCGAUCUCAACAUCCUCAUUUCUGCUACGUUUAUCUUUCGAACAUGCGAUCUCUUGACCAGCCAAACACUCUACCCCAUGCAAGAUAGCUAGUAUAACAACCACUUUAUAAAUUUACCUUUAAGUUUAUUUUAACAAAAUUCUUAUACAUGGCAUGCUAGUUACUAGCUCUUUUGCAAGAGCUAAUUGGGACAAAAAACACAUGUUCAGAAAUUGAUUCAUCGAAAAAAAAGCAUAACUAUAGUUUAUGAGUUUCAAACGUGUCCAAAUGGAAAAAUAUUAUGGGGGCCCUGUGUUGAGUAUGGAACUUAGAACCUCAGUGCAGGAUUUGAACACCCUUACUGUCACACUCAGUCUUGUUUUUUGUGGCAAGGAUGUUCAUUAAAAAAUAAUCAGAAAUGACAUAAUUUGACCUAUAUAUAUAUACAAAAUGCGAUUAUCAGGUGAAUGUUGUUCAGUUGAUCACCCUUGGAUCGCUGUCGCUCGACCGCAGCUUGGCAAUGUUUCCACCCUGCUUGUAUUUAUAUUCUACACAGUACAUUCUAGUCCUUUUCUAUGUGGGACAUUAUAUCAUUCAUAUUCUAACACUUUCAUCCAGUAUUGUGCUGCUGGAAGUUACUCAUUUCUACUCUCAGGGUACUAUUUAUGUUCUGUUUUUUGACUUGACCUGCUUUCAUGCUAUUUUCAUUGGGACAGAGGGCAGAUGCAUCAACUGACUUGAGAGAAUUUACAAGUCUUGAGGGAAGAAAGUAUGUAAAUUAUAUAUUUUCUUAGCCUCUUUCCAAUUGUUCUUCUACAGUGGGUACUUUUGUGUGUUACUUGUGCAUAAUGCUGAUUACUUUGUUUGUUUUCUAUAGGUAUUUCUACAACAAAGUUACUAGAAUGUCCAAAUGGAGAAUGCUUAAUGAAGUCAAGGUGAUGUUAGAUUUAAAUCCAAUAUGGUUUUGUUCCGUGCUUUAAAUAGCAUGAUAAGAAGGGAUUUUACUGUGCUUUAAAUAGCAUGAUAAGAAGGGACAAUAUUCUAUUUUCUUGGAUACUCUAGUUCUCAUAAAAUAUUUAUCCAUUCACAGUUGCUAGCAUGAUAAGAAGGGGAAAUAUUCUAUUUUCUUAGAUACUCUAUUCUCAUAAAGUUCAAUUAUUUAUAAAUUCACAGUUGGCUCAUGAAAAGGACACCAUUUUGCAUGCUUCUGAUUUUGGAUCCAUUUCUGUUGUUAAAACAUUAUCCCCGGGUGCAGAUGGUUCAUUAGUCUUGGCACACGGUGCUAAAUCAAGCCGAAUUUCCGGCUGCUAACUUACCAACUAUUAUGGCUUCAGAAUCAUCAAGUUUGUCUAGUAAGGUUUCUUCUCCGAUGAUUGAAACAGUCAAAAUAAAGAAUUCUUCAGAACCUGCUUCGCCAGCUGUUGCUAAUUUGGAGAAAAUUGGAAUAGCAGUAACCUUGGGAAAUUCUGUCGCACCACCGGUAUAUGUUUUCAAAUUUAUAUGUUAUAAAUUGGCCUCAGGUUUAUGUUGCUUCUUAUUUGGAAUUCAAUUUUUCUUUAGUUCUGAGACUACUACAACUCAAGAUGCAGUAGUGUAUGGUGAUGGAUUUUCUUCGGAGAAUAGAGAGGUAUUUUGUCCUUUUGAAAUACUUAUGCGAUUAGUUAAUUACUGUUGGUUACUGGUUAAAACACCAAGAAAGAUUUUUGUAGCUGUUAUGCUGGAUUUUGAUCCAAUAAUUUUGUAGUGCAGUUGUUAGUCAACUGCUAACAGGUGAAGAAUAUGCUCCCAAUUCCAAUGAGGUUUGCUUUUUUCCUUUGUGAUUGAUGUUGUGCCUAAAAUGCAGAAUGUCAAGAAAGAUGCUGCAAUAACUGAAAUCGGAGGUGCUACUCCAUCAGAUGAGAAAACAGUUAAGCUGGGACCAUUAGUUUAUGAGAACCAAGAGGUAUAGUGGAUUAUUGCUUUUUGUCCCAUUUAAUGUAUGUUCUAGAAAUUUCUCUUAUUUCUAUUUUAUGUAUCUGAUUUUAUUUAGAAGGCAAAGAGUGCAUUCAAAACUCUUUUGAAAUCUACAAAUAUUGGGUCUGAUUGCACGUGGGAUCAGGUUUAUUACUUGACUGUUUUGUGCAUACCAAACAAUUGAGGGAGAUCAUUUGACAUGAAUUGUAUUUGUCAGGCCAUGGGAGCAGUAAUUAAUGACCGGAGAUAUGGUGCUCUAAAAUCCCUUUGUGAGCGGAAGCAAGCUUUUAAUGAGGUAUUUCUCCAAGUCGGCAUUGGAAUAGGUUAAUUGCUGCUUCAAUGUUUCAGUAUACCGUAUUGCAAAAAGAUAGAUUGUGUUUGAUAUCCAAUUGUUUCAUGUUUGGUUGACUUAAAUAUUUUGGAAAAUGUUUUCCAAAUCAACUUAUUUUCCUUAAAUUUAAGGAAAAUGAAUUCCCUUCAAAAAGUAGGAAAAACAUUUUCCAAAACUCUCUUUCAAUCUCACUCUUAAGUUGAAAUGCUUAUACAAAUCUCAAAUGUAUUUUCUGAAAAAUAUUUUUUUAUUCACCAACCAAACACUAGAAAACAUUUUCUGAAAAAUGUUUUCCUUUCAUCAACCAAACAUAAGAAAACAAGUAAGAAACCAACUUGUUUUCUAGGAAAACAUUUUUCUUCAUACCAAACACACCAAGGUCUAUAGUGAUCAUUUUGCAGUUGUAUGUCUCUUCCAGUAUCUGAGACAAAAGAAAAAACUGAAAGCUAAAGAGAAUCGUGUUAAACAGAAAAAGGCUCGGGAAGAUUUCAGGAUAAUGUUAGAAGUAAGUGAAAUUUUCUUUUGUGGGUGUCUUCCAUUUGAUAUAUCAUGAUAUUCAUAUUACCAGUUUCAAAAAUAAAAAUAUAUUAUCAUAAUAUUCAUGAUGUGUUAGAGACUGGUAUUUGACUUGUUCAAAAGAAUAAGUGGUAUUUUUCACAACAAUGUACGUCGUUCUCAAUCUUACAGGAUUGCAAGGAGCUGUCACCAUCGUCAAGAUGGAGGUUUGUCUUUCACUUGUAAUGUUAAGUUGUCUGUUGCUUAUUUUCUAAUCUUGGUCAUUGUUUGUAUGUUUUUUGGUACCUUGAAGUUGAUCCAUUACUUAGGUAAGUUCCAUUUGAUCCACUAACUAUUUGCUAUUGAUUAUUCAGUAAGGCAAUCUCCAUAUUCGAACAUGAUGAACGUUUUAAAGCUGUUGAGCGAGCUAAAGACCGUGACGACCUUUUUGAAGAUUAUGUGGAGGAACUUGAUAAAAAGGUGAAUCUCCUUUUCAAGAACUUUCUUGUAAGCUUCUAUAUGUUAAAAACUAAGUGUACGGACUGUAGUUUCCUUAUAUGGUCUUUGGCUCCUCACAAAUUAAGUUAUCCUUUCAUUUGAGAUAGAAACAAGGUCCAAUUUCUUAAACAUGGUAUUAGAGGCAGAUCUAUCUUGAUGUUAGACUAGUAGAUGUUAGCCAACCUAGGUUAACUGAUGCUACAAAUGUCUAGUCUUGGUGUGCGAUUAAUGUAUGAGAAUCCCACACUAGUAAGGUGUAUGUGCUGUAAUUUCCUUGUAUGAUCUUGGACAAUCUUUACCACCUGUCCUAGUUUUCGAAGUUGAGCUAGGCGCUGGUCCACUUGAUUAACAACAAUCAUUCCAUUCCUUUCCUUUGCAGGAUGUCUUUUAGUUUUUUCCCUUUUUUUGUUUUGCUUAAAGAGUAGAAAGAAGGAAUGUUGUAGAUAUUCAACUUAAAAUCUUGUGUUCUUUGAAUACAUUUUUAAUGGCUUCUCAAGGGUACAACAUUUAAAUUUGUUCACCAUUGAAUUCCAAUUUAAACAGACUUCCAUGUAUUGUUUGUAAUUUUUCUUGAAACUUGAAACUAUGAUAUGCUUCUUCCUCUCCCCCCUCCGUCGUAAAAUAGAAAAAGUUUUUCAAUACUUUCAUGCAAGUGUAGUUAAAGUCUCUUUGUAAAUAUUGUUUUCUUUAUAGAGAAAUUUUAUUUUUUUUACUUUGUGGAGUACUUAGAAUUUUUAAAAUCCUGUGACUUUAUUAAGGUAUUUGUUCUAGUGGAAUUAGCAUCAGUUCCUAGAUUAUGUUUUUCUAUUUCCAGGAGAUAGAACUUCCAUAGUUCCAUUAUUGCUGACUUCUUUUGUUCUGGCCAGUAGCCAGUGGCGGAAAGUUCAGGACCGCUUAGAAAUUGAUGAAAGAUGCUCCCACCUUGAGAAAAUCGAUCGCUUGGAGAUUUUCCAGGCACUACUCAUUUUUAUAAUACAUCAUAAAUAACUUUUUCCAAACAUCUCAUUUGUGCGCCUCAGUUUUAAAGUUAUGUUGCAACCUUUUCUAUUUUAGGAAUAUAUACAUGAUUUAGAGAGCGAAGAGGAGGAGCAAAGGAAACUGCGGAUGGUAUAUUGCUUAUUAGACUCAGGGGUUAAAAUCAAAUUUAUGUUUGGAGACUUUGAUUUAUCUCUUUCUCACUGGGCAUACACCGUUGAUUCAAAUAGGAAGAUUUAAGGAAAGAUGAAUGUAAAAAUCAUGAUGAGUUCCAAAAAUUGAUGGAAGAGCUUGCUGCGGGAAUACUUAAUGCAAAAACUAACUAGUGUGAUUAUUGCAUCAAAGUUAGUUUUUCUUUCUUGUGUUUAGUGAGUGAUUACGUUCAUGAGUCCCCUUUUCGUCUUUUUGAGUUUUUCAUCCAAUAAUUUCCUUCUUUAUUUUGUGCUUGCAGAUUAAAGAUUUUGCUGUAUAUCUAGUUGUCUCAUCAAAUACUUCAGGAUCAAUAGCAAAAGACUUAUUUACAAAUGUUAUGGAUGAGCUGGACAAACAGGUGAAAUAGGUUGCAAAUAGGAGUAUUGAAUUGUGUCAACUACAUUUGUUACACUAACCCAUAUUUAUAGACUUUACACUACAAUCCCUUUUUAUUUACUUUCACUUAAUGAAGGUCUUAAUCUGAAUGGUUAGGAUAUCAGCCCAUUAAGUGCUUUUUUUUUUAAAAGAUUCAACCUGUUAAUAUAUCUUAAUGAAUCAGAUGUUAAACAAAGUCUGAAAAUCAUUUAUAUCCUCACUAAAAAGUUCAAUUCAUUAGGUAAAAAAGUAAGUUAGUACAUUACUAUGUGGAAAUAUACUGGGUUGGUUUUUGUUGUUGUUGUUGUGCAUUAAAGAAUAGAACAUACUUGGUAGGAUAAAGCAUGAGAUUGAGAUUUGAGAGUUACCCCUCUGCUUGUUUUUUUUUUUUUAAAUAAAACAUAUUUUUUUGAGAUAAGAACAAUGACCGGUUGUUCCUAUUAAGCAUCUGUGUUGUUUCUCUUUAUGCCAAUUAGUUUCCUUUUUUUUUACUAGAUAGUAGGUAUUUAGGCUGAUAGGAAUGGUAUUGUCGUAAACUUUUAAGAUAGGGGUUCCAUGCUUUUAAUGUAGUAUAGAUAUAGAUGAUUCUUUCAAUCAAGCCAAGCUGUAUUAAAUGCUACUUCACAGACAAUUGUAAUUGACUUCUCCUCUGUUGAAUGCUGUUAAUGGUUAUAUUACCUUAAUUGUUAUAGUUUCUUGAGCUGAACAACUUUGAGAAGUGAUCAUCAAACUUCCAUGUUUUCAUGUAGUUUCUUUGACUUUUGAGGACUCCUUUAAAGUAUCACACAACCACACCAUUGUGUUUCAGCUAAGACUGCAUUUGUUUCUAUUAAUAUUCAGACAUUUGAAUCAUUUUGAAUGUUUUUUUAAUUUAAUGCAAUUAAAUUAUUAUUUGAUUAAAAAAUGAAACAUUUAUGUUUGUUAGUGAUAGUGGAGAUGGUUUGUAUGAUGGUGGUGGUUGUAAUAAAUUAAUUGAUGUUAGUGAUUAGAAAUCUUGGUGAUGAUAUUUGUGAUAGUAGGGAUACUUGGUGUUGUAGUAACUGUCAUGAUAUUGGCGAUUGGUAGUGGUGGUGGUGGUUGUGAUAUGAAGUUGGUUAAUGUUAGUGGUUGGAGGUGUUAAUCGUGGUGACGAAAAAAUAUAUGCAUGAUGGUUGAUGAUGUGUUGGUGGUCGUUGGAGACGUUGUUAGCUGUGAUAGUGGAAUGGUUGUUAGUACAGAUACUAUAGCGAAUGCAUAGAGGUGGUGACACCGGUGACAGUGGUGGUUUUGGUGUUCGAAGAAUGUGUGGAAGUUGAUGAUGUGUUAGUGGUUGUUAGCAAUGUGUGGAAGUUGAUGAUGUGUUGGUGGUUAUUAGUGGUAGUGCUAGUUCUGAUAGAUGAGUUGGUUGGUAGUAGGGAUUGAAUGGUAGCAGUUGAUGGUGGCGGAGUUGGCUGUAGGGGUGUUCAUGGGUCGAUAUGGGUCGGUUAUUGGUCAAAACCAUAACUAAACCAACUUAGUCGAUUUUUAAAUUUCUAAAACCAAACCAAACCAAACAAAAAUAUAACCAUCGAUUUGGUUCUUGUCGGUUUAGUUCGGUUUGAUUUGGGUUUUUUGGUUUAUAACUUUAGUUUAUGGUAAAAGUUGAAAAUUUUAAAAAACCAAUCCAAUCUAACAUAUGAGAUGUCAACCGAGUGUUGUAUCUCAUUCUUGAAACUAUGAUGUCAACUAAGUGCUAUACUUCGGCAAAGCCAUGCUAACACCAUAUGAACGCUUUUAAACAAAUAUUUAAAAACUAUAUUUAAUAGAAUGAUAUGAUAAACCCCCAAAAGGUGAACACAUAAACUUCUUGCUCAACAAGGUUCAAAAGAAAGUUAAAAUUAGUGAUUGUGUAUAGUUUAAUAAAUUUCAGCUGUAAAUUUCAAUAUAUAACAAGAUACUUUCACAAUUAGUAUCAUUUGUCAUUCAAAAUAUGAAAUUCAUUUAGAAUCUCAUAAUGUAUUGUCAACUAGAUGAAGACAUAUGACUGAAUGUGUUACGACUAAAGUUAAAUCAUGAUUAAAAUAUAAAAUGUGACAAAUAUUUAGAUUACAUUUAUGAAAAACUUAUAAAUAAUUAUAAUAUAUAUGUAUAUUGGUUCGGUUUGGUUAUUUUGUCAGUUAUUUUAGAGUAAAACCAAACCAAACCAAACCAAAUUAGUAUUGGUCUUUCAAAAUUCAAAUCCAAACCAAACCUAACCAAAUAUAGAUUUUUUUAAUCGGUUUGAUUUGUAUCGCGGUUCAGUUUGAUUAAAAACCAAACCGUGAACACCCCUAGUUGGAGGUGGAUAUAAUUAGAACAAUGGAAGUGGUAGGUGUGGUAGCGGCUGGCAGUGUAGUUGGUAGUGAUGUUGGUUGUGAUUGUGGAAGUAGUUGGUGGUGGUGACAGGUGAUUGUGGAUAGAGUGGUCAACCAUAUAAAUUGUACUAAAUAAACUUAGUGCCAGAAUUCGCCUUUGAAGAGGUAGUUGAGAUGUAAUGAAAGUAAAGGCUUAGAAAAGAUUAGCCUCGAAAAAUGUGCCUGAAAGCAUCUCUGUUUCUCUAAAUAAAGUAGCAUCUCCCUCACUAUAUUUUUUUGGCCGUAAUACACACUUGCGACUAACUAAACGAUAUAUUGUUUCAUCCUCUGCCCUUUUUGAAAAGAAUUGAAGUUCAAUGAUCAAAUGUUAUUAGCAUUUAUCUCCUUGCGUGAUGAAAGAGGGAGUUUACCUGGUAUCCUAGCAUGGUAAUUGUAAUACCCCGGGAAAUUUUUCGUUGAAAUUUUAUGUGUAAACGUGUUGGGUUCUAUCUUCUAGAAUGAAUUAUAAAUUUUCCGUGCGAAAUGUCUUAUAUUAUGACCCACCAUUUCAUAGAGUAUCAAAUAAGAUUUUCAAUGAUAUGUGGAUCAUCAAAAACAGACACCCGAGUGACGAGUUAUGAACAUUCCGAUCGAACCGUGAAUAGUAAAGAACAGUAAAACGUGCAGGAAAAGGUACUGAGGCCUGGCGUAUUUUUGCUACAACUUUAAAUGAUCAUAACUCCUUGUACAUAAUGAUCUGGGUGAUCUACUAUAUAUCAACGGAAAGCUCUGUGAGUCCUCUUUCUAAUGAAAUUUGUUUCAUCCAAUUUGUCUAUCGGAUAAAACAGUUAUGGUCAAUCUACUUCAGUCUAUCAAAAUAGACCAUCAAAGGAAAGAUUUGAGAAUUUUUUUGAUUUUUAGGGGCGUUUUGGUCAUCCCCCCUCACCCAAAAUCCAUCCAAACCCUAUAUUAAAGCCUAUUAUAAGUAUUAUAUGUUAUAUUUCAUCAAACUCGCUCAAAAAGAAAACCCUAAGCUCCUACAUCCAACUUCAACAACCUACAAAGUUCACCACUAAUUCUGCAAAUUUAUUAAAGAUUCCAAGUUCCUAGUUCAAAAACUCCAAGAACCAUCAUUGAAAAGCAUGAUUAACAUCUCAAAAAUGAGUAUCGAUCUAAAGUUCAUCAUUCAAGAUAUGUGGGAUUUUUCAACCAAGAACUCUCUUUCGUUCUUGUGCCCAAAAGUAAUUUUCUUUACAAAGGCAUGAUUUUUAUUUGAUUUUUAUGAAUUUGAAGUAUGAACCCAUAUCUUAUGAUGAUUAUUAUGAAAUCUUGAUGUUUAUGAUUUUGAAAGAUGAAUUUACAUGUGUGGUCAUAUAAAGCAUGAAUCUUGAACGAUAUUUAUCAUGAUUUUGAUANNNNNNNNNNNNNNNNNNNNNNNNNNNNNNNNNNNNNNNNNNNNNNNNNNNNNNNNNNNNNNNNNNNNNNNNNNNNNNNNNNNNNNNNNNNNNNNNNNNNNNNNNNNNNNNNNNNNNNNNNNNNNNNNNNNNNNNNNNNNNNNNNNNNNNNNNNNNNNNNNNNNNNNNNNNNNNNNNNNNNNNNNNNNNNNNNNNNNNNNNNNNNNNNNNNNNNNNNNNNNNNNNNNNNNNNNNNNNNNNNNNNNNNNNNNNNNNNNNNNNNNNNNNNNNNNNNNNNNNNNNNNNNNNNNNNNNNNNNNNNNNNNNNNNNNNNNNNNNNNNNNNNNNNNNNNNNNNNNNNNNNNNNNNNNNNNNNNNNNNNNNNNNNNNNNNAAGUGACCUUACUUUCCUAGAACUACGUGCUCCCGUAGGACGUGAGCCUGAGGUUGAUUUAUAUAGUGAUCACUAGAAUUUUUGGAUUGAUAUUGGAAGUCCUACUCCGAUGGAAAGGAUAGGACGGCUCUCCCCAACGUGGGUUGUAUGUUGGACUCCAUGUAGCUCACAUGGUUUAUGUCGGUUAUAGGAUCUCCCAGUGUGUGUGUGUUUCCUUAUGUCUAUGGUGAAGUGAUUUGAAAGUGAAAUUGUGAAAGUUAUUCUUUCAAAAGAUUCAAAAUGAUAUUUACAUUAUGAGAAUUGAUAUUCUUUAUGAACUGAAAGUGAUUGACAAAUUAUAUGAUGACUCACAUGUGUUAUUAUACUUAUUUUAUCCUCUCAUGAUUAUGAUGAUUUUCUUCGGGCUAUGUGAGUUUUUCAUACAUCCUGCAUAUUUCUUAUAAAUAUUUAUAACAAUGAUGUUUAUACAACUGCAUACAACCCCAUAUACUCAGUUUCUUUCUAUGGUACUGACCCACAUCUUCGGAUAUGGGUUGCAUUUUCUCAGAAUGUAGGUUCAGGUGCUCAGUUCCAGGUUCGACAGUGAUUCUUCGAGCACGCUGUUCUACAUCUUCUGCUGUGGUGAGUCCUCAUGUUCUGAGGAUGUGAUGUCGGAUGUUGGUUUUACUAACUUGUUUACAUUUGAUAACUGAGUAUGAGUCAGUUGGGGCAUGUCUUAAUGGCUCCCUGGUUUUAUUGAUUUUCUUAGAGGCUUGUCAAACUAGUAUAGAUUUUGGGAGUUGACUAAUAAGUCGUAUUUUGUCAUCUUUCUGAAAUUAUUUUAUUCUUGGAUGAUGAUUACUCUACUGAUAUUUGAGGGUUAUUUAUGGAAACCCCGUUGAUUGGUGUUGAACUGAAUGAAAAUGGCUUAAAGGGUUAGCUUGGGGCUACUCGUAGCCUCAAGCACCGUGUGAGGCUCCGGGACCCAUUUUCAGGGGCGUUACAAACUUGGUAUCAGAGCCUAAGGUUUUAAGGUGUCCUAGGGAGUCUGACAAGCCGCGUUAAGUAGAGUAUUGACCAUUAGUGUGUAGCGUGCGACAUCUAUGAGCAAGAGGCUACAAGACUUUUUAGGAAAAAGUGUGAUUCUUUCUUUCAGAAGUCUAUCAUGCUUAAAGUGUUUCUCUCUGCUAUUGAUUCGUGCUCUCUUCUUUUAGAAAUAUGCCUCCACAUCGAGCGAGAAGAAAUAAUGAUGGUCAGCAACCUCAACCUGCUGACCCAUUAAAUGAAAAUGUGCCUCAUACUUAAUUUCAGGCAGCCCUUUAGGUUCUGGCCCAAGCUGUUACUACAAAUGUUUAGGCUAACCCAGCCCCGGCUCUAUAGCAGCAGGGAGGUGAUUCAAUUACUGCCAGGAUCCGUGACUUCAUGCGGAUGAAUCCACCAGAAUUCUAUGGGUCCAAGUCUGAUCAGGAUCCACGGUUGUUUUUAGAGGAGGUGUGGAAGAUUACUCAGGUGAUGCAUGUAUCUGAGGAACAUAGUAUGGAGUUGGCUUCGUAUAGGUUGAAAGACCUUGCUUAUAAUUGGGUUGUUUCUUUAAGGAAAGGUAAAGAUGAGAGAGCUAUCUCUAUAAUUUGGCAAGAGUGUUAGGAUGCAUUCCUGGAUAAGUUUUUCCCUUUGGAGAUGAGGGAGGCAAAGGUGGAAGAGUUUAUGAACCUGGGACAGGGCUCUAUGACUGUUAGGGAGUACCAUCGAAAGUUCAAUCAGUUGGCCAAGUAUGCUCCUAACAUAGUGGCUGAUAAUCGGGCUACUAUGAGUAAGUUUGUGACUGAAGUGUCUAGUUAUGUGGUUAAGGAGUGUAGGUCUGCUAUGCUGAAUAGUGAUAUGAAUCUUUCUAGGCUAAUGACUCAUGCCCAAUAGAUUGAGGUAGACAAGAUUACGGAGAGAGAUAGAAUGGGAGGGAAUAAGAGAUCUAGGUCCAAGCAGCACGGACAGGGUCAAACUAGAUUGCAAAGAGGGAGUCAUUCUCAGUAUCAGGAUCAUUCAUCUAUGCCAGCACCGUCAUCUGCUAGUGCUCCUGUGCCUAGAGGUAGGCAGGAGCAAGGUACCAGGUCAUAUGAACCCAGGUCCUAGUACAGUGCUGGCAGUAAGCCAAAUUAUCCCUUGUGUCCUAAGUAUGGUAGGGCUCAUUUGGGUGAGUGUUGGGGUGAGAAGAGGGGUUGUUUUUGAUGUGGUGACAUGGGUCACAGAGUUAGAAAUUGUCCACAGGAUGGACAAGGGCGUCGUGACUAUCACCCUUAGACCCAGGCUCAGACUAUAAGUGCUCCAAUUCUAGCGACUCGCCCAGCCCUAGCUCAGGGCGCCUCUUCUAGCAAUGCUGGAGGGCAGUGCCAGAAUAGAUUCUAUGUUUUACCAUCUCGCCAGGAACAGGAGGACUCUCCCGAUGUUGUUACUGGUAUGCUUCGUAUAUUUCAGUUUGAUGUGUAUGCUUUGUUAAAUCCUGGAUCCAGUUUCUCAUAUGUUACACCUUUGAUUGCUGUGAAUUUUGAAAUGAGUCCUGAGAUUAUUCCUGAGCCUAUCCUAGUUUUUACUCCAGUGGGUGAUUCGAUUAUUGCCCAAAAAGUGUAUAAAAAGUGUCCUGUUACCGUUCUUCAUAGAGUCUUGUUGGCUGAUCUGAUUGAGUUAGACAUGGUAGAUUUUGAUGUGAUUCUGGUAUGGACUGGCUAUAUUCUUCUUAUGCCUCUAUUGAUUAUCGGACCCGAGUGGUCAAGUUUUAGUUUUUGGGUGCAUCCGUAUUUGAGUGGUCUGGGAAUUCUGUGUCACCCAAGAGUCAUUUUAUCUCUUACCUCAAAGCUAGAAAUCUUAUUUCCAAGGGGUGUAUUUACCAUUUGGUUAGAGUCAAAGACACUAAGUNNNNNNNNNNNNNNNNNNNNNNNNNNNNNNNNNNNNNNNNNNNNNNNNNNNNNNNNNNNNNNNNNNNNNNNNNNNNNNNNNNNNNNNNNNNNNNNNNNNNNNNNNNNNNNNNNNNNNNNNNNNNNNNNNNNNNNNNNNNNNNNNNNNNNNNNNNNNNNNNNNNNNNNNNNNNNNNNNNNNNNNNNNNNNNNNNNNNNNNNNNNNNNNNNNNNNNNNNNNNNNNNNNNNNNNNNNNNNNNNNNNNNNNNNNNNNNNNNNNNNNNNNNNNNNNNNNNNNNNNNNNNNNNNNNNNNNNNNNNNNNNNNNNNNNNNNNNNNNNNNNNNNNNNNNNNNNNNNNNNNNNNNNNNNNNNNNNNNNNNNNNNNNNNNNNNNNNNNNNNNNNNNNNNNNNNNNNNNNNNNNNNNNNNNNNNNNNNNNNNNNNNNNNNNNNNNNNNNNNNNNNNNNNNNNNNNNNNNNNNNNNNNNNNNNNNNNNNNNNNNNNNNNNNNNNNNNNNNNNNNNNNNNNNNNNNNNNNNNNNNNNNNNNNNNNNNNNNNNNNNNUCUCCUAUGACUCGGUUGACCCAAAAGAAAGUGAAGUUCUUGUGGUCCGAAUCUUAUGAGAAGAGUUUUCAGGAGUUGAAGACUCAACUCACUUCAGCCCCUAUUUUGACUUUGCCUGAUGGUUUUGUGGUGUACUCUGAUGCUUUGAGAGUUGAGUUGGGUUGUGUAUUGAUGCAUAAGGGUAAAGUGAUAGCUUAUGCUUCUAGAAAGUUGAAACCCCAUGAGAAAAAUUACCCCACCCAUGACCUUGAGUUGGCUGCUAUUGUGUUUGCUUUGAAAAUUUGGAGACACUAUUUGUAUGGUGUCCAUGUUGAUAUUUUCACUGAUCAUAGAGUCUGCAAGUAUGUGUUUACCCAGAGAUAAUUGAAUCUUAGGCAGAGACAACGGUUAGAAUUGUUAAAGGACUAUGAUAUGAGUGUGUUGUACCAUCCUGGCAAGGCCAAUAUUGUGGCGGAUGCCCCAAGUAGAGUGUCCAUGGGUAGUGUUUCGCAUGUGGUAGAAGGUAAGAAAGAGUUGGCUCGUGAUGUACAUCGUUUGGCUAGAUUGGAGGUUAGGUUGUUUGACUCUGUUAAAGGUAGUAUAGGGGUUCAGAGUAGUUUCGAAUCCUCCUUGGUUUCUGAAGUGAAGGAAAAACAAUACUUAGAUGCUAGUUUGGUCAGACUGAAGGAGUCAGUCAAGGACCAAAAAGUAGAAGUUUUCUCCCAAGGGGGANNNNNNNNNNNNNNNNNNNNNNNNNNNNNNNNNNNNNNNNNNNNNNNNNNNNNNNNNNNNNNNNNNNNNNNNNNNNNNNNNNNNNNNNNNNNNNNNNNNNNNNNNNNNNNNNNNNNNNNNNNNNNNNNNNNNNNNNNNNNNNNNNNNNNNNNNNNNNNNNNNNNNNNNNNNNNNNNNNNNNNNNNNNNNNNNNNNNNNNNNNNNNNNNNNNNNNNNNNNNNNNNNNNNNNNNNNNNNNNNNNNNNNNNNNNNNNNNNNNNNNNNNNNNNNNNNNNNNNNNNNNNNNNNNNNNNNNNNNNNNNNNNNNNNNNNNNNNNNNNNNNNNNNNNNNNNNNNNNNNNNNNNNNNNNNNNNNNNNNNNNNNNNNNNNNNNNNNNNNNNNNNNNNNNNNNNNNNNNNNNNNNNNNNNNNNNNNNNNNNNNNNNNNNNNNNNNNNNNNNNNNNNNNNNNNNNNNNNNNNNNNNNNNNNNNNNNNNNNNNNNNNNNNNNNNNNNNNNNNNNNNNNNNNNNNNNNNNNNNNNNNNNNNNNNNNNNNNNNNNNNNNNNNNNNNNNNNNNNNNNNNNNNNNNNNNNNNNNNNNNNNNNNNNNNNNNNNNNNNNNNNNNNNNNNNNNNNNNNNNNNNNNNNNNNNNNNNNNNNNNNNNNNNNNNNNNNNNNNNNNNNNNNNNNNNNNNNNNNNNNNNNNNNNNNNNNNNNNNNNNNNNNNNNNNNNNNNNNNNNNNNNNNNNNNNNNNNNNNNNNNNNNNNNNNNNNNNNNNNNNNNNNNNNNNNNNNNNNNNNNNNNNNNNNNNNNNNNNNNNNNNNNNNNNNNNNNNNNNNNNNNNNNNNNNNNNNNNNNNNNNNNNNNNNNNNNNNNNNNNNNNNNNNNNNNNNNNNNNNNNNNNNNNNNNNNNNNNNNNNNNNNNNNNNNNNNNNNNNNNNNNNNNNNNNNNNNNNNNNNNNNNNNNNNNNNNNNNNNNNNNNNNNNNNNNNNNNNNNNNNNNNNNNNNNNNNNNNNNNNNNNNNNNNNNNNNNNNNNNNNNNNNNNNNNNNNNNNNNNNNNNNNNNNNNNNNNNNNNNNNNNNNNNNNNNNNNNNNNNNNNNNNNNNNNNNNNNNNNNNNNNNNNNNNNNNNNNNNNNNNNNNNNNNNNNNNNNNNNNNNNNNNNNNNNNNNNNNNNNNNNNNNNNNNNNNNNNNNNNNNNNNNNNNNNNNNNNNNNNNNNNNNNNNNNNNNNNNNNNNNNNNNNNNNNNNNNNNNNNNNNNNNNNNNNNNNNNNNNNNNNNNNNNNNNNNNNNNNNNNNNNNNNNNNNNNNNNNNNNNNNNNNNNNNNNNNNNNNNNNNNNNNNNNNNNNNNNNNNNNNNNNNNNNNNNNNNNNNNNNNNNNNNNNNNNNNNNNNNNNNNNNNNNNNNNNNNNNNNNNNNNNNNNNNNNNNNNNNNNNNNNNNNNNNNNNNNNNNNNNNNNNNNNNNNNNNNNNNNNNNNNNNNNNNNNNNNNNNNNNNNNNNNNNNNNNNNNNNNNNNNNNNNNNNNNNNNNNNNNNNNNNNNNNNNNNNNNNNNNNNNNNNNNNNNNNNNNNNNNNNNNNNNNNNNNNNNNNNNNNNNNNNNNNNNNNNNNNNNNNNNNNNNNNNNNNNNNNNNNNNNNNNNNNNNNNNNNNNNNNNGGGGGUGAAGAGAUUCGGAAAGAAGGGGAAGCUAAGUUCCCGUUAUGUUGGUCCUUACAAAAUUCUUAGCCGUGUUGGUAAGGUAGCUUAUGAGGUCAAGUUGCCUUCCAAGUUGUUCUCUGUUCAUCCAAUAUUCCAUGUCUCCAUGCUUAGAAAGUAUAUUAGCGAUGUUGUGGUAGUGGAUUCCUCUGUGAGUGCUGAGAUUCAAGAAAAUCUUUCUUUUGAUAAGAUUCCUGUUGAGAUUCUUGAUUUCAGUGUCCGAAGACUAAGGAACAAAUAAGUUCCCUUGGUCAAGGUGUUGUGGCGAAACCAAUCUGUUGAGGGUGCAACUUGGGAAGCUGAGGCGGAUAUGUGAUCCAAGUGCCCGCACCUAUUUUCCGUAAACUCUGAUGAAGCCGAAGGUACCGUUCUUUCCUAAAUCAUACUUUUGAUAAAAGUUACAGCAGUUCAACUGUCAUUUAUUAUGUGUUCAGCUGUAGUUUCUUGAAUUUAUGCAUUCUAUGUUGCAUUCGGAGUGAGAAACGAUGUGGUGAUGAGUCUAACGAAUGGUUUCAGCUGUAUGCUCUAUUUCCUAUCUAAUCUUGGCAUGUCUAGCGUCAUUCGAGGAUGAAUGUUUCCAAGGGGGGAUGAUGUAUUACGCCUGGAAAUUUUUCGUUGAAAUUUUGUGCGAAAAAGAGUUGGGUUCUAUCUUCUAGAAUGAAUUAUAAAUUUUCCAUGCAAAAUGUCUUAGAUUAUAACCCACCAUUGCAUAGAGUAUCGAAUAAGAUUUCCAACGAUAUAUGGAUCAUCCAAAACGGACACCUGAGAGACGAGUUAUGAACAUUCUGAUCGAACCGUGAAUUAGUGAACAUAAAACGUGCAGGAAAAAGUACUGAGGCCUGGCGUAUAUUUUCUCUAACUUUAAACGAUCAUAACCCUUUGUACAUAAUGAUCUGGGUGAUCUACUAUAUAUCAACGGAAAGCUUUGUGAGUCCUCUUUCCAAUGAAAUUAGUUUCAUCCAAUUUGUCUAUCGGAGAGAAAAGUUAUGGUAGAUCUACUUCAGCCUAUCAAAAUAGUCCACCAAUGGACAGAUUCGAGAUUUUUUUUAUUUUUAGGGGUGUUUUGGUCUUUCCCCCUCACCCAAAAUCCAUCCAAACCCUAUAUUAAAUCCUAUUAGAAGCAUUAUAUGUUAUAUUUCAUCAAACUCGCUCAAAAAGAAAGCUCUAAACUCCUACAUCCAACUUCAAGAACCUCCAAAGUUCACCAUUAAUUCUGCAAAUUUAUUCAAGAUUCCAAGUUCCUAGUUCAAGAACUCCAAGAACCAUCAUACAAAGGCAUGAUUAACAUCUCAAAAAUGAGUAUCGAUAUAAAGUUCAUCAUUCAAGAUAUGUGGGGUUUUUCAACAAGAACUCUCUUUCGUUCUUGUGCCCAAAAGUAAUUUUCUUUACAAAGGCAUGAUUUUUAUUUGAUUUUUAUGAAUUUGAAGCAUGAACCCAUAUCUUAUGAUGAUUAUUAUGAAAUAUUGAUGUUUAUGAUUUUGAAAGAUGAAUUUACAUGUGUGGAGAUAUAAAGCAUGAAUCUUGAAUGAUAUUNNNNNNNNNNNNNNNNNNNNNNNNNNNNNNNNNNNNNNNNNNNNNNNNNNNNNNNNNNNNNNNNNNNNNNNNNNNNNNNNNNNNNNNNNNNNNNNNNNNNNNNNNNNNNNNNNNNNNNNNNNNNNNNNNNNNNNNNNNNNNNNNNNNNNNNNNNNNNNNNNNNNNNNNNNNNNNNNNNNNNNNNNNNNNNNNNNNNNNNNNNNNNNNNNNNNNNNNNNNNNNNNNNNNNNNNNNNNNNNNNNNNNNNNNNNNNNNNNNNNNNNNNNNNNNNNNNNNNNNNNNNNNNNNNNNNNNNNNNNNNNNNNNNNNNNNNNNNNNNNNNNNNNNNNNNNNNNNNNNNNNNNNNNNNNNNNNNNNNNNNNNNNNNNNNNNNNNNNNNNNNNNNNNNNNNNNNNNNNNNNNNNNNNNNNNNNNNNNNNNNNNNNNNNNNNNNNNNNNNNNNNNNNNNNNNNNNNNNNNNNNNNNNNNNNNNNNNNNNNNNNNNNNNNNNNNNNNNNNNNNNNNNNNNNNNNNNNNNNNNNNNNNNNNNNNNNNNNNNNNNNNNNNNNNNNNNNNNNNNNNNNNNNNNNNNNNNNNNNNNNNNNNNNNNNNNNNNNNNNNNNNNNNNNNNNNNNNNNNNNNNNNNNNNNNNNNNNNNNNNNNNNNNNNNNNNNNNNNNNNNNNNNNNNNNNNNNNNNNNNNNNNNNNNNNNNNNNNNNNNNNNNNNNNNNNNNNNNNNNNNNNNNNNNNNNNNNNNNNNNNNNNNNNNNNNNNNNNNNNNNNNNNNNNNNNNNNNNNNNNNNNNNNNNNNNNNNNNNNNNNNNNNNNNNNNNNNNNNNNNNNNNNNNNNNNNNNNNNNNNNNNNNNNNNNNNNNNNNNNNNNNGUUUUAUUGAUUUUCUUAGAGGCUUGUCAGACUAGGAUAGAUGUUGGGGGGUGACUAAUAAGUCAUAUUGUGUUAUCUUUCUGAAAUUCUUUUAUUCUUGGAUGAUGAUUACUCUAUUGAUAUUUGAGGGUUAUUUAUGGAAACCCCAUUGAUUUGUGUUGAACUGAAUAAAAAUGGCUCAAAGGGUUAGCUUGGGGCUACUCAUAAGCUCAAGCACCGUGUGACGCUCCGGGACCCAUUUUCCGUGGCAUUACAGUAAUGAUCUUGUUCGUACUCUUUUUCAAUGAUUGAAUUUGGUAAUGUUUUCUUGAGUUAGGCUCUUGAUAUGGGAUGGUGAGAGUUAAACAUAAACUCAGAUGCUGAAAAUCUUUUCUUUUUCCCUUGUAAGAUAAAGAUGUCAACUUCUAUCUUUAAAGUUUGUAUUACUGUUUGUGUGCAUAAUUGAUUCUUAUUAAGUAAAUAUAAUGAAAGCGCUGUUAACAGAUAUGCUAUCCAUUUUUAUUUAUUCACUUUUUUUUCUAUUAUCCAAACAGGGGUGCUUGAUUUUUCCUUCAAUUUAACCUGAUCAGUGCAAUUUAGUUUAUGUGUCAAGUGUUUUGUGAUAUUGUAGAUAACUUUGAACAAGUGAAAAAAUGCUGGUAUUAAUGAAAGAAAUUUCAUCCCCAUCACCCUGCUUGUAAUUUAUAGACUUUAUGGUAACUCAAAAUAUCAUGAUAUUCACAUUACCAGUUUCAAAAAGAAAAAGAUAUUAUCAAAAAGAAUAAGUGGUAUUUUUCACAACAAUGUCCGUUGUUCUCAAUCUUACAAGAUUGCAAGGAGCUGUCACCAUCGUCAAGAUGGAGGUUUGUCUUUCACUUGUAAUGUUAAGUUGUCUGCUGCUUGUUUUCUAAUCUUGGUCAUUACUUAUGUAAGUUCCAUUUGAUCCACUCACUAUUUGCUAUUGAUUAUUCAGUAAGGCAAUCUUCAUAUUAGAACAUGAUGAACGUUUUAAAUCUAUUGAGCGAGCUAAAGACCGUGAGGACCUUUUUGAAAAUUAUGUGGAUGAACUUGAUAAAAAGGUGAAGCUCCUUUUGCAGAACUUUCCUGUAAGCUUCUAUAUGUUAAAAACUAAGUGUGCGGACUGUAGUUUCCUUAUAUGGUCUUUGGCUCCUCACAAAUUAAGUUAGCCUUUCAUUUGAGAUAGAAACAAGGUCCAAUUUCUUAAACAUGGUAUUAGAGGCAGAUCUAUCUUGAUUCUACAAAUGUCUAGUCUUGGUGUGGGGUUAAUGUAUGAGAAUCCCACAGUAGUAAGGUGUAUGUGCUGUAGUUUCCUAAUAUGAUCUUGGAACAAUCUUCACCACCUGACCUAGUUUUCGAAGUUGAGUUAGGUACUGGUCCAUUUGAUUAACAACAGUCAUUCCAUUCCUUUCCUUUGCAGGAUGUCUUUUAGUUUGUUCCCUUUUUUUUUGUUUUGCUUAAAGAGUAGAAAGAAGGAAUGUUGUAGAUAUUCAACUUAAAUUCUUGUGUUCUUUGAAUACAUUUUUAAUGGCUUCUCAAGGGUACAACAUUUAAAUUUGUUCACCAUUGAAAUCCAUUUUAAACAGACUUCCAUGUAUUGUAUGUAAUUUUUCUUGAACUUGAAACUUGAAACUAUGAUAUGCUUCUUCCUCUCCCCCCUCCAUCCUAAAAUAAAAAAAGUUUUCAAUACUUUCAUGCAAGUGUAGUUAAAGUCUCUUUGUAAAUAUUGUCUUCUUUAUAGAGAAAUUUUAUUUUUUUUACUUUGUACUGGAUUUUAUUAGGAGCAUGCGAAGGCAUUGGAGGAGCAGAAGCGCAAUAGAGUGGAGCACUUAGAAUUUUUAAAAUCCUGUGACUUUAUUAAGGUAUUUGUUCUAGUGGAAUUAGCAUCAGUUCCUAGAUUAUGUUUUCCUAUUUCCAGGAGAUAGAACUUCCAUAGUUCCAUUAUUGCUGACUUCUUUUGUUCAAGCCAGUAGCCAGUGGUGGAAAGUUCAGGACCGCUUGGAAACUGAUGAAAGAUGCUCAUGCCUUGAGAAAAUCGAUCGCGUGGAGAAUUUCCAGGUACUACUCAUUUUUCUAAUACAUCAUAAAUAAAUUUUUCCAAACAUCUCAUUUGCACGUCUCAGUUUUAAAGUUAUGUUGCAACCUUUUCUGUUUUAGGAAUAUAUACGUGAUUUAGAGAGAGAAGAUGAGGAGCAAAGGAAACUGCGGAUGGUAUAUUGCUUAUUAGACUCGGGGGUUAAAAUUAAAUUUAUGUUUGGAGACUUUGAUUUAUCUGUUUCUCACUGGGCAUACACCGUUGAUUCAAAUAGGAAGAAUUGAGGAAAGCUGAAUGUAAAAAUCAUGAUGAGUCUGCAAAUUGAUGGAAAAGCAUGUUGCUGUGGGAAUACUUAAUGAAAAAACUAACUGGUGUGAUUAUUGCAUCAAAGUUAGUUUUUCUUUCUUGUGUUCAGUGAGUGAUUACCUUCAUGAGUUCCCUUUUCGUCUUUUUGAAUUUUUCAUCCAAUAAUUUCCUUCUUUAUUUUGUGCUUGCAGAUUAAAGAUUUUGCUGCAUAUCUAGCUGUGUCAUCAAAUACUUCAGGAUCAAUAGAAAAAGACUUAUUUACAGAUGUUAUGAGAAACAGGUGAAAUAGGUUGCUAAUAGGAGUAUUGAAUUGUGUCAACUACAUUUGUUACACUAACCCAUAUUUAUAGACUUUACACUACAAUCCCUUUUCAUUUGCUUUCACUUAAUGAAGGUCUGAAUCUGAAUGGUUAAGAUAUCAGCCCAUUAAGUGCUUUUUUUAAAGAUUCAACCUGCUAAUACAUCUUAAUGAAUCAAAUGUUAAACUGAGUCUGAAAAUCAUUUAGAUCCGCACUAAAAAGUUCAAUUCAUUAGGUAAAAAAGUAAGUUAGUGCAUUACUACGUGGGAAUAUACUGGGUUUGUUGUUGUUGUUGUUGUUAUGCAUUAAAGAAUAGAACAUACUUAGUAGGAUAAAAGCAUGAUAUUGAGAUUUGAGAGUUACCCCUCUGCUUGCUUUUUUAUUUUUAAAUAACACAUAUUUUGUUGAGAUAAGAACAAUGACCGGUUGUUCCUAUUAAACAUCAGUGUUGUUUCUCUUUAUGCCAAUUAGUUUCCUCUUUUUUUUUACUAGAUAGUAGGUAUUUAGGCUGAUAGUAAUGGUAUUGUCGUAAACUUUUAAGUUAGGGUUCCAUGCUUUUAAUGUAGUAUAGAUAUAGAUAAUUCUUUCAAUCUAGCCAAGCUGUAUUAAAUUCUACUUCACGGACAAUUUUAAUUGACUUCUCUUCCGUUGAAUGUUGUUAAUGGUUAUAUUAUCUUAAUUGUUAUAAUUUCUCGAGCAGAACAACUUUGAGAAGUGAUCAUCAAACUUCCAUGUUUUCACGUAGUUUCUUUGACUUUCGAGGACUCCUUUAAAGUAUCACAUAACCACACCAUUGUGUUUCAGCUAAGACUGCAUUUGUUUUUAUUAAUAUUCAGAGAUUUGAAUCAUUUUGAAUACAUAUCUGAAUGGUUAAGAUAUUGUCUCUAGAUUUGAAAACUAAAUGAUUGGUUGGGUGUUUGUCAAUAUCUGAAUGUGCAAAAUUUAUUUAUUUAUAAAUAUAAUAUAAUUAUAUACUAAUUUAUUUUAAUUUAAUGCAAUUAAAUUAUUAUUUGAUUAAAAAAAAACAUUUAUGUUUGUUAGUGAUAGUGGAGAUGGUUUGUAAUGGUGGUGGUGGUUGUAAUAAAUUAAUUGAUGUUAGUGAUUAGCAAUGUUGGUGAUAUAGUUUUGAUAGUAAAGAUAGUUGGCAUUGUAUUAACUGUCAUGAUACUGGCGAUUGGUGGUGGUGGUGGUGGUGGUGGUGGUUGUGAUGUGAAGUUUGUUAAUGUUAGUAGUUGGAGGUGUUGACCAUGGUGACGGAAAUCUGUAUACAUGAUGUUGACGAUGUGUUGGUGGUCGUUGGAGACGCUAUUAGCUGUGAUGGUGGAAUGGUUAUUAGUACAGAUACUGUAGCGAGUGUAACGGAUGGUGAUGGUAGAGAUGGUGAUGCCGGUGACAGUGGUGGUGAUGGUGUCCGAAGAAUGUGUGGAAGUUGAUGAUGUGUUAUUGGUUGUUAGCGAUGUGUGGAGGUUGAUGAUGUGUUGGUGGUUAUUAGUGGUAGUGCUAGUUCUGAUAGUUGAGUUGGUUGGUAGUAGGGAUCGACCGGUAGUAGUUGAUGGUGGCAGCAUUGGUGGUAGGGGUGUUCAUGGGUCGAUAUGGGUUGGUUAUUGGUCAAAACCAUAACCAAACCAACUUCAUCGAUUUUUAAAUUUCUAAAACCAAACCAAACCAAACCAAAAAAUAACCAUCAGUUUGGUUCUUGUUGGUUUAGUUCGGUUUGAUUCGGGUUUUUUCGUUUAUAACUUUAGUUAAUGAUAAAAGUUGAAAAUUUUAAAAAACAAAUCCAAUCUAACAUAUGAGAUGUCAACCAAGUGUUGUAUCUCAAUCUUGAAACUAUGAUGUCAACUGAGUGUUAUACUUCGGUAAAGCCAUGAUAACACCAUAUGAACGCUUUUAAAAAAAUAGUUAAAAACUAUAUUUAAUAUAAUGAUAUGAUAAACCCCCAAAAGGUGAACACAUAAAAUUCUUGCUCAACAAGGUUCAAAAGAAAGUUAAAAUUAGUGAUUGUGUAUAGUCUAAUGAAUUUCAGCUGUAAAUUUCAAUAUAUAACAAGAUAUUAUUUUCACAAUUAGUAUUAUUUGUCAUUCAAAAUAUGAAAUUCAUUUAGAAUCUCAUAAUGUAUUGUCAACUAGAUAAAGACAUAUGACUGAAUGUAUUACGACUAAAGUUAAAUCAUGAUUAAAAUAUAAAAUGUAACCAAUAUUUAGAUUACAUUUAUGAAAACAUAUAAAUACUUACAAUAUAUAUGUAUAUCGGUUCGGUUUGGUAAUUUUGUCAGUUAUUUUAGAGUAAAACCAAAUCAAACCAAACCAAAUUAGUAUCGAUUUUUUAAAAUUAAAAUCCAAACCAAACCUAACCAAAUAUAGGUUUUUUUAAUCGGUUUGGUUUGGAUCGUUGUUCAGUUUGGUUAAAAACCAAACCGUGAACACCCCUAGUUGGUGGUGGAUAUAAUUAGAAUAAUGGAAGUGGUAGGUAGGGUAGCGGCUGGCAGUGUAGUUGGUAGUGAUGUUGGUUGGGAUGGUGGAAGUGGGUGGUGGUGGUGACAGGUGAUUGUGGAUAGAGUGGUGGUGAAUUUUAUCCUACACAAGAAUAUCUGUAAAUGAUAUUUAGACUUGGUUCCACAUCUGAAUGAUCAAGACCUAUUCAGACCUAUUAAGAGCUAAAAUCCUAAUAAAAAUAAAUGCACUUAAUGGUUUGAGGUAUGAACAGAUUCAUAAAUCCAAUAAGUGCAAACAAAUGAGACUUGAAAGUAGUUUGUCUGGUCAAGUUUCGACCAUGUUUUGUCCAUUUGUACCACACCCCAGUUUUGAUUUCACUUCGGAUGAUAUCGUGCAACUUAAAACCCAGUUCAAAAUAUAUUGUGUUGUCAACCAUAUAAAUUUGACUAAAUAAACUUAGUGCCAGAAUUCGCCUCUGAAGAGGCAGUUGAAAUGUAAAGAAAGUAAAGGCUUAGAAAAGAUUAGCCUCGGAAAAAGUGCCUGAGAGCAUCUCUGUUUCUCUAAAUAAAGCUACAUCUCCCUCACUAUGAUUUUCUUGAACGUAAUACACACUUGUGACUAACUAAACGAUAUAUUGUUUCAUUCUCUGCCCUUUCUGAAAAGAAUUAAAGUUGAAUGAUCAAAUAUUAUUAGCAUUUAUCUCCUUGCUUGAUGAAAGAGGGAUUUUACCUGGUAUCCUUGCAUGGUAAUGAUCCUGUUCGUACUCUUAUUCAAUGAUUGAAUUUGGUAAUGUUUUCUUGAGUUAGGCUCUUGCUUCGGGAUGGUGAGAGUUAUACAUAAAAUCAGAUGCUGAAAAGCUUUUCUUUUUCCCUUUUAAGAUAAAGAUGUUAACUUCUAUCUUUAUAGUUUGUAUUACUGUUUGUAUGCAUAAAUGAUUCUUAUUAAGUAAAUAUAACGAAAGCGCUGUUAACAGAGAUGCUAUCCAUUUUUAUUUAUUCACUUUUUUUUAUCUAUUAUCCAACCAGGGGUGCUUGAUUUUUCCUUCAAUUUACCUGAUCAGUGCAAUUAAGUUUAUGUGUCAAAUGUCUUGUGAUAUUGUAGAUGACUUUGAACAAGUGGAGAAAUGUUGGUAUUCAUGGAAGAAAUUUCAUCCCCAUCACUCUGCUUGUACUUUAUAGACUUUAUGGUAACUAAAAUGCAUGGACAAGGCUCCAUUUGGUAUCCUAUUUUUGUUACUGAUAAGCAUUCUAAAUUUGUGUUACUUGUAUGUUGCUUCAGUAUCUUGAUGACAAGUCACAAAUUAAAGAUUCAGUUAGGAUGGCCGAGGUAAUUACCACUCUUCAUUUUAACCACUGUUGUGCUUCGGUUAGUACCUAAUAUUUUGGCUGAGCUGUCUCUACUUUCAGAUUGGAUUGACAUUAGCCUGGACGCUUGAUGAUUUUAAGGUUGCAAUCGCCAAGUAUAUUAGCUCUCCACCAAUGUCAGCUACCAACUUAAAGGUCUAAUUAUGGCUAAGCACUAUAUAUUGUUUCACAUCGACCCAUAUUGAAUUGAAUGUUGUGAAAAUUGAAGUACCCCAUUCACUAAAUGGAUUUCUAUGUAUUUGUCCCCUUUUUGUCUUUGGGACAGGUCCUGCAUAUGAUGAGUGGAUUGAGUGCAAAAGCAUUAGUAGUACUUCCAUGUUAUAUUUCACUGGAAGUCGGUCAGUUUGUGAUUGCUAAAUUGGCAACUCGUAGGUAGUCAACUGUGGUUAGUGGCAUUUUCCUUUAGUAUCAACCAUAACCUAUCCCACAUUAAAUUUGGAUCUUCUAGUUAUGGAGUUAAUAGAAGAGUAGUGUGUCGGUUAGCAAGUAAGCCUGAAACCUUCAAGAAUAAAGACGAGGACCACAUUGAUCAAAUAUUUGGUGUUAGCUUUUGCUUCCAAUUCUUCAAUUUUGGUACCAUUUUCCUUCGUUUUUAUUUCCUGGACGGCGGUGUUUAAUAUUACACCUACCGCACAUAUCUUAAGAUGCUUAAUUCAAAGAAAUUUGCCUUGUAGUUUUCUGUUUUUAGGGUUAGUGGAUAAGAGUUUUACUCUACGAAACUGGUUAAACAACAUAACUAGAUGAUAUCAACGAUCAUUUGCUAUUUUUGCAAUGAGGAUAUCAACGAUCAUUUGCUAUUUUGCUUAAUUAAUAUCAAUUGUUUUCAUAUUUGAGCCCUUUAUGUAAUUGUAGAUUAAUUAACUACAAUCAAGCUAUAAAAUUAGGACAGAUUUAUGGUAAAUAAAUAUAUAAUCUUAAUAAUAAUUUUAUUGUUAUCAAAUUAAUUAGAUUAAAUUGAGUUAGAAAUCAAUUAAUAUUGACAAUUAUUUUAAUAAAAACUAUAUGCAAAGUUUCGUAAUUGAUAUACAUAUAUUGGUUACAAAAACAACGAACACUGACUUCUAAUUUAGCCAUAAAUAUAUUUUAAAAUUUACAACAUUAAAUUUAAAGAACUUGAGUCUAUAUAUUAUAAUCAUAAAAUUGAUUUUAAUUAAUUGAAAUUAAUUAGUUGAUUGUAUAGUUUUAUUACAACAAUUUCGUACAUCAUUUNNNNNNNNNNNNNAAAGGAGAUUAUUGUAUGACUUAGCAUUUAUUAUGUAUUAAAAAAGAUUUAUAGACAAAAAGAUGUCAUGCCUCAAAACAAUUAAAUUUGAACUAUUUUAGUAAAACAAUAAAAGAUUGAAUUUAAGAAAAACUGUAAUUGAGAAAAAAAUAAUGGUUACCUUAUUUGAGUUUUAGUAAAUUAUAAAGAUAAUUAAAUAAUCAAUUAACUAUAAUCAAAUUAUAAAUUUAUAAGAAAUUUUUGAGAAAUAAAUCAACAAUUAGGAAAAAAAUAAUCGUUACCUUUUUCAAAUUCUUCCCAAAAUUAAAAAGGUAAUUAAUAUCAAUUUGAUAUAAUCAAACUAUAAGAAUAUGAGAAAUUCAUGGGAUUAAAUUUUUGAAAUUAUAAAGGUAAUUAAUAUCAAUUAUUUCCAUAAUUGAGUCCUUUCUGUAAUUGUAGAUUAAGUAAAUAUAAUCAAGCUAUAAAAUUAGGACAAAUUUAUGGUUAACAAAUAUAUAAUAUUAAUAAUAAUUGUAUUGUUAUCAAACUAAUUAGAUUAAAUUGCGGUAAAAAUCAGUUAAUAUUGACAGUUAUUUUAAUAAAGAAUAUAUGCAAAGUUUCGUAAUUGAUAUACAUAUAUUGAUUAAAAAAACAACGAACAUUGACUACUUCUUUAGCUUUAAAUAUAUUUUGAGAUUUACAACAUUAAAUUUAAGGAACUUUCGUCUAUAUAUUAUGAUCAUAAAAUUUAAUCUAAUUAAGUGAAAUUAAUUAGUUGAUUGUGUAGUCUUAUUACAAUUAUAUCGUACUUUAUUUAUUUAAUGGAAAUAUAUAUCAUUUAUUAACCGAUUUUGUACAAUCUACUAUGAUCUUAUUAAUUCAAAUGAAACAACUUUUAAAUGGUAAGUUUAACCUAUAAAAAGAAAGGAGAUUAUUGUAUGACUUUAGUAUUUCUUAUGUAUUAAAAAAAGAUCUAGAGAUAAAAGAAAUACAACAUUACAAUAUUUUUGGGUUAUUUAAUUAAUUUAUCACCUUUCAAAAUAUUGUUUAUAUCAAUUCAGCGAUGUUUAUAUGGAAAAGUUGAAUUUUGAAAAAAUAAAUAUCUUAAAUUUCAUAAUUUAAGUUAAUUUGUGUGCUAAUUUGAAAAAGUUAAUUUAUAGUUUACAUUUUAUUUCUAUUAUAUGAAAAAUUUGAUCGCAUAUGGCUAUUUAUAGCCAUUGAAUAACACAAAUUAUUUGUUACACUUUUCUUCUCUCUCUCUCUCUCAUGGGUAUUUCUCAAGUUUUUCAUUAUGAGUAUGUAAAUAUUCACUUGCCAUAUUUCUGGAUCCUUGUAAAUAUUCACUUGCCAUAUACAGAUCCUUGUAAAUAUUUACUUGCAAUUUACAGUUCCUUUUUAGUUGUAUAUUUGCAUUGUACGAUGAUGAAUAAAAGAUACAGAAAAUAAAGUUUUCUCCAUUCUACUCUUUUGCUAUUUUUACAUUUCAAGAAAAAAUGAAAAGAAUCCUACAGAUUCUGACAACCUUUUGCCGAUUUUUACUCUUUCAACUCUUUGAUUUAGUAAUUUUUUUUUUUAUUAUUUACCAUGAUUUUUUAUUUUAUCAGAAGAAUUUGAUAAGUUCUUUGAAUUGUUCUUGUGCUAUUUUUCUGUGGGGUAUUUUAUUAAUUUUCAAUAGAAGACUAGUAGUAAAUAGUCUCGCGUCAUGUCUCUUCUGGUAGUAGUAAUAGUAUAUAUUUUUCUAUUCUACUUGUUGUAUCGUAUACCUCUGUUUUCUUACUUGCUACUGUUGUUAAUAUCCUCGUGUUUUUGCUUUCCUUGCCGAGUAUUUAUGGGAAACAAAUUUUCUACUUGCUAAGGUAGGGGUUACAUAUGUUGUUGUUGAAGAAGAAGCAUGUAGAAAGAGAGAUGUUUUGCUUUGUCUCAUAAGUAUUUCAUUAGCUUGCAGUAUUUUCAUGAAUGGAUAAUGAUUUGUGAGUGGCUGUUUAUGAGUGUUUUGCUUUUUCCUUUGAAAUCUCAUGGACACUAGUUUGACUGUUGUACAGUCUCCAUACAUAGAGAUGAUACAUAGAGAUGAUGAAGAACAACUUCUUUUUUCGAUCAUCAACUAAUGAUACAAACAAGACCCCUUCACCACCAUUAAAGCCCAAGGAAGUUUCUUCUUGGAGGAGUGUUUCAUUGUCAUCUGGAUCUUUCUAUGACAGUGGGUCAGGAAAAGAGAAUUUCACGGAUCUGAGCAAAUCUCCCCAUAGUCACAGUAAGAAAGUUCAUCCUAAGAAAUCUGGUCGUGAUUCAAGCCAGUACGCAUAUCAUUUUGUUGUAGCUUUCUUUUUCACACUUAAACUGAUGUUUUAAUUUGCAUUUGCUUGUCCAAAGUAAUGAAAAAUGUUUCUUCAUGGCAGAGGCCUUAGCGUUCCAGUGUUGAUUCAGACUAUUAGAAGAUUGACAAAGGAGAAGGUACAAAUGGCUUCUGAAGUUUCAAGCAUGCUACGGAGUCAAGUUGUUAAAAGGGCUUCUGUUAAGGAAGAAGCCAGCAUAUUAUAGGUAGAACAAGAUUCAAGGACACGAAGAUUGGAGACAGAAAAGAAUGAGUUAAAAUCUAUACUAGAAAAAGAGUUGGAUAGAAGAUCCAGCGAUUGGUCUCUAAAACUUGAGAAAUACCAAAUUGAACAAUAUAGACUCCGUGAAAGGGCAAGUGAGCUUGCAGAACAGAAUGUCUCUUUACAAAGAAAAUUCUCUUCAUUUAAUGAGAAGGAAGUAGAUAAUACAAUAAGGAUGUAAUUUUCAGAGAAACACCUUGAAGAUUUGUCUAAGAGAAUAGAGCAAGUGUCAAAGGAGAAUCAAAAUCUAAGGCAGCAGCUCACUCAGUUACAAGCAGAAUAUCAAGUAGCUCAAGACAAUAAAUAUUAUGUCCGGGAAAACUACCAGGAAAAGGUUAAAGAGAUUAAAUCGGAGACUUUACUGACAACUGUGCUAAGGGAGAAGCUCUAUUCCGAGGAGAUGGACAUAAAGUAACUUCAGGCUGAUCUAGCCGCAACAGUUAGAGGUAACGACAUUCUCAAAUAUGAAGUUCGAAAUGCGCUGGAUGCUCUUUUUUAUGCCACACCCAAGUUGAAAUAUCUCGAGCUUCAGGUAAGAAGGCAAUGUGAAGAUCUCGUUGCAAUGGAAUAGUUUUUAUUUUUCAACUUUGGAUACCUUGUCUUCAUAUAUGAUAGCCUNNNNNNNNNNNNNNNNNNNNNNNNNNNNNNNNNNNNNNNNNNNNNNNNNNNNNNNNNNNNNNNNNNNNNNNNNNNNNNNNNNNNNNNNNNNNNNNNNNNNNNNNNNNNNNNNNNNNNNNNNNNNNNNNNNNNNNNNNNGUAAUCACUUGACCCAACCAAGAACAUGAUAAACUUUGUGAUAUCCUCAAACCCAUUGAUCUGAUUGUGCUCUGAUGUGGUAAAGUUACCCAAAGGGGUUUCGGUAAGUUUGCUCAUUCAUCUGACUUAAUUCUUGGACAAGCUCAUGAGUUAUCUACUGUGAAUUUUAACAGUUAAAAGGGAUUAAUGAUUUGGUUGAACUUCUAGGCUAUGAGUUUGUUUUGAAUUUUUGAUGAAAUUUUAUUGGUGAUCUUUGUGUCUUUCUUGUUUUUAUGGUUUACGGUUGAUUCUGGCAGGUGCUAAAAAAGGACGAAAAUAUCAACUAGCUCACUAAUGAUUUGCAAGAAUGCAUGAAGGAACUUGGCGUUGUAAAGGCGAUACUACCAAAAGUGUUUCAGGAGAGGGAUUUCAUGUGGGAGGAAAUUAAGAGCUACAGUGAGAUGAGCAUGCUAUUUAAUUAUGAGAUCAACAUGUUGAAAAGGAAGGUAGAUACCCUCGACGAAGACUUUCUUAUGAAAGAGGGUCAAAUCACAAUCUUGAAAGACUCGAUAGGCUAACCUUUUGACCUUCUUGCAAGUCCUGAUUCUCUGUUGGAGUGAUGGAUGCUAAAUAGCCAAACUACAAUUCAUAUUUUGUUCAUUGACUAUAGUGUUCAUACUUCUCGUAUACUUGCUUCUUUCUUUUGUAACCUUUUUGAAUCUUCAAUUGUAAACAUUUCUUUUACUUGCCGGUGAUCAAGACAAUGAACUUCUUUUGCUUCAUUUGGUUUUGUAAGUAUUGGCUGUUUUUUUGUCUUAUGAAGUAUUUAGUAAGGAUUGGUGCUACCAUUUUCUUCUCUUCCUUGAGGUAGAGGUAUGGUUUGCAUAUAUUCUGCCCGAAUAUACAUUGGGUAUAUUGUUGUUGUUGUAUCGAGAUUGUGUGUAUAAUAAUAAUUCUAUAUUUGAUGUCGGGUCAUCCAUACUUUCAUUCCUUGCAGGGGAUAGCUCAUUAAGCUUACUGAGUUAACUUCUCAUUGAUGUAUUCUUUCACUAAGGUUGUCACUGGGUAGCUACAAAAAGCACUUGUCUAACUGGGCAGUUCAUGUUCAUUUUGUGCAUAUAUUAAGUAAUGUCCAAAUUUUUAACCAUAUAACUUUACCUCAAAAUGGUGCAUGGACCAAAGUUGCUCUUAAUUCUGGUCAGUUGGCAGACUCUUCCAUUUGAUCUGCAAUCAAAUGCCUGCUUUGUCUCAGUAUAUUUGAUUCUGUUGUGCUCAUUCACACAUGGUUUAUGCCAAGUAUGUGAGACACAUACAGAAGCCUCUAGUUUCAUCUUCUUGAUAUAGUUUUUAACUUCAUUUGACUUGCUAUAAGGGAGUUCCACCCUGUCUUCUGAUCAUUCUUUCAGAUACCCUCUUUCAUUUGCCUCCAGCAUGUUUUAAAUUUUCCUUCCAGUACUUGAUGCUUCACCUUCCACAUUAAAUAUUGUUUGCACAUUUUUAAACUAUGCACUGUGUUCAAUUUCAAAAAAUGAAAAAAAACUAUGCACUACAUUGUAGAACAUUUUGAUAAUUUUUUGGUAUGUCUGUAUGUUCUUUAUGUUUAUGCUUACAUCAAGUAGAUAGAGUUAUUAUGUAGGUGGAAUUGGUUUCCAUACCAUUUUCCUUUUGUGUGUAACUUCUGAAGUUAUUUGGGAUCCAUCAUUUAUAUGUCAAUGAGAGUCUUUGAUGUCUUUCCUGAUAAUAUUUAUGCUUACAUCAAGUAGAUAGAGUUAUUAUGUAGGUGGAAUUGGUUUCCAUACCAUUUUCCUUUUGUGUGUAACUUCUGAAGUUAUUUGGGAUCCAUCAUUUAUAUGUCAAUGAGAGUUUUUGAUGUCUUUCCUGAUAUUAAACCUGUCUUUUUUUCUUUAACAUGUCUAAUCUCCUGUAUACCUGGCUUUCUGAUCUUCAAUGAUGCAAACAAUUUCCUUUCAAGAACUUGCACUUACCUAAUUCCUAGUAAGACAGUCUUAGAAUCUUCUAUGCUGAAAGAUGCUAUUUGUGGUUAUUUUUUUUCCCAGGAGGUUGCAUUGGAUGGUACAAGCAUACAUGAUAUUGGUAAAAUAAGCAAGAACCAUAUUUUUUUGAAAAUGAUAGCAUAUAUACUAUGUGGGCUGUAUUUUCUUUACAAAAAUGAGCCUCUUUGUGCUUUACAAGGCCGCCAAAGUUGCAAAAUAGAUUCAGCACCCUCUACAAGAAACUCUUAACGUCAAAUAAUAAAUUGUCUGAUCUUAUCUAUAACAAGAAUGACGAGCAUUGUGUUCAGUUUGGAGCCUGUCCCUAAGCUCGUCUAGACUUAUCCUUAUCUUCAUUGCCUUUUAUUUUCUUGUUAUCUUUGUUCUUGCUAGAACCUGCAUUUGAGAAGCUUGUGUUGUUGUCUUAAGUUAAUGUUUAAGUUUUCUUUCCUUACUGUAGUGUAUCGAAAUUCAACUUGUGGUACUACUGAAAAUGUUGGAACUGCUACAAAACCUAAUGGCAUAAUGCAUAAACCUGUACAUGCUGAUAGACCUAAUGCAUUCAGUAACAACAACUCAUCUGUUCACUCUUGCAUACAAACAGCAGUUGAUAUUUCUUCUCAAAUAGUAGGUCCAUCCACAUUUGAGCUCCCGGACCACGCUCUUGUUGGACCUGGGCGUGAAGGUGGUGUUAGAGUGGGUGAAAGUCCCAAAUUCUUAGGGAGUGAACUUUCGAUCUUCUUAUAUGGACUUGAGCAAUCCUCCCCUUAUGUUCUAGCCUUUGGGGUUGAGUUAGGCCCAAGAUCCCUUCUUUACACAUUCAACCACCUUUUCUUACAUUGGAAACGGACAGAGCAGCUGUAGAGAAUGUUUUCAACCUGAAGGGGAUCAGGUGGGUAGAACCUGGGAGCAUUAAAAAAGUACUAAGCAGCUGGAAUGGGGAUGUAAAUGUAAUAAGCAGCUGCACUAUCUUUUCAACAUUUUCUCUGAAGGCUAUAAUUUACUCUUCUUCACUUUGAACUUGGGUUCUGCAGGGCUCUGCAUCUUGGACUUCUAUAUGUUGGUUCACUUGUAGUACUUCUUGUGUAUUCUAUCCUGUAUGGUCUGACAGCAAAGGAAUCAAACUGGCUUAGGGCUACAACAUCACCUGCCGUGAUAAUCCUUGGUAGUUCAUUUCCUACAUAUAUCUGUCUCCUUUUCUGACUCGUAUUGUGAAAUAAUUUCUUAUUUCUUUGUGGUAAGUAACGAAUUCACUAGCUUUUCAUUCGAUCAGAUUGGAACUUGGGAGCUUACUUUUAUGGUUUAAGCUUUUGAAAAGUCGAGCCGUCAUACUUUUUGUUGCCGGUACAUCUCGGGUGUUCCUGAUCUGUUUUGGAGUUCAUUACUGGUUUGUUGUUAACCCAUGCUAAUUCAUUUUCUUCCAUUAUCAAGUCUUCUUAUACUUGUGGCAUAUGCAUCCCUUUUAAUAUUAUUUGUUGAAUAGAAACUUCUUAUCUUUUGUUAUAAAAAAAAAUCUUCUAAUCUUUUACUGCAACAAUUUUGUUUCAGGUACUUUGGACAUUUUAUCAGUUAUGCAGUUGUAGAAUUUGUGCUAUUGGAUGCUACGGUUUCACAGCAUUUAUAAGUUGCAGACCCAUUAGCAGCUAGACGAGAUGCCUUGCAGAACACAGUUAUCCGCCUUAGUGAAGGUUUCCACAGAAAAGACCAAACUAGCUCCGCAAGCUCUUCUGAGGGGUGUGGCUCAAGUGUCAAAUACAGUAGUAGUGCUGAUGCUGGUCAUCUUGGUAAUGCAACUGUUCCUUGCACUAGUGAUGGCAGUACCUGGAAUAACAUUGAGGGGGUUAAUAGUGAUAAGAGCAUAGACAAUGGAAGACCAAGUCUAGCUCUACAUUGUAGUUCCUGUCAUUCAGUUGUUCAAGAGCCUGAAGUAGGAUCAUGAUAUGUUGAUAGAAAUUUAGAACAUAAUAGUUCAUUGGUUGUUUGUUCUAGCAGUGGACUUGAAAGCCAAGGUGGUGAUUCUUGUACAUCCACUUCUGCAAACCAACAGCUACUGGACUUGAAUUUGGCACUUCCAUUUCAAGAAAAGUUGAGUGAUCCCAGGAUUACAUCUAUGUUAAAGCAGAAAGAAACAUACAUUGAUCGUGAAUUAGAUAAUUUAUUGCAAGAUAAAGAGAUUUAUCCUAAAUUUGCAGUGAUGCUGAAGGAGAAUGGAUUGGACCCAAUGAUUCUAUCCUUGUUGCAGAGAAGUAGUUUGGACGCUGAUCGAGAACAUCACGACAGUAACCCUCCUGUCACUGAUUCAAAUGAUGUUGAAGAUGUGUAACCUAAUCAUAUUUCAUUCUCAGAAGAACUUAGACUCCAAGAAUUAGGAAAGUGGCUCCAACGUUGUAGAGUAAUGUUGCAUCAUAUAGCAGGAACUCCAGAGCGAGAAUGGCUUCUUUUCAGUUUAAUCUUCAUUCUUGAAACCGUCGUUGUGGCUAUCUUCCGACCAAAGGCAAUAAAACUUUUGAAUGCUAUACACCAACAGGUAAGAAAUCCAUUAGUACUUUUAAAGUUCAGUUUAGUGUACUUGGAGUACGGUGCAGCUAAAAUGUACUCCAUAUGGUUGUAUUUUCCAUUUUCUAACAAAAUUUUGUAACACCUCGCAUUUCGGACGAGAACAAAAAUAGUCAUUUUCUUCAUGUAAAGGAUCCAAAAUCCAUAAAUCCAAUGCAAGUUUAGUGUGUUAAUAAAUUAUGUAGUGUGGAAACCUAUUUGAGCAUGAAUUGAGAUCAUAGAGGUCCCCAAGCUCAAGGACAAGUUGAAAGUUUUCCUAUCAUUCGAAUUUUAGUGAGCAUUGAAACAUAGGUCAACUUCAAUCUACCAUUACUCUUUGUAUAUAUUGAAUUAAAGUUUCUACUAUAUAUCAAAUGAAAGGUAUUCGAAUUAUCUUUCCAACGAUACUAAUUUCUCAAAAUUCCGAUACCCAAGGAAUAAGUUAUGGCUUUGCAAAGUGGAGUGUUUCAUGCAGCAUAAGGUGUGCGACGCACACCCUAACUUAUGCCAAAAGGUGUGCGAUGCACAACCUAAUGUGUACGAUAAAGAGUGAGCCGCACAACCUAUAUUAUACGAUAAGGUUUGUGUCGCAUAUAUUAUUACUCAAGUGACUUAAACACUCCAUUUUUGGGGUAAAAUGGUCCUUUUCCCACCCUUAUUUAGCCAUAAACACGAAAUUCAGUUCCCAAAAUACCCCAAAAUACACCUUCAUUCAUCAAAAUUGCUCAAGAACUCUCCUUAAGGUUUCAAAAUAAAAACCCAAGCAACUCAAGAUUCAACCUUGGGUUUUUGAAACUAAUUGCAUAUUUAGAAUCCCCAAAACAUAGGCUUCAAGAAGCACCUAUCAUCUUCGCAUAUAGAGGUAUGUGGGGUUAUCUCAAAAAUCUCAUGCGCUUAAAAAUUCAUGUUUUAAAAAUAGGGGUUUUGAAAUUAUGAAUAUAAUCCCGUUUUAAACCUUUUAUGAUAUUGAUUUGGUCUUUAGGCCUAUUCCCGAAGUGGUUUGAUAUAUGAUAUAUGUAUAUGCAUGUAUUCUGAAAAGAUGUUAACUUGAGGGCAUGAAUUAUAUGAAAUCCCUCUUUUUAUAUGAUCUCAUUUUAAAUUCUCAUAUGAUGUAAAAUGUUUGAAAUCAUCUUGACAAGUGUGACAUGAAAUAUUUUGAAAAUGGUCAUGGUUUCGACUUGCAAUGAGAGGGUUGUUAUGUUGAAAUAUGAUGAAUAUAAUGGUUGCAUAGAAGAAUGAUGUGAUAUUGAUGGCUUGCAAGUCGAGUAUGACGGUACCCUACAAAAUAAGAUAUGUGAUUGAAUUAAAUAGAGUUUGAUGCAUUGAUUUUACAUGAGAUAGGUGGAUUCCCAAAAAAGGCAUUUAAGUAUAAAGACUCAUUGUUCAAAAUCGUGUUUGCCGACAUGGGAAUUUGGUACCCUGCUUUGUGAUCUUGCGUACCUGACUUUAUGUCAUUCCCAUGUAGGGACUAUGGUUAGGAGCCCUGCUUUGUGAUCUUGUGCACUACUAUUGGGUCGAGACACCUUGCUGUGUGAUCUUGUGUGUCUUCCCCUCUCUUAUACUCUAAUCUCGGUGGCAACCGAGAUUUGACUGUUGGUGUAAAUGUUAUAUGUAGGGUAUUCCACCUAGCUCAGCUGCAUUACAUUGCUGUUGAAAAUUAUUACAUUAUGCCCAUGUGUUUUCAAAUGAUUUGAUAUGGAGCUGCUUUAUAAUGGCUCUCACCUAUAUUUGGAAAAAAUAUUAUAUAUUGUUUUUGGUUUCUCUGCGUACUAGUACAUUUGUAUUGACCCCCUUCCCUCCCAGGUUUGGAGGCAUAGUUUAGGGGUCCAGGUAACUAGUACAUCUCUUUCGACAAAUUUGCAGAAUCAAGUGGUGAGCCUUCUAUAUUUUGGAAGACCUGAUGUUUGUCAGUUCAUUUAUCAUUUAGUAGUUUUGGGUCUACUGGGGGCCUUGUCCCAGUUUUCAGAUAGUACGUUGUUUCAGUCAUGUAUUAGAGAUUUUGCAGACGGUUGUUCAGAUGUCGAUAUAUGUUGUGGGACAUUAUUUCCCCUUUGUUGAUUUCAUUUUAUUUAUGACCAUGUUUUCCGUAAUAUUGUGUAUCUUCCGCAUAGCGUAUUAUCAUAUGAAUUAUGUGCAUGAUUACCAGAUAGAUAGGGGUGUUUCGAGCCUUCAUGGUUCGGAAUGCUCGUCACGGCCAGGGCCCCGGUUCGGGUCGUGAAAAACUUGAUAUCAAAGCAUGGUUCAUGGUCCCAGGGUGUCUGUGAAAUCACGUUGGGUAGAUUCUUGUUUAUGGUUGUGUAGUGCCACACUUAUAAGCAGGAGGCUACUAGGCGUUUAGGAAUGUCUCUCUUUCUUCAUGUUCUAGUUUGUGCAAUAGAGUCAGAAUGUUUCUCUUUCAUACUCUAAUUCAUGCUAUAGUGUCGCCCAUACGAAAGUAAAAAAAAAGUCAUCCCAAAUUCUUUUCUUUACUCUAAUGUCCUCAGAUAUGUCUCAUUAUUGAGGUGAUUCAAGUGCAGAAGUUUAGAAUCUAAAUGGUAUGGUCCUUUCUGAUUGAACCAUAUAAGAGUUAAAAUUUGUGCAAGGACUUGAGAAGAGUCCGUUAGUGCUUCGAUGUGUAUUAAUUCUGAUGUAAACAUUGAUCCUGAUGGAAUCGUGCUUUUUAGCUUGAGGUAUUAAUUGCAUUUAGUCUCCUUCAAAUUGAUGUUACAAAUGUCUUGCUUAAGGGGAGGGGGGAUGAUGUGUAGCAGAAUGUUAGAACUGUAUUUCCACCCGAAUAGUAGUAUGUGUUAAAGUGUUGUUGUCAUGACCUAUUGGUAGUGAAAUUAGACCUAGAAGUUGGUAAUGUGAAGUCACAAAGUUAGAAGUCAGAGCGAGGGUGACUUUUGUGUAAAUGAAUAUUUUAGUUGAAUAACCGAUGUUCGAGAAUGAUUUACCCCAUUAUUAUGGUGAUAGACUAAUGUGGUAACUAGUAGCAUGUGUGGAUGGUAAGGUAGUCCGUGGAGGAAGUGUUUGACUCCGAUUUUAUUUAUACAGAGUAAGAUGUGUAUUCUUAGUUCAAUGGAUAUUGCGUAUUAAAUUUCUAUCUCAUGUAUUCUUGUCAUCAAGGUGUUGUUGAAAAAAGUAAAGUCUAGUGAAGCCCUGUGGGGCUUUUUCGAUUCAUAGCAUAGUUGACUUUUCAUUCAUCUCAUUUUCUUGUUCAAAAUAAAAAAUCAAAGUCAAAUGAAGCCGUGUGAGGCCUAUUUCGAUUAACUAGCAACUUGUUGUCUAUAUAUAUAGCUGAAUCUGUUUGCAUAAGAUUGAGUUGGUAAAGAGGUGAUUUGUCCUUGUGUGUUAGUUUAGUAGAAGGUAGAGAACGAGUUGUUAGUUAGGGUGAUUUCUCGAUUGCUUGAAGUGUAAAAAUGGUUAUAUUAGCCAGUAAGUUGUAAGUAUAGACUCAUGGUUGUUUGUGGAAUUCGAGGUAGUCUAAAUGUAUGUUUGGGUAAGUAAGUAUGAGGUGAGAAAUCCGUGUAAGUAGAAAAGAUUGUAUGGGGUUAUAAUAUAAGAUUAAGGUUGAUCAUGUCUAUUAUGUAACUUUACCCCUUGACCUUGUUUUGUUGGUAAUUGUAAACUAGUACUACUUGUGAGAAGGUAUGUAGUGAUUUUUGAGGCACUUGUAUAGUAUGUCCCAAAUUUUAUAGACAAGCAUAUUAUGUUGCAUUUUUCAGUAGUGAUAGAUGAUUGGUACAGGACUAUAUGCUUGAAUUUAAUGUAGAAUGUGGUGGUAAAAUAGUGGCAUGAGAUUAAUGAUGUAUGUUUUGUGGGAAAAAAUAAGUAGGCUUGAUGUGUUAAAAUAGUAUGCGCUAAUGAGUUAUGAUAAGGCAGACCGUAAGGUCAAGAUCAAUUAUUUAUGUUUGGACGUUCUAGUAUACUAGUGUUUCUUGAUGUCUAUUUCAUGGUAUCCAAGUGAGAAUCAUGCGUAAGGUUGGGUUGUAAAAUCAUGUUUAGCCCUAGACAUUAAGUUUUGAGCAAUUGAUUUCCAUGAAGGUGGAUGUGAUGAUUUCUUGGUUAUUGAUACUAGUUUUAUGGAAGUAAUCUAAUAGGCUUGAACGAUAUAUGUAAGAGCUUAAGUUUAUUUGAUUCAUAGUGAAGUGUGAUGUUGCAUAUAUAAUGUAGAAGUAUGCCCAAGGUGAUCUGAGGUUGCGGUAUUUUCUAAGACUUUUACAUGUUUUAUGUGACGAGUGGUACCGUUGAGUUACUAGGUGGAGAAAGAUUGGUUAGAUGGUAUAUGGUGUUCUAAAUAGCCAAGUUAAGGAGUUUUGAUUGAUAGUGUUAAACCUUUUUAUAUGAUCUUGAUUCUCAUAGUAGGGAGAUGUAAGUUUGGAGUCGCAAUAUUAGUAGGCUAUGUCAGAAGUAGUAUGAUUCAUUGAAGGCUUGGUGAUAUCCAUGUUGAGUGCUAGAUUCUAAGUUUGAGUUUUUGAAGGUUGAACUAAUAGAAAUAAGAGUUAAAGAACUAGAGGGUGUGCACUCCUACUAUGGGGAUACCCAUGAAGACCCAAAGUUAGUAAGUAUGCAAGUAUAUAUGAUGACUACUGGGUCUAUUGAAUGGUAAAGUGUAUCUCAGAAGGUAGUAUUAACAGUGGGUUUUCCACUUUCAGGUGUAGUCAUUCGGGUUAAGUGCCAUGAUAUGCGUGUAUAGUAGUUUUCCAGACCCCAGAGUGCAGUGAGUGUACUUCAGUUUAGAGUCUAGUAAGGGAUCUCCCAAACUUAAUAUGAUGGCUUGAAGCUAAGGGGGAGAUGAUAGAGAGAAUAACCAAGUCAGGCUUUUUGACAGAAAUUUUGCAUUAACAGACGUGCUUCUUUACACCCGAAGAAAAGAUACUUAGGCCAUCAGUAGCUGUUGAACCCAAGCCAUAAGGUAAAGAUGCUUAUCAUUUUGUCCAUUCUCGUCUAACACUGUGACAGGUCAUCUAUUUCCUAUCUCUCUUUUUUCUUGUUUAAAGAUUUCUAUUUAUUAGAUGAAGAAAAGGGUUUCAUGUUACAAUGUGGUUUAGCUUCAAAAUUCUUGCCUUGUCCUUCAAAUUAAUUUAGGGAGUUGCGCAUGGAUACAAGCUUUCAACAUUGAUUGGAAAAUUAACUAAAUAUGAUUGAAAAGUAGCUAUAUUCUGAUUUCAUCUGUUCUUCCUUGCAUGGAUAUUGGUUGAGAAGCCUCACAUACCUCCUCUGGCUGGUCCUGCUCCUGGUGCUAUUCUAUUCAUGUCACUGCAGGUAAAGUUGUGGAGGAUUGGGGGAGGGAUAAAUGACUUUUGAAUGUAGAGACAUUAUGAUAACUAUUUUCCCCACAUCUUUAGCAGUUCUAGCCUAUGCUUCCAGCCCAACAGGCACAACCUUAUGGUUCCGGGUUAUCUCAACAAUUUCUACCACUUGGACAUACAAAUGUUGCGAUGUCUCAACCUUCUCAAAUCCAAUUUCCUCAACCUAUGCAACAGGUUACUGAUAGACCUGUAGUAGGAAUGCAUAGUAUGCCUCAGGGACCACCUAUUCCCCAUGAUUUUCAGCGAAAUCUUCCAAUGUCAAAUAACCACAUGCCUGGUUCUGGUGGCCCAAAUUUACCUCCUUCUUCUUCAUAUAAUGUAAGGCUUUAGGAAGAUCUUUUGUGGUUAUUGUCAAUCAAUUUUCGAUGUUCCAUUCAUAUAUUUGUGAAAUACAUUUUGUUAUCGUCUUUAACAGCAGGUAAAUACAGAUUCUUCUGGCUCCUAAUAUCAGACACACAGAUAAAUGAUCAUAGGUUUCUAUCAGGGGUAAAACCCUGGAUGCCAAUAAGUAAUCAUAAUGUGAAUUCUGCGAUAACUAUGCAGAAGACUGGAGAAUUAGCAGCUCCCUUGGUUGUUCCGGUGAGAAUUCAAUGUGUUUUACUGUACCCGUUUUGCACAAAUAUUGUCAACAAGUAUGCUUAAGUUAAUUGGUUAAUGGGUGUUUGUUGACUGAGAGAGUCAAUAUUUGAAUUCUAUGAUAUUUUUUUGUAAGAAAAUUAAGAUUCCAGUGAACAAAAAAGGUGUAAAACCGCGGUAUACAAGAAAAUAAGGUCUGCAAAAAUAUCAUUUUCAUUCAGAUCCAAUCUUUUACCACUUUGUGUUCUCUAGACAAAAAAAAGAGCAUGCCGAUUUGGCUUUUCGGAAUUCUUGCUUUUGGAUUAUAUUCACAUAGGUUACUCAUACGAACAGGUUAAUGCCUGCAUCACAAACACUUAAUGUCUUGUCUAUGAACAAGUGGUGUAUAUGUUGGCCCCCAUCACUGCCAAGAAAUCCCUCAAGUAUCCACAUCUAGUGCUUUGUACAUCAUUCUGCUUCCAUUAGCACUAGAGAUAAUAGGCCCCUUUGUUUCAGUCCUCUUUGUCAAAGUUAUCAUAUAGGUUGCCGUUCACCGCUACCAAAUUCUACCUAAUUGUUGAUCAGCAGAACUUGAUACACCUCUACUGAUAACUUCAUUUUGACCCCAUUUCUCUAUUAUCAUACAUAUUUUAUAUGUGGCUAAAUGCUAGUAGGUAUUGCUAUUUUCAACAUCUUUUGAUGAUCAGUAGGCCAAUUAUGGUUGCUAACAUUGUCAUAUUUCCUAUGGCUUUAUUACUCCAACCAAUUAAUAACAUUUUUACAAUUCUUGAAUUUUUUUUUGGAUACUAUUAUAAUAGAAGGACAAGAAUCUUUACCUGGGAGAAACCUCGAGAGCUGAUGACAGAAAUGGAGGUGAGGUCUCGUGUCAUUGAGAUUUUUAUGGGUAGUUUUAUCCAGUUUCCUAUGCUUAUCAAUGAAAAAAGAAGUACACAAUUCUUUUUCUAUGAAGCUUCUUAGAACUACUUUUUCUUUCCUAAGUAUAUGUGAUUUUUGUUGAAAGUUUGUUUAGUGAGCAGAUUUCUUCGAUCUUACUAUACUAUGUAGGCUUCAUUUGGUAUUUGCAUUGACCUUUUAUUUCCAAUAUAGUUCUAAAAGAUUUUAUAUUUAACACUAUUGUUCUAAAAAAUGUGUUUAAGCAUACACGGAAGGAUUAUUUUUGGUCUAUUUUAAACAAUUUUAUUUACUUUCUGAUCAAUGUAAUGUUAUUGUAACUCUAUGGCGAUAUGGAGAGAAGAAACUUGAUAUAAUAUUGCGGUUCACAAUUCUCAUUCUGGUUUAUAGAAUAAUAGUUUGGCUGGUUGCACACUUGCACCUAAGAGUGUGACCUAGUGGUCAAUAAAGUAGAUUGAGAACCAUGAGGUCUCAGGUUUAAUUUCCAACAGAGAUAAAAACACUAAGUGAUUUCUUACCAUCUGUCCAAGCCUUGAUGGACAGAGUUACCCAGUAUCUGUGCUGGUGGGAGGUAGCAGUACCUUGUGUGACUAGUCAAGGUACAAGAUGGCCCAAACAUGACGGUUAUCAAAGAAAGUUUGGCUGUUUAUGAGGGACAAGUACUAAGGGACCAACAACUGGAGCUGUAAGGAAGUUUGAACAUUUGUAUUCUUUUCUUUUUGAGAUAAACAGUUUUUUUUCCGGAGAUAUUACUUUGUAUUCGUCAGCUUUAAGGUUAUGCUAGUAGUCCAAAAGAAAUGAAAAAUAAUGAAAAUAAUGCGAGGAUUCGAGGAGAUCUACUACCUGUUAUGUAUCCUGUACACGUUGGCCCUUAAACAAAAAACAAAAAUCUACAAUGCUAUUCCAUUUAACUUUCUGAAUGGAAUAAUAUUUAUCUUCAAAAUACCUUCAACUUUUCUCGCUCCAUACAGUCCACCAAAUACAAGGAGGAUUGUUCUGCCCCAUUUCUUCUAACUCUUGCUAAUCCCCUCUAAUCCAAUAGCUCAACAGAUUGUUGUGUGUCCUUUGAUAGUCUACUUUACUUCAACUCAAUAGAUCUAGUAUGUGUUCUGGCAUGGUCCACUUUACUUCUAUUAAACUAAAGGUGUCAAAUGGGUGGUGUUGGCUGGAUUUAGGCGGAUCAAAGAGGUCUGAGUUAAUAAAUGGGCGGGUUAUUAACCCGCCCUAAAGCUACUUGGGCUGAAAUAGGUUGGGUUGAAAUGCUCUAAAAUGUGGGUCAUAACCCAACCCACCCAAUUUGAACUCAGAUUUAAUUGCUUUAUUUGUUAUUUUAUAAACUUUUAGUACUUGAAAAAUUAUUAUCUUUUUUUUUGUUGAAAUUGGUAACUUUGUAUUAUAUCACACAGUACAUGGGUUGUACUUAAACCUUUAUAUACAAUAGUACUCCUAAAUCGACUGUUCUAUAUCUAAAUUUAGUCUGGAACAUCAAUUGUCAAGGCAAUAUCAUUAUAGUAUAGUUGAUUACACCAAACACAUAAAAGCAAAAUACAAUUGAGUUUAACCUUCUGCACACUAUUCUCUAUGCUCUCAAAACAUCUAGAAUUCCUUUCUUUCCAUAUAGCCCACCAUAUAGAACUAGGGAUAAUUCUCCAUCUACCUCUGUCCUUCGCAUGUACACCUGCUUCUCCUAGCACAUUAAAGUCUCAGAUACUUUCCUAGGCAUUGUCCUGGAAAUGCCUUUUAGUCUUAAAACGAUUCUCCAAAGUUGUUGGGUGUACUUAUAAUGUAGAAAUACAUGGUUAACCAUCUCUAAAGUUUCUCCACAGCGGAAAUAUCUAAAGCUCAAUGUUUCCCUUUAUUCAUGACAUUAUCUUGUGUAAGAACUACUUCCUUGGUCAGUAACCAGACAAAGACAAAGCACGACAUUGUGUGAGGUAUCCUACUUUUCCAUAUUUGCUUCCAUGGCCAUCUUGGAUUCGGGUGAUUUAUUUGGUUUAUCAUAUUGUAGGAUUUGUUGACACUGAACAUUCCUUUUUCAUUUCCCAUCCACCAUAGUACGUCCUUCACUGUUUGCAGUCCAUUGAAUAAGUCCAUAGUAUUAAAAAAUUCAACAACUCUCAUUACCUCCCAGUCAUUAAGUUGCCUUCUGAAAUUGAAGUUCCACCCAUGUGGUGUCUAUAAUUCUGCUGCAUUCCUUUAUUUAAGCAAUACCAAGUUGUAGAUAUCUGGAAAAAUCACUUCCAUAUUACCAUCCUCAUGUCAAUUAUCCUUCCAGAACCUAGUCUUUUUUCCAUCCAUCACUUUAACCUUUGAGUUGCUUUUAACUUCAUCCACUAGUGUCUAAUAGAUCUAAUAGAUCUCUAGAGGCUAACCUCGUAUGGUGUGGUCACUUCUUUAGUCAUCCAUCUAUCUUCUUCAGGAUAUUUAGCCCCAAUCACUUUCCUCCACAGCAGCUGGUUAUUAUUUAUAUAUUUCCACAACCAUUUCAUCACGAGAGCCUUACUUUGAAUUUUUAGGUUCUUUAUCCCCAACCCUCUUGUCUUCUUGUCAAUUGUCCACCACAGAGAGCACUACCACUUUUUCUUGCAUAUCUUUGUUCCUUAUUCUAUCUCUUCUAGUAUGCCCACACACAAAUCUCAACAUCCUCAUUUCUGCUACAUUUAUCUUUGGAACAUGCGAGCUCUUGACCAGCCAAACACUCUGCCCCAUGCAAGAUAGCUAGUAUAAAAACCACUUUAUAAAUUUACCUUUAAGUUUAUUUUAACAAAAUUCUUAUACAUGGCAUGCUAGUUACUAGCUCUUUUGCAAGAGCUAAUUGGGACAAAAAACAUAUGUUCAGAAAUUGAUUCAUCAAAAAAAGCAUAACUGUAGUUUAUGAGUUUCAAACGUGUCCAAAUGGAAAAAAAAUUAUUGAACACGCUUACUGUCACACUCAGUCUUGUUUUUUGUGGCAAGGGUGUUCAUUAAAAAAAUACUCAGAAAUGGCAGAAUUUGACCUAUAUAUAUAUAUAUAUAUAUAUAUAUAUAUACAAAAUGCGAUUAUCAGGCAAAUGUUGUUCAGUUGAUCACCAUUGGAUAGCUGUAGCUCGGCCGCAGCUUGGAAAUGUUUCCAUCCUACUUGUAGUUAUAUUCUACACAGUACACUCUAGUCCUUUUCCAUGUGGGACAUUAUAUCAUUCAUAUUCUAACACUUCCAUCCAGUAUUGCACUGCUGGAAGUUACUGAUUUCUACUCUCAGGGUACUGUUUAUGUUCUGUUUUUUGACUUGUCCAACUUUCAUGCUGUUUUCAUUGGGACAGAGGGCAGACGCAUCAACUGAAUAGAGAGAAUUUACAAGUCCUGAGGGAAGAAAGUGUGUAACUUAUAUAUUUUCCUGGCCUCUUUCCAAUUGUUCUUCUACAGUGGGUACUUUUAUGUGUUACUUGUGCAUAAUACUAAUUUCUUUGUUUGUUUCUAUAGGUAUUACUACAACAAGGUUACUAGAACGUCCAAAUGGAGAAUGCCUGAUGAAGUCAAGGUGAUGUUAGAUUUAAAUCAAACAUGGGUUUGUUCCAUGCUUUAAAUAGCAUGAUAAGAAGGGAUUGUUCUGUGCUUUAAAUAGCAUGAUAAGAAGGGACAAUAUUCUAUUUUCUUGGAUACUCUAGUUCUCAUAAAAUCUUUAUGCAUUCACAGUUGCUAGCAUGAUAAGAAGGGGCAAUAUUCUAUUUUCUUGGAUACUCUAUUAUCAUAAAGUUUAAUUAUUUAUAAAUUCAUAGUUGGCUCAUAAAAAGGACACCAUUUCGCUCGCUUCUGAUUUUGGAUCCAUUUCUGUUGUUAAAACAUCAUCCUCGGGUGCAGAUAGUUCAUUAGUCUCGGCACACGGUGCUAAAUCAAGCCCAAUUGCUGUGUCACCAGCUGCUAAUUUACCAACUAUUGUGGCUUCAGAAUCAUCAAGUUUAUCUGGUAAGGUUUCUUCUCCGAUGAUUGAAAUAGUUGAAAUAAAGAAUUCUUCAGAACCUACUUCGCUAGCUGUUGCUAAUUCGAAGAAAAUUGGAAUAGCAGUAACCUUGGGAAAUUCUUCUACACCACCGAUGUAUGUUUUCAGAUUUAAAUGUUAUAAAUUUGCCUCUGGUUUGUGUUGCUUCUUAUUUGGAAUUCAAUUUUUCUGUAGCUCUGAGACUACUACAACUUAAGAUGCAGUAGUGUAUGGUGAUGGAUUUUCUUCGGAGAAUAGAGAGGUACUUUGUCCUUCUGAAAUACUUAUACAAUUAGUUAAUUACUGCUGGUUACUGGUUAAAACACCAAGAGAGCUUUUCGUAGCUGUUAUGCUGGAUGUUGAUCCAAUAAUUUUAUAGUGCAGUUGUUAGUCAACUGCUAACAGGUGAAGAAUAUGCUCCAAAUUCCAAUGAGGUUUACUUUUGUCCUUUGUGCUUGAUGUUGUGCCUAAAAUGCAGAAUGUCAAGAAAGAUGCUGCAAUAACUGAAAUCGGAGAUGCUACUUCAUCAGAUGAGAAAACAGUCGAGCUGGGACCAUUAGUUUAUGAGAGCAAAGCGGUAUUGUUGAUUAUUGCUUUUUGUCCCGUUUAAUGUAUGUUCUCGAAAUUUCUCUUAUUUAUAUUUUAAGUAUCUGAUUUUAUUUAGGAGGCAAAGAGUGCAUUCAAAACUCUUUUGGAAUCUACAAAUAUUGGGUCUAUUUACACGUGGGAUCAGGUUUAUUACUUGACUGUUUUGUGCGUACCAAAAAAUUGAGGGAGAUCAUUUGACAUGAAUUGUAUUUGUCAGGCCAUGAGAGCAGUAAUUAAUGAUCGGAGAUAUAGUGCUCUAAAAUCCCUUUGUAAGCAGAAGCAAGCUUUUAAUGAGGUAUCUCUCCAAGUCGGCAUUGGAAUGGGUUAGUUGCUGCUUCAAUGUUUUAGCAUACCGUAUUGCAAAAAGAUAGAUUGUCUUUGAUAUCCAAUUGUUUCAUGUUUGGUUGACUUAAAUAUUUUGGAAAAUGUUUUCCAAAUCAACUAAUUUUCCUUAAAUUUAAGAAAAAUGAAUUCCCUUCAGAAAGUAGGAAAAACAUUUUCCAAAACUCUCUUUCAAUCUCACUCUUAAGUUGAAAUGUUUAUAUAACUCUCAAAUGUAUUUUCUGAAAAAAAUAUUUUUUUAUUUACCAACCAAACACUAGAAAACAUUUCCUGAAAAAUGUUUUUCUGUCAUCAACCAAACAUAAGAAAACAAGUAAGAAACCAACUUGUUUUCUAGGAAAACAUUUUCCUUUAUACGAAACACACCCAAGGUCUAUAGUGAUCAUUCUGAAGUUCUGUGUCUGUUCCAAUAUCUGAGCCAAAAGAAAAAACUAAAAGCUGAAGAGAGGCGUGUUAAACAGAAAAAUGCUCGGGAAGAUUUCAGGAUAAUGUUAGAAAUAAGUGAAAUUUUCUUUUGUGGGUGUCUUCUAUUUGAUAUAUCAUGAUAUUCACAUUACCAGUUUCAAAAAUAAAAAGAUAUUAUCAUAAUAUUCAUGAUAUGAUAGGGAAUGGUAUUUGACUUGUUCAAAAGAAUAAGUGGUAAUUUUCACAACAAUGUUCGUUGUUCUUAAUCUUACAAGAUUGCAAGGAGCUUUCACCAUCGUCAAGAUGGAGGUUUGUCUUUCACUUGUAAUGUUAAGUUGUCUGCUGCUUGUUUUCUAAUCUUGGUCAUUGUAUGUAUGUGUUUUGGUACCUUGAAGUUGAUCCAUUACUUGUGUAAGUUCCAUUUGAUCCACUAACUAUUUGCUAUUGAUUAUUCAGUAAGGCAAUAUCCAUAUUCGAACAUGAUGAACGUUUUAAAGCUAUUGAGCGAGCUAAAGACCGUGAGGACCUUUUUGAAGAUUAUGUGGAGGAAUUUGAGAAAAAGGGGAAGCUCCUUUUGCAUAACUUUCUUGUAAUCUUCUAUAUGUUAUAAACUAAGUGUGUGGGUUGUUGUUUCCUUAUAUGGUCUUUGGCUCCUCACAAAUUGAGUUAGCCUUUCAUUUGAGAUUAAAACAAGGUCCAAUUUCUUAAACAUGGUAUUAUAGGUAGAUCUAUCUUGAUGUUAGAGUAUUAUAUGUUAGCCAACCUAGGUUAACUGAUGCUACAAAUGUCUAGUCUUGGUGUGCGAUUAAUGUAUGAGAAUCCCACACUAGUAAGGUGUAUGUGCUGUAGUUUCCUUAUAGGAUCUUGGACAAUCUUCACCCCCUAACCUAGUUUUCGAAGUUGAGUUAGACGCUGGUCCACUUGAUUAACAACAGUCAUUCCAUUUCUUUUCUUUGCAGGAUGUGUUUUAGUUUGUUCCCUUUUUUUUGUUUUGCUUAAAGAGUAGAAAGAAGGAAUGUUGUAGAUAUUCAACUUAAAAUUUUGUGUUCUUUGAAUACAUUUUUAAUGGCUUCUCAAGGGUACAACAUUUAAAUUUAUUCACCAUUGAAUUCCAAUUUAAACAGACUUCCAUGUAUUGUAUGUAAUUUUUCUUAAAACUUGAAACUAUGAUAUACUUCUUCCUCUCCCCCUUCCGUCGUAAAAUAGAAAAAGUUUUUCAAUACUUUCACGCAAAUGUAGUUAAAGUCUCUUUGUAAAUAUUGUCUUCUUUAGAGAGAAAUUUUAUGUUUGGAGACUUUAAUUUAUCUCUUUCUCACUGGGCAUACACCGUUAAUUCAAAUAGGAAGAAUUGAGGAAAGCUGAACGUAAAAAUCAUGAUGAGUUCCGAAAACUGAUGGAAGAGCAUGUUGCUGCGGGAAUACUUAAUGAAAAAACUAACUGGUGUGAUUAUUGCAUCAAAUUUAGUUUUUCUUUGAGUGAUUACCUUCAUGAGUUCCCUUUUCGUCUUUUUGAAUUUUUCAUCCAAUAAUUUUCUUCUUUAUUUUGUGCUUGUAGAUUAAAGAUUUUACUGCAUAUCUAGCUGUCUCAUCAAAUACUUCAGGAUCAACAGCAAAAGACUUAUUUACAGAUGUUAUGGAUGAGCUGGAGAAACAGGUGAAAUAGGUUGUUAAUAGGAGUAUUGAAUUGUGUCAACUACAUUUGUUACACUAAGCCAUAUUUAUAGACUUUACACUACAAUCCCUUUUCACUUGCUUUCACUUAAUGAAGGUCUGAAUCUGAAUGCUUAAGAUAUCAUCCCAUUAAGUGCUUUUUUUUAAAAGAUUCAACCUAUUAAUAUAUCUUAAUGAAUCAAAUGUUAAACAAAGUUUGAAAAUCGUUUAGAUCCUCACUAAAAAGUUCAAUUCAUCAGGUAAGAAAGUAAGUUAGUGCAUUACUAUAUGGGAAUAUACUGGGUUUGUUGUUGUUGUUGUUGUUGUUGUUGUUGUGCAUUAAAUAAUAGAACAUACUUGGUAGGACAAAAGCAUGAGAUUGAGAUUUGAGAGUUACCCCUCUACUUGCUUUUUUUCUUUAAAUAACAUAUAUUUUGUUGAGAUAAGAACAAUUUUUUUAAAUAACACAUAUUUGUGGAGAUAAGAACAAUGACUGGUUGUUCCUAUUAAACAUCUGUGUUGUUUCUCUUUAUGCCAAUUAGUUUCCUCUUUUUUUUACUAGAUAGUAGGUAUUUAGGCUGAUAGGAAUGGUAUUGUCGUAAACUUUUAAGUUAGGGUUCCAUGCUUUUAAUGUAGUAUAGAUAGAGAUGAUUCUUUCAAUCUAGCCAAGCUGUAUUAAAUGCUACUUCACGGACAAUUGUAAUUGACUUCUUCUCGGUUGAAUGCUAUUAACGGUUAUAUUACCUUAAUUGUUAUAGUUUCUCGAGUAGAACAACUUUGAGAAGUGAUCAUCAAACAUCCAUGUUUUCACGUAGUUUCUUGACUUUCGAGGACUCCUUUAAAGUAUCACACAACCACACCAUUGUGUUUCAGCUAAGACUGCAUUUGUUUUUAUUAAUAUUCAGACAUUUGAAUCAUUUCGAAUGCACAUCUGAAUGGUUAAGAUAUUAUCUCUAGAUCUGAAAACUAAAUGAUUAAGGUUGGGUGUUUCUCAAUAUCUGAAUGUGCAAAAUUUUUUUAUUUCUAAAUAUAAUAUAAUUAUAUAUUAGAAAUUUUUAUAAUUUAAUGAAAUUAAAUUAUUAUUUGAUUAAAAAAAGAAACAUUUAUGUUUGUUAGUGAUAGUGGAGAUGGUUUGUAAUGGUGGUGGUGGUUAUAAUAAAUUAAUUAAUGUUACUGAUUAGCAAUGUUGGUGAUGAUAGUUGUGAUAGUAGAGAUAGUUGGCAUUGUAGUAACUAUCAUGAUAUUGGCAAUUGGUAGUGGUGAUGGUGGUUGUGAUGUGAAGUUGGUUAAUGUUAGUUGUUGGAGAUGUUGAUCGUGGUGACGAAAAACUGUAUGCAUGAUGGUUAACGAUGUAUUGGUGGUUGUUGGAGACGCUGUUAGCUAUGAUGGUGGAAUGGUUGUUAGAACAGAUACUGUAGCGAGUGUAGCGGAUGGUGGUGGUAGAGGUGGUGACGCCGGUGACAGUGGUGGUGAUGGUGUCUGAAGAAUUUAUGGAAGUUGAUGAUGUGUUAGUGAUUGUUAGCGAUGUGUGGAAGUUGAUGAUGUGUUGGUGGUUAUUAGUGGUAGUGCUAGUUCUGAUAGAUGAGUUGGUUGGUAGUAAGGAUCGACUGGUAGCAGUUGAUGGUGGCGGCGUUGGCGGUAGGGGUGUUCAUGUGUCGAUAUGGGUAGGUUAUUGGUCAAAACCAUAACCAAACCAACUUAAUCGGUUUUUAAAUUUCUAAAACCAAACCAAACCAAACAAAAAAAUAACCAUUGGUUUGGUUCCUGUUGGUUUAGUUCGGUUUGAUUUGGGUUUUUUGGUUUAUAACUUUAGUUAAUGAUAAAAGUUGAAAAUUUUAAAAAACAAAUCCAAUCAAACAUAUGAGAUGUCAACCGAGUGUUGUAUCUCAAUCUUGAAAUUAUGAUGUCAAUUUAGUGUUAUACUUCGGCAAAGCCAUGAUAACACCAUAUGAACGCUUUUGAAAUAAUGUUUUAAAACUAUAUUUAAUAGAAUGAUAUGAUAAACCCCCAAAAGGUGAAUACAUAAACUUCUUGCUCAAUAAGGUUCAAAAGAAAGUUAAAAUUAGUGAUUGUGUAUAGUCUAAUGAAUUUUAGCUGUAAAUUUCAAUAUAUAACAAGAUAUUAUUUUCAUAAUUAGUAUCGUUUGUCAUUCAAAAUAUGAAAUUCAUUUAGAAUCUCAUAAUGUAUUGUCAACUAGAUGAAUACAUAUGACUGAAUGUGUUACGACUAAAGUUAAAUCAUGAUUAAAAUAUAAAAUGUAACAAAUAUUUAGAUUACAUUUAUGAAAAACAUAUAAAUAAUUAUAAUAUAUAUGUAUAUCNNNNNNNNNNNNNNNNNNNNNNNNNNNNNNNNNNNNNNCAAAUUAGUAUCGGUUUUUUAAAAUUCAAAUCCAAACCAAACCUAACCAAAUAUAGGUUUUUUUAAUCGGUUUGGUUUGGAUCGCGGUUUAGUUUGGUUAAAAACCAAACCGUGAUCACCCCUAGUGGGCGGUGGAUAUAAUUAGAAUAAUGGAAGUGGUAGGUGUGGUAGCGGCUGGCAGUAUAGUUGGUAGUGAUGUUGGUUGUGAUGGUGGAAGUGGUUGGUGGUGAUGACAGGUGAUUGUGGAUAGAGUGGUGGUGAAUUUUAUCCUACACAUAAAUAUCUGUAAAUGAUAUUUAGAUUUGGCUUCACAUCUGAAUGAUUAAGACCUACUCAGACCUAUUAAGAGCUAAAAUCCUAAUAAAAACAAAUGCACUUCAUGGUUUGAGGUCUGAACAGGUUCAUAAAUCCAAUAAGUGCAAACAAAUGAGACCUGAAAGUAGUUUUCUGGUCAAGUUUCGACCAUGUUUUGUCCAUUUGUACCACACCCCAGUUUUGAUUUCACUUCGGAUGAUAUCUUGCAACUUAAAACACAAUUCAAAAUAUAUUGUGUUGUCAACCAUAUAAAUUGGACUAAAUAAACUUAGUGCCAGAAUUCGCCUCUCAAGAGGUAGUUGAGAUGUAAUGAAAGUAAAGGCUUAGAAAAGAUUAGCCUCAGAAAAAGUGCCUGAGAGCAUCUCUAUUUCUCUAAAUAAAGUUGCAUCUCCCGCACUAUUAUUUUUUUGUCCGUAAUACACACUAGCGACUAACAAAACGAUAUAUUGUUUCAUCCUCUGCCCUUUCUGAAAAGAAUUGAAGUUGAAUGAUCAAAUGUUAUUAACAUUUAUCUUCUUGCUUGAUGAAAGAGGGAGUUUACCUGGUAUCCUAGCAUGGUAAUGAUCCUGUUCGUCCUCUUAUUCAAUGAUUGAAUUUGGUAAUGUUUUCUUGAGUUAGGAUCUUGCUAUGGGAUGGUGAGAGUUAUACAUAAACUCAGAUGCUGAAAAUCUUUUCUUUUUCCCAUGUAAGAUAAAGAUGUCAACUUCUAUCUUUAAAGUUUGUAUUACUAUUUGUGUGCAUAAAUGAUUCUUAUUAAGUAAAUAUAACGAAAAAGCUGUUAACAGUGAUGCUAUCCAUUUUUAUUUAUUCACUUUUUUUCUAUUAUCCAAACAGAGGUGCUUGAUUUUUCCUUCAAUUUAACCGGAUCAGUGCAAUUAAGUUUAUGUGUCAAGUGUCUUGUGAUAUUGUAGAUGACUUUGAACAAGUGGAGAAAUGUUGGUAUUCAAGAAAGAAAUUUCAUCCCCAUCACCCUGCUUGUAAUUUAUAGACUUUAUGGUAACUCAAAUGCAUGGACAAGGCUCCAUUUGGUAUCCUAUUUUUGUUACUGAUAAGCAUUCUGAAUUUGUGUUACUUGUAUGUUGCUUCAGUAUCUUGAUGACAAGUCACAAAUUAAAGAUGCAGUUAGGAUGACCGAGGUAAUCACCACUCUUCAUUUUAACCUCUGUUGUGCUUCGAUUAGUACCUAAUAUUUUGGAUGAGCCGUCUCUACUUUCAGAUUGGAUUGACAUUAGCUUGUACGCUUGAUGAUUUUAAGGUUGCAAUCUCCAAGUAUAUUAGCUCUCCACCAAUGUCAGAUACCAACUUAAAGGUCUAAUUAUGGCUAAGCACUGUAUACUGUUUCACAUCAACCCAUGUUGAAUUGAAUGUUGUGAAAAUUAAAGUACCCCAUUCACUAAAUGGAUUUCUAUGUAUUUGUCCCAUUUUUGUCUUUGGGACAGGUCCUGCAUAAGAUGAGUGGAUUGAGUGCAAAAGCAUUAGUAGUACUUCCAUGUUAUGUUUCACUGGAAGUCGGUAAGUUUGUAAUUGCUAAAUUGGCAACUCGUAGGUAGUCAACUGUGGUUAGUGGCAUUUUCCUUUAGUAUCAACCAUAACCUAUCCCACAUUAAAUUUGGAUCUUCUUGUAAUGGAGUUAAUAGAAGAGUAGUGUGUCGGUUAGCAAGUAAGCCUGAAACCUUCAAGAAUAAAGACGAGGACCACAUUGAUCAAAUAUUUGGUGUUAGCUUUUGCUUCCAAUUCUUUAGUUUUGGUACCAUUUUCCUUCGUUUUUAUUUCCUGGACAGUGGUGUUUAAUAUUACACCUACCUCACAUAUCUUAAGUUGCUUAAUUCAAAGCAAUUUACCUUGUAGUUUUCUGUUUUUACGGUUAGUGGAUAAGAGUUUUACUCUACGAAACUGGUUAAACAACAUAACUGGAUGAUAUCAACGAUCAUUUACUAUUUUUGUAAUGAGUAUAUUCUUCAUAUAUCAUUUGGAUUUUGGUGGUUAUUUAUGGUCAUGGCGUAUAAUCUAUGUAUGUGGGAAGAGGGAAUUGCAAGGGGUAUCUUGUCGAAGAAUUAUGCUUAGAUGGUUGGGUCUCUUAAGGCUUUUAGUUUACUUUCAAUAGGUUAAAACUUUUGUAAAGCAUUUUAUCAAAGAUUAUAAUGCGAGGAGUUACUCCAAAAGAUAGUAAUAAUACUCUUACAUUAUAUCCCCCUUGCCUUCCAAACGAAGGAAUAAGAGGACAUACAUGGACUAUACUGAAUCUUAUUCCAUACUUCCUUUCUAAACUUCAUUUUCUACGCGUUUGGGCUUGCAGGGUAAUUGAGUAUUGAAUGUGCAUAUUUCAUCUGCAUAGUUUCUCAUUGAGGAGUUACUGGAAAGGGCCAGGGAGAAAGAAGAAAAAGAAGCUAAAAAGUUUAAACGUCUAGCAGAUGAGUUCUAUGAACUUCUUCAUGCAUCAAAGGUAUAGUAAAAAGUUUACAAUCUCUCACAUUCCAAUGGAUGGGAUCCCAUGAUAUUUCCUUUAAACCAUAACCACAACAAAAUUAAAAAGAAAGGUGUAUUUACCUCUUUUAGGGCAACAAAAUGGGAUAACGAGAUGACGAUAGGAUUCUGACCACCGAAAAACUCACAACUGCUUCGACAGUUCAGACGCACCUCCUAAGAAUGUAUGUUUCUUAAGCAUAAAGAGAAUAUUUUUUCCAUCUGAGAGCCCCCCUUUCUAACCCCUUUUUUUUGUGUAUUCUGAAUUUUUGAAGAUUUUUGCUAACCCCAAAUUUUCAGCCUAAAACUUUUGAACCCCCUUUGCCUCUAAAAUUUCGAACUCCAAAGAGAAAGAAGAGGAGAACCCAUAAAGGAAAGGAGAGGCCAGUGAAACAAAAUUCCAAAAUCCCCCAAAAAAUCCCUUUUUCUUGCUCUAAAGAGAGAUACUUAUAGAAGGGGAUUGAGGGUUCAUUUUUUAAAUUCAAAAGAUCCGGACCCUAAUGAACUGUACCUCUAUUUUGAUUUGCUUCAACAGAAUUCCAAAAAGUGGCUAAUAGAAAUUGGUGGAAAGGGAAUAAUCUUCACAAGCCAAUGAAAAUACUCCACCUAUGUACGAAUUCCUAAACCUCUAUUCGAGAAUUUUGGGAUUUGAAUGUUGGAUGAGAAACCUAAGUGUGUUUCUAGAAUAUUCUCGGCAUCUUCUCGUAUGGAUUCGUGUGGAACACUCGUGACCAUAAAGAGGAAAAAUAAAAUGGGUUGGAUUCGGGUGCUGCAUCCUAUUUGAAGCCAUCCGCACUUAUGGUUUUGAUUUGAUAUUUUCAUCCUCUCGGAUGCUCUCGACAAUGCUUCAAGCAAAAAGUGUUAGUGCUAAACAUAAUUCACGAGAGAGGUAUGCAAUCUUUUACCAUAUCUCCAUGUGAGUUUUGGCCUGAAAAACGAAGUCAUCUCUUCAUGUACUUGUUUGGAAUGAAAUAACUGGCAAUACCAAACACAACAACCCUCUUGGUUGUUGUAUAAUUAUGACAUUUGUCGGUUGAAUAUGUCUUCAAAGUAGGUGGCCCUUUUGGACACCGGCGAUACUUUAUGCAGAACGGUCUCUACAACCAUGUAAUCUUGUGCUGGUGUGGCAACCCUUUGGUUACCUAUAUCAUUUGUUGCUUGUGGAAUGAUAACCUCUCCGGUUAUAGACGAUGAUCGAUUUAUAAAUUUCCUUUAAAUUAUCAAUAUUUGGAUAGUCUUACGUAUUAUUUGAUGUUGGAUACGAGGCGACUUACAGAUAUCCUUUUGAUUUCUAGCUUUUAGGUAAUCCUGCACAUAAUCUAACUUUGAAUAACAGAUGGCUUACAGAUAUCCCUCCAAUUGCUAGCUUACAGGUGUUCCUGCACAUCAUCACCUUGGAUACAAUAUGACUUAUAGAUAAUCCCUCAAAUUGUUAGUAUUUGGGUAAUCCUACACAUAAUCAAUCUUGGAUAUGACACGGCUUAUAGAGAACCCUUGGAUGUAUCAAUUUGAUAAUCUUCCAUGUUCUCCGGUAAGGAUUUAGUUGCGAAUUAUGGAUAACCUUUGAACUAUCCAUUUUUGGGUGAUGUUGUACACUAUCCGGUUAGGAUUUUGUUGUGGCUUACGGAUGACCUACAGGCUAUCAACUCAUAUGUGAUCUUGCACACUAUCCUAUUUCAAAUAAUAUGACUUAUAUAUGACCCUAAAAUUGUCAAUUUCUAGGAAAUCUUAUAUAUCAUUCAUCCUUAGAUAGCGACUUAAAGGCGUCCCUUCAAAUUGUGUGCUCUCGAUGCAUUCAGAUACUGAUUCAUAAAAUGAUAAGAUAUCCUCGACGCCAGCGUUUAUGUCUUGCAUGCCAACAAAUAUAAAAUAAUGAUAAUAUCCUCGACGCUAGUGUUGCAUCUUGCGUGUCAAUAGAUAUAUUGAAUGCCGAUGGUAUCCUCAACGCCAGUGUUGUGUCUUACAUGUCAACAGAUAUAUUGAAUGCUGAUGAUAUCCUUAAUGCAAACGUUAUGUCUUGUGCGUCAACAGAUAUUGUAUGAUGAUGAUAUCCUCGAUGCCAACGUUGUGUCUUGCAUGUCAACAGAUAUUACAUGAUGAUGAUAUCCUCGAUGCCAGCAUUGUGUCUUGAGUGUCAACAGAUAUAUAAUAAUGAUGAUAUCCUCAAUGCCAGCGUUGUGUCUAGCGCGUCAACAAAUAUUGAAUGAUGAUGAUAUUCUCGACGCCAGCGUUGUGUCUUGCAUGUCAAUAGAUAUAUUGAAUGCUGAUGAUAUCCUUGAUGCCAGAGUUGUGUCUAGCGCACUAACAGAUAUUGAAUGAUGAUGAUAUCCUUGACGCCAGCGUCAGGGUCUUGCUUUCUGCAUGUACCUGUACUCAAGGUAGACGAUUAGUAGGCAUAAAUUCACCUUAUCUAGCGACUAUUUUUUUUUAGAAAAAUUCUAAAUACAAUAUUUGUAAAGAAGACAAGACACUUUUGUUUGUCCUCCAUGAUCUCAAGAAAUGAGAUGGACAAUUUGAAAGGUCGUCAAUCAAUGGGUGUUGAGCUGGUUUUGGGCUACCAAAAUUACCGUUAUUAAGCCUUAUAUGCUCUGUCAUGGCUCCCGAAUUGCUUGGGGAUUUUUCAAAAGAAAUGCUCAUUUUGUGUAUCGAUCCCUGCAUCCACAAAAAAUGAUUAGUUUGAAAGAAACUACUCUGCGUUGACCUCCUACGAUCCUUGAUUUGCCCUCGCGAUCUUUUAGGUAUUUCAACAUGUUGGGACUUCCACCCCUGACUCCCCGUCCUAAUUGAUGUCUAGGCAAUCACUAAGUAAAACAUUUAUAUAGAUUUUUUUCAAAGUACUCUUAUUUUUUUAGAAAAUAGUUUCUAGAACUCCUGCAAAACUUCGAAAAAUCUCUGCUAGCCAUGUAGUACUAUCCAAAUACCUCAUAAUUUUCUACAUACCUUCUCAUAAGUAGUACUAGUUUACAACUACCAACGAAAAAAGUCAAGGGGUAAGGUCACAUAAGAGACAUGAUCAACCUUAAUCUGAUAUUAUAACCCCAUACGAUCUUAUCUACUUAUGCGGAUUUCUCAGCUCAUACUUACUUACUCAAGCAUACAUUUAGAUUGCCUUUAAAUUCCUCAAACAACCAUGAGUCUAUAAUCAUAGCUUACUCGCUAAUAUAGCUAUUUUUCACAUUCAAGCAACCAACAAAUCACCCUGACUAACAAAUCCUUCUCUACCUUAUACUAAACUAACUCACAAGGACGAAUCACCUCUUUACCAACUCCAUCUCAUGCAAACAGAUUCAGCCAUACAUAUAUUAAACCAGCAAAAGAACAACAAGUUGCUAGUGAAUCGAAAUAGGCCUCACACGGCUUCACUAGACUUUGGUUUUGUAUUUUAGACAAGAAAAUAAGAUGGAUGACAAGGCAACUAUGCUAGUGAAUCAAAAGAGCCCCACACGGCUUCACUAGACUUUCAUUUUUUUUUUCAAAAACACCAUGAUAUCAAGAUUACAUAUUUCAAGAGAUAGGAAAUUGACACAUAAUAUUUAAUGGUCUAAGAAUACACAUCUUACUCUGUAUAAAUAAAAAUCUGAGUAAAAUAAUUCCCCCAUGGACUACCAUACUAUCCGUACGUGCUACUAGCUACCACAUUAGUUUAUCACUAUAAAGGGAUAAAUCACCCUCAAAUAUCGGUUAUUCAACUGAAAUAUUCAUUUACACAUAAAAUCACCCUCAUUCUGACUUCUAACUUUGUGACUUCACAUCACUAACUUCUUGGUCUAAUUUCAUUAUCGAUAGGUCAUGACAAUAACACUUUAACUUAUACUACUAUUCGGGUGGAAAUAAAGUUCUAACAUUCUGCUAUACACCAUCCACAUCUGUAUCAAGAUUUUUUUUAGGGACUAGAUGCAUUUAAUACCUUAAGAUGGAAAGCACGAUUCCAUCAGGAUCAAUGUUUACAUCAGAAUCAACACAUAUUGAAGCACCAACAGACUCCUCUCGAUUCUUUGUAUAAUUUUUUUUUCUUAUAUGACACAAUCGAAAAAGACUAUAUCAUGUAGAUUCUAAACUUCUUGCACUUGAAUCACCCUAAUAAUGGGACAUGUCUGAGAACAUCAGAGUAAGGAAAGAAUUUGGGAUGACUUUACCUUCAUAUGGGCGACACCAUAGCACGAAUGACAGUAUGAAAGAGGAAUAUUUUGAUUCUAUUGCACGAACUAGAACAUGAAGAAAGAGAGACAUUCCUAAACGCCUAGUACCGUCCUGCUUAUAAGUGUGGCGCGCACACACCCAUAAACUAGACUCUACCCAACGUGAUUUUGCAGACACCCUGGGACCAUGAACUGUGCUCUGAUACCAAGUUUGUCAUGACCUGAACCGGGGCCCUGGCCAUGACGAGCAUUCCGAACCAUGAAGGCCUGAAACACCCCUAUUUGUCCGAUAAUCAUGCACAUAAUUCAUAUGAUAAAAGAAAUGCGAAAGAUAAACAAUCUUAUGGAAACAUAGUCAAGAAUCAUAUCAAAUCAGUAAUGGGGAAUAAUGUCCCACAAUCUUAACACAACAUCUCUAUAACGUCUGCGAAAUCUCUACUACAUGACUGAAAUAAAUAUCUAUCUGAAAAUUGGGACAAGGCCCCCAGUAGAUCUAAAACUAAUAAAUGAUAAAUAAAUCUGCCAGAUAUCAGGCCUUCCGAAAUAUAGAAGGCUCACCAAGUGACUCUGCAAAUCUGUCUGAGGAAUUUACUGAUUUUCUGGACCCCUAGACUGUGCCUCCGAACUUGGGAGGAAAAGGGGUCAAUACAAAAGUACUGGUAUGCAGAGAUAUCAAAACAAAACAUAAUAUGUUUACAAAAUAUAGUUGAGAGCCAUUAUAAAGCAGUUUCAUAUCAAAUCAUUUGAAAACACAUGGACGUAAUAUAAUUGUUUUCAACAAUAAUAUAAUACAGCUGAGCUUGGUGGAAUACCCUACAUAUCACAUUUACACCAACUGUCAAACCUCGGUUACCACCGAGAUUAGAGUAUAAGUGAGGGGAAGACACACAAGAUCACACAGCAGGGUGUCUCAACCUAAUGGUAGUACGCAAGAUCACAAAGCAAGGCUCCUAACUAUAGUCCCAACUUGGGAAUGACAGAAAGUCAGGUACGGAAGAUCACAAAGCAGGGUACCAAAUUCCCAUGUCGGCAAACACAGUUUCUAGUGAUGAUCCCUUACACUCAAAUGCCUUCUUCGGACAUCCACCUAUCUCAUGUAAAAUCAAUGCAUUCAAAUUUCUUCUGAUUCAAUCACAUAUCAUAUUCUUUAGGGUAUCGUCAUACCCAACUUGCAAUCCAUCAAUAUCACAUCAUUCUUCUUAUUCAACCAUUGUAUUCAACAUAUUUCAACACAAAUAGCCCUCUCAUUUUCAAGUCAAAACCAUACCAAUUAUCAAAAUAUUUUAUGUCAUGCUUUUUAUGAUGUCUUCAAACAAUUUACAUCAUAUGAACAUUUAAAAUAAAUUCACAUCAAGAGAGGGAUUUCAUAUAAUUCAUGCUCUCAAAUUAACGCCUUUUCGAAACACAUGCAUAUACAUAUAUAAUAUGUCAAAUCACUUCGAAAAUAGGCCUAAAGACCAAAUCAAUAUUAUAGAAAUGUUCAAAACAUGAUUAUAUUCGUUGUUUUAAAACCCCCAUUACAAAACAUGAACUUAAAGGCGAUGAGAUUUUAGGAUAACCCUACGUACCUCUAUAUGUGAAGAUGAUAAGUGUUUCUUGAAGCCUACGUUCUGGGGAUUCCAAAUAUGCAAUUAGUUUCAAAAACCCACGGUUGAAUCUUGAGUUGCUUGGGUUUUUAUUUUGAAACCCUAAGGAGAGUUCUUAAGCAAUUUUGAUGAAUGAAGGUGUAUUUUGGGGUAUUUGGGGACUGAAUUUUGUGUUUAUGGCUAAAUAAGGGUGGAAAAGGACUAUUUUGCCCCUAAAACGGAGUGUUUAAGUCACUUGAGUAGUAAUGUAUGCGGCACACACCUUAUCGCAUAAUAUAGGUUGUGCGGCGCACUCUUUAUCGCACACAUUAGAUUGUGCGUCGCACACUUUAUGACAUAAGUUAGGGUGUGCGUCGCACACUUUAUGCUGCACAACACACUCCACUUUACAAAGACAUAAUUUCUUCCUCGGGUGUCGGAUUUUUGAGAAAUUGGUAUCGUUGGAAAGAUAAUUAGAAGUCCUUUCAUUUGAUAUAUAGUAGGCACUCUAAUUAAAUAUAUACAAAUAGUAAUGACUGAUUGAAGUUGACCUAAGUUUGGACACUUACUAAAGUUCAAUCGAUGGAAAAACUUUCAACUCGUCCUUUAGUUAGGGGACCUCUAUGAUCUCAAUUCAUUAUCAACUAGAUUUAUACACCACAUAGUUGAUUAAAACACUAUAUUCACAAUAGAUUUAUGGUUUUUGGAAUGUGUACAAGUAGAAAUGACAAUUUACGUUCAAGUCUGAAAGUAUGGGGUGUUACAAAAAAUUAUUGGGUUAUUGGUUCGGUUCAAUUUUUUUUUAUUGGGUUAUUGGGUAAACUGAUAACCCAAUAAGAAAAUAUAUAUGACUUAUUAUAUAUUUAUCUUUUAUUUCUACAAAUUAACAAACCUAUUAUUUCAAUUAUAUAAAAUCUUAAUUUCUCCUAACAACAUUUAGUUCAAACUUGAAGAUUUUUGUAAAUUUAAACACUUCACGUAGGAUUUUUGUUACAACUAAGAUUCAUUUUUUACAUGUUAGUUACUACUAUUUCUAUUUUAUGAGUAUUUUCUUAUCGGUUAAACCGAAAACCGAAUCGUUAAGGGCUAAAAACUGAAAAAAAAAUAUUUUAUUUGUUUAGCAUAUUUAAAAAUUGAAAAACGAUAAAUCUAACGAUAAUAUGUAAAACCCAACCAAACCGACCGAUGCACUCCCCUAGACACAAACGCUUUAAUUACUUGACAAAUUGUAUGAGAUGCACACAUUUUGUAUGACAAAUUGCGAUAUAAGACUCGCAUAUAAAUAUUUAUUUUAACUUUAUAUGAUAGUCUAAGUAUUUAUUUGUGCAACACUCAAUAUUAAAAUAUAUAAAUAUUUGUUGAAGAUGUCAAGUUGAAAACACAUUUAUGUAUUAUGUCAAACGUAUAAUUCCUUUUUUGAACUGUAUCUAUAACAUGUAGCUUGAGUGAAUGUACUCUAAUUUUCAGCUGACGAACUCACCUAACAUUACUACAAUUAGUAGAAUAAUGAGGAAAAUUAAAUUCAUUGCUAUUUAUUUAUAUUUUAAAAAGCAAGAUGGAGUCAGAGAGCAAUUAUCAUAAUUAAAGAGGAGCUAAAGGUAUAAAUUAAUGCAAAGCAUGGAGUCUUUUGAUAGAGUGUAUUAAAAAUUAAUGACAACAACAACAAUAAAUUCUGUGUAUUUCCACAUAGUGGGGUCUGGAGAGGGUAAGAUGUACGUAGUCCAUAUCACUACCCCAGAGAAGUAGAAAGGCUGUUUCUGAUAGACUCUCGGCUCAAGACAAGGAAUAAUAAUCAAAUCUGUGAUUAAGCAUGGAAUGUAUUACGUAAAAAUUAAUACAUCCAUUAAUUUAAUGUGUAUUAGUAGUCCCUUCUUUGAUAUAUAUCUUUUUAUCUUAUCUAUAACUAAAGUGGGGGUAUUAUGUAAAAAAAAAUUAUGUAAUUCGUGUUAUUUUUAAUACAUUGAUAUCAAUUUAACGUAAUCAAUCUAUAAAAACAUGAGAAAUUCAUGGGAUUAAAUUUCCAAAAUUAUAAAGGUAAUUAAUAUCAAUUAUUUUCAUAUUUGAACCCUUUAUACAAUUGUAGAUUAAUUAAAUAUAAUCAAGCUACAAAAUUAGGACAGAUUUAUGGUAAAUAAAUAUAUAAUAUUAAUAAUAAUUUUAUUGCUAUCAAAUUAAUUAGAUUAAAUUGAACUAGAAAUUAGUUAAUAUUGACAAUUAUUUUAAUAAAAAAAUAUAUGGAAAGAUUUGUAAUUGAUAUGCAUAUAUUGGUAAAAAAACAAUGAAGUUGACUACUACUUUAGCUAUAAAUAUAUUUUAAAAUUUACAUACAACAUUAAAUUUAAGGAACUUGAGUCUAUAUAUUAUGAUCAUAAAAUUGAUUAUAAUUAAUUGAAAUUAAUUAGUUGAUUGUAUAGUUUUAUUACAACAAUUUCGGACAUCAUUUAUUUAAUAAAAAUACAUAUAAUUAAUUGAUUGAUUUUGUGCAAUCUACUAUGAUUUUAUUAAUUCAAAUGAAAUGAUUUUUUAAAUGAUAGGUUUGGAUUAUAAAAAUAAAGGUGAUUACUGUAUGACUUUAGCAUUUCUUAUGUAUUAAAAAAGAUUUAUAGUUAAAAAAUUGUCAUCCCUCAAAACAAUAAAAUUUAAACUAUUUUAGUGAAACAAUGAAAGAUUGAAUAUAAGAAAAUCUGUAAUUAAAAAAAUAAAUAAUUGUCACCUCAUUUGAGUUUUUAGCAAAUUGUAAAGAAAAUUAAAUAAUCAAAUUAUAAAUUGAUAAGAAAUUUUUGAGAAAUAAAUCAAUAAUUAGGAAAAGAAAUAGUCGUUACCUUUUUAAAAUUCUUCCCAAAAUUAUAAAGGUAAUUAAUAUAAAUUUGAUAUAACCAAACUAUAAGAAUAUGUGAAAUUCAUAGGAUUAAAUUUUUGAAAUUAUAAAAGUAAUUAAUUUCAAUUGUUUCCAUAUUUGAGUCCAUUAUGUAAUUGUAUAUUAAUUAAAUAUAGUCAAGCUAUAAAAUUAGGAUAGAUUUAUGGUAAAUAAAUAUAUAAUAUUAAUAAUAAUUUUAUUGUUAUAAAAUUAAUUAGAUCAAAUUGAGAUAGAAAUCAGUUAAUAUUGACAAUUCUUUUAAGAAAAAAUAUAUACAAAGUUUCGUAAUUGAUAUACAUAUAUUGGUAAAAAAACAACAAACACUAACUACUACUUUAGACAUAAAUAUAUUUUAAAAUUUACAACAUUAAAUUUAAGGAACUUGAGUCUAUAUAUUAUGAUCAUAAAAUUGAUUCUAAUUAAUUGAAAUUAAUUAGUUGAUUGUGUAAUUUUAUUACAAUUAUGUCGUACAUCAUUUUUUAUAUAAAAAUAGAUAUAAUUAAUUAAUUGAUUUUGUGUAAGCUACUAUGAUCUUAUUAAUUCAAAUGAAAUAAUUUUUAAAUGGUAAGUUUGGAUUAUAAAAAGAAAGGAGAUUAUUGUAUGACUUUAGUAUUUCUUAUGUAUUAAAAAAAGAUUUAGAGACAAAAAAUUGUCAUCCCUCAAAACAAUUAAAUUUGAAUUAUUUUAGUAAAAUAAUAAAAGAUUGAAUAUAAGAAAAUCCAUAAUUUAGAAAAAAAUAAUUGUUACCUUAUUUGAGAUUUUAGAAAAUUAUAAAGAUAAUUAAACAAUCAAUUGGCUAUAAUCAAAUUAUGACUUUAUAAGAAUUUUUUGAGAAAUAAAUCAGUAAUUAGGAAAAUUAUAAUCUUUACCUUUUUUAAAUUCUUCCCAAAAUUAAAAAGGGAAUUGAUAUCAAUUUAAUAUAAUCAAUCUAUAAAAACAUGAGAAAUUCAUGGGAUUGAAUUGCCGAAAUUAUAAAGGUAAUUAAUAUUAAUUGUUUUCCUAUUUGAGCCCUUUAUAUAAUUGUAAAUUAAUUAACUACAAUCAAGCUAUAAAAUUGGGACAAAUUUAUGAUAAAUAAAUAUAUAAUAUUAAUAAUAAUUUUAUUGUUAUCAAAUUAAUUAGAUUAAAUUGAGUUAGAAAUCAGUUAAUAUUGGCAAUUAUUUUGAUGAAAAAUAUAUGCAAAGUUUCGUAAUUGAUAUACAUAUAUUGGUUACAAAAAUAACGAACAUUAACUUCUACUUUCGCCAUAAAUACAACAACAACAACAACAAACCGUGGGGUCUGGGGGGGUAAGAUGUACGCAGUCCAUACCUCUACCUCUGCUGAGGUAGAAAGGCUGUUUCCACUUUCGCCAUAAAUAUAUUUUAAAAUUUACAACAUUAAAUUUAAAGAAAUUGAGUCUGUAUAUUAUGAUCAUAAAAUUGAUUCUAAUUAAUUGAAAUUAAUUAGUUGAUUGUAUAGUUUUAUUACAACAAUUUCGUACAUCAUUUAUUUAAUAAAAAUACAUAUAUUUAAUUGAUUGAUUUUGUGCAAUCUAUUAUGAUGUUAUUAAUUCAAAUGAAAUAACUUUUAAAUGAUAAAUUUGGAUUAUAAAAAUAAAGUAGAUUAUUGUAUGACUUUAGCAUUUCUUAUGUAUUAAAAAAGAUUUAUAGACAAAAAGAUGUCAUGUCUCAAAACAAUUAAAUUUGAACUAUUUUAGUAAAAUAAUAAACGAUUGAAUUUUAGAAAAUCUGUAAUUGAGAAAAAAAUAAUGGUUACCUUAUUUGAGUUUUUAGCAAAUUAUAAAGAUAAUUAAAUCAUCAAUUAACUAUAAUCAAAUUAUAAAUUUAUAAGAAAUUUUUGAGAAAUAAAUCAGCAAUUAGGAAAAAAAUAAUCGUUACCUUUUUAAAAUUCUUCCCAAAAUUAUAAAUGUAAUUAAUAUCAAUUUGAUAUAAUCAAACUAUAAGAAUAUGAGAAAUUCAUGGGAUUAAAUUUUUGAAAUUAUAAAGGCAAUUAAUAUCAAUUGUUUCCAUAUUUGAGUCCUUUAUGUAAUUGUAGAUUUAUUAAAUAUAAUAGAGCUAUAAAAUUAGGACAAAUUUAUGGUUAACAAAUAUAUAAUAUUAAUCAUAAUUGUAUUGUUAUCAAACUAAUUAGAUUACAUAGAGGUAAAAAUCAGUUAAUAUUGACAAUUAUUUUAAUAAAGAAUAUAUGCAAAGUUCCGUAAUUGAUAUACAUAUAUUGAUUAGAAAAAACAACGAAUAUUGACUACUACUUUAGCCAUAAAUAUAUUUUGAAAUUUACAACAUUAAACUUAAGGAACUUUAGUCUAUAUAUUAUGAUCAUAAAAUUUAAUCUAAUUAAGUGAAAUUAAUUAGUUGAUUGUGUAGUCUUAUUACAAUUAUAUCGUACUUUAUUUAUUUAAUGGAAAUAUAUAUUAUUUAUUAACUGAUUUUGUACAAUCUACUAUGAUCUUAUUAAUUCAAAUGAAACGAUUUUUAAAUGGUAAGUUUGGACUAUAAAAAGAAAGGAGAUUAUUGUAUGACUUUAGUAUUUCUUAUGUAUUAAAAAAGAUCUAGAGAUAAAAGAAAUACAAUAUUACAAUAUUUUGGGGUUAUUUGAUUAAUUUAUCACAUUUCAAAAUAUUGUUUAUAUCAAUUCAGUGAUGUUUAUAUGGAAAAGUUAAAUUUUGAAAAAGUAAAUAUCUUAAAUUUCAUAAUUUAAGUUAAUUUGUGUGCUACUUUGAAAAAGUUAAUUUAUAGUUUACAUUUUAUUUCUAUUAUAUGGAUAAUUUGACCUCAUAUGGCUAUUUAUAGCCAUUGAAUAACACAAAUUAUUUGUUACACUUUUCUUCUCUCUCUCUCAUGGGUAUUUCUCAAGUUUUUCAUUAUGAGUAUGUAAAUAUUCACUUGCCAUAUUUCUGGAUCCUUGUAAAUAUUCACUUUCCAUAUACAGAUCCUUGUAAAUAUUCACUUGCAUUACUUGUCCAAAGUAAUGAAAAAUGAUUCUUCACGGCAGAGGCCUUAGCGUUCCAGUGUUGAUUCAGACUAUUAGAAGAUUGACAAAGGAGAAGGUACAAAUGGCUUCUGAAGUUUCAAGCAUGCUACGGAAUCAAGUUGCUGAAAGGGAUUCUACUAAGGAAGAAGCCAGCAUACUACAGGCAAAACUAGAUUGACAGAUACGAAGAUUGAAGACAGAAAAGAAUGAGUUACAAUCAGUACUGGAAAAAGAGUUGGAUAGAAGAUCCAACGAUUGGUCUUGAAAACUUGAGAAAUACCAAAUUGAAUAACAUAGACUCCGUGAAAGGGCGAGGGAGCUUGCAGAGCAGAAUGUCUCUCUACAAAGGGAAGUCUCUUCAUUUAAUGAGAAGGAAGUAGAUAAUAGAAUCAAGAUAUCAUUUUUGGGGAAACACCUUGAAGAUUUGUCUAAGAGAAUAGAGCAAGUGUCAGAGGAGAAUCAAAAUCUAAGGCAGCAGCUCACUCAGUUACAAGUGGAAUAUCAAGUAGCUCAAUACAAUAGAGAUUAUGUCAGGGAAAACUACCUGGAAAAGGUUAAAGAGCUUAAAUCGGAGACUUUGCUGACAACUGUGCUUAGGGAGAAGCUCUAUUUCGAGGAGAUGGACAUAAAGCAAGUUCAAGUUGAUCUAGCCACAACAGUUAGAGAUAACGAUAUUCUCAAAUGUAAAGUGCAAAAUGCACUAGACGCUCUUUCUUAUGCCACACCCAAGUUGAAAUAUCUUGAGUUUCAGGUAAGGAGGCAAUGUUAAGACUUUCUUAUGAAAGAGGGUCAAAUCACAAUCUUGAAAGACUCGAUAGGCAAACCUUUCGACCUUCUUGCAAGUCCUGAUUCUCUGUUGGAGUGAUGGAUGCUAAAUGGACAAACUAUAAUUCAUAUUUUGUUCAUUGACUAUAGUGUUCAUACUUCUUGUAUACUUAUUGGUUUUACUCUUAUUCUUUCCCCCCUUUGAUACCUGUUAAAUAGAAAGUUUGCUUCUUUCUUUUGCAACCUUUUUAAAUCUCCAAUUGUAAACAUUUCUUUCACUUGCUGGUGAUCAAGACAAUGAACUUUUUUUGCUUUAUUUGGUUUUGUAAGUAUUGGCUAUUUUUUGUCUUUUGAAGUAUUUUGGGAGGAUUGGUGCUACCAUUUUCUUUUCAUCUCUAAGUAGAGGUAAGGUUUGCAUAUAUUCUGCCCGAAUAUACAUCGGGUAUAUUGUUACUGUUGUAUGGAGAUUGUGUGUAUAAUAACAAUUGUAUAUUUGAUGUCCGGUCAUCCACACUUUCAUUCCUUGCAGGGGAAAGCUCAUUAAGCUUACUGAGUUAAGUUCUCAUUGAUGUAUUCUUUCACUAAGGUUGUCACUGGGUAGCUACAAAAAGAACUUGUCUAACUGGGCAUUUUAUGUUCAGUUUGUGCAUAUAUUAAGUAACGUCCAAAUUUUUAACCAUAUAACUUUACCUCAAAAUAGUACAUGGACCAGAGCUGCUCUUAAAUCUGGUCGGUUGGCAGACUCUUCCAUUUGAUCUGCAAUCAAAUGCCUGCUUUGUCUCAGUACAUUUUAUUCUGUUGUGCUCAUUCACACAUAGUUUAUGCCAAGAAUGUGAGACAUAUACAGAAGCCUCUAGUUUUAUCUUCUUUAUAUAGUUUUAAACUUCAUUUAACUUGCUAUGAGGGAGUUCCACCCUGCCCUCUGAUCAUUUUUUCAGAUACCCUCUUUCAUUUACCUCCACCAUGUUUUAAAUUUCCUUUCAGUACCUGAUGCUUCACUGCUACAUUAAAUAUUGUUUGCACAUUUUUAAACUAUGCACUGCGUUCAAUUUCAAAAAAUGAAAAAAACUAUGCACUACAUUGUAGAAUAUUUUGAUCAUUUUUUGGUAUGUCAGUAUGUUUUUUAUGUUUGUGCUUACAUCAAACAGAAAUAGUUAUUAUGAAGGUGGAAUUGGUUUUUGACCCAUUUUUCUUUUGCGUGUAACUUCUGAAGUUAUUUGGGAUCCAUUAUUUAUAUGUCAAUGAGAGUCUUUGAUGUCUUUCCUGAUAUUGUUUAUGCUUACAUCAAGCAGACAUAGUUAUUAUGAAGGUGGAAUUGGUUUCUAUACCAUUUUCCUUUUUUGUGUAACUUCUGAAGUUAUUUGGGAUCCAUCAUUUAUAUGUCAAUGAGAGUUUUUGAUGUCUUUCCUGAUAUUAAACCUGUCAUUUUUUCUUUAACAAGUCUAAUCUCCUUUAUACCUGGCUUUCUGAUCUUCAAUGAUGCAAACAAUUUCUCUUCAAAAACUUGCACUUACCUAAUUCUUGGUAAGAUAGUCUUACAAUCUUCUAUGCUAAAAGAUGCCUAUUGGUGGUUAGUUUUUUCACCAGGAGGUUGCAUUGGAAGGUACAAGCAUACAUGAUAUUGGUAAAACCAGCAAGAACCAUAUUUUUUUGAAAAUUAUAGCAUAUAUACUAUGUGGGCAGUAUUUUCUUUACAAAAAUAAGCCUCUGUACUUUACAAGGCCUCCAAAGUUGCAAAAUGGAUUCAACACCCUCUACAAGAAACUCUUAACGUCAAAAUAAUAAGUUGUCUGAUCUUAUCUGCAAUAAGAAUGAAGAGCACUCUGUUUAGUUUGGAGCCUGUCCCUAAGAUCGUCUAGACUUAUCCUUAUCUUCAUUGCCUUCUAUUUGCUUGUUAUCUUUGUUCUUCCUAGAACCUGCAUUUGAGAACCUUGUGUUGUUGUCUCAAGUUAAUGUUUAAGUUUUCUUUCCUUACUGCAAUGUAUCAAAAUUCAACUUGUGGUGCUGCUGAAAAUAUUGGAACUGCUGCAAAACCUAAUGGCAUAAUGCAUGAACCUGUACGUGCUGAUAGACCCAAUGCAUUCAGUAACAACAACUCAACUGUUCCCUCUUGCAUACAAACAGCAGUUGAUAUUCCUUCUCAAAUAGCAGGUCCAUCCAUGUUUGAGCUCCCAAACCAUGCUCUUGUUGGGCCUGGGCAUGAAAGUGGUGUUAGAGUGGGUGAAAGUCCCACAUUGUUGGGGAGUGAACUGUCGAUCUUCUUAUAUGGACUUGAGCAAUCCUCCCCUCAUGUGCUAGGUUUUGGGGUUGAGUUACGCCUAAGAUCCUUUCUUUACACAAUCAACCAUCUUUUCUUACAUUAGAAACGGACAGAGCAGCUGUAAAGAAUGUUUUCAACCUGAAGGGGAUCAAGUGGGUAGAACCUGGGAGCAUUAAAAACGUACUAAGCAACUGGAACGGGGAUGUAAAUGUAAUAAAGGAGGAGAGAUGGAAAAUUGUUAAACAUGUAUAUGGUGGACAGUUUGGACAGAAAAAAACAAGGGUUGUUUUGAGGAUGUCCAGAAGAUCAACAUGAAUAGUUUAGCACUUCUUUAUUUUUGGUGUAAACACGAAGAUUAGCUCUAAAAGAAGACAUCAUUGAUGUGCUAGACUGUUUAUAGGCAAUAGAAAGACAAAGUAAGAUGUAAUACUUUUUGAAGGGGGAGAUCAUUCUUGUUGGCUAGGGAUUUCAACAAAGAUGGGAAGAGCUCUAUAUAAAGGAUAGGGAUGACUAAUAUGACAACUCGUUUUUUGGAUGGAACAUAAUUUUUGUUAUAAGGUAUGGAAGAUAUGAAGAUAGGCCAAAAUGUUCUCAACUAACAGACUUUUAAAAUUAAGAGCCAAAGAAUGCUAAACAAUGGGUGUAACUCAAAUCUAUUUGAAUAAAAGGAAUACUAACUCUGAGAGAACAAAACACACUCUCCAGUAUUCCAGUAAAAAUAGUAGAUCUUAAAAUCCCACUGCUAAGCAAAUUAAUUUAAAUGCUGCUUUAGAUUAGAAAUUCACCUUGUUAUAUUAUGUGUUCAGUGAGUUCUCAUUUAUACUGCUCAUCAUAUUUUCUGCACUAUCUUUUCAACAUUUUCUCUGAAGUCUAUAAUUUACUCUUCUUCACUUUGAACUUGGGCUCUGCAGGGCUCUGUAUCUUGGACUUCUAUAUGUUGGUUCACUUGUAGUACUUCUUGUGUAUUCUAUCCUGUAUGGUCUGAUAGAAAAGGAAUCAAACUGGCUUGGGGCUACAACAUCAGCGCCAUGAUAAUCCUUGGUGGUUCAUUUCCUACAUAUAUCUGUCUCUUUUUCUGACUCGUAUUGUGAAAUAAUUUCUUAUUUCUUUGUGGUAAGUAAUGAAUUGACUAGCUUUUCAUUCAAUCAGAUUGGAACUUGGGAGCUUGCUUGUAUGGUUUUAAGCUUCUAAAAAGUCGAUUCGUCGUACUUUUUGUUGCCGGUACAUCUCGGGUGUUCCUGAUCUGUUUUGGAGUUCAUUACUGGUUUGUUGUUAACCCAUGCUAAUUCAUUUUCUUCCAUAAUCAAGUCUUCUUAUACUUAUGGCAUAUGCAUCCCUUUUAAUAUUAUUUGUUGAAACUUCUACUCUUUUGUUAUCAAAAAAAAAUCUUUUAAUCUUUUACUGCAAUAAUUUUGUUUCAGGUACUUUGGACAUUGUAUCAGUUAUGCAGUUGUAGCAUCUGUGCUGCUGGGUGCUACUAUUUCACAACAUUUAUCAGUUACAGACCCAUUAGCAGCUAGACGAGAUGCCUUAAAGAGCACAGUUAUAUGCCUUAGAGAAGGUUUCUGCAGAAAAGACCAAAAUAGCUCCACAAGCUCUUCUGAGGGGUGUGUCUCAAGUAUCAAAUGCAGUAGUAGUGCUGAUGCUGGUCAUCUUGGUAAUGAAACUUUGCCUUGAACUGGUGAUGGCAGUAGCUGGAAUAACAUUGAGGGGAUUAAUAGUGAUAAGAGCAUAGGCAGUGGAAGACCAAGUCUAGCUCUAUGUAGUAGUUCCUGUCGUUCAGUAGUUCAAGAGCCUGAAGUAGGAUCAUCAUAUGUUGACAGAAAUUUAGAGCAUAAUAGUUCAUUGGUUGUUUAUUCUAGCAGUAGCCUUGAAACCCAAGGCAGUGAUUCUAGUACAUCCACUUCUACAAACCAACAGAUACUGGACUUGAAUUUUGCACUUGCAUUUCAAGAAAAGUUGAGUGAUCCCAGGAUUACAUCUAUGUUAAAUCGUAAAGGAAGACACACUGAUCAUUAAUUAGCAAAUUUAUUUCAAGAUAAAGGGCUUGAUCCUAAUUUGCAGUGAUGCUGAAGGAGAAUGGAUUGGACCCAAUGAUUCUAGCCUUGUUGCAGAGAAGUAGUUUGGACACUGAAAAAGAAAAUCGCAACAGUAACCCUCCUGUCACUGAUUCAAAUGAUGUUGAGGAUGUGUUACCUAAUCAUAUUUCAUUCUCGGAAGAACUUAGACUCCAAGGAUUAGGAAAGUGGCUUCAACGUUGUAGAGUAAUGUUGCAUCAUGUAGCAGGAACUCUAGAGCGAGUAUAGCUUCUUUUCAGUUUAAUCUUCAUUUUUGAAACCGUCGUUGUGGCUAUCUUCCGACCAAAGACAAUAAAACUUUUGAAUGCUACACACCAACAUGUAAGAAAUGCAUUAGUGCUUUUAAAUUUCAUUUUAGUGUAUUUGGAGUACGAUGAAUCUAAAAUGUACUCCAUAUGGUUGUAUUUUCCAUUUUCUAACAAAAUUUUGUAACACCCCGCAUUUCGGACGAGAACAAAAAUUGUCAUUUUCUUCACGUAAAGGUUCUAAAAGCCAUAAAUCCAAUGCAAGUUUAGUUAAUAAAUUAUGUAGUGUGGAAACCUAUUUGAGCAUUAAUUGAGAUCAUAGAGGUCCCCAAGCUCAAGGACAAGUUAAAAAGUUUUUCUAUCGUUCAAGUUUUAGUGAGCGUUGAAAUUUAGGUCAACUUCAAUCGACUAUUACUCUUUGCAUAUAUUGAAUUAGAGUUCCUACUAUAUACCAAAUGAAAGGUAUUCGAAUUAUUUUUCCAAUGAUACCAAUUUCUGAAAAUUCUGACACCCAAUGAAGAAGUUAUGGCUUUGGAAAGUGGAGUGUGUAGUGCAGCAUAAAGUGUGCGAUGCCCACCCUAACUUAUCCCAUAAGGUGUGCGACGCACACCCUAACUUAUUCCAUAAGAUGUACGAAGCACAACCUAAUGUGUGUGAUAAAGAGUGCGCUGCACAACCUAUAUUAUGCGAUAAGGUUUGCGCCGCAUAAAUUAUUACUCAACUGACUUAAACACUCCAUUUUGAGGCAAAAUGGUCCUUUUUCCACCCUUAUUUAGCCAUAAACACGAAAUUUAGUUCCCAAAAAAUACCAAAAUACACCUUUAUUCAUCAAAAUUGCUCAAGAACUCUCCUUAGAUUUUCAAAAUAAAAACCCAAGCAACUCAAGAUUCAACCGUGGGCUUUUGAAACUAAUUGCAUAUUUGGAAUCUCCAGAAUGUAGGCUUCAAGAAGCACCUAUCAUCUUCGCAUAUAGAGGUACGUGGGGUUAUCUCAAAAAUCUCAUGGACUUAAAAAUUUAUGUUUUAAAAAUAGGGGUUUUGAAAUUAUGAAUAUCAUCCCGUUUUAAACAUUUUAUGAUAUUGAUUUGGUCUUUAGGCCUAUUCUCGAAGUGGUUUGAUAAAUGAUAUAUGUAUAUGCAUGUAUUCUGAAAAGAUGUUAACUUGAGAGCAUGAAUUAUAUGAAAUCCCUCUUUUUAUAUGAUCUGGUUUUAAAUUCUCAUAUGAUAUGAAAUGUUUGAAAUCAUCUGGACAAGCGUGACAUGAAAUAUUUUGAAAAUGGUCAUGGUUUUGACUUGCAAUGAGAGGGUUGUAAUGUUGAAAUAUGAUGAAUAUAAUGGUUGUAUGAAAGAAUGAUGUGAUAUUGAUGGCUUGCAAGUCGGGUAUGAUGAUACCCUAUAGAAUAAGAUAUGUGAUUGAAUUAAAUGGAGUUUGAUGCAUUGAUUUUACAUGAGAUAGGUGGAUGUUCGAAGAAGGCGUUUGAGUGUAAGGGCUCAUCGCUGGAAACCAUGUUUGCCGACAUGGGGAUUUGGUACCAGGCUAAGUGAUCUUGUAUACUUGACCUUAUGUCAUUCCCAAAUUAGGACUAUGGUUAGGAGUCCAGGCUAAGUGAUCUUGGGCACUACUAUACUUUAUUAGGUCGAGGUGAUCUUGUGCGUCUUCCCCUCACUUAUACUCUAAUCUCGGUGGCAACCGAGAUUUGAUAGUGGGUGUAAAUGUUAUAUGUAGGGUAUAACACCUAGCUCAGCUGCAUUACAUUGUUGUUGAAAACUAUUACAUUAUGCCUAUGUGUUUUCAAAUGAUUUGAUAUGGAACUGCUUUAUAAUAGUUCUCACCUAUAUUUGGAGAAAAAUAUUAUAUUUUGUUUUUGGUUCUCUGCGUACUAGUACCUUUGUAUUGACCCCCUUUCCUCCUAGGUUUGGAGGCAUAGUUUAGGGGUCCAGAUAACCAGUACAUCUCUUCCGAAAGAUUCGCAGAAUAAAGUGGUGAGCCUUCUAUAUUUCGGAAGGCCUGAUGUUUGUCAGUUCAUUUAUUAUUUAGUAGUUUUGGGUCUACUGGGGGCCUUGUCCUAGUUUUCAGAUAGUAAUUUGUUUUAAUCAUGUAUUAGAGAUUUUGCAGAUGGUUGUUUAGAUGCUGAUAUAUGUUGUGCGAUAUUAUUUCCCCUUUGUUGAUUUCAUUUGAUUUAUGACCAUGUUUUUUGUAAUAUUGUGUAUCUUCCGCAUAUCUUAUUAUCAUAUGAAUUAUGUGCAUGAUUAACAGAUAGAUAGGGGUGUUUCGGGCUUCCAUGAUUCAGAAUACUCAUCACGGCUAGGGCCUUGGUUCGGGUCAUGGAAAACUUGGUAUCAAAGCAUGGUUCAUGGUCCUAGGGUGUCUGUGAAAUCGCAACGGGUAGAGUCUUAUUUAUAGGUGUGUAGCACGCCACACUUAUAAGCAGGAGGCUACUAGGCGUUUAGGAAUGUCUCUCUCUUUUCAUGUUCUAGUUUAUGCAAUAGAGUAAGAAUGUUCCUCUUUUAUACUCUAAUUCGUGCUAUGGUGUCGCCCAUACGAAAGUAAAAAAAAAGUCAUCCCAAAUUCUUUCCUUACUCUAAUGUCCUCAGAUAUGUCUCAUUAUUGAGGUGAUUCAAGUACAGAAGUUUAGAAUAUAAAUGGUAUGGUCCUUUCUAAUUGAACCAUAUAAGAGUUAAAAUUUGUGCAAGGACUUGAGAAGAGUCUGUUACUGCUUCAAUGUGUAUUGAUUCCGAUGUAACCAUUGAUCUUGAUGGAAUCGUGCUUUUCAUCUUGAGGUCUUAAUUGUAUUUAGUCCCUUUCAAAUUUAUGUUACAAAUGUCUUGCUUAAGGGGGCGGGGGAUGAUGUGUAGUAGAAUAUUGGAACUGUAUUUCCACCCGAAUAGUAGUAUGCAUUAAAGUGUUGUUGUCAUGACCUAUUGGUAGUGAAAUUAGACCAAGAAGUUGGUGAUGUGAAGUCACAAAGUUAAAAGUCGGAGCAAGGGUGACUUUUGUGUAAAUGAAUAUUUUAGUUGAAUAACCGAUGUUCGAGAAUGAUUUACCGCCUUAUGGUGAUAGACUAAUGUGGUAACUAGCAGCAUGUGUGGAUGGUAUGGUAGUCCGUGGAGGAGGUGUUUGACUUUGAUUUUAUUUAUACAGAGUAAGAUGUGUAUUCUUAGUUCAUUGGAUAUUGUGUAUUAAAUUUCUAUCUCACGUAAUCUUGUCAUCAAGGUGUUGUUGAAAAAAAUAAAGUCAAGUGAAGCUCUGUGGGGCUCAUCCAAUACAAUAGCAUAGUUGACUUGUCAUUCAUCUCAUUUUCUUGUUCAAAAUACAAAAUCAAAGUCUAGUGAAGUUGUGUGAGGCCUAUUUCGAUUCACUAGCAAGUUGUUGUCCAACUUGUUGUUCUUGUGUUGGUUUAACAUAUAUAUAUAGCUGAAUCUUUUUGCUUGAGAUUGAGUUGGUAAAGAGGUGAUUUGUCCUUGUGUGUUAGUUUAGUAGAAGGUAGAGAAGAAGUUGUUAGUUAGGGUGAUUUCUUGAUUGCUUGAAGUGUGAAAAUGGCUAUAUUAGCCAGUAAGUUGUAAGUAUUGACUCAUGGUUGUUUGUGGAAUUUGAAGGUAGUCUACAUGUAUGUUUGGGUAAGUAAGUAUUAGGUGAGAAAUCCGUAUAAGUAGAAAAAAUUGUAUGGGGUUAUAAUAUAAGAUUAAGGUUGAUCAUGACUAUUAUGUAACUUUACCCCUUGACCUUCUUUUCGUUGGUAAUUGUAAACUAGUACUACUUGUGAGAAGGUAUGUAGUAAUUUUUGAGGUACUUGUAUAGUAUGUCCCAAAUUUUAUGGACUACCAUAUUAUGUUGCAUUGUUCAGUAGUGAUAGAUGAUUGGUACAGGACUAUAUGCUUGAAUUUAAUUUAGAAUGUGGUGGUAAAAAUAGUGGCAUAAGAUUAAUGAUGUAUGUUGUUUGGAAGUUCUAGUGUACUAGUCUUCCUUGAUGUCUAUUUUAUGGUAUCCAAGUGAGAAUCAUGCGUAAGGUUGGGUUGUAAAAUGAUGUUUAGCACUAGACAUUAAGUUUUGAACAAUUGAUGUCCAUGAAGGUGGAUGUGAUGAUUUCUUGGUUAAUGAUACUAGUUUUAUGGAAGUAAUCUAAUAGGCUUAAACGAUAUAUGCAAGAGAUUAAGUUUAUUUGAUUCGUAGUGAAGUAUAAUGUUGCAUAUAUAAUGUAGAAGUAUGUCCAAGGUGAUCUGACGUUGCGGUAUUUUAUAAGACUAUUACACAUUUCUGUGACGAGUGGUACCGUUGAGUUGCUAGGUGGAGAAAGACUAGUUAGAUGGUAUAUGGUGUUCGAAAUAGCCAAGUUAAGGAGUUUUGAUUGAUAGUGUUGAGCCUUUUUAUAUGAUCUUGAUUCUCAUAGUAGAGAGAUGUAAGUUUGGAGUCGCGAUAUUUGUAGGCUAUGUCAGAAGUAGUAUGAUUCAUUGAAGGCUUGAUGAUAUCCAUGUUGAGUGAUAGAUUCUAAGUUUGAGUUUUUGAAGGUUGGACUAAUAGAAAUAAGAGUUAAAGCACUAAAAGGUGUGCAUUCCUACUCUGGGGAUACCCAUGAAGACCCGAAGUUAGUAAGUAUGCAAGUAUUAUAUGAUGACAACUGGGUCUAUAGAAUGAUAAAGUGUAUCUCAGAAGGUAGUAUUAACAGUGGGUUUUCCACUUUCAGGUGUAGUCAUUUGGGUUAAGUUCCAUGAUAUGCGUGUAUAGUAGUUUUCCAGACCCCAGAGUGCAGUGAGUGUACUUCAGUUUAGAGUCUAGUAAGGUAUCUCCCAAACUUAAUAUGAUGGCUUGAAGCUAAGGGGGAGAUGAUAGAGCGAAUAACCAAGUCAAGCUUUCAGAUUAUAGUACUGAUGUUAGUAUGACAUAGAACAUUAGAAGGGAAGAGUGAGGUUCAACCUAUUCCGGUCUCAGUAUUUGUCGGUUAUCCUAAUACCUACUUAUACCUCACGUUUCAGUUCCAUGAUUAUAGUUUUGCAUUAACAGACGUGCUUUUUUACACCCGAAGAAAAGAUACUUAGGCCAUCAGUAGCUAUUGAACCCAAGCCAUAAGGUAAAGAUGCUUAUCAUUUUGUCCAUUCUCAUCUAACGUUGUGAUAGGUCAUCUAUUUCCUCUCUCUUUUUAUUCUCGUUUCAAGAUUUUUAUUUAUUAGAUGAAGAAAAGGGUUUCAUGUUACUAUGUGGUUUGGCUUCAAAAUUCUUUCCUUGUCCUUCAAAUUAAUUUAGGGAGUUGCCCAUGGAGCUUUCAACAUUAAUUGGAAAAUUAACUAAAUAUGAUUGAAUAGUAGCUAUAUUCUGAUUUCAUCUGUUCUUCCUUGCAUGGAUAUUGGUUGAGAAGCCUCUUAUACCUCCUCUGGCUGGUCCUUCUCCUGGUGCUAUUCCAUCUAUGUCACUGCAGGUAAAGUUGUGGAGGCUUAGGGCAGGGAUAAAUGACUUUUGAAUGUAGAGACCUUAUGAUAACUAUUUUCCCCACAUCUUUAGCAGUUCUAGCCUAUGGUUCCAGCCCAGUAGGCAAAACCUUAUGGUUCCGGGUCAUCUCAACAAUUUCUGCCACUUGGACAUGCAAAUGUUGCGAUGUCUCAACCUUCUCAAAUCCAAUUUCCUCAACCUAUGCAACAGGUUACUGGCAGACCUAUUGUAGGAAUGCAUAGUAUGCCUUAGGGACCACCUAUUCCCCAUGAUUUUCAGCGGAAUCUUCCGAUGUCAAAUAACCACAUGCCUGGUUCUGGUGGCCCAAAUUUACAUCUUUCUUCUUCAUAUAAUGUAAGGUCUUGGGAAGAUAUUUUGUGGUUAUUGUCAAUUAGUUUCUGAUGUUCCAUUCAUAAAUUGAUGAAAUACAUUUUUGUUAUCGUCUUUAACAGAAGGUAAAUGCAGAUUCUUCUGGCUCCCAGUAUCAGACACAGAUAAAUGAUCAUAGGUUUCCAUCAGGGGUACAACCCUGGAUGCCAAUAAUUAAUCAUAAUGUUAAUUCUGCGACAACUAUGAAGAAGACUGGAGAAUUAGUAGCUCCCUUGGUUUUUCCGGUGAGAAUUCAAUGUGUUUUAUUGUACCCGUUUUGCAUAAAUAUUGUCAACAAGUAUGCUUAAAUUAACGGGUUAAUGGGUGUGUGCUGACUGAGAGAGUCAACAUUUGUGUUCUAUGAUAGUUUUUUGUGAGCAAAUUAAGAUUCUAGUGAACAAAAAAGGUGUAAAACCACGGUAUACCAGAAAAGGAGCUCUGCAAAAAUAUCAUUUUCAUUCAGAUCCAAUCUUUUUACCACUUUGUGUUCUCCAGACAGAAAAAAGAGCAUGCCGAUUUGGCUUUCUGGAAUUCUUGCUUUUGGAUUAUAUUCACAUAAGUUUCUCAUAUGAAUAGGUUAAUGUCUGCAUCACAAACACCUAAUGUCUUUUCUAUAAACAAGUAGUGGAUAUGUUGACCCCAUCACUGCCAAGAAAUCCCUCAAGUAUCCACAGCUAGUGCUUUGUACAUCAUUCUGCUUCCAUUAGCACUGGAGAUAAUAGGCCCCUUUGUUUCAGUCCUCUUUGUCAAAGUUAUCAUAUGGGCUACCGUUCACCGCUACCAAAUUCUACCUGACUUUUGAUCAGCAGAACUUCAUACACCUCUACCAAUAACUUCAUUUUGACCCUAUUUCUCUAUUAUCAUACAUAUUUUACAUAUGGCUAAAUGCUAGUAGCUAUUGCUAUUUUCAGCAUCUUUUGAUGAUCAGUAGGCCAAUUAUGGUUGCUAAUGUUGUCAUAUUUCCUAUGGCUUUAUUACUCCAACCAAUUAAUAACAUUCUUACAAUUCUUGAUUUGAUUUUUAGAUACUUUUAUAAUAGAAGGACAAGAAUCUCUAUCUGGGAGAAACCUUGAGAGCUGAUGAUAGAAAUGGAUGUGAGGUCUCGUGUCAUCGAGAUUUUUAUGGGUAGUUUUAUCCAGUUUCCUGUGCUUAUCAAUGAAAAAAGAAGUACACAAUUCUUUUUCUAUGAAUCUUCGUAGAACCACUUUUUCUUUCCUAAGUAUAUGUUAUUUCUGUUGAAAGUUUGUUUAGCGAGCAGAUUUCCUCGAUCUUACUAUACUAUGUAGGCUUCAUUUGGGAUUUGCAUUGACCUUUUAUUUCCAAUAUAGUUCUAAAAGACUUUAUAUUUAACACUAUUGUUCUAAAAAAUGUGUUUAAGCAUACACGACAGGAUUAUAUUUGGUCUAUUUUAAACAAUUUUAUUUACUUUCUGAUUAAUGUAAUGUUAUUGUAACUCUAUGGCGAUGUGGAGAGAGGAAACUUGAUAUAAUAUUGUGGUUCACACUUCUUAUUCUGGUUUACAGAAUAAUAGUUUGGUUGGUUGCACACUUGCACCCAAGAUUGUGACCUAGUGGUCAAUGAAGUAGAUUGAGAACCAUGAGGUCUCAGGUUUAAUUUCCAACAGAGAUAAAAACACUAGGUGAUUUCUUACCGUCUGUCCAAGCCUUGAUGGAUAGAGUUACCCAAUAUCUGUGCUGGUGGGAGGUAGUAGUACCUGGUGUAACUAGUCAAGGUGAAGGUUGGCCCAAACACGAAGUUUAUCAAAGAAAGUUUGGCUGGUCGUGAGGGACAAGUAUUAAGGGACCAACAACUGGAGCUGUAAGGAAGUUUGAACAUUUUUAUUCUUUUCUUUUUAAGAUAAACAGUUUUUUUCCGGAGAUAUUACUUUGUAUUCGUCAGCAUUAAGGUUAUGCUAGCAGUCCAAAAGAAAUGAAAAAUAAUGAAAAUAAUGUGAGGAUUCGAAGAGAUCUACUACCUGUUAUGCAUUCUAUACACAUUGGCCCUUAAACAAAAAACAAUAAUCUAUAAUGCUAUUCCAUUUAACUUUCUGAAUAGAAUUAUAUUUAUCUUCAAACUACCUUCAAAUUUUCUCACUCCAUACAGUCCACCAAAUACAAGGAAGGAUUAUUCUCCCCCAUUUCUUCUAACUCUUACUAAUCCCCUCUAAUCCAAUAGGUCAACAGAUUGUUGUGUGUCCUCUGAUAGUCCACUUUACUUCAACUCAGUAGAUCUGGCAUGUGUUCUGGCAUGGUCCACUUUACUUCUAUUAAACUAAAGGUUUCAAAAGGGCGGGGUUGGCUGGAUUUGGGCGGAUCAAAGAGGUCUGAGUUAACAAAUGGUCGGAUUAUUAACCCGCCCUAAAGCUACUUAGGCUGAAAUGGGUUGGGUUGAAAUGCUCUAAAAUGCGGGUCGUAACCCAACCCACCUAAUUUGAACCCAAAUUUAAUUGCUUUAUUUGUUAUUUUAUAAACUUUAAGUACUUGAAAAAUUAUUAUCUUUUUUUUUUUAACUUGGUAACUUUGUAUUAUAUCACAUAGUACAUGGGUUGUACUGAAACCUUUAUAUACAAGAGUACUCCUAAAUUAACUCUUCUAUAUCUAAAUUUAGUCUAGAACAUUAAUUAUCGAGGCAAUAUCAUUAGAGUGUAGUUGAUUACACCAAAAACAUAAAAGCAAAAUGCAGUUGAGUUUAACCUUCUGCACACUAUUCUUUAUGCUCUCAAAACAUCUAGAAUUCCUUUCUUUCCAUAUAGCCCACCAUAUAGCACCAAGGAUAAUUCUCCAUCUACCUCUGUCCUUCGUAUGUACACCUGCUUCUCCCAGCACAUUAAAGUCUUGGAUACUUUCCUAGGCAUUGUCCUGGAAAUGCCUUUUAUUCUUAAGACGAUUCUCCAAAGUUGUUAGGUGUACUUACAAUGUAGAAAUACAUGGUUAACCGUCUCUAAAGUUUCUCCACAGAGGAAACAUCUGGAGCAUAAGGUUUUCCCUUUUUUCAUGACAUUAUCUUGUGUUAGAACUACUUCCUUGGUCAGUAACCAUACAAAGACAAAGCACGACACUGUGUGAGGUAUCCUAAUUUUCCAUAUUUGCUUCUAUGGCCAUAUUGGAUCUGGGCGAUUUAUUUGGUUCAUCAUCUUGUAGGCUUUAUUGACACUGAACAUUCCUUUUUUGAUUUCCCAUCCACCACAGUACGUCCUUCCCUGUCUGUAGUCCAUUGAAUAAGUCCACGGUAUUAAAAAAUUCAACUACUCUCAUUACCUCCCGGUCAUUAAUUUGCCUUCUGAAAUUGAAGUUCCAUCCAUGUGGUGUCCAUAAUUCUGCUGUAGUCCUCUAUUGAAACAAACCAAGUUGUAGAUAUCUCAAAAAGUCACUUCCAUAUUCCCAUCCUCAUGUCAAUUAUCCUUCCAAAACCUAGUCUUGUUUCCAUCCAUCACUUUAACCUUUGAGUUGCUUUUAACUUCAUUCCACUAGUGUCUAAUAGAUCUAAUAGAUCUCUAGAGGCUAACCCCGUAUGGUGUGGUCACUUCUUUAGUCAUCCAUCUAUCUUCUUCAGGAUAUUUUGCCCCAAUCACUUUCCUCCAUAGCAGCUGGUUAUUAUUUGCAUAUUUCCACAACCAUUUCAUCACGAGAGCCUUACUUUGAAUUUUUAGGUUCUUUAUCCCCAAUCCUCAAGUCUUCUUGUCAAUUGUCCACCAUAGAGAGCACUACCACUCUUUCUCGCAUAUCUUUGUUCCUUAUUCUAUUGCUCUUAGUAUGCCCCCACACCAAUCUCAACAUCAUAAUUUCUGCUACAUUUAUCUUUCGAACAUACGAGCUCUUGACCAGCCAAACACUCUGCCCCAUGAAAGAUAGCUAGUAUAACAACCACUUUAUAAAUUUACCUUUAAGUUUAUUUCAAAAAAUUUCUUUUACAUGGCAAGUUAGUCACUAGCUCUUUUGCAAGAGCUAAUUGGGACAAAAAAUACAUAAUCAGAAAUUGAUUCAUAGAAAAAAAGCAUAAUUGUAGUUUAUGAGUUUCAAACGUGUCCAAAUGGAAAAAAAUUAUGAAAAUUAUGGUGGGGCUGUGUUGAGUGUGGAACUUAGAACCUUAGUACAGGAUUUGAACACUCUUACUAUUACACUCAGUCUUGUUUUUUGUGGCAAGGGUGUUCAUUAAAAAGUACUUAGAAAUGACAGAAUUUGACCUAUAUAUAUAUAUACACAAAAUACGAUUAUCAGGCGAAUGUUGUUUAGUUGAUCACCCUUGGAUAGCUAUAGCUCGACCGUAGCUUGUCAAUGUUUCCACCCUGCUUGUAGUUAUAUUCUACACAGUAUAUUCUAGUCCUUUUCCAUGUGGGACAUUAUAUCAUUCAUAUUCUAACACUUCCAUCCAGUAUUGUACUGCUGGAAGUUACUGAUUUCUACUCUCAGGGUACUGUUUAUGUUCUAUUUUUUGACUUGACCUGCUUUUAUGCUGUUUUCAUUGGGACAGAGGGUAGACGCAUCAACUGACUGGAGAGAAUUUAUAAGUCCUAAGGGAAGAAAGUGUGUAACUUAUAUAUUUUCUUGGCCUCUUUCCAAUUGUUCUUCUACAAUGUGUACUUUUGUGAGUUACUUAUGCAUAAUGCUGAUUGCUUUGUUUGUUUUCUGUAGGUAUUACUACAACAAGGUUACUAGAACGUCCAAAUGGAGAAUGCCUAAUGAAGUCAAGGUAAUGUUAGAUUUAAAUCCAAUAUGGGUUUGUUUUGUGCUUUAAAUAGCAUGAUAAGAAGGGAUUGUUCUGUGCUUUAAAUAGCAUGAUAAGAAGGGACAAUAUUCUGUUUUCUUGGAUGCUCUAGUUCUCAUAAAAUCUUUAUGAAUUCACAGAGCAUUGUAAGAAGGGGAAAUAUUCUAUUUUAUUGGAUACUCUAUUCUCAUAAAGUUCAAUUAUUUAUGAAUUCACUGUUGGCUCGUGAAAAGGACACCAUUUCGCACGCUUCUAAUUUUGGAUCCAUUUUUGUUGUUAAAAUAUCAUCCCCGGGUGCAGAUGGUUCAUUAGUCUCGGCACACGGUGCUAAAUCAAGCCCAACUGUUGUGUCACCAGCUGCUAACUUACCAACUAUUUUGGAUUCAGAGUCAUCAAGUUUAUCUGGUAAGGUUUCUUCUCCGAUGAUUAAAACAGUCAAAAUGAAGAAUUCUUUAGAACCUGCUUGGCCAGCUAUUGCUAAUUCGGAGAAAAUUGGAAUAGCAGUAACCUUGGGAAAUUCUAUCAUACCACUGGUGUAUGUUUUCAGAUUUAUAUGUUAUAAAUUUACCUCUUGUUUGUGUUGCUUCUUAUUUGGAAUUCAAUUUUUCUGUAGUUCUGAGACUACUACAACUCAAGAUGCAAUAGUGUAUGGUGAUGGAUUUUCAUCGGUGAAUAGAGAGGUACCUUGUCCUUCUGAAAUACUUAUGUGAUUAGUUAAUCACUACUAGUUACUGGUUAAAACACCAAGAAAGCUUUUCAUAGUUGUUAUGCUGGAUGUUGAUCCAACAAUUUUGUAGUGCAGUUGUUAGUCAACUGCUAAAAGGUGAAGAAUAUGCUCUAAAUUCCAAUGAGGUUUGCUUUUUCCCUUUGUGCUUGAUGUUGUACCUAAAAUGCAGAAUGUCAAGAAAGAUGCUGCAAUAACUGAAAUCAGAGGUGCUACUCCUAUGAGAAAAUAGUCGAGCUGGGACCAUUAGUUUUUAAGAGCAAAGAGGUAUAGUUGAUUAUAGAUUUUUGUCCUGUUUAAUGUAUGUUCUCGAAAUUUCUCUUAUUUCUAUUUUAAGUAUCUAAUUUUAUUUAGGAGGCAAAGAGUGCAUUCAAAACUCUUUUGGAAUCUGCAAAUAUUGGGUCUGAUUGCACGUGGGAUCAGGUUUAUUACUUGACUGUUUUGUGCGUACCAAACAAUUGAGGGAGAUCAUUUGACAUGAAUUGUAUUUGUUAGGCCAUGAGAGCAGCAAUUAAUGACCGAAGAUAUGGUGCUCUAAAAUCCCUUUGUGAGCAAAAGCAAACUUUUAAUGAGGUAUCUCUCCAAGUCGGCAUUGGAAUGGGUUAGUUGCUGCUUCAAUGUUUUAGCAUACCGUAUUGCAAAAAGAUAGAUUGUCUUUGAUAUCCAAUUGUUUCAUGUUUGGUUGACUUAAAUAUUUUGGAAAAUGUUUUCCAAAUCAACUUAUUUAACUUAAAUUUAGGGAAAAUGAAUUCCCUUCAAAAAGUAGGAAAAACAUUUUCCAAAACUCUCUUUCAAUCUCACUCUUAAGUUGAAAUGUUUAUACAACUCUCAAAUGUAUUUUCUGAAAAAUAUUUUUUUAUUCACCAACCAAACACUGCAUUUUCUGAAAAAUGUUUUCCUUUCAUCAACCAAACAUAAGAAAACAAGUAAGAAACAAACCUGUUUUCUAGGAAAACAUUUUCCUUCAUACCAAACACAGCCAAGGUCUAUAGUGAUCAUUUUGAAGUUGUGUGUGUGUUCUAGUAUCUGAGAAAGAAAAAACUGGAAGCUGAAGAGAGGCGUGAUAAACAGAAAAAAGCUCGAGAAUAUUUCAGGAUAAUGUUAGAAGUAAGUGAAAUUUUCUUUUGUGGGUGUCUUCCAUUUGAUAUAUCAUAAUAUUCACAUUACCAGUUUCAAAAAUAAAAAGAUAUUAUCAUAAUAUUCAUGAUGUGUUAGAGACUGGUAUUUGACUUGUUCAAAAGAAUAAGUGGUAUUUUUCACAACAAUGUCCGUUGUUCUCAAUCUUAUCGGAUUGCAAGGAGCUGUCACCAUCGUCAAGAUGGAGAUUUGUCUUUCACUUGUAAUGUUAAGUUGUUUGCUGCUUGUUUUCUAAUCUUGGUAAUUGUUUGUAUGUGUUUUGGUACCUUGAAGUUGAUCCAUUACUUGUGUAAGUUCCAUUUGAUCCACUAACUAUUUGCUAUUGAUUAUUCUGUAAGGUAAUCUCCAUAUUCGAACAUGACGAACGUUUAUAGCUGUUGAGCGAGCUAAAGACCGUGAGGACAUUUUUGAAAAUUAUGUGGAGGAAAUUGAGAAAAAGGUGAAGCUCCUAUUGCAGAACUUUCUUGUAAGCUUCUAUAUGUUAAAAACUAAGUGUGCGGACUGUAGUUUUCUUAUAUGGUCUUUGGCUCCUGACAAAUUGAGUUAGCCUUUCAUUUGAGAUAGAAACAAUGUCCAAUUUCUUAAACAUGGUAUUAGAGGCAAUCUAUCUUGAUGUUAGACUAUUAGAUGUUAGCCAACCUAGGUUAACUGAUGCUACAAAUGUCUCGUCUUGGUGUGUGAUUAAUGUAUGAGAAUCCCACANNNNNNNNNNNNNNNNNNNNNNNNNNNNNNNNNNNNNNNNNNNNNNNNNNNNNNNNNNNNNNNNNNNNNNNNNNNNNNNNNNNNNNNNNNNNNNNNNNNNNNNNNNNNNNNNNNNNNNNNNNNNNNNNNNNNNNNNNNNNNNNNNNNNNNNNNNNNNNNNNNNNNNNNNNNNNNNNNNNNNNNNNNNNNNNNNNNNNNNNNNNNNNNNNNNNNNNNNNNNNNNNNNNNNNNNNNNNNNNNNNNNNNNNNNNNNNNNNNNNNNNNNNNNNNNNNNNNNNNNNNNNNNNNNNNNNNNNNNNNNNNNNNNNNNNNNNNNNNNNNNNNNNNNNNNNNNNNNNNNNNNNNNNNNNNNNNNNNNNNNNNNNNNNNNNNNNNNNNNNNNNNNNNNNNNNNNNNNNNNNNNNNNNNNNNNNNNNNNNNNNNNNNNNNNNNNNNNNNNNNNNNNNNNNNNNNNNNNNNNNNNNNNNNNNNNNNNNNNNNNNNNNNNNNNNNNNNNNNNNNNNNNNNNNNNNNNNNNNNNNNNNNNNNNNNNNNNNNNNNNNNNNNNNNNNNNNNNNNNNNNNNNNNNNNNNNNNNNNNNNNNNNNNNNNNNNNNNNNNNNNNNNNNNNNNNNNNNNNNNNNNNNNNNNNNNNNNNNNNNNNNNNNNNNNNNNNNNNNNNNNNNNNNNNNNNNNNNNNNNNNNNNNNNNNNNNNNNNNNNNNNNNNNNNNNNNNNNNNNNNNNNNNNNNNNNNNNNNNNNNNNNNNNNNNNNNNNNNNNNNNNNNNNNNNNNNNNNNNNNNNNNNNNNNNNNNNNNNNNNNNNNNNNNNNNNNNNNNNNNNNNNNNNNNNNNNNNNNNNNNNNNNNNNNNNNNNNNNNNNNNNNNNNNNNNNNNNNNNNNNNNNNNNNNNNNNNNNNNNNNNNNNNNNNNNNNNNNNNNNNNNNNNNNNNNNNNNNNNNNNNNNNNNNNNNNNNNNNNNNNNNNNNNNNNNNNNNNNNNNNNNNNNNNNNNNNNNNNNNNNNNNNNNNNNNNNNNNNNNNNNNNNNNNNNNNNNNNNNNNNNNNNNNNNNNNNNNNNNNNNNNNNNNNNNNNNNNNNNNNNNNNNNNNNNNNNNNNNNNNNNNNNNNNNNNNNNNNNNNNNNNNNNNNNNNNNNNNNNNNNNNNNNNNNNNNNNNNNNNNNNNNNNNNNNNNNNNNNNNNNNNNNNNNNNNNNNNNNNNNNNNNNNNNNNNNNNNNNNNNNNNNNNNNNNNNNNNNNNNNNNNNNNNNNNNNNNNNNNNNNNNNNNNNNNNNNNNNNNNNNNNNNNNNNNNNNNNNNNNNNNNNNNNNNNNNNNNNNNNNNNNNNNNNNNNNNNNNNNNNNNNNNNNNNNNNNNNNNNNNNNNNNNNNNNNNNNNNNNNNNNNNNNNNNNNNNNNNNNNNNNNNNNNNNNNNNNNNNNNNNNNNNNNNNNNNNNNNNNNNNNNNNNNNNNNNNNNNNNNNNNNNNNNNNNNNNNNNNNNNNNNNNNNNNNNNNNNNNNNNNNNNNNNNNNNNNNNNNNNNNNNNNNNNNNNNNNNNNNNNNNNNNNNNNNNNNNNNNNNNNNNNNNNNNNNNNNNNNNNNNNNNNNNNNNNNNNNNNNNNNNNNNNNNNNNNNNNNNNNNNNNNNNNNNNNNNNNNNNNNNNNNNNNNNNNNNNNNNNNNNNNNNNNNNNNNNNNNNNNNNNNNNNNNNNNNNNNNNNNNNNNNNNNNNNNNNNNNNNNNNNNNNNNNNNNNNNNNNUGAAAUAGGUUGCUAAUAGGAGUAUUGAAUUGUGUCAACUACAUUUGUUACACUAAGCCAUAUUUAUAGACUUUACACUACAAUCCCUUUUCAUUUGCUUUCACUUAAUGAAGGUCUGAAUCUGAAUGGUUAAGAUAUCAGCCCAUUAAGUACUUUUUUUAAAAAAAAGAUUCAACCUGUUAAUACAUCUUAAUACAUCUUGAUGAAUCAGAUGUUAAACAAAGUCUGAAAAUCAUUCAGAUCCUCACUAAAAAGUUCAAUUCAUUAGGUAAAAAAUAAAGUUAGUGCAUUACUAUGUGGGAAUAUACUGGGUUUGUUGUUGUUGUUGUAGUGCAUUAAAGAAUAGAACAUACUUGGUAGGAUAAAAUCAUGAGAUUGAGAUUUGAUAGUUACCCCUCUGCUUUCUUUAUUUUUUUGAAAAACACAUAUUUUGUGAGAUAAGAACAAUGACCGGUUGUUCCUAUUAAACAUCUAUGUUGUUUCUCUUUAUGCCAAUUAGUUUCCUCUUUUUUUUUACUAGAUAGUAGUUAUUUAGGCUGAUAGGAAUGGUAUUGUCGUAAACUUUUAAGUUAGGGGUUCCAUGCUUUUAAUGUAGUAUAGAUAUAGAUGAUUCUUUCAAUCUAGCCAAGCUGUAUUAAAUGCUACUUCACGGACAAUUGUAAUUGACUUCUCCUCCGUUGAAUGCUGUUAAUGGUUAUAUUACCUUAAUUAUUAUAGUUUCUCGAGCAGAACAACUCUGAGAAGUGAUUUAUGAAAAAACAUAUAAAUAAUUAUAAUAGAUAUGUAUAUUGGUUCGGUUUGGUUAUUUUGUCGGUUAUUUUAGAGUAAAACCAAACCAAACCAAACCAAAUUAGUAUCGGUUUUUUAAAAUUCAAAUCCAAACCAAACCUAACCAAAUAUAGGAUUUUUUUUAAUUGGUUUGGUUUGGAUCGCGGUUCAGUUUGGUUAAAAACCAAACCGUGAACACCCCUAGUUGGCGGUGGAUAUAAUUGGUGUUUCUCAAUAUCUGAAUGUGAAAAAUUUAUUUAUUUCUAAAUAUAAUAUAAUUAUAUAUUAGAAUUUUUUUUAAUUUAAUGCAAUUAAAUUAUUAUUCGAUUAAUAAAAUAAAUAUUUAUGUUUGUUAUUGAUAGUGGAGAUGGUUUGUAAUGGUGGUGGUGGUUGUAAUAAAUUAAUUGAUGUUAGUGAUUAGCAAUGUUGGUGAUGAUAGUUGUGAUAGUAGAGAUAGUUGGCAUUGUAGUAACUGUCAUUAUUGGCGAUUGGUAGUGCUGGUGGUGGUUGUGAUGUGAAGUUGGUUAAUGUUUGUAGUUGGAGGUGUUGAUCGUGGUAACGGAAAACUGUAUGCAUGAUGGUUGAUGGUGUGUUCGUGGUCGUUGGAGACGCUAUUAGCUAUGAUGGUGAAAUGGUUGUUAGUAUAGAUAUUGUAGCGAGUGUAGCGGAUGAUGGUGGUAGAGGUGGUGACGCCGGUGACAGUGGUGGUGAUGGUGUCCGAAGAAUGUGUGGAAGUGAUGAUGUGUUAGUGGUUGUUAGCGAUGUGUGGAAGUUGAUGAUGUGUUGGUGGUUAUUAGUGGUAGUGCUAGUUCUAGUUUUGACAUAUGAGUUGGUUGGUAGUCGGGAUCGACCGGUAGCAGUUGAUGGUGGCGGUGUUGGAGGUAGGGGUGUUCAUGGGUCGAUAUGGGUCAGUUAUUGGUCAAAACCAUAACCAAACCAACUUAAUCGAUUUAAAUUUUUAAAACCAAACCAAACAAAAUAAGAAAAUAACCAUCGGUUUGGUUCAUGUCGGUUUAGUUUGGUUUGAUUCGGGUUUUUUGAUUUAUAACUUUAGUUAAUGAUAAAAGUUGAAAAAGGUGAAGCUCCUAUUGCAGAACUUUCUUGUAAGCUUCUAUAUGUUAAAAACUAAGUGUACGGACUGUAGUUUUCUUAUAUGGUCUUUGGCUCCUGACAAAUUGAGUUAGCCUUUCAUUUGAGAUAGAAACAAUGUCCAAUUUCUUAAACAUGGUAUUAGAGGCAAUCUAUCUUGAUGUUAGACUAUUAGAUGUUAGCCAGGUUAACNNNNNNNNNNNNNNNNNNNNNNNNNNNNNNNNNNNNNNNNNNNNNNNNNNNNNNNNNNNNNNNNNNNNNNNNNNNNNNNNNNNNNNNNNNNNNNNNNNNNNNNNNNNNNNNNNNNNNNNNNNNNNNNNNNNNNNNNNNNNNNNNNNNNNNNNNNNNNNNNNNNNNNNNNNNNNNNNNNNNNNNNNNNNNNNNNNNNNNNNNNNNNNNNNNNNNNNNNNAGAGUAGAAAGAAGGAAUGUUGUAGAUAUUCAACUUAAAAUCUUGUGUUCUUUGAAUACAUUUUUAAUGGCUUCACAAGGGUACAACAUUUAAAUUUGUUCAGCAUUGAAUUCCAAUUUAAACAGACUUCCAUGUAUUGUAUGUAAUUUUUCUUGAAACUUGAAACUGUGAUACGCUUUUUCUCUCCCCCCUCUGUCCUAAAAUAGAAAAAGUUUUUCAAUACUUUUAUGCUAGUGUAGUUAAAGUCUCUUUGUAAAUAUUGUCUUCUUUAUAGAGAAAUUUUAUUUUUUUUACUUUGUACUGGAUUUUAUUAGGAGCAUGCGAAGGCAUUGGAGGAGCAGAAGCGCAAUAGAGUGGAGUACUUAGAAUUUUUAAAAUCCUGUGACUUUAUUAAGGUAUUUUUUCUAGUGAAAUUAGAAUCAGUUCCUAUAUUAUGUUUUUCUAUUUCCAGGAGAUAGAACUUCCAUAGUUCCAUUCUUGCUGACUUCUUUUGUUCAGGCCAGUAGGCAGUGGCGGAAAGUUCAGGACUGCUUGAAAACUGAUGAAAGAUGCUCCCGCCUUGAGAAAAUCAAUUGCUUGGAGAUUUUCCAGGUACAACUCAUUUUUCUAAUACAUCAUAAAUAACUUUUUCCAAAUAUAUUAUUUUGACGCCUCAGUUUUAAAGUUAUGUUGUAACCUUUUCUGUUUUAGGAAUAUAUACGUGAGUUAGAGAGCAAAGAGGAGGAGCAAAGGAAACUGUGGAUGGUAUAUUGCUUAUUAGACUCCGGGGUUGAAAUUAAAUUUAUGUUUGGAGACUUUGAUUUAUCUCUUUCUCACUGGGCAUACACCGUUGAUUCAAAUAGGAAGAAUUGAGGAAAGCUGAACGUAAAAAUCGUGAUGAGUUCCGAAAACUGAUGGAAGAGCAAGUUGCUGCAGGAAUACUUAAUGCAAAAACUAACUGGCGUGAUUAUUACAUCAAAGUUAGUUUUUCUUUCUUGUGUUCAAUGAGAGUGAUUACCUUCAUGAGUUCCCUUUUCAUCUUUUUGAAUUUCUCAUCCAAAAAUUUCCUUCUUUAUUUUGUGCUUGCAGAUUAAAGAUUUUGCUGUAUAUCUGACUGUCUCAUCAAAUACUUCAGGAUCAACAGCAAAAGACUUAUUUACAGAUGUUAUGGAUGAGCUGGAGAAACAGGUGAAAUAGUUUGCUAAUAGGAGUAUUGAAUUGUGUCAACUACAUUUGUUACACUAAGCCAUAUUUAUAGACUUUACACUACAAUCCCUUUUCAUUUGCUUUCACUUAAUGAAGGUCUGAAUCUGAAUGGUUAAGAUAUCAACCCAUUAAGUACUUUUUUUUAAAAAAAGAUUCAACCUGUUAAUACAUCUUAAUACAUCUUGAUGAAUCAGAUGUUAAACAAAGUCUGAAAAUCAUUCAGAUCCUCACUAAAAAGUUCAAUUCAUUAGGUAAAAAAGGAAGUUAGUGCAUUACUAUGUAGGAAUAUACUGGGCUUNNNNNNNNNNNNNNNNAUUGAAUUGUGUCAACUACAUUUGUUACACUAAGCCAUAUUUAUAGACUUUACACUACAAUCCCUUUUCAUUUGCUUUCACUUAAUGAAGGUCUGAAUCUGAAUGGUUAAGAUAUCAGCCCAUUAAGUGCUUUGUUUUUUUUUUUGAAGAUUCAACCUGUUAAUACAUCUUAAUGAAUCAGAUGUUAAACAAAGUCUGAAAAUCAUUUAGAUCCUCACUAAAAAGUUCAAUUCAUUAGGUAAAAAAUAAAGUUAGUGCAUUACUAUGUGGGAAUAUACUGGGUUUGUUGUUGUUGUUGUAGUGCAUUAAAGAAUAGAACAUACUUGGUAGGAUAAAAUCAUGAGAUUGAGAUUUGAGAGUUACCCCUCUGCUUUCUUUAUUUUUUUGAAAAACACAUAUUUUGUUGAGAUAAGAACAAUGACCGGUUGCUCCUAUUAAACAUCUAUGUUGUUUUUCUUUAUGCCAAUUAGUUUCCUCUUUUUUUUUUACUAGAUAGUAGUUAUUUAGGCUGAUAGGAAUGGUAUUGUCGUAAACUUUUAAGUUAGGGGUUCCAUGCUUUUAAUGUAGUAUAGAUAUAGAUGAUUCUUUCAAUCUAGCCAAGCUGUAUUAAAUGCUACUUCACGGACAAUUGUAAUUGACUUCUCCUCCGUUGAAUGCUGUUAAUGGUUAUAUUACCUUAAUUGUUAUAGUUUCUCGAGCAGAACAACUCUGAGAAGUGAUUUAUGAAAAACAUAUAAAUAAUUAUAAUAUAUAUGUAUAUUGGUUCGGUUUGGUUAUUUUGUCGGUUAUUUUAGAGUAAAACCAAACCAAACCAAACCAAAUUAGUAUCGGUAAUGUGAAAAUUAUUUCUAAAUAUAAUAUAAUUUUAUAUUAGAAUUUUUUUUAAUUUAAUGCAAUUAAAUUAUUAUUCGAUUAAAAAAAUAAAUAUUUAUGUUUGUUAUUGAUAGUGGAGAUGGUUUGUAAUGAUGGUGGUGGUUGUAAUAAAUUAAUUGAUGUUAGUGAUUAGCAAUGUUGGUGAUGAUAGUUGUGAUAGUAGAGAUAGUCGGCAUUGUAUAACUGUCAUUAUUGGCAAUUGGUAGUGCUGGUGGUGGUUGUGAUGUGAAGUUGGUUAAUGUUUGUAGUUAGAGGUGUUGAUCGUGGUAACGGAAAACUGUAUGCAUGAUGGUUGAUGAUGUGUUAGUGGUCGUUGGAGACGCUAUUAGCUAUGAUGGUGGAAUGGUUGUUAGUAUAGAUACUGUAGCGAGUGUAGCGGAUGAUGGUGGUAGAGGUGGUGACGCCGGUGACAGUGGUGGUGAUGGUGUCCGAGAAUGUGUGGAAGUUGAUGAUGUGUUAGUGGUUGUUAGCGAUGUGUGGAAGUUGAUGAUGUGUUGGUGGUUAUUAGUGGUAGUGCUAGUUCUAGUUUUGAUAGAUGAGUUGGUUGGUAGUUGGGAUCGACCGGUAGCAGUUGAUGGUGGCGGCGUUGAAGGUAGGGGUGUUCAUGGGUCGAUAUGGGUCGGUUAUUGGUCAAAACCAUAACCAAACCAACUUAAUCAAUUUAAAUUUUUAAAACCAAACCACACCAAAUAAGAAAAUAACCAUCGGUUUGGUUCAUGUCGGUUUAGUUUGGUUUGAUUCGGGUUUUUUGAUUGAUAACUUUAGUUAAUGAUAAAAGUUGAAAAUUUUAUGAUGGCUUGAAGCUAAGGGGGAGAUUGAAUUUUAUAACUUUAGUUAAUGAUAACCAAGUCAGGCUUUUAGAUUCUAGUAGUAAUGUCCGUAUGACACUGAACAUCAGAAGGGAAGAGUGAGGCUCAACCCAUUCCGGUCUCAGUAUUUUUUGGUUAUCCUAAUACCUAUUCAUACCUCAUAUUUUAGUUCCAGGAUCAUAGUUUUGCAUUAAUAGACAUGCUUCUUUACACCCAAAGAAAAGAUACUUAGGCCAUCAGUAGCUGUUGAACCCAAGCCAUAAGGCAAAGAUGCUUGUCAUUUUUUCCAUUCUCAUCUAAUGCUUAUCUCUCUUUAUUCUUGUUUCAAGCUUUCUAUUUAUUAGAUUAAGAAAAGGUUUUCAUGUUACUAUGUGGUUUGGCUUCAAAAUUCUUGUCUUUUCCUUCAAAUUAAUCUAGCGAGUUGCCCAUGGAUACAAGCUUUCAACAUUGAUUGGAAAAUUAACUAAAUAUGAUUGAAAAGUAGCUAUAUUCUGAUUUCAUCUGUUCUUCCUUGCAUGGAUAUUGGUUGAGAAGCCUACUAUACCUCCUCUGCCUAGUCCUGCUCCUCCUGGUGUUAUUCCAUCCAUGUCACUGCAGGUAAAGUUGUGGAGCUUGGGGUAGGGAUAAAUGACUUUUGAAUGUAGAGACAUUAUGAUAACUAUUUUCCCCACAUCUUUAGCAGUUCCAUCCUAUCCUUCUAGCCCAGCAGGCACAACCUUAUGGUUCCAGGUCAUCUCAACAAUUUCUGCCUCUUGGACAUGCAAAUGUUGCGAUGUCUCAAUCUUUUCAAAUCCAAUUUCCUCAACCUAUGCAACAGGUUACUGGUAGACCUGUAGUAGGAAUGGAUAGUAUGCCUCAGGGACCACCUAUUCCCCAAGAUUUUCAGCGAAAUCUUUCGAUGUCAAAUAACCACAUGCCUGGUUCUGGUGGCCCAAAUUUACCUCUUUCUUCUUCAUAUAAUGUAAGGCCUUAGGAAGAUCUUUUGUGGUUAUUGUUAAUCAGUUUUCGAUGUUCCAUUUAUAUAUUGAUGAAAUACAUUUUGUUAUCAUCUUUAACAACAGGUAAAUGCAGAUUCUUCUGGCUCCCAGUAUCAGACAUAGCUAAAUGAUCAUAGGUUUCCAUCAGGGGUACAACCCUGGAUGCCAAUAAGUAAUCAUAAUGUAAAUUCUUCGACAAUAAUGCAGGAGAUUGGAGAAUUAGCAGCUCCCUUGGUUGUUCCGGUGAGAAUUCAAUGUAUUUUACUGUACCCGUUUUGCAUAAAUAUUGUCAACAAGUAACAUGCUUAAGUUAAUGGGUUAAUGGGUGUGUGUUGACUGAGAGAGUAAACAUUUGAAUUCUAUGAUAGUUUUUUUGUAAGCAAUUAAGAUUCUAGUGAACAAAAAAGGUGUAAAACCGCGGUAUACAAGAAAAGGAGCUCUACAAAAAUAUCAUUUUCAUUCAGAUCCAAUCUUUUUACCACUUUGUGUUUUCCAGACAAAAAAUAGAGCAUGCCGAUUUGGCUUUUCGGAAUUCUUGCUUUUGGAUUAUAUUCACAUAGGUUACUCAUAUGAUUAGGUUAAUUUAUGCAUCACAAACACUUAAUGUCUUGUCUAUGAACAAGUUGUGGAUAUGCUGGCCCCUAUCACUGCUAAGAAAUCCCUCAAGUAUCCAUAUCUAGUGCUUUGUACAUCAUUCUGCUUCCAUUAGUACUGUAGAUAAUAGGCCCCUUUGUUCCAAUCCUCUUUGUCAAAGUUAUCAUAUGGGCUGCCGUUCACCCCUACCAAAUUCUACCUGACUGUUGAUCAGCAUAACUUUAUACACCUCUACCGAUAACUUCAUUUUGACCACAUUUCUUUAUUAUCAUACAUAUUUUACAUGUGGCUAAAUGCUACUAGGUAUUGCUAUUUUCAGCAUCUUUUGAUGAUCAGUAGGCCAGUUAUGGUUGCUAAUGUUGUCAUAUUUCCUAUGGCUUUAUUACUCCAACCAAUUAAUAAAAUUCUUACAAUUCUUGAAUUGAUUUUUAGAUACUAUUAUAAUAGAAGGACAAGAAUCUCUACCUGGGAGAAACCUCGAGAGCUGAUGACAGAAAUGGAGGUGAGGUCUCGUGUCAUCGAGAUUUUUAUGGGUAUUUUUAUCCAGUUUCCUGUGCUUAUCAAUAAAAAAAGUACACAAUUCUUUUUCUAUGAAGCUUCGUAGAACCACUUUUUCUUUCCUGAGUAUAGGUGAUUUCUGUUGAAAGUUUGUUUAGCAAGCAGAUUUCCUCGAUCUUACUAAAUUAUGUAGGCUUCAUUUGGAAUUUGCAUUGACCUUUUAUUUCAAAUAUAGUUCUAAAAGAUUUUAUAUUUAACACUAUCGUUCUAAAAAAUGUGUUUAAGCAUACACGGCAGGAUUAUAUUUGGUCUAUUUUAAACAAUUUUAUUUACUUUCUGAUUAAUGUAAUGUUAUUGUAACUUUAUGGCGAUAUGGAGAGAGGAAACUUGAUAUAAUAUUGCGGUUCACACUUCUCAUUCUGGUUUAUAGAAUAAUAGUUUGGCUGAUUGCACACUUGCACCCAAGAGUGUGACCUAGUGGUCAAUGAAGUAGAUUGAGAACCAUGAGGUCUCAGGUUUAAUUUCCAACAGAGAUAAAAACAAUAAGUGAUUUCUUACCGUCAGUCCAAGCCUUGAUGGACAGAGUUACCCAGUAUCUGUGGGAGGUAGCAGUACCUGGUGUAACUAGUCAAGGUGCAAGCUGGCCCAAAGAUGAUGGUUAUCAAAGAAAGUUUGGCUUGUUGUGAGGGACAAGUAUUAAGGGACCAACAACUGGAGCUGUAAGGAAGUUUGAACAUUUUUAUUCUUUUCUAUUUGAGAUAAAUAGUUUUGUUUUCCAGAGAUAUUACUUUGUAUUCGUUAGCGUUAAGGUUAUGCUAGCAGUCCAAAAGAAAUGAAAAAUAAUGAAAAUAAUCCGAGGAUUCGAAGAGAUCUACUACCUAUUAUGCAUCUUGUACACAUUGGCCCUUAAACAAAAAAAAAAUCUACAAUGCUAUUCCAUUUAACUUUCUGAAUGGAAUUAUAUUUAUCUUCAAAAUACCUUUAACUUUUCUCGCUCCAUACAGUCCACCAAAUACAAGGAAGGAUUGUUCUCCCCCAUUUCUUCUAACUCUUGCUACUCCCCUCUAAUCCAACAGCUCAACAGAUUGUUGUGUGUCCUUUGAUAGUCCACUUUACUUCAACUCAAUAGAUCUGGUAUGUGUUCUGGCAUGGUCCACUUUACUUCUAUUAAACUAAAGGUGUCAAAUGGACGGGAUUCACUGGAUUUGGGCGGAUCAAAGAGGUUUGAGUUAAUAAAUGGGCGGGUUAUUAACCCGCCCUAAAGCUACUUGGGCUGAAAUGGGUUGGGUUGAAAUGCUCUAAAAUGAGGGUCAUAACCCAACCCACUCAAUUUGAACUCAGAUUUAAUUGCUUUAUUUGUUAUUUUAUAAACUUUUAGUACUUGAAAAAUUAUUAUCUUUUUUUUUCGAACUUGGUAACUUUGUAAUAUAUCACACAGUACAUGGGUUGUACUGAAACCUUUAUAUACAAGAGUACUCCUAAAUUGACUGUUCUAUAUCUAAAUUUAGUCUAGACCAUCAAUUAUCGAGGCAGUAUCAUUAGAGUAUAGUUGAUUACACCAAAAACAUAAAAGCAAAAUGCAGUUGAGUUUAACCUUCUGCACACUAUUCUUUAUGCUCUCAAAACAUCUAGAAUUCCUUUCUUUCCAUAUAGCCCACCAUAUAGCACCAAGGAUAAUUCUCCAUUUACCUCUGUCCUUCGCAUGUACACCUGCUUCUCCCAGCACAUUAAAGUCUUGGAUACUUUCCUAGGCAUUGUCCUGGAAAUACCUUUUAGUCUUAAGACGAUUCUCCAAAGGUUUUGGGUGUACUUACAAUGUAGAAAUACAUGGUUAACCACCUCUAAAGUUUCUCCACAGAGGAAACAUCUGGAGUACAAGGUUUUCACUUUCUACAUGACAUUAUCUUGUGUAAGAACUACUUUCUUGGUCAGUAACCAGACAAAGAUAAAGCACGACACUGUGUGAGGUAUCCUACUUUUCCAUAUUUGCUUCCAUGGCCAUCUUGGAUCUGGGUGAUUUAUUGGUUCAUCAUCUUGUAGGCUUUGUUGACACUGAACAUUACUUUUUCAUUUCCCAUCCACCAUGGUACGUCCUUCACUAUCUGCAGUCCAUUGAAUAAGUCCACGGUAUUAAAAAAUUCAACUACUCUCAUUACCUCCUGGUCAUUAAGUUGCCUUCUAAAAUUGAAGUUCCACCUAUGUGGUGUCCAUAAUUCUGCUAUAGUCCUCUAUUAAAACAAUACCAAGUUGUAGAUAUCUGGAAAAAUCACUUCCAUAUUCCCUUCCUCAUGUCAAUUAUCCUUCCAGAACCUAGUCUUGUUUCCAUCCAUCACUUUAACCUUUGAGUUGCUUUUAACUUCAUUCCGCUAGUGUCUAAUAGAUCUCUAGAGGCUAACCCCGUAUGGUGUAGUCACUUCUUUAGUAAUCUAUCUAUCUUCUUCAGGAUAUUUAGCCCCAAUCACUUUCCUCCAUAGCAGUUGGUUAUUUUUUGCAUAUUUCCACAACCAUUUCAUCACGAGAGCCUUACUUUGAAUUUUUAGGUUCUUUAUCCCCAAUCCUCAAGUCUUCUUGUCAAUUGUCCACCAUAGAGAGCACUACCACUUUUUCUCGCAUAUCUUUGUUCCUUAUUCUAUUGCUCUUAGUAUGCCCCCACACCAAUCUCAACAUCCUUAUUUCUACUACAUUUAUCUUUCGAACAUGCGAGCUCUUGACCAGCUAAACACUCUGCCCCAUGCAAGAUAUAUAGUAUAACAACCACUUUAUAAAUUUACCUUUAAGUUUAUUUCAACAAAAUUAUUAUACAUGGCAUGCUAGUUACUAGUUCUUUUGCAAGAGCUAAUUGGGACAAAAAACACAUGUUAAGAAAUUGAUUCAUCGAGAAAAAACAUAACUGUAGUUUAUGAGUUUCAAUCGUGACCAAAUGGAAAAAAAAUUAUGGGGCGGCUGUGAUGAGUAUGGAACUUAGAACCUCAGUGCAGGAUUUGAACACCCUUACUGUCACACUCAGUCUUGUUUUUUGUGGCAAGGGUGUUCAUUAAAAAAUACUCAGAAAUGACAGAAUUUGACCUAUGUAUAAAUAUAGUUAGUUAUAUUCUACACAGUAUAUUCUAGUCCUUUUCCUUGUGGGACAUUAUAUCAUUCAUAUUCUAACACUUCCAUCCAGUAUUGUACAGGUGGAAGUUACUGAUUUCUCCUCUCAGGGUACUGUUUAUGUUCUAUUUUUUGACUUGACCUACUUUCAUGUUGUUUUCAUUGGGACAGAGGGCAGACGCAUCAACUGACUAGAGAGAAUUUACAAGUCCUGAGGGAAGAAAGUGUGUAACUUAUAUAUUUUCUUGGCCUCUUUCCAAUUGUUCUUCUACAGUGGGUACUUUUGUGUGUUACUUGCGCAUAAUGCUGAUUGCUUUGUUUGUUUUCUGUAGGUUUUACUAUAACAAGGUUACUAGAACGUCCAAAUGGAGAAUGCCUGAUCAAGUCAAGGUGAUGUUAGAUUUAAAUCCAACAUGGGUUUGUUUCGUGCUUUAAAUAGCAUGAUAAGAAGGGACAAUAUUUUGUUUUCUUGGAUGCUUUAGUUCUCAUAAAAUCUUUAGGCAUUCACAGUUUCUAGCAUGAUAAGAAGGGGCAAUAUUCUGUUUUCUUGGAUACUCUAUUCUCAUAAAGUUCAAUUAUUUAUAAAUUCACUGUUAGCUCAUGAAACGGACACCAUUUCGCACCCUUCUGAUUUUGGAUCCAUUUCUGUUGUCAAAAUAUCAUCCCCAGGUGCAGAUGGUUCAUUAUUUUUGGCAUACGGUGCUAAAUCAAGCCCAAUUGCUGUAUCAACAGCUGCUAACUUACAAACUAUUAUGGCUUCAGAAUCAUCAAGUUUAUCUGGUAAGGUUUCUUCUCCAGUGAUUGAAAUAGUCGAAAUGAAGAAUUCUUCAGAACCUGCUUCGCCAGCUGUUGCUAAUUCGUAGAAAAUUGGAAUAGCAGUAACCUUGGGAAAUUUAGUCGCGCCAUCGAUGUAUGUUUUCUAAUUUAUAUGUUAUAAAUUUGCCUCUAGUUUGUGUUGCUUCUUAUUUGGAAUUCAAUUUUUCUAUAGUUCUGAGACUGCUACAACUCAAGAUACAGUAAUGUAUGGUGAUGGAUUUUCUUUGGAUAAUAGAGAAGUACUUUGUCCUUCAGAAAUACUUAUGCGAUUAGUUAAUUACUACUGGUUACUAGUUAAAAUACUAAGAAAGCUUUUUGUAGCUGUUAUGCUGGAUGUUGAUCCAACAAUUUUUUAGUGCAGUUGUUAGUCAACUGCUAACAGGUGAAGAAUAUGCUCCAAAUUCCAAUGAGGUUUGCUUUUGUCCUUUGUGCUUGAUAUUGUGCCUAAAAUGCAGAAUGUCAAGAAAGAUGCUGCAAUAACUGAAAUCACAGGUGCUACUCCAUCAGAUGAAAAAAUAGUCGAGUUGGGACCAUUAGCUUAUGAGAGCAAAGCGGUAUAGUUGAUUAUUGCUUUUUUUCCCGUUUAAUGUAUAUUCUCAAAAUUUCUCUUAUUUAUAUUUUAAGUAUCUGAUUUUAUUUAGGAGGCAAAGAGUGCAUUCAAAACUCUUUUGGAAUCGGCAAAUAUGGGGUCCGAUUGCAAGUAGGAUCAGGUUUAUUACUUGACUGUUUUGUGCAUACCAAACAAUUAAGAGAGAUCAUUUGACAUGAAUUGUAUUUGUCAGGCAUGGAGAGCAGUAAUUAAUGACCGGAGAUAUGGUGCUCUAAAAUCCCUUUGUGAGCGGAAGCAAGCUUUUAAUGAGGUAUCUCUCCAAGUCGGCAUUUGAAUGGGUUAAUUGCUGCUUCAAUGUUUCAGCAUACCAUAUUGAAAUAUGAUAGAUUGUGUUUGAUAUCCAAUUGUUUCAUGUUUGGUUGACUUAAAUAUUUUGGAAAAUGUUUUCCAAAUCAACUUAUUUUCCUUAAAUUUAAGGAAAAUAAAUUCCCUUCAAAAAGUAGGAAAAACAUUUUCCAAAACUCUCUUUCAAUCUCACUCUUAAGUUGAAAUGUUUAUACAACUCUCAAAUGUAUUUUCUAAAUCAUAUUUUUUUAUUCACCAACCAAACACUAGAAAACAUUUUCUGAAAAUGUUUUCCUUUCAUCAACCAAACAUAAGAAAACAAGUAAGAAACCAACUUGUUUUCUAGGAAAACAUUUUCCUUCAUACCAAACACACCCAAGGUCUAUAGUGAUGAUUUUGAAUUUGUGUGUCUGUUCCAGUAUCUGAGCCAAAAGAAAAAACUGGAAGCUGAAGAGAGGCGUGUUAAACAAAAAAAAGCUCAGGAAUAUUUCAGGAUAAUGUUAGAAGUAAGUAAAAUUUUCUUUUGUCGGUGUCUUCCAUUUUAUAUAUAAUGAUAUUCACAUUGCCAGUUUCAAAAAUGAAAAGAUAUUAUCAUGAUAUUCAUGAUGUGUUAGAGAUUGGUAUUUGACUUGUUCAAAAGAAUAAGUGGUAUUUUUCACAACAAUGUCCGUUGUUCUCAAUCUUACAGGAUUGCAAGGAGCUGUUACCAUCGUCAAGAUGGAGGUUUAACUUUCACUUGUAAUGUUAAGUUGUUUGCUUCUUGUUUUCUAAUCUUGGUCAUUGUUUGUAUGUGUUUGGUUACCUUGAAGUUGAUCCAUUACUUGUGUAAGUUCCAUUUGAUCCACUAACUAUUUUCUAUUGAUUAUUAGGUAAGGCAAUCUCCAUAUUCGAACAUGAUGAACAUUUUAAAGUUGUUGACCAAGCUAAAGACCGUGAGGACUUUUUUGAAGAUUAUGUUGAGAAACUUGAGAAAAAGGUUAAGCUCCUUUUUUAUAACUUUCUUUUAAGCUUCUAUAUGUUAAAAACUAAGUGUGCAGACUGUAGUUUCCUAAUAUAGUCUUUGGCUCCUCACAAAUUGAGUUACCCUUUCAUUUGAGAUAGAAACAAGGUCCAAUUUCUUAAAUAUGGUAUUAGAGACAGAUCUAUCUUGAUGUUAGACUAUUAGAUGCUAGCCAACCUAGGUUAACUGAUGCUACAAAUAUCUAGUCUUGGCGUGUUAUUAAUGUAUGAGAAUCCCACACAAGUAAGGUGUAUGUGCUAUAGUUUCCUUAUAUGAUCUUGGACAAUCUUCACCACCUGACCUAGUUUUCGAAGUUGAGUUAGGCGCUGGUCCACUUGAUUAACAAUAGUCAUUCCAUUUCUUUCCUUUGCAGGAUGUCUUUUAGUUUGUUCCCUUUUUUUUGUUUUGCUUAAAGAGUAGAAAGAAGGAAUGUUGUAGAUAUUCAACUUAAAAUCUUGUGUUCUUUGAAUACAUUUUUAAUAGCUCCUCAAGGGUACAACAUUUAAAUUUUUUCACCAUUGAAUUCCAAUUUAAACAGACUUCCAUGUAUUAUAUGUAAUUUUUCUUGAAACUUGAAACUAAGAUAUGUUUCUUCCUCACGCCCUUCCGUUGUAAAAUAGAAAAAGUUUUUCAAUACUUUCACACAAAUGUAGUUAAAGUCACUUUGUGAAUAUUGGCUUCUUUAGAGAGAAAUUUUAUUUUUUUUACUUUGUAUUGGAUUUUAUUUGGAGCAUGCGAAGGCAUUGGAGGAGCAGAAGCGCAAUAGAGUGGAGUACUUAGAAUUUUUAAAAUCCUGUGACUUUAUUAAGGUAUUUGUUCUAGUGGAAUUAUCAUCAGUUCCUAGAUUAUGUUUUUCUAUUUCCAGGAGAUAGAACUUCCAUAGUUCCAUUGUUGCUGACUUCUUCUGUUCAGGCUAGUAGCCAGUGGCGGAAAGUUCAGGACCGCUUGGAAACUGAUGAAAGAUGCUCCCGCCUUGAGAAAAUUGAUCGCUUGGAGAUUUUCCAGGUACAACUCAUUUUUCUAAUACAUCAUAAAUAAAUUUUUCCAAACAUCUCAUUUGUACGCCUCAGUUUUAAAGUUAUGUUGCAACCUUUUCUGUUUUAGGAAUAUAUACGUGAUUUAGAGAGAGAAGAGGAAGAGCAAAGGAAACUGCGGAUGGUAUAUUUCUUAUUAGCCUCAGGGGUUAAAAUUAAAUUUAUGUUUGGAGACUUUGAUUUAAAUCUUUCUUACUGCGCAUACACCGCUGAUUCAAAUAGGAAGAAUUGAGGAAAGCCGAACGUAAAAAUCGUGGCGAGUUCUGAAAACUGAUGGAAGAGCAUGUUGCUGCGGGAAUAGUUAACGCAAAAACUAACUGGCAUGAUUAUUGCAUCAAAGUUAGUUUCUAUUUCUUGUGUUCAGUGAGUGAUUACCUUUAUGAGUUCCCUUUUCGUCUUUUUGAAUUUUUUAUCCAAUAAUUUUCUUCUUUAUUUUGUGCUUGCAGAUUAAAGAUUUUGCUACAUAUCUAGCUGUCUAAUCAGAUACUUCAGGAUCAACAGUAAAAGACUUAUUUACAGAUGUUAUGGAUGAGCUGAAGAAACAGGUGAAAUAGGUUGCUAAUAGGAGUAUUGAAUUGUGUCAACUACAUUUGUUACACUAAACCAUAUUUAUAGACUUUACACUACAAUCCCUUUUUAUUUGCUUUCACUUAAUGAAGGUCUGAAUCUGAAUGGUUAAGAUAUCAGCCCAUUAAGUGUUUUUUUUAAAAAAGAUUCAACCUGUUAAUACAUCUUAAUGAAUCAAAUGUUAAACAAAGUCUGAAAAUCAUUUAGAUCCUCACUAAAAAGUUCAAUUCAUUAGGUAAAAAAUAAAGUUAGUGCAUUACUAUGUGGGAAUAUACUGGGUUUGUUGUUGUUGUUGUAGUGCAUUAAAGAAUAGAACAUACUUGGUAGGAUAAAAGCAUAAGAUUGAGAUUUGAGAGUUACCCCUCUGCUUGCUUUUUUUUUAAAUAACACUUAUUUUGUUGAGAUAAGAACAAUGACCGGUUGUUCCUAAUAAACAUCUGUGUUGUUUCUCUUUAUGCCAAUUAGUUUCCUCUUUUUUUUUACUAGAUGGUAGUUAUUUAGGCUGAUAGGAAUGGUAUUGUCGUAAACUUUUAAGUUAGGGGUUCUAUGAUUUUAAUGUAGUAUAGAUAUAAAUGAUUCUUUCAAUCUAGCCAAGCUGUAUUAAAUGCUACUUCACGGACAAUUGUAAUUGAAUUCUUCUCCGUUGAAUGCUGUUAAUGGUUAUAUUACCUUAAUAGUUAUAGUUUCUCGAGCAGAACAACUCUGAGAAGUGAUCAUCAAACGUCCAUGUUUUCACGUAGUUUCUUUGACUUUCGAGGACUCCUUUAAAGUAUCACACAACCACACCAUUGUGUUUCAGCUAAGACUGCAUUUUUUUAUUAAUAUUCAGACAUUUGAAUCAUUUUGAAUGCACAUCUGAAUGGGUAAGAUAUUGUCUCUAGAUAUGAAAAAUAAAUGAUUAAGGUUGGGUGUCUCUCAAUAUCUGAAUGUGCAAAAUUUAUUUAUUUCUAAAUAUAAUAUAAUUAUAUAUUAGAAAUUUUUUUAAUUUAAUGCAAUUAAAUUAUUAUUUGAUUAAAAAAUAAAUAUUUCUGUUUGUUAUUGAUAGUGGAGAUGGUUUGUAAUGGUGGUGGUGGUUGUAAUAAAUUAAUUGAUGUUAGUGAUUAGCAAUGUUGGUGAUGAUAGUUGUGAUAGUAGAGAUAGUCGGCAUUGUAUAACUGUCAUUAUGAUAUUGGCGAUUGGUAGUGGUGAUGGUGGUUGUGAUGUGAAGUUGGUUAAUGUUAGUAGUUGGAGGUGUUGAUUGUGGUGAUAGAAAACUGUAUGCAUGAUGGUUGAUGAUGUGUUGGUGGUCAUUGGAGACACUGUUAGCUAUGAUGGUGGUCAUUACAUAUAUGACUGAAUGUGUUAUGACUAAAGUUAAAAUCAUGAUUAAAAUAUAAAAUGUAACAAAUAUUUAGAUUACAUUUAUGAAAAACGUAUAAAUAAUUAUAAUAUAUAUGUAAAUCGUUUCGGUUUGGUUAUUUUGUCAAUUAUUUUAGAGUAAAACCAAACCAAACCAAAUUAGUAUCGAUUUUUUAAAAUUCAAAUCCAAACCAAACCUAACCAAAUAUAGGUUUUUUUAAUUGAUUUUGUUUGGAUCGCGGUUCAGUUUGGUUAAAAAUCAAACCGUGAACACCCCUAGUUGGCGGUGGGUAUAAUUAGAAUAAUAGAAGUGGUAGGUGUGGUAGCGGCUGGCAGUGUAGUUGGUAGUGAUGUUGGUUGUGAUGGUCGAAGUGGUUGGUGGUGGUGACAGGUGAUUGUGGAUAGAGUGGUGGUGGAUUUUAUCCUACACAAGAAUAUCUGUAAAUGAUAUUUAGACUUGGUUCCACAUCUGAAUGAUUAAGACCUACUCAGACCUGUUAAGAGCUAAAAUCCUAAUAAAAACAAAUGCACUUAAUGAUUUGAGGUCUGAACAGGUUCAUAAAUCCAAUAAGUGCAAACAAAUAAGACCUAAAAGUAGUUUGUCUGGUCAAGUUUCGACCAUGUUUUGUCCAUUUGUACCACACCCCAGUUUUGAUUUCACUUCGGAUGAUAUCGUGCAACUUAAAACCCAAUUCAAAAUAUAUUGUGUAGUCAACCAUAUAAAUUGGACUAAAUAAACUUAGUGCCAGAAUUUGCCUCUGAACAGGUAGUUGAGAUGUAAUGAAAGUAAAGGCGUAGAAAAGAUUAGCCUCAGAAAAAGAGCCUGAGAGCAUCUCUAUUUCUCUAAAUAAAGUUGCAUCUCCCUCACUAUGAUUUUUUUUGGCCGUAAUACACACUUGCGACUAACUAAACGAUAUAUUGUUUCAUCUUCUGCCGUUUCUGAAAAGAAUUGAAGUUGAAUGAUCAAAUAUUAUUAGCAUUUAUCUCCUUGCUUGAUGAAAGAGGGAGUUUACCUGGUAUCCUAGCAUGCUAAUGAUCCUGUUCGUACUCUUAUUCAAUGAUUAAAUUUGGUAAUGUUUUCCUGAGUUAGGCUCUUGCUAUGGGAUGGUGAGAGUUAAACAUAAACUCAGAUGCUGAAAAUCUUUUCUUUUUCCCUUGUAAGAUAAAGAUGUCAACUUCUAUCUUUAAAGUUUGUAUUACUGUUUGUGUGCAUAAAUGAUUCUUAUUAAGUAAAUAUAAUGAAAGCGUUGUUAACAGAGAUGCUAUCCAUUUUUAUUUAUUCACUUUUUUUCUAUUAUCCAAAUAGGGGUGCUUGAUUUUUCCAUUAAUUUAACCUGAUCAGUGCAAUUAAGUUUAUGUGUCAAGUGUCUUGUGAUAUUGUAGAUGACUUUGAACAAGUGGAGAAAUGUUGGUAUUCAUGAAAGAAAUUUCAUCCCGAUCACCCUGCUUGUAAUUUAUAGACUUUAUGGUAACUCAAAUGCAUGGAUAAGGCUCCAUUUGGUAUCCUAUUUUUGUUACUAAUAAGCAUUAUGAAUUUGUGUUACUUGUAUGUUGCUUUAAUAUCUUGAUAACAAGUCACAAAUUAAAGAUGCAGUUAGGAUGACCGAGGUAAUCACCACUCUUCAUUUUAACCUCUGUUGUGCUUCGGUUAGUACCUAAUAUUUUGGCCGAGCCGUCUCUACUUUCAGAUUGGAUUGACAUCAGCCUGGACGCUUGUUCAUUUUAAGGUUGCAAUCACCAAGUAUAUUAGCUCUCCACCAAUGUCAGAUACCAACUUAAAGGUCUAAUUAUGGCUAAGCACUGUAUACUGUUUCACAUCGACCUAUGUUGAAUUGAAUGUUGUGAAAAUUGAAGUACCCUAUUCACUAAAUGGAUUUCUAUGUGUUUGUCCCCUUUUUGUCUUUGGGACAGGUCCUACAUAAGAUGAGUGGAUUGAGUGCAAAAGCAUUAGUAGUACUUCCAUGUUAUGUUUCUGUAACUCCCCGCAAUUCGGGCUAUAAUAUAGACCACGAUUUUGAUGCGUUGUUAAUCCCGAAGCCAUAAAAUCCUAUGCCAAUACGGCAUGUUAAUUUUUGUGUAGCAUGUGAAUCCACUCAAGCUUGAAUUUAGACCCCAGAGGUCCUUCACUCAAGGAUAAGUUUAAACUAUUUUGAUCGACUAAGUUUUAGUGGAUGUUGUAAAGUGUGUCAGCUUCCAUUGACCGUAACUCUCUGUAUAUAUCGAACUAGGAAGCCUACUAUGUGUCAAAUGGUAGGUAUUCGAGUUAGCUUUCCAACGAUACCAAUUUGUCUAAAAUUCGACAUCCGAGCAAGAAGUUAUCGCCUUUCAAAGUGAUAAGCGUCGCCUAACCAAUCCCCCAUGGCCACUGGAAAGAAUAGGCAAUAGCCUAGGUGGCGCCUAUGUAAAUAUAGGCGAUAGCCUAGGUGGCGCCUAUGUGAACAUAGGAAAUGGGAUGGGCGGCGCCUAUGUAAAGAAAUCUAGUGACUUAAACACUUCGUGUUGGGGACAAACAGGUCCUUUUCCACCUUUUCUUAGCCCUAAAACACAAAAUCUAGUUCCAAGGACCCUAAAAUACAUAUUCUUUCAUGAAAAGUGCUCAAGGAUUCUCUAUAGUGUUUCAAAAUAAAAACCCAAAUAGUUUAAGAUUUGACCGUGGUUUUCAAAGAUAAUUACAUAUUUGGAAUCACCAAUCCGCAAGCUUCAAGAAACAUCUAUUAUCCUUGGAAAUAGAGGUACGUGGGGUUAUCCAAAAAUCUCAUGGGUGUAGUUUUUAUGAACAUGAAUGCUUUUAAAUGGGGGUUUUCAAUCAAAUGCUAAUACCUUACUUUCAAUAUGAUUUCUAAGCCAUUUACUUUAUGUCAUGGAAAUUGUUUGCCUAUAUACUUCAAUGGUUGAAACCAUGCAUAUGCGAUUUGAGAUUUUCCAUGGAAGUUUGAUAAAUAUGACUGAUAAAUUUCUUUCAAAUUCCCAUGAAAAUGUCUUGAUACCCCAUAUUAUAUUGUGAUCAACAAACGAGAGCAUGAAUUUGAAAUAAAUACUGUUCACUACUUGUAAAUGAUGAAGUACCUUCGUUUUUACAUGAUUAUGCAUAUGUGGAUGUGAUAUUGAUGACUUUCAAGUCGGGUAUGACGAUACCCUACAGAACAUGAAUGUGAUUGAAUCAGAUAAAAUUUGAAUGCAUUGAUUUUACAUGAGAAAGGUGGAUGCUCGAAGAAGGCAUUUGAGACACAAGGGCUCAUCACUGGAAAACGUGUUUGCCAACACGGAAUAUUGGUACCGGGCUAAGUGAUCUUGGGCACUACCAUUGGGUCGAGACACCAUGCUAUGUGAUCUUGUGUGUCUCUCCCUCACUUAUACUCUAAUCUCGGUGGCAACCGAGGUUAGACAGUUGGUGUAAAUUAUGUAGGGUAUUCCACCUAGCUCAGUUAGAUUUCAUUGUUGUUGAGAAACUAUUGCAUUACACCCAUGUGUUUUCAAAUGAUUUGAUAUGAAAUUUUCUUUAUAAUGGAUCUCAACUAUAUAAUGUAAAAAUAUUAUGUUUUAUUUUGAUAUCUCUGCGUGCCAAUACUUUUUUGCUAAACCCCUCGCCUCUCUAACCUCUCAGGUUCAGAGGCCCAGUCUAGGGGUCAAGAGAAUCAGUAGAUCUUUCAGACAGAGUUGCAGAGACAAGUGGUAAGCCUUCUAUAUUUUUGAAGGUCUUAUGUCCUGCAGUCCUUUAAUCUUAUUUUUAGCAUUGGGGUCUGCUAGGGGCCUUGUCCCAAUUUUUAGAUAGACAAUGUUUCAGUCAUGUAGUAGAGAUUUUGCAGACGAUUUUAGAGAUGUUUUCAUAUGAUUCUUGACCAUGUUUCCAUUAUAUUGUGUUUCUUCUGCAUUACUUUGAUCAUAUAAAUUAGGUGCAUGAUUACCCGAUAGAUAAGGGUGUUUCGGUCAUCCAUGAUUUGAAAUGCUCAUCACGGCUAGGCCCUAGUUUGGGUCGUGACAAGAUUGGUAUCAAAGCACGGUUCAUGGUUCCAGGGUGUCUGUAAAAUUGCGUCAGGUAGAGUCUUGUUUAUGGGUGUGUAGCAUGCCCCACUUAUAAGCAGGAGGCUACUAGGCGUUUAGGAAAUGUUUCCCUUCUUUGUGAUUUAGUUCGUGCUUCAGAGUCUGAACUGUCCCCUAAUCAAUGAUCACUUGUGUUUCAGAAACAUAGUUAUGCCUCUACGUCGUAUCAUUGAUCAGAAUGCUUAGGCAGAUGAGGUCUGUCCCACCCAUGGGAUGCGGACCCAUAACAGGGCUCACACUCCAGAAUUUGUCCCUACUCCGGGAGUCCCUCCAAUCCCGACCAGUCCACCUCGGGCUCUGCAUACUAAUACCAACCAUCCCCCAACUGCUCAGGGAGAUAUUUCAAAUGCAGAAUUCAGAUGGUCCAUUCAUAUGCUGACAUAGUUGGUAGCUAACCAGGCUCAAUGAUCGGAAGGUGUUGGGUCUGCAUCUGUUACGUCUGAGGAUACUAGAGUCGGACAUUUCAUGAAGAUUAACCCACCUAAAUUCACUGGAACCAAGGUGGAGAAAGAUCUAUAGGUGUUUGUGGAUGAGAUAGAAAAGAUCUUUAAGGUGAUGCAUAUGGAUGAGGUUGAAGGGGUGGAGCUAGAAACCUAUUAUCUCAAGGACGUUGCAAAUCAGUGGUAUGACGAUUGGGAAGAUGAAAAAGGUGAAAGCGUUGAGCCCACAGUUUGGGGUGAAUUUGUGGAAGCUUUCCUUGAUCGAUUCUUUUCUCUGGAGUUGAGGGAGACCAAAGCGAAAGAGUUUAUGAAUCUAAAGCAGGGCAGAAUGAGUGUCCAGGAGUACACUUUAAAGUUUAAUAAACUAGCCCGCUAUGCACCAGAGUUGACCAGUAAUAUGAGAGCCCGGAUGAGGAAAUUUGCAUCUCUCCUUACUGAUAACCUGGUACUUGAGUGCCAGAGGGCUAUGUUGAAUAAGGAGUUAGACUUUGCUCGACUGACCGUUCAUAUGCAGCAGGUGGAAGAGGAGAAGAAAAAUAUUGCUGAAUCUAGAGGGAAAGACAGACAGGCAAAGAGAGCUAGAUCUGUGGACCAGCUCCAGAGUCAGCCGCAGAGUGGUAACUGGGGUAAUAAGUGGUCGAAGAAGAAGAAGUUUUGGAAUAAUGCACUGUCAACAGCCAGUGCCCCAGCACCCAGACUACUGACAGACAUAUAAACUCAGAGUUUUCAAACUCCUCAUGGGUCCAAAGCUCUAGGUACACAGUCUUAGAGCAGUGUGGACCAGCAGCAUCAUACUCAUCUGCGGUGUGAGGUUUAUGGAAGGAAUCAUCUAGGGAAGUGCUGGUUUGAGGGGAUAAACUGCUAUAUUUGUGGCAAAGAGGGUCACCUUCAGAGAGAUUGUCCUUCUGCUGGAAUAAAUAUAGGGGGAGGGGGGGCUAAGUCCCAAGCCGCCUCCACAACUCCUUUUCCUAAGGGUGCCCCUUCAGCUGUCGGAAGCGGUCACAACCGGUUAUAUUCUUUGACUAACCGCCAGGAGGCGGAAGCUUCACCAGAUGUUGUCACCGGUAUGUUACAAAUCUUUUCUCGUGAUGUUUAUGUAUUGCUUGAUCUCGGGUCUACUUUAUCUUAUGUGACCCCUUAUAUGGUUGUUGGUUUCGGGUUUGAGCCCGAAGUUAUUAUAGAUCCCUUCUCUGUUUCUACUCCUGUAGGUGAUUCUGUUGUUGCUAGAAGGAUAUAUAAAAAUUGUGUCGUGUCUAUUCAUAGUAGGAAAACUAUGACAGACCUUAUAGAACUGGAUAUGAUAGAUUUUGAUGCCAUCCUUGGGAUGGACUGGCUCCAUUCGUGUGAUGCCACCCUUGAUUGCAGAAAUUGAAAGAUCACUUUUUCUUUCCUGAUGAGACACCAAUUGUAUGGGCAGGGAUUUCUGCGGAACCUAGAGGUCACUUUAUCUCUUAUAUUAGAGCCCAAAAGCUUAUCUCCAAAGGUUGUAUGCAUCAUCUAAUCCGAGUAAAAGAUUCAAAAGUUGGAAACCUUUCCUUGCAGUUAGUCCCUGUAGUGAGUGAAUUCCCAAAAGUCUUUCCCAAAGAUCUCCCAGGGAUACCCCCUGAUAGGGAGAUAGAUUUUGCCAUUGAUGUGUUGCCAGACACUUAUCCUAUUUCUAUUCCGCCAUAUAGAAUGGCUCCCGCCGAACUAAAGGAGUUAAAGGAACAGCUUGCAGACAUCCUAGACAAAGGUUUUAUUCGUCCUAGUGUUUCCCCAUGGGGUGCACCCGUGCUCUUCGUGCGAAAGAAGGAUGGGUCCCUUCGGAUGUGCAUAAACUACCAUCAGUUGAAUAAGGUCACGAUUAAAAAUAAAUAUCCUCUUCCUAGGUUUGACGACCUUUUUAACCAGCUUCAGGGUGCCAAAUGUUUUUAAAAAAUAGACCUUCGUUCGGGUUAUCAUCAGUUGAAAGUUAGGGAGUCAUACAUACCCAAGACAGCCUUCCGAACCCGAUAUAGUCACUACGAAUUUCUAGUCAUGCCCUUCAGGUUGACUAAUGCCCCUGCUACCUUCAUGGAUCUUAUGAAUAGAGUGUUCUGUCAGUUUCUUAACUUGUUCGUAAUUGUAUUUAUUGAUGAUAUUCUGAUCUAUUCUAAGAGUAAAGAGGAUCACGCCAAUCACCUCCAAAUUAUUCUUCAGACCCUUAAGGAUCAUCAGCUGUAUGUUAAAUCUUCUAAGUUUGAAUUUUGGUUAGACGCUAUUUCCUUCCUGGGGCAUAUUGUGUCCAGUGACGGUAUAAGAGUGGAUCCCCAGAAAGUUGAAGCAGUGAGGAAAUGGCCCAGACCCACGACUCCAACCGAUAUUCGGAGCUUCUUGGGUUUGGCGGGGUAUUACAGAAGGUUCAUAGAGAGUUUUUCUUCCAUAGCUGCUCCGCUUACUAAAAUGACUCAGAAAAAUAUGAAGUUUGUGUGGUCCGACUUGUGUGAAAAUAGUUUCGAGAAAUUGAAGGACAAGCUGACUAAUGCUCCUAUUUUGACCCUUCCCGAGGGUGUAGAUGAUUUUGUGGUUUACUGUGAUGUGUCCCGUGUGGGACUUAGUUGUGUAUUAAUGCAGCAUUGUAAGGUGAUAGCUUAUGCAUCUAGGAAGUUAAAGGUGCAUGAGCACAUUUACCCCACUCAUGACUUAGAGUUAGCAGCCGUGGUGUUUGCACUUAGAAUCUAGAGGCACUAUCUCUAUAGUAUGCAUAUUGAUAUUUAUAUUGACCAUAAGAGUUUACAGUAUAUUUUCUCAUAGAAAGAAUUGAACCUCAGGCAAAGGCGUUGGAUGGAGCUUUUGAAAGACUAUGAUAUGAGUCUGCAUUACCAUCCGGGCAAGGCAAAUGUUGUAGCCNNNNNNNNNNNNNNNNNNNNNNNNNNNNNNNNNNNNNNNNNNNNNNNNNNAAGAUGGAGGGGUGAUUGUUCAUGAGUUAGCUAAAUCAUCUUUUUGUGCUGAAGUUAAGGAGAAGCAGGUUGAAGAUCCCAUCUUGAUGCAAAUCAAGAAAGAUGUGGGUCAAUAAAAGGUUAUGUCAUUUGAAAUUGGUGGCGAUGGUAUUCUGAGAUUUCUGGGUAGGUUGUCCGUUCCAAAUGCCGAUAGGCUACGGGAAAGAAUUCUUAAUGAGGUGCACACUUCGAGGUAUGUCAUUCACCCAGGCUCUACUAAGAUGUACCAUGAUCUGAAAACCUUGUAUUGGUGGAAUAACAUGAAACGGGAUAUAGCUGAUUUUGUGUCCAAGUGUUUGAACUGUCAACAAGUGAAGGUAGAACACAUGAGGCCAGGUGGUACUUCCCAAGAGAUAGCCCUGCCUUUAUAGAAGUGGGAGAUGAUAAACAUGGACUUCAUUACAGGACUUCCGAGAUCCCGAAACCAGUAUGAUUCUAUAUGGGUGAUUGUAGAUUGGUUGACCAAGUCCGCCCACUUUUUUCCUGUGAGGACUAAUUAUUCGGGAGAGGAUUAUGCUAAGAUUUACAUUGAGUAGAUAGUUCGCUUGCAUGGGGAACCAGUGUACAUUAUAUCCGAUAGAGGUACGCAGUUUUCAUCUCAGUUUUGGAGAUCUUUUCAGAAGGGUUUAGGUACACAAGUAAAUUUGAGCAUAGCUUUCCACCCUCAGAGAGAUGGGCAAGCUGAGCGUAUCAUUCAGACCCUCAAAGAUAUAUUGAGGGCAUGCAUCAUUGAUUUCAAAGUUAGUUGGAUAGAUGACCUGCCACUGUUUGAAUUCGCUUACAAUAAUAGCUACCAUGCCAGCAUCAAGAUGGCUCUUUUUGAGGCUUUGUAUGGGAGGAGAUAUAGGUCUCCGAUAGGAUGGUAUGAAGUGGGGGAGACUCAGUUGUAUGUACCUGAUCUUGUUCAUCAGGCGAUGGAGAAAGUGAAGAUCAUUAGAGAAUGACACAAGACUGCUCAGAGUCAUCAGAAGUCCUAUGUUGAUGUUUGGAGAAGAGAACUAGAGUUUCAAAUUGGUGAUUGGGUGUUUCUUAAGGUUUCUCCUCUAAAUGGAGUUAUAUGGUUUGGAAAAAGGGGUAAAUUGAGCCCUCGUUAUGUAGGGCCAUAUCAAAUUUUGAAAAAGAUUGGCACAGUGGGAUAUGAGUUAGAAUUGCCUGCAAGUUUGGGUUCCGUUCAUCCGGUAUUCCAUGUAUCCAUGUUGAAGAAAUGCAUUAGAGAUCAUUCUAUGGUAUUGCAAGUAGAGGGUAUCAAAGUGACAGACUUCUUGUCUUAUGAAGAAGGUCCAGAUGAAAUUUUAGAUCCACAAGUUCGAAAGCUGAGGAGCAAAGAGAUAGCCUCAGUAAAGGUACUGUGGAGGAAUCAGAAAGUUGAAGAAACAACUUGGGAGUCAGAAGAUGACAUGAGAAUUAGAUAUCCUAAUUUGCUUGCUUCGAUGGAGGAGGAGACAGAAGGUGCUAUUCCUAUCUUAUCUUUCCUAGUCCUUUAUUAUGCUUGAAAUCGUGUCUGUCUAUGUCCCGCAUCAUCAUUUGGGGAUGAAUGAUCCUAAGGGGGGAUAAUGUAACGCCCCGUAAUUUGGGCUACAAUAUAGACCAUGAUUUCGAUGCAUUUUUAAUCCCAAAGAAAUAAAAUCCUAUGCCAAUAUGGCAUGUUAAUUUUUAUAUAGCAUGUGAAUCCACUCAAGCUUGAAUUUAGACCACAGAGGUCCUUCAAUUCAAGGACGAGUUGAAACUAUUUCGAUCGACUAAGUUUUAGUGGACAUUGUAAAGUGUGUCAGCUUCCAUCAACCAUAACUCUAUGUAUUUGUCGAAUUAGGAAGCAUACUAUGUGUCAAAUGAUAGGUAUUCAAGUUACCUUUCCAAUGAUACCAAUUUGGAUAAAAUCCGACACCCGAGCAAGAAGUUAUGGCCUUUCAAAGUGAUAAGCAUCGCCUAACCAAUCGCCCAUGGCCACUGGAAAGCAUAGGCAAUAGCCUAGGNNNNNNNNNNNNNNNNNNNNNNNNNNNNNNNNNNNNNNNNNNNNNNNNNNNNNNNNNNNNNNNNNNNNNNNNNNNNNNNNNNNNNNNNNNNNNNNNNNNNNNNNNNNNNNNNNNNNNNNNNNNNNNNNNNNNNNNNNNNNNNNNNNNNNNNNNNNNNNNNNNNNNNNNNNNNNNNNNNNNNNNNNNNNNNNNNNNNNNNNNNNNNNNNNNNNNNNNNNNNNNNNNNNNNNNNNNNNNNNNNNNNNNNNNNNNNNNNNNNNNNNNNNNNNNNNNNNNNNNNNNNNNNNNNNNNNNNNNNNNNNNNNNNNNNUUGCAUAUUUGGAAUCCUCUCAACGUAGGCUUCGAGAAACAUCUAAUAUUCAUAGUAAUCGAGGUACGUGGGGUUAUCCAAAAAUCUCAUGGGUGUAGUUUUUAUGAACAUGCAUGCUUUUAAAUGGGGGUUUUCAAUCAAAUGCUAAUAUCUUGCUUUCAAUAUGAUUUCUAAGUCAUUUACUUUAUUUAAUGGGAAUUGUUUGCCUAUAUACUUCAAUUGUUGAAACCAUGCAUAUGUGAUUUGAGAUUUUCCAUGGAAGUUUGAUAAAUAUGAAUGAUAAAUUGCUGUCAAAUUCCCAUGAAAAUGUCUUGAUACCCCAUAUAAUAUUGUGAUCAACAAAAGAGAGCAUGAAUUUGAAAUAAUUACUGUUCACUACUUGUAAAUGAUGAAGCACCUUGGUUUUUACAUGAUUAUGCAUAUGCGGAUGUGAUAUUAAUGACUUGCAAGUCGGGUAUGACGAUACCCUACAGAACAUGAUAUGUAAUUAAAUCAGAUGAAAUUUAAAUGCAUUGAUUUUACAUGAGAAAGGUGGAUGCCCGAAGAAGGCAUUUGAGACACAAGAGCUCAUCUCUGGAAAAUGUUUUUGCCGACACGGAAUAUUGGUACCAGGCUAAGUGAUCCUAUGUACUUGACUUCAUGUCAUUCCCAAAUUGGGACUAUAGGUAGGAUCCCAGCCAAAGUGAUCUUGGGCACUACCAUUGGGCCGAGACACCAUGCUAUGUGAUCUCGUGUGUCUCUCCCUCACUUAUACUCUAAUCUUAGCGGCAACCGAGGUUAGACAAUUUGUGUAAAUUAUGUAGGGUAUUCCACCUAGCUCAGUUGCAUUUUAUUGUUGUUGAGAAACUAUUGCAUUACACCCAUGUGUUUACAAAUGAUUUGAUACGAAAUUUUCUUUAUAAUGGAUCUCAACUAUAUAUUGUAAAAAUAUUAUGUUUUGUUUUGAUGGCCUUGUCCUAGUUUUCAGAUAGACAUUGUUUCAAGCAUGUAGUAGAGAUUUCACAGACGGUUUUAGAGAUGUUGAUUUAGAUUGUGGGACACUAUUCCCCAUUUCAGUUUUCAUAUGAUUCUUGACCAUGUUUCCGUUAUAUUGUUUUUCUUCCGCAUUACUUUGAUCAUAUGACUUAGGUGCAUGAUUACAAGACAGAUAGGGGUGUUUCGGUCCUCCAUGGUUCGAAAUGCUCGUCAUGGCCAGGCCCUGGUUUGGGUCGUGAUAGUUUCACUAUAAGUCGAUCAGUUUGUGAUUUAUAAAUUCGCAACUCGUAGGUAGUCAACUGUGGUUAGUGGUAUUUUCCUUUAGUAUCAACCAUAACCUAUCCCACAUUAAAUUUGGAUCUUCUUGUAAUGGAGUUAAUAGAAGAGUAGUGUGUCAGUUAGCAAGUAAGCCUGAAACCUUCAAGAAUAAAGACGAGGACCACAUUGAUCAAAUAUUUGGUGUUAGCUUUUGCUUCCAAUUCUUUAGUUUUGGUACCAUUUUCCUUAGUUUUUAUUUCCUGGACGGUGGUGUUUAAUACUAAACCUACCGCGAAUAUCUUAAGUUGCUUAAUUCAAAGCAAUUUGCCUUGUAGUUUUAUGUUUUUACUGUUAGCGGAUAAGAGUUUUACUCUACGAAACUGGUUAAACAACAUAACUGGAUGAUAUCAACAAUCAUUUGCUAGUUUUUUAAUGAGGAUAUUCUUCAUAUAUCAUUUGGAUUUUGGAGGUUAUUUAUGGUCAUGGCAUAUAAUCUAUGUAUGUGGGAAGAGGGAAUUGCAAGGGGUAUCUUGUCAAAGAAUUAUGCUUAGACGGUUGGGUCUCUUAAGGCUUUUAGUUUACUUUUAAUAGCUCAAAACUUUUGUAAAGCAUUUUAUCAAAGAUUAUAAUGUGAGGAGUUACUCCAAAAGAUAGUAAUAAUACUCUUACAUUAUAUUCCCUUUGCCUUCCAAACGAAGGAAUAAGAGGACAUACAUGGAUUAUACUGAAUCUUAUUCCAUACUUCCUUUCUAAACUUUAUCUUCUACGCAUUUAGGCUUGCCGGCUCAUUGAGUAUUGAAUGUGCAUAUUUCAUCUGCAUAGUUUGUCUUUGAGGAGUUACUCGAAAGGGCCAGGGAGAAAGAAGAAAAAGAAGCUAAAAGGCGUAAACGUCUAGCAGGUGAGUUCUAUGAACUUCUUUAUGCAUAUACCAAUUUACAAUCUCUCGCAUUGCAAUGGAUGGGAUCCCAUCAUAUUUCCUUUAAACCAUAAUCUAUUUGUUUGUUGUGGUUGUAGGAAAUUACUGCAUCAUCGAAAUGGGAGGACUGCAAAUCCCUCAUCGGAGAUAGGCAAGUGGCUUCUUUUGCUUUUAUUGAUCUAGAAUUAGUAACACGAUUGCAAGGACCAUUGGAGAAUGACAAUUGAUAUUAUUUUGAAGGACCAACUCUUUCAAUAUUCUAAACUCAGUAAUUCACAUAGUUCUAGAAUGUACCUUAGCUUAAUAGUUGUGUUGAAUGAUUUGUUGUUUUAUAUUCCUUAACAUUUAGGUAGGCUAUUUCUUUUAGUAUUAGCAUGAAUUACCAUUUUUCUAAGUGAUUCUAAAUGUUGAACUUAUCCCUCUAGAAAUUGGUUGAUAUCAAUUAUUAUUUGUUCCAACACUGGGCGUUUAAUAGCUCUAGCAGUUAGUUUUUAAAUUUCUGACAUUUGUGAUUGUUUUAGUUUUUUAAUUUCUGGCAUUUGUGAUUGUUUCACGGUUCUGAUGAAGUAUGCUGCUAAAUCUCUAGUUUCAAUUUGUCUAGCCUCUUUGUCUAUAAAAUGAAAUGCUCUGGAUUUUUACUUUUUUAUUCAUAAUCUCAUGAUUCUCAUUAUGUCGUAACAUUGAAUGUGAAUUUCUUUGUUGUUAUUAUUUUACAGAAUAAUGGGUGGUGAGGGCUUGCUGCUUGAAAUAUUUAACAAAUUUGUUAAUGAACUAAAAGAGAAGGAGCGCAAGCAUCAAGAGGAUAAGGUACUUGAAUUACUACAAACCCUUAUUCUUUUGCUACUUUCGGGUGGGGGUAGUAGAUGUGUGGAUGUGAUUGUGGUUGAUAUUGUUUUGCGGAAAUUUUGACUUUUUGAGAGUCGCCACUUAAUUUUGAAAAGGAAUUAAGAAACCUUUAGAGAGUUACUGCAAACGAUUCAAAAUAGAAAAAUCAUUUUAAGUUAGAGAUUCUAGAUAAGUGGUUCCUAUUAACGUUUUAGGAAGGUAUUAGGCACCUAAAAUGUCCACUAACUUGCGGUUAUCCGGAUUGUUUGAAAAUCAUCUUUUGAUUAACUUUGAAAAAGUUUUUUUGAAAAGAAAAGCGAUUUUAGGAACAUUUUGGUGUUUAUGCAAAACCACUUUUUUAGCGACUUGACUAAGGAUUUUACUAGGUUCGCAAAACAAACGUAAAACAAGUAAGCAAAUAGAAGAAAGGGAAAGGGGAGAAGUACUGAUUUAGGCUUUUAAGCCCAAACCGUCGACCCUAUCCUAAUCUAGUUAGGUUUUUGACCCAUCUUUCACCUGUCUUAAUUUUAUGUUUUUGAGCUCUUUUCGGCUCGAGUCUCGCUCCACCUGUUUUAAAUUUACAACUUUGGGUUCGAAGCCCAAAUGAAUAAAUAAAUAAGUCACUAAAUAAACAAAAAUAUAAAUAAGUAAAUAAAUAAAUAAUGGAAACAAUGGAUAAAUAAAACAAUGGAUAAAUAAAUCAAUAAAGAAGAAAUAACGAGAUUUUCAAGUCCCCUUUGCCGCUUCAAAGAUGGAACUUUAACCCAUUCUUCUUUCGAUUCCUCAUAUCCAUACAUCAUGUGAUGGAUUCUUGGAUUUUCUUUUGGCCUUAACUCGGAAGGAUAGGCCUUAUUGGCCCAUUUAUAAAAUGCAAAGAGAGAAGGGGCCCAUUUGAACUCCAAAGGGGGUGCAUGCAAAGAAAGGAAUGAAGAAAUUAACAUAUGUCCAAGAUUUUAACAAUUAAUAAGAAUCAAAUACUGCAUAAGAAAAUAGAAGCAUAAUUAAUGCAAAUAUUAUUAAUAUACCAUAUUUUAUAUUAUUUUUAUAAAAUAAUAUUUUAUAUUAUUUUUAUAAUAAAAUACUCUGAAAUAAAGAUUCAACAAGAAAUUCUUAUGGUCUUUAGCGAAAUAAUGAAAAUAAUUUAUCACUUUAAUGCCACAAAAGGACCCAAUUGAGCAUGUCACAAAAAAAAAUUACAACUCUUGGAUCAUACUACAUAAUCGAUGGAUCACAAGCAACGUUCAAAUUCCAGAAUGCCAAACAUACAAAAUUAAAGACUUAAUCACUUUAGGCAAGGAAUACGAUAGCUUAAACUUCAAGAAAAGUAAGGCUGAAAUCUUAAUGCCUUUAUUAGCACUGGUUAACAAACAAAUGAGAUUAAAAGACUACAUAAACCCCAUUUUAGGUAAUUUAAUCAUGAGACAAGAUGCCACAACUUAUAUGCGAACAAGAAAAGCAAGAAAGGAAAGAAACAUUAUCUCGUCAUAAUUUAAUUUGUUCUCAUGAGUCAAUUACAACACAUUGAAUUAGCAUGAAGAAAACAUAAUUCAUCCCUAUGUUCCACUCUCAUAUUUUAAAAUAAACUUUAGAAUCAAAUGAGACUAUUGUACAUCGUGAGUGGCAAGUCGGAAGAAACUAACAUUUGAGUUCUUAUUUAAAGAUUUUAUUAUCUAAACUUUAGUUCUUUGAGAGGAAAAGAUAUGCGAACAGGCUGCAUAAUAUCUAUUCUUUGAACAUUUUUUUCGAAUUUCAAAAAUAUGUAAAGAUUUUAUUAUCCUACUCUAUGAACUACAAAACAACAUCGAAUAUGAGACCAACAAAAUAGUUUCUAAAGUCGAAGCAUGAAAGCUAACUAGUAACAUUCAGACAGAAUAAAAUGAGAGAGAUCAAGCAUGAACGACAACCAAUCCAACACGGGCAAGAAUGAGUUUUUUAGUAGAACAAUAUAUCAAACACGAAAAUCCUAUGCCUUCCAUUCCUCUACAGCAGUCAUUCCCAGCAAACAGAAGUGGAACCACAAAGAAGAAAAUGAUAACCAUAACAAAAUUAAAAAUAAAGGUGUAUUUAUCUCUUUUGGGGAAGCAGAAUGGGAUAACCAGCUGACGAUAGGAUUCCGACCACUGAAAAACUCACAACUGCUUCAACAAUUCAAACGCACCUCCUAAAAAUUAUGACAUUUGUCGGUUGAAUAUGUCUUCAAAGUGGGUGGCCCUUUUGGACACCGACGAUACUUUAUGUAGAACGGUCUCUAAAACUGUGUAAUCUUGUGCUGGUGUGACAACCCUUUGGGUACCUAUAUCAUUUGUUGCAUGUGGAAUGAUAACCUCUCCUGUUAUAGCCGAUGAUCAAUUUAUAAAUUUCAUUUAAAUUAUCAAUCUUUGGAUAAUCUUAUGCAUUAUUUGAUGUUGGAUACGAGGUAACUUACAGAUAUCCUUUUGAUUUCUAGCUUUUAGGUAAUCCUGCACAUUAUCCGACUUUGAAUAAGAGAUGACUUACAGAUAUCCCUUCAAUCACUAGCUUUUAGGUGUUCCUGCACAUCAUCCGACCUUGGAUAUAAUGUGACUUAUAGAUAAUCCCUCAAAUUAUUAGUCUUUGGUUAAUCCUACACAUAAUCGAUCUUGGAUAUCUUGGAUAUGACACGGCUUAUAGACAACCCUUGGACGUAUCAAUUUGAUAAUCUUGCAUAUUCUCCGGUAAGGAUUUAGUUCCGACUUAUGGAUAGCCUUUGAACUCUCAAUUUUUGGACAAUCUUACACACUAUCCAGUUAGGAUGUUGUUGUGGCUUACGAAUGACCUAAAGUCUAUCAAAUCAUAGGUGAUCUUGUACACUAUUCUAUUUCAAAAAUAUGACUUAUAGAUGACCCUCAAAUUGUCAAUUUGUAAGAAAUCUUAUAUAUCACUCAUCCUUAGAUAGUGACUUAAAGGUGUCCCUUCAAAUCGUGCGCUCUCGAUGCAUUCAGAUGUUGAGUCAUAAAAUGAUAAGAUAUCCUCGACGCCAGCGUUUAUGUCUUGCGUGUCAACAGACAUAAAAUGAUGAUGAUAUCCUCGACGCCAGUGUUGUGUCUUGUGUGUCAACAGAUACAUUGAAUGCUGAUGAUAUCCUCGAAGCCAUCAUUGUGUCUUGCGUGUCAAUAGAUAUAUUGAAUGCUGAUGACAUCCUCAAUGCCAGCAUUGUGUCUUACGCGCCAACAGAUAUUACAUGAUGAUGAUAUCCUCGACGCUAGCAUUGUGUCUUGCAUGUCAACAGAUAUUGCAUAAUGAUGAUAUCCUCAACGCCAACGUUGUGUCUUGCGUGUCAACAGAUACAUAAUAAUGAUGAUAUCCUCGAUGCCAGUGUUGUGUCUAGCGCAUCAACAGAUAUUGAAUGAUGAUGAUAUCCUUAACACGAGUGUAGUAUCUUGCGUGUCAACAGAUAUAUUGAACGCUGAUGAUAUCCUCGACGCCAGCAUUGUGUCUAGCACAUCAACAGAUAUUGAAUGAUGAUGAUAUCCUUGAUGUCAGCAUUGUGUCUUGUGUGUCAACAGAUAUAUUGAAUGCUGAUGAUAUCCUCAACACCAGCGUUGUGUCUAGCACAUAAAUAGAUAUUAAAUAAUGAUGAUAUCCUCGACGCCAGCAUUGGUUCUGGCUUGUCAAUGGAUAUAUUGAAUGCUGAUGAUAUCCUCAAUGCCAGCGUUAUGUCUAGCACAUCAACAAAUAUUGAAUAACAAUGAUAUGUAAUGGCCCUCUUGGCAAUGACAUGCAAUGUUUCUUCCGAUAAAUUAAAAACAGUUUCUCCUGAAAUUAUUUAUCAGGUUUUUGCUAUCUGCAUGUACCUGUACUCAAGUUAGACGAUGAGUAGACACAAUGUGGCUUUUGCUAGCGACUAUUUUUUUAGAAAAAUUCUAAAUACAAUAUUUGUAAAGAAGACAAGACACUUUUGUUUGUCCUCCAUGAUCUUAAGAAAUGAGAUGGACAAUUCGAAAGGUCAUCAAUAAAUGGGUGUUGAGCUGGUUUUAGGCUACCAAAAGUACCAUUAUUAAGCCUUAUAUGCUCUGUCAUGGCUACCGAAUUUCUUGGGGAUUUUUCAAAAGAAACGCUCAUUUUGUGUAUCGGUCCCUGCAUCCACAAAAAAUGAUUAGUUUGACAGAAACUACUCCGUGUUGACCUCCUACGAUCCUUGAUUUGCCUCACCAUCUUUUAGGUAUUUCAUCAUGUUGGGACUUCCACCCCUGAAUCCCCGUCCUAAUUGAUGUCUAGGCAAUCACUAAGUAAAAGAUUUAUAUAGAUUUUUUUCGAAGUACUCUUAAUUUUUUAGAAAACAGUUUCGAGAACUCCUGCAAAACUUCGAAAAAUCUCUGCCAGUCACGUAGUACCAUCCAAAUGCCUCAUAAUUUGCUACAUACCUUCUCAUAAGUAGUAGUAGUUUACAACUACCAACGAUAAAAGUAAAGGGGUAAGGUCAUAUAAUAGACAUGAUCAACCUUAAUCUGAUAUUAUAACCCCAUACGAUCUUAUCUACUUAUGCGGAUUUCUCUCCUCAUACUUACUUACUCAAGCAUACAUUUAUACUGCCUUCAAAUUCUUCAAACAACCAUGAGUUUAUAAUCAUAACUUACUCGCUAAUAUAGCCAUUUUUCACAUUCAAGCAACCAAUAAAUCACCCUGACUAACAACUCCUUCUCUACCUUAUACUAAACUAGCUCACAAGGAUGAAUCACCUCUUUACCAACUCCAUUUCAUGCAAACAGAUUCAGCCAUACAUAUAUUAAACCAGCAAAAGAACAACAAGUUGGACAACAAGUUGCUAGUGAAUCGAAAUAGGCCUCACACGGCUUCACUAGACUUUGGUUUUGUAUUUUGAACAAGAAAAUGAGAUGGAUGACAAGGAAACUAUGCUAGUGAAUUGAAAGAGCCCCACACGGCUUCACUAGACUUUAAAUUAUUUUUUCAAAAACACCAUGAUAAAAAGACUACAUAUUACAAGAGAUAGGAAAUUGACACAUAAUAUUUAAUGGUCUAAGAAUACACAUCUUACUCUGUAUAAAUUAAAAUUUGAGUAAAAUACUUCCCCCAUGGACUACCAUACCAUCCACACGUGCUACUAGCUACCACAUUAGUUUAUCACUAUAAAGGGGUAAAUCAUCCUCAAAUAUCGAUUAUUCAACUGAAAUAUUCAUUUACACCAAAAAUCACCCUCACUCUGACUUCUAACUUUGUGACUUCACAUCACUAACUUCUUGGUCUAAUUUCAUUACCGAUAGGUUAUGACAACAACACUUUAACUUAUGCUACUAUUCGAGUGGAAAUACAGUUCUAACAUUCUGCUAUACACCGUCCAUAAUCACGAUUUUUGGGAGGGACUAGAUGCACUUAAUACCUUAAGAUGGAAAGAAUGAUUCCAUCAGGAUUAAUGUUUACAUCAGAAUCAACACAUAUUGAAGAACCAAUAGAUUCCUCUUGAGUCUUUGCACAAUUUUUUUCUUAUAUGACACAAUCGAAAAAGACUAUAUCAUGUAGAUUCUAAAAUUUUUGCACUUGAAUCACCCCAAUAAUGGGACAUGUUUGAGAAUAUCAGAGUAAGGAAAGAAUUUGGGAUGACUUUACCUUCAUAUGGGCGACACCAUAGCACGAAUGACAGUAUCAAAGAGAAAUAUUUUGACUCUAUUGCACGAACUGGAACAUGAAGAAAGAGAGACAUUCCUAAACGCCUAGUUGCCUCCUGUUUAUAAGUGUGACGCGCUACACACCCAUAAACAAGACUCUACCCGACGUGAUUUUUCAGACACCCUGGGACCAUGAAACAUGCUCUAAUACCAAAUUUGUCACGACCCAAAUUGGGGCCCUGGCCGUGAUGAGCAUUCCAAACCAUGAAGGCCCGAAAUACCCCUAUUUGACUGAUAAUCAUGCACAUAACUCAUAUGAUAAAAGAAAUGCGAAAGAUAAACAAUAUUAUGGAAACAUGGUCAAGAAUCAUAUGAAAUCAAUAACGGGGAAUAAUGUCCCACAAUCUCAGCACAACAUCUCUAUAAUGUCUACGAAAUCUCUACUACAUGACUGAAAUAAAUAUCUAUCUGAAAACUGGGACAAGGUCCCCAGUAAAUCCAAAACUAAUAAAUGAUAAAUGAAACUACCAGAUAUUAGGCCUUCUGAAAUAUAGAAGGCUCACCAAGUGACUCUGCAAAUCUGUCUGAGAAAUUUACUGAUUUUCUGGACCCCUAGACUGUGCGUCCAAACCUGGGAGGGAAGGGGGUCAAUACAAAAGUACUGGUAUGCAAAAUAUCAAAACAAAACAUAAUAUUUUUACAAAAUAUAGUUGAGAGACAUUAUAAAACAGUUUUAUAUCAAAUUAUUUUAAAACACAUGGGCGUAAUGUAAUUGUUUUCAACAAUAAUGUAAUGCAGUUGAGCUAGGUGGAAUACCCUACAUAUCACAUAUCACAUUUACACAAACUAUCAAACCUCAGUUGCCGCCGAGAUUAGAGUAUAAGUGAGGGAAAUACACACAAGAUCACACAGUAAGGUGUCUCGGUCCAAUGGUAGUGCACAAGAUCACAAAGCAGGGCUCCUAACCAUAGUCCCAACUUGGGAAUGACAUAAAGUCAGGUACGAAAGAUCACAAAGUAGGGUACCAAAUUCCUAUGUGGGCAAACACGAUUUUUAGGAAUGAGCCCUUACACUCAAACGCCUUCUUAGGAUAUCCACCUUUCUCAUGUAAAAUCAAUGCAUUCAUAUUUCAUCUGAUUCAAUCACAUAUCAUAUUCUGUAGGGUAUCGUCAUACCCGAAUUACAAGCCAUCAAUAGCACAUCAUUCUUCUUAUUCAACCAUUGUAUUCAACAUGUUUUAACACAAAUAGCCCUCUCGUUUUCAAGUCAAAAUCAUAUCAAUUCUCAAAACAUUUCAUGUCAUGCUUUUCAAACAAUUUACAUCGUAUGAAAAUUUAAAACAAAUUCACAUCAAGAGAGGGAUUCCAUAUAAUUCAUGCUCUCAAAUUAACACCUUUUCGAAACACAUGCUUAUACAUAUGUAAUAUAUCAAAUCACUUCGGAAAUAGGCCUAAAGACCAAAUCAAUAUUAUAGAAACGUUCAAAACAUGAUUAUAUUCGUAGUUUCAAAACCCCCAUUGUAAAACAUGAAUUUAAAGGCCCAUGAGAUUUUAGGAUAACCCCACGUACCUCCAUGUGAGAAGAUGAUAGGUGUUUCUUGAAGCCUACGUUCUGGGGAUUCCAAAUAUGCAAUUAGUUUUAAACACCCACGGUUGACUCUUGAGUUUCUUGGGUUUUUAUUUUGAAACCCUAAGGAGAGUUCUUGAGCAAUUUUGAUGAAUGAGGGUGUAUUUUGGGGUAUUUGGGGAUUGAAUUUUGUGUUUAUGGCUAAAUAAGGGUGGAAAAAGGACCAUUUUGCCCCAAAAAUGGAGUGUUUAAGUCAUUUGAGUAGUAAUGUAUGCGGCGCACACCCUAUCUCAUAAUAUAGGUUGCUUGGCGCACUCUUUAUCACACACAUUAGGUUGUACGUCGCACACCUUAUGGCAUAAGUUAGGGUGUGCGUCACAUGAGUCAUAGUGGCAUAAGUCAUCCCUGUCCUUUAUAUAGAGCUCUUGUAAAUGUGUGCAUUGUGCGAUGCAAACCCUAAUUUACAUGACUUAUGUGAUGCACACCCUAACUUAAACACUCUAUUUUUGGGGCAAAAUGGUCCUUUUUCCACCCUUAUUUAGCCAUAAAAACAAAAUUCAGUUCCCAAAAUACCCCAAAUUAUACCUUCAUUCAUCAAAAUUGCUCAAGAACUCUCCUUAGGGUUUCAAAAUAAAAAUCCAAGAACUCAAGAUUCAACCAUGGGUUUUUGAAACUAAUUGCAUAUUUGGAAUCCUCAGAACGUAGGCUUCAAGAAGCACCUAUCAUCUUUGUAUGUAGAGGUACGUGGGGUUAUCUCAAAAAUCUCAUGGGCUUAAAAAUUCAUGUUUUAAAAAUGGGGGUUUUAAAAUUAUGAAUAUAAUCCCGCUUUAAAUGUUUUAUGAUAUUGAUUUGGUCUUUAGGCCUAUUCCCGAAGUGGUUUGAUAUAUGUAUAUGCAUGUAUUCUGAAAAGAUAUUAACUUGAAAGGACGAAUUAUAUGAAAUCCCUCUUUUUAUAUGAUCUAGUUUUAAAUUCUCAUAUGAUGUGAAAUGUUUAAAAUCAUCUUGACAAGCGUGACAUAAAAUAUUUUGAAAAUUGUCAUGGUUUUGACUUGCAAUGAGAGGGUUGUUAUGUUGAAAUAUGAUGAAUAUAAUGGUUGCAUGAAAGAAUGAUGUGAUAUUGAUGGGUUCCAAGUCGGGUAUGACGAUACCCUAAAGAAUAAGAUAUGUGAUUAAAUUAAAUAGAGUUUGAUGCACUGAUUUUACAUGAGAUAGGUGGAUGCUUGAAGAAGGCGUUUGAGUGUAAGGGCUCAUUGCUGGAAACCGUGUUUGCCAACAUGGGGAUUUGGUACUAGGCUAAGUGAUCUUGUAUACUUGACUUUAUGUCAUUCCCAAAUUGGGACUAUGGUUAGGAGCCCAGGCUAAGUGAUCUUGGGUAGUUGUGAUCUUGUGUGUCUUCCUCUCACUUAUACCCUAAUCUUGUGUCAACCGAGAUUUGACAGUUGGUGUAAAUGUUACAUGUAGGGUAUUCUACCAAGCUCAGCUGCAUUACAUUGUUAUUGAAAACACUUACAUUAUGCCCAUGUGUUUUCAAAUGAUUUGAUAUGGAACUACUUUUAUAAUGUCUCUCACCUAUAUUUGGAAAAAAAUAUUAUAUUUUGUUUUUGGUUUCUCUGUGUACUAGUACUUUUAUAUUGACCCCGUUCCCUCCCAAGUUUGGAGGCAUAGUUUAGGGGUCCAGAUAACCAGUAGAUCUCUUCCAAAAGAUUUUCAGAAUCAAGUGGUGAGCCUUCUACAUUUUGGAAGGACUGAUGUCGGUCAGUUCAUUAUCAUUUAGUAGUUUUGGGUCUACUGGGGGCCUUGUCCCAGUUUUCAGACAGUAAUUUGUUUCAGUCAUGUAUUAGAGAUUUCGCAAACGGUUGUUCAGAUGUCGAUAUAUGUUGUGGAACAUUAUUUCCUCUUUGUUGAUUUCAUUUGAUUUAUGACCAUGUUUUCUGUAAUAUUGUGUAUCUUCCGCAUCUCUUAUUAUCAUAUGAAUUAUGUGCAUGAUUACCACAUAGAUAGGGGUGUUUUGGGACUUCAUGGUUCAGAAUGCUCGUCAUGGCCAGGGCCCCGGUUCGGGUCGUAAUAAACUUGGUAUCAAAGUACGGUUCAUGGUCCCAAGGUGUCUGUGAAAACACGUCGGGUAGAGUCUUAUUUAUGGGUGUGUAGCGUUCCACACUUAUAAGCAGGAGGCUACUAGGCAUUUAGAAAUGCCUCUCUUUCUUCAUGUUCUAGUUUGUGCAAUAGAGUCAGAAUGAUCUUCUUUCAUACUCUAAUUCGUGCUAUGGUGUCGCCCAUACGAAAGUAAAAAAAAGCCAUCCCAAAUUCUUUCCUUACACUAAUGUCCUCAGAUAUGUCUCAUUAUUGAGGUGAUUUAACGGUAGAAGUUUAGAUUCUAAAUGGUAUGGUCCUUUCUGAUUGAACCAUGUAAGAGUUAAAAUUUGUGCAAGGACUUGAGAAGAGUCUAUUAGUGCUUCAAUUUGUAUUGAUUUUGAUGUAAACAUUAAUCCUGAUGGAAUCGUGCUUUUCAGCUUGAGGUAUUAAUUGCAUUUAGUCCCCUUCAAAUUUAUGUUACAAAUGUCUUACUUAAGGGGGGGAUGAUGUGUAGUAGAAUGUUGGAACUAUAUUUCCACCUGAAUAGUAGUAUGCAUUAAAGUGUUGUUGUCAUGACCUAUUGGCAGUGAAAUUAGACCAAGAAGUUGGUGAUGUGAAGUCACAAAGUUAGAAGUCAGAGCGAGGGUGACUUUUGUGUAAAUGAAUAUUUUAGUUGAAUAACCGAUGUUCGAGAAUGAUUUACCCCCUUAUGGUGAUAGACUAAUGUGGUAACUAAUAGCAUGUGUGGAUGGUAUGGUAGUUCGUGGAGGAAGUGUUUGACUCCAAUUUUAUUUAUACAGAGUAAGAUAUGUAUUCUUAGUUCAUUAGAUAUUGCGUAUUAAAUUUCUAUUUCAGGUAAUCUUGUCAUCAAGAUGUUGUUGAAAAAAAUAAAGUCUAGUGAAACCCUGUGGGGCUCUUUUGAUUCACUAGCAUAGUUGACUUGUCAUUCAUCUCAUUUUAUUGUUCAAAAUACAAAAUCAAAGUCUAGUGAAGCCGUGUGAGGCCUAUUUCGAUUCACUAGCAACUUGUUGUCCAACUUGUUGUUCUUGUGUUGGUUUAAUAUAUAUAUAUAUAUAGCUGAAUCUGUUUGCAUGAGAUUGAGUUGGUAAAGAAGUUAUUUGUCCUUGUGUGUUAGUUUAGUAGAAGGUCAAGGAGUUGUUAGUUAGGGUGAUUUCUCGAUUGCUUGAAGUGUGAAAAUGGCCCAGUAAAUUGUAAGUAUAGACUCAUGGUUGUUUGUGGAAUUUGAAGGUAGUCUAAAUGUAUGUUUGGGUAAGUAAGUAUGAGGUGAUAAAUCCAUAUAAGUAGAAAAUAUUGUGUGGGGUUAUAAUAUAAGAUUAAGGUUGAUCAUGUCUAUUAUGUAACUUUACCCCUUGACCUUUUUUUCGUUGGUAAUUGAAAACUUGUCAAACUUGUGCUAUUUAAUGAUUUUUGAGGCGCUUGUAUAGUAUGUCCCAAAUUUUAUGGACUAGCAUAUUAUGUUGCAUUUUUCAGUAUUGAUAGAUGAUUGGUACAGGACUAUAUGCUUGAAUUUAAUUUAGAAUGUGGUGGUAAAAAUAGUGGCAUGAGAUUAAUGAUGUAUGUUUUGUGUGAAAAAAUUAGUGGGCUUGAUGUGUUAAAAUACUACGUGCUAAUGAGUUAUGAUAAGAAAGACCGUAAGGUCAAGAUCAAUUAUUUGUUCUUUGGAAGUUCUAAUGUACUAGUCUUUCUUGAUGUCUAUUUCAUGGUAUCCAAGUGAGAAUCAUGCAUAAGGUUGGGUUGUAAAAUCAUGUUUAGCACUAGACAUUAAGUUUUGAACAAUUGAUGUCCAUGAAGGUGGAUGUGAUUAUUUCUUGGUUAAUGAUACUAGUUUUAUGGAAGUAAUCUAAUAGGCUUGAACGAUGUAUGCAAGAGCUUAAGUUUAAUUGAUUUGUAGUGAAGUAUUAUGUUACAUAUAUAAUGUAGAAGUAUGCCCAAGGUGAUCUGAGGUUGCGGUAUUUUCUAAGACUAUUACACGUUUUGUGAGACGAGUGGUACCGUUGAGUUGUUAGGUGGAGAAAGACUAGUUAGAUGGUAUAUAGUUUUCUAAAUAGCCAAGUUAAGGAGUUUUGAUUGACAGUGUUGAGCCUUUUUAUAUGAUCUUGAUUCUCAUAGUAGAGAGACAUAAGUUUGGACUCACAAUAUUGGUAGGCUAUGUCGGAAGUAGUGAGAUUCAUUGAAGUCUUGGUGAUAUCCAUGUUGAGUGCUUGAUUCUAAGUUUGAGUUUUUAAAGGUUGAACUAAUAGAAAUAAGAGUUAAAGCACUAGAGGGUGUGCACUCCGACUAUGGGGAUACCUAUGAAGACCCGAAGUUAGUAAGUAUGCAAGUAUUAUAUAAUGACUACUCGGCCUAUAAAAUGAUAAAGUGUAUCUGGGAAGGUAGUAUUAACAGUGGGUUUUCCACUUUCAGGUGUAGUCAUUCGGGUUAAGCUCCAUGAUAUGCGUGUAUAGUAGUUUUCCAGACCUCAAAGUGCAGUGAGUGUACUUCAGUUUAGAGUCUAGUAAGGGAUCUGCCAAACAAAAUAUGAUGGCUUGAAGCUAAGGGGGAGAUGAUAGAGAGAAUAACCAAGUCAGGCUUUUAGAUUUUACUAGUAUGUCAUUAUGACAUUGAACAUCAAAAGGGAAGAGUGAGGCUCAACCCAUUCCAAUCUUAGUAUUUUUUGGUUAUCCUAAUACCUACUCAUACCUCAUGUUUUAGUUCCAUGAUCAUAGUUUUGGAUUAACAGAUAUGCUUCUUUACACCUGAAGAAAAGAUACUUAGGCCAUCAGUAGCUGUUGAACCCAAGCCAUAAGGUAAAGAUGCUUAUCAUUUUUUCCAUUCUCGUCUAAUGCUUAUUUCUCUUUAUUCUCGUUUCAAGCUUUUUAUUUAUUAGAUGAAGAAAAGGGUUUCAUGUUACAAUGUGGUUUGGCUUUAAAAUUGUUGCCUCGUCCUUCAAAUUAAUUUAGGGAGUUGCGCAUGGAUACAAGCUUUCAACAUUGAUUGGAAAAUUAACUAAAUAUGAUUGAAAAGUAGCAAUAUUCGGAUUUCAUCUAUUCUUCCUUGCAUGGAUAUUGGUUGAGAAGCCUCUUAUACCUCCUCUUCCUAGUCCUGCUCCUGGUGUUAUUCCAUCCAUGUCACUGCAGGUAAAGUUGUGGAGGCUUGGGGGAGGGAUAAAUGACUUUUUAAUGUAGAGACAUUAUGAUAACUAUUUUCCCCACAUCUUUAGCAGUUCCAUCCUAUGCUUCCAGCCCAGCAGGCACAACCUUAUGGUUCCAGGUCAUCUCAACAAUUUCUGCCACUUGGACAAGCAAAUGUUGCGAUGUCUCAACCUUCUCAAAUCCAAUUUCCUCAACCUAUGCAACAGGUUACUGGUAGACCUAUAGUAGGAAUGGAUUGUAUGCCUCAGGGACCACCUAUUCCCCAUGAUUUUCAGCGAAAUCUUCCAAUGUCAAAUAACCACUUGCCUAGUUUUGGUGGCCAAAAUUUACCUCUUUCUUCUUCAUAUAAUGUAAGGCCUUGGGAAGAUCUUUUGUGGUUAUUGUCAAUCAGUUUCCGAUGUUCCAUUUAUAUAUUGAUGAAAUACAUUUUGUUAUCGUCUUUAACAACAGGUAAAUGUAGAUUCUUCUGGCUCCCAAUAUCAAACACAGAUAAAUGAUCAUAGGUUUCCAUCAGGGGUACAACCCUAGAUGCCAAUAAGAAAUCAUAAUGUGAAUUCAUCGACAAUAAUGCAGGAGACUGGAGAGUUAGCAGCUCCCUUGUUUCAGUCCUCUUUGUCAAAGUUAUCAUACGGGUUGCCGUUCACCGCUACCAAAUUCUACCUGACUGUUGAUCAGCUAAACUUGAUACACCUCUACCGAUAACUUCAUUUUGACCCCAUUUCUCUAUUAUCAUACACAUUUUACAUGUGGCUAAAUGCUAGUAGGUAUUGCUAUAAUCAGUAGGCCAAUUAUGGUUGCUAAUGUUGUCAUAUUUCCUAUGGAUUUAUUACUCCAACCAAUUAAUAACAUUCUUACAAUUCUUGAAUUGAUUUUUAGAUACUAUUAUAAUAGAAGGACAAGAAUCUCUACCUGGGGGAAACCUCGAGAGCUGAUGACAGAAAUGGAGGUGAGGUCUCGUGUCAUUGAGAUUUGUAAGGGUAUUUUUAUCCAGUUUCCUGUGCUUAUCAAUAAAAAAAGAAGUACACAAUUCUUUUUCUAUGAAGCUUCGUAGAACCACUUUUUCUUUCCUAAGUAUAUGUGAUUUCUGUUGAAAGUUUGUUUAGCAAGUAGAUUUCCUCGAUCUUACUAUACUAUGUAGGCUUCAUUUGGAAUUUGCAUUGACCUUUUAUUUACAAUAUAGUUCUAAAAGAUUUUAUAUUUAACACUAUCUUUCUAAAAAAUGUGUUUAAGCAUACAUGACAGGAUUAUAUUUGGUCUAUUUUAAACAAUUUUAUUUACUUUCUGAUUAAUGUAAUGUUAUUGUAACUCUAUGGCGAUAUGGAGAGACGAAACUUGAUAUAAUAUUGUGGUUCACACUUCUCAUUCUGGUUUAUAGAAUAAUAGUUUGGUUGAUUGCACACUUGCACCCAAGAGUGUGACCUAGUGGUCAAUGAAGUAGAUUGAGAACCAUGAGGUCUCACGUUUAAUUUCCAACAAAAAUAAAAACACUAGGUGAUUUCUUACCGUCUAUCCAAGCCUUGAUUGACAGAGUUACCCAGUAUCUGUGCUGGUGGGAGGUAGCAGUACCUGGUGUAACUAGUCAAGUUCUAAGCUGGCCCAAACACGAUGGUUAUCAAAGAAAGUUUGGCUUGUUGUGAGGGACAAGUAUUAAUGGACCAACAACUGGAGCUGUAAGGAAGUUUGAACAUUUUUAUUCUUUUCUUUUUAAGAUAAAUAGUUUUUUUUUUUUGGAUAUAUUACUUUGUAUUCGUCGGCGUUAAGGUUAUGCUAGCAGUCCAAAAGAAAUGAAAAAUAAUGAAAAUAAUCUGAGGAUUCAAAGAGAUCUACUACCUAUUAUGCAUCCUGUACACAUUGGCCCUUAAACAAAAAACAAAAAUCUACAAUUCUAUUCCAUUUAACUUUCUGAAUGGAAUUAUAUUUAUCUUCAAAAUACCUUCAACUUUUCUUCUAACUCUUGCUAAUCCCUUCUAAUCCAACAGCUCAACAGAUUGUUGUGUGCCCUUUGAUAGUCCACUUUACUUCAACUCAAUAGAUCUGGUAUGUGUUCUGGCAUGGUCCACUUUACUUCUAUUAAACUAAAGGUGUCAAAUGGGCGGGGUUGGCUGGAUUUGGGGGGAUCAAAGAGGUCUGAGUUAACAAAUGGGUCGGUUAUUAACCAACCCUAAAGCUACUUGGGCUGAAAUGGGUUGGGUUGAAAUGCUCUAAAAUGCGGGUCAUAACCCAACCUACCCUAUUUGAACUCGGAUUUAAUUGCUUUAUUUGUUAUUUUAUAAAAUUUUAGUACUUGAAAAAUUAUUAUCCUUUUUUUUAACUUGGUAACUUUGUAUUAUAUCACACAGUACAAGGGUUGUACUGAAACCUUUAUAUACAAGGGGACUCCUCAAUCGACUAUUCUAUAUCAAAAUUUAGUCUAGAACAUCAAUUAUCAAGGCAGUAUCAUUAGAGUAUAGUUGAUUACACCAAAAACAUAAAAGCAAAAUACAGUUGAGUUUAAUCUUCUGCACACUAUUCUCUAUGCUCUCAAAGCAUGUAGAAUUCCUUUUUUUCCAUAUAGCCCACCAUAUAGCACCCGGGAUAAUUCUCCAUUUACCUCUGUCCUUCGCAUGUACACCUGCUUCUCCCAGCACAUUAAAGUCUCGAAUACUUUCCUGGAAAUGCCUUUUAGUCUUAAGACGAUUCUCCAAAGUUGUUGGGUGUACUUACAAUGUAGAAAUACAUUGUUAACCGUCUCUAAAGUUUCUCCCCAGAGGAAACAUCUGGAGCACAAGGUUUUCACUUUCUUCAUGACAUUAUCUUGUGUAAGAACUACUUCCUUGGUCAGUAACCAGACAAAGACAAAGCACAACACUGUGUGAGGUAUCCUACUUUUCCAUAUUUGCUUCCAUGGCCAUCUUGGAUCCGGGUGGUUUAUUUGGUUCAUCAUCUUGUAGGCUUUGUUGACACUGAACAUUCCUUUUUCAUUUCCCAUCCACCAUAGUACGUCCUUCACUAUCUGCAGUCCAUUGAAUAAGUCCACGGUAUUAAAAAAUUCAACUACUCUCAUUACCUCCUGGUCAUUAAGUUGUCUUCUGAAUGUGGUGUCCAUAAUUGUGCUAUAGUCCUCUAUUAAAACAAUACCAAGUUGUAGAUAUCUGGAAAAAUCACUUCCAUAUUCCCAUCCUCAUGUCAAUUAUCCUUCCAGAACCUAGUCCUGUUUUCAUCCAUCUCUUUAAUCUUUGAGUUGCUUUUAACUUCAUUUCACUAGUGUCUAAUAGAUCUAAUAGAUCUCUAGAGGCUAACCCCGUAUGGUGCGUUCACUUCUUUAGUAAUCUAUCUAUCUUCUUCAGGAUAUUUAGCCCCAAUCAUUUUCCUCCAUAGCAGCUGGUUAUUUUUUGCAUAUUUCCACAACCAUUUCAUCACGAGAGCCCCUCAAGUCUUCUUGUCAAUUGUCCACCAUAGAGAGCACUACCACUUUUUCUCGCAUAUCUUUGUUCCUUAUUGUAUUGCUCUUAGUAUGCCCACACACAAAUCUCAACAUCCUCAUUUCUGCUACGUUUAUCUUUCGAACAUGCGAGCUCUUGACUAGCCAAACACUCUGCCCCAUGCAAGAUAGCUAGUAUAACAACCACUUUAUAAAUUUACCUUUAAGUUUAUUUUAACAAAAUUCUUAUACAUGGCAUGCUAGUUACUAGCUCUUUUGCAAGAGCUAAUUUGGACAAAAAACACAUGUUAAGAAAUUGAUUCAUCGAAAAAAAGAAUAACUGUAGUUUAUGAGUUUCAAUCGUGUCUAAAUGGAAAAAAAAUUAUGGGGGGGCUGUGUUGAGUAUGGAACUUAGAACCUCAGUGCAGGAUUUGAACACCCUUACUGUCACACUCAGUCUUGUUUUUUGUGGCAAGGGUGUUCAUUAAAAAAUACUCAGAAACGACAGAAUUUGACCUAAAAUGUGAUUAUCAGGCAAAUAUUGUUCAGUUGAUCACCCUUGGAUAGCUGUAGCUUGGCCGCAGCUUGGCAAUGUUUCCACCCUACUUGUAGUUAUAUUCUACACAGUAUAUUCUAGUCCUUUUCCAUGUGGGACAUUAUGUCAUUCAUAUUCUAACACUUUCAUCCAGUAUUGUACUGCUGGAUGUUACUGAUUUCUACUCUCAGGGUACUGUUUAUAUUCUGGUUUUUGACUUGACCUGUUUUCAUGCUAUUUUCAUUGGGAUAGAGGGCAGACGCAUUAACUGACUGGAGAGAAUUUACAAGUCCUGGGGGAAGAAAGUGUGUAACUUAUAUAUUUUCUUGGCCUCUUUCCAAUUGUUCUUCUAUAGUGGGUACUUUUGUGUGUUACUUGUGCAUAAUGCUGAUUGCUUUGUUUAUUUUCUGUACGUAUUACUACAACAAGGUUACUAGAAUGUCCAAAUGGAGAAUGCCUGAUGAAGUCAAGGUGAUGUUAGAUUUAAAUCCAAUAUAGGUUUGUUUCGUGCUUUAAAAAGCAUGAUAAGAAGGGAUUGUUCUGUGCUUUAAAUAGCAUGAUAAGAAGGGACAAUAUUUUGUUUUCUUGGAUGCUCUAGUUCUCAUAAAAUCUUUAUGCAUUCACAGUUUCUAGCAUGUUAAGAAGGGGCAAUAUUCUAUUUUCUUAGAUACUCUAUUCUCAUAAUGUUCAAUUAUUUAUAAAUUCACAGUUGGCUCAUGAAAAGGACACCAUUUCGUACGCUUCUGAUUUUGGAUCCAUUUCUGUUAUUAAAACAUCAUCCCCGAGUGCAGAUGGUUCAUUAUUUUUGGCACACGGUGCUAAAUCAAGCCCAAUUACUGUAUCAACAGUUGCUAACUUACCAACUAUUAUGGCUUCAGAAUCAUCAAGUUUAUCUGGUAAGGUUUUUUCUUCGAUGAUUGACACAGUCGAAAUGAAGAAUUCCUUAGAACCUUCUUCGCCAGCUAUUGUUAAUUCAAGAAAAUUGGAAUAGCAGUAACCUUGGGAAAUUCUGUCGCACCACCGGUGUAUGUUUUCAUAUUUAUAUGUUAUAAAUUUGCCUCUGGUUUGUAUUUCUUCUUAUUUAGAAUUCAAUUUUUCUGUAGUGCUGAGACUACUACAACUCAAGAUGCAGUAGUGUAUGGUGAUGGAUUUUCUUCAGAGAAUAGAGAGGUACUUUGUCCUUCUGAAAUACUUAUGCGAUUAGUUAAUUACUACUGGUUACUGUUUAAAACACCAAGAAAGCUUUUCGUAGCUGUUAUGCUGGAUGUUGAUCCAACAAUUUUAUAGUGCAGUUGUUAGUCAACUGCUAACAGGUGAAGAAUAUGCUCCAAAUUCCAAUGAGGUUUGCUUUUGUUCUUUGUGCUUGAUGUUGUGCCUAAAAUGCAGAAUGUCAAGAAAGAUGCUGCAAUAACUGAAAUCGGAGGUGCUACUCCAUUAGAGGAGAAAACAGUUAAGCUGGGACCAUUAGUUUAUGAGAGAAAAACGGUAUAGUCGAUUAUUGCUUUUUGGCCCGUUUAAUGUAUGUUCUCAAAAUUUGUCUUAUUUCUAUUUUAAGUAUCUGAUUUUAUUUAGGAACCAAAGAAUGCAUUCAAAACUCUUUUGGAAUCUGCAUAUAUUGGGUCUGAUUGCACGUGGGAUCAGGUUUAUUACUUGACUAUUUUGUGUGUACCAAACAAUUGAGGGAGAUCAUUUGACAUGAAUUGUAUUUAUCAGGCCAUGAGAGCAGUAAUUAAUGACCGGAGAUAUGGUGCUCUAAAAUAAAAAAAAAGCUUUUAAUGAGGUAUCUCUCCAAGUCGGAAUUGGAAUGGGUUAAUUACUGCUUCAAUGUUUCAGCAUAGCGUAUUGCAAAAAUAUAGAUUGUGUUUGAUAUCCAAUUGUUUCAUGUUUGGUUGACUUAAAUAUUUUGAAAAAUGUUUUCCAAAUCAACUUAUUUUCCUUAAAUUUAAGGAAACUGAAUUCCCUUCAAAAAGUAGGAAAAAUAUUUUCCAAAACUCUCUUUCAAUAUCACUCUUAAUUUGAAAUAUUUAUACAACUCUCAAAUGUAUUUUUUGAAAAAAUAUUUUUUUAUUCACCAAUCAAACACUAGAAAACAUUUUCUGAAAAAUGUUUUCCUUUCAACAACCAAACAUAAGAAAACAAGUAAGAAACCAACUUGUUUUCUAGGAAAACAUUUUCCUUCAUCCCAAACAAACCCAAGGUCUAUAGUGAUCAUUUUGAAGUUGUGUGUCCGUUCCAGUAUCUGAGCCAAAAGAAAAAAUUUAAAGCUGAAGAGAGGCAUGUUAAACAGAAAAAAGCUCGGGAAGAUUUCAGGAUAAUGUUAGAAGUAAGUGAAAUUUUCUUUUGUGGUGUCUUCCAUUUGAUAUAUCAUGAUAUUCACAUAACCAGUUUCAAAAAUAAAAAGAUAUUAUCAUAAUAUUCAUGAUAUGUUAGAGACUGGUAUUUGAUUUGUUCAAAAGAAUAAGUGGUAUUUUUCACAACAAUGUCCGUUGUUCUCAAUCUUACAGGAUUGCAAAAAGCUGUCACCAUCGUCAAGAUGGAGGUUUGUCUUUCACUUGGAAUGUUAAGUUGUCUGCUGCUUGUUUUCUAAUCUUUGUCAUUGUUUGUAUGUGUUAUGGUACCUUGAAGUUGAUCCAUUACUUGUGUAAAUUCCAUUGGAUCCAUUAACUAUUUGCUAUUGAUUAUUCUGUAAGGGAAUCUCCAUAUUCUAAUAUGAUGAACGUUUUAAAGCUGUUGAGUGAGCUAAAGACCGUGAGGACCUUUUUGAAGAUUAUGUGGAGGAACUUGAGAAAAAGGUGAAGCUCCUUGUGUAGAACUUUCUUUUAAGCUUCUAUAUGUUAAAAGCUAAGUGUGCGGGCUGUAGUUUCCUUAUAUGGUCUUUGGCUCCUCACAAAUUGAGUUAGCCUUUUAUUUGAGAUAGAAACAAGGUCCAAUUUCUUAAACAUGGUAUUAGAGGCAGAUCAAUCUUGAUGUUAGACUAUUACAUGUUAGCCAACCUAGGUUAACUGAUGCUACAAAUUUCUAGUCUUGGUGUGUGAUUAAUGUAUGAGAAUCCCACACUAGUAAGGUGUAUGUGUUGUUGUCUCCUUAUAUGAUCUUGGACAAUCUUCACCACCUGACCUAGUUUUCGAAGUUGAGUUAGGCGCUGGUCCACUUGAUUAACAACAGUCAUUCCAUUCCUUUCCUUUGCAGGAUGUCUUUUAGUUUGUUCCCUUUUAUUGUUUUGCUUAAAGAGUAGAAAGAAGGAAUGUUGUACAUAUUCAACUUAAAAUUUUGUGUUCUUUGAAUACAUUUUUAAUGGCUCCUCAAGGGUACAACAUUUAAAUUUGUUCACCAUUGAAUUCCAAUUUAAAUAGACUUCAAUGUAUUGUAUGUAAUUUUUCUUGAAACUUGAAACUAUGAUAUGCUUCUUCCACUCCCCCCUCCGUCGUAAAAUAGAAAAAGAUUUUCAAUACUUUCAUGCAAGUGUAGUUAAAUUCUCUUUGUAAAUAUUGUCUUCUUUAUAGAGAAAUUUUAUUUUUUUUACUUUUUAUUGGAUUUUAUUAGGAGCAUGCGAAGGCAUUGGAGGAGCAGAAGCGCAAUAGAGUGGAGUACUUAGAAUUUUUAAAAUCCUGUGACUUUAUUAAGGUAUUUGUUCUAGUGGAAUUAGCAUCAGUUCCUAGAUUAUGUUUUUCAAUUUCCAGGAGAUAGAACUUCCAUAGUUCCAUUGUUGCUGACUUCUUUUGUUCAGGCCAGUAGCCAGUGGCAGAAAGUUCAGGACCGCUUGGAAACUGAUGAAAGAUGCUCCCGCCUUGAGAAAAUUGAUUGCUUGGAGAUUUUCCAAGUACUACUCAUUUUUCUAAUACUUCAUAAAUAACUUUUUCCAAACAUCUUAUUUGUACGCCUCAGUUUUAAAGUUAUGAUUUAAAGAGCGAAGAGGAGGAGCAAAGGAAACUGCAGAUGGUAUAUUGCUUAUUAGACUCGGGGGGUAAAAUUAAAUUUAUGUUUGGAGACUUUGAUUUAUCUCUUUCUCACUGGGCAUACACCGUUGAUUCAAAUAGGAAGAAUUAAGGAAAGCUGAAUGUAAAAAUCGUGAUGAGUUCCGAAAACUGAUGGAAGAGUGCGUUGCUGCCGGAAUACUUAAUGCAAAAACUAACUGGCAUGAUUAUUGCAUCAAAGUUAGUUUUUAUUUCUUGUGUUCAGUGAGUGAUUACCUUCAUGAGUUCCCUUUUCGUCUUUUUGAAUUUUUCAUCCAAUAAUUUCCUUCUUUAUUUUGUGCUUGCAGAUUAAAGAUUUUGCUGCAUAUCUAGCUGUCUCAUCAAAUACUUUAGGAUCAGCAGCAAAAGACAUAUUCACAGAUGUUAUAGAUGAGCUGGAGAAACAGGUGAAAUAGGUUGCUAAUAGGAGUAUUGAAUUGUGUCAACUACAUUUGUUACACUAAGCCAUAUUUAUAGACUUUACACUACAAUCCCUUUUUAUUUGCUUUCACUUAAUGAAGGUCUGAAUCUGAAUGGUUAAUAUAUCAGCCCAUUAAGUGUUUUUUUAAAAGAUUCAACCUGUUAAUACAUCUUAAUGAAUCAUAUGUUAAACAAAGUCUGAAAAUCAUUUAGAUCCUCACUAAAAAGUUCAAUUCAUUAGGUAAAAAGGAAGUUAGUGCAUUACUAUGUGGGAAUAUACUGGGUUUUGUUGUUGUUGUUUUAGUGCAUUAAGGAAUAGAAUUGAGAUUUGAGAGUUACCCCUCUGCUUGCUUUAUUUUUUUAAAAAACACAUAUUUUGUUGAGAUAAGAACAAUGACCGGUUGUUCCUAUUAAACAUCUGUGUUAUUUCUCUUUAUGCCAAUUAGUUUCCUCUUUUUUUUUUACUAGAUAGUAGGUAUUUAGGCUGAUAGGAAUGGUAUUGUCGUAAACUUUUAAGUUAGGGGUUCCAUGCUUUUCAUAUAGUAUAGAUAUAGAUGAUUCUUUCAAUCUAGCCAAGCUGUAUUAAAUGCUACUUCACGGACAAUUGUAAUUGACUUCUUCUCCGUUGAAUGCUGUUAAUGGUUAUAUUACCUUAAUUUUUAUAGUUUCUCGAGCAGAACAACUCUGAGAAGUGAUCAUCAAACUUCCAUGUUUUCACGUAGUUUCUUUGACUUCCAAGGACUCCUUUAAAGUAUCACACAACUACACCAUUCUGUUUCAGCUAAGACUGCAUUUGUUUUUAUUAAUAUUCAGACAUUUGAAUCAUUUUGAAUGCACAUCUGAAUGGUUUAGAUAUUGUCUCUAGAUCUGAAAACUAAAUGAUAAAGGUUGGGUGUUUCUCAAUAUCUGAAUGUGUAAAAUUUAUUUAUUUCUGAAUAUAAUAUGAUUACAUAUUAGAAAUUUUUUUAAUUUAAUGCAAUUAAAUUAUUAUUUGAUUAAAAAAGGAAACAUUUAUGUUUAUUAGUGAUAGUGGAGAUGGUUUGUAAUGGUGGUGGUGGUUGUAGUAAACUAAUUGAUGUUAGUGAUUAGCAAUGUUGGUGAUGAUAGUUGUGAUAGUAGAGAUAGUUGGCAUUGUAGUAACCAUCAUGAUAUAUGCGAUUGAUAGUGGUGGUGGUGGUUGUGAUGUGAAGUUGGUUAAUGUUAGUAGUUGGAGGUGUUGAUCGUGGUGAAGGAAAACUGUAUGCAUGAUGGUUGGUGAUGUGCUGGUGGUCAUUGGAGACGCUGUUAGCUGUGAUGGUGGAAUGGUUGUUAGUACAGAUACUGUAGCGAGUGUAGCAGAUGGUAGUGGUAGAAGUGGUGACGCCGGUGACAGUGGUGGUGAUGGUGUCCAAAGAAUGUGUGGAAGUUGAUGAUGUGUUGGUGAUUAUUAGUGGUAGUGCUAGUUCUGAUAGAUGAGUUAGUUGGUAGUAGGGAUCGACCGGUAGCAGUUGAUGGUGGCGGCGUUGGCGGUAGGGGUGUUCAUGGGUCGGUAUGGCUCGUUUAUUGGUCAAAACCAUAACCAAACCAACUUUAUCGAUUUUGAAAUUUCUAAAACCAAACCAAACCAAACAAAAAAAUAACCAUCGGUUUGGUUCUUGUCAGUUUAGUUUGUUUUGAUUCGGGUUUUUUGGUUUAUAACUUUAGUUAAUCAUAAAAGUUGAAAAUUUUAAAAAACCAAUCCAAUCUAACAUAUGAGAUGUCAACCGAGUGUUGUAUCUCAAUCUUGAAACUAUGAUGUCAAUUGAGUGUUAUACUUCGGCAAAGCCAUGAUAACACCAUAUGAAUGCUUUUAAAAAAAUAUUUAAAAACUAUAUUUAAUAGAAUGAUAUGAUAAACCCCCAAAAGGUGAACACAUAAACUUCUUGCUCAACAAGGUUCAAAAGAAAGUUAAAAUUAGUGAUUGUGUAUAGUCUAAUGAAUUUUAGCUGUAAAUUUCAAUAUAUAACAAGAUAUUAUUUUCACAAUUAGUAUCAUUUGUCAUUCAAAAUAUGAAAUUCAUUUAGAAUCUCAUAAUGUAUUGUCAACAAUAGUCAAGAAAGUGUCAGCUUUCCCAAAAAGAAAAACCCCAAUAAAGAAAGAAGUCCCUCCACUUUCACCAUUGAUUCAAUGUUAUUUUUAAUACGUAGAAUCAAAUACUGUGUAAGAAAAUAGAAUCAUAAUUAAUGCAAAUAUUAUUAAUAUACCAUAUUUUAUAUUAUUUUUAUAAAAAUUAUUUUUAUAAGAAAAUACUCUAAUUAAUUUUUUUGAAAUUGUCUAUCCAUAUAAUAAAGGAGGAUGGUCUAGCCUAAAACUAAGACAAGUGGCAUAUUGAGAACUACCUAGUUGAAUUUUUACAACAAAUAACCAUCAUUUCAUAACAAAAAGAUAUUUUGUUGAUUAUUUAAAUAUUUAAUAUUAUUUCAUAUUUCAUAUUUAAUAAAUUACAUUUCAUAUGUUUUUAAUAAUAGUAUUAUAAGAAAAUAAAUAUGAAUGAUUUCAUUACAAUUGACUAAAAGAAAUAUUACAAGAAAAUAUUAUUUAAGAGAAUAACCAAUUAAUAAAUAGUAACUGAUCAAUUUAUAUAGAAAAUAUUGCAAUCAUUCUGAAUAAAAAAUAUUUAAAAAAGGUGCCAUCCCUCAAAAUAAUUAAGUUUGACAUAUUUUUGUAAACAAACAAAUGAAUGAAUAUAAGAAAAUUCGUAAUUAGGAAAAAAAUAAUUGUUACCUUAUUGAGUUUUUAGCAAAUUAUAAAGGUAAUAAUAAUCAAUUGACUAUAAUUAAAUUAUAAAUUUAUAAGAAAUAUUUGAAAAAUAAAUUAUUAAUUAGGAAACUAAAUAAUUGUUACCUUUUUAAAACUCUUCCAAAAUUAAAUAGGUAAAUGAUAUCAAUUUAAUAUAAUCAAUCUAUAAAAACAUGAGAAAUUCAUGGGAUUGAAUUUCCAAAAUUAUAAAGGUAAUUAAUAUCAAUUAUUUUCGUAUUUGAGCCCUUUAUACAAUUGUCUAUUAAUUAAAUAUAAUCAAGCUACAAAAUUAGGACAGAUUUAUGGUAAAUAAAUAUAUAAUAUUAAUAAUAAUUUUAUUGCUAUCAAAUUAAUUAGAUUAGCUAUCAAAUUAAUUAUAUUAAAUUGAACUAGAAAUUAGUUAAUAUUGACAAUUACUUUAAUAAAAAAUAUAUGGAAAGAUUCGUAAUUGAUUGCAUAUGUUGGUAAAAAAAAAAAACAACGAACGUUGACAACUACUUUAGCUAUAAAUAUAUUUUAAAAUUUACAUACAACAUUAAAUUUAAGGAACUUUAGUCUAUAUAUUAUGAUCAUAAAAUUGAUUUUAAUCAAUUGAAAUUAAUCAGUUGAUUGUAUAGUUUUAUUACAACAAUUUUGUACAUAAUUUAUUUAAUAAAAAUACAUAUAAUUAAUUGAUUGAUUUUGUGCAAUCUACUAUGAUUUUAUUAAUUUAAAUGAAAUGAUUUUUAAAUGAUAAGUUUGGAUUAUAAAAAUAAAGGUGAUUAUUGUAUGACUUUAGCAUUUCUUAUGUAUUAAAAACAUUUCUAGACAAAAAAUGUCAUCCCUCAAAACAAUUAAAUUUGAACUAUUUUAGUGAAACAAUGAAAGAUUGAAUAUAAGAAAAUCCGUAAUUAAGAAAAGAAAUAAUUGUUAGCUUAUUUGAGUUUUUAGCAAAUUGUAAAGAUAAUAAAAUAAUCAAAUUGUAAAUUGAUAAGAAAUUUUUGAGAAAUAAAACAGUAAUUAGAAAAAGAAAUAAUCAUUACCCUUUUAAAAUUCUUCCCAAAAUUAUAAAGGUAAUUAAUAUAAAUUUGAUAUAACCAAACUAUAAGAAUAUGUGAAAUUCAUGGGAUUAAAUUUUUGAAAUUAUAAAAGUAAUUAAUAUCAAUUGUUUCCAUAUUUGAGUCCUUUAUGUAAUUGUAGAUUUAUUAAAUAUAAUCAAGCUAUAAAAUUAGGAUACAUAUAUUAGUAAGAAAACAACGAACACUGACUACUACUUUAACCGUAAAUAUAUUUUAAAAUUUACAACAUUAAAUUUAAAGAACUUGAGUCAAUAUAUUAUGAUCAUAAAAUUGAUUCUAAUGAAUUGAAAUUAAUUAGUUAAUUGAGUAAUUUUAUUACAAUUAUGUCGUACAUCAUUUUUUAUAUAAAAAUGCAUAUAAUUAAUUAAUAUAUUUUGUGCAAGCUACUAAGAUCUUAUUAAUUCAAAUGAAAUAAUUUGUAAAUGGUAAGUUUGGAUCAUAAAAAGAAAGGAGAUUAUUGUAUGCCUUUAGCGUUUCUUAUGUAUUAAAAAAGAUUUAGAGACAAAAAGUUGUCAUCCCUCAAAACAAUUAAAUUUGAACUAUUUUAGCAAAACAAUAAAAGAUUGAAUAUAAGAAAAUCCGUAAUUUAGGAAAAAAUAAUUGUUACCUUAUUUAUGCUUUUAACAAAUUAUAAAGAUAAUCAAAUAAUCAAUUGACUAUAAUCAUAUUAUGAAUUUAUAAGAAUUUUCUGAGAAAUAAAUCAGUAAUUAGGAAAAAAUAAUCAUUACUUUUUUUAAAUUCUUCACAAAGUUAAAAAGGUAAUUGAUAUCAAUUUAAUAUAAUCAAUCUAUAAAAAAAAAUGAGAAAUUCAUGGGAUUGAAUUGCCAAAAUUAUAACGGUAAUUAAGAUCAAUUGUUUUCAUAUUUAAGCCCUUUAUGUAAUUGUAGAUUAAUUAACUACAAUUAAGCUAUAAAAUUAGGACAGAUUUACGGUAAAUAAAUAUAUAAUAUUAAUAAUAAUUUUAUUUUUAUCAAAUUAAUUAGAUUAAAUUGAGUUAGAAAUAAGUAAAUAUUGACAAUUAUUUUAAUAAAAAAAUAUAUGCAAAGUUUCGUAAUUGAUAUACAUAUAUUGGUUACAAAAACAACGAACACUGACUUCUACUUUAGCCAUAAAUAUAUUUUAAAAUUUACAACAUUAAAUUUAAAGAACUUGAGUCUAUUUAUCAAAAUAAUUAGAUUAAAUUGAGGUAAAAAUCAGUUAAUAUUGACAAUUAUUUUGAUAAAGAAUAUAUGCAAAGUUCCGUAAUUGAUAUACAUAUAUUGAUUAAAAAAAAUAACGAACAUUGACUACUACUUUAUUCAUAAAUAUAUUUUGAAAUUUACAACAUUAAAUUUAAGGAACUUUAGUCAAUAUAUUAUGAUCAUAAAAUUUAAUCUAAUUAAGUGAAAUUAAUUAGUUAAUUGUCUAGUCUUAUUACAAUUAUAUCGUACUUUAUUUAUUUAAUGGAAAUAUAUAUCAUUUAUUAACUGAUUUUGUACUACUAUGAUUUUACUAAUUCAAAUGAAAAGAUUUUUAAAUGGUAAGUUUAGACUAUAAAAAGAAAGAAGAUUAUUGUAUGACUUUAGCAUUUCUUAUGUAUUAAAAAAGAUUUAUAGAAAAAAAGAUGUCAUGCCUCAAAACAACUAAAUUUGAACUAUUUUAGUAAAACAAUAAAAUAUUGAAUUUAAGAAAAUCUAUAAUUGAGAAAAAAAUAAUUGUUACCUUAUUUGAGGUUUUAGCAAAUUAUAAAAAUAAUUAAAUAAUCAAUUAACUAUAAUCAAAUUAUAAAUUUAUAAGAAAUUUUUGAGAAAUAAAUCAGCAAUUAAGGAAAAAAAUAAUCGUUACCUUUUAAAAAUUCUUCCCAAACUUAUAAAGGUAAUUAAUAUCAAUUUGAUAUAAUCAAACUAAAAGAAUAUGUGAAAUUCAUGGGAUUAAAUAUUUGAAAUUAUAAAGGUAAUUAAUAUCAAUUGUUUCCAUAUUUGAAUCCUUUAUGUAAUUGUAGAUUAAUUAGAUAUAAUCAAACUAUAAAAUUAGAACAAAUUUAUGGUUAACAAAUAUAUAAUAUUAAUAAUAAUUGUAUUGUUAUCAAACUUAUUAGAUUAAAUUGCAGUAAAAAUCAGUUAAUAUUGAUAAUUAUUUUAAUAAAGAAUAUAUGCAAAGUUCCGUAAUUGAUAUACAUAUAUUGAUUAAAAAAAAUAACCAACAUUGACUACUACUUUAGCCAUAAAUAUAUUUUGAAAUUUACGACAUUAAAUUUAAGGAACUUUAGUCUAUAUAUUAUGAUCAUAAAAUUUAAUCUAAUUAAGUGAAAUUAAUUAGUUGAUUGUGUAGUCUUAUUACAAUUAUAUCGUACUUUAUUUAUUUAAUGGAAAUAUAUAUCAUUUAUUAACUGAUUUUGUACAAUCUACUAUGAUCUUAUUAAUUCAAAUGAAACAAUUCUUAAAUGGUAAGUUUAGACUAUAAAAAGAAAGGAGAUUAUAGUAUGACUUUAGUAUUUCUUAUGUAUUAAAAAAAGAUCUAGAGAUAAAAGAAAUAUAAUAUUACAAUAUUUUUGGGUUAUUUAAUUAAUUUAUCACGUUUCACAAUAUUGUUUAUAUCAAUUCAGUGAUGUUUAUAUGGAAAAGUUAAAUUUUGAAAAAAGAAAUAUCUUAAAUUUCAUAAUUAAGUUAAUUUGUGUGCUAAUUUGAAAAAGUUAAUUUAUAGUUUACAUUUUAUUUGUAUUAUAUGAAAAAUAUGACCUCAUAUGGCUAUUUAUAACCAUUGAAUAACACAAAAUAUUUGUUACACUUUUCUUCUCUCUCUCUCUCUCUCUCUCUCAUGGGUAUUUCUCAAGUUUUUCAUUAUGAGUAUGUAAAUAUUCACUUGCCAUAUUUCUGGAUCCUUGUAAAUAUUCACUUGCCAUAUACAGAUCCUUGUAAAUAUUUACUUGCAAUUUACAGAUCCUUGUUAGUUGUAUAUAUGCAUUGUACGAUGAUGAAUGAAAGAUAUAGAAAAAAAAGUGUUCUCCAUUCUAGUCUUUUGCUAUUUUUACAUUUCAAGAAAAAAUGACAAGAAUCCUACAGAUCCUGACAACCUUUUGCCGGGUCUUACUCUUUCAACUCUUUGAUUCAGUAAUUUCUCUUUUUUUUUAUUAUUUACCAUGAUUAUUUGUUUUAUCAGAAGGAUUUGAUAAGUUCUUUGAAUUGUUCUUGUGCUAUUUGUUUGUGGGGUAUUUUAUUAAUUUUCAGUAGAAGACUAGUAGUAAAUAGUUUAGCGUCAUGUCUCUUCUAGUAGUAGUAUUAGUAUAUAUUUUUCUUUUCUACUUGUUGUAUGUUUUUUUCUUGUUGUAUCGUAUACCUCUAUUUUCUUACUUGCUACUGUUGUUAAUAUCCUCGUGUUUUUGCUUUCCUUGCCGAGGAUUUAUGGGAAACAAAUUUUUUGCUUGCCAAGGUAAGGGUUACGUAUGUUGCUGUUGAAGAAGAAGCAUGUAGAAAGAGAGAUGUUUUGCUUUGUCUCAUAAGUAUUUAGUUAGCUUGCAGUAUUUUCAUGAAUGGACAAUGAUUUGUGAGUGGCUGUUUAUGAGUGUUUUGCUUUGUCCUUUGAAAUCUCAUGGACAUUAGUUUGAUUCAUGUACAGUCUCCAUACAUAGAGAUGAUGAAGAACAACUUCUUCUUUUUUCGAUCAUCAACUAAUGAUGCAAACUAGAUCCCUUCACCACCAUUAAAGUCCAAGGAAGUUUUUUCUUGGAGGAGUGUUUCAUUGUCAUCUGGAUCCUUCUAUGACAGUGGGUCAGGAAAAAAGAAUUUCACAGAUCUGAGCAAAUAUCUCCAUGGUCACAAUAAGAAAGUUUAUCCUAAGAAAUCUGGUCGUGAUUCAAGCCAGUAUGCAUAUCAUUUUGCUAUAGCUUCCCUUUUCACACUUAAACUGAUGUUUUAAUUUGCAUUUACUUGUCCAAAGUAAUGAAAAAUGUUUCUUCACGGCAGAGGCCUUAGCGUUCCAGUGUUGAUUCGGACUAUUAGAAGAUUGACAAAGGAGAAGGUACAAAUGGCUUCUGAAGUUUCAAGCAUGCUACAGAAUCAAGUUGCUGAAAGGGCUUCUACUAAGGAAGAAUCUCAUAUAUUAUAGGCAGAACUAGAUUCAUGGACACGAAUAUUAGAGACAAAAAAAAAUGAGUUACAAUCAGUACUAGAAAAGGAGUUGGAUACAAGAUUCAGUGAUUGGUCUAUAAAACUUGAGAAAUACCAAAUUGAACAACAUAGACUCCGUGAAAGGGCGGGGCAGCUUGCAGAGCAGAAUGUCUCUCUACAAAGAGAAGUCUCUUCAUUUAAUGAGAAGGAAGUAGAUAAUAGAAUCAAGAUGUCAUUUUCGGAGAAACACCUUGAAGAUUUGUCUAAGAGAAUAGAGCAAGUGUCAGAGGAGAAAAAAAAUCUAAGGCUGCAGCUCACUCAGUUACAAACAGAAUAUUGGGUAGCUCAAGACAAUAGAGAUUAUGUUCGGGAAAACUACCAGGAAAAGGUUAAAGAUCUUAAAUUGAAGACUUUGCUGACAACUGUGCUAAGGGAGAAGCUCUAUUCUGAGGAGAUGGACAUAAAGCAACUUCAGGCUGAUCUAGCCGCAAUAGUUAGAGGUAACGAAAUUCUCAAAUUUGAAGUGCAAAAUGCGCUGGACGCUCUUUAUUAUGCCACACCCAAGUUGAAAUAUCUCGAGCUUCAGGUAAGCAGGCAAUGUUAAGAUCUCAUUACAACGGAAUAGUUUUUAUUUUCAACUUUGGAUACCUCUUCUUCAUAUAUGAUAGCCUGUUCAUAUGUUACUCUCUGCAUUAGCUUUCUACUUCUGUUUAAUUUUUGGUUCAUCUUUGUUCUAUCUGAAGUUCACGAUUUUCUUUAUGAACUUAUAUACAUGAGUUACUGGCAUAUGGUAGUCUUCUAUGAAAUGUCUGAUCGCCUUAAUGUGUAAUCAGUUGAACCAACCAAGAACAUGAUAAACUUUGUGAUAUCCUCAAACCCAUUGAUCUAAUUGUGCUCUGAUGUGGUAAAGUUAACUGAAGGGGUUUCGGUAAGUUUGCUUGUUCAUCUGACUUAUUUCUUGGACAAGCUCACGAGUUAUCUACUGUGAAUUUUAACAGUUAAAGAGGAUUCAUGAUUUGGUUGAACUUCUAGGCUAUGAGUUUAUUUUGAAUUUCUGAUGAAAUGUUAUUGGUGAUCUUUAUGUAUUUUUUGUUUUUCAUGGUUUACGGUUGAUUCUAAAAGGUGCUAAAAAGGAUGAAAAUAUCAACCAGCUCACUAAUGAUUUGCAAGAAUGUAUAAAGGAACUUGGCGUUGUGAAGGCGAUACUACCAAAAGUGUUUCAGGAAAGUGAUUAUAUGUGGGAGGAAGUUAAGAGCUACAGUGAGAUUAACAUGCUUUUAAAAUAUGAAUCAACAUGUUGAAAAGGAAGGUAGAUACCCUCGACGAAGAUUUUCUUAUGAAAGAGGGUCAAAUCACAAUCUUGAAAGACUCGAUAGGCAAACCUUUUGACCUUCUUGCAAGUCCUGAUUCUCUGUUGGAGUGAUAGAUGCUAAAUGGCCAAACUACAAUUCAUAUUUUGUUCAUUGACUAUAGUGUUCAUACUUCUCGUAUACUUACUGGUUUUACUCUUAUUCUUUCCCCCCUUUGAUACUUGUUAAAUAGAAAGUUUGUUUCUUUCUUUUGCAACCUUUUUGAAUCUCUAAUUGUAAACAUUUCUUUUACUUGCUGGUGAUCAAGACAAUGAACUUCUUUUGCUUUAUUUGGUUUUGUAAGUAUUGGAUGUUUUUUGUCUUAUGAAGUAUUUAGUGAGGAUUGAUGCUACCAUUUUCUUCUCGUCUCUGAGGUAGAGGUAUGGUUUGCAUAUAUUCUGCCUGAAUAUACAUCGGGUAUGUUGUUGCUAUUGUAUGGAGAUUUUGUGUAUAAUAACAAUCGUAUAUUUGAUGUCGGGUCAUCCACACUUUCAUUUCUUGCAGGGGAAAGCUCAUUAAGAUUAUUGAGUUAACUUCUCAUUGAUCUGAAUUGGUAUCAGAGCCAUGUUGGUAGAUUGUGUACCUAGCAUGAGCGGCUAAGUACAUAAUCUGUCUAGAGCAUGGAAAAGCUAUUUUCAUAUAAGUAAUUUAAGACUUUAAUCAUCUAAGUUUAAACUUUUGAUAAAUUAUUUCAAUAUGUCUUGUCUGAUAAUGGGUUUUUAAUCCAAGUUCGGGGUUUCUAUUUACUGUUUAAGUGUUUAACAGAACCGUUUAAUCUCCGGUGAGGACGUUGGUCAGCUUGAAAAGUAGGUCGUUAAGCUUAGAAGAAGCGUGUUAGACCUUGUUGGUGGUCCCGUCACUGAGUAAACACUUAGCUGUCUUUAGAGUAAUGCCAUUAAAACUUGUUAGGGUCCCAUAAGCCAUAGAUGUGUUGCUAUAAUUUACUUUAAGUUCUUUCUUAGAUGAUGCUUGUCUUAUAUUCUCUUAGAUGAAAUUACUUGCUUUUCCAGUCAGUCUCUAGACAGUAUUUUCUAAAUGAAUUCUAAUAUUCAUCCCAAAAAUACUAUCAACCUUUCUUCUAAAGCAACCCAGAUUGCUACUAUUGAAAACAAUCUUCAAAACUGGAGUAUUCCAGAAGAAUCCUUUAGUACGAUUUACCAAAUCGGAAAGUUUAGUUUUUUCAAAAAACAUAAUAUUAAGACCUCUGAGUCUACUGUUGCUAUCAAUAAUUCUUUAGAAAUUAUUCAACUCUUAAAUGAUUUAGAUAUAAACCGAUUUAAAAAUCAGUUUCAUUAUCUUCAUAUCGGGCUUGUUCAGGUAGCAAUCAAGCCACUCUUCCGCCAGGGCUUAGAUAUCCCUGUCUGUGCUAUACUAAGAGAUGCUCGUCUAUUAAAUUUUGACGAUUCUCUCUUAGGAGUAAUUCAAAGUAACCUAGCCGACGGCCCGGUAUACUUUAACUGCUACCCUAAUUUCUCAGUUGAUAUUAAUGAUCCUAACAUCAUGGAUGUUUUAACUCUUAAUGUUAAAACAAAAAACAUGAACAGUAAGGAUAAUACCAGAGAAAUUGCGAUAAUAUACAGAGUAUAUUACCGACUCAUGGGAACUACUCUAGCACCUCAAGCUAGAUUCCGACUGAUGGUCUCAAAGGAGUGGAAGCUGUUGGUGGUGAAUCGAAUGGUCUAGCCAUUCUUGUUUGAUCUGAUUUGGUGGCUGAGAUCUUGCCCAGCAUGGUUGGUCUCAUUAUGGCCCUGUAAAAAUUCUCUUGUUAGAAAAUCGGGGAGGGAAUUGUGUUCUCCUUUAAUAAACUCAAUUUGAAAAUCAAAGCUAGAUAGGAGAGCUUGCCAUCUAGCGAAUAUUUGUUUUGAAACAAGAUUUUUAACAUCCUUUUGCAGGAUCUCUUUAGCAGAUUUACAAUCAACUCUGAGUAAAAAUUCUUUAUUAAUAAGAUCAUCUUGAAACUUUGUGAUACAUAGCACUAUAGAUAAAAUUUCUUUUUUAACAGUGCUAUAAUUUUUCUGAGUGGAAUUCCAAAUUCCAGAGGUAAAUCUGACUAAUUGUUCAGGAGAGGUUUUUGCGAUCUUUUGUUUUAAUAUACCCCCAUACCCAAUGUCGGAGGCAUCAGUUUCGACUAUCAUGAAGGCUUCUGGGUUAGGAAUGCCUAGACAAGGAAGGUUUUGAACUAGAUUUUUGAUCUGAAUGACGGCAUUAGUUUGAUCAAGACUCCAUGGGACUGGAUUUUUCUUGAGUCUUUUAUAAAGAGGUUCACAGACCUGCCUAAUAUGCGGAAUAAAAUCUGCAACAUAAUUAAGACUUCCUAGAAAUCUUUGGAGUUGAGUUUUCUCAAUAAUUUCAUUAGGAAAUUUAGAGGAGAACUCAAUGGCUCUACAGAUAGGCUUGUAGCUACCUUGAUAAAGAUCGUGUCCUAAGAAUCGGACGGAGGUUUGAAAAAGCUUCAUUUUCUUGGCACUAACCACUAAACCAUUAAGCUUAAUGAUUUUAAAGAAAGUUUUUAAAUGUUUGAAAUGAGAAUCGAUGUUCUCGGAGAAGAUAAGCACAUCAUCAAUAUAAACAAUAGACAUAUGGGAGUAAGGAUUAAAGAUUUUGUUCAUGAUGUUUUGGAACUCUGAAGGAGCAUUUUUGAGUCCGAAUGGUAAAACGUUCCACUCAUAAUGUCCAAAUGGAACAUUGAAGGCUGUUUUAUAUUUGUCUUUUUCAGCAAUCUGAAUUUGCUAGAAUCCUGACUUCAUAUCAAAUUUACUGUAAAGGUUGGCCUUGUAGGUCCUUUUGAGAAGAUCCCUCUUGUUAGGGAUCGGAUGUCUGAUCCAUUUCAGGACAACAUUCAGAGGCUUGUAAUUUAUUACAAGUCUAGGAGUGCCACGCUCUUUUUCGGCACUGUUGUUGACAUAAAAGGUAGAGCAGCUCCAGGGAGAGUUGGAGCUCCUGAUGAUACCUUUUUCUAAAAGAUGGUUGAUUUCAUUUUUGCAGAUCUCCAUCAUUUCCUGAUUCAUUUGGAUGGGUCUGGCUUUAGUAGGGAUGGUUUGUUCAUCAAACCCUGGAAUAUAAGGUAGUUCAACCAAGUGGGUUUUUCUUUCCCAGAAGGCAUUAGGAAGAUCGGAACAGAUUUCUUCUUCAAAUUGUUUAUGGAGGUUGCUUAUUUUAGUGAGCAUCUCCGGGGUUUGUAGAGAAUGUUCAAUUUUCUUGAUCUGAACAUCUUGCUUCAGAAAAUUGACAUGGGAAGAAAGUCGGUUAAUCUUAAGGACUGUUUGUUCCUUAAUACGUGAUCCAUCUUCUUGCGAGAGUGGCCGUAAUAGAGGAAAGAACAGAGUCCGAUUUAGAAGUGUCGUCCGAAUUCCAUCGUAGUCACUCCAAUAAGGUCGAAUUUGGUUGACGAAAGGAAUUCCUAAAAUGAUAUCUUCAGUGAUAUCAUCCGUGAUGACGAAGUCAUUAACAAGGCAAAUGCCAUUGUUACAGAUAUGAGCUUUAGGGAGUUUAUAAUGGAUUUCCAUUUUUUCUCUAGUGGCCGAGUAAAGACGAGAGGUACUCUUUUGAAGGUACCUUGUAGGGAUAAGUCCUUUAACGAUACAGUUACUGUCUGCUCCUGUAUCGAAGAGCGCCACCCUGUUAAGAACAAAAUCUUUAUUGAUGACAAUUUUUACGGCGAUAUGUUCGCUAUAAGCCUUGAUGGCUGUUAUAGCUUUGCCGGACGUAGAAGGAGGAUCUGAACCAGGGAAGGAUCUGGGCUCUGGUUCUCUAAGGUGGUCAUUAGAAAUGACUGGGAAAUUUUUGGGAGAUUCUGGAGGGGAAAUGUUUUCUGGAAGGGAAACAUUUUUUAGGACUUGAUCUGUAAGAGCGUUAAGCUCGAGGUGAUCAAGACGAAUUUUAAGAUUUUUGAUUUCUCCCUUGAGGGUAGAGAUCUCUCCUUUGAGAUCAGCAAUAGAAGGUUCGGCAGGUUUGUCAAACCUCGACAUAACCUGUUUCAUGCUAAAAGGUUGAAUUACUGGUUUGGGAGGCUUUUCUUCUUGAGAAAGCAUUAAUCGUUUGAGUUCUAGAAGAUAUUUAUUUCUAGCCUCAUCGUCCUGAAUGUGUUCUAUAAUGUCGAACAGGAUCUCUUUAGGAUUUCCUGAAAUGACAUUGACAGUCUUUCGGGUGCAGGUGCAGAACAUACUAUUACAGUCACAUUCUUUACCGGACUGGGAUUGAUCAGUUUCGUAAGCGGCGUUGAUAAAUUCUUCGUCGCUAUAGUCAUCACUAGACGAGGUGUAGGAGUCUGAAGGCUCGGAAGAUUCAGGAGAUCCUUCCAUGAUAGAAAAUAAAUUUGCUCUAGCCUCGUCGGAGAGAUCUAGUUGAUUUAUUUUCUUCUUUUUGCUAGACUUGCAAUCUUUUGCUCUGUGGCUUGUUUUGCCACAAGUCCAGCAGGUAUCUUUAGCCUUAGAGGCUUUCCUUUUGGCAAACUUUCGACUUGGUUUAUAAGAUUCCCUUUUGAAGGGUUUCUUACUAGAGGAAGCUUUCUUGUGAGGUUUCGAAGACUUCUUCUUAUGUCUUUGGCUAGGGCUGGUAAAGCCAUAAUCUUAGCAGAAGGUACCCAGUCCAUAUUUGGAGGCACUAUCCUUCUUAAGCUGUUUCUUAAGCUUGAUAUCGGUGCAGAGAUCUAUUCCCACGGUGGUAAUAAAACUGAUUAAGUCACCAUAGGUUAGGAUGUCAUAAGGGAUUUUUCCCUCGAAUCUAUCCUUGAUCUUGGUUCUAACCUUUUCGGCAAAGAGAGAAGGGAGACCACUAAUGAAUCUUUCUUUCCAGAAAUCGUUGUUACAGUCAGGUCGAAUCAUAACCUUUACUAAGAAGGUAUCCUUGUACCAACGAAAGUCUGCUAGGUCUUUGCAGGUGAGGUUAUUGAGGAUUUCUAGACUCCUAUCCUGGAAUAACUUAGGUUCUCCUAUGAAAUGUCGNNNNNNNNNNNNNNNNNNNNNNNNNNNNNNNNNNNNNNNNNNNNNNNNNNNNNNNNNNNNNNNNNNNNNNNNNNNNNNNNNNNNNNNNNNNNNNNNNNNNNNNNNNNNNNNNNNNNNNNNNNNNNNNNNNNNNNNNNNNNNNNNNNNNNNNNNNNNNNNNNNNNNNNNNNNNNNNNNNNNNNNNNNNNNNNNNNNNNNNNNNNNNNNNNNNNNNNNNNNNNNNNNNNNNNNNNNNNNNNNNNNNNNNNNNNNNNNNNNNNNNNNNNNNNNNNNNNNNNNNNNNNNNNNNNNNNNNNNNNNNNNNNNNNNNNNNNNNNNNNNNNNNNNNNNNNNNNNNNNUUUUUGUAAUAGUUUUUCCUAGUAGAAAAAUGAUCACUGGUGAGUUUGGAGAGAGAAUUCUUUUGACUGUUAGACUCCCCUUUCGAGUUACUGGAUUCGGCUUUCUCCGAGAUCUUAAACUUAGAGAGUUUGUCGUUAAUGUGUUCCAAGAUUUUUCCCGAUACCUUAAAUUCAUCGCUAAGGUUAGGGAAUUUAUCCUUCUGGAAUUCAGGAAUCUUGAAGAUGGGGUUGGUUAUAGGAUUGGGAUUUGAAGCUCCUUUCUCAGGCGCAGGAGGACUAAAGGAGAGCACCGAGUUUUUAGUUCCUUCUAUCUGUUGGGAGAUAGUGUGGAGGACCUGAUUGGUAUAGUUGUUUUGUUCGACUAUUCUAUCCAGGUCUCUAUUGAUAGGGGUGGAAAGAGGUCUGUCAUGCUUCUUUUUGAAGGGAGAAGCAUUAAGGACUUCAUUAGAAUGGGGGAUUUUUAUCCCUUCAAGAGGAGGAGUAACAGAUUCAAUUAUCUUGUUACUCUGAGUGUACCAUUUAUUAAUGAUAACGUUGAGGGAUUCAUUUUGAUCUUCCAUUCGGCCAGUAAAUUCGAACCACCGGAAGAAUUCAAUGUCACAUCGGAGUCAUUUCAUAUCAGCUAUCCAUAGCCGACCAAACUCCUUUUGCUGCUCCUUUGAAUAGGUACUGGUAUACCAUUUUCUUUUAAGAGCAUCUUUGGGACGGUACCAACGGACUUCGAGAGCCUUAAGGUCUGGUGUAUACUCGUCAUCAGAUUUGAUAACGAGUAAGCUAGGAUCUGUCCUAAUUUUCUGGCGUGAUAUGGAAGGAGGGGGUUCCAUAUCUGAGGCUGUAGGACUGCCUGGGUCGUAAAGAUUAUCAGGUUCAUGGACCCUUGCGGGUUGCUGAUAAUAAACUUUUGGGACAGGGCCAGAGAAAUCUACUCCUCUUACUUUGCCCUUAUCAUUGCCAUUCUCGUUUUCAUCGCUUCCCUCCUGGGUUUUUGAGGUAGAAGCUCGGUAUGAGACGGACUGUCUAAAGGAAGAAUUUCGAGGAGUGUCGAAUCCGAGGAAUUUUAGAUCAAUCGAGCCAUCCGGAUACUGAAUAACUCGUUGUAUCUGAGAUUUUUCAGGAUAUGUACGAAUAGGUUGGGUGAUAGCAUCAAAGUGCCAUUCAUUAUUAUGGAUGACCUCGUCCCAGACCAAGGGUUUGGGGACAAAGAUAUUGGAUCUAUCUUUGUUGGCUUCCAUAAGGGUGGUAACGCCGCGAGGACUGGUGAAUCUAGCUUGAGGUGCUAGAGUAGUUCCCAUGAGUCGGUAAUAUACUCUGUAUAUUAUCGCAAUUUCUCUGGUAUUAUCCUUACUGUUCAUGUUUUUUGUUUUAACAUUAAGAGUUAAAACAUCCAUGAUGUUAGGAUCAUUAAUAUCAACUGAGAAAUUAGGGUAGCAGUUAAAGUAUACCGGGCCGUCGGCUAGGUUACUUUGGAUGACNNNNNNNNNNNNNNNNNNNNNNNNNNNNNNNNNNNNNNNNNNNNNNNNNNNNNNNNNNNNNNNNNNNNUCGGAAGAGUGGCUUUAUGGCUACCUGAACAAGCCCGAUAUGAAGAUAAUGAAACUGAUUUUUAAAUCGGUUUAUAUCUAAAUCAUUUAAGAGUUGAAUAAUUUCUAAAGAAUUAUUGAUAGCAACAGUAGACUCAGAGGUCUUAAUAUUAUGUUUUUUGAAAAAACUAAACUUUCCGAUUUGAUAAAUCGUACUGAAAGANNNNNNNNNNNNNNNNNNNNNNNNNNNNNNNNNNNNNNNNNNNNNNNNNNNNNNNNNNNNNNNNNNNNNNNNNNNNNNNNNNNNNNNNNNNNNNNNNNNNNNNNNNNNNNNNNNNNNNNNNNNNNNNNNNNNNNNNNNNNNNNNNNNNNNNNNNNNNNNNNNNNNNNNNNNNNNNNNNNNNNNNNNNNNNNNNNNNNNNNNNNNNNNNNNNNNNNNNNNNNNNNNNNNNNNNNNNNNNNNNNNNNNNNNNNNNNNNNNNNNNNNNNNNNNNNNNNNNNNNNNNNNNNNNNNNNNNNNNNNNNNNNNNNNNNNNNNNNNNNNNNNNNNNNNNNNNNNNNNNNNNNNNNNNNNNNNNNNNNNNNNNNNNNNNNNNNNNNNNNNNNNNNNNNNNNNNNNNNNNNNNNNNNNNNNNNNNNNNNNNNNNNNNNNNNNNNNNNNNNNNNNNNNNNNNNNNNNNNNNNNNNNNNNNNNNNNNNNNNNNNNNNNNNNNNNNNNNNNNNNNNNNNNNNNNNNNNNNNNNNNNNNNNNNNNNNNNNNNNNNNNNNNNNNNNNNNNNNNNNNNNNNNNNNNNNNNNNNNNNNNNNNNNNNNNNNNNNNNNNNNNNNNNNNNNNNNNNNNNNNNNNNNNNNNNNNNNNNNNNNNNNNNNNNNNNNNNNNNNNNNNNNNNNNNNNNNNNNNNNNNNNNNNNNNNNNNNNNNNNNNNNNNNNNNNNNNNNNNNNNNNNNNNNNNNNNNNNNNNNNNNNNNNNNNNNNNNNNNNNNNNNNNNNNNNNNNNNNNNNNNNNNNNNNNNNNNNNNNNNNNNNNNNNNNNNNNNNNNNNNNNNNNNNNNNNNNNNNNNNNNNNNNNNNNNNNNNNNNNNNNNNNNNNNNNNNNNNNNNNNNNNNNNNNNNNNNNNNNNNNNNNNNNNNNNNNNNNNNNNNNNNNNNNNNNNNNNNNNNNNNNNNNNNNNNNNNNNNNNNNNNNNNNNNNNNNNNNNNNNNNNNNNNNNNNNNNNNNNNNNNNNNNNNNNNNNNNNNNNNNNNNNNNNNNNNNNNNNNNNNNNNNNNNNNNNNNNNNNNNNNNNNNNNNNNNNNNNNNNNNNNNNNNNNNNNNNNNNNNNNNNNNNNNNNNNNNNNNNNNNNNNNNNNNNNNNNNNNNNNNNNNNNNNNNNNNNNNNNNNNNNNNNNNNNNNNNNNNNNNNNNNNNNNNNNNNNNNNNNNNNNNNNNNNNNNNNNNNNNNNNNNNNNNNNNNNNNNNNNNNNNNNNNNNNNNNNNNNNNNNNNNNNNNNNNNNNNNNNNNNNNNNNNNNNNNNNNNNNNNNNNNNNNNNNNNNNNNNNNNNNNNNNNNNNNNNNNNNNNNNNNNNNNNNNNNNNNNNNNNNNNNNNNNNNNNNNNNNNNNNNNNNNNNNNNNNNNNNNNNNNNNNNNNNNNNNNNNNNNNNNNNNNNNNNNNNNNNNNNNNNNNNNNNNNNNNNNNNNNNNNNNNNNNNNNNNNNNNNNNNNNNNNNNNNNNNNNNNNNNNNNNNNNNNNNNNNNNNNNNNNNNNNNNNNNNNNNNNNNNNNNNNNNNNNNNNNNNNNNNNNNNNNNNNNNNNNNNNNNNNNNNNNNNNNNNNNNNNNNNNNNNNNNNNNNNNNNNNNNNNNNNNNNNNNNNNNNNNNNNNNNNNNNNNNNNNNNNNNNNNNNNNNNNNNNNNNNNNNNNNNNNNNNNNNNNNNNNNNNNNNNNNNNNNNNNNNNNNNNNNNNNNNNNNNNNNNNNNNNNNNNNNNNNNNNNNNNNNNNNNNNNNNNNNNNNNNNNNNNNNNNNNNNNNNNNNNNNNNNNNNNNNNNNNNNNNNNNNNNNNNNNNNNNNNNNNNNNNNNNNNNNNNNNNNNNNNNNNNNNNNNNNNNNNNNNNNNNNNNNNNNNNNNNNNNNNNNNNNNNNNNNNNNNNNNNNNNNNNNNNNNNNNNNNNNNNNNNNNNNNNNNNNNNNNNNNNNNNNNNNNNNNNNNNNNNNNNNNNNNNNNNNNNNNNNNNNNNNNNNNNNNNNNNUAACAGUCAAAAGAAUUCUCUCUCCAAACUCACCAGUGAUCGUUUUUCUACUAAGAAAAACUAUUACAAAAAACCUUCACCUCCAGACGUUCAGUUUGAAGAAAAUCCCUACCUGUCUACCUCCAACCAUGAUGGUAGAGGAAUAACCGAAUGGAAUGUUGACGGUUUGGCAGAACACCAAAUCUACAACAAACUCCAUGAAAUGGGCGUUGCCAUUACCGCCUACAAGAUUAGGGGAGCCACUGAUAAAGAGGCUGCUACUAUGAUUGUAUCAGGCUUCACAGGUAUGAUAAAACAUUGGUGGGACAAUUACUUCACCGAUGAUGUCAAAAACCUAAUCUAUGGAGCUACUACCGUAGAAACCAUAGUUAAAACCGAAAAUGGCCAGGAAGUUCUUGAGCAAGUUGCUAAAGAAGAUGCCUGUGCAACUCUCCUAUAUCAUAUAGCACGACAUUUCAUAGGAGAACCUAAGUUAUUCCAGGAUAGGAGUCUAGAAAUCCUCAAUAACCUCACCGAACUCUUUCGUGAAUCUCUCAUGCACCUCAAGAUCUGCUUUGCUUACUGUUGGCUUCUGUUUCCAUAGCACUCUGUCAAAAUCCCUUAUGCUGAUUGGUGGUGGCGUAAUGUUUGAAGCUAGGCCUUUUGCAGCAAGUUCCUGCAUAUUAGUCUGAAUGGCACCUGGUUGUCUAGGUCCACAAGGCACCCACAACCCGUCACUAGUCUUAAUGAAAAACUCAGCAUCUUGAGUUUUACGUACAGGUGUAAACAGGGGUGUAUCUUCAAACACAGAAAUGUCUGAACCUGAAAAACCUUCUGUUUUCCGAGCUAGUUGCUCAAAAUCACUUUCUGUCAAGUUGUGAGGGGUGUCUCCUAAAUGUACCUUGAACAUGUGCUGCCUUGCCUUCAAAUCUGGUAGGGGGAUGUAUAUUCUUUUGUCAAAUCGCCGCCUAAUGGCCUGGUCUAAUGAGUAGGGAGUGUUUGUCGCUGCAAGAACAAGAACUUUUUUGUCAUCAUCGUGCCCUACACCCUGCAUCUGUACAAGAAGCUCAGUUUUGAUACGUCUUGAUGCUUCACUCUCACUACCCUCACCUCUUUGGCCACAUAAGGAGUCAAUUUCAUCUAUGAAUACUAUUGAAGGUGCACUUUCUCGGGCCAUCUGGAAUAGAUUAGACACAAGCUUUUCACUUUCACCCAUCCACUUUGAAACAAGGUCUGAGGAAGAAACACUGCAUAGCCGAAACAGGAUACUGUCAAAUCCAUUAUGUUCUUCAAAGAAGUCAAAGAUACUAGGUAGAAUAAACAUGGAUUUCUAGUCUAACUCUUCCUGUCGCUCUCCAGUGUCGACGCUUGCCAGUGAAAAACUGAGGAAACUUAACCGGCAGUAUAACAGCCUCCUGCAAUGCCUGCUUGGCACUCUCAAGUCCUGCUACAUCAUUCCACUUCACAUUAGGCUUUUCCCUUAUAAUAGCGGAAUUAAGUCCAGCUCUUAACUUUACAUUCUCUAAAUCAUCACCCUCUCCUCCUCCAUUCUUUGGCUUUGAUACCAAUUUACUGUAAAGGUUGGCCUUGUAGGUCCUUUUGAGAAGAUCCCUCUUGUUAGGGAUCGGAUGUCUGAUCCAUUUCAGGACAGCAUUCAGAGGCUUGUAAUUUAUUACAAGUCUAGGAGUGCCACGCUCUUUUUCGGCACUGUUGUUGACAUAAAAGGUAGAGCAGCUCCAGGGAGAGUUGGAGCUCCUGAUGAUACCUUUUUCUAAAAGAUGGUUGAUUUCAUUUUUGCAGAUCUCCAUCAUUUCCUGAUUCAUUUGGAUGGGUCUGGCUUUAGUAGGGAUGGUUUGUUCAUCAAACCCUGGAAUAUAAGGUAGUUCAACCAAGUGGGUUUUUCUUUCCCAGAAGGCAUUAGGAAGAUCGGAACAGAUUUCUUCUUCAAAUUGUUUAUGGAGGUUGCUUAUUUUAGUGAGCAUCUCCGGGGUUUGUAGAGAAUGUUCAAUUUUCUUGAUCUGAACAUCUUGCUUCAGAAAAUUGACAUGGGAAGAAAGUCGGUUAAUCUUAAGGACUGUUUGUUCCUUAAUACGUGAUCCAUCUUCUUGCGAGAGUGGCCGUAAUAGAGGAAAGAACAGAGUCCGAUUUAGAAGUGUCGUCCGAAUUCCAUCGUAGUCACUCCAAUAAGGUCGAAUUUGGUUGACGAAAGGAAUUCCUAAAAUGAUAUCUUCAGUGAUAUCAUCCGUGAUGACGAAGUCAUUAACAAGGCAAAUGCCAUUGUUACAGAUAUGAGCUUUAGGGAGUUUAUAAUGGAUUUCCAUUUUUUCUCUAGUGGCCGAGUAAAGACGAGAGGUACUCUUUUGAAGGUACCUUGUAGGGAUAAGUCCUUUAACGAUACAGUUACUGUCUGCUCCUGUAUCGAAGAGCGCCACCCUGUUAAGAACAAAAUCUUUAUUGAUGACAAUUUUUACGGCGAUAUGUUCGCUAUAAGCCUUGAUGGCUGUUAUAGCUUUGCCGGACGUAGAAGGAGGAUCUGAACCAGGGAAGGAUCUGGGCUCUGGUUCUCUAAGGUGGUCAUUAGAAAUGACUGGGAAAUUUUUGGGAGAUUCUGGAGGGGAAAUGUUUUCUGGAAGGGAAACAUUUUUUAGGACUUGAUCUGUAAGAGCGUUAAGCUCGAGGUGAUCAAGACGAAUUUUAAGAUUUUUGAUUUCUCCCUUGAGGGUAGAGAUCUCUCCUUUGAGAUCAGCAAUAGAAGGUUCGGCAGGUUUGUCAAACCUCGACAUAACCUGUUUCAUGCUAAAAGGUUGAAUUACUGGUUUGGGAGGCUUUUCUUCUUGAGAAAGCAUUAAUCGUUUGAGUUCUAGAAGAUAUUUAUUUCUAGCCUCAUCGUCCUGAAUGUGUUCUAUAAUGUCGAACAGGAUCUCUUUAGGAUUUCCUGAAAUGACAUUGACAGUCUUUCGGGUGCAGGUGCAGAACAUACUAUUACAGUCACAUUCUUUACCGGACUGGGAUUGAUCAGUUUCGUAAGCGGCGUUGAUAAAUUCUUCGUCGCUAUAGUCAUCACUAGACGAGGUGUAGGAGUCUGAAGGCUCGGAAGAUUCAGGAGAUCCUUCCAUGAUAGAAAAUAAAUUUGCUCUAGCCUCGUCGGAGAGAUCUAGUUGAUUUAUUUUCUUCUUUUUGCUAGACUUGCAAUCUUUUGCUCUGUGGCUUGUUUUGCCACAAGUCCAGCAGGUAUCUUUAGCCUUAGAGGCUUUCCUUUUGGCAAACUUUCGACUUGGUUUAUAAGAUUCCCUUUUGAAGGGUUUCUUACUAGAGGAAGCUUUCUUGUGAGGUUUCGAAGACUUCUUCUUAUGUCUUUGGCUAGGGCUGGUAAAGCCAUAAUCUUAGCAGAAGGUACCCAGUCCAUAUUUGGAGGCACUAUCCUUCUUAAGCUGUUUCUUAAGCUUGAUAUCGGUGCAGAGAUCUAUUCCCACGGUGGUAAUAAAACUGAUUAAGUCACCAUAGGUUAGGAUGUCAUAAGGGAUUUUUCCCUCGAAUCUAUCCUUGAUCUUGGUUCUAACCUUUUCGGCAAAGAGAGAAGGGAGACCACUAAUGAAUCUUUCUUUCCAGAAAUCGUUGUUACAGUCAGGUCGAAUCAUAACCUUUACUAAGAAGGUAUCCUUGUACCAACGAAAGUCUGCUAGGUCUUUGCAGGUGAGGUUAUUGAGGAUUUCUAGACUCCUAUCCUGAAAAAUCUCAGAUACAACGAGUUAUUCAGCAUCCGGAUGGCUCGAUUGAUCUAAAAUUCCUCGGAUUCGACACUCCUCGAAAUUCUUCCUUUAGACAGUUCAUGUUCAGUUUGUGUAUAUAUUAAGGAACGUCCAAAUUUUUAACCAUAUAACUUUACCUCAAAAUGGUGCAUGGACCAGAGCUGCUCUUAAAACUAGUCGGUUGGUAGACUCUUCCAUUUGAUCUGCAAUCAAAUGCCUGCUUUGUCUCAGUACAUUUAAUUCUAUUGUGCUCAUUCACACAUGGUUUAUGCCAAGUAUGUGAGACACAUACAGAAGCCUCUAGUUUCAUCUUCUUUAUAUAGUUUUAAACUUUAUUUGACUUGCUAUGAGGGAGUUCUACCCUGCCCUCUGAUUAUUCUUUCAGAUACCCUCUUUCAUUUGCCUCCACUAUGUUUUAAAUUUUCCUUCCAGUACCUAAUGCUUCACCUGCCACAUUAAAUGUUGUUUGCAUAUUUUUAAACUAUACGCUGCGUUCAAUUUCAAAAAUCAAAAAACACUAUGCACUACAUUGUAGAACACUUUGAUAAUUUUUUGGUAUGUUCUUUAUGUUUAGGCUUACAUCAAGCAGACACAGUUAUUAUGAAGGUGGAAUCUAUUUCUGUACUAUUUUCCUUUUGCGUGUAACUUCUGAAGUUAUUUGGGAUCCAUAAUUUAUAUGUCAAUGAGAGUCUUUGAUGUCUUUCCUGAUAAUAUUUAUGCUUACAUCAAGCAGACAUAGUUAUUAUGAAGGUGGAAUUGGUUUCUGUACCAUUUUCCUUUUGUGUGCAACUUUUGAAGUUAUUUGGGAUCCAUCAUUUAUAUGUCAAUGAGAGUUUUUGAUGUCUUUCCUGAUAUUAAACCUGUCGUUUUUUCUUUAACAUGUAUAAUCUCCUAUAUACCUGGCUUUCUGAUCUUUAAUGAUGCAAACAAUCUCCCUUCAAAAACUUGCACUUACCUAAUUCCUAGUAAGACAGUCUUAGAAUCUUCUACGCUGAAAGAUGCCUAUUGGUGGUUAGUUUUUUCGCCAGGAGGUUGCAUUGGAAGGUACAAGCAUACAUGAUAUUGGUUAAACCAGCAAGCACCAUAUUUUUUUGAAAAUGAUAGCAUAUAUACUAUGUGGACAGUAUUUUCUUUACAAAAAUGAGCCUCUCUGUGCUUUACAAGGCCUCCAAAGUUGCAAAAUGGAUUCAGCACCCUCUAUAAGAAACUCUUAACGUCAAAAUAAUAAGUUGUCUGAUCUUAUCUGCAACAAGAAUGACGAGCACUGUGUUCAGUUUGGAGCCUGUCCCUAAGCUUGUCUAGACUUAUCCUUAUCUUCAUUGCCUUCUAUUUGCUUGUUAUCUUUGUUCUUGCUAGAACCUGUAUUUGAGAAGCUUGUGUUGUUGUCUCAAGUUAAUAUUUAAUUUUUCUUUCCUUACUGCAGUGCAUCAAAAUUCAACUUGUGGUGUUGUUGAAAAUGUUGGAACUACUGCAAAACCUAAUGGCAUAAUGCAUGAACCUGUACGUGCUGAUAGAAUGAAUGCAUUCAGUAACAACAGCUCAUCUGUUCUCUCUUGCAUACAAACAACAGCUCAUCUGUUCUCUCUUGCAUACAAACGACAGUUGAUAUUCCUUUUCAAACAGCAGGUCCAUCCACGUUUGAGCUCCCAGACCACGCUCUUAUUGGGCCUGAGCGUGAAGGUUGUGUUAGAGUGGGUGAAAGUUCCACAUUAUUGGGGAGUGAACUGUCGAUCUUGUUAUAUAAACUUGAGCAAUCCUCCCCUCAUGUGCUAGCUUUUGGGGUUGAGUUAGGCCCAAGAUCCUUUCUUUACACAAUCAACCAUCUUUUCUUACAUUGGAAACGGACAGAGCAGCUGUAGAGAAUGUUUUCAACCUGAAGGGGAUCAGGUGGGCAGAACCUGAGAGCAUUAAAAAAGUACUAAGCAUCUGGAAUGGGGAUGUAAAUGUAAUGAAGGAGGAGAGAUGGAAAAUUGUUCAACAUGUAUAUGGUGGACAGUUUGGACAAAAAGAAACAAGGGUUGUUUUGAGGAUGUCCAUAAGAUCAACAUGAAUAGUUUAACACUUCUUUAUUUUUGGUGUAAACACGAUGGUUAGCUCUAACUGAAGACAUCAUUGAUCUGCUAGACUAUUUAUAGGCAAUAGAAAGACAGAGUAGGAUGUAAUACUUUCUGAAAGGGGACAUCAUUCUUGUUGGCUAGGGAUUUGAACAAAGAUGGGAAGAGCUCUAUAUAAAGGACAGGAAUGACUAAUAGGCCAAAAUGCUCUCAACUAACAGACUUUCAAAAUUAAGAGCCAAAGAACACUAACCAAUAGGUGUAACUCAAAUCUAUUUGAAUAAAAGGAAUACAAACUCUGAGAGAACAAAACACACUCUCUAGUAGUCCAGUAAAAACAGUAGAUCUUAAAAUCCCACUGCUAAGCAAAUUAAUUUAAAUGCUGCUUUAGAUUAGAAAGUCACCUUGUUAUAUUAUGUGUUCAGUGGGUUCUCAUUUAUACUGCUCAUCAUAUUUUCUGCACUAUCUUUUCAACAUUUUCUCUGAAGUCUAUAAUUUACUCUUCUUCACUUUAAACUUGGGCUUUGCAGGGCUCUGCAUCUUCGAAUUCUAUCUGUUGGUUCACUUGUAGUACUUCUUGUAUAUUCUAUCCUGUAUGGUCUGACAACAAAGGAAUCAAACUGGCUUGGGGCUACAACAUCAACUGCCAUGAUAAUCCUUGGUAGUUCAUUUCCUACAUAUAUCUGUCUCCUUUUCGGAAUGGUAUUGUGAAAUAAUUUCUUAUUUUUUUUGUGGUAAGUAAUGAAUUCACUAGCUUUUCAUUCAAUCAGAUUGGAACUUGGGAUCUUGCUUGUAUGGUUUUAAGCUUCUAAAAAGUUGAGUUUUCGUACUUUUUGUUGCCGGUACAUCUCGGGUGUUCCUGAUCUAUUUUGGAGUUUAUUACUGGUUUGUUGUUAACCCAUGCUAAUUCAUUUUCUUCCAUAAUCAAGUAUUCUUAUACUUGUGGCAUAUGCAUCCCUUUUAAUAUUAUUUGUUGAAUAUAAACUUCUAAUCUUUUGUUAUCAAACAAAAUCUUCUAAUCUUUUACUGCAACAAUUUUGUUUCAAGUACUUUGGACAUUGUAUCAGUUAUGUAGUUGUAGCAUCUGUGCUAUUGGAUGCUGCUAUUUCACGGUAUUUAUCAGUUACAAACCCAUUAGCAGCUAGAAGAGAUGCCUUGCAGAGCACAAUCAUCCACCUUAGAGAAGGUUUCCACAGAAAAGACCAAAAUAGCUCCGCAAGCUCUUCUAAGGGGUGUGGCUCAAGUGUUAAACCCAGUAGUAGUGCUGAUGCUGUUCAUCUUGGUAAUGCAAUUUUGCCUUGCAUUGGUGAUGGUAGUACCUAGAAUAACAUUGAGGGUAUUAAUAGUGAUAAGAGUAUAGACAGUGGAAGACCAAGUCUAGCUCUACAUAGUAGUUCCUGUCGUUCAGUUGUUCCAGAGCUUGAACUAGGAUCAUCAUAUGUUGACAGAAAUUUAGAGCAUAAUAGUUCAUUGGUUGUUUGUUCUAGCAGUGGACUUAAAAGCCAAGGCGGUGAUUCUAGUACAUCCGCUUCUGCAAACCAACAGAUAUUGAAUUUUGCACUUGCAUUUCAAGAAAAUUUGAGUGAUCCCAGGAUUACAUCUAUGUUAAAGCGAAAAAGAAGACACACUGAUCGUGAAUUAGCUAAUUCAUUGCAAGAUAAAGGGCUUGAUCCUAAUUUUGCAGUGAUGCUGAAGGAGAAUGGAUUGGACCCAAUGAUUCUAGCCUUAUUGCAGAGAAGUAGUUUGGACGUUGAUCGAGAACAUCGCGACAGUAACCCUCCUAUCACUGAUUCAAAUGAUAUUGAGGAUGUUUUACCUAAUCAUAUUUCUUUCUCGAAAGAACUUAGACUCCAAGGAUUAGGAAAGUGGCUUCAACGUUGUAGAGUAAUGUUACAUCAUGUAGCAGGAACUCCAGAGCGAGCAUGGCUUCUUUUCAGUUUAAUAUUCAUUCUUGAAACUGUCAUUGUGGCUAUCGUCUGACCAAAGACAAUAAAACUUUUGAAUGCUACACACAACCAGGUAAGAAAUGCAUUAGUACUUUUAAAGCUCAGUUUGGUGUAUUUGGAGUACGGCGCAGCCAAAAUGUACUCUAUAUGGUUGUAUUUUCCAUUUUCUAACAAAAUUUUGUAACACCCCGCAUUUCGGAUGAGAAUGAAAAUCGUCAUUUUCUUCACGUAAAGGUUUCAAAAGCCAUAAAUCCAAUGCAAGUUUAGUGUGUAAAUAAAUUAUGUAGUGUGGAAACCUAUUUGAGCAUGAAUUCAGAACAUAGAGGUCCCCACAAGUUGAAAGUUUUCCUAUCGUUCGAAUUUUACUGAGCAUUGAUAAUUAGGUCAAAUUCAAUUGACCAUUACUCUUUGUAUAUAUUUAAUUAGAGUGCCUACUAUAUAUCAAAUGAAAGGUAUUCAAAUUAUCUUUCCAACGAUAUCAAUUUCACAAAAUUCUGACACCCAAGGAGGAAGUUAUGGCUUUGCAAAGUGGAGUAUGUCGUGCAGCAUAAGGUGUGCGACACACACCCUAACUUAUGCCAUAAGGUGUGCGAUGCAUAACCUAAUGUGUGCAAUAAAGAGUGCACCGCACAACCUAUAUUAUGCGAUAAGGUUUGCGUCGCAUAUAUUAUUACUCAAGUGACUUAAACACUCCAUUUUUGGGGCAAAAUGGUCCUUUUCCCACCCUUAUUUAGCAAUAAAUAGGAAAUUCAGUUCCUAGAAUACCCCAAAAUACACCUUCAUUCAUCAAAAUUGCUCAAGAACUCUCCUUAGGGUUUCAAAAUAAAAACCCAAGCAACUCCAGAUUCAACCGUGGGUUUUUGAAACUAAUUGCAUAUUUGGAAUCCCCAGAACGUAGGCUUUAAGAAACACCUAUUAUCUUCACGUAUAGAGGUACGUGGGGUUAUCUCAAAAAUCUCAUGAGCUUAAAAAUUCAUGUUUUAAAAAUGGGAGUUUUGAAAUUAUGAAUAUAAUCCCAUUUUAAACAUUUUAUGAUAUUGAUUUGGUCUUUAGGCCUAUUCUCUAAGUGGUUUGAUAUAUGUAUAUGCAUGUAUUCCAAAAAGAUGUUAACUUGAGAGGAUGAAUUAUAUGAAAUCCCUCUUUUUAUAUGAUCUCGUUUUAAGUUCUCAUAUGAUGUGAAAUGUUUGAAAUCAUCUUGACAAGCAUGACAUGAAAUAUUUUGAAAAUGGUCAUGGUUUUGACUUGCAAUGAGAGGGUUGUUAUGUUAAAAUAUGAUGAAUAUAAUGGUUGCAUGAAAGAAUGAUGUGGUAUUGAUGGCUUGCAAGUCGGGUAUGAAGAUACCCUAAAGAAUAAGAUAUGUGAUUGAAUUAAAUGGAGUUUGAUGCAUUGAUUUUACAUGAGAUGGGUGGAUGCCUGAAAAAGCCAUUUGAAUGUAAGGGCUCAUCACUGGAAAUCGUGUUUGCCGACAUGGUGAUUUGGUACUAGGAUAAGUGAUCUUGUGUACUUGACUUUAUGUCAUUCCCAAACUGGGACUAUGGUUAGGAGCCCAGGCUAAGUGAUCUUGGGCACUACUAUACUUUAUUGGGUAGAGACACCCUGCUGUGUGAUCUUGUGUGUCUUUCCGUCACUUAUACUUUAAUCUCGACGGCAAUCGAGAUUUGACAGUUGGUGUAAAUGUUAUAUGUAGGGUAUUCUACCUAGCUCAGCUGUAUUACAUUGUUGUUGAAAACUAUUAUAUUAUGCCCAUGUGUUUUCAAAUGAUUUGAUAUGGAACUGCUUUAUAAUGGCUCUCACCUAUAUUUGGAAAAAAAUAUUAUAUUUUGUUUUUAGUUUCUCUGCAUACUAGUACUUUUUUAUUGACCCCUUCUCUCCCAGGUUUGGAGGCAUAGUUUAGGGAUCCAGAUAACCAGUAGAUCUCUUCUGAUAGAUUUGCAGAAUUAAGUGGUGAGCUUUCUAUACUUUGGAAGGCUGAUGUCUGUCAGUUCAUUUAUCAUUUAGUAGUUUUGGGUCUACUGGAGGCCUUGUCCCAGUUUUCAGACAGUAAUUUGUUUCAGUCAUGUAUUAGAGAUUUCGCAAAUGGUUGUUCAGAUGUCUAUACAUGUUGUGGGACAUUAUUUCCCCAUGUUUUUUGUAAUAUUGUGUAUCUUCCGUAUAUCUUAUUAUCGUAUGAAUUAUGUGCAUGAUUACCAGAUAGAUAGGGGUGUUUUGGGCCUUCGUGGUUUGGAAUGCUCGUCACGGCCAGGGCCCUGGCUCGGGUCGUGACAAACUUGGUAUCAAAGCACGGUUCAUGGUCCUAGGGUGUCUAUGAAAUCGCGUUGGGUAGAGUCUUGUUUAUGGGUGUGUAGCGCACAAUACUUAUAAGCAGGAAGCUACUAGGCAUUUAGGAAUGUCUGUCUUUCUUUAUGUUCUAGUUAGUGCAAUAGAGUCAGAAUGUUCCUCUUUCAUACUCUAAUUCAUGCUAUGGUGUUGCCCAUACGAAAGUAAAAAAAAAGACAUCCCAAAUUCUUUCCUUACACUAAUAUCCUUAGAUAUGUCUCAAUAUUUAUGUGAUUCAAGUUUAGAAUCUAAAUGGUAUGUACAUCACUGCCAAGAAAUCCCUCAAGUAUCCACAUCUAGUGCUUUGUACAUCAUUCUGCUUCCAUUAGCACUGGAGAUAAUAGGCCCCUUUGUUUUAGUCCUCUUUGUCAAAGUUAUCAUAUGGGAUUCCGUUCACCACUACCAAAUUCUACCUGACUGUUGAUCAGCAGAACUUGAUACACCUCUACCGGUAACUUCAUUUUGACCCCAUUUCUCUAUUAUCCUACAUAUUUUACAUGUGGCUAAAUGCUAGUAGGUAUUGCUAUUUUUAGCAUCUUUUGAUGAUCAGUAGGCCAAUUAUGGUUGCUAAUGUGGUCAUAUUUCCUAUGGCUUUAUUACUCCAACCAAUUAAUAACAUUCUUACAAUUAUUGAAUUGAUUUUUAGAUACUAUUAUAAUAGAAGGACAAGAAUCUCUACCUAGGAGAAACCUUGAGAGCUGAUGAAAGAAAUGGAGGUGAGGUCUCGUGUCAUCGAGAUUUUUAUGGGUAGUUUUAUCCAUUUUCCUGUGCUUAUCAAUGAAAAAUAAGUACAUAAUUCUUUUGCUAUGAAGCUUCGUAGAACCACUUUUUCUUUCCUAAGUAUAUGUGAUUUCUGUUGAAAGUUUGUUUAGCCAGCAGAUUUCCUCGAUCUUACUAUACUAUGUAGGCUUCAUUUGGGAUUUGCAUUGACCUUUUAUUUCCAAUAUAGUUCUAAAAGAUUUUAUAUUUAACACUAUUGUUCAAAAAAAUGUGUUUAAGCAUACACGGCAGGAUUAUAUUUGGUCUAUUUUAAACAAUUUUAUUUACUUUCUGAUUAAUGUAAUGUUAUUGUAACUCUAUGGCGAUAUGGAGAGAGGAAACUUGAUAUAAUAUUGUGGUUCACACUUCUCAUUCUGGUUUACAGAAUAAUAAUUUGGCUGAUUGCACACUUGCACCCAAAAGUGUGACCUAGUGUUCAAUGAAGUAGAUUGAGAACCAUGAGGUCUCAGGUUUAAUUUGAAACAGAGAUAAAAACACUAGGUGAUUUCUUACCGUCUAUCCAAGCCUUGAUGGACAGAGUUACCCAGUAUCUAUACUGGUGGGAGGUAGCAGUACCUGGUGUAACUAGUCAAGGUAUAAGCUGGCCCAAACACGACGGUUAUCAAAGAAAGUUUGGCUGGUUGUGAGGGACAAGUAUUAAGGGACCAACAACUGGAGCUGUAAGGAAGUUUGAACAUUUUUAUUCUUUUCUUUUUCAGAUACACUGUUUUUUUUUCGGAGAUAUUACUUUGUAUUCAUCAGCAUUAAGGUUAUGCUAGUAGUCCAAAAGUAAUGAAAAAUAUUGAAAAUAAUGCGAGGAUUCGAAGAGAUCUACUACCAGUUAUGCAUCCUGUAUACAUUGUCCCUUAAACAAAAAACAAAAAUCUACAAUGCUAUUCCAUUUAACUUUAUGAAUGGAAUUAUAUUUAUCUUCAAAAUACCUUUAACUUUUCUCGCUCCAUACAGUCCACCAAAUACAAGGAAGGAUUGUUCUCCCCCAUUUCUUCUAACUCUUGCUAAUCCCCUCUAAUCCAACAGCUCAACAGAUUGUUGUGUGUCCUUUGAUAGUCCACUUUACUUCAACUCAAUAGAUCUGGUAUGUGUUCUGGCAUGGUCCACUUUACUUCUAUUAAACUACAUGUAUCAAAUGGGCGGGGUUGGCUAGAUUUGGGCGGAUCAAAGAGGUUUGAGUUAAUAAAUGGGCGGGUUAUUAACCCUCCCUAAAGCUACUUGGGAUGAAAUGGGUUGGGUUGAAAUGCUCUAAAAUGUCGGUCAUAACCCAACCCACCCAAUUUGAACUCAGAUUUAAUUGCUUUAUUUGUUAUUUUAUAAAAUUUUAGUACUUGAAAAAUUAUUAUCCUUUUUUUUAACUUGGUAACUUUGUAUUAUAUCACACAGUACAUGGGUUGUACUGAAAUCUUUAUAUACAAGAGUACUCCUAAAUCGACUGUUCUACAUCUAAAUUUAGUCUAGAACAUCAAUUAUUGAGGUAGUAUCAUUAGAGUAUAGUUGAUUACACCAAAAACGUUAAAGCAAAAUGCAGUUGAGUUUAACCUUCUGGACACUACUCUCAACACUCUCAAAACAUCUAGAAUUCCUUUCUUUCCAUAUAGCCCACCAUAUAGCACUAGGGUUAAUUCUCCAUCUACCUCUGUCCUUCGCAUGUACACCUGCUUCUCUCAGCACAUUAAAGUGUCGGAUACUUUCCUAGGCAUUGUCAUGGAAAUGCCUUUUAGUCUUAAGACGAUUCUCCAAAGUUGUUAGGUGUACUUACAAUGUAUAAAUAUAUGGUUAACCGUCUCUAAAGUUUCUCCACAGAGGAAACAUCUGGAGCACAAGGUUUUCCCUUUCUUCAUGAUAUUAUCUUGUGUAAGAACUACUUCCUUAGUCAAUAACUAGACAAAGACAAAGCACGACACUGUGUGAGGUAUCCUACUUUUCCAUAUUUGUUUCCAUGGCCAUCUUGGAUCCAGGUGAUUUAUUUGGUUCAUCAUCUUGUAGGGUUUAUUGACACUAAACAUUUUUUUUCAUUUCCCAUCAACCAUAGUACGUCCUUCACUGUCUGCAGUCCAUUGAAUAAGUCCACGGUAUUAAAAAAUUCAACUACUCUCAUUACCUCCUGAUCAUUAAGUUGCUUUCUGAAAUUGAAGUUCCACCCAUGUGGUGUCCAUAAUUCUGCUAUAGUCCUCUAUUGAAACAAUACCAAGUUGUAGAUAUCUGGAAAAAUCACUUCCAUAUUCCCAUCCUCAUGUCAAUUAUCCUUCCAGAACCUAGUCUUGUUUCCAUCCUUCACUUUAACCUUUGAGUUCCUUUUAACUUGAUUCCACUAGUGUAUAAUAGAUCUAAUAGACCUCUAGAGGCUAACCCCGUAUGGUGUGGUUAGCUCUUUAGUCAUCCAUCUAUCUUCUUCAGGAUAUUUAGCCCUAAUCACUUUCCUCCAUAGCAGUUGGUUAUUAUUUGCAUAUUUCCACAACCAUUUCAUUACGAGAGCCUUACUUUGAAUUUUUAGGUUCUUUAUCCCCAACCCUCUAGUCUUCUUGUCAAUUGUCUACCACAGAGAGAACUACUACUUUUUCUCCAACAUAUAUUUGUUCCUUAUUCUAUCUCUCCUUGUAUGCCCACACAUCUAUCUCAACAUCCUCAUUUCUGCUACGUUUAUCUUUUUAACAUGCGAGCUCUAGACUAGCCAAACACUCUGCCCCAUGCAAGAUAGCUAGUAUAACAACCACUUUAUAAAUUUACCUUUAAGUUUAUUUUAACAAAAUUCUUAUACAUGGCAUGAUAGUUACAAACUCUUUUGCAAGAGCUAAUUGGGACAAAAAAUAGAUGUUCAGAAAUUGAUUCAUCAAAAAAAACAUAAUUGUAGUUUAUGAGUUUCAAACGUGUCCAAAUGGAGAAAAUAUUAUGGGGGGACUGUGUUGAGUAUGGAACUUAGAACCUCAGUGCAGGAUUUGAACACCCUUACUAUCACACUCAGUGUUGUUUUUUGUGGCAAUGGUGUUCAUUAAAAAAUACUCAGAAAAUAUAGAAUUUGACCUAUAUAUAUAUAUACAAAUGCGAUUAUCAGGCGAAUGUUGUUCAGUUAAUCACCCUUGGAUAGUUGUAGCUCAACUGCAGCUUGGCAAUGUUUCCACCCUGCUUGUAGUUAUAUUCUACGCAGUACAUUCCAGUCCUUUUCCAUGUGGGACAUUAUGUCAUUCAUAUUCUAACACUUCCAUCUAGUAUUGUACUGCUGGAAGUUACUAAUUUCUACUCUCAGGGUACUGUUUAUGUUCUAUUUUUGGACUUGACCAACUUUCAUGUUGUUUUCAUUAGGAUAGAGGGCAGACGCAUCAACUGACUGAAGAGAAUUUACAUGUCCUGAGGGAAAAAAGUGUGUAACUUAUAUAUUUUCUUGGCCUCUUUCCAAUUGUUCUUCUACAGUGGGUACUUUUGUGUGCUACUUGUGCAUAAUGCUGAUUGCUUUGUUUGUUUUCUGUAGGUAUUACUACAACAAGGUUAGUAGAAUGUACAAAUGGAGAAUGCCUGAUGAAGUCAAGGUGAUGUUAGAUUUAAAUCCAUUAUGGGUUUGUUUUGUACUUUAAAUAGCAUGAUAAGAAGGGAUUGUUCUGUGCUUUAAAUAACAUGAUAAGAAGGGACAAUAUUCUAUUUUCUUGGAUGCUCUAGUUCUCAUAAAAUCUUUAUGCAUUCACAGUUGCUAGCAUGAUAAUAAGGGGCAAUAUUCUGUUUUCUUGGAUACUCUAUUCUCAUAAAGUUCAAUUAUUUAUAAAUUCACAGUUGGCUCGUGAAAAGGACACCAUUUCGCACGCUUCUAAUUUUCGAUCCAUUUCUAUUGUUAAAAUAUCAUCCCGGGGGCAGAUGGUUCAUUAGUCUCGGCACACGGUGCUAAAUCAAGCCCGAUUGCUAUGUCACCAGCUGCUAACUUACCAACUAUUGUGGCUUCAAAAUCAUCAAGUUUAUCUGGUAAGGUUUCUUCUCUGAUGAUUGAAACAGUUGAAAUAACGAAUUCUUCAGAACCUGCUUCGCCAGCUGUUGCUAAUUUGGAGAAAAUUGUAAUAGCAGUAACCUUGGGAAAUUCUGUCGCACCACCGGUGUAUGUUUUCAUAUUUAUAUGUUAUAAAUUUGCCUCUGGUUUGUGUUGCUUCUUAUUUAGAAUUCAAUUUUUCUGUAGUGCUGAGACUACUACAACUCAAGAUGCAGUAGUGUAUGGUGAUGGAUUUUCUUCAGAGAAUAGAGAGGUACUUUGUCCUUCUGAAAUACUUAUGCGAUUAGUUAAUUACUACUGGUUAGUGUUUAAAACACCAAGAAAGUUUUUCGUAGCUGUUAUGCUGGAUGUUGAUCGAAUAAUUUUAUAGUGCAGUUGUUAGUCAACUGCUAACAGGUGAAAAAUAUGCUCCAAAUUCCAAUGAGGUUUGCUUUUGUCCUUUGUGCUUGAUGUUGUGCCUAAAAUGCAGAAUGUCAAGAAAGAUGCUGCAAUAACUGAAAUCGGAGGUGCUACUCCAUUAGAUGAGAAAACAGUUGAGUUGGGACCAUUAAUUUAUGAGAGAAAAACGGUAUAGUUGAUUAUUUCUUUUUGGCCCGUUUAAUGUAUGUUCUCAAAAUUUCUCUUAUUUCUAUUUUAAGUAUUUGAUUUUAUUUAGGAUCCAAAGAGUGCAUUCAAAACUCUUUUGGAAUCUGCAAAUAUUGGGUCUGAUUGCACGUGGGAUCAGGUUUAUUACUUGACUAUUUUGUGCGUACCAAACAAUUAAGGGAGAUCAUUUGACAUGAAUUGUAUUUGUCAUGCCAUGAGAGCAGUAAUUAAUGACCGAAGAUAUGGUGCUCUAAAAUCCCUUUGUGAGCGGAAGCAAGAUUUUAAUGAGGUAUCUCUCCAAGUCGGCAUUGGAAUGGGUUAAUUACUGCUUCAAUGUUUCAGCAUAGCGUAUUGCAAAAAUAUAGAUUGUGUUUGAUAUCCAAUUGUUUCAUGUUUGGUUGACUUAAAUAUUUUGAAAAAUGUUUUCCAAAUCAACUUAUUUUCCUUAAAUUUAAGGAAACUGAAUUCCCUUCAAAAAGUAGGAAAAAUAUUUUCCAAAACUCUGUUUCAAUCUCACUCUUAAAUUAAAAUAUUUAUACAACUCUCAAAUGUAUUUUUUGAAAAAUAUUUUUUUAUUCACCAAUCAAACACUAGAAAACAUUUUCUGAAAAAUGUUUUCCUUCCAUCAACCAAACAUAAGAAAACCAGUAAGAAACCAACUUUUUUUCUAGGAAAACAUUUUCCUUCAUCCCAAACACACCCAAGGUCUACAGUGAUCAUUUUGAAGUUGUGUGUCUGUUCCAGUAUCUGAGCCAAAAGAAAAAAUUGGAAGCUGAAGAGAGGCAUGUUAAACAGAAAAAAGCUCGGGAAGAUUACAGGAUAAUGUUAGAAGUAAGUGAAAUUUUCUUUUGUGGUGUCUUCCAUUUGAUAUAUCAUGAUAUUCACAUAACUAGUUUCAAAAAUAAAAAGAUAUUAUCAUAAUAUUCAUGAUGUGUUAGAGACUGGUAUUUGAUUUGUUCAAAAGAAUAAGUGGUAUUUUUCACAACAAUGUCCGUUGUUCUCAAUCUUACAGGAUUGCAAAAAGCUGUCACCAUCGUCAAGAUGGGAUUUGUCUUUCACUUGUAAUGUUAAGUUGUUGCUGCUUGUUUUCUAAUCUUGGUCAUUAUUUGUAUGUGUUUUGGUACCUUGAAGUUGAUCCAUUACUUGUGUAAAUUCCAUUGGAUCCAUUAACUAUUUGCUAUUGAUUAUUCAGUAAGGAAAUCUCCAUAUUCGAAUAUGAUGAACGUUUUAAAGCUGUUGAGCGAGCUAAAGACCGUGAGGACUUUUUUGAAGAUUAUAUGGAGGAACUUGAGAAAAAGGUGAAGCUCCUUUUGAGAACUUUCUUUUAAGCUUCUAUAUGUUAAAAACUAGGUGUGCGGACUGUAGUUUCCUUAUAUGGUCUUUGGCUCCUCACAAAUUGAGUUAGCCUUUCAUUUGAGAUAGAAACAAGGUCCAAUUUCUUGAACAUGGUAUUAGAGGCAGAUCUAUCUUGAUUUUAGACUAUUAGAUGUUAGCCAACCUAGGUUAACUGAUGCUACAAAUGUCUAGUCUUGGUGUGCGAUUAAUGUAUGAGAAUCCCACACUAGUAAGGUGCAUGUGCUGCAGUUUCCUUAUAUGAUCUUGGACAAUCUUCACCACCUGACCUAGUUUUUAAAGUUGAGUUACGCGCUGGUCCACUUGAUUAACAACAGUCAUUCCAUUCCUUUCCUUUGCAGGAUGUCUUUUAGUUUGUUUCCUUUUUUUGUUUUGCUUAAAGAUUAGAAAGAAGGAAUCUUGUAGAUAUUCAACUUAAAAUCUACUGUUCUUUGAAUACAUUUUUAAUGGCUUCUCAAGGGUACAACAUUUAAAUUUGUUCACCAUUGAAUUCCAAUUUAAACAGACUUCCAUGUAUUGUAUGUAAUUUUUCUUGAAACUUGAAACUAUGAUAUGCUUCUUCCUCUCCCCCCUCCGUCGUAAAAUAGAAAAAGUUUUUCAAUACUUUCAUGCAAGUGUAAUUAAAGUCUCUUUGUAAAUAUUUUCUUCUUUAUAGAGAAAUUUUAUUUUUUUUACUUUGUAUUGGAUUUUAUUAGGAGCAUGCGAAGGCAUUGGAGGAGCAGAAGCGCAAUAGAGUGGAGUACUUCGAAUUUUAAAAAUCCUGUGACUUUAUUAAGGUAUUUGUUCUAAUGGAAUUAGCAUCAGUUCCUAGAUUAUGUUUUUCUAUUUCUUGGAGAUAGAACUUCCAUAGUUCCAUUGUUGCUGACUUCUUUUGUUCAGGCUAGUAGCCAGUGGCAGAAAGUUCAGGAACGCUUGAAAACUGAUGAAAGAUGCUCCCGCCUUGAGAAAAUCGAUUGCUUGGAGAUUUUCCAGGUAUAACUCAUUUUUCUAAUACAUCAUAAAUAACUUUUCCAAACAUCUCAUUUGUACGCCUUAUUUUUAAAGUUAUGUUGCAACCUUUUCUGUUUUAGGAAUAAUUAUGUGAUAUAGAAAGCGAAGAGGAGGAGCAAAGGAAACUGCAGAUGGUAUAUUGCUUAUUAGACUCGGGGGUUAAAAUUAAAUUUAUGUUUGGAGACUUUGAUUUAUCUCUUUCUCACUUGCAUACACCAUUGAUUCAAAUAGGAAGAAUUGAGGAAAGCUGAACGUAAAAAUCGUGAUGAGUUUCGAAAACUAAUGGAAGAGCAUGUUGCUGCGGGAAUACUUAAUGCAAAAACUAACUGGUGUGAUUAUUGCAUCAAAGUUAGUUUUUCUUUCUUGUGUUCAGUGAGUGAUUACCUUCAUGAGUUCCCUUUUCGUCUUUUUUAAUUUUUCAUCCAAUAGUUUUCUUCUUUAUUUUGUGCUUGCAGAUUAAAGAUUUUACUGCAUAUCUAGCUGUCUUAUCAAAUACUUCAGGAUCAACAGCAAAAGACUUAUUUAUAGAUGUUAUGGAUGAGGUGGAGAAAUAGGUGAAAUAGGUUGCUAAUAGAAGUAUUGAAUUGUGUCAACUACAUUUGUUACACUAAGCCAUAUUUAUAGACUUUACACUACAAUCCCUUUUCAUUGGCUUUCACUUAAUGAAUAUCUGAAUUUGAAUGGUUGAGAUAUCAGCCCAUUAAGUGUUUUAUUUUAAGAGAUUCAACCUAUUAAUACAUCUUUAUGAAUCAGAUGUUAAACAAAUUCUUAAGGAAGUUAGUGCAUUACUAUGUGGAAAUAUACUGGGUUUGUUGUUGUUGUUGUUGUUAUGCAUUAAAGAAUAGAACAUGCUUGGUAGGAUAAAAUCAUGAGAUUGAGAUUUGAGAGUUUCCCCUCUGCUUGCUUUUUUUUUAAAUAACACAUAUUUUGUUGAGAUAAGAACAAUGAUCGGUUGUUACUAUUAAACAUCUGUGUUGUUUCUCUUUAUGCCAAUUAGAUUCCUCUUUUUUUUUACUAGAUAGUAGGUAUUUUGGCUGAUAGGAAUGGUAUUGUCGUAAAAUUUUAAGUUAGGGGUUCCAUGCUUUUAAUGUUGUAUAGAUAUAGAUGAUUCUUUCAAUCUAGCCAAGCUGUAUUAAAUGCUACUUUGCGGACAAUUGUAAUUGACUUCUCCUCCAUUGAAUGUUGUUAAUGGUUAUAUUACCUUAAUUGUUAUAGUUUCUCGAGCAGAACAACUCUGAGAAGUGAUCAUCAAACUUCUAUAUUUUCACGUAGUUUCUUUGACUUUUGAGGACUCCUUUAAAGUAUCACAUAACCACACCAUUGUGUUUCACCUAAGACUGCAUUUGUUUUUAUUAAUAUUCAAACAUUUGAAUCAUUUUGAAUGCACAUCUGAAUGGUUAAGAUAUUGUCUCUAGAUCUAAAAACUAAAUCAUUAAGUUUGGGUGUUUCUCAAUAUCUGAAUGUGCAAAAUUUAUUUUUUUCUAAAUAUAAUAUAGUUAUAUAUUAGAAAUUUUUUUUAAUUUAAUGCAAUUAAAUUAUUAUUUGAUUAAAAAAAGAAACAUUUAUGUUUGUUAGUGAUAGUGGAGAUGGUUUAUAAAGGUGGUGGUGGUUGUAAUAAAUUAAUUGAUGUCAGUGAUUAGCAAUGUAGGUGAUGAUAGUUGUGAUAGCAGAGAUAGUUUGCAUUGUAGUAACUAUCAUGAUAUUGGCGAUUGGUAAUGGUGGUGGUGGUUGUGAUGUGAAGUUGGUUAAUGUUAGUAGUUGGAGGUGUUGAUCGUGGUGAUGGAAAAUUGCAUGCAUGAUGAUUGACGAUGUGUUGGUGGUCAUUGGAGACGUUGUUAGCUGUGAUGGUGGAAUGGUUGUUAGUACAGAUACUGUAUCGAGUGUAGCAGAUGGUAGUGGUAUAGGUGGUGACGCCGGUGACAGUGGUGGUGAUGGUGUCCGAAGAAUGUGUGGAAGUUGAUGAUGUGUUAGGGGUUGUUAGCGAUGUGUGGAAGUUGAUGAUGUUUCGGUGGUUAUUAGUGGUAGUGCUAGUUCUGAUAGAUGAGUUGGUUGGUAGUAGGGAUCGAUCGGUAGCAGUUGAUGGUGGUGGCGUUGUCGAUAGGGGUGUUCAUAGGUCGAUAUGGGUUGGUUAUUUGUCAAAACCAUAACCGAACCAACUUAAUCGAUUUUUAAAGUUCAAAAACCAAACCAAACCAAACAAAAAAAUAACCAUCGGUUUGGUUCUUGUCGAUUUAGUUCGAUUUGAUUCGGAUUUUUUGGUUUAUAACUUUAGUUAAUGAUAAAAGUUGAAAAUUUUAAAAAACAAAUCCAAUCUAACAUAUGAGAUGUCAAGUGAGUGUUGUAUCUCAAUCUUGAAACUAUGAUGUCAACUGAGUGUUAUAAUUCGGCAAAGCCAUGAUAACACCAUAUGAACGCUUUUAAAAAAUAUUUAAAAACUAUAUUUAAUAGAAUGAUAUGAUAAACCCCCAAAAGCUGAACACAUAAACUUCUUGCUCAACAAGGUUCAAAAGAAAGUUUAAAUUAGUGAUUGUGUAUAGUCUAAUGAAUUUCAGUUGUAAAUUUCAAUAUAUAACAAGAUAUUAUUUUCACAAUUAGUAUCAUUUGUCAUUCAAAAUAUGAAAUUCAUUUUGAAUCUCAUAAUGUAUUGUCAACUAGAUGAAGACAUAUGACUGAAUGUGCGACGACUAAAGUUAAAUCAUGAUUAAAAUAUAAAAUGUAACAAAUAUUUAGAUUACAUUUAUGAAAAAUAUAUAAAUAAUUAUAAUAUAUAUGUAUAUCAGUUCGGUUUGGUUAUUUUGUCAGUUAUUUUAGAGUAAAACAAAACCAAACCAAACCAAAUUAGUAUCGAUUUUUUAAAAUUUAAAUCAAAACCAAACAUCACCAAAUAUAGGUUUUUUUUAAAUCGGUUUGGUUUGGAUUCGGUUUAGUUUGGUUAAAAACCAAACUGUGAACACCCCUAGUAGGCGGUGGAUAUAAUUAGAAUAAUGGAAGGGGUAGGUGUGGUAGCGGCUGGUAGUGUAGUUGGUUGUGAUGGUGGAAGUGGUUGGUGGUGGUGACAGGUGAUUGUGGAUAGAGUGGUGGUGAAUUUUAUCCUACACAAGAAUAUCUGUAAAUGAUAUUUAGACUUGGUUCCAUAUCUGAAUGAUUAAGACCUACUCAGACCUAUUAAGAGCUAAAAUCCUAAUAAAAACAAAUGCACUUAAUGGUUUGAGGUCUGAAUAGGUUCAUAAAUCCAAUAAGAGCAAACAAAUGAGACCUGAAAGUAGUUUGUCUGGUCAAGUUUCGACCAUGUUUUGUCCAUUUGUACCACAACCCAGUUUUGAUUUCACUUCGAAUGAUAUCUUGCACCUUAAAACCCAAUUCAGAAUAUAUGGUGUUGUCAACCAUAUAAAUUGGACUAAAUAAAAUUAGUGCCAGAAUUCGCCUCUGAAGAGGUAGUUGAGAUGUAAUGAAAGUAAAGGCUUAGAAAAGAUUAGCCUCGAAAAAAGUGCCUGAGAGCAUCUCUGUUUCUCUAAAUAAAGUUGCAUCUCCCUCACUAUGAUUUUUUUGGCCGUAAUACACACUUGCGACUAACUGAACGAUAUAUUGUUUCAUCCUCUGCCCUUUCUGAAAAUAAUUGAAGUUGAAUGAUCAAAUGUUAUUAGCACUUAUCUCCUUGCUUGAUGAAAGAGGGAGUUUACCUGGUAUCCUAGCAUGGUAAUGAUCCUGUUCGUACUCUUAUUCAAUGAUUGAAUUUGGUAAUGUUUUCUUGAGUUAGGCUCUUGCUAUGGGAUGGUGAGAGUUAUACAUAAACUCAGAUGCUGAAAAUCUUUUCUUUUUCCCUUGUAAGAUAAAGAUGUCAACUUCUAUCUUUAAAGUUUGUAUUACUGUUUGUGUACAUAACUGAUUCUUAUUAAGUAAAUAUAACGAAAGCAUUGUUAACAGAGAUGCUAUCCAUAUUUAUUUAUUCACUUUUUUUCUAUUAUCCAAACAGGGCUGCUUGAUUUUUCCUUCAAUUUAACCUGAUCAGUGCAAUUAAGUUUAUGUGUCAAGUGUCUUGUGAUAUUGUAUAUGACUUUGAACAAGUGGAGAAAUGUUGGUAUUCAUGAAAGAAAUUUCAUCCCCAUCACCCUGCUUGUAAUUUAUAGACUUUAUGGUAACUCAAAUGCAUGGACAAGGCUUCAUUUGGUAUCCUAUUUUUGUUACUGAUAAGCAUUCUGAAUUUGUAUUACUUGUAUGUUGCUUCAGUAGAUGACAAGUCACAAAUUAAAGAUGCAAUUAGGAUGGUCGAGGUAAUCACCACUCUUCAUUUUAACCUCUGUUGUGCUACGGUUAGUACCUAAUAUUUUGGCUGAGCCGUCUUUACUUUAGAUUAGAUUGACAUCAGCCUGGACGCUUGAUGAUUUUAAGGUUGCAAUCACCAAGUAUAUUAGCGCUCCACCAAUGUCAGAUACCAACUUAAAGGUCUAAUUAUGGCUAAGCACUGUAUACUAUUUCACAUCGACCCAUGUUGAAUUGAAUGUUGUGAUUGAAGUACCCCAUUCACUAAAUGGAUUUCUAUGUAUUUGUCCCCUUUUUUUCUUUGGGAUAGGUCCUGCAUAAGAUGAUUGGAUUGAGUGCAAAAGCAUUAGUAGUACUUCCAUGUUAUGUUUCAAUGGAAGUCGGUCAGUUUGUGAUUGCUAAAUUGGCAACUCGUAGGAGUCAACUGUGGUUAGUGGCAUUUUCCUUUAGUAUCAACCAUAACCUAUCCCAUAAUAAAUUUGGAUCUUCUUGUAAUGGAGUUAAUAGAAGAGUAGUGUGUCGGUUAGCAAGUAAGCCUAAAACCUUCAAGAAUAAAGAUGAGGACCACAUUGAUCAAAUAUUUGGUGUUAGCUUUUUCUUCCAAUUCUUCAGUUUUGGUACGAUUUUCCUUAGUUUUUAUUUCCUGGACGGCGGUGUUUAAUAUUACACCUACCGCACUUAUCUUAAGUUGCUUAAUUCAAAGUAGUUUGCCUUGUAGUUUUUUGUUUUUACAGUUAGUGGAUAAGAGUUUUACUUUAUGAAACUGGUUAAACAGCAAACUGGAUGAUAUCAACGAUCAUUUUUUAUUUUUGUAAUGAGGAUAUUCUUCAUAUAUCAUUUGGAUUUUGGCGGUUAUUUAUGGUCAUGGCAUAUAAUCUAUGUAUGUGGGAAGAGGGAAUUGCAAGGGGUAUCUUGUCGAAGAAUUAUGCUUAGACGGUUGGGACUCUUAAGGCUUUUAGUUUACUUUCAAUAGCUCAAAACUUUUGUAAAGCAUUUUAUCAAAGAUUAUAAUGUGAGGAGUUACUCUAAAAGAUGGUAAUAAUACUCUUACAUUAUAUCCCUCUUGCCUUCCAAACGAAGGAAUAAGAGGACAUACAUGGAUUAUACUGAAUCUUAUUCCAUACUUCCUUUCUAAACUUUAUGUUCUACGCGUUUGGGCUUGCCGGGUCAUUGAGUAUUAAAUGUGCAUAUUUCAUCUGCAUAGUUUGUCUUUGAGGAGUUACUAGAAAGGGCCAGGGAGAAAGAAGAAAAAGAAGCUAAAAAGCGUAAACGUCUAGCAGAUGAGUUCUAUGAACUUCUUCAUGCAACAAAGGUAUAGUAAACAGUUUACAAUCUCUCAUAUUGCAAUGGAUGGGAUCCCAUGAUAUUUCCUUUAAACCAUAAUCUAUUUGUUUGUUGUGGUUGUAGGAAAUUACUGCAUCAUCUAAAUGGGAGGACUGCAAAUCCCUCUUCGGAGAUAGGCAAGUAGCUUCUUUUUCUUUUAUUGAUCUAGAAUUAGUAACACGAUUGCAAGGACCAUUGGAGAAUGAUAAUUGAUAUUAUUUUCAAGGACCAACUUCUUCAAUAUUCUAAACUCAGUAAUUCACAUAGUUCUAGAAUGUACCUUAGAAUAAUAGCUGUGUUGAAUGAUUUGUUGUUUUAUAUUCCUCAACAUUUAGGUAGGCUAUUUAUUUAUAGGAUUAGCAUGAAUUACCAAUUUGCUAAGUGAUUUUUAAUGUUGAACUUAUCUCUCUAGAAAUUGGUUGAUGUCAAUUAUUAGUUGUUCCAACACUGGGCGUUUAAUAGCUCUAGCAGUUAGUGUUUAAAUUUCUGACAUUUGUGAUUGUUUCACGGUUCUGAUGAAGUAUGCUACUAAAUCUCUAGUUUCAAUUUGUCUAGCCUCUUUGGCUAUAAAAUGAAAUGCUUUGGAUUUUUACUUUUUUAUUCAUAAUCUCAUGAUUCUCAUUAUGUUGUAACAUUGAAUGUGAAUUUCUUUGCUGUUAUUAUUUUACAGAAUAAUGGGUGAUGAGGGCUUGCUGCUUGAAAUAUUUAACAAAUUUGUUAAUGAACUAAAAGAGAAGGAGCGCAAGCGUCAAGAAGAUAAGGUACUUGAAUUACUACAAACCCUUAUUCUUCUGCUACUUUCGGGUGGGGGUAGUAGAUGUGUGGAUGUGAUUGUGGUUGAAAAGGAAUUAAGAAACCUUUAGAGAGUUACUGCAAACGAUUCAAAAUAGAAAAAUCAUUUUAAGUUAGAGAUUCUAGAUAAGCGGUUCCUAUUAACAUUUUAGGAAGGUAUUAGGCACCUAAAAUGUCCGCUAACUUGCGGUUAUCCAGACUGUUUGAAAAUCGUCUUCUGAUUAGCUUUGAAAAAGUUUAUUUUUUGAAAAUAAAAGCAAUUUUAGGAAUAUUUUGGUGUUUAUGCAAAACCAGUUUUUUAGCGACUUGACUAAGGAUGUUACUAGGUUCACAAAACACACGUAAAACAAGUAAGCAAAUAGAAAUAAGGGAAAGGGGAGAAGUAGUGAUUUAGGCUUUUAAGCCCAAACCUUCGACUCUAUCCUAAUCUAGCUAGGUUUUUGACCCAUCUUUCACCUGUCUUAAUUUUAUGUUUUCGAGCCCUUUUCGGCUCGAGUCUCGCUCCACCUGUUUUAAAUUUACAACAUUGGCUUCGAGGCCCAAAUGAAUAAAUAAAUGUCAGUAAAUAAACAAAAAUAUAAAUAAGUAAAUAAAUAAAUAAUGGAAACAAUGGAUAAAUAAAUCAAUAAAGAAGAAAUAACGAGAUUUUCAAGUCCCCUUUGCUGCUUCAAAGAUGGAACUUUAACCCAUUCUUCUUUCGAUUCCUCGUAUCCAUACGCCAUGUGAUGGAUUCUUGGCUUUUCUUUUGGGCUUAACUCGGAAGGAUAGGCCUCAUUGGCCCAUUUAUGAAAUGCAAAGAGAGAAGGGGNNNNNNNNNNNNNNNNNNNNNNNNNNNNNNNNNNNNNNNNNNNNNNNNNNNNNNNNNNNNNNNNNNNNNNNNNNNNNNNNNNNNNNNNNNNNNNNNNNNNNNNNNNNNNNNNNNNNNNNNNNNNNNNNNNNUGUUUGAAGAAAAUGUUCAUAAUCAAUUAAAGAAAUUUCAACUACAGGAAAAAUAAAGCUUCAACAAGAAAUUCUUAUGGUCUUUAGCGAAAUAAAGAAAAUAAUUUAUCACUUUAAUGCCACAAAAGGACCCAAUUAAGCAUGUCACAAAAAAUAGUUACAACUCCUGGAUCAUACUACAUAAACGAUGGAUCACAAGCAACGUUCAAAUUCCAGAAUGCCAAACAUACAAAUUUAAAGACUCCAUCACUUUAGGCAAGGAAUACGAUAGCUGAAACUUCAAGAAAAGCAAGGCUGAAAUCUUAAUGCCUUUGUUACCACUGGGUUAACAAACAAACGAGAUUCAAACACUACAUAAACCCAAUUUUAGGUAAUUUAAUCAUGAGACAAGAUUCCACAACUUAUAUGUGAACAAGAAAAGCAAGAAAGGAAAGAAACAUUAGCUCGUUAAACUUUAAUUUGUUCUCAUGAGUCAAUUACAGCAAAUUGAAUUAGCCAUGAAGAAAACAUAAUUCAUCCCUAUGGUGCACUCUAAUAUUUUAAAAGAAACUUUAGAAUCAAAUGAGACUAUUGUACAUCGAGAGUGGCAAGUCGGAAGAAAAUAACAUUCGGGUUCUUAGUUAUAACAAUUUCCUGCGUUUGAGCGAAAAAGAUAUGCUAACAGGCUGCCUCAUAUCUAUUCUUUGAACAUUUUUUCGAAUUUUGAAAAUACGUAAAGAUUUUAUUCUCCUACUCAAUGAACUACAAAGCAACAUCGAAUAUGAGACCAGAAAAAUAGUUUCUAAAGUCGAAGCAAUAAACCUAACUAGUAACAUUCAGACAGAAUAAAAUAAGAGAGAUCAAGCAUGAACGACAGCCAAUCAAACACGGGCAAGUAUGAGUUUUUUAGUAGAACAAUAUAUCAAAAAUGAAAAUCCUAUGCCAUCUAGGACUCUACAGUAGUCAUUCCCAGCAAACAAAGUGGAACCACGAAGAAGAAAAUGAUAACCACAACAAAAUUAAAAACAAAGGUGUAUUUACCUCUUUCGCGGCAGCAAAAUGUGAUAACAGCUCACGAUAGGAUUCCCACCACCAAAAAACUCACAACUGCUUCGACAGUUCUGACGCACCUCCUAAGAAUAUAUGUUUCUUAGGCAUAAAGAGAAUAUUUUUUCCCUCUGAGAGCCCCCCUUUUUGGUGUAUUCUGAAUUUUUGAAGAUUUUCACUAACCCUAAAUUUUCAACCCAAAACUUUUGAACCCCUUUUGCCUCUAAAAUUUCGAACUCCAAAGAGAAAGAAGAGGAGAACCCAUAAAGGAAAGGAGAGGCCAGUAAAAAAAAUUCCAAAAUCCCCCAAAAAAUCCCUUUUUCUUACUCUAAAGAGAGCUACUUAUAGAAGGGGAUUAAGGGUUUAUUUUUGAAAUUCAAAAGAUCUGGACCCUAACGAACUGUACCUCUAUUUUGAUUUUAUUGAAUGGAAUUCCAAAAAGUGGCCAAUAGAAAUUGGUGGAAAGGUAAUAAUCUUCACAAGCCAAUGAAAAUACUCCACCUAUGUACGAAUUCGUAAACCUCUAUCCCAGAAUUUUGGGAUUUGAAAGUUGGAUGAGACACCUAAGUGUGUUUCUAGAAGAUUCUUGGCAUCUUCUCGUAUGGAUUCGCGUGGAACGCAUGUGAUCAUAAAGAGGAAAAAGAAAACGGAUUGCAUUUGGGUGCUGCAUCCUAUUUGAAGUUAUCCGCACCUGUGGUUUUGAUUUGAUAUUUUCAUACUCUCGGAUGCUCUCGAAAAUGCUUCAAGCAAAAAGUAUUAGUGCUAAACAUAAUUCACAAGAGAGGUAUGCAGUCUUUUACCAUAUCUCCAUGUGAGUUGUGACUUGAAAAGCAGAGUCAUCUCUUCAUGUACCUGUUUGGAAUGAAAUAACCAGCAAUACCAAACACAACAACCCUCUUGGUUGUCAUAUAAUUAUGACAUUUGUCGGUUGAAUACGUCUUCAAAGUGGGUGGCCCUUUUGGACACCGGCGAUACUUUAUGCAGAACGGUAUCUACAAUCGUGUAAUCUUGUGCUAGUGUGGAAACCCUUUAGGUACCUGUAUCAUUUGUUGCAUAUGGAAUAAUAACCUCUCCGGUUAUAGCCGAUGAUCGAUUUAUAAAUUUCCUUUAAAUUAUCAAUCUUUGGAUAAUCUUACGCAUUAUUUGAUGUUGGAUACGAGACAACUUACAGAUAUCCUUUUGAUUUCUAGCUUUUAGGUAAUCCUGCAUAUUAUCUGACUUUGAAUAAGAGAUGACUUACAGAUAUCCCUCCAAUCGCUAGCUUUCAGGUGUUCCUGCACAUCAUCCAACCUUAGAUACAAUAUGACCUAUAGAUAAUCCCUCAAAUUGUUAGUCUUUGGGUAAUCCUGCACAUAAUCGAUCUUGGAUAUGACACGGCUUAUAAAGAACCCUUGGACGUAUCAAUUUGAUAAUCUUCCAUAUUCUCUAGUAAGGAUUUAGUUGCGACUUAUGGAUAACCUUUGAACUAUCAAUUUUUGGGCGAUCUUGCACACUAUCCGGUUAGGAUGUUGUUGUGGCUUACGGAUGACCUACAGGUGAUCAACUCAUAGGUGAUCUUGCAAACUAUCCUAUUUCAAAUAAUAUGACUUAUAAAUGACCCUCAAAUUGUCAAUUUCUAGGAAAUCUUAUAUAUCAUUCAUCCUUAGAUAGUGACUUAAAGGCGUUCCUUCAAAUCGUGUGCUCUCGAUACAUUUAGAUGCUGAUUCAUAAAAUGAUAAGAUAUCCUCGAUGCCAAUGUUUAUGUCUUGCAUGUCAAUAGAUAUAAAAUAAUAAGAUAUCCUCGACGCCAAUGUUUAUGUCUUGCGUGUCAACAGAUAUAAAAUAAUGAUGAUAUUCUCGACGCCAGUAUUGUGUCUUACGUGUCAACAGAUAUAUUGAAUGAUGAUGAUAUCCUCGACGUCAGUAUUGUGCCUUGUGUGUCAACAGAUAUAUUGAAUGCUGAUGAUAUCCUCAAUGCUAGCGUUGUCUUGCGCAUCAACAGAUAUUGCAUGAUGAUGAUAUCCUCGACGCCAGCGUUGUAUCUUGCAUGUCAACAGAUAUUGCAUGAUGAUGAUAUCCUCGACACCAGCGUUGUGUCUUGCGUGCCAACAGAUAUAUAAUAAUGAUGAUAUCCUCGACGCCAGCAUUAUGUCUAGCGCAUCAACAAAUAUUGAAUGAUGAUGAUAUCCUCGACGCAAGCUUUGUGUCUUGCGUGUCAAUAGAUAUAUUGAAUGCUGAUGAUAUCCUCGAUGCCAGCAUUGUGUCUAGCAAGCCAAUAGAUAUAGAAUGAUGAUGAUAUCCUCGACGCCAGUGUCAGGGUCUUGCUUUUUGCAUGUUCUUGUACUCAAGGUAGACGAUUAGUAGACACAAAGUCGCUUUUGGUAACGACUAUUUUUUUUAGAAAAAUUCUAAAUACAUCAUUUGUAAAGAAGACAAGACACUUUUGUUUGUCCUCCAUGAUCUCAAGAAAUGAGAUGGACAAUUCAAAAGGUCAUCCAUAAAUGGGUGUUGAGCUGGUUUUGGGCGACCAAAAGUACCGUCAUUAAGCCUUAUAUUCUCUGUCAUGGCUCCCGACUUGCUUGGGGAUUUUUCAAAAGAAACGCUCAUUUUGUGUAUCGAUCCCUGCAUCCACAAAAAAUGAUUAGUUUGAAAGAAACUACUCCUUGUUGACCUCCUACGAUCCUUGAUUUUCCCUCGCCAUCUUUUAGGUAUUUCAUCAUAUUGGGACUUCCACCCUUGACUCCCCGUCUUAAUUGAUGUCUAGGCAAUCACUAAGUAAAAGAUUUCUAUAGAUUUUUUUCAAAGUACUCUUAAUUUUUUAGAAAAUAGUUUCGAGAACUCCUGCAAAACUUUGAAAAAUCUCUGCCAGUCAUGUAGUACUAUCUGAAUACCUCAUAAUUUGCUACAUACCUUCUCAUAGUAGUACUAGUUUACAACUACCAACGAAAAAAUUCAAGGGGUAAGGUCACAUAAUAGACAUGAUCAACCUUAAUCUUAUAUUAUAACCCCAUACGAUCUUAUCUACUUAUGCGGAUUUCUCACCUCAUACUUACUUACUCAAGCAUACAUUUAGACUGCCUUCAAAUCCCUCAAACAACCAUGAGUCUAUAAUCAUAACUUACUCACUAAUAUAGCCAUUUUUCACAUUCAAGAAACCAACAAAUCACCCUGACUAACAACUCCUUCUCUACCUUAUACUAAACUAACUCACAAGGACUAAUCACCUCUUUACCAACUCAAUCUCAUGCAAACAGAUUCAGACAUACAUAUAUUAAACCAGCAAAAGAACAACAAGUUGCUAGUGAAUAGAAAUAGGCCUCACACGGCUUCACUAGACUUUGGUUUUGUAUUUUAAAUAAGAAAAUGAUAUGGAUGACAAGGCAACUAUGCUAGUGAAUCGAAAGAGCCCCAUACGGCUUCACUAGACUUUAAUUUUUUUUUUAAAAACACCAUGAUAACAAGAUUACAUAUUACAAGAGAUAGGAAAUUGACGCAUAAUUUUUAAUGGUCUAAGAAUACACAUCUUACUCUGUAUAAAUAAAAAUCUGAGUAAAAUAAUUCCCCCAUGGACUACCAUACCAUCCACAUGUGCUACUAGCUACCACAUUAGUUUAUCACUAUAAAGGGGUAAAUCAUCCUCAAAUAUAGGUUAUUCAACUGAAGUAUUAAUUUACACCAAAAAUUACCCUCACUCUGACUUCUAACUUUGUGACUUCACAUCACUAACUUCUUGGUCUAAUUUCAUUACCGAUUGGUCAUGACAGCAACACUUUAACUUUUGCUACUAUUCGGGUGGAAAUACAGUUCCAACAUUCUGUUAUACACUGUCCACAUUUGUAUCAAGAUUUUUGGGAGGGACUAGAUUCACUAAAUACCUUAAGCUGGAAAGCACGAUUCCAUCAGGAUCAAUGUUUACAUCAGAAUCAACACAUAUUGAAGCACCAACAGACUCCUCUUGAGUCUUUGCAUAAUUUUUUUUCCUUAUAUGACACAAUCGAAAAAGACUAUAUCAUGUAGAUUCUAAACAUUUUGCACUUGAAUCACCCCAAUAAUGGGACAUGUCUGAGAACAUCAGAGUAAGGAAAGAAUUUGAGAUGACUUUACCUUCAUAUGGGCAACACCAUAGAAUGAAUGACAGUAUGAAAGAGGAACAUUUUGACUCUAUUGCAUGAACUGGAACAUGAAGAAAGAGAGACAUUCCUAAACGCCUAGUAGCCUCCUGCUUAUAAGUGUGGCGCGCUACACACCCAUAAAAAGACUCUACCCGACGUGAUUUUGCAGACACCCUAGGACCAUAAACCAUGCUCUGAUACAAAGUUUGUCACGACCCGAACUGGGGCCCUGGCCACGAUGAGCAUUCCAAACCAUGAAGGCCCGAAACACCCCUAUUUGUCUGAUAAUCAUGCACAUAACUCAUAUGAUAAAAGAAAUGAGAAAGAAAAACAAUAUUAUGGAAACAUGGUCAAGAAUCAUAUGAAAUAAGUAAUGGGGAAUAAUGUCCCACAAUCUCAACACAACAUCUCUAUAACGUUUGCGAAAUCUCUACUACAUGACUGAAAUAAAGAUCUAUCUGAAAACUGGGACAAGGCCCUCAGUAGAUCCAAAACUAAUAAAUGAUAAAUGAAACUGCCAGAUAUCAGGCCUUCUGAAUUAUAGAAGGCUCACCAAGUGUUUCUACAAAUCUAUCUGAGGAAUUUACUAAUUUUUUGAACCCCUAGACUGUGCCUCCAAACCUAGAAGGGAAGCGGGUCAAUACAAAAGUACUGGUAUGCAGAGAUAUCAAAACAAAACAUAAUAUUUUUACAAAAUAUAGUUGAGAGCCAUUAUAAAGCAGUUACAUAUCAAAUCAUUUGAAAACACAUGGGCAUAAUGUAAUUGCUUUCAACAACAAUGUAAUGCAGCUGAGCUAGGUGGAAUACCCUACAUAUCACAUUUACACCAACUUUCAAACCUUGAUUGCCACCGAGAUUAGAGUUUAAGUGAGGGGAAGACACAUAAGAUCACAUAGCAGGGUGUCUCGACCCAAUAGUAGUAUGCAAGAUCACAAAGCAGGGCUCCUAACCAUAGUCCCAACUUUGGAAUGACAUAAAGUCAGGUACACAAGAUCACAAAGCAGGGUACCAAAUUCCCAUGUCGGUAAACACGGUUUUCAGCGAUGAGCCCUUACACUCAAACGCCUUCUUCGGGCAUCCACCUAUCUCAUGUAAAAUCAAUGUAUUUAAAUUUCAUCUGAUUCAAUCGCAUAUCAUAUUCUGUAGGGUAUCGUCAUACCCGACUUGCAAGCCAUCAAUAUCACAUCAUUUUUCUCAUUUAACCAUUGUAUUCAACAUGUUUCAACAUAAAUAGCCCUCUCGUUUUUAAGUCAAAAUCAUAUCAAUUCUCAAAAUAUUUCAUGUCAUGCUUUUCAAGAUGUCUUCAAACAAUUUACAUCAUAUAAACAUUUAAAACAAAUUCACAUCAAGAGAGGGAUUCCAUAUAAUUCAUGCUCUCAAAUUAACACUUUUUCGAAACACAUACAUAUACAUAUAUAAUAUGUCAAAUCAUUUUGGAAAUAGGCCUAAAGACCAAAUCAAUAUUAUAUAAACGUUCAAAACAUGAUUAUAUUCGUAGUUUCAAAACCCCCAUUGUAAAACAUUAAUUUAAAGGCCCAUGAGAUUUUAGGAUAACCCCACGUACCUCUAUAUGCAAAGAUGAUAGGUGUUUCUUGAAGCCUACGUUCUGGGAAUUCCAAAUAUGCAAUUAGUUUNNNNNNNNNNNNNNNNNNNNNNNNNNNNNNNNNNNNNNNNNNNNNNNNNNNNNNNNNNNNNNGAUCUUGAGCAAUUUUGAUGAAUGAAGGUGUAUUUUGGGGUAUUUGGGGACUGAAUUUUGUGUUUAUGGCUAAAUAAGGGUGGGAAAAAGACCAUUUUGCCCCAAAAAUAGAGUUUAAGUCACUUGAGUAGAAAUGUAUGCGGCGCACACCUUAUCGCAUAAUAUAGGUUGUGCAGAGCACUCUUUAUCACACACAUUAGGUUGUGCGUCGCACACCUUAUGGCAUAAGUUAGGGUGUGCAUCGCACAUCUUAUGCUGCACGACACACUCGACUUUGCAAAGCCAUAACUUCUUCCUCAGCUGUCAGAUAUUUGUAAAAUUGGUAUCAUUGGAAAGAUAAUUCGAAGGCCUUUCAUUUGAUAUAUAGUAGGCACUCUAAUUCAAUAUAUACAAAGAUUAAUGACCGAUUGAAGUUGACCCAAGUUUUGACGCUUACUAAAACUCAAUCGAUGGAAAAGCUUUCAACUCGUCCUUGAGUUAGGGGAUCUCUAUGAUCUCAAUUCAUGCUCAAAUAGUUUUAUACACCACAUAGUUGAUUAAAACACUAUAUUCACAAUAGAUUUAUGGUUUUGGAAUGUGUACAAGUAGAAAUGACAAUUUAUGUUCAAGUCUGAAAGUAUGGGAUGUUACAAAAAAUUAUUGGGUUAUUGGUUCGGUUUGAUUUUUUCUUAUUGGGUUAUUGGGUAAACCGAUAACCCAAUAAGAGAAUAUAUAAGACUUAUUAUAUACUUAUCUUUUAUUUCUACAAAUUAACAAACCUAUUAUUUCAAUUAUAUAAACUCUUAAUUUCUCCUAACAUUUAGUUCAAACUUGAAGAUUUUUGUAAAUUUAAACACUUCAUGUAGGAUUUUUGUUGCAACUAAGAUUCAUUUUUUACAUGUUAGUUACUACUAUUUCUAAUUUCUAUUUGAUGAGUAUUUUCUUAUCGGUUAAACCGAAAACCGAAUCGUUAAGGACUAAAAACCGAAAAAAAUAUUUUAUUGGUUUGGUUAUUGGUUUAGCAUAUUUAAAAAUCGAAAAUCGAUAAAUCUAACGAUAAUAUGUAAAACCCAAUCGAACAGACCAAUGCACUCCCCUAGACACAAACGCUUUAAUUAGUUGACAAAUUGUAUGAGAUGCACACAUUUUGCAUGACAAAUUAUGAUACAAGACUCGCAUAUAUAUAUAUAUUUAUUUUAACUUUAUAUGAUAGUCUAAGUAUUUAUUUGUGCAACACUCAAAAUUAAAAUAUAUGAAUAUUUGCUGAUGAUGUCAAGUUGAAAACACAUUUAUGUAUUAUGUCAAACGUAUAAUUCUCUUCCUUUUUUGAACUAUAGCUAUAACAUGUAGCAUGAGUGAAUGUGCGCUAAUUUUAAGUUGAUGAAUUCACCUAACAUUAGUACAAUUAGUAGAGUAAUGAACAAAAUUAAAUUCAUUGCUAUUUAUUUAUAUUUUAAAAAAGCAAGGUGGAGUCAGAGAGCAAUUAUCAUAAUUAAAGAGGAGCUAAAGGUAUAAUUAAAUGAGAAGCAUGGAGUCUUUUGAUAGAGUGUAUUAAAAAAUUAAUAACAACAACAAUAAUAAAUUCAAUGUAUUUCCACAUAGUGGGGUCUGGAGAGGGUAAGAUGUACGUAGUCCAUAUCACUACCUCCGGAGAAGUAGAAAGGCUAUUUCUGAUAGACUCCUAGCUCAAGACAAGGAAUAAUAAUCAAAUCUGUGAUAAAGCAUGGAAUGUAUUACGUCAAAACUAAUGCAUCCAUUAAUUUAAUGUGUAUUAGUAGUCCCUUGUUUGAUAUAUAUCUUUUUAUCUUAUGUAUAACUAAUGCAAAAAUUAGUUACAUACUCUAUUGUGUAUUGAGGUGUGCAUUACUAAUACCUCAAAAUUUAUGACAUUAGUAAUGCAAUGGAUCUAAUGCAUGCAUUAACAUGCUUAAAGUGGGGGUAUUAUGCAAAAAAAAAAUUAUGUAAUUCGUGUUAUUUUUAAUACAUUGAAUCAAAUACUAUAUAAGAAACAACAACAGCAACAACAACACCCAGUAUAUUCCAACAUAGUGGGGUCUGGAGAGGUUAGUGUAUGCAGAUCGUAUCACUACUUAGGUGAAGUAGAGAGGAUGUUUCCGAUAGACUCCCAGCUUAGGAUCAUAAUAAUAUACCAAACAUAAAAGAUAAAUGCAUAUAAACUAAUACGAUACGCAAAAUAAAACUAAACAAUCUACCAAGAAGUGUCAGCUUUGUGUUGGGUGGUUGGUAGUCAAGAAAGUGUCAGCUUUCCCAAAAAGAAAAACCCCAAUAAAAAAAGAAGUCCCUCCACUUUCACCAUUGAUUCAAUGUUUUUUUAAUACGUAGAAUCAAAUACUGCGUAAGAAAAUAGAAGCAUAAUUAAUGUAAUUAUUAUUAAUAUGCCAUAUUUUAUAGUAUUUUUAUAAAAUAAUAUUUUAUAUUAUUUUUAUAAGAAAAUACUCUAAUUAAUUUUUUUGAAAUUAUCUAUCUAUAUAAUAAAGGAGGAUAGUCUAGCCUAAAACUAAAACAAGUGUCAUAUUGAGAACUACCUAUUUGAUUUUUUACAACAAAAAAACAUCAUUUCAUAACAAAAAGCUAUUUUGUUAAUUAUUUAAAUAUUUAAUAUUAUUUCAUAUUUCAUAUUUAAUAAAUUACAUUUCAUAUGUUUUUAAUAAUAGUAUUAUAANNNNNNNNNNNNNNNNNNNNNNNNNNNNNNNNNNNNNNNNNNNNNNNNNNNNNNNNNNNNNNNNNNNNNNNNNNNNNNNNNNNNNNNNNNNNNNNNNNNNNNNNNNNNNNNNNNNNNNNNNNNNNNNNNNNNNNNNNNNNNNNNNNNNNNNNNNNNNNNNNNNNNNNNNNNNNNNNNNNNNNNNNNNNNNNNNNNNNNNNNNNNNNNNNNNNNNNNNNNNNNNNNNNNNNNNNNNNNNNNNNNNNNNNNNNNNNNNNNNNNNNNNNNNNNNNNNNNNNNNNNNNNNNNNNNNNNNNNNUUGACUACUACUUUAGCUAUAAAUAUAUUUUAAAAUUUACAUACAACAUUAAAUUUAAGGAACUUGAGUCUAUAUAUUAUGAUCAUAAAAUUUAUUCUAAUUAAUUGAAAUUAAUUAGUUAAUUGUAUAGUUUUAUUACAACAAUUCCGUACAUCAUUUAUUUAAUAAAAAUACAUAUAAUUAAUUAAUUGAUUUUGUGCAAUCUACUAUGAUUUUAUUAAUUCAAAUGAAAUGAUUUUUAAAUGAUAGGUUUGGAUUAUAAAAAUAAAGGUGAUUAUUGUAUGACUUUAGCAUUUGUUAUGUAUUAAAAAAGAUUUAUAGACAAAAAAAUGUCAUCCCUCAAAACAAUUAAAUUUGAAUUAUUUUAGUGAAAUAAUGAAAGAUUGAAUAUAAGAAAAUCUGUAAUUAAGAAAAGAAAUAAUUGUCACCUUAUUUGAGAUUUUAGAAAAUUGUAAAUAUAAUUAAAUAAUCAAAUUGUAAAUUGAUAAGAAAUUUUUUUGAGAAUAAAUCAGUAAUUAGGAAAAGAAAUAAUGGUUACCUUUUUAAAAUUCUUCCCAAAAUUAUAAAGGUAAUUAAUAUACAUUUGAUAUAACCAAACUAUAAGAAUAUGUGAAAUUCAUGUGAUUAAAUUUUUGAAAUUAUAAAAGUAAUUAAUUUCAAUUGUUUCCAUAUUUGAGUCCUUUAUGUAAUUGUAGAUUAAUUAAGUAUUAUCAAGCUAUAAAAUUAGGAUAAAUUUAUGGUAAAUAAAUAUAUAAUAUUAAUAAUAAUUUUAUUGUUAUAAAAUUAAUUAGAUCAAAUUGAGAUAGAAAUCAGUUAAUAUUGAUAAUUAUUUUAAUAAAGAAUAUAUUCAACGUUUCAUAAUUGAUAUACAUAUAUUGGUAAAAGACAACGAACACUGACUACUAAUUUAGCCAUAAAUAUAUUUUAAACCAUACAACAUUAAAUUUAAGGAACUUGACUCUAUAUAUUAUGAUCAUAAAAUUGAUUCUAAUUAAUUGAAAUUAAUUUGUUGAUUGUUUAAUUUUAUUACAAUUAUGUCAUACAUCAUUUUUUAUAUAAAAAUACAUAUAAUUAAUUAAUUGAUUUUGUGCAAGCUACAUUCUUAUUUCUUUGUGGUAAGUAAUGAAUUCACUAGCUUUUCAUUCAAUCAGAUUGGAACUUGGGUGCUUGCUUAUAUGGUUUUAAGCUUCUGAAAAGUCGAGUCGUCAUACUUUUUGUUGCCAGUACAUCUCGGGUGUUCCUGAUCUGCUUUGGAGUUCAUUACUGGUUUGUUGUUAACCCAUGCUAAUUCAUUUUCUUCCAUAAUCAAGUCUUCUUAUACUUGUGGAAUAUGCAUAUCUUUUAAUAUUAUUUGUUGAAUAGAAACUUCUAAUCUUUUGUUAUCAAAAAAAAUCUUCUAAUCUUAUAUUGCAACAAUUUUGUUUCAGGUACUUUGGACAUUGAAUCAGUUAUGCAGUUGUAGCAUCUGUGCUGUUGGGUGCUGCUGUUUUACGUCAUUUAUCAGUUACAGACCCAUUAGCAGCUAGACGAGAUGCCUUGCAGAGCAUAGUUAUCCACCUUAGAGAAGGUUUCCACAGAAAAGACCAAAAUAGCUCCGCAAGCUCUUCUGAGGGGUGUGGCUCAAGUGUCAAAUGCAGUAGUAGUGCUGAUGCUGGUCAUCUUGGUAAUGCAACUGUGCCUUGCACUGAUGAUGGCAGUACCUGGAAUAAUAUUGAGGGGAUUAAUAGUGAUAAGAGCAUAGACAGUGGAAGACCAAGUCUAGCUCUACGUAGUAGUUCCUAUCGUUCAGUUGUUCAAGAGCCUGAAGUAGGAUCAUCAUAUGUUAACAGAAAUUUAGAGCAUAAUAGUUCAUUGGUUGUUUGUUCUAGCAGUGGUCUUUAAAGCCAAGGCGGUGAUUCUAGUACAUCCACUUCUGCAAACCAACAGAUACUGGACUUGAAUUUGGCACUUGCAUUUCAAUAAAAGUUGAGUGAUCCCAGGAUUACAUCUAUGUUAAAGCGGAAAGGAAGACACACUAAUUGUGAAUUAGCUAAUUUAUUGCAACAUAAAGGGCUUGAUCCUAAUUUUGCAGUGAUGCUGAAGGAGAAUGGAUUGGACCCAAUGAUUCUAGCCUUAUUGUAGAGAAGUUGUUUGGACGCUGAAAAAGAACAUCGCAACAGUAACCCUCCUGUCACUGAUUCAAAUGAUGUUGAAGAUGUGUUACCUAAUCAUAUUUCAUUCUCGAAAGAACUUAGACUCCAACGAUUAGUAAAGUGGCUUCAACGUUGUAGAGUAAUGUUGCAUCAUGUAGCAGGAACUCCAGAGCGAGCAUAGCUUCUUUUCAGUUUAAUCUUCAUUCUUGAAACCGUCGUUGUGGCUAUCUUCCGACCAAAGACAAUAAAACUUUUGAAUGCUACACACCAACAUGUAAGAAAUGCAUUAGUACUUUUAAAGUUUAGUUUAGUGUAUAUGGAGUAUGGUGCAGCUAAAAUGUACUCCAUAUGGUUGUAUUUUCCAUUUUCUAACAAAAUUUUGUAACACCCCGCAUUUCGGACGAGAACAAAAAUUGUCAUUUUCUUCACGUAAAGGUUCCAAAAGCCAUAAAUUCAAUGCAAGUUUGGUGUGUUAAUAAAUCAUGUAGUGUGGAAACUUAUUAGAGCUUGAAAAUAUUCGAAUUAUCUUUCAACUGAUUCCAAUUUUGCAAAAUUUCGACACCCAAUGAAGUUAUGGCUUUACAAAGUGGAGUGUGUCGUGUAGCAUAAGGUGUGCGACGUACAACCUAACUUAUCCCAUAAGGUGUGCGAUGUACACCCUAAAUUAUGCCAUAAGGUGUGCGAAGCACAACCUAAUGUGUCUGAUAAAGAGUGCUCCGCACAACCUAUAUUAUGCGAUAAGGUUUGCGCCGUAUAUAUUAUUACUCAAGUGACUUAAACCCUCCAUUUUUAGGGCAAAAUGGUCCUUGUCCCACCCUUAUUCUGUCAUAAAUACGAAAUUCAGUUCCCAAAAUACCCCAAAAUACACCUUCAUUCAUCAAAAUUGCUCAAGAACUCUCCUUAGGGUUUCAAAAUAAAACCCAAGCAACUAAAGAUUCAACCAUCGAUUUUUGGAACUAAUUGCAUAUUUGGAAUCCCCAGAAUGCAGGCUUCAAGAAGCACCUAUCAUCUUCGCAUAUAGAGGUACGUAGGGUUAUAUCAAAAAUCUCAUGGGCUUAAAAAUUCAUGUUUUAACAAUAGGGGUUUUGAAAUUUUGAAUAUAAUCCCGUUUUACACGUUUUAUGAUAUUGAUUUGGUCUUUAGGCCUAUUCCCGAAGUGGUUUGAUAUAUGAUAUAUGUAUAUGCAUGUAUUCCGAAAAGAUGUUAACUUGAGAGCAUGAAUUAUAUGAAAUUCCUCAUUUUAUAUGAUCUCAUUUUAAAUUCUUAUAUGAUGUGAAAUGUUUGAAAUCAUGUUGACAAGCAUGACAUGAAAUAUUUUGAAAAUGGUCAUGGUUUUGACUUGCAAUGAGAGGAUUUUUAUGUUGAAAUAUGAUGAAUAUAAUGGUUGCUUGAAUGAAUGAUGUGCUAUUGAUGGCGUGCAAGUUGGGUAUGACGAUACCCUACAGAAUAAGAUAUGUGAUUGAAUUAAAUGGAGUUUGAUGUAUUGAUUUUACAUGAGAUAGGUGGAUGCCCAAAGAAGGAGUUUGAGUGUAAGGGCUCAUCGCUGGAAACCGUAUUUGCCGACAUGGGAAUUUGGUACCCUGCUUUGUGAUCUUGCACACCUGACUUUAUGUCAUUCCCAAGUUGGGACUAUGGUUAGGAGCCCUGCUUUGUGAUGUUGUGCACUACCAUUGGGUCGAGACACCCUAUUGUGUGAUCUUGUGUGUCUUCCCCUCACUUACACUCUAAUCUCUGCGGCAACCAAGAUUUUAUAGUAGGUGUAAAUGUAAUAUGUAGGGUAUUCCACCUAGCUCAGCUACAUUACAUUGUUGUUGAAAACUAUUACAUUAUGUCCUUGUGUUUUCAAAUGAUUUGAUAUAGAACUUCUUUAUAAUGGGUCUCACCUAUAUUUGGCAAAAAAUAUUAUAUUUUGUUUUUGGUUUCUCUGCAUACUAGUACUUUUGUAUUGGCCCCCUUCCCUCCCAGGUUUGGAGGCAUAGUUUAGAGGUCCAGAUAACCAGUAGAUCUCUUCCAACAGAUUUGCAGAAUCAAGUGGUGAGCCUUCUAUAUUUUGAAAGGCCUGAUGUCCGUCAGUUCAUUUAUCAUUUAGUAGUUUUGGGUCUACUGGGGGCCUUGUCCCAGUUUUCAGACAGUAAUUUAUUUUAGUCAUGUAUUAGAGAUUUCACAGACGGUUGUUCAGACGUCGAUAUAUGUUGUGGGGUAUUAUUUCCCCUUUGUUGAUUUCAUUUGAUUUAUGACCAUGCUUUCCAUAAUAUUGUGUGUCUUCCGUAUAUCUUAUUAUCAUAUGAAUUAUAUGCAUGAUUACCAGAUAGAUAAGGGUGUUUUGGGUCUUCAUGGUUCGGAAUGCUCAUCACGGCCAGGGCCUCGGUUCGGGUCGUGACAAACUUGGUAUCAAAGCAUGGUUUAUGGUCCCAGGGUGUCUGUAAAAUCACAUCAAGUAGAGUCUUUUUUAUGGGUGUGUAGCGUGCCACACUUAUAAGCAGGAGGCUACUAGGCAUUUAGGAAUAUCUCUUUUUCUUUAUGUUCUAGUUCGUGCAAUAGAGUCAGAAUGUUCCUCUUUCAUACUCUAAUUUGUGCUAUCAUGUCGUACAUACGAAAGUAAAAAAAUGUUAUCCCAAAUUCUUUCCUUACUCUAAUGUCCUCAAAUAUGUCUCAUUAUUGAGGUGAUUCAAGUGCAGAAGUUUAGAAUCUAAAUGGUAUGAUCCUUUCUGAUUGAACCAUAUAAGAGUUAAAUUUUAUGCAAGGACUUGAGAAGAGUCCAUUAGUGCUUCAAUGUAUAUUGAUCCCGAUGUAAACAUUGAUCCUGAUGGAAUCGUGCUUUUCAGCUUGAGGUAUUAAUUGCAUUUAGUCCCCUUCAAAUUUAUGUUACAAAUGUCUUGCUUAGGGGGGGUUGAUGUGUAAUAGAAUGUUGGAACUAUAUUCCACCCGAAUAGUAGUAUACGUUAAAGUGUUACUGUCAUGACCUAUUGGUAGUGAAAUUAGACCAAGAAGUUGGUGAUGUGAAGUCACAAAGUUAGAAGUCAGAGCGAGGGUGACUUUUGUGUAAAUGAAUAUUUUAGUUGAAUAACCGAUGUUCGAGAAUGAUUUACCCCCUUAUGGUGAUAGACUAAUGUGGUAAAUUGUAGCAUGUGUGGAUGGUAUGGUUGUCCGUGAAGGAAGUGUUUGACUCCGAUUUUAUUUAUACAGAGUAAGAUAUGUAUUCUUAGUUCAUUGGAUAUUGCAUAUUAAAUUUCUAUCUCAUGUAAUCUUGUCAUCAAGGUGUUGUUGAAAAAAAUAAAGUCUAGUGAAGCCCUGUGGGGAUCUUUCGAUUCACUAGCAUAGUUGACUUGUCAUUAAUCUCAUUUUCUUGUUCAAAAUACAAAAUCAAAGUCUAGUGAAGUCAUGUGAGGCUUAUUUCGAUUCACUAGCAACUUGUUGUCCAACUUGUUGUUCUUGUGUUGGCUUAAUAUAUAUAUAGCUGAAUCUGUUUGCAUGAGAUUGAGUUGGUAAAGAGGUGAUUUUUCCUUGUGUUUUAGUUUAGUAGAAGGUGGAGAAGGAGUUAUUAGUUAGGGUGAUUUCUCGAUUGUUUGAAGCGUGAAAAUGGCUAUAUUAGCCAGUAAGUUGUAAGUAUAGAGUCAUGGUUGUUUGUGGAAUUUGAAGGUAGUCUAAAUGUAUGUUUGGGUAAGUAAGUAUGAGAUGAGAAAUCCAUAUAAGUAGAAUAGAUUGUUUGGAGUUAUAAUAUAAGAUUAUGGUUGAUCAUGUCUAUUAUGUAACUUUACCCCUUGACCUUCUUUUCGUUGGUAAUUGUAAACUAGUACUACUUGUGAGAAGGUAUGUAGUGAUUUUUGAGGCGCUUGUAUAGUAUGUCCCAAAUUUUAUGGACUAGCAUAGUAUGUUGCAUUUUUCAGUAGUGAUAGAUGAUUGGUACAGGACUAUAUGCUUGAAUUUAAUGUAGAAUGUGGUGGUAAAAAUAGUGGCAUGAGAUUAAUUAUUAUGUUUUGUGGGAAAAAAUUAGUAUGCUUGAUGUGUUAAAAUAGUACGUGCUAAUGAGUUAUGAUAAGGAAGACUGUAAGGUCAAGAGUAAUUAUUUGUUGUUUGGAAGUUCUAGUGUACUAGUGUUUCUUGAUGUCUAUUUCAUGGUAUCCAAGCGAGAAUCAUGUGUAAGGUUGGGUUGUAAAAUCAUGUUUAGCACUAGACAUUAAGUUUUGAACAAUUGAUGUCCAUGAAGGUGGAUAUGAUGAUUUCUUGGUUAAUGAUACUAGUUUUAUGGAAGUAAUCUAAUAGGAUUGAACGAUAUAUGCAAGAGCUUAAGUUUAUUUGAUUCGUAGUGAAGUGUGAUGUUGCAUAUAUAAUGUAGAAGUAUGCCCAAGGUGAUCUAAGGUUGCCGUAUUUUCUAAGACUAUUACACAUUUUGUGUGACGAGUGUUACCGUUGAGUUGCUAGAUGGAGAAAGACUAGUUAGAUGGUAUAUGGUGUUCUAAAUAGCCAAGUUAAGGAGUUUUGAUUGAUAGUGUUGAGCCUUUUUAUAUGAUCUUCUUGAUUCUCAUAGUAGAGAUAUGUAAGCUUAGAGUCAUGAUAUUAGUAGGCUAUGUUGGAAGUAGUAUGAUUCAUUGAAGGCUUGGUGAUAUCCAUGUUGAGUGCUAGAUUCUAAGUUUGAGUUUUUGAAGGUUGAACUACUAGAAAUAAGAGUUAAAGCACUAGAGGGUGUGCACUCCGACUAUGGGGAUACCCAUGAAGACCCGAAUUUAGUAAGUAUGCAAGUAUUAAAUGAUGACUACUGGGUUUAUAAAAUGAUAAAGUGUAUCUCAGAAGGUAUUAUUAACAGUGGGUUUUCCACUUUCAGGUGUAGUCAUUCGGGUUAAGUGCCAUGAUAUGUGUGUAUAGUAGUUUUCCAGACCCCAGAUUAUAGUGAGUGUACUUCAGUUUAGAGUCUAGUAAGGGAUCUCCCCAACUUAAUAUGAUGGAUUGAAGCUAAGGGGGAGAUGAUAGAGCGAAUAACCAAGUCAGGCUUUCAGAUUCUAGUAGUGAUGUCAGUAUGACAUAGAACAUCAAAAGGGAACAGUGAGGCUCAACCCAUUCCGAACUCAGUAUUUUUUAGCUAUCCUAAUACCUACUUAUACCUCACGUUUCAGUUCCAUGAUCAUAGUUUUGCAUUAACAGAUGUGCUUCUUUACACCCGAAGAAAAGAUACUUAGGCCAUCUGUAGUUGUUUAACCCAAUCCAUAAGGUAAAGAUGCUUAUCAUUUUGUCCAUUCUUGUCUAACGUUGUGAUAGUUCAUCUAUUUCCUAUCUCUCUUUAUUCUCGUUUCAAGCUUUCUAUUUAUUAGAUGAAGAAAAGGGUUUCAUGUUACUAUGUGGUUUGGCUUCAAAAUUCUUGCCUUGUCCUUCAAACUAAUUUAGGGAGUUGCUCAUGGAUACAAGAUUUCAACAUUGAUUAGAAAAUUAACUAAAUAUGAUUAAAAAGUAGCUAUAUUCUGAUUUCAUCUGUUCUUCCUUGCAUGGAUAUUGGUUGAGAAGCCUCCUAUACCUUCUCUGGCUGGUCCUGCUCCUGGUGCUAUUCCAUCUAUGUCACUGCAGGUAAAGUUAUGGAGGCUUGGGGGAGGAAUAAAUGAAUUUUGAAUGUAGAGACAUUAUGACAACUAUUUUCCCCACAUCUUUAGCAGUUCCAGCCUAUGCUUCCAGCCCAGCAGGCACAACCCUAUGGUUCCGGGUCGUCUCAAAAAUUUCUGCCACUUGGACAGGCAAAUGUUGAGAUGUUUCAACCUUCUCAAAUCCAAUUUCCUCAACCUAUGCAACAGGUUACUACUGGUAGACCUGUAGUAGGAAUGCAUAGUAUGCCUCAGGGACCACCUAUUCCCCAUGAUUUUCAGCGAAAUCUUCCGAUGUCAAAUAACCACAUGCCUGGUUCUAGUGGCCCAAAUUUACCUCUUUCUUCUUCAUAUAAUGUAAGGCCUUGGGAAGAUCUUUUGUGAUUAUUAUCAAUCAGUUUCCAAUGUUCCAUUCAUAUAUUGAUGAAAUACAUUUUGUUAUCGUCUUUAACAGCAGGUAAAUGCAGAUUCUUCUGGCGGGUAUCAGACACAGAUAAAUAAUCAUAGGUUUCCAUCAGGGGUACAACCCUGUAUUCCAAUAAGUAAUCAUAAUGUGAAUUCUGCAACAACUAUGCAGAAGACUGGAGAAUUAGCAGCUCCCUUGGUUAUUCCGGUAAGAAUUCAAUGUGUUUUAUUGUACCCGUUUUGCAUAAAUAUUGUCAACAGGUAACAUGCUUAAGUUAAUGGGUUAAUGGGUGUGUGUUGAGGUGUAAAACCGCGGUAUACAAGAAAAGGAGCUCUGCAAAAAUAUCAUUUUCAUUCAGAUCCAAUCUUUUUACCACUUUGUGUUCUCCAGACAGAAAAAAGAGCAUGCCGAUUUGGCUUUCCGGAAUUCUUGCUUUUGGAUUAUAUUCACAUAGGUUAGUUAUAUGAAUAGGUUAAUGUCUGCAUCAAAAACACUUAAUGUCUUGUCUAUGAACAAGUGGUGGAUAUGUUGGCCCCCAUCACUGACAAGAAAUCCCUCAAGUAUCCACAUCUAGUGCUUUGUACAUCAUUCUGCUUCCAUUAGCACUGGAGAUAAUAGGCCCCUUUGUUUAAGUCCUCUUUGUCAAAGUUAUCAUAUGGGCUGCCGUUCACCGCUACCAAUUUCUACUUGACUGUUGAUCAGCAGGACUUGAUACACUUCUACCGAUAACUUCAUUUUGACCCUAUUUCUCUAUUAUCAUACAUAUUUUACAUGUGGCUAAAUGCUAGUAGGUAUUGCUGUUUUCAGCAUCUUUUGAUGAUUAGUAGGCCAAUUAUGGUUGCUAAUGUUGUCAUAUUUCCAAUGGCUUUAUUACUCCAAACAAUUAAUAACAUUCUUACAAUUCUUGAAUUGAUUUUUAGAUACUAUUAUAAUAGAAGGACAAGAAUCUCUACCUGGGAGAAACCUCAAGAGCUGAUGACAGAAAUGGAGGUGAGGUCUCAUGUCAUCGAGAUUUUUAUCGGUAGUUUUAUCCAGUUUCCUGUGCUUAUCAAUGAAAAAAGAAGUACACAAUUCUUUUUCUAUGAAGCUUCGUAGAACCUCUUUUUCUUUCCUAAGUAUAUGUGAUUUCUAUUGAAAGUUUGUUUAGCGAGCAGAUUUCCUCGAUCUUACUAUACUAUGUAGGCUUUAUUUAGGAUUUGCAUUGACCUUUUAUUUCUAAUAUAGUUCUAAAAGAUUUUAUAUUUAACACUAUUGUUCUAAAAAAUGCGUUUAAGCAUACACAACAGGAUUAUAUUUGGUCUAAUUUAAACAAUUUUAUUUACUUUCUGAUUAAUGUAAUGUUAUUGUAACUCUAUGGCGAUAUGGAGAGAGGAAACUUGAUAUAAUAUUGGGGUUCUCACAUUUCAUUCUGGUUUACAGAAUAAUAGUUUGGCUGGUGGUACACUUGCACCCAAGAGUGUGACCUAGUGGUCAAUGAAGUAGAUUGAGAACCAUGAGGUCUCAAGUUUAAUUUCCAACAGAUAUAAAAACACUAGGUGAUUUCUUAUCGUCUGUCCAAGCCUUGAUGGACAGAUUUACCCAGUAUCUGUGCUGGUGGGAGGUAGCAGUACCUGGUGUAACAAGUCAAGGUGCAAGCUAGCCCAAACAUGACGGUUAUCAAAGAAAGUUUGGCUGGUUGUAAGGGACACGUAUUAAGGGACCAACAACUGGAGCUGUAAGGAAGUUUGAACAUUUUUAUUCUUUUCUUUUUGAGAUAAACAGUUUUUUUUUGAGAUAUUACUUUGUAUUCGUCAGCGUUAAGGUUUGCUAGCAGUCCAAAAGAUAUGAAAAAUAAUGAAAAUAAUGCGAGGAUUCAAACAGAUCUACUACCUGUUAUGCAUCCUGUACACAUUGGCCCUUAAACAAAAGCAAAAAUCUGCAAUGCUAUUUCAUUUAACUUUCUGAAUGGAAUUAUAUUUAUCUUCAAAAUACCUUCAACUUUUCUCACUCCAUACAGUCCACCAAAUAUAAGGAAGGAUUGUUCUCCCCCAUUUCUUCUAACUCUUGCUAAUCCCCUCUAAUCCAACAGCUCAACAGAUUGUUGUAUGUCCUUUGAUAGUCCACUUUACUUCAACUCAAUAGAUUUGGUAUAUGUUCUGGCAUGGUUCACUUUACUACUAUUAAACUAAAGGUGUCAAAUGGGCGGGGUUGGCUGGAUUUGGGUGGAUCAAAGAGGUCUGAGUUAAUAAAUGGGCGGGUUAUUAACCCGCCCAAAAGCUACUUGGGCUGAAAUGGGUUGGGUUAAAAUGCUCUAAAAUGCGGGUCAUAACCCAACCCACCCAAUUUGAACUCAGAUUUAAUUGCUUUAUUUGUUAUUUUAUAAACUUUUAGUACUUGAAAAAUUAUUAUCUUUUUUUUUUGAACUUGGUAACUUCGUAUUAUAUCACAUAGUACAUGGGUUGUACUGAAACCUUUAUAUACAAGAGUACUCCUAAAUCGACUGUUCUAUAUCUAAAUUUAGUCUAGAACAUCAAUUAUCGAGGCAGUAUCAUUAGAGUAUAGUUGAUUACACCAAAAACAUAAAAGCAAAAUGCAGCUGAGUUUAACCUUCUACACACUAUUCUCUAUGCUCUCAAAAUAUCUAGAAUUCCUUUUUUUUUUCAUAUAGCCCACUAUAUAGCACCAGGGAUAAUUCUCCAUCUACCUCUGUCCUUCGCAUGUACAUUUGCUUCUCUCAGCACAUUAAAGUCUCGGAUACUUUCCUAGGAAAUGUCCUGGAAAUGCCUUUUAGUCUUACGAUGAUUCUCCAAAGUUGUUGGGUGUACUUACAAUGUAGAAAUACAUGGUUAACCGUCUCUAAAGUUUCUCCACAGAGGAAACAUCUGGAGCACAAAGUUUUCCCUUUCUUCAUGACAUUAUCUUGUGUAAGAACUACUUCCUUGGUCAGUAACCAGACAAAGACAAAGCACGACACUGUGUGAGGUAUCCUACUUUUCCAUAUUUGCUUCUAUGGCCAUCUUGGAUCCGGGUGAUUUAUUUAGUUCAUCAUCUUGUAGGCUUUGUUGACACUGAACAUUCCUUUUUCAUUUCCCAUCUACUAUAGUACGUCCUUCACUGUCUGCAGUCUAUUAAAUAAGUCCACAGUAUUAAAAAAUUCAACUGCUCUCAUUACCUCCCGGUCAUUGAGUUGCCUUCUAAAAUUGAAGCUCCACCCAUGUGGUGUCCAUAAUUCUUCUAUAGUCCUCUAUUGAAACAAUACCAAGUUGUAGAUAUCUGGAAAAAUCACUUCCAUAUUCCCAUCCUUAUGUCAAUUAUCCUUCCAGAAACUAGUCUUGUUUCCAUCCAUCACUUUAACCUUUGAGUUGCUUUUAACUUCAUUCCACUAGUGUCUAAUAGAUCUAAUAGAUCUCUAGAGGCUAACCCCGUAUGGUGUGGUCACUUCUUUAGUCAUCCAUCUAUCUUCUUCAGGAUAUUUAGCCCCAAUCACUUUCCUCCAUAGCAGCUGGUUAUUGUUUGCAUAUUUCCACAACCAUUUCGUUACGAGAGCCUUACUUUGAAUUUUUAGGUUCUUUAUCCCCAACCCUCUAGUCUUCUUGUCAAUUGUGCACCACAGAGAGCACUACCACUUUUUCUCGCAUAUCUUUGUUCCUUAUUCUAUCUCUCCUAGUAUGCCCACAUACCAAUCUCAACAUCCUCAUUUCUGCUACGUUUAUCUUUUGAACAUGUGAGCUCUUGACUAGCCAAAUACUCUGCCCUAUGCAAGAUAGCUAGUAUAACAGCCACUUUAUAAAUUUACCUUUAUAUUUAUUUUAACAAAAUUCUUAUACAUGGCAUGCUAGUUACUAGCUCUUUUGUAAGAGCUAAUUGGGACUAAAAACAAAUAUUCAAAAAUUGUUUCAUCGAAAAAAAGAAUAACUGUAGUCUAUGAGUUUCAAACGUGUCCAAAUGGAAAAAAAAUAAUGGGGAGGCUGUGUUGAGAUUGGAACUUAGAACCUCAGUGCAGGAUUUGAAAACCCUUACUGUCACACUCAGUCUUGUUUUUUGUGGCAAGGGUGUUUAUUAAAAAAUACUUAGAAAUGAUAGAAUUUGACCAGGGUGUUUAUCAAAAUGCAAUUAUCAGGCGAAUGUUGUUCAAUUGAUCACCCUUGGAUAGUUGUAGCUCGGCCGCAGCUUGGCAAUGUUUCCACCCUGCUUGUAGUUAUAUUCUACAUAGUACAUUCUAGUCCUUUUCCAUGCGGGACAUUAUAUCAUUCAUAUUCUAACACUUCCAUCCAGUAUUGUACUGCUGGAAGUUACUGAUUUCUACUCUCAGGGUACUGUUUAUGUUCUGUUUUUUAACUUGACCUACUUGCAUGCUGUUUUUAUUGGGACAGAAGGAAGAUGCAUCAACUGACUGGAGAGAAUUUACAAGUCCUGAGGGAAGAAAGUAUGUAACUUAUAUAUUUUCUUGGCCUCUUUCCAAUUGUUCUUCUAUAGUGGGUACUUUUGUGUGUUACUUGUGCAUAACGUUGAUUGCUUUGUUUGUUUUCUGUAGGUAUUACUACAACAAGGUUACUAGAACGUCCAAAUGGAGAAUGCCCGAUGAAGUCAAGGUGAUGUUAGAUUUAAAUCCAAUAUGGGUUUGUUCCAUGCUUUAAAUAGCAUGAUAAGAAGGGACAAUAUUCUGUGUUCUUGGAUUCUCUAGUUCUCAUAAAAUCUUUAUGCAUUCACAGUUGCUAGCAUGAUAAGAAGGGGCAAUAUUUAUUUUCUUGGAGACUCUAUUCUCAUAAAGUUUAAUUAUUUAUAAAUUCACAGUUGGCUCAUGAAAAGGACACUAUUUCGCACGCUUCUGAUUUUGGAUCCAUUUCUGUUGUUAAAACAUCAUCCCCGGGUACAGAUGGUUCAUUAGUCUCGGCACACGGUGCUAAAUCAAGCCCAAUUGUUGUGUCACCAGCUGCUAACUUACCAACUAUUAUGGCUUCAGAAUCAUCAAGUUUAUCUGGUAAGGUUUCUUCUCCGAUGAUUGAAACAGUUGAAAUAAAGAAUUCUUCAGAACCUGCUUCGCCAGUUGUUGCUAAUUCGGAGAAAAUUGGAAUAGCAGUAACCUUUGGAAAUUCUAUCGCGCCACCGGUGUAUGUUUUCAGAUUUAUAUUUUAUAAAUUUGCCUCUGGCUUGUGUUGCUUCUUAUUUGGAAUUCAAUUUUUUUGUAGUUCUGAGACUACUACAACUCAAGACGCAGUAGUGUAUGGUGAUGGAUUUUCUUUGGAGAAUAGAGAGGUACUUUGUCUUUCUAAAAUACUUAUGCGAUUAGUUAAUUACUAUUGGUUACUGGUUAAAACACCAAGAAAGCUUUUCCUAGCUGUUAUGCUGGAUGUUGAUCCAACAAUUUUGUAGUGCAGUUGUUAGUCAACUGCUAACAGGUGAAGAAUAUGCUCCAAAUUCCGAUGAGGUUUGCUUUUGUUCUUUGUGCUUGAUGUUGUGCCUAAAAUGCAGAAUAUCAAGAAAGAUGCUGUAAUAACUGAAAUCGGAGGUGCUACUCCAUCAGAUGAGAAAACAGUCAAGCGGGGACCAUUAGUUUAUGAUAGAAAAGCGAUAUAGUUGAUUAUUGCUUUUUGUCCCGUUUAAUGUAUGUUCUCGAAAUUUCUUAUUUCUAUUUUAAGUAUCUGAUUUUAUUUAGGAGGAAAAGAGUGCAUUCAAAACUCCUUUGGAAUCUGCAAAUAUUGGGUCCAAUUGCAUAUGGGAUCAGGUUUAUUACUUGACUAUUUUCUGCGUACCAAACAAUUAAGAGAGAUCAUUUGACAUGAAUUGUAUUUGUCAGGCCAUGAGAGCAGUAAUUAAUGACCGGAGAUAUGGUGCUCUAAAAUUCCUUUGUAAGCGGAAGCAACCUUUUAAUGAGGUAUCUCUCCAAGUCAGCAUUAGAAUGGGUUAAUUGUUGCUACAAUGUUUUAGCAUACCGUAUUGCAAAAAGAUAGGUUGUGUUUGAUAUCCAAUUGUUUCAUGUUUGGUUGACUUAAAUAUUUAGGAAAAUGUUUUCCAAAUCAACUUAUUUUCCUUAAAUUUAAUCCCUUCAAAAAGUAGGAAAAACAUUUUCCAAAAUUCUCUUUCAAUCUCACUCUUAAGUUGAAAUGUUUAUACAACUCUCAAAUGUAUUUUCUGAAAAAUAUUUUUCUAUUCACCAACCAAACACUAGAAAACAUUUUCUAAAAAAUGUUUUUCUUUCAUCAACCAAACAUAAGAAAACAAGUAAGAAACCAACUUGCUUUCUAGGAAAACAUUUUCCUUCAUACCAAGCACAUCCAAGGUCUAUGGUGAUCAUUUUGAAGUUGUGUAACUGUUCCAGUAUCUUAGCCAAAAGAAAAAACUGGAAGCUGAAGAGAGGCGUGUUAAACAGAAAAAAGCUAGGGAAAAUUUCAGGAUAAUGUUAGAAGUAAGUGAAAUUUUCUUUUGUGGGUGUCUUCCAUUUGAUAUAUCAUGAUAUUCACAUUACCAAUUUCAAAAAUAAAAAGAUAUUAUCAUAAUAUUCAUGAUGUGUUAGAGACUGGUAUUUGACUUGUUCAAAAGAAUGUGGUAUUUUUCACAACAAUGUCCGUUGUUCUUAAUCUUACAGGAUUGCAAGGAGCUGUCACCUUCGUCAAGAUGGAGGUUUGUCUUUCACUUGUAAUGUUAAGUUUUCUGCUGCUUUUUUUCUAAUCUUCGUCAUUGUUUGUAUAUGUUUUGGUACCUUGAAGUUGAUCCAUUACUUGUGUAAGUUCCAUUUGAUCCACUAACUAUUUGCUAUUGAUUAUUCAGUAAGGCAAUCUCCAUAUUCGAACAUGAUGAACGUUUUAAAGCUGUUGAGCGAGCUAAAGACUGUGAGGACCUUUGUGAAGAUUAUGUAGAGGAACUUGAGAAAAAGGUGAAGCUCCUUUUGCAGAACUUUUUUGUAAGCUUCUAUAUGUUAAAAACUAAGUGUGCGGACUGUAGUUUUCUUAUAUGGUCUUUGGCUCCUCACAAAUUGAAUUAGCCUUUCAUUUGAGAUAGAAACAAGGUCCAAUUUAUUAAACAUGGUAUUAAAGGCAGAUCUAUCUUGAUGUUAGACUAUUAGAUGUUAGCCAACCUAGGUUAACUGAUGCUACAAAUGUCUAGUCUUGGUGUGCAAUUAAUGUACGCGAAUCCCACACGAGUAAGGUGUAUGUGUUGUAGUUUCCUUAUAUGAUCUUGGACAAUCUUCACCACCUGACCUAGUUUUGAAAGUUGAUUUAGGCGUUGAUGCACUUGAUUAACAACAGUCAUUCCAUUCCUUUCCUUAGCAGGAUGUCUUUUAGUCUGUUCCCUUUUUUGUUUUGCUUAAAGAGUAGAAAGAAGGAAUGUUGUAGCUAUUUAACUUCAAAUCUUGUUUUCUUUGAAUACAUUUUUAACGGCUUCUCAAGGGUACAAUAUUUAAAUUUGUUCACCAUUGAAUUCCAAUUUAAACAGACUUCCCUGUAUUGUAUGUAAUUUUUCUUGAAACUUGAAACUAUGAUAUGCUUCUUCCUCUCCCACCUCCGUUGUAAAAUAGAAAAAGUUUUUCAAUACUUUCAUGCAAGUGUAGUUAAAGUCUCUUUGUAAAUAUUGUCUUCUUUAUAGAGAAAUUUUAUUUUUUUUACUUUGUACUGGAUUUUAUUAGGAGCAUACGAAGGCAUUGGAGGAGCAGAAGUGCAAUAGAGUGGAGUACUUAGAAUUUUUAAAAUCCUAUGAAUUUAUUAAGGUAUUUGUUCUAGUGGAAUUACAUCAGUUCCUAGAUUAUAUUUUUCUAUUUCUAGGAGAUAGAACUUCCAUAGUUCCAUUAUUGCUGACUACUUUUGUUUAGGCCAGUAGCCAGUGGCGGAAAGUUCAAGACCGCUUGGAAACUGAUGAAAGAUGCUCCCGCCUUGAGAAAAUCGAUCACUUGGAGAUUUUCCAGGUACUAAUCAUUUUUCUAAUACAUCAUAAAUAACUUUUUCCAAACAUCUCAUUUAUACGCCUCAGUUUUAAAGUUAUGUUGCAACCUUUUCUGUUUUAAGAAUAUAUACAUAAUUUAGAGAGCGAAGAGGAGGAGCAAAGGAAACUGCGGAUUGUAUAUUUCUUAUUAGACUCGGGGGUUAAAAUUAAAUUUAUGUUUGGAGACUUUGAUUUAUUUCUUUCUCACUGGGUAUACACCGUUGAUUCAAAUAAGAAGAAUUGAGGAAAGCUGAACGUAAAAAUCGUGAUGAGUUCCGAAAAUUAAUGGUAGAGCAUGUUGUUGCAGGAUUACUUAAUGCAAAAACUAACUGGCGUGAUUAUUGCAUCAAAUUUAGUUUUUCUUUCUUGUGUUCAGUAAGUGAUUACCUUCAUGAGUUCCCUUUUCGUCUUUUUUGAAUUUUUCAUCCAAUAAGUUCCUUCUUUAUUUUGUGCUUGCAGAUUAAAGAUUUUGCUACAUAUCUAGCUGUCUCAUCAAAUACUUCAGAAUCAACAGCAAAAUACUUAUUUACAGAUAUUAUGGAUGGGCUGGAGAAAUAGGUGAAAUAGGUUGCUAAUAGGAGUAUUGAAUUGUGUCAACUACAUUUGUUACACUAAGCCAUAUUUAUAGACUUUACACUACAAUCCCUUUUUAUUUGCUUUCAGUUAAUGAAGGUUUGAAUCUGAAUGUUUAAGAUAUCAGCCCAUUAAGUUCUUCUUUUAAAAAAAAGAUUCAACCGGUUAAUACAUCUUAAUGAAUCAGAUGUUAAACAAAGUCUGAAAAUAAUUUAGAUCCUCACUAAAAAGUUCAAUUCAUUCGGUAAAAAGGGAAGGUAGUGCAUUACUAUGUGGGAAUAUACUGGGUUGGUUGUUGUUGUUGUUUUUGUGCAUUAAAGAAUAGAACAUACUUGGUAGGAUAAAAGGAUGAGAUUGAGAUUUCAGAGUUACCCCACUGCUUGCUUUUUUUCUUUAAAUAACACAUAUUUUGUUGAGAUAAGAACAAUGACCGGUUGUUCCUAUUAAACAUCUGUGUUGUUUCUCUUUAUGCCAAUUAGUUUCCUCUUUUUUUUACUAGAUAGUACGUAUUUAGGCUGAUAGGAAUGAUAUUGUCGUAAACUUUUAAGUUAGGGGUUCCAUGCUUUUAAUGUACUAUAGAUAUAGAUGAUUCUUUCAAUCUAUCCAAGCUAUAUUAAAUGCUACUUCAUGGACAAUUGUAAUUGACUUCUCCUCUGUUGAAUGCUGUUAGUGGUUAUAUUACCUUAAUUGUUAUAGUUUCUCGAGCAGAACAACUUUGAGAAGUGAUCAUCAAACUUCCAAGUUUUAACGUAGUUUCUUUGACUUUCGAGGACUCCUUUAAAGUAUCACUCAACCACACCAUUGUGUUUCAGCUAAGACUGCAUUUGUUUUUAUUAAUAUUCAGACAUUUGAAUCAUUUUGAAUGCACAUCUGAAUGGUUAAGAUAUUGUCUCUAGAUCUGAAAACUAAAUGAUUAAGAUUGGGUGUUUUUCAAUAUCUGAAUGUGCAAAGUUUAUUUAUUUCUAAAUAUAAUAUAAUUAUAUAUUAGAAAUUUUUUUAAAUUAAUGCAAUUAAAUUAUUAUUUGAUUAAAAAAGGAAACAUUUAUGUUUGUUAGUGAUAGUGGAGAUGGUUUGUAAUAGUGGUGGUGGUUGUAAUAAAUUAAUUGAUGUUAGUGAUUAGCAAUGUUGGUGAUGAUAGUUGUGAUAGCAGAGAUAGUUGGCAUUAUAGUAACUGUCAUGAUAUUGGCGAUUGGUAGUGGUGGUGGUGGUUGAGAUGUGAAGUUGGUUAAUGUUAGUAGUUGGAGGUGUUGGUCAUGGUGACAGAAAACUAUAUGCAUGAUGGUUGACAAUAUGUUAGUGGUUGUUGGAGACGCUGUUAGCUGUGAUGGUGGAAUAGUUGUUAGUACAGAUACUGUAGCGAGUGUAGCGGAUGGUGGUGGUAGAGGUGGUGACGCCGGUGACAGUGGAGGUGAUGGUGUCCGAAGAAUGUGUGGAAGUUGAUGAUGUGUUAGUGGUUGUUAGCGAAGUGUGGAAGUUGAUGAUGUGUUGGUGGUUAUUAGUGGUAGUGCUAGUUCUGAUAGAUAAGUUGGUUGGUAGUAGGGAUCAAUCGGUAGCAGUUGAUGGUGACGGCAUUGGAGGUAGGGGUGUUCAUGGGUCAAUAUGGGUUGGUUAUUGGUCAAAACCAUAACCAAACCAACAUAAUCGGUUUUUAAAUUUCUAAAACCAAACCAAACAAAACAAAAAAAUAACCAUCGGUUUGGUUCUUGUAGGUUUAGUUCGGUUUGAUUCGGGUUUUUUGGUUUAUAACUUUAGUUAAUGAUAAAAGUUGAAAGUUUUAAAAAACAAAUCCAAUCUAACAUAUGAGAUGUCAACCGAGUGUUGUAUCUCAAUCUUGAAACUAUGAUGUCAACUGAGUGUUAUACUUUGGCAAAGCCAUGAUAACACCAUAUGAACGCUUUUAAAAAAUAUUUAAAAACUAUAUAUAAUAGAAUGAUAUGAUAAACCCCCAAAAGCUGAACACAUAAACUUCUUGCUCAAAAAGGUUCAAAAGAAAGUUAAAAUUAGUGAUUGUGUAUAGUCUAAUGAAUUUUAGCUGUAAAUUUCAAUAAAUAACAAGAUAUUAUUUUCACAAUUAGUAUCAUUUGUCAUUCAAAAUAUGAAAUUCAUUUAGAAUCUCAUAAUGUAUUAUCAACUAGAUGAAGACAUAUGAGUGAAUGUGUUACGACUAAAGUUAAAUCAUGAUUUUAAUAUAAAAUGUAAUAAAUAUUUAGAUUACAUUUAUGAAAAACAUAUAAAUAAUUAUAAUAUAUAUGUAUAUCGGUUUGGUUUGGUUAUUUUGUCGGUUAUUUUAGAGUAAAACCAACAAAUUAGUAUCGCUUUCUUAAAAUUCAAAUCCAAACCUAACCUAACCAAAUAUUGAUUUUUUUUAACCAGUUUGGUUUGGAUCACGGUUCAGAAUUUGCCUCUGAAGAGGUAGUUGAGAUGUAAUGAAAGUAAAGGCUUAGAAAAGAUUAGCCUCAGCAAAAGUACCUGAGAGCAUCUCUGUUUCUCUAAAUAAAGUUGCAUCUCCCUCACUAUGAUUUUUUUGGCCGUAAUACACACUUGCGACUAACUAAAUGAUAUAUUGUUUCAUCCUCUGCCCUUUCUGAAAAGAAUUGAAGUUGAAUGAUCAAAUGUUAUUAGCAUUUAUCUCCUUGCUUGAUGAAAGAGAGAGUUUACCUGGUAUCCUAGCAUGGUAAUGAUCCUGUUUGUAUUCUUAUUCAAUGAUUGAAUUUGGUAAUAUUUUCUUGAGUUAGGAUCUUGCUAUGGGAUGGUGAGAGUUAUACAUCAACUCAGAUGCUGAAAAUCUUUUCUUUUUCCCUUGUAAGAUAAAGAUGUCAACUUUUAUCUUUAAAGUUUGUAUUACUUUUUGUGUGCAUAAAUGAUUCUUAUUAAGUAAAUAUAACGAAAGCGCUGUUAACAGAGAUGCUAUCCAUUUUUAUUUAUUCACUUUUUUUCUAUUAUCCAAACAGGGGUGCUUGAUUUUUCCUUCAAUUUAACCUGAUCAGUGCCAUUAAGUUUAUGUGUCAAGUGUCUUGUGAUAUUGUAGAUGACUUUGAACAAGUGGAGAAAUGUUGGUAUUCAUGAAAGAAAUUUCAUCCCCAUCACCCUGCUUGUAAUUUAUAGACUUUAUGGUAACUCAAAUGCAUGGACAAGGCUCCAUUUGGUAUCUAUUUUUUUUACUGAUAAGCAUUCUGAAUUUGUGUUACUUGUAUGUUGCUUCAGUAUCUUGAUGACAAGUCACAAAUUAAAGAUUCAGUUAGGAUGGCCGAGGUAAUCACCACUCUUCAUUUUAACCUCUGUUGUGCUUCGAUUAGUACAUAAUAUUUUGGCUGAGCUGUCUCUACUUUCAGAUUGGAUUGACAUCAGCCUGGACGCUUGAUGAUUUUAAGGUUGCAAUCACCAAGUAUAUUAGCUCUCCACCAAUGUCAGAUACCAACUUAAAGGUCUAAUUAUGGCUAAGCACUGUAUACUGUUUCACAUCGACCCAUGCUGAAUUGAAUGUUGUGAAAAUUGAAGUACCCCAUUCACUAAAUGGAUUUCUAUGUAUUUGUCCCCUUUUUGUCUUUGGGACAGGUCCUGCAUAAGAUGAUUGGAUUGAGUGAAAAAGCAUUAGUAGUACUUCCAUGUUAUGUUUCACUGGAAGUCGGUCAGUUUAUGAUUGCUAAAUUGGCAACUCGUAGGUAGUCAACUGUGGUUAGUGGCAUUUUCCUUUAGUAUCAAGCAUAACCUAUCCCACAUUAAAUUUGGAUCUUCUUAUAAUGGAUUUAAUAGAAGAGUUGUAUGUUAGUUAGCAAGUAAGCCUGAAACCUUCAAGAAUAAAGACGAGGACCACAUUGAUCAAAUAUUUGGUGUUAGCUUUUGCUUCCAAUUCUUCAGUUUUGGUACCAUUUUCCUUAGUUUUUAUUUACUGGAUGACGGUGUUUAAUAUUACACCUACCGAACAUAUCUUAAGUUGCUUAAUUCAAAGAAUUUGCUUUGUAGUUUUCUGUUUUUACGGUUAGUGGAUAAGAGUUUUACUCUACGAAACUGGUUAAACAGCAUAACUAGAUGAUAUGAACGAUCAUUUGCUAUUUUUGUAAUGAGGAUAUUCUUCAUAUAUCAUUUGGAUUUUGGAGGUUAUUUAUGGUCAUGGCGUAUAAUCUAUGUAUGUGGGAAGAGGGAAUUGCAAGGAAUAUCUUGCCGAAGAAUUAUGCUUAGACGGUUGGGUCUCUUAAGGCUUUUAGUUUACUUUCAAUGGCUCAAAACUUUUGUAAAGCAUUUUAUCAAACAUCUAGCAGAUGAGUUCUAUGAACUUCUUCAUGCAUCAAAGGUAUAGUAAACAGUUUACAAUCUCUCACAUUGCAAUGGAUGGGAUCCCAUGAUAUUUUCUUUAAACCAUAAUCUAUUUAUUUGCUGUGGUUGCAGGAAAUUACUGCAUCAUCAAAAUGGGAGGACUGCAAAUCCCUCUUGGAGAUAGGCAAGUAGCUUCUUUUGCUUUUAUUGAUCUAGAAUUAGUAACACGAUUGCAAGGACCAUUGGAGAAUGAUAAUUGAUAUUAUUUUCAAGGACCAACUCCUUCAAUAUUCUAAACUCAGUAAUUCACAUAGUUAUAGAAUGUACCUUAGAAUAAUAGAUGUGUUGAAUGAUUUGUUGUUUUAUAUUCCUCAACAUUUAGGUAGACUAUUUGUUUAUAGUAUUAGCAUGAAUUACCAUUUUGCUAAGUGAUUUUUAAUGUUGAACUUAUCCCUCUAGAAAUUGGUUGAUGUCAAUUAUUAGUUGUUCCAACACUGGGCGUUUAAUAGCUCUAGCAGUUAGUUUUAAAAUUUCUGACAUUUGUGAUUGUUUUAGUUUUUUAAUUUCUAGCAUUUGUGAUUGUUUCACGAUUCUGAUGAAGUAUGCUGCUAAAUCUCUAGUUUUAAUUUGUGUAGCCUCGUUGGCUAUAAAAUGAAAUGCUCUGGAUUUUUACUUUUUUAUUCAUAAUCUCAUGAUUCUCAUUAUGUCGUAACAUUGAAUUUGAGUUUCUUUGCUGUUAUUAUUUUACAGAAUAAUGGGUGAUGAGGGCUUGCUGUUUGAAAUAUUUAACAAAUUUGUUAAUGAACUAAAAGAGAAGGAGCGCAAGCGUCAAGAGGAUAAGGUACUUGAAUUACUACAAACCCUUAUUCUUUUGCUACUUUCGGGUAGGGGUAGUAGAUGUGUGGUUGUGAUUGUGGUUGAUAUUGUUUUGCGAAAAUUUUGACUUUUUGAGAGUCGCCACUUAAUUUUGAAAAGGAAUUAAGAAACUUUUAGAGAAUUACUGCAAACGAUUCAAAAUAGAAAAAUCAUUUUUAAGUUAGAGAUUCUAGAUAAGUGGUUCCUAUUAAUAUUUUAGGAAGGUAUUAGGCACCUAAAAUGUCCACUAACUUGCGGUUAUCCGGACUGUCUGAAAAUCGUCUUUUGAUUAACUUAGAAAAAGUUUAUUUUUUGAAAAGAAAAGCGAUUUUAGGAAUAUUUUGGUGUUUAUGCAAAACCAGUUUUUUAGCGACUUGACUAAGGAUUUUACUAGGUUCGCAAAACACACGUAAAACAAAUAAGCAAAUAGAAAAAAAGGAAAGGGGAGAAGUAGUGAUUUAGGCUUUUAAGCUCAAACCGUCGACCCUGUCCUAAUCUAGUUAGGUUUUUGACCCAUCUUUCACCUAUUUUAAUUUUAUGUUUUCGAGCCCUUUUCGGCUCGAGUCUCGCUCCACCUGUUUUAAAUUUACAACUUUGGCUUCGAGGGUCAAAUGAAUAAAUAAAUAAGUCACUAAAUAAACAAAAAUAUAAAUAAGUAAAUAAAUUAAUAAUGGAAACAAUGGAUAAAUAAAUCAAUAAAGAAGAAAUAACGAGAUUUUCAAGUCCCCUUUGCCGCUUCAAAGAUGGAACUUUAACCCAUUCUUCUUUCAAUUCCUCGUAUCCAUACGCCAUGCGAUGGAUUCUUGGAUUUUCUUUUUGGCUUAACUCGGAAGGAUAGGCCUCAUUGGCCCAUUUAUGAAAUGCAAAGAGAGAAGGGGCCCAUUUGAAUUCCAAGGGGGGUGCAUGCAAAGAAAGGAAUGAAGAAAUUAACAUACGUCCAAGAUUUUAACAAUUAAUAAGCUAUAGCAUUCCUGCUUCAUUCAAAUACACUCAUACACAGGUAAAAAUGCNNNNNNNNNNNNNNNNNNNNNNNNNNNNNNNNNNNNNNNNNNNNNAUCAAUUAAAGAAAUUUCAACUACAGGAGGAAAUAAAGCUUCAACAAGAAAUUCUUAUGGUCUUUAGCGAAAUAAAGAAAAUAAUUUAUCACUUUAAUGCCACAAAAGGACACAAUGAAGCAUGUCACAAAAAAGAGUUACAACUCCUGGAUCAUACUACAUAAACGAUGGAUCGCAAGCAACGUUCAAAUUGCAAAAUGCCAAACAUACAAAAUUAAAGACUUAAUCACUUUAGGCAAGGAAUAUGAUAGCUGGAACUUCAAGAAAAGCAAGGCUGAAAUCUUAAUGCCUUUGUUAAUCAUAAAUUAACAAACAAAUGAGAUUCAAACACUACAUAAACCCAAUUUUAGGUAAUUUAAUCAUGAGACAACAUGCCACAACUUAUAUGCGAACAAGAAAAGCAAGAAAGGAAAGAAACAUUAGCUCGUCAAACUUUAAUUUGUUCUCAUGAGUCAAUUACAGCAAAUUGAAUUAGCCAUGAAAAAAACAUAAUUCAGCCCUAUGGUCCACUCUUAUAUUUUAAAAUAAACUUUAGAAUCAAAUGAGACUAUUGUACAUCGAGAGUGGCAAGUCGGAAGAAAAUAACAUUCGAGUUCUUAUUUAUAACAAUUUCCUGCAUUUGAGCAAAAAAGAUAUGUGAACAGGCUGCCUAAUAUCUAUUCUUUGAACAUUUUUUUGAAUUUAGAAAAUACGUAAAUAUUUUAUUCUCCUACUCUGUGACUACUAAUCAACAUCGAAUAUGAGACCAGCAAAAUAGUUUUUAAAGUCGAAGCAUUAAAGCUAACUAGUAACAUUCAAAUAGAAUAAAAUGAGAGAGAUCAAGCAUGAACGACAGCCAAUCAAACAUGGGCAAGAAUGAGUUUUUUAGUAGAACAAUAUAUCAAACACGAAAAUCCUAUGUCUUCCAGGCCUCUAUAGUAGUCAUUCCCAGCAAACAGAAGUUGAACCACGAAGAAGAAAAUGAUAACCACAACAAAAUUAAAAAGAAGGGUGUGUUUACCUCUUUCGGGACAGCAAAAUGGGAUAACGAGCUGACGAUAGGAUUUCGACCACAGAAAAACUCACAACUGCUUCGACAGUUCAGGCGCACCUCCUAAGAAUGUAUGUUUCUUAGGCAUAAAGAGAAUAUUUUUUCCCUCUGAGAGCCCCCCUUUCUAACCCCUUUUUUUGUGUAUUUCUGAAUUUUUGAAGAUUUUCGCUAACCCCAAAUUUUCAACCCAAAACUUUUGAACCCCCUUUGCCUCUACAAUUUUGAAUGAAGAGGAGAACCCAUAAAGGAAAGAAGAGGCCGGUGAAAAAAAUUCCAAAAUCCCCAAAAAAAUCCCUUUUUCUUGCUCUAAGUAGAGCUAUUUGUAGAAGGGGAUUGAGGGUUCAUUUUUUAGAUUCAAAAGAUCCGGACCCUAAUGAACUAUACCUUUAUCUUGAUUUUCUUGAACGGAAUUCCGAAAAGUGGCCAAUAGAAAUUGAUAGAAAGGGAAUAAUCUUCACAAGCCAAUGAAAAUACUCCACCUAUGUACGAAUUCGUAAACCUCUAUCCAAGAAUUUUGGGAUUUGAACAUUGGAUGAGACACCUAAGUGUGUUUCUAGAAGAUUCUCAGCAUUUUCUCAUAUGGAUUCGAGUGGAACGCGCGUGAUCAUAAAGAGGAAAAAGUAAACGGGUUGGAUUCAAGUGCUGCAUACUAUUUGAAGUCAUCCGCACCUGUGGUUUUGAUUUGAGAUUUUCAUCCUCUCAGAUGCUCUCGACAAUGCUUCAAGCAAAAAGUGUUAGUGCUAAACAUAAUUCACGAAAGAGGUAUAUAGUCUUUUACCAUAUCUCCACAUGAGCUAUGGCCUGAAAAGCGGAGUCAUCUCUUUAUGUACCUAUUUGGAAUAAAAUAACCGGCAAUACCAAACACAACAACCCUCUUGGUUGUUAUAUAAUUAUGACAUUUGUCGGUUGAAUAUAUCUUCAAAGUGGGUGGCCCUUUUGGACACCGGCGAUACUUUAUGCAGAACGAUCUCUACAAUCGUGUAAUCUUGUGCUGGUGUGGCAACCCUUUGGGUACUUAUAUCAUUUGUUGCAUGUGGAAUGAUAACCUCUCUAGUUAUAGCCGAUGAUCGAUUUAUAAAUUUCCUUUAAAUUAUCAAUCUUUGGGUAAUAUUACGCAUUAUUUGAUGUUGGAUACGAGGCGACUUACAGAUAUCCUUUUGAUUUCUAGCUUUUAGAUAAUCUUGCACAUUAUCUGACUUUGAAUAAGAGAUGGCUUACAGAUAUCUCUCCAAUCACUAGCUUUCAGGUGUUCCUACACAUCAUGCGACCUUGGAUACAAUAUGACUUAUAGAUAAUCCCUCAAAUUGUUAGUCUUUGGGUAAUCCUACACAUAAUCUAUCUUGGAUAUGACACGGCUUGUAGAGAACCCUUAGACGUAUCAAUUUGACAAUCUUGCAUAUGCUCCGAUAAGGAUUUAGUUGCCACUUAUGGAUAACCUUUGAACUAUCAAUUUUUGGGCGAUCUUGCACACUGUCCAGUUAGGAUGUUGUUGUGGCUUACAGAUGACCUACAGGCUAUCAACUCAUAGGUGAUCUUGCACACUAUCCUAUUUCAAAUAAUAUGACUUAUAGAAAACCCUCAAAUUGUCAAUUUCUAUGAAAUCUUAUAUAUCAUUCAUUCUUAGAUAGCGACUUAAAUGCGUCCCUUUAAAUCGUGUGCUCUUGAUGCAUUCAGAUGCUGAUUCAUAAAAUGAUAAGAUAUCCUCGAUGCCAGCAUUUAUGUCUUGCGUGUCAACAGAUAUAAAAUGAUGAUGAUAUCCUCGACGCCAGCGUUAUUGCUUGUCAACAGAUAUAUUAAAUAGUGAUGAUAUCCUCGAUGCCAAUAUUAUGUCUUGCGUGUCAACAGAUAUAUUGAAUGCUGAUGAUAUCCUCGACGCCAGCGUUGUGUAUUGCGCGUCAACAGAUAUUGUAUGAUGAUGAUAUCCUUGGUGCCAGCAUUGUGUCUUGCAUGUCAACAAAUAUUGUAUGAUGAUGAUAUCCUCGACGCCAGUGUUGUGUCUUGCGUGUCAACAGAUAUAUAAUAAUAAUGAUAUCCUCGACGCCAGCGUUGUGUCUAGCACGUCAAUAGAUAUUGAAUGAUGAUGAUAUCCUCGUCGCCAGCGUUGUGUCUAGCACGUCAAUAGAUAUUGAAUGAUGAUGAUAUCCUCGUCGCCAGCGUUGUGUCUAGCACGUCAAUAGAUAUUGAAUGAUGAUGAUAUCCUCGAUGCCAGCGUUGUGUCGAGCGCGUCAAUAGAUAUUGAAUGAUGAUGAUAUCCUUGAUGCCAGCGUCAGGGUCUUGCUUUCUGCAUAUACCUGUACUCAAGGUAGAUGAUUAGUAGACACAAAUUUGCUUUUGCUAGCAACUAUUUUUCUUAGAAAAUUCUAAAUACAAUAUUUGUAAAGAAGACAAGACAUUUUUGUUUGUCCUCCAUGAUCUCAAGAAAUGAGAUGGACAAUUCGAAAGGUCGUCAAUAAAUGGGUGUUGAGCCGGUUUUUCGGCUACCAAAAGUACCGUUAUAAGCCUUAUAUGCUUUGUCAUGGCUCCCGACUUGCUUGGGGAUUUUUCGAAAGAAACACUUAUUUUGUGUAUCGAUCCCUGCAUCCACAAAAAAUGAUUAGUUUGAAAGAAACUACUCCGUGCUGACCUCCUACGAUCCUUGAUUUUCCCUCGCCAUCUUUUAGGUAUUUCAUCAUAUUGGGACUUCUACCCCUGACUCCCCGUCCUAAUUGAUGUCUAGGCAAUCACUAAGUAAAAGAUUUAUAUAGAUUUUUUUCAAAGUACUCUUAAUUUUUUAGAAAAUAGUUUCGAGAACUCCUGGAAAACUUCGAAAAAUCUCUGCCAGUCAUGUAGUACUAUCCAAAUACCUCAUAAUUUGCUACAUACCUUCUCAUAAGUAGUACUAGUUUACAACUACCAACAAAAAAAGUCAAGGGGUACGGUCACAUAAUAGACAUGAUCAACCUUAAUCUGAUAUUAUAACCCCAUACGAUCUUAUCUACUUAUGUGGAUUUCUCACCUCAUACUUACUUACUCAAGCAUACAUUUAGACUUCCUUUAAAUUCCUCAAACAACCAUGAGUCUAUAAUCAUAACUUACUCGCUAAUAUAGCCAUUUUUCACAUUCAAGCAACCAACAAAUCACCCUGACUAACAACUCCUUCUCUACCUUAUACUAAACUAAAUCACAAGGACGAAUCACCUCUUUACCAACUCCAUCUUAUGCGAAUAGAUUCAUCCAUAAAUAUAUUAAACCAACAAAAGAACAACAAGUUGCUAGUGAAUCGAAUAGGCCUCACACGGCUUCACUAGACUUUGGUUUUGUAUUUUGAACAAGAAAAUGAGAUGGAUGACAAGGCAACUAUGCUAGUGAAUCGAAAGAGCCCCACACGGCUUCACUAGUCUUUAAUUUUUUUUUUUUCAAAAACACCAUGAUAACAAGAUUACAUAUUACAAGAGAUAGGAAAUUGACACAUAAUAUUUAAUGGUCUAAGAAUACACACCUUACUCUGUACAAAUAAAAAUCUGAGUAAAAUACUUCCCCCAUGGACUACCAUACCAUUCACACGUGCGACUAGCUACCACAUUAGUUUAUCACUAUAAAGGGGUAAAUCAUCCUCAAAUAUCGGUUAUUCAACUGAAAUAUUCAUUUACACCAAAAAUCACCCUUACUCUGACUUCUAACUUUGUGACUUCACAUCACUAACUUCUUAAUCUAAUUUCAUUACCGAUAGGUCAUGACAACAAUAAUUUAACUUAUGCUACUAUUCAGGCGAAAAUACAGUUCCAACAUUCUGCUAUACACCGUCCACAUCUGUAUCAAGAUUUUUGGGAGGGACUAGAUGCACUUAAUACCUUAAGCUGGAAAGCAUGAUUCCAUCAGGAUCAAUGUUUACAUCAGAAUCAACACAUAUUGAAGCACCAACAGACUCCUCUUGAGUCUUUACAUAAUUUUUUUCUUAUAUGACACAAUCAGAAAAGACUAUAUCAUGUAGAUUCUAAACUUUUUCACUUGAAUCACCCCAAUAAUAGGACAUGUAUGAGAACAUCAGAGUAAGGAAAGAAUUUGGGAUGAAUUUACCUUCAUAUGGGAGAUACCAUAGCAUGAAUGAUAGUAAUUCGUGUUAUUUUUAAUACAUUGAAUCAAAUACUGUAUAAGAAACAACAACACCCAAUGUAUUCCCACUUAGUGGGGUCUGGGGAGGUUAGUGUAUGCAGAUCAUAUCACUACUCAGGUGAAGUAGAGAGGAUGUUUCCGAUAGACUCCCAGCUUAGGAUAAUAAUAAUAUACCAAACAUAAAAGAUAAAUACAUAUAAACUAAUACGAUACGCAAAAUAAAACUAACAAUAUAACAAAUAUCAAAGAAGAUGUAUAUAAACUAGUACCGUAUGAAAAAAUAGCCAAUCUACCAAGAAGUGUCAGCUUUGUGUUGGGUGGUUGGUAGUCAAGAAAGUGUCAGCUUUCCCAAAAAGAAAAACCCCAAUAAAGAAAGAAGUCCCUCCACUUUCACCAUUGAUUCAAUGUUAUUUUUAAUACGCAGAAUCAAAUACUGCGUAAGAAAAUAAAAGCAUAAUUAAUGCAAAUAUUAUUAAUAUAUCAUAUUUUACAUUAUUUUUAUAAAAUAAUAUUUUAUAUUAUUUUUAUAAGAAAAUACUCUAAUUAAUUUAAUUGAAAUUAUAUAUUUAUAUAAUAAAGGAGGAUAGUCUGGCCUAAAACUAAGACAAGUUUCAUAUUGAGAACUACCUAUUUGAAUUUUUACAACAAAAAACCAUUAUUUUAUAACAAAAAGCUAUUUUGUUAAUUAUUAAAAUAUUUAAUAUUAUUUCAUAUUUCCUAUUUAAUAAAUUACAUUUCAUAUGUUUUUAAUAAUAGUAUUAUAAAAAAAAAAAUAUGAAUGAUUUCAUUACAAUUCACUAAAAGAAAUAUUACAAGAAAAAAAUAUUUAAGAGAAAAACCAAUUAAUAAAUAGUAACUGAUCAAUUUAUAUAGAAAAUAUUGUAAUCAUUCUGAAUAAAAAAUAUUAAAAAAAGGUGUCAUCCCUCAAAAUAAUUAAGUUUGACCUAUUUUUGUAACCAAAUAAAUGAAUGAAUAUAAGAAAAUCCGUAAUUAGGAAAAAAAAAUAAUUGUUACCUUAUUUGAGUUUUUAGCAAAUUAUAAAGAUAAUAAUAAUCAAUUGACUAUAAUUAAAUUAUAAAUUUAUAAUAAAUAUUUGAAACAUAAAUUAGUAAUUAGGAAAAUAAAUAAUUGUUACCUUUUUAAAAUUCUUUCCAAAAUUAAAAAGGUAAUUGAUAUCAAUUUAACGUAAUCAAUCUAUAAAAACAUGAGAAAUUCAUGGGAUUGAAUUUCCGAAAUUUAUGGUAAAUAAAUAUAUAAUAUUAAUAAUAAUUUUAUCGCUAUCAAAUUAAUUAGAUUAAAUUGAACUAGAAAUUAGUUAAUAUUGACAAUUACUUUAAUAAAAAAAUAUAUGGAAAUAUUUGUAAUUGAUAUGCAUAUAUUGGUAAAUAAAAACAACGAACCCUGACUACUACUUUAGUAAUAAAUAUAUUUUAAAAUUUACAUACAACAUUAAAUUUAAGAAACUUGAGUCUAUAUAUUAUGAUCAUAAAAUUGAUUCUAAUUAAUGGAAAUUAGUUGAUUGUAUAGUUUUAUUACCACAAUUUUGUACAUCAUUUAUUUAAUAAAAAUAAAUAUAAUUAAUUAAUUGAUUUUGUGCAAUCUACUAUGAUUUUAUUAAUUCAAAUGAAAUGAUUUUUAAAUUAUAGGUUUGGAUUAUAAAAAUAAAGGUGAUUAUUGUAUGACUUUAGCAUUUCUUAUGUAUUAAAAAAGAUUUAUAGACAAAAAAAUGUCAUCCCUCAAAACAACUAAAUAAUCAAAUUGUAAAUUGAUAAGAAAUUUUUGAGAGAUAAAGCAGUAAUUAGGAAAAGAAAUAAUCGUUACCUUUUUGAAAUUCUUCCCAAAAUUAUAAAGGUAAUUAAUAUAAAUUUGAUAUAACCAAACUAUAAGAAUAUGUGAAAUUCAUGGAAUUAAAUGUUUGAAAUUAUAAAAGUAAUUAAUAUCAAUUGUUUCCAUAUUUGAGUCCUUUAUGUAAUUAUAGAUUAAUUAAAUAUAAGCAAGCUAUAAAAUUAGGAUAGAUUUAUGGUAAAUAAAUCUAUAAUAUUAAUAAUAAUUUUAUUGUUAUAAAAUUAAUUAGAUCAAAUUGGGAUAGAAAUCAUUUAAUAUUGACAAUUAUUUUAAUAAAAAAUAUAUGCAAAGUUUCACAAUUGAUAUACAUAUAUUGGUAAAAAAACAACGAACACUGACUACUACUUUAGCCAUAAAUAUAUUUUAAAAUUUGCGACAUUUAAUUUAAGGAACUUGAGUCUAUAUAUCAUGAUCAUAAAAUUGAUUCUAAUUAAUUGAAAUUAAUAAGUUGAUUGUGCAAUUUUAUUACAAUUAUGUUGUACAUCAUUUUUUAUAUAAAAAUACACAUAAUUAAUUAAUUGAUUUUGUGCAAGCUACUAUGAUCUUAAUAAUUCAAAUGAAAUAAUUUGUAAAUGGUAAGUUUGGAUUAUAAAAAGAAAGGAGAUUAUUGUAUGCCUUUAGCAUUUCUUAUGUAUUAAAAAAGAUUUAGAGACAAAAGUUGUCAUCCCUCAAAACAACUAAAUUUGAACUAUUUUAGUAAAACAAUAAAAGAUUGAAUAUAAGAAAAUCCGUAAUUUAGAAAAAAAAUAAUUGUUACCUUAUUUGAGAUUUUAGAGAAUUAUAAAGAUAACUAAAUAAUCAAUUGACUAUAAUCAAAUUAUGAAUUAAUAAGAAUUUUUUGAGAAAUAAAUCAAUAAUUAGGAAAAAUAAUAAUCGUUACCUUUUUUAAAUUCUUCCCAAAAUUAAAAAGGUAAUUGAUAUCAAUUUAAUAUAAUCAAUCUAUAAAAAACAUGAGAAAUUCAUGGGAUAGAAUUGCCGAAAUUAUAAAGGUAAUUAAUAUCAAUUGUUUUCAUAUUUGAGCCCUUUAUGUAAUUGUAGAUUAAUUAACUACAAUCAAGCUAUAAAAUUAGGAAAAAUUUAUGGUAAAUAAAUAUAUGAUAUUAAUAAUAAUUUAUAUUUAUCAAAUUAAUUUUAUUAAAUUGAGUUAGAAAUCAGUUAACAUUGACAAUUAGUUUAAUAAAAAUAUAUGCAAAGUUUCGUAAUUGAUAUACAUAUAUUGGUUACAAAAACAACGAACACUGACUUCUACUUUAGCCAUAAAUAUAUUUUAAAAUUUACAACAUUAAAUUUAAAGAAUUUUUUGAGAAAUAAAUCAGCAAAUAGUAAAAAAAUAAUCGUUACCUUUUAAAAAUUCUUUCCAAAAUUAUAAAAGUAAUUAAUAUCAAUUUGAUAUAAUCAAACUCUAAGAAUAUGAGAAAUUCAUGGGAUUAAAUUUUUGAAAUUAUAAAAGUAAUUAAUAUCAAUUUUUUCCAUAUUUGAGUCCUUUAUGUAAUUGUAUUUUAAUUAAAUAUAAUCAAGCUAUAAAAUUAGGACAAAUUUAUGGUUAACAAAUAUAUAAUAUUAAUAAUAAUUGUAUUGUUAUCAAACUAAUUAGAUUAAAUUGCAGUAAAAAUCAGUUAAUAUUGACAAUUAUUUUAAUGAAGAAUAUAUGAAAAGUUCCAUAAUUGAUAUACAUAUAUUGAUUAAAAAAACACAAACAUUGACUACUACUUUAGCUAUAAAUAUAUUUUAAAAUUUACAACAGUAAAUUUAGGGAAUUUUAGUCUAUAUAUUAUGAUCAUAAAAUUUAAUCUAAUUAAGUGAAAUUAAUUAGUUUAUUGUGUAGUCUUAUUACAAUUAUAGCGUACUUUAUUUAUUUAAUGUAAAUAUAUAUCAUUUAUUAACUGAUUUUGUACAAUCUACUAUGAUCUUAUUAAUUUAAAUGAAACAAUUUUUAAAUGGUAAUUUUAGACUAUAAAAAGAAAGGAGAUUAUUGUAUGACUUUAGUAUUUCUUAUGUAUUAUACAAAGAUCUAGAGAUAAAAGAAAUACAAAAUUACAAUAUUUUUGGGUUAUUUAAUUAAUUUAUCACAUAUCAAAAUAUUGUUUAUAUCAAUUCAGUGAUGUUUAUAUAGAAAAGUUAAAUUUUGAAAAAAUAAAUAUCUUAAAUUUCAUAAUUUAAGUUAAUUUGUGUGCUAAUUUGAAAAAGUUAAUUUAUAGUUUACAUUUUAUAUCUUCUAUAUGGAAAAUUUGACCUCAUAUGGCUAUUUAUACCCAUUGAAUAACAAAAAUUAUUUGUUACACUUUUCUUCUCUCUCUCUCAUGGGUAUUUCUCUUGUUUUUCAUUAUGGGUAUGUAAAUAUUCACUUGCCAUAUUUCUGGAUCCUUGUAAAUAUUCACUUUCCAUAUACAGAUCCUUGUAAAUAUUUACUUGCAAUUUACAGAUCCUUGUUAGUUGAAUAUAUGCAUUGUAUGAUGAUGAAUGAAAGACAUAGAAUUUUUUUUUCUCUAUUCUAGUCUUUUGCUAUUUUUACAUUUCAAGAAAAAAUGACAAGAAUCCUACAGAUUCUGACAACCUUUUGCCGGCUCUUACUCUUUCAACUCUUUGAUUCAGUAUUUUCUCUUCUUUUUUUUAAUUAUUUACCAUGAUUAUUUGUUUUAUCAGAAGGAUUUGAUAAGUUCUUUGAAUUGUUUUUGUGCUAUUUGUUUGUGGGGUAUUUGAUUAAUUUUCAGUAGAAGACUAGUAGUAAAUAGUUUUGCGUCAUGUCUCUUCUGGUAGUAGUAUUAGUAUAUAUUUUUAUUUUCUACUUGUUGUAUCGUAUACCUCUAUUUUCUUACUUGCUACUGUUGUUAAUAUCCUCGUGUUUUUGCUUUCCUUGCCGAGGAUUUAUGGGAAACAAAUUUUCUACUUGCCAAGGUAGGGGUUACGUAUGUUGUUGUUGAAGAAGAAGCAUGUAGAAAGAGAGAUGUUUUGCUUUGUCUCAUAAGUAUUUAGUUAGCUUGCAGUAUUUUCAUGAAUGGAUAAUGAUUUGUGAGUGGCUGUUUAUGAGUGUUUUGCUUUGUCCUUUGAAAUCUCAUGGACACUAGUUUGAUUCAUGUACAGUCUCCAUACAUAGAAAUGAUGAAGAACAACUUCUUAAUUUUUCGAUCAUCAACUAAUGAUGCAAACAAGACUCCUUCACCACCAUUAAAUUCCAAGGAAGUUUCUUCUUGGAAGAGUGCUUCAUUGUCAUCUGGAUCCUUCUAUGACAGUGGGUUAGGAAAAAAGAAUUUUAUGGAUCUGAGGAAAUCUCCUCAUUGUCACAGUAAGAAAGUUCAUCCUAAGAAAUUUGGUCAUGAUUCAAGCCGGUAUGCAUAUCAUUUUGCUGUAGCUUUCUUUUUCACGCUUAAACUAAUGUUUUAAUUUGCAUUUGCUUGUCCAAAGUAAUGAAAAAUGUUUAUUCACGGUAGAGACCUUAGCGUUCCAGUGUUGAUUCAGACUAUUAGAAGAUUGACAAAGGAGAAGGUACAAAUGUCUUCUGAAGUUUCAAGCAUGCUACGGAAUCAAGUUGCUGAAAAGGCUUCUGCUAAGGAAGAAGCCAGCAUAUUACAGGCAGAACUAGAUUCACGGACACGAAGAUUGGAGACAGAAAAGAAUGAGUUACAAUCAGUACUAGAAAAAGAGUUGGAUAGAAGAUCCAGCGAUUGGUCUCUAAAGCUUGAGAAAUACCAAAUUGAACGACACAGACUUUGUGAAAGGGCGAGGGAGCUUGUAGAGCAGAAUAUCUCUCUACAAAGAGAUGUCUCUCAUUUAAUGAGAAGAAAGUAGAUAAUAGAAUCAAGAUGUCAUUUUCGGAGAAACNNNNNNNNNNNNNNNNNNNNNNNNNNNNNNNNNNNNNNNNNNNNNNNNNNNNNNNNNNNNNNNNNNNNNNNNNNNNNNNNNNNNNNNNNNNNNNNNNNNNNNNNNNNNNNNNNNNNNNNNNNNNNNNNNNNNNNNNNNNNNNNNNNNNNNNNNNNNNNNNNNNNNNNNNNNGACAACUGUGCUAAGGGAGAAGCUCUAUUCUGAGGAGAUGGACAUAAAGCAACUUCAGGCUGAUCUAGCCACAACAGUUAGAGGUAACGACAUUCUCAAAUGUGAAGUGGAAAAUGCGUUGGAUGCUCUUUCUUAUGCCACACCUAAGUUAAAAUACCUCGAGCUUCAGGUAAGCAGGCAAUGUUAAGAUCUCGUUGUAACAAAAUAGUUUUUAUUUUUCAGCUUUGGAUACCUCAUCUUCAUAUAUGAUAGCCUAUUCGCAUGUUACUCUCUCUGCAUUAGCUUUCUAUUUCUGUUUGAUUUUAGGUUCAUCUUUGUUCCAUCUAAAGUUCACGGUUUUCUUUAUGAACUUGUAUACAUGAGUUGCUGGCAUGUGGUAGUCUUCUGUGAAAUGUCUGAUCGCCUUAAUGUGUAAUCAGUUGAACCUACCAAGAAUAUGAUAAACUUUGUGAUAUCCUCAAACCUAUUGAUCUGAUUGUGCUCUGAUGUGGUAAAGUUACCCGAAGGGGUUUUGGUAAGUUUGCUCAUUCAUCUGACUUAAUUAUUGGACAAGCUCAUGAGUUAUCAACUGUGAAUUUUAAUAGUUAAAAAGGAUUCAUGAUUUGGUUGAACUUCUAGGCUAUGAGUUUGUUUUGAAUUUUUGAUGAAAUGUUAUUGGUGAUCUUUUUGUCUUUCUUGUUUUUCAUGGUUUACGAUUGAUUCUGGCAGGUGCAAAAAAAGGACAAAAAUAUCAACCAUAUCACUAAUGAUUUUCAAGAAUGCAUGAAGGAACUUGGCGUUGUGAAGGCAAUACUACCAAAAGUGUUUCAGGAGAGGGAUUUCAUGUGGGAGGAAUUUAAGAGCUACAGUGAAAAGAACAUGCUGUUGAAUUAUGAGAUCAACAUAUUGAAAAUGAAUAUAGAUACCCUCGAUGAAGACUUUUCUAUGAAAGAGGUUCAAAUGAUAAUCUUAUAAGACUCGAUAGGCAAACCUUUCGACCUUUUCACAAGUCCUGAUUCUCUGUUAGAGUGAUGGAUUCUAAAUGGCCAAACUACAAUUCAUAUUUUGUUCAUUGACUGUAGUGUUCAUACUUCUCGUAUACUUACUGGUUUUACUCUUAUUCUUUUCCCCCUUUUAUACUUGUUAAAUAGAAAGUUUGCUUCUUUCAUUUGCAACCUUUUUGAAUCUCCAAUUAUAAACAUUUCUUUUACUUGCUGGUGAUCAAGACAAUGAACUUCUUUUGCUUCAUUUGGUUUUGUAAGCAUUGGCUGUUUUUUCUCUUAUGAAGUAUUUAAUGAGGAUUGGUGCUACCAUUUUCUUCUCGUCUCUGAGGUAGAGGUAUGGUUUGCAUAUAUUCUGCCCGAAUAUACAUCGAGUAUGUUGUUGCUGUUGUAUGGAGAUUGUGUGUAUAAUAACAAUCAUAUAUUUGAUGUCAGGUCAUCCAUACUUUCAUUCCUUGCAGGGGAAAGCUCAUUAAGCUUACUGAGUUAACUUCUCAUUGAUGUAUUCUUUCACUAAGGUUGUCAGUAGGUAGCUACAAAAAGCACUUGUCUAACUGGGCAGUUCAUGUUCAGUUUGUGCAUAUAUUAAGUAACAUCCAAAUUUUUAACCAUAUAACUUUACCUCAAAAUGAUGCAUGGACCAGAGCUGCUCUUAAAUCUGGUUGGUUGGCAGAAUCUUCCAUUUGAUCUGCAAUCAUAUGCCUGCUUUGUCUCAGUAUAUUUGAUUCUGUUGUACUCAUUCACAUAUGGUUUAUGCCAAGUAUGUGAGACACAUACAGAAGCCUCUAGUUUCAUCUUCUUUAUAUAGUUUUAAACUUCAUUUGACUUGCUAUGAGGGAGUUCCACCCUACCUUCUGAUCAUUCUUUCAGAUACCCUCUUUCAUUUUCCUUCACCUCCUUCCAGUACCAGAUGCUUCACCUUCCACAUUAAAUGUUGUUUGCACAUUUUUAAACUAUGCACUACGUUCAAUUUCAAAAAAAUGAAAAAAACUAUGCACUACAUUGUAGAACAUUUUGAUAAUUUUUUGGUAUGUCAGUAUGUUCUUUAUGUUUAUGCUUACAUCAAGCAGACACAAUUAUUAUGAAGGUGGAAUUGGUUUUUGUACCAUUUUCUUUUGCGUGUAACUUCUGAAGUUAUUUGGGAUCCAUUAUUUAUAUUUCAAUGAGAGUCUUUGAUGUCUUUCCUUAUAAUGUUUAUGCUUACAUCAAGCAGACAUAGUUAUUAUGAAGGUGGAAUUGGUUUUUGUACCAUUUUCUUUUGCGUGUAACUUCUGAAGUUAUUUGGGAUCCAUUAUUUAUAUGUCAAUGAGAGUUUUUGAUGUCUUUCCUGAUAUUAAACCUGUCAUUUUUUCUUUAACAUUUCUAAUCUCCUAUAUAUCUGGCUUUCUGACCUUCAAUGAUGCAAACAAUUUCCCUUCAAGAACUUGCACUUACCUAAUUCCUAGUAAGACAGUCUUAGAAUCUUCUAUGUUUAAAGAUGCCUAUUGGUGGUUAGUUUUUUUGCUAGGAGGUUGCAUUGGAAGGUACAAGCAUACAAGAUAUUGAUAAAACCAGAAAGCAUUUUAUUUUUUUGAAAAUGAUUGCAUAUAUACUAUGUGGGCAGUAUUUUCUUUACAAAAAUGAGCUUCUAUGUGCUUUACAAGGCCUCCAAAGUUGCAAAAUGGAUUCAACACCCUUUAUAAGAAACUCUUAAUGUCAAAAUAAUAAGUUGUCUGAUCUAAUCUGCAACAAGAAUGAUGAGCACUGUGUUCAAUUUCGAGUCUGUCCCUAAGCUCGUCUAGACUUAUCCUUAUCUUUAUUGCCUUCUGUUUGCUUGUUAUCUUUUUUCUUACUAGAACCUGCAUUUGAGAAGCUUGUGUUGUUGUCUCAAGUUAAUGUUUAAGUUUUCUUUCCUUACUGCAGUGUAUCAAAUUCAACUUUUGGUGCUGCUGAAAAUGUUGGAACUGCUGCAAAACCUAAUGGCAUAAUGCAUGAACCUGUACAUGCUGAUAGACCCAAUGUAUUUAGUAACAAAAGCUCAUUUGUUCUCUCUUACAUACAAAUAGCAAUUGAUAUUCCUUCUCAAACAGUAGGUCCAUCCACGUUUGAUCUCCUGGACCACGCUCUUGUUGGGCCUGGGCGUGAAGGUGGUGUUAGAGUGGGUGAAAGUCCCACAUUGUUGGGGAGUGAACUGUCGAUUUUCUUAUAUGGAAUUGAGCAAUCCUCCCCUCAUGUGCUAGCUUUUGAGGUUGAUUUAGGCCCAAUAUCCUUUCUUUACAAAAUCAACAAACUUUUCUUACAUUGGAAACAGACAGAGCAGCUGUAGAGAAUGUUUUCAACCUGAAGGGGAUCAGAUGGGUAGAACCUGGGAGCAUUAAAAGAGUACUAAGUAGCUGGAAUAGGGAUGUAAAUGUAAUAAAUAAGGAGAGAUGGAAAAUUGUUCAACAUGUACAUGGUGGACAGUUUGGACAGAAAUAAACAAGGGUUGUUUUGAGGAUGUCCAGAAGAUCAACAUGAAUAGUUUAGCACUUCUUUAUUUUUGGUGUAAACACGAUGAUUAGCUCUAACAGAAGACAUCAUUGAUGUGCUAGACUGUUUAUAGGCAAUAGAAAGAUAGAGUAAGAUGUAAUACUUUUUGAAGGUGGACAUCAUUCUUGUUGGUUAGGGAUUUGAAUGAUAACAAGAUUACAUAUUACAAGAGAUAGGAAAUUGACACAUAAUAUUUAAUGGUCUAAGAAUAUACAUCUUGCUCUGUAUAAAUAAAAAUCUGAAUAAAAUACUUCCCCCAUGUACUACCAUACCAUCCUCAUGUGAUACUAGCUACCACAUUAGUUUAUCGUUAUAACGGGGUAAAUCAUCCUCAAACAUCGGUUAUUCAAUUGAAAUAUUCGUUUACACCAAAAAUCACCCUCACUCUGACUUCUAACUUUGUGACUUCACAUCACUAACUUAUUUGUCUAAUUUCAUUAAUGAUAGGUCAUGAAAACAACACUUUAACUUAUGCUACUAUUCGGGUGGAAAUACAGUUCCAACAUUCUUUUAUACACCGUCCACAUCUGUAUCUAGAUUUUUGGGAGGGACUAGAUACACUUAAUACCUUAAGAUGGAACACACGAUUCUAUCAGGAUCAAUGUUUACAUCAGAAUCAACACAUAUUGAAGCACCAACAGACCCCUCUCAAGUCUUUGCACAAUUUUUUUUCUUAUAUGACACAACCGGAAAAGACUAUAUCAUGUAGAUUCUAAAUUUUUUGCACUUGAAUCACCCCAAUAAUGGGACGUGCCUGAGAACAUCAGAGUAAGGAAAUAAUUUGGGAUGACUUUACCUUUAUAUGGGCGAAACCAUAGCACAAAUGACAGUAUGAAAGAGGAACAUUUUGACUCUAUUGCACGAACUGGAACAUGAAGAAAGAGAAACAUUCCUAAACGCCUAGUAGCCUCCUGCUUAUAAGUAUGGCGCACUAAAUACCCAUAAAUAAGACUCUACCCAACGUGAUUUUGCAGAUACCCUAGGACCAUGAACCAUGCUUUGAUACCAAGUUUUUCACGACCCAAACUGGGGCCCUGGCCGUGGCGAGCAUUCCGAACCAUGAAGGCCUAAAACACCCCUAUUUGUUUGAUAAUCAUGCACAUAAAUCAUAUGAUAAAAGAAAUGCGGAAGAUAACAAUAUUACGGAAACAUGGUCAAGAAUCAUAUGAAAUUAGUAACGGGGAAUAAUGUUCCACAAUCUUAACACAAUAUCUCUAUAAUGUCUGCGAAAUCUCUACUACAUGACUGAAAUAAAUAUCUAUCUGAAAACUGGGACAAGGCCCCCAGUAGAUCCAAAACUAAUAAAUGAUAAAUAAAACUGCCAGAUAUCAGACCUUCCAAAAUAUAGAAGGCUCACCAAGUGACUCUGCAAAUCUGUCUGAGGAAUCUACUGAUUUUCUGGACCCCUAGACUGUGCCUCCAAACCUGGGAAGGAAGGGGGUCAAUACAAAAGUACUGGUACGCAGAGAUAUCAAAACAAAACAUAAUAUUUUUACAAAAUAUAGUUGAGAGCCAUUAUAAAGCAGUUUCAUAUCAAAUCAUUUGAAAACACAUAGGCGUAAUGUAAUUGUUUUCAACAACAAUGUAAUGCAGCUAAGCUAGGUAGAAUACCCUACAUAUCAUAUUUACACCAACUGUCAUACCUUGGUUUUCACGAGAUUAGAGUAUAAGUGAGGGAAAGACACAUAAGAUCACACAGCAGGGUGUCUCGACCCAAUGGUAGUGCACAAUAUCACAAAGUAGGGCUCCUAACCAUAUUCCCAACUUGGGAAUAACAUAAAGUCAGGUACGCAAGAACACAAAGCAGGGUACCGAAUUCCGAUGUCGGCAAACACGGUUUCCAACGAUAAGCCCUUACACUCAAACACCUUUUUCGAGCAUCCACCAAUCUCAUGUAAAAUCAAUGCAUUUAAAUUUUAUUUGAUUCAAUCACAUAUUAUAUUCUGUAGGGUAUCGUCAUACCUGACUUACAAUCCAUCAAUAUCACAUCAUUCAUUUUAUUCAACCAUUGUAUUCAACAUGUUUCAACACAAACAGCCCUCUCGUUUUCAAGUCAAAUUCAUAUCAAUUCUCAAAACAUUUCAUGUCAUGCUUUUCAAGAUGUUUUCAAACAAUUUACAUCAUAUGAACAUUUAAAACAAAUUCACAUCAAGAGAGGGAUUCUAUAUAAUUCAUGCUCUCAAAUUAACACCUUUUCAAAAUAGAUGCAUAUACAUAUAGGGGUAUUUGAGGACUAAAUUUCGUGUUUAUGGCUAAAUAAGGGUGGGAAAAGGACCAUUUUACCCCAAAAAUGGAGUGUUUAAGUCACUUGUGUAGUAAUGUAUGCGGCGCACAGCUUAUCGCAUAAUAUAGGUUGUGCACUGUUUAUCACACACAUUAGGUUAUGCGUCACACACCUUAUGGAAUAAGUUAGGGUGUGCGUCGAACACCUUAUGGCAUAAGUUAGGGUUUGCAUUGUAUAAGUCAUAGUGGAAUAAGUCAUCCUUAUCCUUUAUAUAGAGCUCUUGUAAAUGUGUGCAUUAUGCAACGCACACCCUAACUUACAUGACUUAUGCGACGCACACCCGAACUUAUGCCAUAAGGUGUGCGACGUACACCCUAAAUUAUGCCAUAAGGUGUGCGACACACAACCUAAUGUGUGCGAUAAAGAGUGCACCGCACAACCUAUAUUAUGUGAUAAGGUUUGCGCCGCAUAUAUUAUUACUCAAGUGACUUAAACACUUCAUUUUUGGACAAAAUGGUCCUUUUCCCACACUUAUUUAACCAUAAACACAAAAUUCAAUUCCCAAAAUACACCUUCAUUUAUCAAAAUUGCUCAAGAACUCUCCUUAGGGUUUCAAAAUAAAAACCCAAGCAACUCAAGAUUCAACUGUGAGUUUUUGAAACUAAUUGAAUAUUUGGAAUCCCCAGAACGUAGGCUUCAAGAAGCACCUAUUAUCUUCGCAUAUAGAGGUACGUAGGGUUAUCUCGAAAAUCUCAUGAGCUUAAAAAUUCAUGUUUUAAAAAUGGGGGUUUUGAAAUUAUAAAUGUAAUUCUGUUUUAAACAUUUUAUGAUAAUGAUUUGGUCUUUAGGCCUAUUCCCAAAGUGGUUUGAAAUAUGAUAUAUGUAUAUGCAUGUAUUCUGAUAAGAUUUUAACUUGAGAGCAAGAAUUAUGUGAAAUUCCUCUUUUUAUAUGAUCUCAUUUUAAAUUCUCAUAUGAUGUGAAAUAGUUGAAAUCAUCUUGACAAGCGUAACAUGAAAUAUUUUGAAAAUGGUCUUGGUUUUGAUUUGCAAUGAGAGGGUUGUUAUGUUAAAAUAUGAUGAAUAUAAUGGUUGCAUGAAAGAAUGAUGUGAUAUUGAUGACUUGCAAGUCGGGUAUGACGAUACCCUAUAGAAUAAGAUAUGCGAUUAAAUUAAAUAGAGUUUGAUGCAUUGAUUUUACAUGAGAUAGGUGGAUGCCCUAAGAAGUUAUUUGAGUGUAAGGGCUCAUCAUUGGAAACCAUGUUUGCCGACAUGGGGAUUUGAUACCAGGCUAAGUGAUCUUGUGUACUUGACUUUAUGUCAUUCCCAAAUUGGGACUAUGGUUAGGAGCCCAGGCUAAGUGAUCUUGGUCACUACUAUACUUUAUUGGGUUAAGACACCCUGCUGUGUGAUCUUAUGUGUCUUCCCCUUACUUAUACUCUAAUCUCGGCGACAACCGAGAUUUGAUAGUUGGUGUAAAUGGUAUAUGUAGGGUAUUCCACCUAGCUCAGCUGCAUUACAUUGUUGUUGAAAACUAUUACAUUAUGCCCAUGUGUUUUCAAAUGAUUUGAUAUGAAAUUGCUUUAUAAUGGCUCUCACCUAUAUUUGUAAAAAAAUAUUAUAUUUUGUUUUUGGUUUCUCUGCAUACUAGUACUUUUGUAUUGGCCCCCUUCCCUCCCAGGUUUGGAGGCAUAGUUUAGGGUUCUAGAUAACCAGUAUAUCUCUUUUGGCAGAUUUGCAGAAUCAAGUGGUGAGCCUUCUAUAUUUUGGAAAGACUGAUGUCUGUCAGUUCAUUUAUCAUUUAGUAGUUUUAGGUCUACUGGUGGCCUUGUCCCAGUUUUCAGAUAGUAAUUUGUUUCAGUCAUGUAUUAGAGAGUUCGCAGAUGGUUGUUCAGAUAUCGAUAUAUGUUGUGGGACAUUAUUUCCCCUCUGUUGAUUUCAUUUGAUUUAUGACGGUGUUUUUCGUAAUAUUGUGUAUCUUCCGCAUAUCUUAUUAUCAUAUAAAUUAUGUGCAUGAUUACCAGAUAUAUAGGGGUGUUUCGGGCCUUCAUGGCUCAGAAUACUCAUCACGAUCAGGGCCACGGUUUGGGUUGUGACAAACUUGGUAUCAAAGCACGGUUCAUGGUCCCAGAGUAUCUGUGAAAUUGCAUCAGGUAGAGUCCUGUUUAUGGGUGUGUAGUACGCCAUACUUAUAAGCAAGAGGCUACUAGGCGUUUAGGAAUGUCUCUCUUUCUUCAUGUUCUAGUUUGUGCAAUAGAGUCAGAAUGUUUCUCUUCCAUAAUCUAAUUCGUGCUAUGGUGUCGCCCAUAUGAAUGUAAAAAAAAAAGUCAUCCCAAAUUCUUUCCUUACUCUAAUGUCCUCAGAUAUGUCUCAUUAUUAAGGUGAUUCAAGUGCAAAAGUUUAGAAUCUAAAUGGUAUGGUCUUUUUUGAUUGAACCAUAUAAGAGUUAAAAUUUGUGCAAGGACUUGAGAAGAGUCCGUUAGUGCUUCAAUGUGUAUUGAUUCCGAUGUAAACAUUGAUCCUGAUAGAAUCGUGCUUUUCAACUUGAGGUAUUAAUUGUAUUUAGUCCCUUUCAAAUUUAUGUUAGAAAUGUCUUGCUUAAGGGGGAGGAUGAUGUGUAGUAGAAUGUUGGAACUAUAUUUCCACCUGAAUAGUAGUAUGCAUUAAAGUGUUGUUGUCAUGACCUACUGGUAGUAAAAUUAGACCAAGUUGGUGAUGUGAAGUCACAAAGUUAGAAGUCAGAGCGAGGGUGACUUUUGUGUAAAUGAAUAUUUUAAUUGAAUAACCGAUGUUCGAGAAUGAUUUACCCCCUUAUGGUGAUAGACUAAUGUGGUAACUAGUAGCAUGUGUGGAGGAUAUGGUAGUCCGUGGAGGAGGUGUUUAACUCUGAUUUUUUUAUACAGAGUAAGAUGUGUAUUCUUAGUUCAUUGGAUAUUGCGUAUUAAAUUUCUAUCUCAUGUAAUCUUGUCAUCAAGGUGUUGUUGAAAAAAAUAAAGUCUAGUGAAGCCNNNNNNNNNNNNNNNNNNNNNNNNNNNNNNNNNNNNNNGUUUAAUAUAUAUAUAGCUGAAUCUGUUUGCAUGAGAUUGAGUUGGUAACGAGGUGAUUUAUCCUUGUGUGGUUAGUUUAGAGAAGGUAGAGAAGGAGUUGUUAGUUAGGGUGAUUUCUCGAUUGCUUGAAUUGUGAAAAUGGCUAUAUUAGCCAGUAAGUUAUAAGUAUAGACUCAUGGUUGUUUGUGGAAUUUGAAGGUAGUCUAAAUGUAUGUUUACGUAAGUAAGUAUGAGGUGAGAAUUCCGUAUAAGUAGAAAAGAUUGUAUGGGGUUAUAAUAUAAGAUUAAGGUUGAUCAUGUCUAUUAUUUAACUUUACCCCUUGACCUUCUUUUCAUUGGUAAUCGUAAAAUAGUACUACUUGUGAGAAGGUAUGUAGUGAUUUUUGAGGCGCUUGUAUAGUAUGUCCCAAAUUUUAUGGACAAACAUAUUAUGUUGCAUUUUUCAGUAGUGAUAGAUGAUUGGUACAGGACUAUAUGCUUGAAUUUAAUGUAGAAUGUGGUGGUAAAAAUAGUGGCAUGAGAUUAAUGAUGUAUGUUUUGUGGGAAAAAAUUAGUAGGCUUGAUGUGUUAAAAUAGUACGUGCUAAUGAGUUAUCAUAAGGAAGACCGUAAGGUCAAGAUCAAUUAUUUGUUGUUUGGAAGUUCUAGUCUACUAGUGUUUCUUGAUGUCUAUUUCAUGGUAUCCAAGUGAGAAUCAUGCGUAAGGUUGGGUUGUAAAAUCAUGGUUAGCACUAGACCUUAAGUUUUGAACAAUUGAUGUCCAUGAAGGUGGAUGUGAUGAUUUCUUGGUUAAUGAUACUAGUUUUAUGGAAGUAAUCUAAUUGGCUUGAACGAUAUAUGCAAGAGCUUAAGUUUAUUUGAUUCGUAGUUAGGUAUGAUGUUGCAUAUAUAAUGUAGAAGUAUGCCCAAGGUGAUUUGAGGUUACGGUAUUUUCUAAGACUAUUACACGUUUUGUGUGACGAGUGGUACCGUUGAGUUGCUAGGUGGAAAAAGACUAGUUAGAUGGUAUAUGGUGCUCUAAAUAGCCAAGUUAAGGAGUUUUGAUUGAUAGUGUUGAGCCUUUUUAUAUGAUCUUGAUUCUCAUAGUAGAGAGAUGUAAGUUUGGAGUCGCGAUAUUGGUAGGCUAUGUCGGAAGUAGUAUGAUUCAUUGAAGGCUUGGUAAUAUCCAUGUUGAGUGCUAGAUUCUAAGUUUGAGUUUUAAAGGUUGAACUAAUAGAAAAAAAGUUAAAGCACUAGAGAGUGUGCACUCCGACUAUAGGGAUACCCAUGAAGACCCAAAGUUAGUAAGUAUGCAAGUAUUAUAUGAUCACUACUGGGUCUAUAGAAUGAUAAAGUGUAUCUCAGAAGGUAGUAUUAACAGUGGGUUUUCCACUUUCAGGUGUAGUCAUUCGNNNNNNNNNNNNNNNNNNNNNNNNNNNNNNNNNNNNNNNNNNNNNNNNNNNCUUCGGUUUAGAGGCGAGUAAGGGAUCUCCCAAACUUAAUAUGAUUGCUUGAAGCUAAGGGGGGGAUGAUAGAGUGAAUAACGAAGUCAGGCUUUCAGAUUCUAGUAGUGAUGUCAGUAUGACAUAGAACAUCAGAAGGGAAGAGUGAGGCUCAACCUAUUCCGAUCUCAGUAUAUUUCGGUUAUCCUAAUACCUACUCAUACCUCACAUUUUAGUUCUAUGAUCAUAGUUUUGCAUUAACAGAUGUGCUUCUUUACACCUGAAGAAAAGAUACUUAGGCCAUCAGUAGCUGUUGAACCCAAGCCAUAAGGUAAAGAUGCUUAUUAUUUUGUCCAUUCUCGUCUAAUGCUGUGAUAAGUCAUCUAUUUCCUAUCUCUCUUUAUUCUCAUUUCAAGCUUUCUAUUUAUUAGAUGAAGAAAAGGGUUUCAUGUUACUAUGUCGUUUGGCUUCAAAAUUCUUUCCUUGUCCUUCAAAUUAAUUUUGGGAGUUGCGCAUGGAUACAAGCUUUCAACAUUGAUUGGAAAAUUAACUAAAUAUGAUUGAAAAGUAGCUAUAUUGUGAUUUCAUCUGUUCUCCCUUGCAUGGAUAUUGGUUGAGAAUCCUCCUAUACCUUCUCUGGCUGGUCCUGUUCCUGGUGCUAUUCCAUCUAUGUCACUGCAAGUAAAUUUGUGGAGGCUUGGGGGAGGGAUAAAUGACUUUUGAAUGUAGAGACAUUAUGAUAACUAUUUUCCCCACAUCUUUAGCAGUUCCAGCCUAUGCUUCCAGGCCAGCAGGCACAACCUUAUGGUUCUGGGUCACCUCAACAAUUUCUGCCACUUGGACAUGCAAAUGUUGCGAUGUCUCAACCUUCUCAAAUCCAAUUUCCUCAACCUAUGCAACAUGUUACUGGUAGACCUGUAGUAGGAAUGCAUAGUAUGCCUUAGGGCCCACCUAUUCCCCAUGAUUUUCAGCAAAAUCUUCCGAUGUCAAAUAACCUUCCAUUCAUAUAUUGAUGAAAUACAUUUUGUUAUCAUAUUUAACAGCAGGUAAAUGCAGAUUCUUUUAGCUCCCAGUAUCAGACACAGAUAAAUGAUCACAGGUUUCCAUCAGAGGUACAACCCUGGAUGCCAAUAAGUAAUCAUAAUGUGAAUUCUGUGACAACUAUGCAGAAGACUGGAGGAUUAGCAGCUCCCUUGGUUGUUCCAGGGAGAAUUCAAUCCGUUUUAUUAUACCCGUUUUGCAUAAAUAUUGUCAACCAGUAACAUGCUUAAGUUAAUCGGUUAAUGGGUGUGUGUUGACUGAAAGAGUCAACAUUUGAAUUCUAUGAUAGUUUUUUGAAAGCAAAUUAAGAUUCCAGUGAACAGAAAAGGUGUAAAACCGUGGUAUACAAGAAACGGAGCUCUACAAUAAUAUCAUUUUCAUUCAGAUCCAAUCUUUUUACCACUUUGUGUUCUCCAGACAGAAAAAAGAGCAUGCCGAUUUGGCUUUCCGAAAUUCUUGCUUUUGGAUUAUAAUCACAUAGGUUACUCAUAUGAAUAGGUUAAUGUAUGCAUCACAAACACUUAAUGUCUUGUCUAUGAACAAGUGGUGGUUAUGUUGGCCCCCAUCAUUGCCAAGAAAUCCCUCAAGUAUCCACAUCUAGUGCUUUGUACAUCAUUCUGCUUCUAUUAGCACUGGAGAUAAUAGGCCCCUUUGUUUCAGUCCUCUUUGUCAAAGUUAUCAUAUGGGUUGCCGUUCACCACUACCAAAUUCUACCUGACUGUUCAUCAGCAGAACCUGAUACACCUCUGCCGAUAACUUCAUUUUGACCCCAUUUCUCUAUUAUCAUACAUAUUUUACAUGUGGCUAAAUGCUAGUAUGUAUUGCUAUUUUCAGCAUCUUUUGAUGAUCAUUAGGCAAAUUAUGGUUGCUAAUGUUGUCAUAUUUCCUAUGGCUUUAUUACUCCAACCAAUUAAUAACAUUCUUACAAUUCUUGAAUUGAUUUUUAGAUACUAUUAUAAUAGAGGACAAAAAUCUCUCCUUGGGAGAAACCUCGACAGCUGAUGACAGAAAUGGAGGUGAGGUCUCGUGUCAUCAAUAUUUUUAUGGGUAGUUUUAUCCAGUUCCCUGUGCUUAUCAAUGAAAAAAGAAGUACACAAUUCUUUUUCUAUGAAGCUUCGGAGAACCACUUUUUCUUUCCUAAGUAUAUGUGAUUUCUGUUGAAAGUUUGUUUAGCGAGCAGAUUUUCUCGAUCUUACUAUACUAUGUAGGCUUCAUUUGGGAUUUGAAUUGACUUUUUAUUUCUAAUAUAGUUCUAAAAUAUUUUAUAUUUAACACUAUUGUUCUAAAAAAUGUGUUUAAGCAUACAAGGCCGGAUUAUAUUUGGUCUAUUUUAAACAAUUUUAUUUACUUUCUGAUUAAUGUAAUGUUAUUGUAACUCUAUGGCGAUAUGGAGAGAGGAAACUUGAUAUAAUAUUGCGGUUCACACUUCUCAUUCUGGUUUACAGAAUAAUAGUUUGGCUUGUUGCACACUUGCACCCAAGAGUGUGACCUAGUGGUCAAUGAAGUAGAUUGAGAACCAUGAGGUCUCAGGUUUAAUUUCCAAUAGAGAUAAAAACACUAGGUGAUUUCUUACCGUCCGUCCAAUCCUUGAUGGACAGAGUUACCCAGUAUCUGUGCUGGUACGUUGUAGCAGUACCUGGUGUAACUAGUCAAGGUGUAAGCUGGCCCAAACACGACGGUUAUCAAAGAAAGUUUAGCUGGUCGUGAGGGACAAGUAUUAAGGGACCAACAACUAGAGCUGUAAGGAAGUUUGAACUUUUUUAUUCUUUUUCUUUUGAGAUAAACAAUUUUUUUUUUGGAGAUAUUACUUUGUAUUCGUCAACGUUAAGGUUAUGCUAGCAGUCCAAAAUAAAUGAAAAAUAAUGAAAAUAAUGCGAGGAUUCGAAGAGAUCUACUACCUGUUAUGCAUCCUGUACUCAUUGGCCCUUAAACGAAAAACAAAAAUCUACAAUGCUAUUCCAUUUAAUUUUCUGAAUGGAAUUAUAUUUAUCUUCAAAAUACCUUCAACUUUUCUUGCUCCAUACAGUCCACCAAAUACAAGGAAGGAUUGUUCUCCCCUAUUUCUUCUAACUCAUGCUAAUCCCCUUUAAUCCAACAGCUCAACAGAUUGUUGUGUGUUCUUUGAUAGUCCACUUUACUUCAACUCCAUAGAUCUGGUAUGUGUUCUGGCAUGGUCCACUUUACUUCUAUUAAACUAAAGGUGUCAAAUGGGCGGGGUUGGAUGGAUUUGGGUGGAUCAAAGAGGUCUGAGUUAAUAAAUGGGUAGGUUAUUAACCUUCCCUAAAGCUACUUAGGCUGAAAUGGGUUGGGUUGAAAUGCUCUAAAAUGCGGGUCAUAACCCAUCCCACCCAAUUUGAACUCAGAUUUAAUUGCUUUAUUUGUUAUUUUAUAAACCUUUAGUACUUGAAAAAUUAUUAUCUUUUUGUUUAACUUGGUAACUUUGUAUUAUAUCACACAGUACAUGGGUUGUACUGAAACCUUUAUAUACAAGAGUACUCCUAUAUCGACUGUUCUAUAUCUAAACUUAGUCUACAACAUCAAUUAUCGAGGCAGUAUCAUUAGAGUAUAGUUGAUUACACCAAAAACAUAGAAGCAAAAUGCAGUUGAGUUUAUCCUUUUGCACACUAUUCUCUAUGCUCUCAAAACAUUUAGAAUUCCUUUCUUUCCAUAUAACCCACCAUAUAACACCAGGGAUAAUUCUCCAUCUAUCUCUAUCCUACGCAUGUACACCUGCUUCUCCCAGCACAUUAAAGUCUCGGUUACUUUCCUAGGCAUUGUCCUGGAAAUGCCUUUUAGUCUUAAGAUGAUUCUCCAAAGUUGUUGGGUGUACUUACAAUGUAGAAAUACAUGGUUAACCAUCUCUAAAGUUUCUCCACAGAGGAAACAUCUGGAGCACAAGGUUUUCCAUUUCUUCAUGACAUUAUUUUGUGUAAGAACUACUUCCUUGGUCAGUAACCAGACAAAGACAAAGCACGACACUGUGUGAGGUAUCCUACUUUUCCAUAUUUGCUUCCAUGGCCAUCUUGGAUCUGGGUGAUUUAUUUGGUUCAUCAUCUUGUAGGCUUUGUUGACACUGAACAUUCCUUUUUCAUUUCCCAUCCAUCAUAGUACGUCCUGCACUGUCUACAGUCUAUUGAAUAAGUCCACGGUAUUAAAAAAAUCAACUACUCUUAUUACCUUCCGGUCAUUAAAUUGCCUUCUAAAAUUGAAGUUCCACCCAUGUGGUGUCCAUAAUUCUUCUAUAGUCCUCUAUUGAAACAAUACCAAGUUGUAGAUAUCUGGAAAAAAUCACUUCCAUAUUCCCAUCCUCAUGUCAAUUAUCACUCCACAACCUAGUCUUGUUUCCAUCCAUCACUUUAACCUUUGAGUUGCUUUUAACUUCAUUCCACUAAUGUCUAAUAGAUCUAAUAGAUCUCUGGAGGCUAACCCUGUAUGGUGUGGUCACUUCUUUAGUCAUCCAUCUAUCUUCUUCAGGAUAUUUAGCCCCAAUCACUUUCCUCCAUACCAGCUAGUUAUUGUUUGCAUAUUUCCAUAACCAUUUCAUCACGAGAGCCUUACUUUGAAUUUUUAGGUUCUUUAUCCGCAACCCUCUAGUCUUCUUGUCAAUUGUCCACCACAGAGAGCACUACCGCUUUUUCUCACAUAUCUUUGUUCCUUAUUCUAUCUCUCGUAGUAUGCCCACACACCAAUCUCAACAUCCUUAUUUCUGCUACGUUUAUGUUUCAAACAAGCGAGCUCUUGACCAGCCAAACACUCUGCCCCAUGUAAGAUAGCUAGUAUAACAACCACUUUAUAAAUUUACCUUUAAGUUUAUUUUAACAAAAUUCUUAUACAUGGCAUGCUAGUUACUAUCUCUUUUGCAAGAGCUAAUUAGGACAAAAAACACAUGUUCAAAAAUUGAUUCAUCGAAAAAAAGCAUAACUAUAGUUUAUGAGUUUCAAACGUGUCCAAAUGGAGACAAAAUUAUGGGUGGGCUGUGUUGAGUAUGGAACUUAGAACCUCAGUGCAGGAUUUGAACACCCUUACUGUCACACUCAGUCUUGUUUUUUGUGGCAAGGGUGUUCAUUAAAAAAUACUUAGAAAUGACAGAAUUUGACCUAUAUAUAUAUACAAAAUGCGAUUAUCAGGCGAAUGUUGUUCAGUUGAUCACCCUUGGAUAGCUGUAGCUCGGCCGCAGCUUUGCAAUGUUUCCACCCUGCUUGUAGUUAUAUUCUACACAGUACAUUCUAGUCCUUUUCCAUGUGGGACAUUAUAUCAUUCAUAUUCUAACACUUCCAUCAAGUAUUGUACUGGUGGAAGUUACUGACUUCUACUCUCAGGGUACUAUUUAUGUUCUAUUUUUUGACUUGACCUGCUUUCAUGCUGUUUUCAUUGGGACAGAGGGCAGACACAUCAACUGACUGGAGAGAAUUUACAAGUCCUGAGGGAAGAAAAUGUGUAACUUAUAUAUUUUCUUGGCCUCUUUCCAAUUGUUCUUCUACAGUGGGUACUUUUGUGUGUUACUUGUGCAUAAUGCUGAUUGCUUUGUUUGUUUUCUAUAGGUAUUACUACAACAAGGUUACUAGAACGUCCAAAUGGAGAAUGCCUGAUGAAGUCAAGGGGAUGUUAGAUUUAAAUCCGAUAUGGGUUUGUUCCGUGCUUUAAAUAGCAUGAUAAGAAGGGAUUGUUCUGUGCUUUAAAUAGCAUGAUAAGAAGGGACAAUAUUCUAUUUUCUUGGAUGCUCUAGUUCUCAUAAAAUCUUUAUGCAUUCACAGUUGCUAGUAUGAUAAGAAGGGGCAAUAUUCUAUUUUCUUGGAUACUCUAUUCUCAUAAAGUUCAAUUAUUUGUAAAUUCACAGUUGGCUUGUGAAAAGGACACCAUAUCGCACGGUUCUGCUUUUGGAUCCAUUUCUGUUGUUAAAACAUCAUCCUCGGGUGCAGAUGAUUCAUUAGUAUUGGCACACGGUGCUAAAUCAAGCUUAAUUGCUGUGUCACCAGCUACUAACUUACCAACUAUUGUGGCUUCAGAAUCAUCAAGUUUAUCUGGUAAGGUUUCUUCUCCGAUGAUUGAAACAGUCAAAAUAAAGAAUUCUUCAGAACCUGCUUCGCCAGCUGUUGCUAAUUCAGAGAAAAUUGGAAUAGCAGUAACCUUGGGAAAUUCUGUCGUGCCAUCGAUAUAUGUUUUCAGAUUUAUAUGUUAUAAAUUUCCCUCUAGUUUGUUUUGCUUCUUAUUUGGAAUUCAAUUUUUCAAUAGUUCUGAGACUACUACAACUCAAGAUGCAGUAGUGUAUGGUGAUGGAUUUUCUUCGGAGAAUAAAGAGGUACUUUGUCCUUCUAAAAUACUUAUGCGAUUAGUUAAUUACUACUGGUUACUGGUUAAAACACCAAGAAAGCUUUUCCGUAGCUGUUAUGCUGGAUGUUGAUCCAACAAUUUUGUAGUGCAGUUGUUAGUCAACUGCUAACAGGUGAAGAAUAUGCUCCGAAUUCCAAUGAGGUUUUCUUUUGUCCUUUGUUCUUGAUAUUGUCCCUAAAAUGCAAAAUUUCAAGAAAGAUGCUGCAAUAACUAAAAUAGGACGUGUUACUCCAUCAGCUGAGAAAACAGUCGAGCUAGGACCAUUAGUUUAUGAGAGCAAAGCGGUAUAGUUGAUUAUUGCUUUUUGUCCCGUUUAAGGUAUGUUCUCAAAAUUUCUCUUAUUUCUAUUUUAAGUAUUUGAUUUUAUUUAGGAGGCAAAGAGUGCAUUCAAAACUCUUUUGGAAUCAGCAAAUAUUGGGUCUGAUUGCACGUGGGAUCAGGUUUAUUACUUUACUAUUUUGUGCAUACCAAAUAAUUGAGGGAGAUCAUUUGACAUGAGUUGUAUUUAUCAGGCCAUGAGAGCAGUAAUUAAUGACCGGAGAUAUGGUGCUCUAAAAUCCCUUUGUGAGCGGAAGCAAGCUUUUAAUGAGGUAUCUCUCCAAGUCGGCAUUGGAAUGGGUUAAUUGCUGCUUCAAUGUUUCAGCAUACCAUAUUGCAAAAAGAUAGAUUGUGUUUGAUAUUCAAUUGUUUCAUGUUUGGUCGACUUAAAUAUUUUGGAAAAUAUUUUCCAAAUCAACUUAUUUUCCUUAAAUUUAAGGAAAAUGAAUUCCCUUCAAAAAGUAGGAAAAACAUUUUCCAAAACUCUCUUUCAAUCUCACUCUUAAGUUGAAAUGUUUAUACAACUCUCAAAUGUAUUUUCUGAAAAAUAUUUUUUUAUUCACCAACCAAACACUAGAGAACAUUUUCUGAAAAAUGUUUUCAUUUCAUCAACCAAACAUAAGAAAACAAAUAAAAACCAACUUGUUUUCUAAGAAAACAUUUUCCUUAAUACCAAACACACCAAAGGUCUAUAGUGAUCAUUUUGAAGUUGUGUGUCUGUUCCAGUAUCUAAGCCAAAAGAAAAAACUGGAAGCUGAAGAGAGGCGUGUUAAACAGAAAAAAGCUCGGGAAGAUUUUAGGAUAAUGUAGAAGUAAGUGAAAUUUUCUUUUGUGGGUGUCUUGCAUUUGAUAUAUCAUGAUAUUCGCAUUACCAGUUUCAAAAAUAUAAAGAUAUUAUCAUAAUAUUCAUGGUGUGUUAGAUACUGGUAUUUGACUUGUUCAAAAGAAUAAGUGGUAUUUUUCACAACAAUGUCCGUUGUUCUCAAUCUUAUAGGAUUGCAAGGAGCUGUCACCAUCGUCAAGAUGGAGGUUUGUCUAUCACUUUUAAUGUUAAGUUGUCUGCUGCUUGUUUUCUAAUCUUGGUCAUUGUUUGAAUGUGUUUUGGUACCUUGAAGUUGAUCCAUUACUUGUGUAAGUUCCAUUUGAUCCACUAACUAUUUGAUAUUGAUUAUUCAGUAAGGCAAUCUCCAUAUUUGAACAUGAUGAACGUUUUAAAGCUGUUGAGCGAGCUAAAGACCGUGAGGACCUUUUUGAAGAUUAUGUGGAGGAACUUGAGAAAAACUAUUUGCUAUUGAUUAUUUAGCAAGGCAAUCUCCAUAUUCAAACAUGAUGAACAUUUUAAAGCUAUUGAGCGAGCUAAGGACCUUUUUGAAGAUUAUGUGGAGGAACUUGAGAAAAAGGUGAAGCUCCUUUUGCAGAACUUUUUUGUAAGCUUCUAUAUGUUAAAAACUAAGUGUGCGGACUAUAGUUUCUUUAUAUGGUCUUUGGCUCCUCAAAAAUUGAGUUAGCCUUUCAUUUGAGAUAGAAACAAGGUCCAAUUUCUUAAAUAUGGUAUUAGAGGCAGAUCUAUCUUGAUGUUAUACAAUUAAAUGUUACCCAACCUAGGUUAACUAAUGCUACAAAUGUCUAGUCUUGGUGUGUGAUUAAUGUAUGAGAAUCCCACACUAGUAAGGUGUAUGUGCUGUAGUUUCCUUAUAUGAUCUUGGACAAUCUUCACCACCUGACCUAGUUUUUGAAGUUGAGUUAGGCGCUGGUCCACUUGAUCCCAAUUGAUCCUUAUGGAAUCGUGCUUUCCAGGUUAUGGUAUUAAGUGCAUCUAGUCCCUCCCAAAAAUCUUGAUAUAGAUGUAGACGGUGUAUAGCAGAAUGUUGGAAAUGUAUUUCCACCUGAAUAGUAGCAUAAGUUAAAGUGUUGUUGUCAUAACCUAUCGGUAAUAAAAUUAGACCAAGAAGUUAGUGAUGUGAAGUCACAAAGUUAGAAGUCAAAGUGAGGGUGAUUUUUGGUGUAAAUGAAUAUUUUAGUUGAAUAACCAAUAUUUGAGGAUGGUUGACCCCUUUAUAGUGAUAUACUAAUGUGGUAGUUAGUAGCACGUGUGGAUGGUAUGGUAGUCUAUGGGGAAGUAUUUUACUCAGAUUUUUAUUUAUACAGAGUAAGAUGUGUAUUCUUAGACCAUUAAAUAUUGUUUCAAUUAUAAAGCAGUUUUAUAUCAAAUCAUUUAAAAACACAUGGGCGUGAUGUAAUUGUUUUCAACAAUCAUGUAAUGUAGCUGAGGUAGGUGGAAUACCCUAUAUAUCACAUUUACACCAACUGUCAAACCUCAUUUGCCGUCGAGAUUAGAGUAUAAGUGAGGGGAAGACACACAAGAUCACACAGCAGGGUGUCUCAACCCAACGGUAGUGCACAAGAUCACAAAGCAGGGCUCCUAACCAUAGUCCCAACUUGGGAAUGACAUAAAGUCAGGUACACAAGAUCACAAAGCAGGGUACCGAAUUCCCAUGUCGGAAAACACGGUUUCCAGAGAUAAGCCCUUACACUCAAAUGCCUUCUUCGGGCAUCUACCUAUCUCAUGUAAAAUCAAUGCAUUUAAAUUUUAUUUGAUUCAAUCACAUAUCAUAUUUUGUAGGGUAUCAUCAUAAUCGACUUGCAAGCCAUCAAUAUCACAUCAUUCUUCUCAUUCAACCAUUGUAUUCAACAUGUUUCAACACAAAUAGCCCUCUAGUUUUCAAGUCAAAAUCAUAUCAAUUCUCAAAAUAUUUCAUGUCAUGCUUUUCAAGAUGUUUUCAAACAAUUUACAUUAUAUAAACAUUUAAAACAAAUUCACAUCAAGAGAGGGAUUCUAUAUAAUCCAUGCUCUCAAAUUAACACCUUUUCGAAACACAUCCAUAUACAUAUAUAAUAUGUUAAAUCACUUUGAAAAUAGGCCUAAAGACCAAAUCAAUAUUAUAGUAAUGUUCAAAACAUGAUUAUAUUCAUAGUUUCAAAGCCCUCAUUGUAAAACAUGAAUUUAAAGGCCCAUGAGAUUUUAGGAUAACCCCACGUACCUCCAUAUGCGAAGAUGAUAGGUGUUUCUUAAAUCCUACGUUCUGGGGAUUUCAAAUAUACAAUUAGUUUCAAAAAUCCACGAUUGAAUCUUGAGUUGCUUGGGUUUUUAUUUUGAAACCCUAAGGAGAGUUCUUGAGCAAUUUUGAUGAAUGAAGGUGUAUUUUGGGGUAUUUGGGGACUGAAUUUUGCGUUUAUGGCUAAAUAAGGGUGGGAAAAGGACCAUUUUGCCCCAAAAAUGGAGUAUUUAAGUCACUUGAGUAGUAAUGUAUGCGACACACACCUUAUCUCAUAAUAUAGGUUGUGCGGCACACUCUUUAUCGCACACAUUAGGUUGUGUGUUGCACACGUUAUGCUGUACGACACACUCCAAUUUGUAAAGCCAUAACUUCUUCCUCGGGUGUCGAAUUUUUGUGAAAUUGGUAUCGUUGGAAAGAUAAUUCAAAGGCCUUUCAUUUGAUAUAUAUUAGACACUCUAAUUAAAUAUAUACAAAGAUUAAUGACCAAUUGAAGUUGACCCAAGUUUUGAUGCUUACUAAAACUCAAUCGAUGGAAAAGCUUUCAACUCGUCCUUGAGUUAGGGGACCUCUAUGAUCUCAAUUUAUGCUCAAAUAGAUUUGUACACCACAUAUUUGAUUAAAAAACUAUAUUCCUAAUAGAUUUAUUGUUUUUGGAAUGUGUACAAGUAGAAAUGACAAUUUACGUUCAAGUCUGAAAGUAUGGGGUGUUACAAAAAAUUAUUGGGUUAUUGGUUCGGUUCGAUUUUUUCUUAUUGGGUUUUUAGGUAAACCGAUAACCCAAUAAGAAUAUAUAUAUGACUUAUUAUAUAUUUAUCUUUUAUUUCUACAAAUUAACAAACCUAUUAUUUCAAUUAUAUAAACUCUUAAUUUCUCCUAACAACAUUUAGUUUAAACUUGAAGAUUGUUGUAAAUUUAAACACUUCAUGUAGGAUUUUUAUUGCAACUAAGAUUCAUUUUUACAUGUUUGUUACUACUAUUUCUAUUUUAUGAGUAUUUUCUUAUCGGUUAAAUCGAAAACCAAAUCAUUAAGGACUAAAAACCAAAAAAAAAUAUUUUAUUGGUUUGGUUAUUGGUUUAGUAUAUUAAAAAACCAAAAAUCAAUAAAUCUAACGAUAACAUGUAAAACCCAACCGAACUGACCGAUGCACUCCGCUAGACACAAAUGCUUUAAUUACUUGACAAAUUGUAUGAGAUGAACACAUUUUGCAUUACAAAUUGCGAUACAAGACUCGCAUAUAUAUAUUUAUUUUAACUUUAUAUGAUAGUCUAAGUAUUUAUUUGUGCAACACUCAAAAUUAAAUAUAUAAAUAUUUGUUGAUGAUGUCAAGUUGAAAACACAUUUAUGUAUUAUGUCAAACGUUUAAUUCCUUUUUUGAACUAUAGCUAUAACAUGUAGCAUGAGUGAAUGUACUCUAAUUUUAAGUUGAUGAAUUCACCUAACAUUACUACAAUUAGUAGAGUAAUGAGCAAAAUUAAAUUCAUUGCUAUUUAUUUAUAUUUUAAAAAAUCAAGGUGGAGUCAGAGAGCAAUUAUCAUAAUUAAGGAGGAGCUAAAGGUAUAAUUAAAUGAGAAGCAUGGAGUCUUUUGAUAGAGUGUAUUAAAAAAUUAAUAACAACAACAACAAUAAAUUCAGUGUAUUUCCACGUAGUGGAGUCUGGAGAGGGUAAGAUUACGUAGUCCAUAUCACUAUCUCCGGAGAAGUAGAAAGACUAUUUUCGAUAGACUCCCGACUCAAGACAAGGAAUAAUAAUCAAAUCUGUGAUAAAGCAUGGAAUGUAUUACGUAAAAAUUAAUCCAUCCAUUAAUUUAAUGUGUAUUGGUAGUCCCUUGUUUGAUAUAUAUCUUUUUAUCUUAUGUAUAACUAAUGCAAAACUUAGUUAUAUACUCUAUUGUGUAUUGAGGUGUGUAUUACUAAUACCUCAAAAUUUAUGACAUUAGUAAUGCAAUGGAUCUAAUGCAUGUAUUAACAUGCCUAAAGUGGGGGUAUUAUGUAAAAAAAAAUUAUGUAAUUCAUGUUAUUUUUAAUACUUUGAAUAAAAUACUGUAUAAGAAACAACAACAGCAACAACAACACUCAGUAUAUUCCCACAUAGUAGGGUCUAGGGAGGUUAGUGUAUGCAGAUCAUAUCACUACUCAGGUGAAGUAGAGAGGAUGUUUCUGAUAGACUCCCAGCUUAGGAUCAUAAUAAUAUACCAAACAUAAAAGAUAAAUGCAUAUAAACUAAUACGAUACGCAAAAAAAACUAAAAAUAUAACAAAUAUCAAAGAAUAUGUAUAUAAAUUAGUAUCGUAUGAAAAAAUAGUCAAUCUACCAAGCAGUGUCAGCUUUGUGUUGGGUGGUUGGUAGUCAAGAAAGUGUUAGCUUUUCCAAAAAGAAACCCCCCAAUAAAGAAAGAAGUCCCUCCACAUUCACCAUUGAUUUAAUGUUAUUUUUAAUACGUAGAAUCAACUACUGUGUAAAAAAAUAGAAGCAUAAUUAAUACAAAUAUUAUUAAUAUAUCAUAUUUUAUAUUAUUUUUAUGAAAUAAUAUUUUAUAUUAUUUUUAUUAGAAAAUACUCUAAUUAAUUUUGUUGAAAUUAUCUAUCUAUAUAAUAAAGGAGGAUAGUUUAGCCUAAAACUAAGACAAGUGUCAUAUUGAGAACUACCUAUUUGAAUUUUUACAACAAAAAANNNNNNNNNNNNNNNNNNNNNNNNNNNNNNNNNNNNNNNNNNNNNNNNNNNNAACAAAUAAAUGAAUGAAUAUAAGAAAAUCCGUAAUUAGGAAAAAAAUAAUUGUUACCUAAUUUGAGUUUUUAGCAAAUUAUAAAGAUAAUAAUAAUAAAUUGACCAUAAUUAAAUUAUAAAUUUAUAAGAAAUAUUUGAAAAAUAAAUUAGUAAUUAGGAAAAUAAAUAAUUGAUACCUUUUUAAAAUUCUUUCAAAAAUUAAAAAGGUAAUUGAUAUCAAUUUAAUGUAAUCAAUUUAUAAAAACAUGAGAAAUUCAUGGGAUUGAAUUUCCGAAAUUAUAAAGGUUAUUAAGAUCAAUUAUUUUCGUAUUUGAGCCCUUUAUACAAUUGUAGAUUAACUAAUUAUUUAUCAAGCUACAAAAUUAGGACAGAUUUAUGGUAAAUAACUAUCUAAUAAUAAUAAUAAUUUUAUUGCUAUCAAAUUAAUUAGAUUAAAUUGAACUAGAAAUUAGUUAAUAUUGACAAUUACUUUGAUAAAAAAAAUAUAUGGAAAGAUUCGUAAUUGAUAUACAUAUAUUGGUAAAAAAUCAAUGAAGGUUGACUAUUAUUUUAGCUAUAAAUAUAUUUUAAAAUUUACAUACAACAUUAAAUUUAAGGAACUUGAGUCUAUAUAUUAUGAUCAUAAAAUUGAUUCUAAUUAAUUGAAAUUAAUUAGUUGAUUGUAUAGUUUUAUUACAACAAUUUCGUACAUCAUUUAUUUAAUAAAAAUACAUAUAAUUAAUUGAUUGAUUUUGUGCAAUCUACAAUAAUUUUAUUAAUUCAAAUGAAAUGAUUUUUAAAUGAUAAGUUUGGAUUAUAAAAAUAAAGGUGAUUAUUGUAUGACUUUAGCAUUUCUUAUUUAUUAAAAAAUAUUUAUAGACAAAAAAAUGUCAUCACUCAAAAUAAUUAAAUUUGAACUAUUUUAGUGAAACAAUGAAAGAUUGAAUAUAAGAAAAUCCAUAAUUAAGAAAAGAAAUAAUUGUCACCUUAUUUGAGUUUUUAGCAAAUUAUAAGAUAAUUAAAUAAUCAAAUUGUAAAUUGAUAAGAAAUUUUUGAGAAAUAAAUUAGUAAUUAGGAAAAGAAAUAAUCGUUACCUUUUAAAAAUUCUUCACAAAAUUAUAAAGUUAAUUAAUAAAAAUUUGAUAUAACCAAACUAUAAGAAUAUGUGAAAUUCGUGGGAUUAAAUUUGUGAAAUUAUAAAAGUAAUUAAUAUUAAUUUUUUCCAUAUUUGAGUCCUUUAUGUAAUUGUAGAUUAAUUAAAUAUAAUCAAGCUAUAAAAUUAGGAUAUAUUUAUGGUAAAUAAAUANNNNNNNNNNNNNNNNNNNNNNNNNNNNNNNNNNNNNNNNNNNNNNNNNNNNNNNNNNNNNNNNNNNNNNNNNNNNNNNNNNNNNNNNNNNNNNNNNNNNNNNNNNNNNNNNNNNNNNNNNNNNNNNNUAUAUUUUAAAAUUUACAACAUUAAAUUUAAGGAACUUGAUUCUAUAUAUUAUGAUCAUAAAAUUGAUUCUAAUUAAUUGAAAUUAAUUAGCUGAUUGUGUAAUUUUAUUACAAUUAUGUUGUACAUCAUUUUUUAUAUAAAAAUACAUAUAAUUAAUUGAUUGAUUUUGUGCAAGCUACUACGAUCAUAUUAAUUCAAAAACAACGAACACUAACUUCUACUUAUGCAAAGUUUCGUAAUUGAUAUACAUAUAUUGGUUACAAAAACAAUGAACAAUAACUUCUACUUUAGCCAUAAAUAUAUUUUAAAAUUUACAACAUUAAAUUUAAAGAACUUGAGUCUAUAUAUUAUGAUCAUAAAAUUAAUUUUAAUUAAUUGAAAUUAAUUAGUUGAUUGUAUAGUUUUAUUAGAACAAUUUCGUGCAUCAUUUAUUUAAUAAAAAUACAUAUAAUUAAUUGAUUGAUUUUGUGCAAUCUGCUAUGAUCUUAUUAAUUCAAAUGAAAUUAUUUUUAAAUGGUAAGUUUGGAUUAUAAAAAUAAAGGAGAUUAUUGUAUGACUUUAACAUUUCUUAUGUACUAAAAAAGAUUUAUAGAUAAAGAGAUGUCAUGCCUCAAAACAAUUAAAUUUGAACUAUUUUAGUAAAACAAUAAAUGAUUGAAUUUAAAAAAAUCUGUAAUUUAGAAAAUUAUAAAGAUAAUUAAAUAAUCAAUUAACUAUAAUAAAAUCAUAAAUUUAUAAGAAAUUUUUGAGAAAUAAAUCAGCAAUUAAAAAAAAUAAUCGACACCUUUUAAAAAUUCUUCCCAAAAUUAUAAAGGUAAUUAAUAUCAAUUUGAUAUAAUCAAACUAUAAGAAUAUGAGAAAUUAAUGGGAUUAAAUUUUUUAAAUUAUAAAGGUAAUUAAUAUCAAUUGUUUCCAUAUUUGAUUCCUUCAUUUAGUUGUAGAUUAAUUAAAUAUAUUCAAGCUAUAAAAUUAGGACAAAUUUAUGGUUAAAAAAUAUGUAAUAUUAAUAAUAAUUGUAUUGUUAUCAAACUAAUUAGAUUAAAUUGCGGUAAAAAUCAGUUAAUAUUGACAAUAAUUUUAACAAAGAAUAUGUGCAGAGUUCCGUAGUUGAUAUACGUGUAUUGAUUAAAAAAAACAAUGAACAUUGACUAUUACUUUAGCCAUAAAUAUAUUUUGAAAUUUACAACAUUAAAUUUAAAGAACUUUAGUCUAUAUAUUAUGAUCUUAAAAUUUAAUCUAAUUAAGUGAAAUUAAUUAGUUGAUUGUGUAGUCUUAUUACAAUUAUAUCGUACUUUAUUUAUUUAAUGGAAAUAUAUAUCAUUUAUUAACUGAUUUUGUACAAUCUACUAUGAUCUUAUUAAUUCAAAUGAAACAAUUUUUAAAUGGUAAGUUUAGACUAUAAAAAGAAAGGAGAUUAUUCUAUGACUUUAGUAUUUCUUAUGUAUUAAAAAAAGAUCUAGAGAUAAAAGAAAUAUAAUAUUAUAAUAUUUUUGGGUUAUUUAAUUAAUUUAUCGCGUUUCAAAAUAUUAUUUAUAUCAAUUCAGUGAUGUUUAUAUGGAAAAGUUAAAUUUUAAAAAAAUAAAUAUCUUAAAUUUCAUAAUUUAAGUUAAUUUGUGUGCUAAUUUGAAAAAGUUAAUUUAUAGUUUGCAUUUUAUUUCUAUUAUAUGAAAAAUUUGACCUCAUAUGGCUAUUUAUAGCCAUUGAAUAAUACAAAUAUUUGUUACACUUUUCUUUUCUCUCUCUCUCUCAUGGGUAUUUCUCAAGUUUUUCAUUAUGAGUAUGUAAAUAUUCACUUGCCAUAUACAUAUCCUUGUAAAUAUUUACUUACAAUUUACAGAUCCUUGUUAGUUGUAUAUAUCCAUUGUAUGAUGAUGAAUAAAAGACACAGAAAAAAAAGUUUUCUCCAUUCUAGUCUUUUGCUAUUUUUAUAUUUCAAGAAAAAAUAACAAGAAUCCUACAGAUUCUAACAACCUUUUGCUGGCUCUUACUCUUUCAACUCUUUGAUUCAGUAAUUUCUCUUUCUUUUUAUUAUUUACCAUGAUUAUUUGUUUUAUCAGAAGGAUUUGAUAAGUUCUUUGAAUUGUUCUUGUGAUAUUUGUUUGUGAGGUAUUUUAUUAAUUUUCAAUAGAAGACUAGUAGUAAAUAAUUUUGCGUCAUGUCUCUUCUGGUAGUAGUAUUAGUAUAUAUUUUUCUUUUCUACUUGUUGUAUUGUAUACCUCUGUUUUCUUACUUGCUACUAUUGUUAAUAUCCUCGUGUUUUUGCUUUCCUUACCGAGGAUUUAGGGGAAACAGAUUUUCUACUUGUCAAGGUACGGGUUAUGUAUGUUGUUGUUGAAGAAGAAGCAUGUAGAAAGAGAGAUUAUAAAAAGAAAGGAGAUUAUUGUCUGCCUUUAGCAUUUCUUAUGUAUUAAAAAAGAUUUAGAGACAAAAGUUGUCAUCCAUCAAAACAACUAAAUUUGAACUAUUUUAGUAAAAUAAUAAAAGAUUGAAUAUAAGAAAAUCUAUAAUUUAGAAAAAAAUAAUUGUUACCUUAUUUGAGCUUUUAGAGAAUCAUAAAGAUAACUAAAUAAUCAAUUGACUAUAAUCAAAUUAUGAAUUUAUACGUAUUUUUUGAGAAAUAAAUCAAUAAUUAGGGAAAAAAAUAAUCGUUACCUUUUUAAAAUUCUUCCCAAAAUUAAAAAGGUAAUUGAUAUCAAUUUAAUAUAAUCAAUCUAUAAAUAACAUGAGAAAUUCAUGGGAUAGAAUUGCCGAAAUUAUAAAGGUAAUUAAUAUCAAUUGUUUUCAUAUUUGAGCCCUUUAUGUAAUUGUAGAUUAAUUAACUAGAAUCAAGCUAUAAAAUUAGAAAAGAUUUAUGGUAAAUAAAUAUACAAUAUUAAUAAUAAUUUUAUAGUUAUCAAAUUAAUUAGAUUAAAUUGAGUUAGAAAUCAGUUAAUAUUGACAAUUAUUUUAAUAAAAAUAUAUGCAAAGUUUUGUAAUUGAUAUACAUAUAUUGGUUACAAUAACAACGAACACUGACUUCUACUUUAGCCAUAAAUAUAUUUUAAAAUUUACAACAUUAAAUUUAAAGAACUUGAGUCUAUAUAUUAUGAUCUUAAAAUUGAUUCUAAUUAAUUGAAAUUAAUUAGUUGAUUGUAUAGUUUUAUUACAACAAUUUCGUACAUCAUUUAUUUAAUAAAAAUACAUAUAAUUAAUUGAUUGAUUUUGUGCAAUCUACUAUGAUCUUAUUAAUUCAAAUGAAAUGAUUUUUAAAUGAUAAGUUUGGAUUAUAAAAAUAAAGGUGAUUAUUGUAUNNNNNNNNNNNNNNNNNNNNNNNNNNNNNNNNNNNNNNNNNNNNNNNNNNNNNNNNNNNNNNNNNNNNNNNNNNNNNNNNNNNNNNNNNNNNNNNNNNNNNNNNNNNNNNNNNNNNNNNNNNNNNNNNNNNNNNNNNNNNNNNNNNNNNNNNNNNNNNNNNNNNNNNNNNNNNNNNNNNNNNNNNNNNNNNNNNNNNNNNNNNNNNNNNNNNNNNNNNNNNNNNNNNNNNNNNNNNNNNNNNNNNNNNNNNNNNNNNNNNNNNNNNNNNNNNNNNNNNNNNNNNNNNNNNNNNNNNNNNNNNNNNNNNNNNNNNNNNNNNNNNNNNNNNNNNNNNNNNNNNNNNNNNNNNNNNNNNNNNNNNNNNNNNNNNNNNNNNNNNNNNNNNNNNNNNNNNNNNNNNNNNNNNNNNNNNNNNNNNNNNNNNNNNNNNNNNNNNNNNNNNNNNNNNNNNNNNNNNNNNNNNNNNNNNNNNNNNNNNNNNNNNNNNNNNNNNNNNNNNNNNNNNNNNNNNNNNNNNNNNNNNNNNNNNNNNNNNNNNNNNNNNNNNNNNNNNNNNNNNNNNNNNNNNNNNNNNNNNNNNNNNNNNNNNNNNNNNNNNNNNNNNNNNNNNNNNNNNNNNNNNNNNNNNNNNNNNNNNNNNNNNNNNNNNNNNNNNNNNNNNNNNNNNNNNNNNNNNNNNNNNNNNNNNNNNNNNNNNNNNNNNNNNNNNNNNNNNNNNNNNNNNNNNNNNNNNNNNNNNNNNNNNNNNNNNNNNNNNNNNNNNNNNNNNNNNNNNNNNNNNNNNNNNNNNNNNNNNNNNNNNNNNNNNNNNNNNNNNNNNNNNNNNNUAUCAUGUUUCAAAAUAUUGUUUAUAUCAAUUCAGUGAUGUUUAUAUGGAAAAGUUAAAUUUUGAAAUAAUAAAUAUCUUAAAUUUCAUAAUUUAAGUUAAUUUGUGUGCUAAUUUGAAAAAGUUAAUUUAUAGCUUACAUUUUAUAUCUAUUAUAUGAAAAAUUUGACCUCAUAUGGCUAUUUAUAGCCAUUGAAUAACAAAAAUUAUUUGUUACACUUUUCUUCUCUCUCUCUCAUGGGCAUUUCUCAUAUUUUUCAUUAUGAGUAUGUAAAUAUUCACUUGCCAUAUUUCUAGAUCCUUGUAAAUAUUCACUUUCCAUAUACAGAUCCUUGUAAAUAUUUACUUGCAAUUUACAGAUCCUUGUUAGUUGUAUAUAUGCAUUGUACAAUGAUGAAUGAAAGACACAGAAUUUUUUUUUCUCCAUUCUAGUCUUUUGCUAUUUUUUACAUUUCAAGAAAAAAUAAUAAGAAUCCUACAGAUUCUAACAACCUUUUGUGGGCUCUUACUCUUUCAACUCUUUGAUUCAGUAAUUUCUUUUUUUAUUGUUAUUUGCCAUGAUUAUUUGUUUUAUCACUGGAUCCUUCUAUGACAGUGGGUCAGGAAAAAAGAAUUUCGUGGAUCUGAGCAAACCCCAUGGUCACUGUAAGAAAGUUCAUCCUAAGAAAUCUGGUCGUGUUUCAAGCCGAUAUGUAUAUCAUUUUGCUGUAGCUUCCCUUUUCACACUUAAACUGAUGUUUUAAUCUGUAUUUGCUUGUCCAAAGUAAUGACAAAUGUUUCUUCACGGUAGAGACCUUAGCGUUCCAGUGUUGAUUCGGACUGUUAGAAGAUUCACAAAGGAGAAAGUACAAAUGGCUUUUGAAGUUUCAAGCAUGCUACGGAAUCAAGUUGUUGAAAGGGCUUCUGCUAAGGAAGAAGCCAGCAUAUUACAGGCAGAACUAGAUUUACGAACAUGAAGAUUGGAGAUAGAAAAGAAUGAGUUACAAUCUAUACUAGAAAAAGAGUUAGAUAGAAGAUCCAGCGAUUGGUCUCUAAAACUUGAGAAAUACCAAAUUGAACAACAUAGACUCCAUGAAAGGGCGAGGGAGCUUGCAGAGCAGAAUGUCUCUCUACAAAGGAAAGUCUCUUCAUUUAAUGAGAAGGAAGUAGAUAAUAGAAUCAAGAUGUCAUUUUCAGAGAAACACCUUAAAGAUUUGUCAAAGAGAAUAGAGCAAGUGUCAGAGGAGAAUCAAAAUCUAAGACAGCAACUCACUCAGUUACAAGCGGAAUAUUGAGUAGCUCAAGACAAUUGAGAUUAUGUUCGGGAAAACUACCAGGAAAAGGUUAAAGAGCUUAAAUUGGAGAUUUUGCUACAACUGUGCUAAGGGAGAAGCUCUAUUCCGAGGAGAUGGACAUAAAGCAACUUCAGGAUGAUCUAGCCGUAACAAUUAGAGGUAACGACAUUCUCCAAUGUGACGUUUAAAAUGCGCUGGACGCUCUUUCUUAUGCCACACCCAAGUUGAAAUAUCUUGAUCUUCAGGUAAUCAGGCAAUGUUAAGAUCUUGUUGCAACGAAAUAGUUUUUAUUAUUCAACUUUGGUUACCUCGUCUUCAUAUAUGAUAUCCUGUUCGUAUGUUACUCUCUCUGCAUUAGCUUUCUACUUCUGUUUGAUUUUAAGAUCAUCUUUGUUCCAUCUGAAGUUCACGAUUUUCUUUAUGAACUUGUAUACAUGAGUUGCUAGCAUGUGGUAGUCUUCUGUGAAAUGUCUGAUCGCCUUAAUGUGUAAUUAGUUGAACCAACCAAGAACAUGAUAAACUUUGUGAUAUCCUCAAACCCAUUGAUUUGAUUGUGCUCUGAUGUGGUAAAGUUACCCGAAGGGGUUUCGGUAAGUUUGCUCGUUCAUCUGACUUAAUUCUUGGACAAGCUCACGAGUUAUCUACUGUGAAUUUUAACAGUUAAAAAGGAUUCAUGAUUUGGUUGAACUUCUAAGUUAUGAGUUUCUUUUGAAUUUUUGAUAAAAUAUUAUUGGUGAUCUUUGUGUCUUUCUUGUUUUUCAUGGUUUAAGGUUGAUUCUGGCAGGUGCUAAAAAAGGACGAAAAUAUCAACCAACUUACUAAUGAUUUGCAAGAAUGCAUGAAGGAACUUGGAGUUGUGAAGGCGAUACUACCAAAAGUGUUUCAGGAGAGGGAUUUUAUGUGGGAGGAAGUUAAGAGCUACAGUGAGAUGAACAUGCUGUUGAAUUAUGAGAUCAACAUGUUGAAAAGAAAGGUAGAUACCCUCGACGAAGACUUUCUUAUGAAAGAGGGUCAAAUCACAAUCUUAAAAGACUAGAUAGGCAAACCUUUCGACCUUCUUGCAAGUCCUGAUUCUCUGUUGGAGUGUUGGAUGCUAAAUGGCCAAACUACAAUUCAUAUUUUGUUCAUUGACUAUAAUGUUCAUACUUCUCGUAUACUUACUGGUUUUACUCUUAUUCUUUCUCCCCUUUGAUACUUGUUAAAUAGAAAGUUUGCUUCUUUCUUUUGCAACCUUUUUGAAUCUCCAAUUGUAAACAUUUCUUUUACUUGCUGGUGAUCAAGACAAUGAACUUCUUUUGCUUCAUUUGGUUUUGUAAGUAAUGGCUGUUUUUGGUCUUUUGAAAUAUUUAGUGAGGAUUGGUGGUACCAUUUUCUUCUCGUCUCUGAGGUAGAGGUAUGGUUUGCAUAUAUUCUGCUUGAAUAUACAUCGGGUAUGUUGUUGCUGUUGUAUGGAGAUUGUGUGUAUAAUAACAAUCGUAUAUUUGAUGUCGGGUCAUCCACACUUUCAUUCCUUGUAGGGGAAAGCUCAUUAAGCUUACUGAGUUAACUUCUCAUUAAUAUAUUCUUUUACUAAAGUUGUCACUGGGUAGCUACAAAAAACAAUUGUCUAACUGGGCAGUUCAUGUUCAGUUUGUGCAUAUAUUAAGUAACGUCCAAAUUUUUAACCAUAUAACUUUACUUCAAAAUGGUGCAUGGACCAGAGCUGCUCUUAAGUCUGGUCGGUUGGCAGACUCUUCCAUUUGAUCUACAAUCAAAUGCCUGCUUUGUCUCAGUACAUUUAAUUCUGUUGUGCUCAUUCACACCUGGUUUAUGCCAAGUAUGUGAGACACAUAUAGAAGCCUCUAGUUUCAUCUUCUUUAUAUAGUUUUAAACUUUAUUUGACUUGCCAUGAGGGAGUUCCACCCUGCCCUCUGAUCAUUCUUUUAGAUACCCUCUUUCAUUUGCCUCCACCAUGUUUUAAAUUUUCCUUCCAGUACCUGAUGUUUCACCUGCCACAUUAAAUGUUGUUUGCACACUUUUAAACUAUGCACUGCGUUUAAUUUCAAAAAACAAAAAAAACUAUGCACUACAUUGUAGAACAUUUUGAUAAUUUUUUGGUAUGUCAGUAUGUUCUUUAUGUUUAUGCUUACAUCAAGCAGACACAGUUACUAUAAAGGUGGAAUUAGUUUAUGUACCAUUUUUCUUUUGCGUGUAACUUCUGAAGUUAUUUGGGAUCCAUUAUUUAUAUGUCAAUAAGAGUCUUUGAUGUCUUUCCUGAUAAUGUUUAUGCUUACAUCAAGUAGACAUAUUUAUUAUGAAGGUGGAAUUGGUUUCUGUACUAUUUUACUUUUGUGUGUAACUUCUGAAGUUAUUUGGGAUCCAUCAUUUAUAUGUCAAUGAGAGUUUUUGAUAUCUUUCCUGAUAUUAAACCUAUCAUUUUUUCUUUAACAUGUCUAAUCUCCUGUAUACCUGGCUUUUUGAUCUUUAAUGAUGCAAACAAUUUCCCUUCAAGAACUUGCACUUACCUAAUUCCUAGUAAGACAGUCUUAGAAUCUUCUAUGCUGAAAGAUGCCUAUUGGUGGUUAGUUUUUUCGCCAGGAGGUUGCAUUGGAAGGUACAAGCAUACAUGAUAUCGGUAAAACCAGCAAGAACCAUAUUUUUUUGAAAAUGAUAGCAUAUAUACUAUGUGGGCAGUAUUUUCUUUACAAAAAUGAGCCUCUCUGUGCUUUACAAGGCCUCCAAAGUUGCAAAAUGGAUUCAGCACCCUCUACAAGAAACUCUUAACGUCAAAAUAAUAAGUUGUUUGAUCUUAUCUGCAACAAGAAUGAUGAGCACUGUGUUCAGUUUGGAGCCUGUCCCUAUGCUCGUCUAGACUUAUCCUUAUCUUUAUUGCCUUCUAUUUGCUUGUUGUCUUUGUUCUUGCUAGAACCUGCAUUUGAGAAGCUUGUGUUGUUGUCUUAAGUUAAUGUUUAAGUUUUCUUUCCUUACUGCAGUGCAUCAAAAUUCAACUUAUGGUGCUGCUGAAAAUGUUGGUACUGCUGCUAAACCUAAUGGCAUAAUGCAUGAACCUGUACGUGCUGAUAGACCCAAUGCAUUCAGUAACAAAAACUCAUCUGUUCUCUCUUGCAUAUAAACAGUAAUUGAUAUUCCUUCUCAAACAGCAGGUCCAUCAACGUUUGAGCUCCCGAACCACGUUCUUGUUGGGCCUGGGCGUGAAGGUGGUGUUAGAGUGGGUGAAAGUCCCACAUUGUUGGGGAGUGAACGUCGGUCUUCUUAUAUGGACUUGAGAAAUCCUUCCCUCAUGUGCUAGCUUUUGGGGUUGAGUUAGGUCCAAGAUCCUUUCUUUACACAAUCAACCAUCUUUUCUUACAUUUGAAACGGAAAGAGCAGCUGUAGAGAAUGUUUUCAACCUGAAGGGGUUCAGGUGGGUAGAACCUGGGAGCAUUAAAAAAGUACUAAGCAGCUAGAACGGGGAUGUAAAUGUAAUAAAGGAGGAGAGAUGGAAAAUUGUUCAACAUGUAUAUGGUGGACAGUUUAGACAGAAAAAAACAAAGGUUGUUUUGAGGAUGUCCAGAAGAUCAGCAUGAAUAGUUUAGCACUUCUUUAUUUUUGGUGUAAACACGAUGAUUAGCUCUAACAGAAGACAUCAUUGAUGUGCUAGACUGUCUAUAGGCAAUAGAAAGACAGAGUAAAUGUAAUACUUUGAAGGGGGACAUCAUUUUUGUUGGCUAGGGAUUUGAACAAAGAUGGGAAAAGCUCUAUACUAUAUAAAGGACGGGGAUGACUAAUAUGACAACUCUUUUCUUGGAUGGAACAUAAUUUUUGUUAUAAGAUAUGGAAGAUAUGAAGAUAGGCCAAAGUGUUGUCAACUAACAGACUUUUAAAAUUAAGAGCCAAAGAACGCUAAACAAUGGGUGUAACUCAAAUCUAUUUGAAUAAAAGGAAUACUAACUCUGAGAGAACAAAGCACACUCUCCAGUAGUCUAGUAAAAAUAGUAGAUCUUAAAAUCCCACUGCUAAGCAAAUUAAUUUAAAUGCUGCUUUAGAUUAGAAAGUCACUUUGUUAUAUUAUGUGUUCAGUGGGUUCUCAUUUAUACUGCUCAUCAUAUUUUCUGCACUAUUUUUUCAACAUUUUCUCUAAAGUCUAUAAUUUACUCUUCUUCACUUUGAACUUGGGCUCUGCAUCUUGGACUUCUAUAUGUUGGUUCACUUGUAGUACUUCUUGUGUAUUCUAUCCUGUAUGGUCUGACAGCAAAGGAAUCAAACUGGCUUGGGGCUACAACAUCAGCUGCCGUGAUAAUCCUUGGUAGUUCAUUUCCUACAUAUAUCUGUCUCCUUUUCUGACUCAUAUUGUGAAAUAAUUUCUUAUUUCUUUGUCGUAAGUAAUGAAUUCACUAGCUUUUCAUUCAAUCAGAUUGGAACUUGGGAGCUUACUUGUAUGGUUUUAAGCUUUUGAAAAGUCGAGUCGUCGUACUUUUUGUUGCUGGUACAUCCUAGGUGUUCCUGAUCUAUUUUGGAGUUCAUUACUGGUUUGUUGUUAACCCAUGCUAAUUCAUUUUCAUCCAUAAUCAAGUCUUUUUAUACUUGUGGCAUAUGCAUCCCUUUUAAUAUUAUUUGUUGAAUAGAAACUUCUAAUCUUUUGUUAUAAAAAAAAAAUCUUCUAAUCUUUUACUGUAACAAUUUUUUUUCAGGUACUUUGGGCAUUGUAUCAGUUAUGCAAUUGUAGCAUCUAUGCUGUUGGGUGCUGCUAUUUCAUGGUAUUUAUUAGUUACAGACCCAUUAGUAGCUAGACAAGAUGCCUUAAAGAGCACAGUUAUCCGCCUUAGAGAAGGUUUCCACAGAAAAGACCAAAAUAGCUCUGCAAGCUCUUGUAAGGGGUGUGGCUCAAGUGUCAAACGCAGUAGUAUGCUGAUGCUGGUCAUCUUGGUAAUGCAACUGUGCCUUGCACUGGUGAUGGCAGUACCUGGAAUAACAUUGAGGGGAUUAACAGUGAUAAGAGCAUAGACAGUGGAAGGCCAAGUCUAGCUCUACGUAGUAGUUCCUGUUGUUGAGUUGUUCAAGAGCCUGAAGUAGGAUCAUCAUAUGUUGACAGAAAUUUAGAGCAUAAUAGUUCAUUGGUUGUUUGUUCUAGCAGUGACCUUGAAAGCCAAGGCGGUGAUUCUAGUACAUCCACUUCUGCAAACCAACAUAUACUGGACUUGAAUUUGGCACUUGCAUUUCAAGAAAAGUUGAGUGAUCCCAGGAUUACAUCUAUGUUAAAGUGGAAAGAAAGACACACUGAUCGUGAAUUAGCUAAUUUAUUGCAAGAUAAAGGGCUUGAUCCUAAUUUUGCAGUGAUGCUGAAGGAGAAUGGAUUGGACCCAAUGAUUCUAGCCUUGUUGCAGAGAAGUAGUUUGUACGCUGAUCAAGAACAUCGCGAUAGUAACCCUCCUGUCACUGAUACAAAUGAUGUUGAGGAUGUGUUACCUAAUCAUAUUUCAUUCUCAGAAGAACUUAGACUCCAAGGAUUAGGAAAGUGGCUUCAACGUUGUAGAGUAAUGUUGCAUCAUGUAGCAGGAACUCCAGAGCGAGCAUGGCUUCUUUUCAGUUUAAUCUUCAUUCUUGAAACCGUCGUUGUGGCUAUCUUUCGACCACAGACAAUAAAACUUUUGAAUGCUACACACCAAUAGGUAAGAAAUGCAUUAGUACUUUUAAAGUACAGUUUAGUGUAUUUGGAGUACGGUGCAGCUAAAAUGUACUCCAUAUGGUUGUACUUUCCAUUUUCUAACAAAAUUUUGUAACACUCCGCAUUUCGGACGAGAACAAAAAUCGUCAUUUUCUUCACGUAAAGGUUCCAAAAGCCAUAAAUCCAAUGCAAGUUUAGUGUGUUAAUAAAUUAUGUAGUGUGGAAACCUAUUUGAGCAUGAAUUGAGAUCAUAGAGGUCCCCAAGCUCAAGGAUAAGCUGAAUGUUUUCCUAUCGUUCGAAUUUUAGUGAACGUUGAAACUUAAUUCAUUUUCAAUUGACCAUUACUCUUUGUAUAUAUUGAAUUAGAGUGCCUACUAUAUAUUAAAUGAAAGGUAUUCGAAUUAUCUUUCUAACAAUACCAAUUUUGCAAAAUUCUGACACCCGAAGAAGAAGUUAUGUCAUUGAAAAAUGGAGUGCAUCGUGCAGCAUAGGUGUGCAACGCACACCCUAACUUAUGCCAUAAGGUGUGCGACGCACACCCUAACUUAUGACAUAAGGUGUGUGACGCACAACCUAAUGUGUGCAAUAAAGAGUGCGCCGCACAACCUAUAUAAUGCGAUAAGGUAUGUCCCGCAUAUAUUAUUACUCAAGUGACUUAAACACUCCAUUUUGGGGGCAAAAUGGUCCUUUUCCCUCCCUUAUUUAGCCAUAAACACAAAAUUCAGUUCCCAAAAUACCCCAAAAUACACCUUCAUUUAUCAAAAUUGCUCAAGAACUCUCCUUAGGGUUUAAAAAUAAAAACCCAAGCAACUCAAGAUUCAACUGUGGGUUUUUGAAACUAAUUGCAUAUUUGGAAUCCCCAGAACGUAGGCUUUAAGAAGCACCUAUCAUCUUUGCAUAUAGAGGUACGUGGGGUUAUCUCAAAAAUCUCAUGGGCUUAAAAAUUCAUGUUUUAAAAAUGAGGGUUUUGAAAUUAGGAAUAUAAUCCCGUUUUAAACAUUUUAUGAUAUUGAUUUGGUGUUUAGGCCUAUUCCCGAAGUGGUUUGAUAUAUGAUAUAUGUAUAUGCAUGUAUUCCAAAAAAAUGUUAACUUGAGAGCACGAAUUAUAUGAAAUCCCUCUUUUUAUAUGAUCUCGUUUUAAAUUCUCAUAUGAUAUGAAAUCCCGAAGUUAGUAAAUAUGCAAGUAUUAUAUGAUGACUACUGGGUCUAUAGAAUGAUAAAGUGUAUCUCAGAAGGUAGUAUUAAUAGUGGGUUUUCCACUUUCAGGUACAUUCAUUUGGGUUAAGUGCCAUGAUAUGCGUGUAUAGUAGUUUUCCAGACCCCAGAGUGCAGUGAGUGUACUUCAGUUUAGAGUCUAGUAAGGGAUCUCCCAAACUUAAUAUGAUGGCUUGAAGCUAAAGGGGAGUUGAUAGAGCGAAUAACCAAGUCAGGCUUUCAGAUUCUAGUAGUAAUGUCAGUAUGACAUAGAACAUCUGAAGGGAAGAGUGAGGCUUAACCCAUUCCAGUCUCAGUAUUUUUCAGUUAUCCUAAUACCUACUCAUACCUCACGUUUCAGUUCCAUGAUCAUAGUUUUCCAUUAACAGACGUGCUUCUUUACACUCGAAGAAAAGAUACUUAGGCCAUCAGUAGCUGUUGAACCCAAGCCAUAAGGUAAAGAUGCUUAUCAUUUUGUCCAUUCUCGUCUAACACUAUGAUAGGUUAUCUAUUUCCUAUCUCUCUUUAUUCUCGUUUCAAGCUUUCUAUUUAUUAGAUAAAGAAAAGGGUUUCAUGUUACUAUGUGGUUUGGCUUCAAAAUUCUUGCCUUGUCCUUCAAAUUAAUUUAGGGAGUUGCGCAUGGAUACAAGCUUUCAACAUUGAUUGGAAAAUUAACUAAAUAUGAUUGAAAAGUAGCUAUAUUCUUAUUUCAUCUAUUCUUCCUUGCAUGGAUAUUGGUUGAGAAGCCUCCUAUACCUCCUCUAGCUGGUCCUGCUCCUGGUGCUAUUCCAUCCAUGUCACUGCAAGUAAAGUUGUGGAGGUUUGGGUGAGGGAUAAAUGACUUUAGAAUGUAAAGACAUUAUGAUAACUAUUUUCCCCACAUCUUUAGCAGCUCCAACCUAUGCUUCCAGCCCAGCAGACACAGCCUUAUGGUUCCGGGUCAUCUCAACAAUUUCUGCCACUUGGACAUGCAAAUGUAGCGAUGUCUCAACCUUCUCAAAUCCAAUUUCCUCAACCUAUGCAACAUGUUACUGGUAGACCUGUAGUAGGAAUGCAUAGUAUGCCUCAGGGACCACCUAUUCCCCAUGAUUUUCAGCGAAAUCUUCCGAUGUCAAAUAACCACAUGCCUGGUUCUGGUGGCCCAAAUUUACCUCUUUCUUCUUCAUAUAAUGUAAGGCCUUGGGAAGAUCUUUUGUGGUUAUUGUCCAUCAGUUUUCGAUGUUCCAUUCAUAUAUUGAUGAAAUAUAUUUUGUUAUCGUCUUUAACAGCCGGUAAAUGCAGAUUCUUUUAGCUCCCAGUAUCAGACACAGAUAAAUGAUCAUAGGUUUCCAUCCGGGGUACAACCCUGGAUGCCAAUAAGUAAUCAUAAUGUAAAUUUUGCGACAACUAUGCAGAAGACUGGAGAAUUAGCAGCUCCCUUGGUUGUUCCGGUGAGAAUUCAAUGUGUUUUAUUAUACCCGUUUGGCAUAAAUAUUGUCAACAAGUAUGCUUAAGUUAAUCGGUUAAUGGGUGUGUGUUGACUGAAAGAGUCAACAUUUGAAUUCUAUGAUAGUUUUUUGUAAGCAAAUUAAGAUUCCAGUGAACAAAAAAGAUGUAAAACUACGGUAUACUAGAAAAGGAGCUCUACAAUAAUAUAAUUUUCAUUCAGAUCCAAUCUUUUUACCACUUUGUGUUCUCCAGACAGAAAAAAGAGCAUGCCGAUUUGCCUUUUCGAAAUUCUUGCUUUUGGAUUAUGUUCACAUAGGUUACUCAUAUGAAUAGGUUAAUGUCUGCAUCACAAACACUUAAUGUCUUGUCUAUGAACAAGUGGUGGAUAUGUUGGCCCCCAUCAAUGCCAAUAAAUCCCUCGAGUAUCCACAUCUACUGCUUUGUACAUCAUUCUGCUUCCAUUAGCACUGGAGAUAAUAGUCCCCUUUGUUUCAUUCCUCUUUGUCAAAGUUAUCAUAUGGGCUGCCGUUCACCGCUACCAAAUUCUACCUAACUGUGGAUCAGCAGAACUUGAUACACUUCUACCGAUAACUUCAUUUUGACCCCAUUUCUCUAUUAUCAUACAUAUUUUACAUAUGGCUAAAUAUUAGUUGGUAUUGCUAUUUUCAGCAUCUUUUGAUGAUCAGUAGGCCAAUUAUGGUUGCUAAUGUUGUCAUAUUUCCUGUGGCUUUAUUACUCCAACCAAUUAAUAACAUUCUUACAAUUCUUGAAUUGAUUUUUAGAUACUAUUAUAAUAGAAGGACAAUAAUCUCUACCUGGGAGAAACCUCGAGAGCUGAUGACAGAAAUGGAGGUGAGGUCUCUGUCAUUGAGAUUUUUAUGGGUAGUUUUAUCCAGUUUCCUGUGCUUAUCAAUGAAAAAAGAAGUACACAAUUCUUUUUCUAUGAAGCUUUGUAGAAUAACUUUUUCUUUCCUAAGUAUAUGUGAUUUCUGUUGAAAGUUUGUUUUGCGAGCAGAUUUCCUCGAUCUUACUAUACUAUGUAGGCUUCAUUCAGGAUUUGCAUUGACCUUUUAUUUCCAAUAUAGUUCUAAAAGAUUUUAUAUUUAACACUAUUGUUCUAAAAAAUGUAUUUAAGCAUACACGAUAGGAUUAUAUUUGGUCUAUUUUAAACAAUUAUUUUUACUUUCUGAUUAAUGUAAUGUUAUUGUAACUCUAUGGUGUUAUGGAGAGAGGAAACUUGAUAUAAUAUUGCGGUUCACACUUCUCAUUCUAGUUUACAGAAUAAUAGUUUGGCUGGUUGCACACUUGCACCCAAGAGUGUGACCUAGUGGUCAAUGAAGUAGAUUGAGAACCAUGAGGUCUCAGGUUUAAUUUCCAACAGAGAUAAAAACACUAGGUGAUUUCUUACCGUCUGUCCAAGCCUUGAUGGACAAAGUUACCCAGUAUCUAUGCUGGUGGGAGGUAGCAAUACCUGGUGUAACUAUUCAAGAUGCAAGCUGACCCAAACACAACUGUUAUCAAAGAAAGUUUGUCUGGUUGUGAGGGACAAGUAUUAAGGGACCAACAAUUGGAGCUGUAAGGAAUUUUGAACAUUUUUAUUCUUUUCUUUUUGAGAUAAACAGUUUUUUUCUGGAGAUAUUACUUUGUAUUCGUCAGCAUUAAAGUUAUGCUAGCAGUCCAAACGAAAUGAAAAAUAAUGAAAAUAAUGCGAGGAUUCGAAGAGAUCUACUACCUGUUAUGCAUUCUGUACACAUUGACCCUUAAACAAAAAACAAAAAUCUACAAUGCUAUUCCAUUUAACAUUCUGAAUGGAAUUAUAUUUAUCUUCAAAAUACCUUCAACUUUUCUCGGUCCAUAUAGUCCACCAAAUACAAGGAAGGAUUGUUCUCCCCCAUUUCUUCUAACUCUUGCUAAUCCCCUCUAAUCCAGCAGCUCAACAGAUUGUUGUGUGUUCUUUGAUAGUCCACUUUACUUCAACUCAAUAGAUCUGGUAUGUGUUCUGGCAUGGUCCACUUUACUUCUAUUAAACUAAAGGUGUCAAAUGGGUGGGGUUGGCUGGAUUUGGGCGGAUCAAAGAGGUCUGAGUUAAUAAAUGGGCGGGUUAUUAACCCGCCUUAAAGCUACUUGGGCUAAAAUGGGUUGAGUUGAAAUGCUCUAAAAUGUGGGUCAUAACCCAAUCCACCCAAUUUGAACUCAAAUUUUAUUGCUUUAUUUGUUAUUUUAUAAACUUUUAGUACUUGAAAAAUUAUUACUCCCUCCGUCCCAAAUUAUGUGUCAUCAUUUCCUUUUUAAUCCAUCCCAAAAUAAGUGUCGUCUUUCCUUAUUUGGCAACUUUUUAAAGGUACAAUUACCCUUUUACCCUUAUUGGUCCCACUUAAUUAAAAAAAAAGAUAUUGACACAUUUUUUGAUGAAGGAUAAUUUGGUAAAAUUUACCAAGUCUUCCCUUAUUUCUUAAACUUCAUGCCCGGUCAAAUGGUGACACAUAAAAUGGGACGGAGGGAGUAUUUUUUUUUUAACUUGGUAACUUUGUAUUAUAUCACACAGUACAUGGGUUGUACUGAAACCUUUAUACACAAGAGUACUCCUAAAUCGACUGUUGUAUAUCUAAAUUUAGUCUAGAACAUCAAUUAUCGAUGCAGUAUCAUUAGAGUAUAGCUGAUUACACCAAAAACAUAAAAGCAAAAUGCAGUUGAGUUUAACCUUCUGCACACUAUUCUCUAUGCUCUCAAAAAAUCUAGAAUUCCUUUCUUUCCAUAUAGCCCACCAUAUAGCACCAGGGAUAAUUCUCCAUCUACCUCUGUCCUUCGCAUGUACACCUGCUUUUUCCAGCACAUUAAAGUCUUGGAUACUUUCCUAAGCAUUGUCCUGGAAAUGCCUUUUAGUCUUAAGAAGAUUUUCCAAAGUUGUUGGGUGUACUUACAAUGUAGAAAUACAUGGUUUUCCCUUUCUUCAUGACAUUAUCUUGUGUAUGAACUACUUCCUUAGUCAGUAACCAGACAAAGACAAAGCACGACACUGUGUGAGAUAUCCUACUUUUCCAUAUUUGCUUCCAUGGCCAUCUUGGAUCCGAGUGAUUUAUUUGGUGACACUGAACAUUCCUUUUUCAUUUCCCAUCCACCAUAGUACGUCCUUCACUGUCUGCAGUCCAUUGAAUAAGUCCACGGUAUUAAUAAAUUCAACUACUCUCAUUACCUCCCGGUCAUUAAGUUGCCUUCUGAAAUUGAAGUUCCACCCAUGUGGUGUCCAUAAUUAUGCUAUAGUCCUCCAUUGAAACAAUACCAAGUUGUAGAUAUCUGGAAAAAUCACUUCCAUAUUCCCAUCCUCUAGUCAAUUAUCCUUCCAAAACCUAGUCUUGUUUCCAUCCAUCACUUUAACCUUUGAGUUGCUUUUAACUUCAUUCCACUAGUGUCUAAUGGAUCUAAUAGAUCUCUAGAGGCUAAACCCGUAUGGUGUGGUCACUUCUUUAGUCAUCCAUCUAUCUUCUUCAGGAUAUUUAGCCCCAAUCCCUUUCCUCCAUAGCAGCUGGUUAUUGUUUGCAUAUUUCCACAACCAUUUCAUCACGAGAGCCUUACUUUGAAUUUUUAGGUUCUUUAUCCCCAACCCUCUAGUCUUCUUGUCAAUUGUCCACCACAGAGAGCACUACCACUUUUUCUCGCAUAUCUUUGUUCCUUAUUCUAUCUCUCCUAGUAUGCCCACGCACCAAUCUCAACAUCCUCAUUUCUGCUACGUUUAUCUUUCGAACAUGCGAGGUCUUGACCAGCCAAACACUCUGCCCCAUGCAAGAUAGCUAGUAUAACAACCACUUUAUAAAUUUACCUUUAAGUUUAUUUUAACAAAAUUCUUAUACAUGGCAUGCUAGUUACUAGCUCUUUUGCAAGAGCUAAUUGGGAUAAAAAAUACAUGUUCAGAAAUUGAUUCAUCAAAAAAAUGCAUAUCUGUAGUUUAUGAGUUUCAAACGUGUCCAAAUGGAAAAAAAAUUAUGGGGGGAUGUGUUGAGUAUGGAAAUUAGAACCUCAGUGCAGGAUUUGAACACUCUUACUGUCACACUCAGUCUUGCUUUUUGUGGCAAGGGUGUUUAUUAAAAAAUACUCAAAAAUGACAUAAUUUGACAUAUAUAUAUACAAAAUGCGAUUAUCAGGUGAAUGUUGUUCAGUUGAUCACCCUUGGAUAGCUGUAGCUCAGCCGCAGCUUGGCAAUGUUUACACUCUGCUUGUAGUUAUAUUCUACAUAGUACAUUCUAGUCCUUUCUAUGUGGGACAUUAUAUUAUUCAUAUUCUAACACUUCCAUCCAGUAUUGUACUGUUGGAAGUUACUGAUUUCUACUCUCAGGGUACUGUUUAUGUUCUAUUUUUUGACUUGACCUGCUUUCAUGCUAUUUUUAUUAGGACAGAGGGCAGACGCAUCAGCUGACUGGAGAGAAUUUACAAGUCCCGAGGGAAGAAAGUGUGUAACUUAUAUAUUUUCUUGGCCUAUUUCCAAUUGUUCUUCUACAGUGGGUAUUUUUGUGUGUUACUUAUGCAUAAUGUUGAUUGCUUUGUUUGUUUUCUAUAGGUAUUACUACAACAAGGCUACUAGAACGUCCCAAUGGAGAAUGCCUGAUGAAGUCAAGGUGGUGUUAGAUUUAAAUCCAUUAUGGGUUUGUUCCGUGCUUUAAAUAGCAUGAUAAGAAGGGAUUGUUCAGCUCUUUAAAUAGCAUGAUAAGAAGGGACAAUAUUCUGUUUUCUUGGAUGCUCUAGUUCUCAUAAAAUCUUUAUGCAUUCACAGUUGCUAGCAUGAUAAGAAGGGGCAAUAUUCUGUUUUCUUGGAUACUCUAUUCUCAUAAAGUUCAAUUAUUUAUAAAUUCACAGUUGGCUCGUGAAAAGGACACCAUUUCGCAUGCUUCUAAUUUUGGAUCCAUUUCUGUUGUUAAAAUAUCAUUCCAGAUGUAGAUAGUUCAUUAGUCUCGGCACACGGUGCUAAAUUGUCAUGACCCGAGUAUUCUGAACCAUCAAGGCCCGAAACACCCCUUAUCUAUCUGGUAAUGAUGCACAUGACUUAUAUGAAAAAGAAAUGCGGAAGAUACACUAUAUAACAGAAACAUAGUCAAGAAUCAUAUGAAAACAAUUAUGGGGAAUAAUGUCCCACAAUCUCAAUCAACAUCUCUAUAACGUCUGCAAAAUCUCUACUAUAUGACUAAAAUAAAUGUCUAUCUGAAAACUGGGACAAGGCCCCCAGUAGAUCCAAAACUAAUAAAUGAUAAAUUAAACUGCAGACAUCAGGCCUUACGAAAUAUAGAAGGCUCACCACUUGAUUCUGCGAUCUAUUGGAAGGAAUCUACUGCUUGUCUGGACCCCUAGAUUGUGCCUCCGAACCUGGGAGGAGAGGGAGUCAAUACAAAAGUACUGGUACACAGAGAAAUCAAAGAAGAAAUAUAAUAUUUUUACACAAUAUAGGUGAGAGCCAUUAUAAAGCAGUUUCAUAUAAAGUUAUUUGAAAACACAUCGGCAUAAUGUAAUAGUUUUCAAUACCAAUGUAAUGCGAUUGAGCUAGGUAGAAUACCCUACAAUUGUAAUUCCACGGCUAUGUAGAUCCGCCUCUGGUGCUUGGUGGCCAAUCCUCCAAUCCAAGUAGCCGCCAGGAUUUGGAGCCAGUAUACCCCCCAUGUGAGUACACCGUAGGGAAUCCCCCCAUGUGAGAUGUCCCAAUUAUUUUAUUAUCCUCCCAUGUAGGAUACAAUAUCAUAUGACCUGCAUCGGCAACUACGGUUUCCAGUGAUAAGCCCUUUCACUCAAACGCGUUCUUCGGGCAUCCACCUUUCUCAUGAAAGUCAAUGCAUUCAAGCUUUGUUCAAAUCAAUCACAAGUCAUACUCUGUAGGGUAUCUUCAUACCCGACUUGCAAGCCAUCAAUAUCACAUCAUUCUUCUCAUUCAACCAUUGUAUUCAACAUGAAUAACCUUCUCGUUUUCAAGUCAAAAUCAUAUCAAUUCUCAAAAUAUUUCAUGUCAUGCUGUUCAAGAUGUUUUCAAACAAUUAACAUCAUAUGAACAUUUAAAACAAAUUCACAUCAAGAGAGGAAAUUUCAUAUCAUUCAUGCUCUCAAGUUAACAUCUUUUCAGAAUACAUGCAUAUACAUAUAUCCUAUAGCAAAUCACUUUGGGAGUAGGCCUAAGGGCCAAAUCAACAUCAUAAAAAGUUUAAAACAUAAUCAUAUUCGUUAUUUCAAAACCCCCACGAUUACUACGAGUAUUAGGUGUUUCUUGAAGCCUACGUUGAGAGGAUUCCAAAUAUGCAAUUAGUUUCUAAAACCCACAGUUGAAUCUUGAGUUUCUUGGGUUUUUAUUUUGAAACCCUAGAGAGAGUUCUUGAACAAUUUUGAUGAAUAAAGGUGUAUUUUGGGGUCUUUAGGAACUGAAUUUCGUGUUUAGGGCUAAGUAAGGAUAGAAAAGGACCAUUUUGCCCCAAAAAUAGAGUGUUUCAGUCACUUGAAACCUUUACAUAGGCUCUGUCUAUGCUAUCGCCUAUGUUUACAUAGGCGCCACCUAUGCUAUCGCCUAUGUUUACAUAGGCGCCACCUACUACUUUGAAAGGCCAUAACUUCUUGCUCGGGUGUCGGAUUUUAGAAAAAUUGGUAUCAUUGGAAAGCUAACUCGAAGAACUAUCAUUUGACACAUAGUAGGCUCUAUAAUUCGACACAUACAGAGAGUUAUGGUAUAUGGAAACUGACACAAAUUACAAUAUCCACUAAAACUUAAUCGAUCGAAAUAGUUUCAACUCGUCCUUGAGUUGAAGGACCUCUAUGGUGUAAAUUCAAGCUUGAAUGGAUUUACAUACUACACAAAUAAUUAACAUGCCAUAUUGGCAUAGGAUAUAUGGCUUUGGGAUUAUCAAAGCAUCGAAAUCAUGGUCUAUAUUGUAGCUCGAAAUGCGGGGCGUUACAAGAAUAAUUCAGUUUGGGUCUAUAUACCUAGGAACGACGGUCUAACCUCUAGCCCAAAAAUAUGGGGUGUUACAUUAUCUCCCCCUUGGGAUCAUUCGUCCUCGAAUGAUGGGUAGGAACAUAUUGAAGCUUAGAGGUCUGGAAUAACGCGGACAUGAUAUAUUCUCUAAGAAAGAAUACACUGAUCUAAAACAUGACUAUAAGACUGGAACUACUGAUAUUCUAAAUUCUUAUACCGGACGUGCAUAUCUGAUGCAGGGAAUACACAACUGAAGAAACUCAUAGGCUGAAUUCUCAUAAUGAAUCAUGCAUAUAUGAUGCGUGGAUUUGUUACUGAGUUGUUCUCAUGAACGCAAAACUGAAUACACUGAUAAGUUGAACUUUUCUAUUGAAAAUGCAUUUCUAAUGCAUGCAUAUCUGACUGAACUGACGUAUGACGUAUGACUGAAUACGCAAUGAUAACUGGUGCGAAGCUUAUAAUGAGAAUCUAUGCAUGCAGAUAAAUAGGGUAUCUCCCCCUUGGGACCCUAUGUCCCUUUAUGAAUGAUUAAUUCACUAAGAUACUCGAAAAACUGAGGCGAUGCACAGGGCACCUACGGAUUGAAUCAUGACUGAACCUCUGGAAUCUGAAUCUAAUACAUGACGCAUGAACUGAUCAAUACUUGCAAUUACUAGUAUACUCUAUCUUGGAAUAGUAGCAUGUCUGAGAUUUCGGGUAGCAUGAAUAAGUGCAAAGACAAUAAAACAAGUCAUGCGAAUCUGACUGCUAAACUGACUUAUUGUCCAUACAGACUUAAUUAUACUACACCCUCAUACUUAAUUGGAGUAUUCUCUUCAACACUCUCUCUAAGAAAGUUCUAGCAGUAAUAGAGAGCCACGAAUCAUGGGUAUGGAUUACACAAGACACCCACUAAGGAAUCAUCACAAUGACACCACUCUGUAGUCUGGAAUAUAGACAUAUAACUCCUAAAUUAGGAUAGAAUUUCCAGACCUUUGGCAAUACAACUUCUUACUUUCAAGCUUAGCACAUUUCUUGAAUAUCCCUUAACUAUACUAUUCCUAUAAAUAUCAUAUUCAUUCAAUUCAGCUUAAAAUUCUCAUAUGAGCACUGACAAUACAUGCAUACAUGCAUAUCGUAGACUUAACAUGAAUGACUACCUUCUGGGAUACACUUACCAAUAGUCAUAGUAUAAUGCUUGCACACUUAUUUCUAUCGGUUCAACCUUCAAAACUCAAACUUAAAUUCUAACACUUAACAUGACUAUUUAGAUCACCAUAUACCAUCUAACUAGUCUUUCUCCACUUAACAAUUCAAUGGUACCACUUAAUCUGAUACUAUAACCCCAUACAAUCUUCUCUAUUUAUGUGGAUUUCUCAGCUUAUACUUACUUACUUAAGCAUACAUUUAGACUGCCUUCAAAUUCCUCAAAAAAGCAUGAGUCUAUAAUCAUAACUUACUCGCUAAUAUAGCUAUUUUCACAUUCAAGCAACCAAUAAAUCACCCUGACUAACAACUCCUUCUCUACCUUCUACUAAUAGCACAAAAGGACGAAUCAUCUCUUUACCGGCUCAAUCUGAUGCAACCAGAUUCAGCUAUACAUACAUUAAACCUACACAAGAACCACAAGUUGGACAACAAGUUGCUAGUGAAUCGAAAUAGGCCUCACACGGCUUCACUAGACUUUGAUUUUGUAUUUUGAACAAGAAAAUGGGAUGAAUGACAAGUCAACUAUUCUAGUGAAUCAAAAGAGCCCCACACGACUUCACUAGACUUUAUGUUUCAACAACACUUUGAUGACAAUAUUUCAUGAGAUAGAGAUUUAAUACGCAAUAUUCAAUGAACUAAAAAUACACAUCUUACUCUGUAGAAAUAAAAUCGGAGUCAAACUCUUCCUCUAUGGACUACCAUACUGUCCACACAUACUGCUAGCUACCAAAUUAGUUUAUCACUAUAAAGGGUUAAUCAUCCUCACUCUGACUUCUAACUUUGUGACUUCACAUCACCAACUUUUUGGUCUAAUUUUAUUACCAAUAGAUCAUGACAACAACACUUUAACGUAUACUAUUAUUUGGGUGGAAAUACAGUUCUAACAUUCUGCUACACCUUAUUACCUCUGAAGCAUGACACUAGCAACAUAAGUUCGAAAAAGAACUAAAUAUACUUAAUCCUGCAGGCUGAAAAGUACGAUUUUAUCAAAAUCAAGGUUCAUACUAGAACCAACACAUUCUGAAGUACUAACAAACUCUUCUCAAGUCCUUGUAAAAAUCUUAUAUGAUUCGAUCAGAAUGAACCAUACCAUUUAGACUCUAAACUUCUGUACUUAAAUCGGCCCAAUGAUGAGACAUGUCUGAGAAUGUCUGAGUAAGAAAAGAAUUAGGAUGACUGUUGCUUUCGUAUGGGCGACACCAUAGCAUAAAUUUGAGUAUGAAAGAGGAACAUUCUAACUCUAUUGCAUGAACUAGAACAUGAAGAAAGAGAGACAUUCCUAAAUGCCUAGUAUCCUCCUACUUAUAAGUGUGUCGCGCUAACACCCAUAAAUAAGACUCUACCCGACACAAUUUCACAGACACCCUGGGACCAUGAACACUACUCUGAUACCAAGUUUGUCACAACCCGAACUGGGGCCCUAGCCGUGUCGAGUAUUCCGAACCAUCAAGGCCUGAAAUACCCUUUAUCUAUCUGGUAAUCAUGCACAUGACUUAUAAAAAAAAGAAAAGCGGAAGAUACACUAUAUAACGGAAACAUGGUCAAGAAUCAUAUGAAAACAAUAAUGGGGAAUAAUGUCCCACAAUCUCAAUCAACAUCUCUAUAACGUCUACAAAAUCUCUACUACAUGACUAAAACAAAUGUCUAUCUAGAAACUGGGACAAGUCCCCCAGUAGACCCAAAACUAAUAAAUGAUAAAUUAAACUGCAGACAUCAGGCCUUCCAAAAUAUUAAAGGCUCACCACUUAAUUCUGCGAUCUUUUGGAAGGAAUCUACUGGUUGUAUGGACCCCUAGACUGUACCUCUAAACCUGGGAGGAGAGGGGGUUAAUACAAAAGUACUGGUAUGCAGAGAAAUCAAAACAGAAAUAUAAUAUUUUUACACAAUACAGGUGAGAGCCAUUAUAAAGCAGUUUCAUAUCAAGUUAUUUGAAAACACAUCGGCAUAAUGUAAUAGUUUUCAAUACCAAUGUAAUGCGAUUGAGCUAGGUCGAAUACCCUAUAAUUGUAAUUCCACGGCUAUGUGGAAUCCACCUCUGGUGCUCGGCGGCCAAGCCUCCAAUCCAAGUAGCCGUCAGGAUUUGGAGCCGGUAUACCCCCGUGUGAGUACACCAUAGGGAAUCCCCUCAUGUGAGAUGUCCCAAUUAUUUUAUUAUCCUCCCAUGUAGGAUACAAUAUCAUAUGACCUGCAUUGGCAACUAUGGUUUCCAGCAAUAAGCCCUUUCACUCAAACCCCUUCUUCGGACAUCCACUUUUCUCAUGAAAAUCAAUGCAUUCAAUCUUUGUUCAAAUCAAUCACAUGUCAUACUCUGUAGGGUAUCAUCAUACCCGACUUGCAAGCCAUUAAUAUCACAUUAUUCUUCUCAUUCAACCAUUGUAUUCAACAUGAAAAACCUUCUCGUUUUCAAGUCAAAAUCAUAUUAAUUCUCAAAAAAUUUCAUGUCAUGCUCUUCAAGAUGUUUUCAAACAAUUUACAUCAUAUGAACAUUUAAAAAAAUUCACAAGAGAGGAAAUUUUAUAUCGUUCAUGCUUUAAAGUUAACACCUUUUCGGAAUACAUGCAUAUACAUAUAUCCUAUAGCAAAUCACUUUGGGAGUAGGCCUAAGAGCCAAAUCAAUAUCAUAAAACGUUUAAAAUAUAAUCAUAUUCAUAAUUUCAAAACCCCCAUCUGAAAACAUGAAUUUUUAAAGCCCGUGAGAUUUUUGAGAUAACCCCACAUACCUCAAUUACUACGAAUAUUAGGUGCUUCUUGAAGCCUACGUUGAGAGGAUUCCAAAUAUGCAAUUAGUUUAUAAAACCCACAGUUUGGAUUUUUAUUUUGAAACCCUAGAGAGAGUUCUUGAACAAUUUUGAUGAAUAAAGGUGUAUUUUGGGAUCUUUGGGAACUGAAUUUCAUGUUUAGGGCUAAGUAAGGGUGGAAAAGGACCAUUUUGCCCCCAAAACGGAGUUUUUAAGUCACUUGAAACCUUUACAUAGGCUCUGCCUAUGCUAUCGCCUAUGUUACAUAGACGCCGCCUAUGCUAUCACCUAUGUUUACAUAAGCACUGCCUACUACUUUGAAAGGCCAUAACUUCUUGCUCUGGUGUUGGAUUUUAGCAAAAUUGGUAUCGUUGGAAAGAUAACUCAAAGACCUAUCAUUUGACACAUAGUAGGCUCUCUAUUUUGACAUAUACAAAGAGUUAUGGUCGAUGGAAGCUGACACAAACUACAACAUCCACUAAAACUUGUCCUUGAGUUGAAGGACCUCUAUGGUCUAAAUUCGAUCUUGAAUGGAUUCACAUACUAUGUAAAUAAUUAACAUGCCAUAUUGACAUAGGAUUUAUGGCUUUGGUAUUAUCAAUGCAUCGAAAUCAUGGUCUAUAUUAUAGCCCAAAAUGUGGGGCAUUACAAGAAUAAUUCAGUUCGGGUCUAAUACGUAGGAACGAAGGUAUAAACUCUAGCUCAAAAAUAUGGGGUGUUACAUAAAUCAAGCCCAAUUGCUGUGUCAACAGCUGCUAACUUACCAACUAUUGUGGCUUCUGAAUCAUCAAGUUUAUCUGGUAAGGUUUCUUCUCCAAUGAUUGAAAUAGUCGAAAUAAAGAAUUCUUCAGAACCAACUUUGCCAGCUGUUGCUAAUUCAGAGAAAAUUGCAAUAGCAGUAACCUUGGGAAAUUCUGUCGUGCCACCAGAGUAUGUUUUUAGAUUUAUAUGUUAUAAAUUUGCCUCUGGUUUGUGUUGCUUCUUAUUUGGAAUUCAAUUUUUCUGUAGUUUUGAGACUACUACAACUCAAGAUGCAGUAGUGUAUGGUGAUGGAUUGUAUUUAGAGAAUAGAGAGGUACUUUGUCCUUCUGAAAUACUUAUAUGAUUAGUUAAUUACUACUGGUUACUGGUUAAAACACCAAGAAAGCUUUUCGUAGUUGUUAUGCUGGAUGUUGAUCCAAUAAUUUUGUAGUGCAGUAGUUAGUCAACUGCUAACAGGUGAAGAAUAUGCUCCAAAUUCCAAUGAGGUUUGCUCUUGUCCUUUGUGCUUGAUGUUGUGCCUAAAAUGUAGAAUGUCAAAAAAGAUGCUGCAGUAACUGAAAUCAGAGGUGCUACUCCAUCAAAUGAGAAAACAGUUGAGCUGGGACCAUUAGUUUAUGAGAGCAAAGCGGUAUAGUUGAUUAUUGCUUUUUGUCCUAUUCAAUGUAUGUUCUCGAAAUUUCUCUUAUUUCUAUUUUAAGUAUCUGAUUUUAUUUAGGAGGCAAAGAGUGCAUUCAAAACUCUUUUGGAAUCUGCAAAUAUUGGGUCUGAUUGCACGUGGGAUCAGUUUAUUACUUGACUAUUUUGUGCGUACCAAACAAUUGAGGGAGAUUAUUUGACAUGAAUUGUAUUUGACAGGCCAUGAGAGCAGUAAUCAAUGACCAGAGAUAUGGUGCUCUAAAAUCCCUUUGUGAGCGGAAGCAAGCUUUUAAUGAGGUAUCUCUACAAUUCAGCAUUGGAAUGGGUUAAUUCUUGCUUAAUGUUUCAGUAUACCGUAUUGCAAAAAGAUACAUUGUGUUUGAUAUCCUAUUGUUUCAUUUUGGUUGACUUAAAUAUUUUGGAAAAUGUUUUCCAAAUCAACUUAUUUUUCUUAAAUUUAAGGAAAAUGAAUUCCCUUCAAAAAGUAGGAAAAACAUUUUCCAAAACUCUUUUUCAAUCUCAGUGUUAAGUUGAAAUGUUUAUACAACUCUCAAAUGUAUUUUCUAAAAAAUAUUUUUUUAUUCACCAACCAAACACUAGAAAAUAUUUUUUGAAAAAUGUUUUCCUUUCAUCAACCAAACAUAAGAAAACAAGUAAGAAACCAACUUGUUUUCUAGGAAAACAUUUUCCUUCAUACCAAACACACCCAAGGUCUAUAGUGAUCAUUCUGAAGUUGUGUCUGUUCCAGUAUCUGAGCCAAAAGAAAAAACUGGAAGCUGAAGAGAGGCGUGUUAAACAGAAAAAACCUUGGGAAGAUUUCAGGAUAAUGUUAGAAGUAAGUGAAAUUUUCUUUUGUGGGUAUCUUCCAUAUCAUAUAUCAUGAUAUUCACAUUACCAGUUUCAAAAAUAAAACGAUAUUAUCAUAAUAUUCAUGAUGUGUUAGAGACUGGCAUUUGAUUUGUUCAAAAGAAUAAGUGGUAUUUUUCAAAACAAUGUCCGUUGUUCUCAAUCUUACAGGAUUGGAAGGAGCUGUCACCAUCGUCAAGAUAAAGGUUUGUCUUUCACAUGUAAUGUUAAGUUGUCUGCUGCUUGUUUUCUAAUCUUGGUCAUUGUUUGUAUGUGUUUUGGUACCUUGAAGUUUAUCCAUUACUUGUGUAAGUUCCAUUUGAUCCACUAACUAUUUGCUAUUGAUUAUUCAGUAAGGAAAUCUCCAUAUUCGAACAUGAUGAAAGUUUUAAAGCUGUUGAGCGAGCUAAAGAACGUGAGGACCUUUUUGAAGAUUAUGUGGAGGAACUUGAGAAAAAGGUGAAGCUCCUUUUGCAGAACUUUUUUGUAAGCUUCUAUAUGUUAAAAACUAAGUGUGCGGACUGUAGUUUCCUUAUAUGGUCUUUGGCUCCUCAUAAAUUGAGUUAGCCUUUCAUUUGAGAUAGAAACAAUGUCCAAUUUCUUAAACAUGGUAUUAGAGACAGAUCUAUCUUGAUGUUAUACUAUUAGAUGUUAGCCAACCUAGGUUAACUGAUGCUACAAAUGUCUAGUCUUGGUGUGCGAUUAAUGUAUGAGAAUCCCACACUAGUAAGGUGUAUGUGCUGUAGUUUCCUUAUAUGAUCUUGGACAAUCUUCACCACCUGACCUAGUUUUCGAAGUUGAGUUAGGCGCUGGUCCACUUGAUUAACAACAGUCAUUCCAUUCCUUUCCUAUGCAGUAUGCCUUUUAGUUUGUUCCCUUUUUUUUUUUUUGCUUGAAGAGUAGAAAGAAGGAAUGUUGUAGAUAUUCAACUUAAAAUCUUGUGUUCUUUGAAAACAUUUUUAAUGUCUUCUCAAGGUACAAUAUUUAAAUUUGUUCACCAUUAAAUUACAAUUUAAAUAGACUUCCAUGUAUUGUAUGUAAUUUUUCUUGAAACUUGAAACUAUGAUAUGCUUCUUCCUCUGCCCCCUCCGUCAUAAAAUAGAAAAAGUUUUUCAAUAAUUUCAUGCAAGUGUAGUUAAAGUCUCUUUGUAAAUAUUGUUUUCUUUAUAGAGAAAUUUUAUUUUUUUUACUUUGUACUGGAUUUUACUAGGAGCAUGCGAUGGCAUUGGAGGUGCAGAAACACAAUAGAGUGGAGUACUUAGAAUUUUUAAAAUCCUGUGACUUUAUUCAGGUAUUUGUUCUAGUGGAAUUAGCAUCAGUUCCUAGAUUAUGUUUUUCUAUUUCCAGGAGAUAGAACUUCCAUAGUUCCAUUGUUGCUGACUUCUUUUGUUCAGGCCAGUAGUCAAUGGCAGAAAGUUCAGGACCGCUUGGAAACUGAUGAAAGAUGCUCCUGCCUUGAGAAAAUUGAUCGCUUAGAGAUUUUCCAGGUACGACUCAUUUUUCUAAUACAUAAAUAACUUUUUCCAAACAUCUCAUUUGUACGCCUCAGUUUUAAAGUUAUGUUGCGACCUUUUCUGUUUUAGGAAUAUAUACGUGAUUUAGAGAGCGGCGAGGAGGACCAAAGGAAACUGAGGAUGGUGUAUUGCUUAUUAGACUCGGGGGUUAAAAUUAAAUUUAUGUUUGGAGACUUUGAUUUAUCUCUUUCUCAUUGGGCAUACACCGUUGAUUCAAAUAGGAAGAAUUGAGGAAAGCUGAACGUAAAAAUCAUGAUGAGUUCUAAAAACUGAUGGAAGAGCAUGUUUCUAGGGGAAUACUUAAUGCAAAAACUAACUGGCAUGAUUAUUGCAUCAAAGUUAGUUUUUCUUUCUUGUGUUUAGGGAGUGAUUACCUUCAUGAGUUCCCUUUUCAUCUUUUUGAAUUUUUCAUCUAAUAAUUUCUUUCUUUAUUUUGUGCUUGAAGAUUAAAGAUUUUGCUGCAUAUCUAGCUAUCUCAUCAAAUACUUCAGGAUUUAUAGUAAAAGUCUUAUUUACAGAUGUUAUGGAUGAGCUGGAGAAAUAGGUGUAAUAGGUUGAUAAUAGGAGUAUUGAAUUGUGUCAACUACAUUUGUUACACUAAGCCAUAUUUAUAGACUUUACACUACAAUCCCUUUUCAUUUUCUUUCACUUAAGGUCUGAAUCUGAAUGGUUAAGAUAUGAGCCCAUUAAGUGUUUUUUUAUUUAAAAGAUUCAACCAGUUAAUACAUCUUAAUGAAUCAGAUGCUAAACAAAGUCUGAAAAUCAUUUAGUUCCUUACUAAAAAGUUCAAUUCAUUAGGUAAAUAAGGAAGUUAGUGCAUUACUAUGUGGGAAUAUACUAGGUUUGUUGUUGUUGUUGUUAUUGUGCAUUAAAGAAUAGAACAUACUUGGUAGGAUAAAAGCAUGAGAUUGAGAUUUGAGAGUUACCCCUCUGCUUGGUUUUUUUUAAAUCACACAUAUUUUGUUGAGAUAAGAACAAUGACCGGUUGUUCCUAUUAAAAUUCUGUGUUGUUUCUCUUUAUGCCAAUUAGUUUCCUCUUUUUUUUUUACUAGAUAGUAGGUAUUUAGGCUGAUAGGAAUGGUAUUGUCGUAAACUUUUAAGUUAGGGGUUCCAUGCUUUUAAUGUAGUAUAGAUAUAGAUGAUUCUUUCAAUCUAGCCAAGCUAUAUUAAAUGCUACUUCACGGACAAUUGUAAUUGACUUCUCCUCCGUUGAAUGCUGUUAAUGGUUAUUUUACCUUAAUAUUUAUAGUUUCUCGAGCAGAACAACUUUGACAAGUGAUCAUCAAACUUCCAUAUUUUCACGUAGUUUCUUUGACUUUCGAGGACUCCUUUAAAGUAUCAUACAACCACACCAUUGUGUUUCAGCUAAGACUGCAUUUGUUUUUAUUAAUAUUCAGACAUUUGAAUCAUUUUGAAUGCACAUUUGAAUAGUUAAGAUAUUGUCUCUAGAUCUGAAAACUAAAUGAUUAAGGUUGGGUGUUUCUCAAUAUCUGAAUGUGCAAAAUUUGUUUAUUUCUAAAUAUAAUAUAAUUAUAUAUUAGAAAUUUUUUUAAUUUAAUGCAAUUAAAUUAUUAUUUGAUUAAAAAAAAUAUUUAUGUUUGUUAGUGAUAGUGGAGAUGGUGUGUAAUAGUGGUGGUGCUUGUAAUAGGUUAGUUGAUGUUAGUGAUUAGCAAUGUUGGUGAUGAUAGUUGUGAUAGUAGAGAUAGUUGGCAUUGUAAUAACUGUCAUGAUAUUGGCGAUUGGUGGUGGUGGUGGUUGUGAUAUGAAGUUGAUUAAUGUUAGUAGUUGGAGGUGUUGAUCGAGGUGACGGAAAACUGUAUGCAUGAUAGUUGACGAUGUGUUGGUGGUUGUUGGAGAUGCUGUUACCUAUGAUGGUGGAAUGGUUGUUAGUAUAGAUACUGUAGCGAGUGUAGCGGAUGGUGGUGGUAGAGGUGGUGACGCCGGUGAAAGUGGUGGUGAUGGUGUUCGAAGGAUGUGUGGAAGUUGAUGAUGUGUUAGUGGUUGUUAGCGAUAUAUAGAAGUUGAUGAUGUGAUGGUGGUUAUUAGUGGUAGUGCUAGUUCUGAUAGAUGAGUUGGUUGGUAGUAGGGAUCGACCGGUAGCAGUUGAUGGUGGCGGCGUUGGCGGUAGGGGUGUUCAUGGGUCAAUAUGGGUUGGUUAUUGAUCAAAACCAUAACCAAACCAACUUAAUUGGUUUUAAAAUUUCAAAAACCAAACCAAACCAAACAAAAAAUAACCAUCAGUUUGGUUUUUGUCGGUUUAGUUCAGUUUGAUUCGUUUUUUUUUGUUUUAUAUCUUUAGUUAAUGAUAAAAGUUGAAAAUUUUAAAAAACAAAUCCAAUCUAACAUAUGAGAUAUCAACCGAAUGUUGUAUCUCAAUCUCGAAACUAUGAUGUCAACUGAGUGUUAUACUUCGGUAAAGCCAUGAUAACACCAUAUGAACGCUUUUCAAAAAAUAUUUAAAAACUAUAUUUAAUAGAAUGAUAUGAUAAACCACCAAAAGGUGAACACAUAAACUUCUUGCUCAACAAGGUUCAAAAGAAAGUUAAAAUUAGUGAUUAUGUAUAGUCUAAUGAAUUUCAGCUGUAAAUUUCAAUAUAUAACAAGAUAUUAUUUUCACAAUUAGUAUCAUUUUUCAUUCAAAAUAUGAAAUUCAUUUAGAAUCUCAUAAUGUAUUGUCAACUAGAUGAAGACAUAUGACUGAAUGUGUUACAAACCAAACCAAAUUAGUAUCGGUUUUUUAAAAUUCAAAUCCAAACCAAACCUAACCAAAUAUAGGUUUUUUUUAAUCGGUUUGGUUUGGAUCGCGGUUCAGUUUGGUUAAAAACCAAACCGUGAACACCCCUAGUUGGCGGUGGAUAUAAUUAGAAUAAUGGAAGUGGUAGGUGUGGUAGCGGCUGGCAGUGUAGUUGGUAGUGAUGUUGGUUGUGAUGGUGGAAGUGGUUGAUGGUGGUAACAGGUGAUUGUGGAUAGAGUGGUGGUGAAUUUUAUCCUACACAAGAAUAUCUGAAAAUGAUAUUUAGACUUGGUUCCACAUCUGAACGAUUAAGACCUACUCAGACCUAUUAAGAGCUAAAAUCCUAACAAAAACAAAUGCACUUAAUGGUUUGAGGUCUAAACAGGUUCAUAAAUCCAAUAAGUACAAACAAAUGAGACCUGAAAGUAGUUUGUCUGGUCAAGUUUCGACUAUGUUUUGUCCAUUUGUACCACACCCCAGUUUUGAUUUCACUUUGGAUGAUAUCGUGCAACUUAAAACCAAAUUCAAAAUAUAUUGUGUUGUCAACCAUAUAAAUUGGACUAAAUAAACUUAGUGUCAGAAUUCGCCUCUGAAGAGGUAGUUGAGAUGUAAUGAAAGUAAAGUCUUGGAAAAGAUUAGCCUCGGAAAAAGUGCCUGAGAGCAUCUCUGUUUCUCUAAAUAAAGUUGCAUCUCCCUCACUAUGAUUUUUUGGCCAUAAUACACACUUACAACUGACUAAACGAUAUAUUGUUUCAUCCUCUGCCCUUUCUAAAAAGAGUUGAAGCUGAAUGAUCAAAUGUUAUUGGCAUUUGAGUUUACCUGGUAUCCUAGCAUGGUAAUGAUCCUGUUCGUACUCUUAUUCAAUGAUUGAAUUUGGUAAUGUUUUCUUGAGUUAGGCUCUUGCUAUGGGAUGGUGAGAGUUAUACAUAAACUCAGAUGCUGAAAAUAUUUUCUUUUUCCCUUGUAAGAUAAAGAUAUCAACUUCUAUCUUUAAAGUUUAUAUUAUUGUUUGUGUGCAUAAAUGAUUCUUCUUAAUCUAUAGACUUUAUGGUAACUCAAAUGCAUAGACAAGGCUCCAUUUGGUAUCCUAUUUUUGUUACUGAUAAGCAUUCUGAAUUUUUGUUACUUGUAUGUUGAUUCAGUAUCUUGAUGGCAAGUCACAAAUAAAGAUACAGUUAGGAUGGCCAAGGUAAUCACCACUCUUCAUUUUAACCUUUGUUGUGUUUCGGUUAGUACCUAAUAUAUUGGCCGAGCCAUCUCUACUUUCAGAUUGGAGGAUGCUUGAUGAUUUUAAGGUUGCAAUCGCGAAGUAUAUUACACAUCCACCAAUGUCAGAUACCAACUUAAAGGUCUAAUUAUGGCUAAGCACUGUGUACUAUUUCACAUCGACCCAUGUUAAAUUUAAUAUUGUGGAAAUUGAAGUACCCCAUUCACUAAAUGGAUUUCUAUGUAGUUGUCCCCUUUUUGUCUUUGGGACAGGUCCUGCAUAAGAUGAGUGGAUUGAGUGCAAAAGAAUUAGUAGUACUUCCAUGUUAUGUUUCACUGGAAGUCGGUCAGUUUGUGAUUGCUACAUUGGCAACUCGUAGGUCGUCAACUGUGGUUAAUGGAAUUUUCCUUUAGUAUCAACCAUAACCUAUCCCACAUUAAAUUUGGAUCUUCUUGUAAUGGAGUUAAUAGAAGAGUAGUGUGUUAGGUAGCAAGUAAGCCUGAAACCUUCAAGAAUAAAGACGAGGACCACAUUGAUCAAAUAUUUGGUGUUAGCUUUUGCUUCCAAUUCUUCAGUUUUGGUACCAUUUUCCUUAGUUUUUAUUUCCUUGAUGGCGGUGUUUAAUAUUACACCUACCGCACAUAUCUUAAGUUGCUUAAUUUAAAGCAAUUUGCCUUGUAGUUUUCUAUUUUUACGGUUAGUGGAUAAGAGUUUUACUCUACGAAACUGGUUAAACAGCAUAACUGGAUGAUAUCAAUGAUCAUUUACUAUUUUUGUAAUAAGGAUAUUCUUCAUAUAUUAUUUGGAUUUUAGAGGUUAUUUAUGGUCAUGGCAUAUAAUCUAUAUAUGUGGGAAGAGGGAAUUGCAAGGGGUACCUUGUCGAAGAAUUAUGCUUCGACAGUUGGGUCUCUUAAGGCUUUUAGUUUACUUUCAAUAGCUCAAAACUUUUGCAAAGCAUUUUAUCAAAGAUUAUAAUGUGAGGAGUUACUCCAAAAGAUGGUAAUAAUACUUUUACAUUAUAUCCCCUUUGCCUUCCAAAUGAAGGAAUAAGAGGACAUACAUGGAUUAUACUGAAUCUUAUUCCAUACUUCCUUUCUAAACUUUAUGUUCUACGCGUUUGGCCUUGCCGGGUCAUUGAGUAUUGAAUGUGUAUAUUUCAUCUGCAUAGUUUGUCUUUGAGGAGUUACUGGAAAGGGCCAGGGAGAAAGAAGAAAAAGAAGCUAAAAAGAGUAAACGUCUAGCAAAUGAGUUCUAUGAAAUUCUUCAUGCAUCAAAGGUAUAGUAAAUAGUUUACAAUCUCUCAUAUUGCAAUGGAUGGGAUCCCAUGAUAUUUACUUUAAACCAUAAUCUAUUUGUUUGUUGUGGUUGCAGGAAAUUACUGCAUCAUCGAAAUGGGAGGACUGCAAAUCCCUCUUCGGAGAUAGGCAAGUAGCUUCAUUUUCUUUUAUUGAUCUAGAAUUAGUAACACGAUUGCAAGAACCAUUGGAGAAUGAUAAUUGAUAUUAUUUUCAAGGACCAACUGCUUUAAUAUUCUUAACUCAGUAAUUCACAUGGUUCUAGAAUGUACCUUAGAAUAAUAGCUGUGUUAAAUGAUUUGUUGUUUUAUAUUCCUCAACAUUAGGUAGGCUAUUUCUUUAUAGUAUUAGCAUGAAUUACCAUUUUUCUAAGUGAUUUUUAAUGUUGAACUUAUCCCUCUAGAAAUUGGUUGAUGUCAAUUAUUAGUUGUUCUAACACUAGGUGUUUAAUAGCUCUAGCAGUUAGUUUUUAAAUUUUUGACAUUUGUGAUUGUUUUAGUUUUUUAAUUUCUAGCAUUUGUGAUUGUUUCACGGUUCUGAUGAAGUAUGCUGCUAAAUCUCUAGUUUCAAUUUGUCUAGCCUCUUUGGCUAUAAAAUGAAAUGCUCUGGAUUUUUACUUUUUUAUUCAUAAUCUCAUGAUUCUCAUUAUGUCGUAACAUUGAAUGUGAAUUUCUUUGCUGUUAUUAUUUUACAGAAUAAUGGGUGAUGAGGGCUUGCUGCUUGAAAUAUUUAACAAAUUUGUUAAUGAACUAAAAGAGAAGAAGUGCAAGCGUCAAGAGGAUAAGGUACUUGAAUUACUACAAACCCUUAUUCUUCUACUACUUUCGGGUGGGGCCUAAUAUCUAUUCUUUGAACAUUUUUUCGAAUUUCAAAAAUACGUAAAGAUUUUAUUCUCAUACUCUAUGAACUACAAAGCAACAUCGAAUAUGAGACCAGCAAAAUAGUUUAUAGAGUCGAAGCAUUAAAGCUAACUAGUAACAUUCAGACAGAAUAAAAUGAGAGAGAUCAAGCAUGAACGACAGACAAUCAAACACGGGCAGGAAUGAGUUUUUUAGUAGAACAAUAUAUCAAACACGAAAAUCCUAUGCCUUCCAGGCCUCUAUAGCAGUCAUUCCCAGCAAACAGAAGUGGAACCACGAAGAAGAAAAUAAUAACCACAACAAAAUUCAAAAGAAAGGUGUAUUUACCUCUUUCGGGGCAGCAAAAUGAGAUAACAAGCUGACGAUAGGAUUCCGACCACCGAAAAACUCACAACUGCUUCGACAGUUCAGACGUGCCUCCUAAGAAUGUAUGUUUCUUAGGCGUAAAGAGAAUAUUUUUUCCCUCUAAGAGCCCCCCUUUCUAAUCCCUUUUUUUUUUGUGCAUUUCUGAAUUUUUGAAGAUUUUCUCUAACCCCAAAUUUUCAAUCCAAAACUUUUGAACCCCCUUUGCCUCUAAUAUUUCGAACUCCAAAGAGAAAGAAGAGGAGAACCCAUAAAGGAAAGGAGAGGCCAGUGAAAUAAAAUUCCAAAAUCCCCCAAAAAAAUCCCUUUUUCUUGCUCUAAAGAGAGCUACUUAUAAAAGGGGAUUGAGGGUUCAUUUUUGAAAUUCAAAAGAUCCGGACCCUAACGAACUGUAUCUCUAUUUUGAUUUUCUUGAACGGAAUUCCAAAAAGUGGCCAAUAGAAAUUGGUGGAAAGGGAAUAAUCUUCACAAGCCAAUGAAAAUACUCCACCUAUGUACGAAUUCGUAAACCUCUAUUCGAGAAUUUUGGGAUUUGAACGUUGGAUUAGACACCUAAGUGUGUUUCUAGAAGAUUCUCAGCAUCUUCUCAUAUGGAUUCACGUGGAACGCACGUGAUCAUAAACAGGAAAAAGAAAACGGGUUGGAUUUGGGUGCUGCGUCCUAUUUGAAGUCAUUCGCACCUGUGGUUUUGAUUUGACAUUUUCAUCCUUUCGGAUUCUCUCGACAAUGCUUCAAGCAAAAAGUGUUAGUGCUAAACAUAAUUCACGAAAGAGGUAUGCAGUCUUGUACCAUAUCCCCAUGUGAGUUGUGGCCUGAAAACCAGAGUCAUCUCUUCAUGUACCUUUUUGGAAUGAAAUAACCGGCAAUACCAAACACAAUAACCCUCUUGGUUGUUGUAUAAUUAUGACAUUUUUCGGUUAAAUAUGUCUUCAAAGUGGGUGGCCCUUUUGGACACCAGCGAUACUUUAUGCAAAAUGGUCUCUACAAUCGUGUAAUCUUGUGCUGGUGUGGCAAUCCUUUGGGUACCUAUAUCAUUUGUUGCAUGUGGAAUGAUAACCUCUCCGGUUAUAGCCGAUGAUCGAUUUAUAAAUUUUCUUUAAAUUAUAAAUCUAUGGAUAACCUUACGCAUUAUUUGAUCUUGGAUACGAGACCUAUUAGAUCUAUUUAACCUAAUUAAUCCGCACAACCCCCCUACAAAUGGUAUCAGAGCACAGCAAUUUAAAAAGUACGGAAGAGAUACACAUUAGAAUUAGAGCUAGAGUUAGAAAAUAUAUGUUAGAGUCAAAAAUAGAUUUAGAGUUAAAACAAUUUACUUAUAAUUAAUUAAUUAUGCGAAGACCAUUUAAAAAUAGAGAAGCUUUUAGAAAAAUUAAAGAAUCUUUAAUUAGUAAUUAUUCAGAAUAUAUAAGUCUAAAUAAAACAAAAGAAAAUCCACAAAAACUAGCCUACUUAAUUACAUUAAUAUCUAGUAUUGAAUCAAAAUUAAUAACACAUUUAAAAUCUAGAAGAAUGAAACAUAUACCACCUAAUUAUGAUAAAAUUAGAUUUAGAUAUCCACCGAGAUAUUAUAAAUAUAAUUUAAAAUGAAUAAAAUACAACAAUAUAAAGAAUUAAAACAAAUUAUCUCUGAAAAACGUAAAGAAUUAAAAAUAAGAAUAGAAAGACUACAUUAUAAUAUAUUUGCCGGAGUUAGUAAAAAUUCAAUAGAUACACAAAAAGAUGAAAUAUCAAAAUUAGAAUCACAAAUAGAUAGUUUAGAAUAUGUAUAUCAACAUGACCUAUUCACAAUAAAAUGAAUAAAGAAGAAUUUAUAAUAGAUGAAAAAAUAUAUGAAAACUACGAAGGAUCAAAAAUAAAAAUAGUAUUUUCUAAUCUAGGACGAAGAUAUAAGAAAAUAGGUGAACAUUUAUAUCUAAUGUUAGAAAAAGAAGAAUUAAAAUUAGAAGAUAAAUUAACAGCAAUGGUAAGAAUAGAAAAAGAAAAUGAAGAGAUAGAUAGGAAAAAAGAAAUAGAAAAAAUAAAACAACAAACUACGGAAGAAAUACGAAAAAUAGAAGAAACCAAAAAUAGUAGAAUUGCUGAAUUAGAAAAAGAAUUACAAAUGUUAAAAGAACUGUAUGAACAAAGACAAAAAGAAAAAGAAGAAAAAGAUAGAGAACAGAAAUUACUAAAUGAGAUAAAUCAAUUUAAGGAAAAAUUAGAAAUAAAAAAUGAAGAAUUAGAAAUAAAUAAUAUAGAUAUUGAAGAGACAGAUAAUUAUGAGUCCGAAGAUAGUGAAACAUACACAGAAAUAUUAACAAAUACAAAAAAUUUAGAAAUCAAUGAAGAACAAAAAAUUAAUGAGGAAAACUUAGAAAAUACCCACACAGAAAUAAAUACUCUUGAUAAAAAAGAAAAUGAAAAUAUAAUACCUAAAACAACAGAAAUAAGAAAACCUAUAUACCAUAAGAAUAAGUUUAAAAAAUAUAAUGAAUAUGAUAAAUGGAAACCAAAACAAAUAGUGAAUAAAAAUUAUAACUUUUUAGAUCUAGACUGUGUAAUAGAUACAGAAAAAACAAUACAAUUAUGGAUAGGAUAUAUGACAAAACAAUUAUUAGAUAAUAAUAUAAAUAUAACAGAUGCACCGGAAUAUAUAGAAAAAACACUAAUAGGAUCAGUAAAACUAUGGUUUGCAAAUCUAACCGAAAAUAGCAAAAAAGUAUUAAGAACUAAUAAACCUAUAGAAGGAACAUCAUCGACAACAACUAAACUAACACCUAUAGAAUUAUUAAAAAAAUAUGAAACAGCUAUAAAAGAUGAAUUUGGUAGUACGACAACAAUCGAAGAAGAACAAAAUGAAGAAAAAGAUACAAAUAGAAAUUUAAUGUUAAAAUUAGCAAUAUGUAAUAUGUGUUAUAUAGAUGAAUAUACUUGCGCAUUUAAAGAAUAUUAUUACAAAGGAGCAUAUAGUAUAGAAGAAAGUAAAGAAAUAAGAAAAUUAUAUUUUAAUAAAUUACCCGAGCCAUUUAGUUCGAAAAUAAUAAAAAGUUGGGAAGAAGCAAAAAUAGUAGAUACGUUAGGAGCAAGAAUAAAAUAUUUACAACAAUGGUAUAGAAACUUAUGUGAAAAAUAUAGAGAAGAAUUAAAAAUGGAAAAAACAUUAAUAAGAAAUUUAGCUUGUUGCAAAAAUAAAAUAGCACCCCAAUUUGGAUGCGAAGAAAGAUAUUAUAAGAAAAGAAAAAGACAUAAGAAAUAUAAGAAAUAUAAAAAAUCAAAAUAUAAAUAUAAAAAACCAAGAAAAAGAUACUAUGUAAAAAAUUAUAAACAUAAAAGACCAUAUAGAAAAAAGAAAUCUAUAAAAGAAUGUACUUGUUAUAAUUGUGGAAAGUUAGGACAUUUAGCUAGAGAUUGUAAAUUACCUAAAAAUCCAAAAAAUAAACAAAUAUCAGAAAUAAAAAUAGAAAAUACCGAAUACAUGCAGAUAGAUUAUAUAGAUUAUGAAUUAGAAAGUGAAGAUAGUAUAUAUGAAAUUUCAGAAAACGAAACAGAUAAUGAAAUAGAUAGCGAAAUAGAUGAAUCAAAUGACUGAAGAAGAUAUAAAAAUAAUAACAAAGGAAGAAUAUUUAAAUGAUGAAGGAACGGAACAAAAAAUAAUAUUUGACAGUAAUAUAUUUGAUGAAAUAAAAGGAAAAGAAUUAGAUUUAAGUGUAGACAAAAUAUUUAAAAUACCAACAAUAAAAAAUAUUUUUACUAGGAAAAAAGAUGAAUAUUAUGUAGUAUGCCAAAAAGAACAUGUAAUAGAUUGCAGAUAUGCAAAAGGAAAAGCUAGUAUACCACUAGUAACAAAAAGAAUAAUUAAUAAAGAAAUAAAUGAUAUAAAAAGUAAAGGAGAUCCAAUAAAAUAUGUACACCUUGGAGGUACAGAGAUAUUAAUAAAAGCAUGUUUUAGAGAAGGAAUAGAUACACCAAUAGAAUUAUAUUUAGCAGACGAUAGAAUUAUAAAACCUAUAGAAAAAAGCAUAAUAACUGCCGUAAAAGGAAAUCUAAUAUACCAAAAAUUUAAAUUUAUAAUAAGUGCAAAUUAUUCAGUAGCAGUAACAGAUAGGAAUAUAGAUAAAUCAUUAGUAUUAUAUUGGAAAAUAUCAGGAAUAGAGUUAACCCCAGGAAGUAAAAUAUUUACAGCAAGAUGUAAAAACCUAUAUGUAUUAACAACAAAACAUAAAAUAACAGGAAAAAAUAAGAUUAACAAAAUACAAAUAGAAAGCCCAUUCGAACAAAUAGUAAAAACAAUAGAUUAUAAUGAUUAUACCUAUAGAGACAUAGAUACAGAAGAAAAUUUAGAAAUAGUAAAUGAUAGAAUAAGUACAACGAAAAGAAUAGCUAAUGAAAAGCCAGAAUCAUCAAGCUCAUCAAAAAGAACAAGUUAUGAAACAAACUCAAUAAGUAAUUUAAACCAAUAUUACAUAACGGGAAAAAUAAAUGAAAAAGAAUAUUUAAUACUUUUGAACACAGGACAAGAAGAAAAUUAUAUAGCAAAAUAUCUAGUAAAAAAUGAAGAAAUAAAAACCGACAAUAAUAUAUGCCCAGACUUACCAAGAAGUUUAAUAAAUAAUAAAAAUCUAGCAGAAAAAGAAAUAAUAUUAGGAGUUAGAAAAAUAAAAAUAGAAUUCGAAGUAAAAGAAGAAAUGCAAAAAGCAGAUAUAAUAUUAGGAAUAAAAUGGUUAGAACAAGUAAAACCAUAUAAUAUAGAACAUACACAAUUAACCUUAACAUAUAACCAAGAAAAGUUAUUCUUAAAAAGAGCCUUAACAUGAAAUGAAGAUACAUGUAUUAAUGAAGAUAGUAGUAGAAGGAUAUUACAGUAGAUAUUAUACGCCUAUGAUAGAUACAGGAGCAGAAGCUAAUUUAUGUAGAUAUAAUUGCUUACCAGAAAGCAAAUGGGAUAAACUAAAAACACCAAUAAUAGUUAAAGGAUUUAAUAAUGAAGGAAGCUUAAUUACUUAUAAAGCUAGGAAUGUAAAAAUACAAGUAUGGGAUAAGAUAUUAACAAUAGAAGAAAUUUAUAACUAUGAAUUAACAUCAAAAGAUAUACUUUUAGGAAUGCCAUUUUUAGAUAAAUUAUACCCACAUAUAAUAACUAAAACAGACUGGUGGUUUACAACACCAUGCAAACAAAAAGUAAGAGCAAAAAGAGUUAAUAAUAAAAUAAGAAAGAAAACUGAUUGGAUAAAAGGAAGUGAAAAAAUUACACAAAAGUUAGAAAAUAUAAACAAUACUGAAGAUACAGUAGAACUAGUAGUAUUUUCGAUAAAUAAAACAGAAAUAACUAUAUUUUCAAUAAAUAAAAUAGAAAUAAUUCAGAAAAAAUUAGAACAAUUAUAUAGUGAAGAUCCAUUAAAAGGAUGGGAAAAACACAAAACUACUAUAAAAAUUGAAUUAAUAGAUAAGAAUAGCAUAAUAACACAAAAACCAUUAACAUAUAAUUUUGAUGAUUUAAAAGAAUUUAAAAUGCACAUAGAUGAAUUAUUAGAAAAACAAUAUAUACAAAAAAGUAAUAGUAAACAUAAUAGUCCAGCAUUUAUAGUAAAUAAACAUAGUGAACAAAAAAGAGGAAAAAGUAGGAUGGUUAUUGACUAUAGAAAUUUAAAUGCAAAAACUAUAACAUAUAAUUAUCCGAUACCAAAUAAGAUAUUAAAAAUAAGACAAAUCCAAGGAUAUAAUUAUUUUAGCAAAUUUGAUUGUAAAUCAGGAUUUUACCACCUAAAGCUAGAAGAAGAAUCUAAAGAAUUAACCGCAUUUACGGUACCACAAGGAUUUUAUGAAUGGAACGUGUUACCAUUUGGAUAUAAAAAUGCACCAGGUAGAUAUCAACAUUUUAUGGAUAAUUAUUUUAAACAAUUAUCUAAUUGUAUAGUAUACAUAGAUGAUAUAUUAUUAUACACCAAAACCAAAGAAGAACAUUUAAAAUUAUUAGAACAAUUCACAGAUAUAAUAGAAAAAUCAGGAAUAAGUCUAAGCAAAAAGAAAGCUGAAAUUAUGAAAAACCAGAUAGAAUUUUUAGGAAUACAAAUAGAUAAAAGUGGAGUAAAAAUGCAACAACAUAUAGUACAAAAAAUAAUAAAUUCGAAAGAAGAAUUAGAUACAAAAAAGAAAUUACAAUCAUUUUUAGGAUUAGUAAACCAAGUAAGAGAAUAUAUUCCAAAAUUAGCAGAAACCUUAAAACCACUGCAGAAAAAAUUAAAAAAGGAUAUAGAAUAUAAUUAUGAUGAAAAAGAUAAAAAACAAGUUCAAAAAAUAAAAUUACUUUGUAGAGAAUUACCAAAAUUGCAAUUUCCAGAUGAAAAUAGAAAAUUUAUAUAUAUAGUAGAAGCAGAUGCAAGUGAAUAUAGUUACGGAGGAGUACUUAAAUAUCGAUAUGAAGCAGAAAAAAUAGAACACCAUUGUAGAUACUACUCAUAUUGUUGUAUUUUAUUCAUUUUAAAUUAUAUCUAUAAUAUCUCGGUGGAUAUCUAAAUCUAAUUUUAUCAUAAUUAGGUGGUAUAUGUUUCAUUCUUCUAGAUUUUAAAUGUGUUAUUAAUUUUGAUUCAAUACUAGAUAUUAAUGUAAUUAAAUAGGCUAGUUUUUGUGGAUUUUCUUGUGUUUUAUUUAGACUUAUAUAUUCUGAAUAAUUACUAGUUAAAGAUUUUUUAAUUUUUCUAAAAGCUUCUCUAUUUUUAAAUGGUCUUCGCAUAAUUAAUUUAAUAUUUUUGUAGGUAAAUUUUUUAACUCUAAAUCUAAUUUUGACUCUAACAUAUAUAUUCUAAUUUUGACUCUAACAUAUAUAUUCUAACUCUAGCUCUAACUCUAAUGUAUAUCUCUUCCGUACUUUUUAAACUGCUGUGCUCUGAUAAAAUUCCACUAACCACAGUUGACUACCUAUGAGUUGCCAAUUUAGCAAUCACAAACUAACCGACUUCUAGUGAAACAUAACAUGGAAGUACUACCAAUGCUUUUGCACUCAAUCCACUCAUCUUAUGCAGGACCUGUCCCAAAGACAAAAAGGGGACAAAUACAUAGAAAUCCAUUUAGUGAAUGGGGUACUUCAAUUUUCACAACAUUCAAUUCAACAUGGGUCGAUGUGAAACAGUAUACAGUGCUUAGCCAUAAUUAGACCUUUAAGUUGGUAUCUGACAUUGGUGGAGAGCUAAUAUACUUGGAGAUUAUAACCUUAAAAUCAUCAAGUGUCCAGGCUGAUGUAAAUCCAAUCUGAAAGUAGAGAUGGCUCAGCCAAAAUAUUAGGUACUAACUGAAGCACGACAGAGGUUAAAAUGAAAAGUGGUGAUUACCUCGGCCGUCCUAACUACAUCUUUAAUUUGUGACUUGUCAUCAAUAUACUGAAGCAACAUACAAGUAACACAAAUUCAGAAUGCUUAUCAGUAACAAAAGUAGGAUACCAAAUGGAGCCUUGUCCAUGCAUUUGAGUUACUAUAAAGUCUAUAAAUUACAAGCAGGGUGAUGGGGAUGAAAUUUCUUUCAUGAAUACCAACAUUUCUCCACUUGUUCAAAGUCAUCUACAAUAUCACAAGACACUUGACACAUAAACUUAAUUGCAUUGAUUAGGUUAAAUUGAAGGAAAAAUCAAGCACCCCUAUUUGGAUAAUAGAAAAAAAGUGAAUAAAUAAAAAUGUUAUAUUUACUUAAUAAGAAUCAUUUAUGCACACAAACAGUAAUACAAACUUUAAAGAUAGAAGUUGACAUCUUUAUCUUACAAGGGAAAAAGAAAAGAUUUUCAGUAUCUGAGUUUAUGUAUAACUCUCACUAUCCCAUAACAAGAGCCUAACUCAAGAAAACAUUACCAAAUUCAAUCAUUGAAUAAGAGUACGAACAGGAUCAUUACUAUGCUAGGAUACCAGGUAAACUCCCCCUUUCAUCAAGCAAGGACAUAAAUGCUAAUAACAUUUGAUCAUUCAACUUCAAUUCUUUUCAGAAAGGGCAGAGAAUGAAACAAUAUAUUAUUUAGUUAGUCGCAAGUGUGUAUUACAGCUAAAAAAAUCAUAGUGAGGGAGAUGCAACUUUAUUUAGAGAAACAGAGAUGUUCUCAGGCACUUUUUUCGAGGACAAUCAAUUCUAAGCCUUUACUUUCAUUACAUCUCAACUACCUCUUCAGAGGCAAAUUCUGGCACUAAGUUUAUUUAGAAUGGUUGACAAAACAAUAUAUUUCGAAUUGGGUUUUAAGUUGCACGAUAUCAUCCGAAGUGAAAUCAAAAUUGGGGUGUGGUACAAAUGGACAAAACAUGGUCGAAACUUGACCAGACAAACUGCUUUCAGGUCUCAUUUGUUUGUACUUAUUGGAUUUAUGAACCUGUUCAGACCUUAAACCAUUAAGUGCAUUUGUUUUUAUUAGGAUUUUAGCUCUUAAUAGGUCUGAGUAGGUCUUAAUCAUUCACAUGUAGAACCAAGUCUAAAUAUCAUUUAAAAAUAUUCUUGUGUAGGAUAAAAUUCACCACCACUCUAUCCAUAAUCACCUGUCACCACCACCAACCACUUCCACCAUCACAACCAACAUCACUACCAACUACACUGCCAGCCGCUACCGCACCUACCACUUCCAUUAUUCUAAUUAUAUCCACCGCCAACUAGGGGUGUUCAUGGUUUGGUUUUUAACCAAACUGAACCACGAUCCAAAUCAAACCGAUUAAAAAAACCUAUAUUUGGUUAGGUUUAGUUUGGAUUUGAAUUAAAAAAAAUCGAUACUAAUUUGGUUUGGUUUGAUUUGGUUUUACUCUAAAAUAACCGACAAAAUAACCAAACCAAACCGAUAUACAUAUAUAUUAUAAUUAUUUAUAUGUUUUUCAUAAAUGUAAUCUAAAUAUUUGUUACAUUUUAUAAUUUAAUCAUGAUUUAACUUUAGUCGUAACACAUUCAGUCAUAUGUCCUCAACUAGUUGACAAUACAUUAUGAGAUUCUAAAUGAAUUUCAUAUUUUGAAUGACAAAUGAUACUAAUUGUGAAAAUAAUAUCCUGUUAUAUAUUGAAAUUUACAGCUGAAAUUCAUUAGACUAUACACAAUCACUAAUUUUAACUUUCUUUUGAACCUUGUUGAGCAAGAAGUUUAUGUGUUCACCUUUUGGGGGUUUAUCAUAUCAUUCUAUUAAAUAUAGUUUUUAAAUAUUUUUUUAAAAGCGUUCAUAUGGUGAUGUCAUGGCUUUACCGAAGUAUAACACUCAGUUGACAUCAUAGUGUUAAGAUUGAGAUACAACACUCGGUUGCCAUCUCAUAUGUUAGAUUGAAUUUGUUUUUUAAAAUUUUCAACUUUUAUCAUUAACUAAAGUUAUAAACCAAAAAACCCAAAUCAAGCUAAACUAAACCGACAAGAACCAAACUAAUGGUUAUUUUUUUGUUUGGUUUGGUUUUAGAAAUUUAAAAACCGAUUAAGGUGGUUUGGUUAUGGUUUUGACCAAUAACCGACCCAUAUCGAUCCAUGAACACCCCUACUGCCAACGCCGCCACCAUCAACUGCUACCGGUCGAUCCUUACUAUCAACCAACUCAUCUAUUAGAACUAGCACUACCACUAAUAACCACCAACACAUCAUCAACUUCCACACAUAGCUAGCAACCACUAACACAUCAUCAACUUCCACGCAUUCUUCGGACACCAUCACCACCACUGUCACUGGUGUCACCACCUCUACCACCAGAAUCCACUACACUCGCUACAGUAUCUGUACUAACAACUAUUUCACCAUCACAGCUAACAGCGUCUCCAACGAGCACCAACACAUCGUCAACCAUCAUGCAUACAGUUUUCCAUCACCACAAUCAACAUCUCCAACUACUAACAUUAACCAACUUCACAUCACAACCACCACCACUACUACCAAUCGCCAAUAUCAUGAUAGUUACUAUAAUGUCAACUAUCUCUACUAUCACAACUAUCAUCACCAACAUUGCUAAUCACUAAUAUCAAUUAAUUUAUUACAACCACCACCACCAUUACAAACCAUCUCCACUAUCACUAACAAACAUAAAUGUUUAUUUUUUUAAUCAAAUAAUAAUUUAAUUACAUUAAAUUAAAAUAAUUUCUAAUAUAUAAUUAUAUUAUAUUUAGAAAUAAAUAAAUUUUGCACAUUCAGAUAUUGAGAAACACCCAACCUUAAUCAUUUAGUUUUCAGAUCUAGAGACAAUAUCUUAACCAUUCAAAAGUGCAUUCAAAAUGAUUCAAAUGCCUGAAUAUUAAUAAAAACAAAUGCAGUCUUAGCUGAAACACAAUGGUGUGGUUGUGUGCUACUUUAAGGGAGUCCUCAAACGUCAAAGAAACUACGUGAAAACAUGGAAGUUUGAUGAUCACUUCUCAGAGUUGUUCUACUCGAGAAACUAUAACAAUUAAGGUAAUAUAACCAUUAACAGCAUUCAACGGAGGAAAAGUCAAUUACAAUUAUCCAUGAAGUAGCAUUUAAUAAAGCUUGGCUAGAUUGAAAGAAUCAUCUAUAUCUAUACUACUUUAAAAGCAUGGAACCCCUAACUUAAAAGUUUACGACAAUACUAUUCCUAUCAACCUAAAUACUUACUAUCUAGUAAAACAAAAGAGGAAACUAAUUGGCAGAAAGAGAAACAACACAGAUGUUUAAUAGGAACAACCGGUCAUUGUUCUUAUCUCAACAAAAUAUGUGUUAUUUAAAAAAAAAGCAAGUAGAGGGAUAACUCUCAAAUCUCAAUCUCAUGCUUUUAUCCUACCAAGCAUGUUCUAUUCUUUAAUGCACUACUACUACAACAACAACAAACCCAGUAUAUUCCCACAUAGUAAUGCACUAACUUCCUUUUUUACCUAAUGAAUUGAACUUUUUAGUGAGGAUCUAAAUGAUUUUCAGACUUUGUUUAACAUCUGAUUCAUUAAGAUGUAUUAACAGGUUGAAUCUUUGUUUUCAAAAAAAAAAGCACUUAAUGGGCUGAUAUCUUAACCAUUCAGAUUCAGACCUUCAUUAAGUGAAAGCAAAUAAAAAGGGAUUGUAGUGUAAAGUCUAUAAAUAUGGCUUAGUGUAACAAAUGUAGUUGACACAAUCCAAUACUCCUAUUAGCAACCUAUUUCACCUAUUUCUCCAGCUCAUCCAUAACAUCUAUAAAUAAGUCUUUUGCUGUUAAUCCUGAAGUAUUUGAUGAGACAGCUAGAUAUGCAGCAAAAUCUUUAAUCUGCAAGCACAAAAUAAAGAAGGAACUAUUGGAUAAAAAAUUCAAAAAGACAAAAAGGGAACUCAUGAAGGUAAUCACUCACUGAACACAAGAAAGAAAAACUAACUUUGAUGCAAUAAUCACGCUAGUUAGUUUUUGCAUUAAGUAUUCCCGCAACAACAUGCUCUUCCAUUAGUUUUCGAAACUCAUCAUGAUUUUUACGUUUACUUUUCCUCAAUUCUUCCUAUUUGAAUCAACGGUGUAUGCCCAGUGAGAAAGAGAUAAAUCAAAGUCUCCAAACAUAAAUUUAAUUUUAACCCUCGAGUCUAAUAAGCAAUAUACCAUCCACAGUUUCCUUUGCUCCUCCUCUUCGCUCUCUAAAUCAUGUAUGUAUUCCUAAAACAGAAAAGGUUGCAACAUAACUUUAAGACUAAGGCGUACAAAUGAGAUGUUUGGAAAAAUUUAUUUAUGAUGUAUUAGAAAAAUGAGUAGUACCUGGAAAAUAUCCAAGCGAUCGAUUUUCUCAAGGCGGGAGCAUCUUUCAUCAGUUUUCGAGCGGUCCUGAACUUUUCGUCACUAACUACUGGCCUGAAUAAAAGAAGUCAGCAACAAUGGAACUAUAGAAGUUCUAUCUCCUGGAAAUAGAAAAACAUAAUCUAGGAACUGAUGCUAAUUCCACUAGAACAAAUACCUUAAUAAAGUCACAGGAUUUUAAAAAUUCUAAGUACUCCACUCUAUUGUGCUUCUGCUCCUCCAGUGCCUUCGCAUGCUCUUAAUAAAAUCCAGUACAAAGUAAAAAGAAUAAAAUUUCUCUAUAAACAUGACAAUAUUUACAAAGAGACUUUAACUAAACUUGCAUGAAAGUAUUGAAAAACUUUUUCUAUUUUACGAAGGAGGGGGGAGAGGAAGAAGCAUAUAAUAGUUUCAAGUUUCAAGAAAAAUUGCAUACAAUACAUGGAAGUCUGUUUAAAUUGGAAUUUAAUGGUGAACAAAUUGAAAAGUUGUACCCUUGAGAAGCCAGUAAAAAUGUAUUCAUAGAACACAAGAUUCUAAGUUGAAUAUCUACAACAUUUCUUCUUUCUACUCCUUAAGUAAGACAAAAAAGGGAAUAAACUAAAAGACAUCCUGCAAAGGAAAAGAAUGGAAUGACUGUUGUUAAUCAAGUGGACCAGCGCCUUACUCAACUUUGAAAACUAGGUCAGGUGUUGAAGAUUGUCCAAGAUCAUAUAAGGAAACUACAGCACAUACACCUUACUAGUGUGGGAUUCUCAUACAUUAAUCGCACACCAAGACUAUACAUUUGUAGCAUCAGUUAACCUAGGUUGGCUAAAAUCUAAUAGUCUAACAUCAAGAUAGAUCUGCCUCUAAUACCAUGUUUAAGAAUUUGGAACUUGUUUCUAUCUUAAAUGAAAGGCUAACUUAAUUUGUGAGGAGCCAAAGACCAUAUAAGGAAACUAUUGUCCUCACACUUAGUUUUUAACAUAUAGAAGCUUACAAGAAAGUUCUGCAAAAGGAGCUUCACUUUUUUCCGAAGUUCCUCCUCAUAAUUUUCAAAAAGGUCCUCAUGGUCUUUAGCUCACUCAACAGCUUUAAAACGUUCAUCAUGUUUGAAUAUGGACAUUGCCUUACUGAAUAAUUAAUAGCAAAUAAUUAGUGGAUCAAAUGGAACUUACACAAGUAAUGGAUCAACUUCAAGGUACCAAAACACAUAAAAACAAUGACUAAGAUUAGAAAACAAGCAGCAAACAACUUAAAAUUACAAGUGAAAGACAAACCUCCAUCUUGACGAUGGUGACAGCUCCUUGCAAUCCUGUAAGAUUGAGAACAACGGACAUUGUUGUGAAAAAUACCACUUAUUCUUUUGAACAAUUCAAAUACCAGUAUCUAACACAUCAUGAAUAUUAUGAUAAUAUCUUUUUAUUUUUGAAACUGGUAAUGUGAAUAUCAUGAUAUAUCAAAUGGAAGACACCCACAAAAGAAAAUUUCACUUACUUCUAACAUUAUCCUGAAAUCUUCCCGAGUUUUUUUCUGUUUAACACGCCUCUCUUCAGCUUCUAGUUUUUUCUUUUAGCCCAGAUACUGGAACAGACACACAACCAAAAUGAUCACUAUAGACCUUGGGUGUGUUUGGUAGUGAAGGAAAAUGUUUUCCUAGCAAACAAGUUGGUUUCUUACUUGUUUUCUUAUGUUUGGUUGAUGAAUGGAAAACAUUUUUCAGAAAAUGUUCUCGAGUGUUUGGUUGGUGAAUAAAAAACUAUUUUUCAGAAAAUACAUUUGAGAGUUGUAUAAACAUUUUAAUUGAGUGAGAUUGAAAGAGAGUUUUGGAAAAUGUUUUUCCUACUUUUUGAAGGGAAUUCAUUUUCCUUAAAUUUAAGGAAAAUAAGUUGAUUUGGAAAACAUUUUCCAAAAUAUUUAAGUCAACCAAACAUGAAACAAUUGGACAUCAAACACAAUCUAUCUUUUUGCAAUAUGGUAUGCUGAAACAUUAAAGUAGCAAUUAACCCAUUCCAAUGCCGACUUGGAGAGAUACCUCAUUAAAAGCUUGCUUCUGCUCACAAAGGGAUUUUAGAGCACCAUAUCUCUGGUCAUUAAUUACUCCUCUCAAUGCCUGAAAAAUACUAUUCAUGUCAAAUGAUCUCCCUCAAUUGUUUGGUACGCACAAAACAGUCAAGUAAUAAACCUGAUCCCACAUGCAAUCAGACCCAAUAUUUGUAGAUUCCAAAAGAGUUUUGAAUGCACUCUUUGCCUCCUAAAUAAAAUCAGAUACUUAAAAUAGAAAUAAGAGAAAUUUGAGAACAUACAUUAAACUGGACAAAAAGCAAUAAUCAACUAUACCUCUUUGCUCUCAUAAACAAAUGGUCCCAGCUUGACUGUUUUCUCAUCUGAUAGAGUAGCACCUCCGAUUUCAGUUAUUGCAGCAUCUUUCUUGACAUUCUGCAUUUUAGGCACAAUAUCAUGCACAAUGGACAAAAGCAAACCUCAUUGGAAUUUGGACCAUAUUCUUCAGCAGUUAGCAGUUGACUAACAACUGCACUACAAAAUUAUUGGAUCAACAUCCAGUAUAACAGCUACAAAAAGCUUUCUUGGUGUUUUAACUAGUAACCAGUAGUAAUUAACUAAUCGCAUAAGUAUUUCAGAAGGACAAAGUACCUCUCUAUUCUUCGAAGAAAUUCCAUCACCAUACACUACUGCAUCUUGAGUUGUAGUAGUCUCAAAACUACAGAAAAAUUGAAUUCCAAAUAACAAGCAACACAAACCAGAGGCAAAUUUAUAACAUAUAAAUCUAAGAAUAUACACCGAUGGCACGAUAGAAUUUCCCAAGGUUACUGCUAUUCCAAUUUUCUCCGAAUUAGCAACAGCUGGCGAAGCAGGUUCUGAAGAAUUCUUCAUUUCGACUGUUUCAAUCAUCGGAGAAGAAACCUUACCAGAUAAACUUGAUGAUUCUGAAGCCAUAAUAGUUGGUUAGUUAGCAGCUGGUGACACAACAGUUGGGCUUGAUUUAGCACUGCCUACCUGGGGAUGAUGUUUUAAGGAACAAAGAUAUGAGAGAAAAAGUGGUAGUGCUCUCUGUGGUGGACAAUUGACAAGAAGACUAGAGGGUUGGGGAUAAAGAACCUAAAAAUUCAAAGUAAGGCUCUCGUGAUGAAAUGGCUGUGGAAAUAUGCAAACAAUAACCAGUUGCUAUGGAGGAAAGUGAUUGGGGCUAAAUAUCCUGAAGAAGAUAGAUGGAUGACUAAAGAAGUGACCACACCAUACAGGGUUAGCCUCAAGAGAUCUAUUAGACACUAGUGGAAUGAAGUUAAAAGCAACUCAAAGGUUAAAGUGAUGGAUGGAAACAAGACUGGGUUCUAGAAGGAGAAUUGACAUGAGAAUGGGAAUAUGGAAGUGAUUUUUCCAGAUAUCUACAACUUGGUAUUGUUUUAAUAAAGGACUAUAGAAGAAUUAUGGACACCACAUGGGUGGAACUUCAAUUUCGUAAGGCAACUUAAUGACCGGGAGUUAAUGAGAGUAGUUGAAUUUUUUAAUACCGUCGACUUAUUCAAUGGACUACAGACAGUGAAGGACAUACUAUGGUGGAUGGGAAAUGAAAAAGGAAUGUUCAGUGUCAACAAAGCCUAGAAGAUGAUGAACCAAAUAAAUCACCUGGAUCCAAGAUGGCCGUAGAAGCAAAUAUGGAAAAGUAGGAUACCUCACACAGUGUCGUGCUUUGUCUUUGUCUGGUUACUGACCAAGGAAGUAGUUCUUACACAAGAUAAUGUCAUGAAGAAAGGGAAAACCUUGUGCUCCAGAUGUUUCCUCUGUGGAGAAACUAUAGAGACGGUUAACCAUGUAUUUCUACAUUAUAAGUACACCCAAAAACUUUGGAGAAUCGUCUUAAGAUUAAAAGGCAUUUCUAGGGCAAUGCCUAGGUAAGUAUCCGAGACUUUAAUGUGAUGGGAGAAGUAGGUGUACAUGCGAAGGACAGAGGUAGAUAGAGAAUUAUCCCUGGUGCUAUAUGGUGGGAUAUAUGGAAAGAAAGGAAUUCUAGAUGUUUUGAGAGCAUAAAGAAUAGUGUGCAGAAGUUUAAACUCAACUGCAUUUUGCUUUUAUGUUUUUGGUGUAAUCAACUAUACUCUAAUGAUACUGCCUCGAUAAUUGAUGUUCUAGACUAAAUUUAGAUAUAGAACAGUCGAUUUAGGAGUACUCUUGUAUAUAAAGGUUUCAGUACAACCCAUGCACUGUGUGAUAUAAUACAAAGUUACCAAGUUAAAAAAAAAGUAAUUUUUCAAGUACUAAAAGUUUAUAAAAUAACAAAUAAAGCAAUUAAAUCUGAGUUCAAAUUGGGUGGGUUGGGUUAUGACCCGAAUUUUAGAGCAUUUCAACCCAACCCAUUUCAGCCCAAGUAGCUUUAGGGCGGGAUAAUAACCCGGCCAUUUCUUAACUCAGAUCUCUUUGAUCCACCCAAAUCUAGCCAACCCCGCCCAUUUGACACCUUUAGUUUAAUAGAAGUAAUGUGGACCAUGCCAGAACACAUACCAGAUCUAUUGAGUUGAAGUAAAGUGGACUAUCAAAGGAUAAAACAACAAUCUGUUGAGCUGUUGGAUUAGAGGGGAUUAGCAAGAGUUAGAAGAAAUGGGGGAUAAAAAUCCUUCCUUGUAUUUGGUGGACUGUAUGGAGCGAGAAAGUUGAAGGCAUUUUGAAGAUAAAUAUAAUUCCAUUCAGAAAGUUAAAUGGAAUAGCAUUGUAGAUUUUUGUUUUUUGUUUAAGGGCCAAUGUGUACGGGAUGCAUAACAGGUAGUAGAUCUCUUCGAAUCCUCACAUUAUUUUCAUUAUUCUUCAUUUCUUUUGGACUGCUAGCAUAACCAUAACGUUGAUGAAUACAAAGUAAUAUCUCCAAAAAAAAAAACUGUUUAUCUGAAAAAAGAAAAGAAUAAAAAUGUUCAAACUUCCUAACAACUCCAGUUGUUGGUCCCUUAAUACUUGUCCCUCACAACCAGCCAAACUUUCUUUGAUAACCGUCAUGUUUGGGGCAGCUUGCACCUUGACUAUUUACACCAGGUACUGCUACCUCCCACCAGCACAGAUAAUGGGUAACUCUGUCCAUCAAGGCUUGGAAAGACGGUAAGAAAUCACCUAGUGUUUUUAUCUCUGUUGGAAAUUAAACCUGAGACCUCAUGGUUCUCAAUCUACUUCAUUGACCACUAGGUCACACUCUUGGGUGCAAGUGUGCAACUAGACAAACUAUUAUUUUGUAAACCAGAAUGAGAAGUGUGAACCAUAAUAUUAUAUCAAGUUUUCUCUCUCCAUAUCGCCAUAGAGUUACAAUAACAUUACAUUAAUCAGAAAGUAAAUAAAAUUGUUUAAAAUAGACCAAAUAUAAUCCUGCCGUGUAUGAUUAAACACAUUUUUAGAACAAUAGUGUUAAAAUAAAAUCUUUUAGAACUAUAUUGGAAAUAAAAGGUCAAUGCAAAUCCCAAAUGAAGCCUACAUAGUAUAGUAAGAUCGAGGAAAUCUGCUCGCUAAACAAACUUUCAACAGAAAUCACAUAUACUUAGGAAAGAAAAAGUGGUUCUACGAAGCUUCAUAGAAAAAGAAUUGUGUACUUCUUUUUUCAUUGAUAAGCACAAGAAACUGGAUAAAACUACCCAUAAAAAUCUCGAUGACACGAGACCUCACCUCCAUUUCUGUCAUCAACUCUCGAGGUUUCUCCCAGGUGGAGAUUCUUGUCCUUCUAUUAUAAUAGUAUCUAAAAAUCAAUUCAACAAUUGUAAGAAUGUUAUUAAUUAGUUGGAGUAAUAAAUCCAUUGGAAAUAUGAAAACAUUAGCAACCAUAAUUGGCCUACUGAUCAUCAAAAGAUACUAAAAAUAGCAAUACCUACUAGCAUUUAGCCACAUGUAAAAUAUGUAUGAUAAUAGAGAAAUGGGGUCAAAAUGAAGUUAUCGGUAGCGGCGUAUCAAGUUCUGCUGAUCAACAGUUAGGUAGAAUUUGGUAGCGGUGAAUGGCAGCCCAUAUGAUAACUUUGACAAAGAGGACUGAAGCAAAGGGGCCUAUUAUCUCCAGUGCUAAUGGAAGCAGAAUGAUGCACAAAGCACUAGAUGUGGAUAAUUGAGGGAUUUCUUGGCAGUGAUGGGGGCCAACAUAUCCACCACUUGUUCAUAGACAAGACAUUAAGUGUUUGUGAUGCAGACAUUAACCUAUUCAUAUGAGUAACCUAUGUGAAUAUAAUCCAAAAGCAAGAAUUCCGGAAAGCCAAAUCGGCAUGCUCUUUUUUCUGUCUAGAGAACACAAAGUAAAAAGAUUGGAUCUAAAUGAAAAUGAUAUUUUUGCAGAGCUCCUUUUCUUAUAUACCGCAGUUUUACACCUUUUUUGUUCACUGGAAUCUUAAUUUGCUUACAAAAAACUAUCAUAGAAUUUAAAUGUUGACUCUCUCAGUCAACACACACCCAUUAACCCAUUUACUUAAGCAUGUUACUUGUUGACAAUAUUUAUGCAAAAUGGGUACAAUAAAACACAUUGAAUUCUCACCGGAACAACCAAGGGAGCUGCUAAAUCUCCUGUCUUCUGCAUAGUUGUCGCAGAAUUCACAUUAUGAAUACUUAUUGGCAUCCAGGGUUGUACCCCUGAUGGAAACCUAUGAUCAUUUAUCUGUGUUUGAUACUGGGAGCCAGAAGAAUCUACAUUUACCUGCCGUUAGAGACGAUAACAAAAUGUAUUUCAUCAAUAUAUGAAUGGAAAAUCGGAAACUGAUUUACAAUAACCACAAAAGAUCUUACCAAGGCCUUACAUUAUAUGAAGAAGAAAGAGGUUAAUUUGGGCCACCAAAACCAGGCAUGUGGUUAUUUGACAUCGAAAGAUUUCGCUGAAAAUCAUGGAGAAUAGGUGGUCCCUGAGGCAUACUAUGCAUUCCUACUAUAGGUCUACCAGUAACCUAUUGCAUAGGUUGAGGAAAUUGGAUUUGAGAAGGUUGAGACAUCGCAACAUUUUCAUGUCCAAGUGGCAGAAAUAGUUGAGAUGAACCGGAACCAUAAGGUUGUGCCUGCUGGGCUGGAAGCAUAGGCUGGAAUUGCUAAAUAUGUGGGGAAAAUAGUUAUCAUAAUAUCUCUACAUUCAAAAGUCAUUUAUUCCUCCCCCAAACCUCCACAACUUUACCUGCAGUGACAUGGAUAGAAUAGCACCAGGAGCAGGACCAGCCAACGGAGGUAUAGGAGGCUUCUCAACCAAUAUCCAUGCAAGAAAGAACAGAUGAAAUCAGAAUAUAGGUACUUUUCAAUCAUAUUUAGUUAAUUUUCCAAUCAAUGUUGAAAUCUUGUAUCCAUGCGCAACUCCCUAAAUUAAUUUGAAGGACAAGGCAAGAAUUUUGAAGCCAAACCACAUAGUAACAUAAAACCCUUUUCUUCAUCUAAUAAAUAGAAAUCUUGAAACGAGAAUAUAGAGAGAUAGGAAAUAGAUGACCUAUCACAGCGUUAGACAAGAAUAGACAAAAUGAUAAACAUCUUUACCGUAUGGCUUGGGUUCAACAGCUAGUGAUGGCCUAAGUAUCUUUUCUUUGGGUGUAAAGAAGCACGUCUGUUAAUACUGAGACCGGAAUAGGUUGAGCAUCACUCUUCCCUUCUGAUGUUCUAUGUCAUACUGACAUCACUACUAGAAUCUGAAAGCCUGACUUAGUUAUUCACUCUAUCAUCUCCCCCUUAGCUUCAAGCCAUCAUAUUAAGUUUGGGAGAUCCCUUACUAGACUCUAAACUGAAGUACACUCACUGCACUCUGGGGUCUGGAAAACUACUAUACACGCAUUUCAUGGCACUUAACCUAAAUGACUACACCUGAAAGUGGAAAAUCCACUGUUAAUACUACCUUCUGGGAUACACUUUAUCAUUCUAUAGACCCAGUAGUCAUCAUAUAAUACUUACUAACUUCGGGUCUUCAUGGGUAUCCCCAUAGUCGGAGUGCACACCCUCUAGUGCUUUAACUCUUAUUCUAUUAGUUCAACCUUCGAAAACUCAAACUUAGAAUCUAGCACUCAAGAUGGAUAUCGCCAAGACUUCAAUGAAUCAUACUACUUCCGACAUAGCAUACCAAUAUCGCGAGUCCAAACUUAUAUCGCUCUACUAUGAGAAUCAAGAUCAUAUAAAAAGGCUCAACACUAUCAAUCAAAACUCCUUAACUUGGCUAUUUAGAAAACCAUGUACCAUCUAACUAGUCUUUCUCCACCUAGCAACUCAACGGUACCACUCGUCACACAAAACGUGUAAUAGUCUUAUAAAAUACCGAAAACUCAGAUCACCUUGGACAUACUUCUACAUUAUAUAUGCAACAUCAUACUUCACUACGAAUCAAAUAAACUUAAGCUCNNNNNNNNNNNNNNNNNNNNNNNNNNNNNNNNNNNNNNNNNNNNNNNNNNNNNNNNNNNNNNNNNNNNNNNNNNNNNNNNNNNNNNNNNNNNNNNNNNNNNNNNNNNNNNNNNNNNNNNNNNNNNNNNNNNNNNNNNNNNNNNNNNNNNNNNNNNNNNNNNNNUUUUUUCCCACAAAACAUACAUCAUUAAUCUCAUGCCACUAUUUUUACCACCACAUUCUACAUUAAAUUCAAACAUAUAGUCCUGUACCAAUCAUCUAUCACUACUGAAAAAUGCAACAUAAUAUGCUAGUCCAUAAAAUUUGGGACAUACUAUACAAGCGCCUCAAAAAUCACUACAUACCUUCUCACAAGUAGUACUAGUUUACAAUUACGAACAAAAAGCAGGUCAAGGGGUAAAGUUACAUAAUAGACAUGAUCAACCUUAACCUUAUAUUAUAACCCCAUACAAUCUUUUUGACAUACGGAUUUCUCACCUCAUACUUACUUACCCAAACAUACAUUUAGACUACCUUCAAAUUCCACAAAAAAUCAUGAGUCUAUACUUAUAACUUACUGGCUAAUAUAGCCAUUUUCAUACUUCAAGCAAUCGAGAAAUCACCCUAACUAACAACUCCUUCUCUACGUUCUACUAAACUAACACACAAGGACAAAUCACCUCUUUACCAACCCAAUCUCAUGCAAACAUAUUCAGCUAUAUAUAUAUAUUAAACCAACACAAGAACAACAAGUUGCUAGUUAAUCGAAAUAGGCCUCACAUGGCUUUACUAGACUUUGAUUUUGUAUUUUGAACAAAAAAAUGAGAUGAAUGACAAGUCAACUAUGCUAGUGAAUCAAAAGAGCCCCACAGGGCUUCACUAGACUUUAUUUUUUUCAACAACACCUUGAUGACAAGAUUACAUGAGAUAGAAAUUUAAUACGCAAUAAGUAAUGAACUAAGAAUACACAUCUUACUCUGUAUAUAUAAAAUCAGAGUCAAACACUUCCUUCACGGACUACCAUACCUUCCACACAUGCUACUAGUUACCACAUUAGUCUAUCAUCAUUAGGGGUAAAUCAUUCUCGAAUAUCGAUUAUUCAAUUAAAAUAUUCAUUUACACAAAAGUCACCCUCGCUCUGACUUCUAACUUUGUGACUUCACAUCACCAACUUCUUGGUCUAAUUUCCCUAACAAUAGGUCAUGACAACAAUACUUUAAUGCAUACUACUAUCCGGGUGGAAAUACAGUUCCUACAUUCUACUACACAUCAUCCCCCCCUUAAGCAAGACAUUUGUAACAUAAAUUUAAAGAGGACUAAGUGCAAUUAAUACCUUAAGAUGAAAAGCACGAUUCCAUCAAAAUCAAUGUUUACAUUGGAAUUAAUACACACUGAAGCACUAAUGGACUCUUCUCAAGUUCUUACACAAAUUUUAACUCUUAUAUGGUUCAAUCAAAAAGGACCAUACCAUUUAGAUUCUAAACUUCUGCUCUUGAAUCACCUCAAUAAUGAGACAUAUCUGAGGACAUUAGAGUAAGGACAGAAUUUAGGAUGACUUUCUUUUUACUUUCGUAUGGGUGAUACCAUAGCACAAAUUAGAGUGUGAAAGAGAAACAUUCUGACUCUAUUGCACGAAAUAGAACACGAAGAAAGAGAGACAUUCCUAAAUGCCUAGUAGCCUCCUGCUUAUAAGUGUGGCACGCUAUAUACCCAUAAAUAAGACUCUCCCCGACGUGAUUUCACAGACACCCUGGGACCAUGAACCAUGCUUUGAUACCAAGUUUGUCACGACCUGAACUGGGGCCCUGGCCGUGACAAGUAUUCUAAACCAUGAACGCCCGAAACACCCCUAUCUAUCUGGUAAUCAUGCACAUAAUUCAUAUGAUAAUAAGAUAUGCAGAAGAUACACAAUGUUAUGAAAAAAAAUAGUCAUAAAUCAAAUAAAAUCAACAAAGGAGAAAUAAUGUUCCAUAACAUAUAUUGACAUCUGAACAACCAUCUGCGAAAUCUCUAAUACAUGACAGAAAUAAAUUAUUGUCUGAAAACUAGGACAAGGCCCCCAAUAGACCCAAAACUACUAAAUGAUAAAUGAACUGACAGACAUCAGGCCUUUCGAAAUAUAAAAGGCUCACUACUUGAUUCUGCAAACCUAUCGAAGAGAUCUAUUGGUUAUCUAGACCCCUAAACUAUGCCUCCAAACUUGGGAGGGAAGGGGGUCAAUACAAAAGUACUAGUACGCAGAGAAACCAAAAGCAAAAUAUAAUAUUUUUUUCCAAACAUAGGUGAGAGCCAUUAUAAAGCAGUUCCAUAUCAAAUCAUUUGAAAACACAUGGGCAUAAUGUAAUAGUUUUCAACAAUAAUGUAAAGCAGCUGAGCUAGGUGGAAUACCCUACAUAUAACAUUUACACCAACUGUCAAAUCUCGGUUGCCGCCAAGAUUAGAGUAUAAGUGAGGGGAAGACACAAAAGAUCAUACAGCAGGGUGACAAAAGAUCACACAGCAGGGUGUCUCGACCCAAUAAAGUAUAGUAGUGCCCAAGAUCACUUAGCCUGGGCUCCUAACCACAGUCCCAAUUUGGGAAUGACAUAAAGUCAAGUACACAAGAUCAUUUAGCCUGGUACCAAAUCCGCAUGUCGGCAAACACGAUUUCCAGCGAUGAGCCCUUACACUCAAAUGCUUUCUUUGGGUAUCCACCUAUCUCAUGUAAAAUCAAUGCAUCAAACUCCAUUUAAUUCAAUCACAUAUCUUAUUCUAUAGGGUAUCAUCAUACCCAACUUGCAAGCCAUCAAUAUCACAUCAUUCUUUCAUGCAACCAUCAUAUUCAUCAUAUUUCAUCAUAACAACCCUCCCAUUACAAGUCAAAACCAUGACCAUUUUCAAAAAAUUUCAUGUGAUGCUUGUCAAGAUGAUUUCAAACAUUUCACAUCAUAUGAGAAUUUAAAAUGAGAUCAUAUAAAAGAGGGAUUUCAUAUAAUUCAUGCUCUCAAGUUAACAUCUUUUUGGAAUACAUGCAUAUACAUAUAUCAUAUAUCAAACCACUUCGGGAAUAGGCCUAAAUACCAAAUCAAUAUCAUAAAACAUUUAAAACGGGAUUAUAUUCAUAAUUUCAAAACUCUCAUUUUUAAAACAUGAAUUUUUAAGCUCAUGAGAUUUUUGAGAUAACCCCACAUACCUCUAUAUGCGAAGAUGAUAGGUACCUCUUCAAGCCUAUGUUCUAGGGAUUCCAAAUAUGCAAUUAGUUUCAAAAACCCACGAUUGAAUCUUGAGUUGCUUGGGUUUUUAUUUUGAAACCCUAAGGAGAGUUCUUGAGCAAUUUUGAUGAAUGAAGGUGUAUUUUGGGAACUGAAUUUCGUCUUUAUGGCUAAAUAAGGGUGGGAAAAGGACCAUUUUGCCCCAAAAACGGAGUGUUUAAGUCUCUUGAGUAAUAAUAUAUGUGGCGCAAACCUUACCGCAUAAUAUAGGUUGUGCAGCGCACUCUUUAUCGUACACAUUAGGUUGUACGUCGCACACCUUAUGGCAUAAGUUAGGGUGUGCGUCGCACACCUUAUAGCAUAAGUUAGGGUGUGCGUCGCACAUCUUAUGCUGUAUGACACACUCCACUUUGCAAAGCCAUAACUUCUUUCUCGAGUGUCGAAAUUUUGUGAAAUUGGUAUCGUAGGAAAGAUAAUUCGAAUACCCUUCAUUUGAUCUAUAGUAUGCACUCUAAUUCAAUAUAUACAAAGAGUACUAGUCGAUUGAAGUUGACCUAAGUUUCAACGCUCACUAAAAUUCAAACGAUAGGAAAACUUUCAACUUGUCCUUGAGCUUGGGGACCUCUAUGAUCUCAAUUCAUGCUUAAAUAGGUUUCCACACUACAUAAUUUAUUAACGCACUAAACUUGCUUUGGAUUUAUGGAUUUUGGAACCUUUAUGUGAAGAAAAUGAUGAUUUUUGUUCUCGUCCGAAAUGCGAGGUGUUACAAAAUUUUGUUAGAAAAUGGAAAAUACAACCAUAUAGAGUACAUUUUAGCUGCACCAUACUGUAAAUACACUAAACUAAACUUUAAAAGUACUAAUGCAUUUCUUACCUGUUGGUGUGUAGCAUUCAAAAGUUUUAUUGUCUUUGGUCGGAAGAUAGCCACAACAACGGUUUCAAGAAUGAAGAUUAAACUGAAAAGAAGUCAUGCUCGCUCUGGAGUUCCUGUUACAUGAUGCAACAUUACUCUACAAUGUUAAAGCCACUUUCCUAAUCCUUGGAGUCUAAGUUCUUUCGAGAAUGAAAUUUGAUUAGGUAACACAUCCUCAACGUCAUUUGAAUCAGUGAUAGGAGGGUUACUGUCGUGAUAUUCUCGAUCAGCGUCCAAACUACUUCUCUGCAAGGCAUCUCAUCUAGCUGCUAAUGGGUCUGUAACUGAUAAAUGCCAUGAAACAAUAGCACCCAACAGCACAGAUGCUACAACUACAUAACUGAUACAAUGUCUAAAGUACCUGAAACAAAAUUGUUACAGUAAAAAAUUAGAAGAUUUUUUAGAGAACAAAAGAUUAAAAGUUUCUAUUCAACAAAUAAUAUAAAAAGGGAUGCAUAUGCCACAAGUAUAAGAAGACUUGAUUAUGGAAGAAAAUGAAUUAGCAUGGGUUAACAACAAACCAGUAAUAAACUCCAAAAUAGAUCAAGAACACCCGAGAGGUACCAACAAUAAAAAGUAUGAUGACUCGACUUUUCAGAAGCUUAAAACUAUACAAGCAAGCUCCUAAGUUCCAAUCUGAUUGAAUGAAAAGCUAGUGAAUUCAUUACUUACCAAAAAGAAAUAAGAAAUUAUUUCACAAUACAAGUCAGAAAAAGAGACAGAUAUAUGUAAGAAAUGAACUACCAAGGAUUAUUACGGCAGCUGAUAUUGUAGCCCCAAGCCAGUUUGAUUCCUUUACUGUCAGACCAUACAGGAUAGAAUACACAAUAAGUACUAAAAGUGAACCGACAUAUAGAAGUCUAAGAUGUAGAGCCCUGCAGAGCCCAAGUUCAAAGUAAAGAAGAGUAAAUUAUAGACUUCAGAGAAAAUAUUGAAAAGAUAGUGCAGAAAAUAUGAUGAGCAGUAUAAAUGAGAACCCACUGAACAAAUAAUAUAACAAGGUGACUUUCAAAUCUAAAGUAGCAUUUAAAUUAAUUUGCUUAGUAGUGGGAUUUUAAGAUCUACUGUUUUUACUAGACUACUGGAGAGUGUGUUUUGUUCUCUCAGAGUUAGUAUUCCUUUUAUUCAAAUGGAUUUGAGUUACACCCAUUGUUUAUCAUUCUUUGGCUCUUAAUUUUAAAAGUCUAUUAGUUGAGAACAUUUUGGCAUAUCUUCAUAUCUUCCAUAUCUUAUAACAAAAAUUAUGUUCCAUCCAAAAAAAGAGUUGUCAUAUUAGUCAUCCCUGCCCUUUAUAUAGAGCUCUUCCCAUCUUUGUUCAAAUCCCUAGCCAUAAAAAAUGAUGUCCCCCUUCAAAAAGUAUUACAUCUUACUCUGUCUUUCUUUUGCCUAUAAACAGUCUAGCACAUCAUUGAUGUCUUCUGUUAGAACUAAUCAUCGUGUUUACACCAAAAAUAAAGAAGUGCUAAACUAUUCAUGUUGAUCUUCUAGACAUCCUCAAAACAACCCUUGUUUCUUUCUGUCCAAACUGUCCACCAUAUACAUGUUGAACAAUUUUCCAUCUCUCCUCCUUUAUUACAUUUACAUCCCCAUUCCAGCUGCUUAGUACUUUUUUAAUGCUCCCAAGUUCUACCCACCUGAUCCCCUUCAGGUUGAAAAAAUUCUCUACAGCUGCUCUGUCCGUUUCCAAUGUAAGUAAAGAUGGUUAAUUGUGUAAAGAAAGGAUCUUGGACAUUACUCAACCCCAAAAUCUAGCACAUGAGGGGAGGAUUUCUCAAGUCUAUAUAAGAAGACCGACAGUUCACUCCCCAAUAAUGUGGGACUUUCACUCACUCUAACACCACCUUCACGCCCAGGCCCAACAAGAGCGUGGUCCAGGAGCUCAAACAUGGAUGAACCUGCUGUUUGAGAAAGAAUGCCAACUUCUAUUUGUAUGCAAGAGAGAAUAGAUGAGCUGUUGUUACUAAAUGCAUUGGGUCGAUCAUCACGUACAGGUCCAUGGAUUAUGCCAUUAGGUUUUGCAGCAGUUCCAAUAUUUUCAGCAGCACCACAAGUUGAAUUUUGAUGCACUAUAGUAAAGAAAGAAAACUUACACAUUAACUUGAGAAAACAACACAAGCUUCUCAAAUGCAGGUUCUAGCAAGAACAAAGAUAACAAGCAAAUAGAAGGCAAUGAAGAUAAGGAUAAGUCUAGACGAGCUUAGGGAUAGGCUCCAAACUGAACAUAGUGUUCGUCAUUCUUGUUGCAGAUAAGAUCAGACAACUUAUUAUUUUGACGUUAAGAGUUUCUUGUAGAUGGUGCUGAAUCCAUUUUGCAACUUUGGAGGCCUUGUAAAGCACAGAGAGGCUCAUUUUUGUAAAGAAAAUACUGCCCACAUAGUAUAUAUGUUAUCAUUUUCAAAAAAAAUAUGGUGCUUGCUGGUUUUACCAAUAUAAUGUAUGCUUGUACCUUCCAAUGCAACCUCCUGGCGAAAAAACUAACCACCAAUAGGCAUCUUUCAGCACAGAAGAUUCUAAGACUGUCUUACUAGGAAUUAGGUAAGUGCAAGUUCUUAAAGGGAAAUUAUUUGCAUCAUUGAAGAUCAAAAAGCCAGGUAUACAGGAGAUUAGACAUGUUAAAGAAAAAAUGAUAGGUUUAAUCUCAGGAAAUAGAUCAAAAACUCUCAUUAACAUAUAAAUGAUGGAUCCCAAAUAACGUCAGAAGUUACACACAAAAGGAAAAUGGUACAGAAACCAAUUCCACCUUCAUAAUAACUAUGUCUGCUUGAUGUAAGCAUAAACAUAAGGAACAUACUAACAUACCAAAAAAUUAUCAAAAUGUUCUACAAUGUAGUGCAUAGUUUUUUUUGUUUUUUGAAAUUGAACACAGUGCAUAGUUUAAAAAUAUGCAAACAACAUUUAAUGUGGUAGGUCAAGCAUCAGGUACUGGAAGGAAAAUUUAAAACAUAGUGGAGGCAAAUGAAAGAGGGUAUCUAAAAGAAUGAUCAGAGGGCAGGGUGGAACUCCCCCAUAGCAAGUCAAAUGAAGUUUAAAACUAUAUAAAGAAGAUGACACUAGAGGCUUCUGUAGGUGUCUCACAUACUUGGCAUAAACCAUGUGUGAAUGAGCACAACAGAAUCAAAUAUACUGAGAUAAAGCAGGCAUUUGAUUGCAGAUCAAAUGGAAGAGUCUACCAACCGACCAGAUUUAAGAGCAUCUCUGGUCUAUGCACUAUUUUGAGGUAAAGUUAUAUGGUUAAAAAUUUGGACGUUACUUAAUAUAUGCACAAACUGAAUAUGAACUGCCCAGUUAGACAAGUGCUUUUUGUAGCUACCCAGUAACAACCUUAGUUAAAGAAUACAUCAAACUCAGUAAGCUUAAUGAGCUUUCCCCUGCAAGGAAUAAAAGUGUGGAUGACCCGACAUCAAAUAUACCAUUGUUAUUAUACACACAAUCUCCAUACAAUAGCAACAACAUACCCGAUGUAUAUUUGAGCAGAAUAUAUGCAAACCAUACCUCUACCUCAGAGACGAGAACAAAAUGGUAGAACCAUUCCUCACUAAAAACUUCAAAAGACAAAAAACAGCCAAUAUUUACAAAACCAAAUGAAGCAAAAGAAGUUCAUUAUCUUGAUCACCAGUAAGUAAAAGAAAUGUUUACAAUUGGAGAUUCAAAAAGGUUGCAAAAGAAAGAAGCAAACUUUCUAUUUAACAAGAAUCAAAGGGGGGAAAGAAUAAGAGUAAAACUAGUAAGAAUACGAGAAGUAUGAACACUAUAGUCAAUGACCAAAAUAUGAAUUGUAGUUUGGCCAUUUAGCAUCCAUCACUCCAACAGAGAAUCAAGACUUGCAAGCAGGUCGAAAGGUUUGCCUAUCGAGUCUUUCAAGAUUGUGAUUUGACCUUCUUUCAUAAGAAAGUCUUUAUCAAGGGUAUCUACCUUUCUUUUCAACAUGUUUAUCUCAUAAUUCAAUAGCAUGUUCAUCUCACUGUAGCUCUUAACUUCCUCCCACAUGAAAUCUCUCUCUUGAAACACUUUUGGUAGUAUCUCCUUCACAACGCCAAGUUCCUUCAUGCAUUCUUGCAAAUCAUUCGUGAGAUGGUUGAUAUUUUUGUCCUUUUUUUAGCACCUUCCAGAAUCAACUGUAAACCAUGAAAAAUAGGAAAGACACAAAGAUCACCAAUAAUAUUUCAUCAGAAAUUCAAAACAAACUCAUAGCCUAGAAGUUCAACCAAAUCAUGAAUCCUUUUUAACUGUUAAAAUUCACAGUAGAUAACUCGUGAGCUUGUGCAAGAAUUAAGUCAGAUGAACAAGAAAACUUACUAAAACCCCUUUGGGUAACUUUACCAUAUCAGAGCACAAUCAGAUCAAUGGGUUUGAGGAUAUCACAAAGUUUAUCAUGUUCUUGGUUGGUUCCAGUGAUUACACAUUAAGGUGAUCAUACAUUUCACAGAAGACUACCACAUGCCAGCAACUCAUGUAUACAAGUUCAUAAAGAAAACCGUGAACUUCAGAUAGAACAAAGAUGAACGUAAAAUCAAACAGAAGUAGAAAGCUAAUGCAGAGAGAGUAACAUGCGAACAUGCUAUCAUAUAUGAAGACGAGGUAUCCAAAGUUGAAAAAUAAAAACUAUUUCGUUGCAACGAGAUCUUAACAUUGCUUGCUUACCUGAAGCUCGAGAUAUUACAACUUGGGUGUCUCAUAAGAAAGAGCGUCCAGCACAUUUUGCACUUCAUAUUUGAGAAUGUCGUUACCUGUAACUGUUGUGGAUAGAUCAGCCUGAAGUUGUUUUAUGUCCAUCUCCUCGGAAUAGAGCUUCUCUCUUAGCACAGUUGUCAGCAAGGUCUCCGAUUUAACCACUUUAACCUUUUCCUGGUAGUUUUCCCGGACAUAAUCUCUAUUCUCUUGAGCUACUCGAUAUUCCGCUUGUAACUGAGUGAGCUGCUGCCUUAGAUUUUGAUUCUCCUCUGACACUUGCUCUAUUCUCUUAGACAAAUCUUCAAGGUGUUUCUCCGAAAAUGACAUCUUGAUUCUAUUAUCUACUUCUUUCUCAUUAAACAAAGAGACUUCCCUUUGUAGAGAGACAUUCUGCUCUACAAGCUUUCUCGCCCUUUCAUGGAGUCUAUGUUGUUCAAUUGGGUAUUUCUCAAGUUUUAGAGACCAAUCACUGGAUCUUCUAUCCAAAUCCUUUUUAAGUACUGAUUGUAACUCAUUCUUUUCUGUCUCCAAUCUUCGUGUCCAUGAAUCUAGUUCUGCCUAUAAUAUGCUGGUUUCUUCCUUAGCAGAAGCCUUUUCAACAACUUGAUUCCGUAGCAUGCUUGAAACUUUAGAAGCCAUUUGUACCUUUUCCUCUGUCAAUCUUCUAAUAGUCCAAAUCAACAUUGGAACUCUAAGGUCUCUUCCGUGAAGAAACAUUUUAUUACUUUGGACAAGCAAAUGCAAAUUAAAACAUCAGUUUAAGUGUGAGAAAGGAAGCUACAGCAAAAUGAUAUGCAUACUGGCUUGAAUCACGACCAGAUUUCUUAGGAUGAACUUUCUUACUUUGACCAUGGGAGAUUUGCUUAGAUCCGUGAAAUUCUUUUUCCCUGACCCACUGUCAUAGAAGGAUCCAAAUGACAAUGAAACACUCCUCCAUGAAGAAACUUCCUUAGACUUUAAUGGUGGUGAAGGGGUCUUGUUUGCAUCAUUAGUUGAUGAUCGAAAAAAUAAGAAGUUGUUCUUCAUCAUCUCUAUGUAAGGAGACUGUACAUAAAUCAAACUAGUGUCCAUGAGAUUUCAAAGGACAAAGCAAAACACUCAUAAACAGCCACUCACAAAUCAUUAUCCAUUCGUGUAAAUACUGCAAGCUAACUAAAUACUUAUGAGAUAAAGCAAAACAUCUCUCUUUCUACAUGCUUCUUCUUUAACAACAACAUACGUAACCCCUACCUUGGCAAGUAGAAAAUUUAUUUCCUAUAAAUCUUCAGCAAGGAAAGCAAAAACACGAGGAUAUUAACAACAGUAGCAAGUAAGAAAACAGAGGUAUACGAUACAACAAGUAGAAAAGAAAAAUAUGUACUAAUACUACUACCAGAAGAGAUAUGACGCGAAACGAUUUACUACUAGUCUUCUACUAAAAAUUAAUAAAAUACCCCACAAACAAAUAGCACAAGAACAAUUCAAAGAACUUAUCAAAUCCUUCUGAUAAAAAAAAUAAUCAUGGUAAAUAAUACAAAAAAGAGAAAUUACUCAAUCAAAGAGUUGAAAGAGUAAGAGCCGGCAAAAGGUUAUCGGAAUCUGUAGGAUUCUUGUCAUUUUUUCUUGAAAUGUAAAAAUAGCAAAAGACUAAAAUGGAGAAAAAAAAAUUUCUGUGUCUUUUAUUCAUCAUCGUACAAUGCAUAUAUACAACUAACAAGGAUCUGUAAAUUGCAAGUAAAUAUUUACAAGGAUCUGUAAAUGGCAAGUGAAUAUUUACAAGGAUUCAGAAAUAUGGUAGUGAAUAUUUACAUACUCAUAAUUAAAAAUUUGAGAAAUACCCAUUAGAGAGAGAAGAAAAGUGUAACAAAUAAUUUGUGUUAUUCAAUGGCUAUAAAUAACCAUAUGAGGUCAAAUUUUCCAUAUAAUAGAAAUAAAAUUUAAACUAUAAAUUAGCUUUUUCAAAUUAACACACAAAUUAACUUAAAUUAUGAAAUUUAAGAUAUUUAUUUUGUCAAAAUUUAAAUUUUCCAUAUAAACAUCACUGAAUUGAUAUAAACAAUAUUUUGAAAUGUGAUAGAUUAAUUAAAUAACCCAAAAAUAUUGUAAUAUUGUAUUUCUUUUAUCUCUAGAUCUUUUUUUAAUACAAAAGAAAUACUAAAGUCAUACAAUAAUCUCCUUUCUUUUUAUAGUCUAAACUUACCAUUUAAAAAUUAUUUCAUUUGAAUUAAUAAGAUCAUAGUAGAUUGUACAAAAUCAGUUAAUAAAUGAUAUAUAUUUCCAUUAAAUAAAUAAAGUAUGAUAUAAUUGUAAUAAGACUAUACAAUCAACUAAUUAGUUUCACUUAAUUAGAUUAAAUUUUAUGAUCAUAAUAUAUAGACUAAAGUUCCUUAAAUUGAAUGUUGUAAAUUUAAAAAUAUAUUUAUGGCUAAAGUAGUAGUCCAUGUUCAUUGUUUUAUUUAAUCAAUAUAUGUAUAUCAAUUACAGAACUUUGCAUAUAUUUUUUAUUAAAAUAAUUAUCAAUAUUAACUGAUUUUUACCGUAAUUUAAUCUAAUUAGUUUGAUAACAAUACAAUUAUUAUUAAUAUUAUAUAUUUGUUAACGAUAAAUUUUGUCCUAAUUUUAUAGCUUGAUUAUAUUUAAUUAAUCUAAAAUUACAUAAAGGACUCAAAUAUGGAAACAAUUGAUAUUAAUUACCNNNNNNNNNNNNNNNNNNNNNNNNNNNNNNNNNNNNNNNNNNNNNNNNNNNNNNNNNNNNNNNNNNNNNNNNNNNNNNNNNNNNNNNNAAUUUUUAAAAGGUAACAAUUAUUUUUUUCCUAAUUGCUGAUUUAUUUCUCAAAAAUUUCUUAUAAAUUUAUAAUUUGAUUAUAGUUAAUUGAUUAUUUAAUUAUCUUUCUAAUUUGCUAAAACUCAAAUAAGUUAACCAUUAUUUUUUUCUCAAUUACAGAUUUUCUUAAAUUUAAUCCUUUAUUGUUUUACUAAAAUAAUUCAAAUUUAAUUGUUUUGAGGCAUUACAUCUUUUUGUCUUUAAAUCUUUUUUAAUACAUAAGAAAUGCUAAAGUCAUACAAUAAUUUCCUUUAUUUUUAUAAUCCAAACUUACCAUUUAAAAAUCAUUUCAUUUUAAUUAAUAAGAUCAUAGUAGAUUGCACAAAAUCAAUCAAUUAAUUAUAUGUAUUUUUAUUAAAUAAAUGAUGUGCGAAAUUAUUGUAAUAAAACUAUAUAAUCAACUAAUUAAUUUCAAUUAAUUAGAAUCAAUUUUAUGAUCAUAAUAUAUAGACUCAAGUUCUUUAAAUUUAAUAUUUUAAAUUUUAAAAUAUAUUUAUGGCUAAUGUAGAAGUCACUGUUCGUUGUUUUUGUAACCAAUAUAUGUAUAUCAAUUAUGAAACUUUUCAUAUAUUUUUUAUUAAAAUAAUUGUCAAUAUUAACUGAUUUCUAACUCAAUUUAAUCUAAUUAAUUUGAUAACAAUAAAAUUAUUAUUAAUAUUAUAUAUUUAUUUACCAUAAAUCCAUCCUAAUUUUAUAGCUUGAUUGUAGUUAAUUAAUCUACAAUUACAUAAAGGGCUCAAAUAUGAAAACAAUUGAUAUUAAUUACAUUUAUAAUUUCGGCAAUUCAAUCCCAUAAAUUUCUAAUGUUUUUUUAUAGAUUGAUAUAUUAAAAUGAUAUCAAUUACCUUUUUAAUUUUGUGAAGAAUUUUAAAAAGGUAACUAUUAUUUUUUUUCCUAAUUACUGAUUUAUUUCUCAAAAAAUUCUUAUAAAUUCAUAAUUUGAUUAUAGUCAAUUUAUUAUUUAAUUAUCUUUAUAAUUUGCUAAAAGCUCAAAUAGGGUAACAAUUCUUUUUUCCUAAAUUAUGGAUUUUCUUAUAUUCAAUCUUUUAUUGUUUUACUAAAAUAGUUCAAAUUUAAUUGUUUUGAGGGAUGACAACUUUUUGGCUCUAAAUCUUUUUUAAUAAAUAAGAAAUGCUAAAGGCAUACAAUAAUCUCCUUUCUUUUUAUAAUCCAAACUUACCAUUUAUAAAUUAUUUCAUUUGAAUUAAUAAGAUCAUAGUAGCUUGCACAAAAUCAAUUAAGUAGUUGUAUAUAUUUUUAUAUAAAAAAUGAUGUAUGACAUAAUUGUAAUAAAAUUACAUAAUCAACUAAUUAAUUUCAAUUAAUUAGAAUCAAUUUUAUGAUCAUAAUAUAUAGACUCAAAUUCCAUAAAUUUAAUGUUCUAAAUCUUAAAAUAUAUUUAUGGCUAAAGUAGUAAUCAAUGCUCAUUGUUAUUUUACCAAUAUAUGUAUAUCAAUUACGAAACUUUGCAUAUAUUUUUUAUUAAAAUAAUUGUCAAUAUUAACUGAUUUCUAUCUCAAUUUGAUCUAAUUAAUUUUGUAACAAUAAAAUUAUUAUUAAUAUUAUAUAUUUAUUUACCAUAAAUCUAUCCUAAUUUUAUAGCUUGAUUAUAUUUAAUUAAUCUACAAUUACAUAAAGGACUCAAAUAUGGAAACAAUUGAUAUUAAUUACUUUUAUAAUUUCAAAAAUUUAAUCCCAUGAAUUUCACAUAUUCUUAUAGUUUGGUUAUAUCAAAUUUAUAUUAAUUACCUUUAUAAUUUUGGGAAGAAUUUUAAAAAGGUAACGAUUAUUUCUUUUCCUAAUUACUGAUUUAUUUCUCAAAAAUUNNNNNNNNNNNNNNNNNNNNNNNNNNNNNNNNNNNNNNNNNNNNNNNNNNNNNNNNNNNNNNNNNNNNNNNNNNNNNNNNNNNNNNNNNNNNNNNNNNNNNNNNNNNNNNNNNNNNNNNNNNNNNNNNNNNNNNNNNNNNNNNNNNNNNNNNNNNNNNNNNNNNNNNNNNNNNNNNNNNNNNNNNNNNNNNNNNNNNNNNNNNNNNNNNNNNNNNNNNNNNNNNNNNNNNNNNNNNNNNNNNNNNNNNNNNNNNNNNNNNNNNNNNNNNNNNNNNNNNNNNNNNNNNNNNNNNNNNNNNNNNNNNNNNNNNNNNNNNNNNNNNNNNNNNNNNNNNNNNNNNNNNNNNNNNNNNNNNNNNNNNNNNNNNNNNNNNNNNNNNNNNNNNNNNNNNNNNNNNNNNNNNNNNNNNNNNNNNNNNNNNNNNNNNNNNNNNNNNNNNNNNNNNNNNNNNNNNNNNNNNNNNNNNNNNNNNNNNNNNNNNNNNNNNNNNNNNNNNNNNNNNNNNNNNNNNNNNNNNNNNNNNNNNNNNNNNNNNNNNNNNNNNNNNNNNNNNNNNNNNNNNNNNNNNNNNNNNNNNNNNNNNNNNNNNNNNNNNNNNNNNNNNNNNNNNNNNNNNNNNNNNNNNNNNNNNNNNNNNNNNNNNNNNNNNNNNNNNNNNNNNNNNNNUAGUUCAAUUUAAUCUAAUUAAUUUGAUAGCAAUAAAAUUAUUAUUAAUAUUAUAUAUUUAUUUACCAUAAAUCUGUCCUAAUUUUGUAGCUUGAUUAUAUUUAAUUAAUCUACAAUUGUAUAAAGGGCUCAAAUACGUAAAUAAUUGAUAUUAAUUACCUUUAUAAUUUUGGAAAUUCAAUCCCAAAAAUUUCUUAUGGUUUUAUAGAUUGAUUACUCUAAUUGAUAACAAUUACCUUUUUAAUUUUGGAAAGAAUUUAAAAAAGGAAACAAUUAUUUAUUUUCUUAAUUACUAAUUUAUUUUUAAAAUAUUUCUUCUAAAUUUAUAAUUUAAUUAUAGUGAAUUGAUUGUUAUUAUCUUUAUAAUUUGUUAAAAACUCAAAUAAGGUAACAAUUAUUUUUUCCUAAUUAUGGAUUUUUUUAUAUUCUUUCAUUUAUUUGUUUACAAAAAUAGGUCAAACUUAAUUAUUUUGAGGGAUGACACCUUUUUUUAAUAUUUUUUAUUCAGAAUGAUUACAAUUCAAAUAGGCAGUUCUCAAUAUGACACUUGUCUUAGUUUUAGUCUAGACUAUCCUCCUUUAUUAUAUAGAUAGAUAAUUUCAACAAAAUUAAUUAGAGUAUUUUCUUAUAAAAAUAAUAUAAAAUAUGGUAUAGUAAUAAUAUUUGCAUUAAUUAUGCUUCUAUUUUCUUACGCAGUAUUUGAUUCUACAUAUUAAAAAUAACAUUGAAUCAAUGGUGAAAGUAGAGGGACUUGUUUCUUUAUUGGGUUUUUUCUUUUUGGGAAAGCUGAGAUUUUCUUGACUACUAACCACCCUACAAAAAGCUGACACUUCUUGGUAGAUUGGCUUUUUCUUCAUACGGUACUAAUUUAUAUACAUUUUCUUUGAUAUUUGUUAUAUUGUUAGUUUUAUUUUGUGUAUCGUAUUAGUUUAUAUGCAUUUAUCUUUUAUGUUUGUUAUAUUAUUAUGAUCCUAAGCGGAGAGUCUAUCGGAAAAAUCCUCUAUACUUCACCUGAGUAGUGAUAUGAUCUGCAUACACUAACCUCCCCAGACCCCACUAUGUGGGAAUACACUGGGUGUUGUUGUUGUUGUUGUUGUUUCUUAUACAGUAUUUGAUUCAAUAUAUUAAAAAUAACACGAAUUAUAUAAUUUUUCUUACAUAAUACCCCCACUUUAAGCAUGUUAAUGCAUGCAUUAGAUUCAUUGCAUUACUAAUGUUAUAAAUUUUGAGGUAUUAGUAAUACAUACCUCAAUACACAAUAGAGUAUAUAACUAAUUUUUGCAUUAGUUAUACAUAAGAUAAAAAGAUAUAUAUCAAAUAAGGGACUAUUAAUACACAUUAAAUUAAAGGAUGCAUUAAUAUUUACGUAAUACAUUCCAUGCUUUAUCACAGAUUUGAUUAUUAUUCUUUGUCUUGAGCCGGGAGUCUAUCGGAAAUAGCCUUUCUACUUCUCCGGAGGUAGUGAUAUGGACUAUGUACAUCUUACCCUCUCCAGACCCCACUAUGUGCAAAUACACUGAAUUUAUUGUUGUUGUUGUUAUUAAUUUUUUAAUACACUCUAUCAAAAGGCUUCAUGCUUCUCAUUUAAUUAUACCUUUAGCUCCUCUUUAAUUAUGAUAAUUGCUCUCUGACUCCACCUUGAUUUUUUAAAAUAUAAAUAAAUAGCAAUGAAUUUAAUUUUGUUCAUUACUCUACUAAUUGUACUAAUGUUAGGUGAAUUCAUCAACUUAAAAUUAGAGUACAUUCACUCAUGCUACAUAUUAUAGCUAUAGUUCCAAAAACGAAUUAUACGUUUGACAUAAUACAUAAAUGUGUUUUCAACUUGACAUCAUCAGCAAAUAUUUAUAUAUUUUAAUUCUGAGUGUUGCACAAAUAAAUACUUAGACUAUCAUAUAAAGUUAAAAUAAAUAUAUAUAUGCGAGUCUUGUAUCGCAAUUUGUCAUGCAAAAUAUGUGCAUCUCAUACAAUUUGUCAAGUAAUUAAAGCGUUUGUGUCUAGGGGAGUGCAUCGGUCGGUUCGAUUGGGUUUUAUAUAUUAUCAUUAGAUUUAUCGGUUUUCGAUUUUUAAAUAUGCUAAACCAAUAACCAAACCAAUAAAAUACUUUUUUCGGUUUUUAGUCCUUAACGAUUCGGUUUUCGGUUUAACCGAUAAGAAAAUACUCAUAAAAUAAAAAUAGUAGUAACUAACAUAUAAAAAUGAAUCUUAGUUGCAACAAAAAUCCUACAUGAAGUAUUUAAAUUUACAAAAAUCUUCAAGUUUGAACUAAAUGUUGUUUGGAGAAAUUAAGAGUUUAUAUAAUUGAAAUAAUAAGUUUUUUAAUUUGUAGAAAUAAAAGAUAAAUAUAUAAUAAGUCAUACAGAGGCUUCAAGAAACACCUAUCAUAUUUGCAUAUAGAGGUACGUGGGGUUAUCCUAGAAUCUCAUGGGCCUUUAAAUUCAUGUUUUACAAUGGGGGGUUUUGAAACUAUGAAUAUAAUCAUGUUUUGAACGUUUCUAUAAUAUUAAUUUGGUCUUUAGGUUAUUUUGAAUAUAGUGUUUUAAUCAACUAUGUGGUGUAUAAAUCUAGUUGAGCAUGAAUUGAGAUAUAGAGGUCCCUUAACUCAAGGACGAGUUGAAAGCUUUUCCAUCGAUUGAGUUUUAGUAAGCGUUAAAACUUGGGUCAACUUCAAUCGGUCAUUACACUUUUUAUAUAUUGAAUUAGAGUACCUACUUAUAUCAAAUGAAAGGACAUCGAAUUAUCUUUCCAACGAUACCAAUUUUGCAAAAAUCCAACACCCGAGGAAGAAGUUAUGGCCUUGCAAAGUGGAGUGUGUCGUGCAGCAUAAGGUGUGCGACGCACACCCUAACUUAUUCCAUAAUGUGUGCGACGCACAACCUAAUGUGUGUGAUAAAGAGUGCACCACACACCCUAUAUUAUGCAAUAAGGUGUGCGCCGCAUGCAUUACUACUCAAGUGACUUAAACACUCCAUUUUUGGGGCAAAAUGGUCCUUUUCCCACCCUUAUUUAGCCAUAAACACGAAAUUCAGUCCCCAAAUACCCCAAAAUAAACCUUCAUUCAUCAAAAUUUCUUAAGAACUCUCCUUAGGGUUUCAAAAUAAAAUCCAAGCAACUCAAGAUUCAACCGUGGGUUUUUGAAACUAAUUGCAUAUUUGGAAUCCCUAGAAUGUAGGCUUCAAGAAACGCCUAUCAUCUUCGCAUACAGAGGUACGUGGGGUUAUCCUAAAAUCUCAUGGGCCUUUAAAUUCAUGUUUUACAAUGAGGGUUUUGAAACUACGAAUAUAAUCAUGUUUUGAACGUUUCUAUAAUAGUGAUUUGGUCUUUAGGCCUAUUUCCGAAGUGAUUUGACAUAUUAUAUAUGUAUAUGCAUUUGUUUCGAAAAGGUGUUAAUUUGAGAGCAUGAAUUUUUUGGAAUCCCUCUCUAGAUGUGAAUUUGUUUUAAAUGUUCAUAUGAUGUAAAUUGUUUGAAGAUAUAUUGAAAAGCAUGACAUGAAAUGUUUUAAGAAUUGAUAUGAUUUUGACUUGAAAAUGAGAGGGCUAUUUGUGUUGAAACAUGUUGAAUACAAUGGUUGAAUGAGAAGAAUGGUGUGAUAUUGAUGGCUUGAAAGUCGGGUAUGACAAUACCCUACAGAAUAUGAUAUGUGAUUGAAUCAGAUAAAAUUUGAAUGCAUUGAUUUUACAUGAGAUAGGUGGAUGCCCGAAGAAGGUGUUUGAGUGUAAGGGCUCAUUGCUAACAACUGCUAACACAUCAUCAACUUCCACACAGUCUUCAGACACCAUCGCCACCACUGUCACCGGCGUCACCACCUCUACCACUACCAUCCGCUACACUCGCUACAGUAUCUAUACUAAUAACCAUUCCACCAUCAUAGCUAACAACGUCUCCAACGACCACCAACACAUCGUCAACCGUUAUGCAUAUAGUUUUCCAUCACCACGAUCAACACCUCCAACUACUAACAUUAACCAACUUCACAUCACAACCACCACCACCACUACCAAUCGCCAAUAUCAUGACAGUUACUACAAUGCCAACUAUCUCUACUAUCACAACUAUCAUCACCAACAUGGCUAAUCACUAACAUCAAUUAAUUUAUUUCAACCACCACCACCAUUACAAACCAUCUCUACUAUCACUAACAAACAUUAAUGUUUCUUUUUUUAAUCAAAUAAUAAUUUAAUUGGAUUAAAUUAAAAAAAUUUCUAAUAUAUAAUUAUAUUAUAUUUAGAAAUAAAUAAAUUUUGCACAUUCAGAUAUUGAGAAACACCCAACCUUAAUCAUUUAGUUUUCAGAUCUAGAGACAAUAUCUUAACCAUUCAGAUGUGCAUUCAAAGUGAUUCAAAUGUCUGAAUAUUAAUAAAAAAAUGCAGUCUUAGCUGAAACAAAUGGUGUGGUUAUGCGAUACUUUAAAGGAGUCCUCCAAAGUCAAAGAAACUACGUAAAAACAUGGAAGUUUGAUGAUCACUUCUCAGAGUUGUUCUGCUCAAGAAACUAUAACAAUUAAGGUAAUAUAACCAUUAAUAGCAUUCAACAGAGGAGAAGUCAAUUACAAUUAUCCGUGAAGUAGCAUUUAAUGCAGCUUGGCUAGAUUAAAAGAAUCAUCUAUAUCUAUACUACAUUAAGAGCAUGGAACCCCUAACUUAAAAGUUUACGACAAUACCAUUCCUAUCAGCCUAAAUACCUACUAUCUAGUAAAAAAAAGAGAUGAAACUAAUUGGCAUAAAGAGAAACAACACAGAUGUUUAAUAGGAACAACCGGUCAUUGUUCUUAUCUCAACAAAAUAUGUGUUAUUUAAAAAAAAAAAGCAAGCAGAGGGGUAACUCUCAAAUCUCAAUCUCAUACUUUUAGCCUACCAAAUAUGUUUUAUUCUUUAAUGCACUACAACAACAACAAAAACAAACCCAUUAUAUUCCCACUUAGUAAUGCACUAACUUCCUUUUUUACCUAAUGAAUUGAACUUUUUAGUGAGGAUCUAAAUGAUUUUCAGACUUUGUUUAACAUCUGAUUCAUUAAGAUGUAUUAACAGGUUGAAUCUUUUUUUAAAAAAAAAGAACUUAAUGGGCUGAUAUCUUAACCAUUCAGAUUCAGACCUUCAUUAAGUUAAAGCAAAUGAAAAGGGAUUGUAGUGUAAAGUCUAUAAAUAUGGCUUAGUGUAACAAAUGUAGUUGACACAAUUCAAUACUCCUAUUAGCAACCUAUUUCACCUGUUUCUCUAGCUCAUCCAUUACAUCUGUAAAUAAGUAUUUUGCUAUUGAUCCUGAAGUAUUUGAUGAGACAGCUAGAUAUGCAGCAAAAUCUUUAAUCUGCAAGCACAAAAUAAAGAUGGAAAUUAUUGGAUGAAAAAUUCAAAAAGAUGAAAAGGGAACUCAUGAAGGUAAUCACUCACUGAACACAAGAAAUAAAAACUAACUUUGAUGCAAUAAUCACGCCAGUUAGUUUUUUUAUUAAGUAAUCCUGCAGCAACAUACUCUUCCAUCAGUUUUCGGAACUCAUCACAAUUUUUACGUUCAGCUUUUCUCAAUUCUUCCUAUUUGAAUUAAUGGUGUAUGCCCAGUGAGAAAGAGAUAAAUCAAAGUCUCCAAACAUAAAUUUAAUUUUAACCCCCAAGUCUAACAAGAAAUAUACCAUCCGCAGUUUCCUUUGCUCCCCCUCUUCGCUCUCUAAAUCACGUAUGUAUUCCUAAAACAGAAAAGGUUGCAACAUAACUUUAAAACUAAGGUGUACAAAUGAGAUUCUUGGAAAAAGUUAUUUAUGAUGUAUUAGAAAAGUGAAUAGUACCUGGAAAAUCUCCAACCGAUUGAUUUUCUAAAGGCGGGAGCAUCUUUCAUCAAUUUCCAAGCAGUCCUGAACUUUCCGCCACUACCUACUGGCCUGAACAAAAGAAGUCAGCAACAAUGAAACUAUGGAAGUUCUAUCUCCUGGAAAUAGAAAAACAUAAUCUAGGAACUGAUGCUAAUUCCACUAGAAUAAAUACCUUAAUAAAGUCACAGGAUUUUAAAAAUUCUAACUACUCCACUCUAUUGCGCUUCUGCUCCUCCAAUGCCUUCGCAUGUUCCUAAUAAAAUCUAGUACAAAGUAAAAAAAAUAAAAUAUCUCUAUAAAGAAGACAAUAUUUACAAAGAGACUUUAACUACACUUGCAUGAAAGUAUUGAAAAACUUUUUCUAUUUUAUGAUGGAGGGGGGAGAGGAAGAAGCAUAUCAUAGUUUCAAGUUUCAAGAAAAAUUACAUGCAAUACAUGGAAGUCUGUUUAAAUUGGAAUUCAAUGGUGAACAAAUUUAAAUGUUGUACCCAUGAGAAGCCAUUAAAAAUGUAAUCAAAGAACACAAGAUUUUAAGUUGAAUAUCUACAACAUUCCUUCUUUCUACUCUUUAAGCAAAACAAAAAAAUGGAACAAACUAAAAGACAUCCUACAAAGGAAAAGAAUGGAAUAACUGUUGUUAAUCAAGUGGACCAACGCCUAACUCAACUUCGAAAACUAGGUCAGGUGGUGAAGAUUGUCCAAGAUCAUAUAAGGAAACUAUAGCACAUACACCUUACUAGUGUAGGAUUUUUAUACAUUAAUUGCACACCAAGACUAGACAUUUGUAGCAUUAGUUAACCUAGGUUGGAUAACAUCUAAUAGUCUAAUAUCAAGAUAGAUCUGCCUCUAAUACCAUAUUUAAGAAAUUGGACCUUGUUUCUAUCUCAAAUGAAAGGCUAACUUAAUUUAUGAGGAGCCAAAGACCAUAUAAGGAAACUAUAGUCCGCACACUUAGUUUUUAACAUAUAGAAGCUUACAAGAAAGUUCUGCAAAAGGAGCUUCACCUUUUUCUCAAGUUCCUCCACAUAAUCUUCAAAAAGGUCCUCACGGUCUUUAGCUCGCUCAACAGCUUUAAAACGUUCAUCAUGUUUGAAUAUGGAGAUUGCCUUACUAAAUAAUCAAUAGCAAAUAGUUAGUGGAUCAAAUGGAACUUACACAAGUAAUGGAUCAACUUCAAGGUACCAAAACACAUACAAACAAUGACCAAGAUUAGAAAACAAGCAGCAGACAACUUUACAUUACAAGUGAAAGACAAACCUCCAUCUUGACGUAAGAUUGAGAACAACGGACAUUGUUUUGAAAAAUACCACUUAUUCUUUUGAACAAGUCAAAUACCAAUCUCUAACACAUCAUGAAUAUUAUGGUAAUAUCUUUUUAUUUUUGAAACUGGUAAUUUGAAUAUCAUGAUAUAUCAAAUAGAAGACACCCACAAAAGAAAAUUUCACUUACUUCUAACAUUAUCCUGAAAUCUUCCCGAGCUUUUUUCUAUUUAACACGCCUCUCUUCAGCUUCCAGUUUUUUCUUUUGGCUCAGAUACUGGACAGACACACAACUUCUAAAUGAUCACUAUAGACCUUGGGUGUGUUUGGUAUGAAGGAAAAUUUUUCCUGGAAAACAAGUUGGUUUCUUACUUGUUUUCUUAUGUUUGGUUGAUGAAAGGAAAACAUUUUUCAGAAAAUGUUUUCUAGUGUUUGGUUGGUGAAUAAAAAAAUAUUUUUCAGAAAAUACAUUUGAGAGUUGUAUAAACAUUUCAACUUAAGAGUGAGAUUGAAAGAGAGUUUUGGAAAAUGUUUUUCCUACUUUUUGAAGGGAAUUCAUUUUCCUUAAAUGUUUUUCCUACUUUUUGAAGGGAAUUCAUUUUCCUUAAAUAUUUAAGUCAACCAAACAUGAAAUAAUUGGGUAUCAAACACAAUCUAUCUUUUUGCAAUACGGUAUGCUGAAACAUUGAAGCAGCAAUUAACCCAUUCCAAUGCCGACUUGGAGAGAUACCUCAUUAAAAGCUUGCUUCCGCUCACCAAGGGAUUUUAGAGCACCAUAUCUCCGGUCAUUAAUUACUGCUCUCAUGGCCUGACAAAUACAAUUCAUGUCAAAUGCUCUCCCUCAGUUGUUUGGUACGCACAAAAUAGUCAAGUAAUAAACCUGAUCCCACAUGCAAUCAGACCCAAUAGUUGCAGAUUCCAAAAGAGUUUUGAAUGCACUCUUUGCCUCUUAAAUAAAAUCAGAUACUUAAAAUAGAAAUAAGAGAUAUUUUGAGAACGUACAUUAAGCGAGACAAAAAGCAAUAAUCAACUUUACCGCUUUGCUCUCAUAAACUAAUGGUCCCAGCUUGACUGUUUUCUCAUCUGAUGGAGUAGCACCUCCGAUUUCAGUUAUUGCAGCAUCUUUCUUGACAUUCUGCAUUUUAGGCACAACAUCAAGCACAAAAGACAAAAGCAAACCUCAUUGGAAUUUGGAGCAUAUUCUUCACCUGUUAGCAGUUGACUAACAACUGCACUACAAAAUUGUUGGAUCAACAUCCAGCAUAACAGCUACGAAAAGCUUUCUUGGUGUUUUAACCAGUAACCAGUAGUAAUUAACUAAUUGCAUAAGUAUUUCAGAAGGAGAAGGUACCUCUCUAUUCUUUGAAGAAAAUCCAUCACCAUACACUACUGCAUCUUGAGUUGUAGUAGUCUCAGAACUACAGAAAAAUUGAAUUCCAAAUAAGAAGCAACACAAACCUGAGGCAAAAUUAUAACGUAUAUAUCUAAAAAUAUACACCGGUGGUGCGACAGAAUUUCCCAAGGUUACUGCUAUUCCAAUUUUCUCUGAAUUAGCAACAGAUGGCGAAGUAGGUCCUGAAGAAUUCUUCAUUUUGACUAUUUCAAUCAUCGGAGAAGAAACCUUACUAGAUAAACUUGAUGAUUCUGAAGACACAAUAGUUGGUAAGUUAGUAGCUGGUGACACAGUAAUUGGGCUUGAUUUAGCACCGUGUGCCGAGACUAAUGAACCAUCUGCACCCGGGGAUGAUAUUUUAACAACAGAAAUAGAUCCAAAAUUAGAAGCGUGUGAAAUAGUGUCCUUUUCACGAGCCAACUGUGAAUUUAUAAAUAAUUAAACUUUAUGAGAAUAGAGUAUCCAAGAAAAUAGAAUAUUGCCCCUUCUUAUCAUGCUAGCAACUGUGAAUGCAUAAAGAUUUUAUCAGAACUAGAGCAUCCAAGAAAACAGAAUACUGUCCCUUCUUAUCAUGCUAUUUAAAGCACAGAACAAUCCCUUCUUAUCAUGCUAUUUAAAGGACGGAACAAACCCAUAUUGGAUUUAAAUCUAACAUCACCUUGACUUCAUCAGGUCUUCUCCAUUUGGACGUUCUAGUAACCUUGUUGUAGUAAUACCUACAGAAAACAAACAAAGCAAUUAGCAUUAUGCACAAGUAACACACAAAAGUACCCACUGUAGAAGAACAAUUGGAAAGAGGCCAAGAAAAUAUAUAAGUUACAUACUUUCUUCCCUCAGGACUUGUAAAUUCUCUCCAGUCAGUUGUUGUGUCUGCCCUCUGUCCCAAUGAAAACAGCAUGAAAGCAGGUCAAGUCAAAAAACAAAACAUAAAUAGUGCCCUGAGAGUAGAAAUCAGUAACUUCCAGAAGUACAAUAUUGGAUGGAAGUGUUAGAAUAUGAAUGAUAUAAUAUCCUAAAUGGAAAAGGACAAGAAUGUACUGUGUAGAAUAUAAAUACAAGCAGGGUGGAAACAUUUCCAAGAUGCGGCCGAGCUACAACUAUAUUUAUACAUAGGUCAAAUUUUGUCAUUUCUGAGUAUUUUUUAAUGAACACCCUUUCCACAAAAAAGAAGACUGAGUGUGACAGUAAGGGUGUUCAAAUCCUGCACUGAGGUUCUAAGUUCCAUACUCAACAUAGCCCACCAUAAUUUUUUUUCCAUUUUGACACGUUUGAAACUCAUAAACUACAGUUAUGCUUUUUUCGAUGAAUCAAUUUCUGAACAUGUGGUUUUUGUCCCAAUUAGCUCUUACAAAAGAGCUAGUAACUAGAAUGCCAUGUAUAAGAAUUUUGUUAAAAUAAACUUAAAGGUAAAUUUAUAAAGUGGUUGUUAUACUAGCUAUAUUGCAUGGGGCAGAGUGUUUGGUUGGUCAAGAGCUCGUAUGUUCGAAAGAUAGACGUAGCAGAAAUAAGGAUGUUAAGAUUGGUGUGGGGGCAUACUAGGAGAGAUAGAAUAAGGAACAAAGAUAUACGAGAAAAAUGGUAGUUCUCUCUGUGGUGGACAAUUGACAAGAAGAUAGAGAGUUGGGGAUAAAGAACCUAAAGAUUCAAAGUAAGGCUCUCGUGAUGAAAUGGUUGUGGAAAUAUGCAAACAAUAACCAACUGCUAUGGAGGAAAGUGAUUGGGGAUAAAUAUCUGAAGAAGAUAGAUAGAUAACUAAAGAAGUGACCACACUAUAUGAGGUUAGCCUCUAGAGAUCUAUCAGACACUAGUGGAAUGAAGUUAAAAGAAACUCAGAGGUUAAAGUGAUGGAUGGAAACAAGACUAGGUUCUGGAAGGAUAACUGACAUGAGAAUGGGAAUAUAGAAGUGAUUUUUCUAGAUAUCUACAACUUGGUAUUGUUUCAAUAGAGGACUAUAGCAGAAUUAUGGACAACACAUGGAUGGAACUUCAAUUUCAGAAGGCAACUUAAUGACCGGGAGGUAAUGAGAGUAGUUGAAUUUUUUAAUACCGUGGACUUAUUCAAUAGACUGCAACAGUGAAGGACGUGUUAUGGUGGAUGGGAAAUGAAAAAGGAAUGUUUGGUUUUAAAAAAGCCUACAAGAUGCUGAACCAAAUAAAUCACCUGGAUCCAAGAUGGCCAUGGAAGCAAAUAUGGAAAAGUAGGAUACCUCUCACAGUGUUGUGCUUUGUAUUUGUCUGGUUACUGACCAAGAAAGUAGUUCUUACAUAAGAUAAUGUCAUGAAGAAAGGGAAAACCUUGUGCUCCAGAUGUUUCCUCUAUUGAGAAACUUUAGAGAUGGUUAACCAUGUAUUUUUACAUUGUAAGUACACCCAACAACUUUGGAGAAUCGUCUUAAGACUAAAAGGCAUUUCCAGGACAAUGCCUAGGAAAGUAUCUGAGACUUUAAUGUGCUGGGAGAAGCAGGUGUAAAUGCGAAGGACAGGGGUAGAUGGUGAAUUAUCCCUGGUGCUAUAUGGUGGGCUAUAUGGAAAGAAAGGAAUUCUAGAUAUUUUGAGAGCAUAGAGAAUAGUGUGCAGAAGGUUAAACUCAACUGCAUUUUCCUUUUGUGUUUUUGGUGUAAUCAACUAUACUCUAAUGAUACUGCCUCGAUAAUUGAUGUUCUAGACUAAAUUUAGAUAUAGAACAGUCGAUUUAGGAGUACUCUUGUACAUAAAGGUUUCAGUACAACCCAUGUACUGUGUGAUAUAAUACAAAGUUACCAAGUUUGAAAAAAAAAAUAAUUUUUCAAGUACUAAAAGUUUAUAAAUUAAAAAAUAAAGCAAAUAAAUUUGAGUUCAAAUUAGGUGGGUUGGGUUAUGACCCGCAUAUUAGAGAAUUUCAACCCAACCUAUUUCAGCCCAAGUAGCUUUAGGACGGGUUAAUAACUCGCCCAUUUAUUAACUUAGACCUCUUUGAUCCGUCCAAAUCCAGCCAACCCUGCCCAUUUGACACCUUUAGUUUAAUAGAAGAAAAGUGGACCAUUCCAGAACACGUACCAGAUCUAUUGAGUUGAAGUAAAGUGGACUAUCAAAGGAUACACAACAAUCUGUUGAGCUGUUGGAUUAGAGAGGAUUAGCAAGAGUUAGAAGAAAUGGGGGAGAACAAUCCUUCCUUGUAUUUGGUGGACUGUAUGGAGCGAGAAAAGUUGAAGGUAUUUUGAAGAUAAAUAUAAUUCCAUUCAGAAAGUUAAAUGGAAUAGCAUUGUAGAUUUAUGUUUUUUGUUUAAGGGACAAUGUGUACAGGAUGCAUAACAGGUAGUAGAUCUCUUCGAAUCCUCGCAUUAUUUUCAUUAUUUUUUAUUUCAUUUGGACUGAUAGCAUAACCUUAACGUUGAUGAAUACAAAGUAAUAUCUCCGGAAAAAAACUAUUUAUCUCAAAAAGAAAAGAAUAAAAAUGUUCAAACUUCCUUACAGCUCUAGUUCUUGGUCCCUUAAUACUUGUCCCUCACAACCAGCCAAACUUUCUUUGAUAACCGCCAUGUUUGGGCCAGGUUGCACCUUCACUAGUUACACCAGGUACUGCUACCUCCCACCAGCACAGAUACAGGGUAAGUCUAUCCAUCAAGGCUUGGACAGGCGGUAAGAAAUCACCUAGUGUUUUUAUCUUUGUUGGAAAUUAAACCUGAGACCUCAUGGUUCUCAAUCUACUUCAUUGACCACUAGGUCACACUCUUAGGUGCAAGUGUGCGACCAGCCAAACUAUUAUUCUAAUAAACCAUAAUGAGAAGUGUGAACCACAAUAUUAUAUCAAGUUUCCUCUCUCCAUAUCGCCAUAGAGUUACAAUAACAUUACAUUAAUCAGAAAGUAAAUAAAAUUGUUUAAAAUAGACCAAAUAUAAUCCUGUCGUGUAUGCUUAAACACAUUUUUUAGAACAAUAGUGUUAAAUAUAAAAUCUUUUAGAACUAUAUUGGAAAUAAAAGGUCAAUGCAAAUCCCAAAUGAAGCCUACAUAGUAUAGUAAGAUCGAGGAAGUCUGCUCGCUAAACAAACUUUCAACAGAAAUCACAUAUACUUAGGAAAGAAAAAGUGGUUCUACGAAGCUUCAUAGAAAAAGAAUUGUCUACUUCUUUUUUCAUUGAUAAGCACAGGAAACUAGAUAAAACUACCCAUAAAAAUCUCGAUGACACGAGACCUCACCUCAAUUUCUAUCAUUAGCUCUCGAGGUUUCUCCCAGGUAGAGAUUCUUGUCCUUCUAUUAUAAUAGUAUCUAAAAAUCAAUUCAAGAAUUGUAAGAAUGUUAUUAAUUGGUUGGAGUAAUAAAUCCAUAGGAAAUAUGACAACAUUAACAACCAUAAUUGGCCUACUGAUCAUCAAAAGAUGCUAAAAAUAGCAAUACCUACUAGCAUUUAGCCACAUGUAAAAUAUGUAUGAUAAUAGAGAAAUAUGGUCAAAAUGAAGUUAUCGGUAGAGGUGUAUCAAGUUCUGCUGAUCAACAGUCAGGUAGAAUUUGGUAGCAGUGAACAGAAGCCCAUAUGAUAACUUUGACAAAGAGGACUGAAACAAAGUGGCCUAUUAUCUCCAGUGCUAAUGGAAGCAGAAUGAUGUACAAAGCACUAGAUGUGGAUACUUGAGGGAUUUCUUGGCAGUAAUGGGGGCCAACAUAUCCACCACUUGUUCAUAGACAAGACAUUAAGUGUUUGUGAUGCAGACAUUAACCUAUUCAUAUGAGUGACCUAUGUGAAUAUAAUCCAAAAGCAAGAAUUCCGGAAAGACAAAUCGACAUGCUUUUUUUUUCUGUCUGGAGAACACAAAGUGGUAAAAAGAUUGGAUCUGAAUAAAAAUGAUAUUUUUGCAGAGCUCCUUUUCUUGAAUACUGCGGUUUUACACCUUUUUUGUUCACUGAAUCUUAAUUUGCUUACAAAAAACUAUCAUAGAAUUUAAAUGUUGACUGUCUCAGUCAACACACACCCAUUAAUCCAUUAACUUAAGCAUGCUAUUUGUUGAUAAUAUUUAUGCAAAAUGGGUAUAAUAAAACACAUUGAAUUCUCAUCGAAACAACCAAGGGAGCUGUUAAUUCUCCAGUCUUGGGCAUAGUUAUCGUAGAAUUCACAUUAUGAUUACUUAUUGGCAUCCAGGGUUGUACCUCUGAUGGAAACCUAUAAUCAGUUAUCUGUGUUUGAUACUGGGAGUCAGAAGAAUCUGCAUAUACCUGUUGUUAAAAGACGAUAACAAAAUGUAUUUCAUCAAUAUAGGAAUGGAAUAUCAGAAACUGAUUGACAAUAACCACAAAAGAUCUUCCCAAGGCCUUACAUUAUAUGAAGAAAAAAGGGGUAAAUUUGGGCCACCAUAACCAGGCAUAUGGUUAUUUGACAUCGGAAGAAUUUGCUAAAAAUCAUGGGGAAUAGGUGGUCCCUGAGGCAUACUAUGCAUUCCUACUACAGGUCUACCAGUAAUCUGUUGCAUAGGUUGAGGAAAUUGGAUUUGAGAAGGUUGAGACAUCACAACAUUUGCAUGUCCAAGUGGCAAAAAUUGUUGAGAUGACCCGAAACCAUAAGGUUGUGCCUGCUGGGCUGGAAGCAUAGGCUGGAACUGCUUAAAAUGUGGGGAAAAUAGUUAUCAUUAUAUCUCUACAUUCAAUAGUCAUUUAUCCCUCCCACAAGCCUUCACAACUUUACUUGUAGUGACAUGGAUGGAAUAGCACCAGGAGCAGGACCAGCCAGAGGAGGUAUAGGAGGCUUCUCAACCAAUAUCCUUGCAAGGAAGAACAGAUGAAAUCAGAAUAUAGCUACUUUUGAAUCAUAUUUUGUAAAUUUUCCAAUCAAUGUUGAAAGCUUGUAUCCCUGCGCAACUCCCUAAAUUAAUUUAAAGGACAAGGCAAGAAUUUUGAAGCCAAACAACAUAGUAACAUAAAUCCCUUUUCUUCAUCUAAUAAACAGAAAGCUUGAAACGAGAACAAAGAGAGAUAGGAAAUAGAUGACCUAUCAUAGUAUUAGACGAGAAUAGACAAAAUGAUAUGUAUGUUUACCUUAUGGCUUGGGUUCAACAACUACUGAUGGCCUAAGUAUCUUUUCUUCGGGUGUAAAGAGGCAUGUCUGUUAAUGCAAAACUAUGAUCAUGGAACUGAAACGUGAGGUAUGAGUAGGUAUUAGGAUAACCGAAAAAUACUUAGACCGGAAUGGGUUGAGCCUCACUCUUCCCUUCUGAUGUUAUAUGUCAUGUGACAUCACUAUUAAUCUGAAAGCCUGACUUGGUUAUUCGCUCUAUCAUCUCCCUCUUAGCUUCAAGCCAUCAAAUUAAGUUUAGGAGAUCCCUUACUAGACUCUAAACUGAAGUACACUCACUGCACUGUGGGGUCUGGAAAACUACUAUACACGCAUAUCAUGGCACUUAACCCGAAUGACUACACCUGAAAGUGGAAAACCCACUGUUAAUACUACCUUCUCAGAUACAUUUUAUCAUUCUAUAGACCCAGUAGUCAUCGUAUAAUACUUUCAUACUUUCAUCGUAUAAUACUUUCAUACUUACUAACUUUGGGUCUUCAUGGGUAUCCCCACAAUCGGAGUGCACACCCUCUAGUGCUUUAACUCUUAAUUCUAUUAGUUCAACCUUCAAAAACUCAAACUUAGAAUCUAGCACUCAACAUGGAUAUCACCAAGCCUUCAAUGAAUCAUACUACUUCCGACAUAGCCUACCAAUAUCGCGACUCCAAACUUACAUCUCUUUACUAUGAGAAUCAAGAUCAUAUAAAAAGGCUCAACACUAUCAAUCAAAACUCCUUAACUUAGCUAUUUAGAACACCAUAUACCAUCUAACUAGUCUUUCUCCACCUNNNNNNNNNNNNNNNNNNNNNNNNNNNNNNNNNNNNNNNNNNNNNNNNNNNNNNNNNNNNNNNNNNNNNNNNNNNNNNNNNNNNNNNNNNNNNNNNNNNNNNNNNNNNNNNNNNNNNNNNNNNNNNNNNNNNNNNNNNNNNNNNNNNNNNNNNNNNNNNNNNNNNNNNNNNNNNNNNNNNNNNNNNNNNNNNNNNNNNNNNNNNNNNCAUCCACCUUCAUGGACAUCAAUUGUUCAAAACUUAAUGUCUAGUGCUAGACAUGAUUUUACAACCCAACCUUAUGCAUGAUUCUCACUUGGAUACCAUGAAAUAGACAUCAAGAAACACUAGUACACUAGAACUUCCAAACAACAAAUAAUUGAUCUUGACCUUACGAUCUUCCUUAUCAUAACUCAUUAGCCUUAAUAUUUUAACACAUCAAGCCUACUAAUUUUUUCCCACAAAUCAUACAUCAUUAAUCUCAUGCCAUUUAUUUUACCACCACAUUCUACAUUAAAUUCAAGCAUAUAGUCAUGUACCAAUCAUCUAUCACUACUGAAAAAUGCAACAUAAUAUGCUAGUCCAUAAAAUUUGGGACAUACUAUACAAGCACCUCAAAAAUUACUACAUACCUUCUCACAAAUAGUACUAGUUUACAAUUACCAGCGAAAAGAAGGUCAAGGGGUAAAGUUACAUAAUAGACAUGAUCAACCUUAAUCUUAUAUUAUAACCUCACACGGCUUCACUAGACUUUGAUUUUGUAUUUUGAACAAGAAAAUGAGAUGAAUGACAAGUCAACUAUGCUAGUGAAUUGAAAGAGCCCCACACGGGCUUCACUAGACUUUAUUAUUUUAAACAACACCUUGAUGACAAGAUUACAUGAGAUAGAAAUUUAAUACUCAAUAUCCAAUGAACUAAGAAUACACAUCUUACUCUGUAUAAAUAAAAUCAGAAUCAAACACUUCCUUCAAGGACUAUUAUACCAUCCACACAUGCUACUAGUUACCAUAUUAGUCUAUCACCAUAAGGGGGUAAAUCAUUCUCAAACAUCAGUUAUUCAACUAAAAUAUUCAUUUACACAAAAGUCACCCUUGCUCUGACUUCUAAUUUUGUGACUUCACAUCACUAACUUCUUGGUCUAAUUUCACUACCAAUAGGUCAUAAAAACAACACUUUAACGCAUACUACUAUUCGGGUGGAAAUACAGUUCCAAAAUUCUACUACACAUCAUCCCCCCCUUAUGCAAGACAUUUGUAACAUAAAUUUGAAGGGGACUAAAUGCAAUUAAUACCUCAAGCUGAAAAGCACGAUUCCAUUAGGAUCAGUGUUUACAUCGUAAUCAAUACACAUUAAAGCACUAACAGACUCUUCUCAAGUGCUUGCAUAAAUUCUAACUCUUAUAUGGUUCAAUCAGAAAGGACCAUACCAUUUAGAUUCUAAACUUCUGCACUUGAAUCACCUCAAUAAUGAGACAUAUUUGAGGACGUUAGAGUAAGGAAAGAAUUCGGGAUGACUUUUUUUUUACUUUCGUAUGGGCGACACCAUAGCACGAAUUAGAGUAUGAAAAAGGAACAUUCUUACUCUAUCGCAUGAACUAGAACAUGAAGAAAGAGAGACAUUCCUAAAUGCCUGGUAGCCUCCUGCUUAUAAGUGUGGCGCGCUACACACCCAUAAACAAGACUCUACCCGAUGCAAUUUCAUAGACACCCUGGGACCGUGAACGAUGCUUUGAUACCAAGUUUGUCAUAACUUGAACCGGGGCCCUAGCCAUGACGAGCAUUCCAAACCAUGAAAACCUGAAACACCUCUAUCUAUCUGGUAAUCAUGGACAUAAUUCAUAUGAUAAUAAGAUAUGCGGAAGAUACACAAUAUUAUGAAAAACAUGGUCAUAAAUCAAAUAAAAUCAACAAAGGGGAAAUAAUGUCCCACAACAUAUAUCGACAUCUGAACAACCGUCUAUGAAAUCUCUAAUACAUGACUGAAACAAAUUAUUGUUUGAAAAAUAGGACAAGGCCCCCAGUAGUCCCAAAACUAUUAAAUGAUAAAUGAACUGACAGACAUCAGGCCUUCCGAAAUAUAGAAGGCUCACCACUUGAUUCUGCAAAUCUGUCGGAAGAGAUCUACUGGUUAUCUGAACCCCUAAACUAUGCCUCCAAACCUGGGAGAGAAGGGGGCCAAUAUAAAAGUAAUAGUACGCAGAGAAACCAAAAAUAAAAUAUAAUAUUUUUUUUCCAAAUAUAGGUGAGAACCAUUAUAAAGCAGUUCCAUAUCAAAUCAUUUGAAAACACAUGGACAUAAUGUAAUAGUUUUCAACAACAAUGUAAUGCAGCUGAGCUAGGUGGAAUACUCUACAUAUAAUAUUUUCACCAAUUGUUAAAUCUCAAUUGCCGCCAAAAUUAGAGUAUAAGUGAGGAGAAGACAGACAAGAUCACAUAGCAGGGUGUCUCAACCCAAUAAAGUAUAGUAGUGCCCAAGAUUACUUAUCCUGGGCUCCUAACCAUAGUCCCAAUUUGGGAAUGACAUAAAGUCGAGUACACAAGAUCACUUAGCCUGGUACCAAAUCCCUAUGUCAGCAAACACGGUUUCCAGCGAUGAGCCCUUACACUCAAACACCUUCUUCGGGCAUCCACCUAUCUCAUGUAAAAUCAAUGCAUCAAACUCCAUUUAAUUCAAUCACAUAUCUUAUUCUAUAGGGUAUCGUCACACCCUACUUGCAAGGCAUCAAUAUCACAUCAUUCUUUCAUGCAACCAUUAUAUUCAUCAUAUUUCAACAUAACAACCCUCUCAUUGCAAUUCAAAACCAUGACCAUUUUCAAAAUAUUUCAUGUCACUCUUGUCAAGAUGAUUUCAAACAUUUCACAUAAUAUGAGAAUUUAAAACGAGAUCAUAUAAAAAGAGGGAUUUCAUAUAAUUCAUGCUCUCAAAUUAAAAUCUUUUCAGAAUACAUGCAUAUACAUAUAUCUUAAAUCAAACCACUUUGAGAAUAAGCCUAAAGACCAAAUCAAUAUCAUAAAAAGUUUAAAACGGGAUUAUAUUCAUAAUUUCAAAACCCCCAUUUUUAAAACAUGAAUUUUUAAGCCCAUGAGAUUUUUGAGAUAAACCCACGUACCUCUAUAUGCGAAGAUGAUAGGUUCUUCUUGAAGCCUACGUUCUAGGAGUUCCAAAUACGCAAUUAGUUUCAGAAACCCACAAUUGAAUCUUGAGUUGCUUGGGUCUUUAUUUUGAAACCCUAAGGAGAGUUUUUGAGCAAUUUUAAUGAAUGAAGGUGUAUUUUAAGGUAUUUUGGGAACUGAAUUUCGUGUUUAUGGCUAAAUAAGGGUGGGAAAUAGACCAUUUUUCCCCAAAAAUGGAGUGUUUAAGUCACUUGAAUAAUAAUAUAUGCGGCGCAAACCUUAUCAAAUAAUAUAGGUUAUGCGGCGCACUCUUUAUCGCACACAUUAGGUUGUACGUCUCACACCUUAUGGCAUAAUUUAGGGUGUGCGUCGCACACCUUAUGCUGCACAACACACUCUACUUUGCAAAUCCAUAACUUCUUCCUCUGGUGUUUGAAUUUUUUGAAAUUGGUAUCGUUGGAAAGAUAAUUCGAAUACCUUUCAUUUGAUAUAUAGUAGGCACUGUAAUUCAAUACAUACAAAGAGUAAGAGUCAAUUGAAGUUGACCUAAGUUUCAACUCUUACUAAAAUUCGAAUGAUAGGAAAACUUUCAACUUGUCCUUGAGCUUGGGGACCUAUAUGAUCUCAAUUCAUGCUCAACUAGGUUUCCACACUACAUAAUUUAUUAACACAUUAAACUUGCAUUGGAUUUAUGGCUUUUAGAACCUUUACGUGAAGAAAAUGAUGAUUUUCUUUCUCGUCCAAAAUGCGGGGUGUUACAAAAUUUUGUUAGAAAAUGGAAAAUACAACCAUAUGGAGUACAUUUUAGCUGCACCGUACUCCAAAUACACUAAACUGAACUUUAAAAGUACUAAUACAUUUCUUACCUGUUGGUGUUUAGCAUUCAAAAGUUUUAUUGUCUUUGGUCGGAAGAUAGCCACAACGACAGUUUCAAGAAUGAAGAUUAAACUGAAAAGAAGCCAUGCUCGCUCUGGAGUUCCUGCUACAUAAUACAACAUUACUCUACAACGUUGAAGCCACUUUCCUAAUCCUUGGAGUCUAAGUUCUUCCGAGAAUGAAAUAUGAUUAGGUAACACAUCCUCAACAUCAUUUGAAUUAGUGACAGGAGGGUUACUAUCGCGAUGUUCUCGAUCAGCGUACAAACUACUUCUCUGCAACAAGGCUAGAAUCAUUGGGUCCAAUACAUUCUCCUAUAGCAUCACUGCAAAAUUAGGAUCAAGCCCUUUAUCUUGCAAUAAAUUAGCUAAUUCACGAUCAGUGUGUCUUUCUUUCCUCUUUAACAUAGAUGUAAUCCUGGGAUCAAACAACUUUUCUUGAAAUGCAAGUGCCAAAUUCAAGUCCAGUAUCUGUUGGUUUGUAGAGGUGGAUGUACUAGAAUCACUGCCUUGGCUUUUAAGGCCACUGCUAGAACAAACAACCAAUGAACUAUUAUGCUCUAAAUUUUUGUCAACAUAUGAUGAUCCUACUUCAGGCUCUUGAACAACUGAACGACAGGAACUACUACGUAGAGCUAGACUUGGUCUUCCACUGUCUAUGCUCUUAUCACUAUUAAUCCCCUCAAUGUUAUUCCAGGUACUGCCAUCACCAGUGCAAGGCACAGUUUCAUUACCAAAAUGACCAGCAUCAGCACUACUACUGCAUUUGACACUUGAGCCACACCCCUCAGAAGAGCUUGCGGAGCUAUUUUGGUCUUUUUUGCAGAAACCUUCUCUAAGGCGGAUAACUGUGGUCUGCAUGGCAUCUCGUCUAGCUGCUAAUGGGUCUGUAACUGAUAAAUGCCGUGAAACAGCAGCACCCAACAGCACAGAUGCUACAACUGCAUAACUGAUACAAUGUCCAAAGUACCUGAAAUAAAAUUGUUGCAGUUAAACAUUAGAAGAUUUUUUUUUAUAACAAAAGAUUAGAAGUUUAUAUUCAACAAAUAAUAUUAAAAGGGAUGCAUAUGCCACAAGUAUUAGAAGACUUGAUUAUGGAAGAAAAUGAAUUAGCAUGGGUUAACAACAAACUAAUAAUGAACUCCAAAACAGAUCAAGAACACCCGAGAUGUACCGACAACAAAAAGUAUGAUGAAUCAACUUUUUAGAGGCUUAAAACCAUACGAGCAAGCUCCCAAGUUCCAAUCUGAUUGAAUGAAAUGUUAGUGAAUUCAUUACUUACCACAAAGAAAUAAGAAAUUAUUUCACAAUAUGAGUCAGAAAAGGAGACAAAUAUAUGUAGGAAAUGAACUACCAAGGAUUAUCAGGGCAGCUGAUGUUGUAGCCCCAAGCCAGUUUGAUUCCUUUGCUGUCAGAUCAUACAGGAUAGAAUACACAAGAAGUACUACAAGUGAACCAACAUAUAGAAGUCCAAGAUGCAGAGCCCUGCAGAGCCCAAGUUCAAAGUGAAGAAGAGUAAAUUAUAGACUUCAGAUAAAAUGUUGAAAAGAUAGUGCAGAAAAUAUGAUGAGCAGUAUAAAUGAGAACCCACUGAACACAUAAUAUAACAAGGUGACUUUCUAAUCUAAAGCAGCAUUUAAAUUAAUUUGCUUAGCAGUAGGAUUUUAAGAUCUACUAUUUUUACUAGACUACUGGAGAGUGUGUUUUGUUUUCUUAGAGUUAGUAUUCCAUUUAUUCAAAUAGAUUUGAGUUACACCCAUUGUUUAGCAUUCUUUGGCUCUUAAUUUUAAAAGUCUGUUAGUUGAGAACAUUUUGGCCUAUCUUCCUAUCUUUGUUCAAAUCCCUAGCCAACAAGAAUGAUGUCCCCCUUCAUAAAGUAUACAUCUUACUCUGUCUUUCUAUUGCCUAUAAACAUUCUAGCACAUCAAUGAUGUCUUCUGUUAGAGCUAAUCAUCGUGUUUACACCAAAAAUAAAGAAGUGCUAAACUAUUUAUGUUGAUCUUCUGGACAUCCUCAAAACGACCCUUGUUUCUUUCUGUCCAAACUAUCCACCAUAUAUAUGUUGAACAAUUUUCUAUCUCUCCUUCUUUAUUACAUUUACAUCCCCAUUCUAGCUGCUUAGUACUUUUUUAAUGCUCCCAAGUUCUACCCACCUGAUCCCCUUCAGGUUGAAAACAUUCUCUACAGCUGCUCUAUCUGUUUCCAAUGUAAUGAAAGAUGGUUGACUGUGUAAAGAAAGGAUCUUGGGCCUAACUCAACCCUAAAAGCUAGCACAUGAGGGGAGGAUUUAUCAAGUCCAUAUAAGAAGACUGACAGUUCACUCCCCAACAAUAUAGGACUUUCACCCACUCUAAUACCACCUUCACGCCCAGGCCUAACAAGAGCGUGGUCCGGGAGCUUAAACGUGGAUGGACCUGCUAUUUGAGAAGGAAUAUCAACUUCUAUUUUUAUACAAGAGAGACUAGAUGAGCUGUUGUUACUAAAUUCAUUGGGUCUAUCAGCACGUACAGGUUCAUGUAUUGUGCCGUUAGGUUUUGCAGCAGUUCCAACAUUUUCAGUAGCACCACAAGUUGAAUUUUGAUGCACUGCAGUAAGGAAAGAAAACUUAAACAUAACUUGAUAUAACAACACAAGCUUCUCAAAUACAGGUUCUAGAAAGAACAAAGAUAACAAACAAAUAGAAGGCAAUAAAGAUAAUGAUAAGUCUAGACGAGCUUAGGGACAGGCUCCAAACUGAACACAGUGCUCGUCAUUCUUGUUCUAGAUAAGAUCAGACAACUUAUUAUUUUGAUGUUAAGAGUUUCUUGUAGAGGGAGCUGAAUCUGUUUUGCAACUUUGGAGGCCUUGUAAAGUACAAAGAGGCUCAUUUUUGUAAAGAAAAUACCGUCCACAUAGUAUAUAUGCUAUCAUUUUAAAAAAAAUAUGGUGCUUGCUGGUUUUACCAAUAUCAUGUAUGCUUGUACUUUCUAAUGCAACCUCCUGGCGAAAAAACUAACCACCAAUAGGCUUCUUUCAGCAUAGAAGAUUCUAAGACUGUCUUACUAGGAAUUAGGUAAGUGCAAGUUCUUGAAGGGAAAUUAUUUGCAUCAUUGAAGAUCAGAAAGCCAGGUAUACAAGAGAUUAGACAUGUUAAAGAAAAAAUAACAGGUUUAAUAUCAGGAAAGACAUCAAAAACUCUCAUUGACAUAUAAAUGAUGGAUCCCAAAUAACUUCAGAAGUUACACACAAAAGAAAAAUGGUAUAGAAACCAAUUCCACCUUCAUAAUAACAAUGUUUGCUUGAUGUAAGCAUAAACAUUAUCAGGAAAGACAUCAAAGACUCUUAUUGACAUAUAAAUAAUGGAUCCCAAAUAACUUCAGAAGUUACACACAAAAGAAAAAUGGUAUAGAAACCAAUUCCACCUUCAUAAUAACAAUGUUUGCUUGAUGUAAGCAUAAACAUAAAGAACAUACUGACAUACCAAAAAAUUAUCAAAAUGUUCUACAAUGUAGUGCAUAUUUUUUUUUCAUUUUUUGAAAUUGAACGCAGUGCAUACUUUAAAAAUGUGCAAACAAUAUUUAAUAUGGCAGGUGAAGCAUCAAGUACUGGAAGGAAAAUUUAAAACAUGGUGGAGAAAAAUGAAAGAGGGUAUCUGAAAGAAUGAUGAGAGAGUAGGGUGGAACUCCCUCAUAGCAAGUCAAAUGAAGUUUAAAACUAUAUAAAGAAGAUGAAACUAGAGGCUUCUGUAUGUGUCUCACAUACUUGGCAUAAACCAUAUGUGAAUGAGCAUAACAGAAUCAGAUGUACUGAGAUAAAGCAGGCAUUUGAUUGCAGAUCAAAUGGAAGAGUCAGCCAACCGACCAGAUUUAAGAGCAGCUCUGGUCCAUGCACCAUUUUGAGGUAAAGUUAUAUGGUUAAAAAUUUAGACGUUACUUAAUAUAUGAACAAAUUGAACAUGAACUGCCCAGUUAGAAAAGUGCUUUUUGUAGCUACCCAGUGACAACCUUAGUGAAAGAAUACAUCAAUGAGAAGUUAACUCAGUAAGCUUAAUGAGCUUUCCCCUGCAAGGAAUGAAAGUGUAGAUGACCUGACAUCAAAUAUACGAUUGUUAUUAUACACACAAUCUCCAUACAACAGCAACAACAUACCCGAUGUAUAUUCGGGCAGAAUAUAUGCAAACCAUACCUCUACCUCAGAGACGAAAAGAAAAUGGUAGCACCAAUCCUCAUUAAAUACUUCAUAAGAUAAAAAACAGCCAAUACUUACAAAAUCAAAUGAAGCAAAAGAAGUUCAUUGUCUUGAUCACCAGCAAGUAAAAGAAAUGUUUACAAUUGGAGAUUCAAAAAGGUUGCAAAAGAAAGAAGCAAACUUUCUAUUUAACAAGUAUCAAAGGGGGGAAAAAUAAGAGUAAAACCAAUAAGUAUACGAGAAGUCUGAAUACUAUAGUCAAUGAACAAAAUAUGAAUUGUAGUUUGGCCAUUUAGCAUCCAUCACUCCAACAGAGAAUCAGGACUUGCAAAAAGGUCGAAAGGUUUGCUUAUCGAGUAUUUCAAGAUUGUGAUUUGAACCUCUUUCAUAAUAAAGUCUUCGUCGAGGGUAUCUACCUUUCUUUUCAACAUGUUGAUCUCAUAAUUCAACAGCAUGUUCAUCUCACUGUAGCUCUUAACUUCCUCCCACAUAAAAUCCCUCUCCUGAAACACUUUUGGUAGUAUCAUCUUUACAAUGCCAAGUUCCUUUAUGCAUUCUUGCAAAUCAUUAGUGAGCUGGUUGAUAUUUUCAUCCUUUUUUAGCACCUUCGAGAAUCAAUCGUAAACCAUGAAAAACAAGAAAGACACAAAGAUUACCAAUAACAUUUCAUAAGAAAUUCAAAACAAACUCAUAGCCUAGAAGUUAAACCAAAUCAUGAAUCCUUUUUAACUAUUAAAAUUCAUAGUAGACAACUCAUGAGCUUGUCCAAGAAUUAAGUCAGAUGAACGAGCAAACUUCGGGUAACUUUACCACAUCAGAGCACAAUUAGAUCAAUGGGUUUGAGGACAUAACAAAGUUUUUCAUGUUCUUAGUUGGUUCAAGUGAUUACACAUUAAGGUGAUCAGACAUUUCACAAAAGACUACCACAUGCCAGCAACUUAUGUAUACAAGUUCAUAAAGAAAACUGUGAACUUUAGAUGGAACAAAGAUGAACCUAAAAUAAAAAAGAAGUAGAAAGAUAAUGCAGAGAGAGUAACAUGCGAACAGGCUAUCAUAUAUGAAGACAAGGUAUCCAAAGUUGAAAAAUAAAAACUAUUCAAUUACAACGAGAUCUUAACAUUGCCUGCUUACCUGAAGCUCGAGAUAUUUCAACUUGGGUGUGGCAUAAGAAAGAGCGUCCAGCGCAUUUUGCACUUCAUAUUUGAGAAUGUCGUUACCUCUAACUGUUAUGGCUAGAUUAGCCUGAAGUUGUUUUAUGUUCAUCUCCUCGGAAUAGAGCUUCUCCCUUAGCACAGUUGUCAGCAAAGUCUCUGAUUUAAGCUCUUUAACCUUUUCCUAGUAGUUUUCCCGAACAUAAUCUCUAUUGUUUGGAGCUACUUGAUAUUCCACUUGUAACUAAGUGAGAUACUGCCUUAGAUUUUGAUUCUCCUCUGACACUUGCUCUAUUCUCUUAGACAAAUCUUCAAGGUGUUUCUCCGAAAAUGACAUCUUGAUUCUAUUAUCUACUUCCUUCUCAUUAAAUGAAGAGACUUUCCUUUGUAGAGAGACAUUCUGCUCUACAAGCUCCCUCGUCCUUUCACGAGUCUAUGUUGUUUAAUUUGGAAUUUCUCAAGUUUUAGAGACCAAUUGCUGGAUCUUCUAUCCAACUCCUUUUCUAAUACUGAUUGUAACUCAUUCUUUUCUGCCUCCAAUCUUCGUGUCCAUGAAUCUAGUUCUGCCUGUAAUAUGCUGGCUUGUUGCUUAGCAGAAGCCCUUUCAGUAACUUAAUUCUGUAGCAUGCUUGAAACUUCCGAAGACAUUUUUACCUUCUUUUUUUUCAAUCUUGUAAUAGUACGAAUCAACAAUGGAACGCUAAGGUCUCUGCCAUGAAGAAACAUUUAUUAUUACUUUGGACAAGCAAAUACAAAUUAAAACAUCAGUUUAAGUAUGAAAAAGAAAGCUAUAGCAAAAUGAUAUGCAUACCGUCUUGAAUUACGACUAGAUUUCUUAGGAUGAACUUUCUUACUGUGACCAUGGGGAGAUUUACUCAGAUCCGUGAAAUUCUUUUUUUCCUGACCCACUGUCAUAGAAGGAUCUAGAUGACAAUGAAACACUCCUCCAAGAAGAAACUUCUUUGGACUUUAAUGGUGGUUAAGGGGUCUUGUUUGCAUCAUUAGUUAAUGAUCGAAAAAAGAAGAAGUUGUUCUUCAUCAUCUCUAUGUAUGUAGACUGUACAUGAAUCAAACUAGUGUCCAUGAGAUUUCAAAGGACAAAGCAAAACACUCAUAAAUAGCCACUCAAAAAUCAUUAUCCAUUCAUGAAAAUAUUGUAAGCUAACUAAAUACUUUGAGACAAAGCAAAACAUCUCUCUUUCUACAUGCUUCUUCUUCAAAAACAACAUACGUAAAUUGCACAAGAACAAUUCAAAGAACUUAUCAAAUCAUUUUGAUAAAACAAAUAAUCAUGGUAAAUAAUUAAAAAAAAAAAUUACUAAAUCAAAGAGUUGAAAGAGUAAGAGCUGGCAAAAGGUUGUUAGAAUCUGUAGGAUUCUUGUUAGUUUUUCUUGAAAUGUAAAAAUAGCAAAAGACUAGAAUGGAGAAAACUUUUUUUUCUGUGUCUUUCAUUCAUCAUCGUACAAUGCAUAUAUACAACUAACAGGGAUCUGUAAAUUGCAAGUAAAUAUUUACAAGGAUCCAGAAAUAUGGCAAGUGAAUAUUUACAUACUCAUAAUGAAAAACUUGAGAAAUACCCAUGAGAGAGAGAGAAGAAAAGUGUAACAAAUAUUUUGUGUUAUUCAAUGCCUAUUAAUAGCCAUAUAAGGUCAAAUUUUCCAUAUAAUAAAAAUAAAAUGUAAACUAUAAAUUAACUUUUUCAAAUUACAACACAAAUUAACUUAAAUUAUGAAAUUUAAGAUAUUUAUUUUUUCAAAAUUUAACUUUUCCAUAUAAACAUCACUGAAUUGAUAUAAACACUAUUUUGAAACAUGAUAAAUUAAUUAAAUAACCCAAAAAUAUUGUAAUAUUGUAUUUCUUUUAUCUCUAGAUCUUUUUUUAAUACAUAAGAAAUACUGAAGUCAUACAGUAAUCUCUUUUCUUUUUAUAGUCUAAACUUACCAUUUAAAAAUUAUUUCAUUUGAAUUAAUAAGAUCAUAGUAGAUUAUACAAAAUCAGUUAAUAAAUGAUAUAUAUCUCCAUUAAAUAAAUAAAGUACGAUAUAAUUGUAAUAAGACUACACAACAAUAAAUUAAUCUCACUUAAUUAGAUUAAAUUUUAUGAUCAUAAUAUAUAGACUAAAGUUCCAUAAAUUUAAUGUUGUAAAUUUCAAAAUAUAUUUAUGGCGAAAGUAGUAGUCAAUGUUUGUUGUUUUUUUUAAUCAAUAUAUGCAUAUCAAUUACGGAACAUUGCAUAUAUUCUUUAUUAAAAUAAUUGUCAAUAUUAACUUAUUUUUACCGCAAUUUAAUCUAAUUAGUUUGAUAACAAUACAAUUAUUAUUAAUAUUAUAUAUUUGUUAACCAUAAAUUUGUCCUAAUUUUAUUGCUUGAUUAUAUUUAAUUAAUCUACAAUUACAUAAAGGGCUCAAAUGUGGAAGCAAUUGAUAUUAAUUACCUUUAUAAUUUAAAAAAUUUAAUCCCAUGAAUUUCUCAUAUUCUUAUAGUUUGAUUAUAUCAAAUUGAUAUUAAUUACCUUUAUAAUUUUGGGAAGAAUUUUUAAAUGGUAACGAUUAUUUUUUUCCAAAUUGCUGAUUUAUUUCUUAAAAAUUUCUUAUAAAUUUAUAAUUUGAUUAUAGUUAAUUGAUUAUUUAAUUAUCUUUAUAAUUUGCUAUAAACUCAAAUAAGGUAACCAUUAUUUUUUUCUCAAUUACAGAUUUUCUUAAAUUCAAUCUUUUAUUAUUUUACUAAAAUCGUUCAAAUUUAAUUAUUUUGAGGCAUGACAUCUUUUUGUAUAUAAAUCUUUUUUAAUACAUAAGAAAUGCUAAAGUCAUUCAAUAAUCUCCUUUAUUUUUAUAAUACAAACUUACCAUUCUAAAAUCAUUUCAUUUGAAUUAAUAAGACAUAGUAGAUUGCACAAAAUCAAUCAAUUAAUUAUAUGCAUUUUUAUUAAAUAAAUAAUGUACGAAAUUGUUGUGAUAAAACUAUAUAAUCAACUAAUUAAUUUCAAUUAAUUAGAAUCAAUUAUAUGAUCAUAAUAUAUAGACUCGAUUUCUUUAAAUUUAAUGUUGUAAAUUUUAAAACAUAUUUAUGGCUAAAGUAGAAGUCAGUGUUCGAUGUUUUUGUAACCAAUAUAUGCAUAUCAAUUACGAAACUUUGCAUGUAUUUUUUAUUAAAAUAAUUGUCAAUAUUAACUGAUUUCUAACUCAAUUUAAUCUAAUUAAUUUGAUAACAACAAAAUUAUUAUUAAUAUUAUAUAUUUACUUACCAUAAAUUUGUCCUAAUUUUAUAGCUUGAUUGUAGUUAAUUAAUCUACAAUUACAUAAAGGGCUCAAAUAUGAAAACAAUUGAUAUUAAUUACCUUUAUAAUUUUGGCAAUUCAAUCCCAUGAAUUUCUCAUGUUUUUUAUUGAUUGAUUAUAUUAAAUUGAUAUCAAUUACCUUUUUAAUUUUGGGAAGAAUUUUAAAAAGGUAACGAUUAUUUUUUUUCCUAAUUACUAAUUUAUUUCUCAAAAAAAUCUUAUAAAUUCAUAAUUUGAUUAUGAUUAUUUAAUUAUCUUUAUAAUUUUCUAAAAUCUCAAAUAAGGUAAAAAUUAUUUUUUUUCUAAAUUAUGGAUUUUUUUAUAUUUAAUCUUUUAUUGUUUUACUAAAAUAGUUCAAAUUUAAUUAUUUUCAGAGAUGACAACUUUUUAUCUCUAAAUCUUUUUUAAUACAUAAGAAAUGCUAAAGGCAUACAAUAAUCUUUGUUCUUUUUAUAAUCCAAACUUACCAUUUAUAAAUUAUUUCAUUUGAAUUAAUAAGAUCAUAGUAGCUUCCACAAAAUCAAUUAAUUAAUUAUAUCUAUUUUUAUAUAAAAAAAAUGAUGUACGACAUAAUUGUAAUAAAAUUACACAAUCAACUAAUUAAUUUCAAUUAAUUAGAAUCAAUUUUAUGAUCAUAAUAUAUAGACUCAAGUUCCUUAAAUUUAAUAUUGUAAAUUUUAAAAUAUAUUUAUGGCUAAAGUAGUAGUCAGUGUUCGUUGUUUUUGUACCAAUAUAUGUAUAUCAAUUACGAAACUUUGCAUAUAUUUUUUUAUUAAAAUAAUUGUCAAUAUUAACUGAUUUUUACAUCAAUUUGAUAUAAUUAAAUUUAUAACAAUAAAAUUAUUAUUAAUAUUAUAUAUUUAUUUACUAUAAAUCUAUCCUAAUUUUAUAGCUUGAUUAUAUUUAAUUAAUCUACAAUUACAUAAAGGACUCAAAUAUGGAAACAAUUGAUAUUAAUUACUUUUAUAAUUUCAAAAAUUUAAUCCCAUGAAUUUCACAUAUUCUUAUAGUUUGGUUAUAUCAAAUUUAUAUUAAUUAUCUUUAUAAUUUUGGGAAGAAUUUUAAAAAGGUAACGGUUAUUUCUUUUCCUAAUUACUGAUUUAUUUCUCAAAAAUUUCUUAUCAAUAUACAAUUUGAUUAUUUAAUUAUAUUUACAAUUUACUAAAGACUCAAAUAAGAUGACAAUUAUUUCUUUUCUUAAUUAUGGAUUUUCUUAUAUUCAAUCUUUAAUUGUUUCACUAAAAUAGUUCAAAUUUAAUUGUUUUGAGGAAUGAUACUUUUUUGUCUAUAAAUCUUAUUUAAUAUAUAAGAAAUGCUAAAGUCAUACAAUAAUCACCUUUAUUUUUAUAAUCCAAACUUAUCAUUUAAAAAUAAUUUCAUUUGAAUUAAUAAAAUCAUAGUAGAUUGCACAAAAUCAAUCAGUUAAUUAUAUGUAUUUUUAUUAAAUAAAUGAUGUACAAAAUUGUUGUAAUAAAACUAUACAAUCAACAAAUUAAUUUCAAUUAAUUAGAAUCAAUUUUAUGAUCAUAAUAUAUAGACUCAAGUUCCUUAAAUUUAAUGUUGUAUGUAAAUUUUAAAAUAUAUUUAUAGCUAAAGUAGUAGUCAACGUUCGUUGUUUUUCUUACCAAUAUAUGCAUAUCAAUUACGAAUCUUUCCAUAUAUUAUUUUACUAAAGUAAUUUUCAAUAUUAACUAAUUUCUAGUUAAAUUUAAUCUAAUUAAUUUGAUAGCAAUAAAAUUACUAUUAAUAUUAUAUAUAUAUUUACCAUAAAUCUGUCCUUAUUUUGUAGCUUUAUUUUAUUUAAUUAAUCUACAAUUGUAUAAAGGGCUCAAAUAUGAAAAUAAUUGAUAUUAAUUACCUUUAUAAUUUCAGAAAAUCAAUCCCAUGAAUUUCUCAUGUUUUUAUAGAUUGAUUACAUUAAAUUGAUAUCAAUUACCUUUUUAAUUUUUGAAAGAAUUUUAAAAAGGUAUCAAUUAUUUAUUUUCCUAAUUACUAAUUUAUUUUUCAAAUAUUUCUUAUAAAUUUAUAAUUUAAUUAUGGUCAAUUUAUUAUUAUUAUCUUUAUAAUUUGCUAAAAACUCAAAUUAGGUAACAAUUAUUUUUUUCCUAAUUACGGAUUUUCUUAUAUUCAUUCAUUUAUUUGUUUACAAAAAUAGGUCAAACUUAAUUAUUUUGACGGAUGACAACUUUUAUUAAUAUAUUUUUAUUCAGAAUGAUUACAAUAUUUUCUAUAUAAAUUGAUCAAUUACUAUUUAUUAAUUGGUUAUUCUCUUAAAUAAUUUUUCUUGUAAUAUUUCUUUCAGUCAUUUGAAAUGAAAUCAUUCAUAUUUAUUUUCUCAUAAUACUAUUAUUAAAAACAUAUGAAAUGUAAUUUAUUAAAUAUGAAAUAUGAAAUAAUAUUAAAUAUUUAAAUAAUCAGCAAAAUAGCCUUUUGUUAUGAAAUGAUGGUUUUUUGUUGUAAAAAUUCAAAUAGGUAGUUCUCAAUAUGAAACUUGUCUUAGUUUUAGGCUAGACUAUCCUCCUUUAUUAUAUAGAUAGAUAAUUUCAACAAAAUUAAUUAGAGUAUUUUCUUAUAAAAAUAAUAUAAACUAUUAUUUUUAAUUAUGCUUCUAUUUUAUUACGCAGUAUUUGAUUCUACGUAUUAAAAAUAACAUUGAAUCAAUGGUCAAAGUGGAGGGACUUCUUUCUUUAUUGGGUUUUUUUUUUGGGAAAGAAGACACUUUCUUGACUACCAACCACCCAACACAAAGCUUACACUUCUUGGUAGAUUGGCUAUUUUUUCAUACGGUACUUAUUUAUAUAUAUUUUCUUUGAUAUUUGUUAUAUUGUUAGUUUUAUUCUGAGUAUCGUAUUAGAUUAUAUGCAUUUAUCUUUUAUGUUUGGUAUAUUAUUAUGAUCCUAAGCUGGGAGUCUAUCGAAAACAUCCUCUCUACUUCACCUGAGUACUGAUAUGAUCUGCAUAUACUAACCUCCCCAGACCCCACUAUGUGGGAAUACACUGGGUGUUGUUGUUUCUUAUACAGUAUUUGAUUCAAUGUAUUAAAACUAACACGAAUUACAUGAUUUUUUUUUACAUAAUACCCCCACUGUAAGCGUGUUAAUGCAUGCAUUAGAUCCAUUACAUUACUAAUGUCAUAAAUUUUAAGGUAUUAGUAAUACACACCUCAAUACACAAUAAAGUAUAUAACUAAUUUUUGCAUUAGUUAUACAUAAGAUAAAAAGAUAUAUAUCAAACAAGGGACUACUAAUACAUAUUAAAUUAAUGGAUGCAUUAAUUUUUAUGUAAUACAUUACAUGCUUUAUCACAGAUUUGAUUAUUAUUCCUUGUCUUGAGCCGGGAGUCUAUCGGAAACAACCUUUCUACUUCUCCGGAGGUAGUGAUAUGGACUAUGUAUAUUUUAAUUUUGAGUGUUGCACAAAUAAAUACUUAGACUAUCAUAUAAAGUUAAAAUAAAUAUAUAUAUGCGAGUCUUGUAUCACAAUUUGUCAUGCAAAAUUUGUGCAACUCAUACAAUUUGUCAAGUAAUUAAAGCAUUUGUGUCUAGGGGAGUGCAUCGGUCGGUUCGGUUGGAUUUUACAUAUUAUCGUUAGAUUUAUCGAUUUUUGGUUUUUAAAUAUGCUAAACCAAUAACCAAAUCCAUAAAAUAUUUUUCUCAGUUUUUAGUAUUUAACGAUUUGGUUUUCGGUUUAACUGAUUAAAAAAUACUCAUAAAAUAGAAAUAGUAGUAACUAACAUGUAAAAAAUGAAUCUUAGUUGCAACAAAAAUCCUACAUGAAGUGUUUAAAUUUACAAAAAUCUUCAAGUUUGAACUAAAUGUUGUUAGGAGAAAUUAAGAGUUUAUAUAAUUGAAAUAAUAGGUUUGUUAAUUUGUAUAAAUAAAAGAUAAAUAUAUAAUAAGUAAUAUAUAUUUUCUUAUUGGGUUAUCGGUUUACCCAAUAACUCAAUAAAAAAAAAAUCGAAUCGAACCAAUAAUCCAAUAAUUUUUUGUAACACCCCAUACUUUCAGACUUGAACGUAAAUUGUCAUUUCUACUUGUACACAUUCCAAAAACCAUAAAUCUAUUGUGAAUAUAGUAUUUUAAUCAACUAUGUAGUGUAUAAAUCUAGUUGAGCAUGAAUUGAGAUCAUAGAGGUCCCCUAACUCAAGGACGAGUUGAAAGCUUUUCCAUCGAUUGAGUUAUAGUAAGCAUCAAAAUUUGGAUCAAGUUCAAUCGGUCAUUACUUUUUGUAUAUAUUGAAUUAUAGUGCCUACAAUAUAUCAAAUGAAAGGCCUUCAAAUUAUCUUUCCAACGAUACCAAUUUCGCAAAUAUCCGACACCUGAGGAAGAAGUUAUGGCUUUGCAAAGUGGAGUGUAUCGUGCAGCAUAAGGUGUACGACGCACACCCUAACUUAUGCCAUAAGGUGUGCGACGCACAACUUAAGGUGUGAGAUAAAGAGUACGCCGUACAACCUAUAUUAUGUGAUAAGGUGUGCGCCGCAUACAUUACUACUCAAGUGACUUAAACACUCCAUUUUUGGGGCAAAAUGGUCCUUUUCCCACCCUUACUUAGCCAUAAACACGAAAUUCAGUCCUUAAAUACCCUAAAAUACACCUUCAUUCAUCAAAAUUGCUCAAGAACUCUCCUUAGUGUUUCAAAAUGAAAACCCAAGAAACUCAAGAUUCAACCGUGGUUUUUGAAACUAAUUGCAUAUUUGUAAUCCCCAGAAUGUAGGCUUAAAAAAACACCUCUCAUCUUCACAUAUAUAGGUACGUGGGGUUAUCCUAAAAUCUCAUGGGCAUUUAAAUUCAUGUUUUAUAAUGGGGUUUUUGAAACUACAAAUAUAAUCAUGUUUUGAACAUUUCUAUAAUAUUGAUUUGGCCUUUAGGCCUAUUUCCAAAGUGAUUUGACAUAUUAUAUAUGUGUAUGCAUUUGUUUCAAAAAGGUGUUAAUUUGAGAGCAUGAAUUAUAUGGAAUCCCUCUCUUGAUGUGAAUUUGUUUUAAAUGUUCAUAUGAUUUAAAUUAUUUAAAAACAUCUUGAAAAGCAUGACAUGAAAUAUUUUGAGAAUUGAUAUGAUUUUGACUUGAAAACGAGAGGGCUAUUUGUGUUGAAACAUGUUGAAUACAAUGGUUUAAUAAGAAGAAUAAUGUGAUAAUGACACAAUUGGGAAAGACUAUAUCAUGUAGAUUCUAAACUUUUUGCACUUGAAUCACACCAAUAAUGGGAUAUGUCGGAGAACAUCAGAGUAAGGAAAGAAUUUGAGAUGACUUUACCUUCAUAUGGGCGACACCAUAGCUCGAAUGACAGUAUGAAAGAGGAAUAUUUUGACUCUAUUGCAUGAACUGGAACAUGAAGAAAGAGAGACAUUCCUAAAUGCCUAGUAGCCUCCUGCUUAUAAGUGUAGUGCACUACACACCCAUAAAGAAGACUCUACCUGACAUGAUUUUGUAGAAACCCUGAGACUAUGAAUCGUGCUCUAAUACCAAGUUUGUCACAACCCGAACUGGGGCCCUGGCCGUGAUGAGCAUUCCGAACCAUGAAGGCCUGAAACACCCCUAUUUGUCUGAUAAUCAUGCACAUAACUCAUAUGAUAAAAGAAAUAUGGAAGAUAAACAAUAUCACGAAAACAUGGUCAAAAAUCAUAUGAAAUCAGUAACGGGGAAAAAUGACCCACAAUCUCAACACAACAUCUCUAUAAAGUCUGCGAAAUCUCUACUACAUGACUGAAAUAAAUAUCUAUCUGAAAACUGGGACAAGGCCCCCAGUAGAUCCAAACUAAUAAAUGAUAAAUAAAACUACCAAAUAUUAGGCCUUUCAAAAUAUAGAAGGCUCACUAAGUGACUCUGCAAAUUUGUAUGAGGAAUCUAUUGAUUUUCUGGACCCCUAGACUGUGCCUCCAAACCUGAGAGGGAAGAUGGUCAGUAAAAAAGUACUGGUACGCAGAGAUAUCAAAACAAAACAUAAUAUUUUUACAAAAUAUAGUUGAGAGCCAUUAUAAAGAAGUUUCAUAUCAAAUCAUUUGAAAACACAUGGGCAUAAUGUAAUUGUUUUCAACAAUAAUGUAAUACAACUGAGCUAGGUGGAAUACCCUACAUAUCAUAUUUACACCAACUAUCAAACCUCGAUUGCCACCGAGAUUAGAGUAUAAGUGAGCGGAAAACACACAAUAUCACACAACAGGGUGUCUCGACCCAAUGGUAGUGUGCAAGAUCACAAAUCAGGGAUCCUAACCAUAGUCCCAACUUGGGAAUGACAUAAAGUCAGGUACGCAAGAUCACAAAGCAGGGUACGAAAUUCUCAUGUCGGCAAACACAGUUUCCAGCGAUGAUCCCUUACACUCAAACACCUUCUUCGGGCAUCCACCUAUCUCAUGUAAAAUUAAUGCAUUUAAAUUUUAUCUGAUUCAAUCACAUAUCAUAUUUUGUAGGGUAUCGUCAUACCCGACUUGUAAGCCAUCAAUAUCACAUCAUUCUUCUCAUUCAACCAUUGUAUUCAACAUGUUUCAACACAAAUAGCCCUAUCAUUUUUAAGUCAAAACCAUAUCAAUUGUCAAAAUAUUUUAUGUCAUGCUUUUCAAGAUGUCUUCAAACAUUUACAUCAUAUGAACAUUUAAAACAAAUUCACAUCAAGAGAGGGAUUCUAUAUAAUUCAUGCUCUCAAAUUAACACCUUUUUGAAACCCAUGCAUAUACAUAUAUAAUAUGUGAAAUCACUUCAGAAAUAGGCCUAAAGACCAAAUCAAUAUUAUAGAAACGUUCAAAACAUGAUUAUAUUCAUAGUUUCAAAACCCCCAUUGUAAAACAUGAAAUUAAAGGACCAUGAGAUUUUAGGAUAACCCCACGUACCUCUAUAUGCGAAGAUGAUAGGUUUUUCUUGAAGCUUACGUUCUGGGAAUUCCAAAUAUGCAAUUAGUUAGUUUCAAAAACCCACGGUUGAAUCUUGAGUUGCUUGGGUUUUUAUUUUGAAACCCGAAGGAUAUUUCUUGAGCAAUUUUGAUGAAUAAAGGUGUAUUUUGGGGUAUUUGGGGACUGAAUUUCGUGUUUAUGGCUAAAUAAGGGUGGGAAAAGGACCAUUUUGCCCUAAAAAGUGGAGUGUUUAAGUCAUUUCAGUAGUAAUGUAUGCAGCACACACCUUAUCGAAUAAUAUAGGUUGUGCGGCGCACUCUUUAUCGCACACAUUAGGUUGUGCGUCGCACACCUUAUGGCAUAAGUUAGGGUGUGCGUCACACACCUUAUGCUGCACGACACACUCCACUUUGNNNNNNNNNNNNNNNNNNNNNNNNNNNNNNNNNNNNNNNNNNNNNNNNNNNNNNNNNNNNNNNNNNNNNNNNNNNNNNNNNNNNNNNNNNNNNNNNNNNNNNNNNNNNNNNNNNNNNNNNNNNNNNNNNNNNNNNNNNNNNNNNNNNNNNNNNNNNNNNNNNNNNNNNNNNNNNNNNNNNNNNNNNNNNNNNNNNNNNNNNNNNNNNNNNNNNNNNNNNNNNNNNNNNNNNNNNNNNNNNNNNNNNNNNNNNNNNNNNNNNNNNNNNNNNNNNNNNNNNNNNNNNNNNNNNNNUCAACUAGAUUUAUACACCACAUAGUUGAUUAAAAUACUAUAUUCACAAUAGAUUUAUGGUUUUUGGAAUGUGUACAACUAGAAAUGACAAUUUACGUUCAAGUCUGAAAGUAUGGAUGUUACAAAAAAUUAUUGGGUUAUUGGUCCGGUUCGAUUUUUUCUUAUUGGGUUAUUGGGUAAACCAAUAACCCAAUAAGAAAAUAUAUAUGACUUAUUAUAUAUUUAUCUUUUAUUUUAACAAAUUAACAAACCUAUUAUUUCAAUUAUAUAAACUCUUAAUUUCUCCUAACAACAUUUAGUUCAAACUGGAAGAUUUUUGUAAAUUAAACACUUCAUGUAGGAUUUUGUUGCAACUAAGAUUCAUUUUUUACAUGUUAGUUACUACUAUUUCUAUUUUAUGAGUAUUUUCUUAUCGGUUAAAUGGAAAACCAAAUCGUUAAGGACUAAAAACCAAAAAAAAAAAUAAUUUAUUGGUUUGGUUAUUGGUUUAGCAUAUUUAAAAACCUGAUAAAUCUAACGAUAAUAUGUAAAAACCAACCAAACCGACCGAUGCACUCCUCUAGACACAAACGCUUUAAUUACUUGACAAAUUGUAUGAGAUGCACACAUUUUGCAUGACAAAUUGCGAUACAAGAUUCGCAUAUAUAUAUUUAUUUUAACUUUAUAUGAUAGUCUAAGUAUUUAUUUGUGCAACACUCAAAAUUAAAAUAUAUAAAUAUUUGCUGAUGAUGUCAAGUUGAAAACACAUUUAUGUAUUAUGUCAAACGUAUAAUUCCUUUUUUGAACUAUAGCUAAUGAGAAGCAUGGAGUCUUUUGAUAGAGUGUAUUAAAAAAUUAAUAACAACAACAACAACAAUAAAUUCAGUGUAUUUCCACAUAUUGGAGUCUGGAGAGGGUAAGAUGUAUGUAGUCCAUAUCACUACCUCCGGAGAAGUAGAAAAGUUGUUUCCGAUAGACUCCCGGCUAAAGACAAGGAAUAAUAAUCAAAUAUGUGAUAAAGAAUGGAAUGUAUUACGUAUAAAUCAAUGCAUCCAUUGAUUUAAUGUGUAUUAGUAGUCCCUUGUUUGAUAUAUAUCUUUUUAUUUUAUGUAUAACUAAUGCAAAAAUUAGUUAUAUACUCUAUUGUGUAUUGAGGUGUGUAUUACUAAUACCUCAAAAUUUAUGACAUUAGUAAUGCAAUGGAUCUAAUGCAUGCAUUAACAUGCUUAAAGUGGGGGUAUUAUAUGAAGAAAAAUUAUGUAAUUCGUGUUAUUUUUAAUACAUUGAAUCAAAUACUGUAUAAGAAACAACAACAGCAACAACAACACCCAGUGUAUUUCCACAUAGUGUGGUCUGGGGAGGUUAGUGUAUGCAGAUCAUAUCACUACUCAGGUGAAGUAGAGAGGAUGUUUCCGAUAGAUCCCUAACUUAGGAUCAUAAUAAUAUACGAAACAUAAAAGAUAAAUGCAUAUAAACUAAUACGAUGCGCAAAAUAAAACUAACAAUAUAACAAAUAUCAAAGAAAAUAUAUAUAAAUUAGUACCGUAUAAAAAAAUAGUCAAUCUACCAAGAAGUGUCAGCUUUGUGUUAGGUGGUUGGUAGUCAAGAAAGUGUCAGCUUUCCCAAAACGAAAAACCCCAAUAAAGAAAGAAGUCCCUCCACUUUCACCAUUGAUUCAAUGUUAAGUCUAAAAUGUAGAAUCAAAUACUGCGUAAGAAAAUAGAAGCAUAAUUAAUGCAAAUAUUAUUAAUAUACCAUAUUUUAUAUUAUUUUUAUAAAAUAAUAUUUUAUAUUAUUUUUAUAAGAAAUUANNNNNNNNNNNNNNNNNNNNNNNNNNNNNNNNNNNNNNNNNNNNNNNNNNNNNNNNNNNNNNNNNNNNNNNNNNNNNNNNNNNNNNNNNNNNNNNNNNNNNNNNNNNNNNNNNNNNNNNNNNNNNNNNNNNNNNNNNNNNNNNNNNNNNNNNNNNNNNNNNNNNNNNNNNNNNNNNNNNNNNNNNNNNNNNNNNNNNNNNNNNNNNNNNNNNNNNNNNNNNNNNNNNNNNNNNNNNNNNNNNNNNNNNNNNNNNNNNNNNNNNNNNNNNNNNNNNNNNNNNNNNNNNNNNNNNNNNNNNNNNNNNNNNNNNNNNNNNNNNNNNNNNNNNNNNNNNNNNNNNNNNNNNNNNNNNNNNNNNNNNNNNNNNNNNNNNNNNNNNNNNNNNNNNNNNNNNNNNNNNNNNNNNNNNNNNNNNNNNNNNNNNNNNNNNNNNNNNNNNNNNNNNNNNNNNNNNNNNNNNNNNNNNNNNNNNNNNNNNNNNNNNNNNNNNNNNNNNNNNNNNNNNNNNNNNNNNNNNNNNNNNNNNNNNNNNNNNNNNNNNNNNNNNNNNNNNNNNNNNNNNNNNNNNNNNNNNNNNNNNNNNNNNNNNNNNNNNNNNNNNNNNNNNNNNNNNNNNNNNNNNNNNNNNNNNNNNNNNNNNNNNNNNNNNNNNNNNNNNNNNNNNNNNNNNNNNNNNNNNNNNNNNNNNNNNNNNNNNNNNNNNNNNNNNNNNNNNNNNNNNNNNNNNNNNNNNNNNNNNNNNNNNNNNNNNNNNNNNNNNNNNNNNNNNNNNNNNNNNNNNNNNNNNNNNNNNNNNNNNNNNNNNNNNNNNNNNNNNNNNNNNNNNNNNNNNNNNNNNNNNNNNNNNNNNNNNNNNNNNNNNNNNNNNNNNNNNNNNNNNNNNNNNNNNNNNNNNNNNNNNNNNNNNNNNNNNNNNNNNNNNNNNNNNNNNNNNNNNNNNNNNNNNNNNNNNNNNNNNNNNNNNNNNNNNNNNNNNNNNNNNNNNNNNNNNNNNNNNNNNNNNNNNNNNNNNNNNNNNNNNNNNNNNNNNNNNNNNNNNNNNNNNNNNNNNNNNNNNNNNNNNNNNNNNNNNNNNNNNNNNNNNNNNNNNNNNNNNNNNNNNNNNNAUAUAAUUAAUUGAUUGAUUUUGUACAAUCUUCUAUAAUUUUAUUAAUUCAAAUGAAAUGAUUUUUAAAUGAUAGGUUUGGAUUAUAAAAAUAAAGGUGAUUAUUCUAUGACUUUAGCAUUUCUUAUGUAUUAAAAAAGAUUUAUAGACAAAAAAUAUCAUCCCUUAAAACAAUUAAAUUUGAACUAUUUUAGUGAAACAAUGAAAGAUUGAAUAAAAGAAAAUCUGUGAUUAAGAAAAGAAAUAAUUGUCACCUUAUUUAAGGUUUUAGCAAAUUGUAUAGAUAAUUAAAUAAUCAAAUUGUAAAUUGAUAAGAAAUUUUUGAGAAAUAAAUCAGUAAUUAGGAAAAGAAAUAAUCGUUACCUUUUUAAAAUUCUUUCCAAAAUUAUAAAGGUAAUUAAUAUAAAUUUGAUAUAACCAAACUAUAAGAAUAUGUGAAAAUAUAUUUUAAAAUUUACAUACAACAUUAAAUUUAAGGAACUUGAGUCUACAUAUUAUGAUCAUAAAAUUUAUUCUAAUUAAUUGAGAUUAAUUAGUUGAUUGUGUAAUUUUAUUACAAUUAUGUGGUACAUCAUUUUUUAUAUAAAAAUAAAUAUAAUUAAUUAAUUGAUUUUGUGGAAGCUACUAUGAUAUUGUUAAUUCAAAUAAAAUAAUUUGUAAAUGAUAAGUUUGGAUUAUAAAAAGAAAGGAGAUUAUUGUAUGCCUUUAGCAUUUCUUUUGUAUUAAAAAAGAUUUAGAUACAAAAAAUUGUCAUCCCUCAAUACAAUUAAAUUUGAACUAUUUUCGUAAAACAAUAAAAGAUUGAAUGAAAGAAAAUUCAAAAUUUAAAAAAAAUAAUUGUUACCUUAUUUGAGUUUUUAGUAAAUUAUAAAGAUAAUUCAAUAAUCAAUUGAUAAUAAUUAAAUUAUGAAUUUAUAAGAAUUUUUUGAGAAAUAAAUCAGUAAUUAGGAAAAAAAAUAAUCGUUACCUUUUUAAAAUUCUUCCCAAAAUUAAAAAGGUAAUUGAUAUCAAUUUAAUAUAAUCAAUCAAUAAAAAAACAUGAGAAAUUCAUGGGAUUGAAUUGCCGAACUUAUAAAGGUAAUUAAUAUCAAUUAUUUUCAUAUUUGAGCCCUUUAUGUAAUUGUAGAUUAAUUAACUACAAUCAAGCUAUAAAAUUAGGACAGAUUUAUGGUAAUAAAUAUAUAAUAUUAAUAUUAAUUUUAUUGUUAUAAAAUUAGUUAGAUCAAAUUGAAUUAGAAAUCAACUAAUAUUGAAAAUUAUUUUAAUAAAAAAUAUAUGCAAAGUUUCGUAAUUGAUAUAAAUAUAUUGGUUACAAAAACAACGAACACUGACUUCUACUUUAGCCAUAAAUAUAUUUUAAAAUUUACAACAUUAAAUUUAAAGAAUUUGAGUCCAUAUGUUAUGAUCAUAAAAUUGAUUCUAAUUAAUUGAAAUUAAUUAGUUGAUUGUAUAGUUUUAUUACAACAAUUUAGUACAUCAUUUAUUUAAUAAAAAUACAUAUAAUUAAUUUAUUGAUUUUGUGCAAUCUACUAUGAUCUUAUUAAUUCAAAUGAACUGAUUUUUAAAUGGUAAGUUUGGAUUAUAAAAAUAAAGGAGAUUAUUAUAUGACUUUAGAAUUUCUUAUGUGUUAAAAAAGAUUUAUAGACAAAAAGAUGUCAUGCCUCAAAACAAUUAAAUUUGAACUAUUUUAGUAAAACAAUAAAAGAUUGAAUUUAAGAAAAUCUGUAAUUGAGAAAAAAAUAAUUGUUACCUUAUUUGAGUUUUUAGCAAAUUGUAAAGAUAAUUAAAUAANNNNNNNNNNNNNNNNNNNNNNNNNNNNNNNNNNNNNNNNNCUUUUAAAAAUUCUUUCCAAAAUUAUAAAGGUAAUUAAUAUCAAUUUGAUAUAAUCAAACUAUAAGAAUAUGAGAAAUUCAUGGGAUUAAAUUUUUGAAAUUAUAAAGGUAAGUAAUAUCAAUUGUUUCCAUAUUUGAGUCCUUUAUGUAAUUGUAGAUUAAUUAAAUAUAAUCAAGCUAUAAAAUUGGGACAAAUUUAUGGUUAACAAAUAUAUAUUAUUAAUAAUAAUUGUAUUGUUAUCAAACUAAUUAGAUUAAAUUGCAGUAAAAACCAGUUAAUAUUGACAAUUAUUUUAAUAAAGAAUAUANNNNNNNNNNNNNNNNNNNNNNNNNNNNNNNNNNNNNNNNNNNNNNNNNNNNNNNNNNNNNNNNNNNNNNNNNNNNNNNNNNNNNNNNNNNACAUUAAAUUUAAGGAACUUUAGUCUAUAUAUUAUGAUCAUAAAAUUUAAUCUAAUUAAGUGAAAUUAAUUAGUUGAUUGUGUAGUCUUAUUACAAUUAUAUCGUACUUUAUUUAUUUAAUGAAAAUAUAUAUCAUUUAUUAACUGAUUUUGUACAAUCUACUAUGAUCUUACGAAUUCAAAUGAAAUAAUUUUUAAAUGGUAAGUUUAGAUCCUACAGAUUCUGACAACCUUUUGCCGACUCUUACUCUUUCAACUCUUUGAUUCAGUAAUUUCUCUUUUUUUGAUUAUUUACCAUGAUUAUUUGUUUUGUCAGAAGGAUUUGAUAAGUUCUUUGAAUUGUUCUUGUGCUAUUUGUUUGUGGGGUAUUUUAUUAAUUUUCAGUAGAAGACUAGUAGUAAAUAGUUUCGCAUCAUGUCUCUUCUGGUAGUAGUAUUAGUAUAUAUUUUUCUUUUCUACUUGUUGUACCAUAUACCUCUAUUUUCUUACUUGCUACUGUUGUUAAUAUCCUCAUGUUUUUGCUUUCCUUGCUGAAGAUUUAUGGGAAACAAAUUUUCUACUUGCGAAGGUAGGGGUUACGUAUGUUGUUAUUAAAGAAGAAGCAUGUAGAAAGAGAGAUGUUUUGCUUUGUCUCAUAAGUAUUUAGUUAGCUUGCGGUAUUUUCAUGAAUGGAUAAUGAUUUGUGAGUAGCUAUUUAUGAGUGUUUUGUUUUGUCCUUUGAAAUCUCAUGGACACUAGUUUGAUUUAUGUACAGUCUCCAUACAUAGAGAUGAUGAAGAACAACUUCUUCUUUUUCCGAUCAUCAACUAAUGAUGCAAACAAGACCCCUCCACCACCAUUAAAGUCCAAGGAAGUUUUUUCUUGGAGGAGUGUUUCAUUGUCAUUUGGAUCCUUCUAUGACAGUGGGUCAGGAAAAAAGAAUUUCACGGAUCUAAGCAAAUCUCCCCAUGGUCACAGUAAGAAAGUUCAUCCUAAGAAAUCUGGUCGUGAUUCAAGUCGGUAUGCAUAUCAUUUUGCUGUUGCUUCCUUUUUCACACUUAAACUGAUGUUUUAAUUUGCAUUUGCUUGUCCAAAGUAAUGACAAAUGUUUCUUCACGACAGAGACCUUAGAAUUCCAGUGUUGAUUUGGACUAUUAGAAGAUUGACAAUGGAGAAGGUACAAAUGUUUUCUAAAGUUUCAAGCAUGCUAAGGAAUCAAGUUGCUGAAAGGGCUUCUGCUAAGGAAGAAGCCAUCAUAUUACAGGCUGAACUAGAUUCACGGACACGAAGAUUGGAGACAAAAAAAUAAUAAGUUACAAUCAGUACUGGAAAAGGAGUUGGAUAAAAGAUCCAGCGAUUGGUUUCUAAAACUUAAGAAAUACCAAAUUGAACAACAUAGACUCCAUAAAAGGGCGAGGGAGCUUGCAGAGCAGAAUGUCUCUCUACAAAGGAAAGUCUCUUCAUUUAAUGAGAAGGAAGUAGAUAAUAGAAAGAUGUCAUUUUCGGAGAAACACCUCAAAGAUUUGUCUAAGAGAAUAAAGCAAGUGUCAAAGGAGAAUCAAAAUCUAAGGCAGCAGCUCACUCAAUUACAAGCGGAAUAUCGAGUAGCUCAAGACAAUAGAGAUUAUGUCCGGGAAAACUACCAGGAAAGGGUUAAAGAGGUUAAAUCGGAGACUUUGCUGACAACUGUGCUAAGGGAGAAGCUCUAUUCCGAGGAGAUGGACAUAAAGCAACUUCAGGCUGAUCUAGCCGCAACAGUUAGAGGUAAUGACAUUCUCAAAUGUGAAGUGCAAAAUGCGCUGGAUGCUCUUUCUUAUGCCACACCCAAGUUGAAAUAUCUCGAGCUUCAUGUAGGCAGUCAAUGUUAAGAUCUCAUUGCAACGGAAUAGUUUUUAUUUUUUAACUUUGGAUACCUCGUCUUCAUAUCUGAUAGCCUGUUCGCAUGUUACUCUCUCUGUAUUAGCUUUCUACUUCAGUUUGAUUUUACGUUCAUCUUUGUUCCAUCUGAAGUUCACAGUUUUCUUUAUGAACUUGUAUACAUGAGUUUCUGGCAUGUGGUAGUCUUCUGUGAAAUGUCUGAUUGCCUUAAUGUGUAAUCAGUUGAACCAACCAAGAACAUGAUAAACUUUGUGAUAUCCUUAAACCUAUUGAUCUGAUUGUGCUCUGAUGUGGUAAAGUUACCCGAAGGGGUUUCGGUAAGUUUGCUCAUUCAUCUUACUUAAUUCUUUGACAAGCUCACGAGUAUCUACUAUGAAUUUUAACAGUUAUAAAGGAAUCAUGAUUUGGUUGAACUUCUAGGCUAUGAGUUUGUUUUGAAUUUCUAAUGAAAUGUUAUUGGUGAUCUUUGUGUAUUUCUUGUUUUUCAUGGUUUACGGUUGAUUCUAGCAGGUGCUAAAAAGGACAAAAAUAUCAACCAGCUCACUAAUGAUUUGCAAGCAUGCAUGAAGGAACUUGGCAUUGUGAAGGCGAUACUACUAAAAGUGUUUUAGGAGAGGGAUUUCAUGUGGGAGAAAGUUAAGAGCUACAGUGAGAUUAACAUGCUGUUGAAUUAUGAGAUCAACAUGUUGAAAGGAAGGUAGAUACCCUCGACAAAGACUUUCUUAUAAAAGAGGGUCAAAUCACAAUCUUGAUAGACUCGAUAGGCAAACCUUUUGACCUUCUUGCUAGUCCUAAUUCUCUGUUGGAGUGAUGGAUGCUAAAUGGCCAAACUACAAUUCAUAUUUUGUUCAUUGACUAUAGUGUUCAUACUUCUUGUAUAAUUACUGGUUUUACUCUUAUUCUUUCCCCCCUUUGAUACUUGUUAAAUAGAAAGUUUGCUUCUUUCUUUUGCAAUCUUUUUGAAUCUCCAAUUGUAAAUAUUUCUUUUACUUGCUAGUGAUCAAGACAAUGAACUUCUUUUGCUUCAUUUGGUUUUGUAAGUAUUGGCUGUUUUUUGUCUUAUGAAGUAUUUAGUGAGGAUUGGUGCUACCAUUUUCUUCCUAUCUCUGAGGUAGAGGUAGGUUUGCAUAUAUUCUACCCGAAUAUACAUCGGCUAUGUUGUUUCUAUUGUAUGGAGAUUGUGUGUAUAGUAACAAUCAUAUAUUUGAUGUCGGGUCAUCCACACUUUCAUUCCUUACAGGGGAAAGCUCAUUAAGAUUACUGAGUUAACUUCUCAUUGAUGUAUUCUUUCACUAAGGUUGUCACUGGGUAGCUACAAAAAGCACUUUUCUAACUGGGCAGUUCAUGUUCAGCGUGUGCAUAUAGUAAGCAACGUCCAAAUUUUAACCAUAUAACUUUACCUCAAAAUGGUGCAUGGACCAAAGCUGCUCUUAAAUCUGGUCGGUUGGCAGACUCUUUCAUUUGAUCUACAAUCAAAUGCCUGCUUUGUCUCAGUAUAUUUGAUUCUGUUGUGCUCAUUCACAAUGGUUUAUGCCAAGCAUGUGAGACACAUAUAGAAGCCUCUAUUUUCAUCUUCUUUAUAUAGUUUUAAACUUUAUUUGACUUGAUAUGAGGGAGUUCCACCCUGCCCUCUGAUCAUUCUUUCAGAUACCCUCUUUCAUUUGCCUCCACCAUGUUUUAAAUUUUCCUUCCAGUACCUGAUGUUUUACCUACCACAUUAAAUAUUGUUUGCACAUUUUUAAACUAUGCACUGCGUUGAAUUUCAAAAGACGAAAAAAACUAUGCACUAUAUUGUAGAACAUUUUGAUAAUUUUUUGGUAUGUCAGUAUGUUCUUUAUGUUUAUGCUUACAUCAAGUAGACACGGUUAUUAUGAAGAUGGAAUUGGUUUCUAUACCAUUUUUCUUUUGCAUGUAACUUCUGAAGUUAUUUGGGAUCCAUUAUUUAUAAGCAAAUGAGAGUCUUUGAUGUCUUUCCUGAUAAUGUUUAUGCUUACAUCAAGCAACAUAGCUAUUAUGAAGGUGGAAUUGGUUUCUGUACCAUUUUCCUUUUGUGUGUAACUUCUGAAGUUAUUUGGGAUCCAUCAUUUAUAUGUCAAUGAGAGUAUUUAAUGUCUUUCCUGAUAUUAAACCUGUCAUUUUUUUCUUUAACAUGUCUAAUCUCCUGUAUACCUUGCUUUCUGAUCUUCAAUGAUGCAAACAAUUUCCCUUCAAGAACUUGUACUUACCUAAUUCCUAGUAAGACAGUCUUAGAAUCUUCUAUACUGAAAGAUGCCUAUUGGUGGUUAGUUUUUUUGCUAGGAGGUUGCAUUGGAAGGUACAAGCAUACAUGAUAUUGGUAAAACCAGCAAGCACCAUAUUUUUUUGAAAAUGAUAGCAUAUAUACUAUGUUGGCAGUAUUUUCUUUACAAAAAUGAGCCUCUCUAUGCUUUACAAGGCCUCCAAAGUUGCAAAAUGGAUUCAUUACCCUCUACAAGAAACUCUUAUCAUCAAAAUAAUAAGUUGUCUGAUCUUAUCUGCAACAAGAAUGAUGAGCAUUGUGUUUAGUUUAGAGCCUGUCCCUAAGCUCGUCUAGACUUAUCCUUAUCUUCAUUGCCUUCUAUUUACUUGUUAUCUUUGUUCUUGCUAGAACCUGCAUUUGAGAAGCUUGUGUUGUUGUCUCAAGUUAAUGUUUAAGUUUUAUUUCCUUACUGCAGUACAUCAAAAUUCAACUUAUGGUGCUGCUAAAAAUGUUGGAACUGUUGCAAAACCUAAUGGCAUAAUGCAUGAACCUGUGCGUGCUGAUAGACCCAAUGCAUUCAGUAACAACAGCUCAUCUGUUCUCUUUUACAUACAAAUAGCAGUUGAUAUUCCUUCUCAAACAGCAGGUCCAUCCACUUUUGAGCUCCAAGACCACGCUCUUGUUGGACCUGGGCGUGAAGGUGGUGUUAGAGUGGGUGAAAGUCCCACAUUAUUGGGGAGUGAACUGUUAGUCUUCUUAUAUGGACUUGAGCAAUCCUUCCCUCAUGUGCUAGCUUUUGGGGUUGAGUUAGGCCCAAGAUCAUUUCUUUACACAAUCAACCAUCUUUUCUUACAUUGGAAACAGACAGAACAGUUAUAGAGAAUGUUUUCAACCUAAAGGUGAUCAGAUGGGUAGAACCUAAGAGCAUUAAAAAAGUACUAAGCAGCUGGAAUGGGGAUGUAAAUGUAAUAAAGAAGGAGAGAUGGAAAAUUUUUCAACAUGUAUAUGGUGGACAGUUUGGAUAGAAAAAAACAAGGGUUGUUUUGAGGAUGUCCAGAAGAUUAACAGGAAUAGUUUAGAACUUCUUUAUUUUUAGUGUAAACACGAUGAUUAGCUCUAACAGAAGACAUCAUUGAUGUGCUAGACUGUUUAUAGUCAAUAGAAAUAUAGAGUAAGAUGUAAUACUUUUUGAAGGGGGACAUUAUUCUUGUUGGCUAGGGAUUUGAACAAAGAUGGGAAGAGCUCUAUAUAAAGGACAGGGAUGACUAAUAUGACAACUCUUUUUUUUAUGGAACAUAAUUUUUGUUAUAAGCUAUGGAAGAUAUAAAGAUAGGCCAAAAUGUUCUCAACUAACAAACUAUUAAAAUUAAGAGCCAAAGAACGCUAAACAAUUGGUGUAACUCAAAUCUAUUUGAUUAAAAGGAAUACUAACUCUGAGAGAACAAAACACACUCUCCAGUAGUCCAGUAAAAAAAGUAGAUCUUAAAAUCCCACUGCUAAGAAAAUUAAUUUAAAUGCUGCUUUAGAUUAGAAAGUCACCUUGUUAUAUUAUGUGUUCAGUGGGUUCUCAUUUAUACUGCUCAUCAUAUUUUCUGUACUAUUUUUUCAACAUUUUCUCUGAAGUCUAUAAUUUACUCUUCUUCACUUUGAACUUAGGCUCUGCAGGGCUUUGCAUCUUGGACUUCUAUAUGUUGGUUCAGUUGUAGUACUUCUUGUGUAUUCUAUCUUGUAUAGUCUGAUAGCAAAGGAAUAAAACUGGCUUGGGGCUACAACAACAGCUUCCGUGAAAAUCCUUGGUAGUUCAUUUCCUACAUAUAUCUGUCUCCUUUUCUGACUCGUAUUGUGAAAUAAUUUCUUAUUUCUUUUUGGUAAGUAAUGAAUUCACUAGAUUUUCAUUGAAUUAGAUUAGAACUUGGGAGCUUGCGUGCAUGGUUUUAAGCUUCUGAAAAGUUGAGUCGUCGUACUUUUUAUUGCCGGUACAUAUCGGGUGUUCCUAAUGUAUUUUGGAGUUCAUUACUGGUUUGUUGUUAACCCACGCUAAUUCAUUUUCUUCCAUAAUCAAGUCUUCUUAUACUUGUGGAAUAUGCAUCCCUUUUAAUAUUAUUUGUUGAAUAGAAACUACUAAUCUUUUGUUAUAAAAAACAAAUCUUCUAGUCUUUUACUGCAACAAUUUUGUUUCAGGUACGUUGGGCAUUGUAUCAGUUAUGCAGUUGUAGCAUCUAUGCUGUUGGGUGCUGCUGUUUCACGACAUUAUCAGUUACGGACCCAUUAGUAGCUAGACGAGAUGCCUUGCAGAGCACAGUUAUCCGCCUUAGAGAAGGUUUCCGCAGAAAAGACCAAAAUAGCUCCGCAAGCUCUCAAGUGUCAAAUGCAGUAGUAGUGCUGAUGCUAGUCAUCUUGGUAAUGCAACUGUGCCUUGCACUGGUGAUGGCAGUACCUGGAAUAAUAUUGAGGGGAUUAAUAGUGAUAAGAGCAUAGACAUUGGAAGACCAAGUCUAGCUCUACAUAGUAGUUCCUAUCGUUCAGUUGUUCAAGAGCCUAAAAUAGGAUCAUCAUAUGUUGAUAGAAAUUUAGAGCAUAAUAGUUCAUUGGUUGUUUGUUCUAUCAGUAGCCUUGAAAUCCAAGGCGGUGAUUCUAGUACAUCCACUUCUGCAAACCAAUAGAUACUGGACUUGAAUUUGGCUCUUGCAUUUUAAGAAAAGUUGAGUGAUCCCAGGAUUACAUCUAUGUUAAAGCGGAAAGGAAGACACACUGAUCGUGACUUAGCUAAUUUAUUGCAAGAUAAAGGGCUUAAUCCUAAUUUUGUAGUGAUGCUGAAGGAGAAUGGAUUGGACCUAAUGAUUCUAGCCUUGUUGCAAGAAGUAGUUUGGAUGCUGAUUGAGAAUAUCGCGACAGUAACCCUCCUAUCACUGAUUCAAAUAAUGUUGAGGAUGUGUUACCUAAUCGUAUUUCAUUCUUGGAAGAACUUAGACUCCAAUGAUUAGGAAAGUGUCUUCAACAUUGUAGAGUAGUGUUACAUCAUGUAGCAGGAACUCCAGAGCGAGCAUGGCUUCUUUUCAGUUUAAUCUCCAUUCUUGAAACCAUCAUUGUGGCUAUCUUCCGACCACAGACAAUAAAACUUUUAAAUGCUACACACUAACAAGUAAGAAAUGCAUUAGUACUUUUAAAGUUCAGUUUAGUGUAUUUGGAGUACGGUGCAGCUAAAAUGUAGUCCAUAUGGUUGUAUUUUCCAUUUUCUAACAAAAUUUUGUAACACCCCUUAUUUCGGACGAGAAUGAAAAUCGUCAUUUUCUUCACGUAAAGGUUCCAAAAGCCAUAAAUCCAAUGCAAGUUUAGUAUGUUAAUAAAUUAUGUAGUGUGGAAACCUAUUUGAGCAUGAAUUGAAAUCAUAGAGGUCCCCAAGCUCAAGAACAAGUUGAAAGUUUCCUAUCGUUCAAAUUUUAGUGAGUGUUGAAACUUAGAUAAACUUCAAUGGACCAUUACUCUUUGUAUUUAUUGAAUUAGAGUGCCUACUACAUAUCAAAUGAAAGGUAUUCAAAUUAUUUUUCCAACGAUACCAAUUUCCAAAAAUUUUGACAUUCGAGGAAGAAGUUAUGGCUUUGCAAAAUGGAGUGUUUCGUGCAGCAUAAGGUGUGCGACGCACACCCUAACUUAUCCCAUAAGGUGUGCGACGCACACCCUAACUUAUGCCAUAAGGUGUGCGACGCACAACCUAAUGUGUGCGAUAAAGAGUACGCUGCACAACCUAUAUUAUACGAUAAGGUUUGCGCCGCAUAUAUUAUUACUCAAGUGACCUAAACACUCCAUUUUUGGAAAAAAAAAUGGUCCUUUUCCCACCCUUAUUUAGCCAUAAACACAAAAUUCAGUUCCCAAAAUACCCCAAAAUACACCUUCAUUCAUCAAAAUUGCUCAAGAACACUCCUUAGGGUUUCAAAAUAAAAACUCAAGCAACUCAAGAUUCAACCAUGGUUUUUGAAACUAAUUGCAUAUUUGGAAUCCCCAGAACGUAGGCUUCAAGAAGAACCUAUCAUCUUCGCAUAUAGAGGUACGUGGGGUUAUCUCAAAAAUCUCAUGGGCUUAAAAAUUCAGUUUCAAAAAUAAGGGAAGUGGUUUUAUAUAUGAUAUAUGUAUAUGUAUGUAUUCCGAAAAGAUAUUAACUUGAGAGCAUGAAUUAUAUGAAAUCCCUCUUUUUAUAUGAUCUCGUUUUAAAUUCUCAAAUGAUGUGAAAUGUUUGAAAUUAUCUUGACAAGCGUGACAUGAAAUAUUUUGAAAAUAGUUAUGGUUUUGACUUGCAACGAGAGGGUUUUUAUGUUGAAAUAUGAUGAAUAUAAUGUUUUCAUGAAAGAAUGAUGUGAUAUUGAUGGCUUGCAAGUUGGAUAUGACGAUACCCUAUAGAAUAAGAUACGUGAUUGAAUUAAAUGGAGUUUGAUGCAAUUUUACAUGAGAUAGGUGGAUGCCCAAAGAAGGCGUUUGAGUGUAAGGGCUCAUCGCUGGAAACUGUGUUGGCCGACAUGGGGAUUUGGUACCAGGCUAAGUGAUCUUGUGUACUUGACUUUAUGUCAUUCCCAAAUUAGGACUAUGGUUAGGAGCCCAGGCUAAGUGAUCUUGGGCACUACUAUACUUUAUUGGGUCGAGGUGAUCUUGUGUGUCUUCCCCUCACUUAUACUUUAAUCUUGGCGGCAACCGAGAUUUGACAGUUGGUGUAAAUGUUAUAUGUAGGGAAUUCCACCUAGCUCAGCUGCAUUAAAUUAUUGUUGAAAACUAUUACAUUAUGCCCAUGUGUUUUCAAAUGAUUUGAUAUGGAACUGCUUUAUAGUGGCUCUCACCUAUAUUUGGUAAAAAAAUUAUAUUUUGUUUUUGGUUUCUCUGCGUUCUAGUACUUUUGUAUUGACCUCCUUCCCUCCCAGGUUUGGAGGCAUAGUUUAGGGGUCCAGAUAACCAGUAGAUCUCUUCCGACAGAUUUACAGAAUCAAGUGGUGAGCCUUCUAUAUUUUGGAAGUCCUGAUGUCUAUCAAUUCAAUUAUCAUUUAGUAGUUUUGAGUCUACUGGGGGCCUUGUGCGAGUUUUCAGACAAUAAUUUAUUUCAGUCAUGUAUUAGAGAUUUCACAGACGGUUGUUCAGAUAUCGAUAUAUGUUGUGGGACAUAAUUUCCCCUUUAUUGAUUUCAUUUGAUUUAUGACCAUGUUUUCCGUAAUAUUAUGUAUCUUUCGCAUAUCUUAUUAUCAUAUGAAUUACGUGCAUGAUUACCAGAUAGAUAGGGGUGUUUUGGGCCUUCACUGUUUGGAAUGGUCGUCAUGGCUAGGGCCCCCAUUUGGGUCGUGAAAAACUUGGUAUCAAAGUACGUUUCAUGGUCCCAGGGUGUCUAUGAAAUCUCAUCGGGUAGAGUCUUAUUUAUGGGUGUGUAGCGCACCACACUUAUAAGCAGGAGGCUACUAGUCGUUUUGGGUGAUUUCUUGAUUGCUUGAAGUGUGAAAAUGGCUAUAUUAGCUAAUAAGUUGUAAUAUAAGAUUAAGGUUGAUCAUAUCUAUUAUGUUAGUUUACCCCUUUACCUUCUUUUCAUUGGUAAUUGUAAACUAGUACUACUUGUGAGAAGGUAUGUAGUGAUUUUUGAGGUGCUUGUAUAGUAUGUCCCAGAUUUUAUGGACUAGCAUAUUAUGUUGCAUUUUUUAGUAGUGAUAGAUGAUUGGUAUAGGACUAUAUGCUUGAAUUUAAUGUAGAAUGUGGCGGUAAAAAUAGUGGCAUGAGAUUAAUGGUGGUGGUACCGUUGAAUUGCUAGGUGGAGAAAGACUAGUUAGAUGGUAUAUGGUUUUCUAGAUAAUCAAGUUAAGGAGUUUUGAUGAUAGUGUUGAGCCUUUUUAUAUGAUCUUGAUUCUCAUAGUAGAAAGAUAUAAGUUUGGAGUCGCGAUAUUGGUAGGCUAUGUCGGAAGUAGUAUGAUUCAUUGAAGGCUUGGUGAUAUCCAUGUUGAGUACUAGAUUCUAAGUUUGAGUUUUUGAAGGUUGAACUAAUAGAAAUAAGAGUUAAAGCACUAGAGGGCGUGCACUCCAACUAUGGGGAUACCCAUGAAGACCCGAAGUUAGUAAGUAUGAAAGUAUUAUAUGAUGACUACUGGGUCUAUAGAAUGAUAAAGUUUAUCUGAGAAGGUAGUAUUAACAGUGGGUUUUCCACUUUCAGGUGUAGUCAUUUGGGUUAAGUUCCAUAAUAUGCGUGUAUAGUAGUUUUCCAGACCACAGAAUCCAGUGAGUGUACUUCAGUAUAGAGUCUAGUAAAGGAUCUCCUAAACUUAAUUUGAUGGCUUGAAGAUAAGGGGGAGAUAAUAGAGCAAAUAACUAAGUCAGGCUUUCAAAUUAUAGUAGUAAUGUCAGUAUGACAUUGAACAUCAGAAGGGAAGGUGAGGCUCAACCCAUUCCAGUCUCAGUGUUUUUUGGUUAUCCUAAUACCUACUCAUACCUCACGUUUCAGUUCCAUGAUCAUAGUUUUGCAUUAACAGACGUGCUUCUUUACACCCGAAGAAAAGAUACUUAGGCCAUUAGUAGCCUUUGAACCCAAUCCAUAUGGAAAAGAUGCUUAUCAUUUUGUCCAUUCUCGUCUAACACUGUGAUAGGUCAUCUAUUUCCUAUCUCUCUUCAUUCUCAUUUCAAGCUUUCUAUUAAUUAGAUGAAGAAAAGGGUUUCAUGUUACUAUGUGGUUUGGCUUCAAAAUUCUUGCCUUGUCCUUCAAAUUAAUUUAGGGAGUUGCGCAUGGAUACAAGAUUUCAACAUUGAUUGGAAAUUAACUAGAUAUUAUUGAAAAGUAGCUAUAUUUUAAUUUCAUAUGUUCUUCCUUACAUGGAUAUUGGUUGAGAAGCCUCCUAUACCUCCUAUGGCUGGUACUGCUCCUGGUGCUAUUCCAUCCAUGUCACUGCAGGUAAAGUUGUGGAGGCUUGGGGGAGGGAUAAAUAACUUUUGAAUGUAGAGACAUUAUGAUAACUAUUUCCCCCCACAUCUUUAGCAGCUCCAGCCUAUGUUUCCAGCCUACCAGGCACAACCUUAUGGUUCCGGGUCGUCUCAACAAUUUCUGCCACUUGGACAUGCAGAUGUUGCAAUGUCUCAACCUUAUCAAAUCCAAUUUCCUCAACCUAUGCAAUAGGUUACUGGUAGAACUGUAGUAGGAAUGCAUAGUAUGCCUUAGGGACCACCUAUUCCCCAUGAUUUUCAUCGAAAUCUUCCUAUGUCAAAUAACAACAUGCCUGGUUCUGGUGGCCCAAAUUUACCUUUUUCUUCUUCAUAUAAUGUAAGGCCAUGGGAAGAUCUUUUGUGGUUAUUGUGAAUCAGUUUCCGAUGUUCCAUUCCUAUAUUGAUGAAAUACAUUUUGGUAUCGUCUUUAACAGAAGGUAAAUGCAGAUUCUUCUGACUCCCAGUAUCAGACACAGAUAAAUGAUCAUAGGUUUCCAUCAGGGGUACGACCCUGGAUGCCAAUAAGUAAUCAUAAUGUGAAUUCUGCGACAACUAUGCAUAAGAGUGGAGAAUUAGCAGCUCCCUUGGUUGUUCCGGUGAGAAUUCAAAGUGUUUUACUAUACCCAUUUUGAAUAAAUAUUGUCAACAAGUAACAUGCUUAAGUUAGCUAUAAAUAUAUUUUAAAAUUUACAUACAACAUUAAAUUUAAGGAACUUGAGUCUAUAUAUUAUGAUCAUAAAAUUGAUUCUAAUUAAUUGAAAUUAAUUAUUUGAUUGUAUAGUUUUAUUACAACAAUUUCAUACAUCAUUUAUUUAAUAAUAAUACAUAUAAUUAAUUGAUUGAUUUUGUGCAAUCUACUAUGAUUUUAUUAAUUCAAAUAAAAUAAUUUUUGAAUGAUAAGUUUGGAUUAUAAAAAUAAAGGUGAUUAUUGUAUGACUUUAGCAUUUCUUAUGUAUUAAAAAAGAUUUAUAGAUAAAAAUGGUCAUCUCUCAAAACAAUUAAAUUUGAACUAUUUUAGUGAAACAAUGAAAGAUUGAAUAUAAGAAAAUCCGUAACUAAGAAAAGAAAUAAUUGUCACCUUAUUUAAGUUUUUAGCAAAUUGUAAAGAUAGUUAAAUAAUCAAAUUGUAAAUUUAUAAGAAAUUUUUGAAGAAUAAAUCAGUAAUUAGGAAAAGAAAUAAUCGUUACCUUUUUAAAAUUCUUCCCAAAAUUAUAAAGGUAAUUUAAUAUAAAUUUGAUAUAUCAAAACUAUAAGAAUAUAUGAAAUUCAUGGGAUUAAAUUUUUGAAAUUAUAAAAGUAAUUAAUAUCAAUUGUUUUCAUAUUUGAGUCCUUUAUUUAACUGUAGAUUAAUUAAAUAUAAUUAAGUUAUAAAAUUAGGAUAGAUUUAUGGUAAAUAAACAUAUAAUAUUAAUAAUAAUUUUAUUGUUAUAAAAUUAAUUAGAUCAAAUUGAGAUAGAAAUCAGUUAAUAUUGACAAUUAUUUUAAUAAAAAAUAUAUGCAAAGUUUCGUAAUUGAUAUACAUAUAUUGGUAAAAAAACAACGAACACUGUCUACCAUGAAUAUAUUUUAAAAUUUACAACAUUAAACUUAAGGAACUUGAGUCUAUAUAUUAUGAUCAUAAAAUUGAUUCUAAUUAAUUGAAAUUAAUUAGUUGAUUGUGUAAUUUUAUUACAAUUAUGUCGUACAUCAUUUUUUAUAUAAAAAUACAUAUAAUUAAUUAAUUAAUUGAUUUUGUGCAAGCUACUAUGAUAUUAUUAAUUCAAAUGAAAUAAUUUGUAAAUGGUAAGUUUGGAUUAUAAAAAGAAAGGAGAUUAUUGUAUGCCUUUAGCAUUUCUUAUGUAUUAAAAAAGAUUUAGAGCUAAAAAGUUGUCAUCCCUCAAAACAAUUAAAUUUGAACUAUUUUAGUAAAACAAUUUUAAUUAAUUUAUCACAUUUCAAAAUAUUGUUUAUAUCAAUUCAGUGAUGUUUAUAUGGAAAAGUUAAAUUUUGAAAAAAUAAAUAUCUUAAAUUUCAUAAUUUAAGUUAAUUUGUGUGCUAAUUUGAAAAAGUUACUUUAUAGUUUACAUUUUAUUUCUAUUAUAUGGAAAAUUUGACCUCAUAUGGCUAUUUAUAGCCAUUGAAUAACACAAUAUUUGUUACACUUUUCUUCUCUCUCUCUCAUGGGUAUUUAUCAAGUUUUUCAAUAUGAGUAAGUAAAUAUUCACUUGCUAUAUUUCCGGAUCCUUGUAAAUAUUCACUUGUCAUAUACAGAUCCUUGUAAAUAUUUACUUGCAAUUUAUAGAUCCUUGUUAGUUGUAUAUAAGCAUUGUACGAUGAUGAAUGAAAGACACAGAAUUUUUUUUUUCUCCAUUCUAGUCUUUUGCUAUUUUUACAUUUCAAGAAAAAAUGACAAAAUCCUACAGAUUCUGACAACCUUUUGCCAGCUCUUACUCUUCCAACUCUUUGAUUUAGUAAUUUCUCUUUUUUUGUUGUUAUUUAACAUGAUUAUUUGUUUUAUCAGAAGGAUUUGAUAAGUUCUUUGAAUUGUUCUUGUGCUAUUUGUUUGUGGGGUAUUUUAUUAAUUUUCAUUAGAAGACUAGUAGUAACUAGUUUCGCAUUAUGCCUCUUCUGGUAGUAGUAUCGGUAUAUAUAUUUUUUUCUACUUGUUGUAUCGUAUACCUCUGUUUUCUUACUUGCUACUGUUGUUAAUAUCCUCGUGAUUUUGCUUUUCUUACUGAGGAUUUAUGGGAAACAAAUUUUCUACUUGCCAAGGUAGUAGUUACGUAUGUUGUUGUUGAAGAAGAAACAUGUAGAAAGAGAGAUGUUUUGCUUUGUCUCAUAAGUAUUUAGUUAGCUUGCAGUAUUUUCAUGAAUGGAUAAUGAUUUGUGAGUGGUUGUUUAUGACUGUUUUGCUUUGUCCUUUUAAAUCUCAUGGACACUAGUUUGAUUCAUGUACAGUCUCCAUACAUAGAGAUGAUGAAGAAUAACUUCUUCUUUUUUUGAUCAUCAACUAAUGAUGCAAACAAGACCCCUUCACCACCAUUAAAGUCCAAGGAAGUUUCUUUUUGGAGGAGUGUUUCAUUGUCAUCUGGAUCCUUCUAUGACAGUGUGUCAGGAAAAAAGAAUUUUACGAAUCUGAGCAAAUCUCCCCAUGGUCACAGUAAGAAAGUUCAUCCUAUGAAAUCUGGUCAUGAUUCAAGUCGGUAUGCAUAUCAUUUUGCUGUAGCUUUCUUUUUCACACUUAAACUAAUGUUUUAAUUUGCAUUUGCUUGUCCAAAGUAAUGACAAAUGUUUCUUUACGGCAGAGACCUUAGCGUUCCAGUGUUGAUUCGAACUAUUAGAAAAUUGACAAAAGAGAAGGUACAAAUAGCUUCUGAACAUUCAAGCAUGAUAUGGAAUUAAGUCGCUGAAAGGGCUUCUGCUAAGGAAGAAGCCAGCAUAUUAUAGGCAGAAUUAGAUUCACGGACACGAAGAUUGGAGACAAAAAAGAAUGAGUUACAAUCAGUACUAGAAAAGGAGUUGGAUAGAAGAUCCAGUGAUUGGUCUCUAAAACUUGAGAAAUACCAAAUUGAACAACAUAGACUCCGUGAAAGGGCGAGGGAGCUUGCAGAGUAGAAUGUCUCUCUACAAAGGAAAGUCUCUUCAUUUAAUGAGAAGGAAGUAGAUAAUAGAAUCAAGAUGUCAUUUUCGGAGAAACACCUUGAAGAUUUGUCUAAGACAAUAGAGCAAGUGUCAGAGGAGAAUCAAAAUCUAAGGCAGCAUCUCACUCAGUUACAAGCAGAAUAUCGAGUAGCUCAAGACAAUAGAGAUUAUGUCCAGGAAAACUACCAGGAAAAGGUUAAAGAGCUUAAAUCUGAGACUUUGCUGACAACUGUGCUAAGGGAGAAGCUCUAUUCCGAGGAGAUGAACAUAAAGCAACUUCAAGAUGAUCUAGCCACAACUGUUAGAGGUAACGACAUUCUCAAAUGGGAAGUACAAAAUGCGCUGGACGCUCUUUCUUAUGCCACACCCAAGUUGAAAUAUCUCGAGCUUCAGGUAAGCAGACAAUGUUAAGAUUUUGUUGCAAUGGAAUAUUUUUUAUUUUUUAACUUUGAAUACCUCGUCUUCAUAUAUGAUAGCCUGUUCGCAUAUUACUCUCUCUGCAUUAGCUGUCUACUUCUGUUUGAUUUUAGGUUCAUCUUUGUUCCAUCUGAAGUUCACAGUUUUCUUUAUGAACUUGUAUACAUGAGUUGCUGGCAUGUGGUAGUCUUCUAUGAAAUGUCUGAUCGCCUUAAUGUGUAAUCACUUGAACCAACCAAAAACAUGAUAAACUUUGUGAUAUCCUCAAACCCAUUGAUCUGAUUGUGCUCUGAUAGGGUAAAGUUACCCAAAGGGUUUUCGGUAAGUUUGCUCAUUCAUCUGACUUAAUUCUUGGACAAGCUCACAAGUUAUCUACUGUGAAUUUUAACAGUUAAAAAGGAUUCAUGAUUUGGUUGAACUUCUAGGCUAUGAGUUUGUUUUGAAUUUCUGAUGAAAUAUUAUUGGUGAUCUUUGUAUCUUUCUUAUUUUUUCAUGGUUUACAAUUGAUUCUGGCAUGUGCUAAAAAUGACAAAAAUAUCAACAAGAUCACUAAUGAUUUGCACGAAUGCAUGAAGGAACUUGGCGUUGUGAAGGCGAUACUACCAAAAGUGUUUCAGAAGAGGGAUUUCAUGUGGGAGGAGGUUAAGAGCUAUAGUGAGAUGAACAUGUUGUUCAAUUAUGAGAUCAACAUGUUGAAAAGGAAGGUAGAUACCCUCGACGAAGACUUUCUUAUGAAAGAGGGUCAAAUCACAUCUUGAAAGACUCAAUAGGCAAGCCUUUCGACCAUCUUGCAAGUCCUGAUUCUCUGUUGGAGUGAUGGAUGCUAAAUGGCCAAACUACAAUUCAUAUUUUUUUCAUUAACUAUAGUGUUCAUACUUCUCGUAUACUUACUGGUUUUACUCUUAUUCUUUCCCCCCUUUGAUACUUGUUAAAUAGAAAGUUUUCUUCUUUCUUUUGCAACCUUUUUGAAUCUCCAAUUAUAAACAUUUCUUUUACUUGCUGGUGAUCAAGACCAUGAACUUCUUUUGCUUCAUUUGGUUUUGUAAGUAUUGGCCGUUUUUUGUCUUAUGAAGUAUUUAGUGAGGAUUGAUGCUACCAUUUUCUUCUCGUCUCUGAGGUAGAGGUAUGGUUUGCAUAUAUUCUGCCAGAAUAUACAUCAGGUAUGUUGUUGUUGUUGUAUGGAGAUUUUGUGUAUAAUAAAAAUCGUAUAUUUCAUGUCGGGUCAUCCACACUUUCAUUCCUUGCAGGGGAAAGCUCAUUAAGCUUACUGAGUUAACUUCUCAUUGAUGUAUUCUUUCACUAAGGUUGUCAUUGGGUAGCUACAAAAAGCACUUGUCUAACUGGGCAGUUCAUGUUCAGUUUGUGCAUAUAUUAAGUAACGUCCAAAUUUUUAACCAUAUAACUUUACCUCAAAAUGGUGCAUGGACCAGAGCUGCUCUUAAAUCUGGUCGGUUAACAGACUCUUCCAUUUGAUCUGUAAUCAAAUGCCUGCUUUGUCUCAGUACAUUUGAUUCUAUUAUGCUCAUUCACACAUAGUUUAUGCCAAGUAUGUGAGACACAUACAGAAGCCUCUAGUUUCAUCUUCUUUAUAUAGUUUUAAAAUUCAUUUGAAUUGCUAUGAGGGAGUUCUAUCCUUCCCUCUGAUCAUUCUUUUAGAUACCUUCUUUCAUUUGCCUCUACUAUGUUUUAAAUUUUCCUUCCAGGUUUCACUUGCCACAUUAAAUGUUGUUUGCACAUUUGUAAACUAUGCACUACAUUCAAUUUCAAAAAAUAAACAAAACUAUGCACUACAUUGUAGAACAUUUUGAUAAUUUUUUGGUAUGUCAGUAUGUUGUUUAUGUUUAUGCUUACAUCAAGAAGACCCAGUUAUUAUGAAGGUGGAAUUGGUUUCUGUACCAUUUUCCUUUUGCGUGUAACUUCUGAAGUUAUUUGGGAUCCAUCAUUUAUAUGUCAAUGAGAGUUUUUGAUGUCUUUCCUGAUAAUGUUUAUGCUUACAUCAAGAAGACCCAGUUAUUAUGAAGGUGGAAUUGGUUUCUGUACCAUUUUCCUUUUGCGUGUAACUUCUGAAGUUAUUUGGGAUCCAUCAUUUAUAUGUCAAUGAGAGUUUUUGAUGUCUUUCCUGAUAUUAAUCCGGUCAUUUUUUCUUUAACAUGUCUAAUCUUCUGUAUACCUAGCUUUCUAAUCUUCAAUGAUGCAAACAAUUUCCCUUCAAGAACUUGCACUUACCUAAUUCCUAGUAAGACAGUCUUAGAAUCUUCUAUGCUGAAAGAUGCCUAUUGGUGGUUAGUUUUUUCGCUAGGAGGUUGCAUUGGAAGGUACAAGCAUACAUGAUAUUGGUAAAACCAGUAAGCACCAUAUUUUUUUGAAAAUGAUAGCAUAUAUACUAUGUGGGCAGUAUUUUCUUUACAAAAAUUAGCCUCUCUGUGCUUUACAAGGCCUCCAAAGUUGCAAAAUGGAUUCAGCACGCUCUACAAGAAACUCUUAAUGUUAAAAUAAUAAGUUGUCUGAUCCUAUCUGCAACAAGAAUGACGAGCACUGUGUUUAGUUUGGAACCUGUCCCUAAGCUCAUCUAGACUUAUCCUUAUCUUCAUUGCCUUCUAUUUGCUUGUUAUCUUUGUUCUUGCUAGAACUUGCAUUUGAGAAGCUUGUGUUGUUGUCUCAAGUUAAUGUGUAAGUUUUCUUUCCUUACUGCAGUGCAUCAAAAUUCAACUUGUGGUGCUGCUGAAAAUGUUGGAACUGCUGCAAAACCUAAUGGACCUGUACGUGCUAAUAGACCCAAUGCAUUCAGUAACAAUAGCUCAUCUGUUCUCUCUUGUAUACAAACAGCAGUUGAUAUUCCUUCUCAAACAGCAGGUCCAUCCAUGUUUGAGCUCCUGGACCAUGCUCUUUUUGGGCCUAGGCGUGAAGGUGGUGUUAGAGUGGGUGAAAGUCCCACAUUGUUAGGGAGUGAACUGUCGGUCUUAUUAUAUGGACUUGAGAAAUUCUCCCCUCAUGUGCUAGCUUUUGGGGUUGAGUUAGGUCCAAGAUCCUUUCUUUACACAAUCAACCAUCUUUUCUUACAUUGGAAACGAACAGAGCAACUAUAGAGAAUGUUUUCAACCUAAAGGGGAUCAGGUGGGUAGAACCUGGGAGCAUUAAAAACGUACUAAGCAGCUGGAGUGGGGAUGCAAAUAUAAUAAAAGAGGAGAGAUGGAAAAUUGUUCAACAUGUAUAUGGUGGACAGUUUCGACAGAAAGAAACAAGGGUUGUUUUGAGGAUGUCCAGAAGAUCAACAUGAAUAGUUUAGCACUUCUUUAUUUUUGGUGUAAACACAAGACAUCAUUGAUGUGCUAGACUGUUUAUAGGCAAUAGAAAGACAGAGUAAGAUGUAAUACUUUUUGAAGGGGGACAUCAUUCUUGUUGGCUAGGGAUUUAAACAAAGAUGGGAAGAGCUCUAUAUAAAGGACAGGGAUGACUAAUAUGACAACUCUUUUUUUGGAUGGAACAUAAUUUUAUUAUAAGAUAUGGAAGACAUGAAGAUAGGCCAAAAUGUUCUCAACUAACAGACUUUUAAAAUUAAGAGCCAAAGAACACUAAACAAUGGGUGUAACUCAAAUCUAUUUGAAGAAAAGGAAUACUUACUCUGAGAGAACAAAACACACUCUCCAGUAGUACAGUAAAAAUAGUAGAUCUUAAAAUCCCACAGCUAAGCAAAUUAAUUUAAAUGUUGCUUUAGAUUAGAAAGUCACCUUGUUAUAUUAUGUGUUCAGUAGGUUCUUAUUUAUACUGCUCAUCAUAUUUUCUGCACUAUCUUUUCAACAUUUUCGUUGAAGUCUAUAAUUUACUCUUCUUCACUUUGAACUUGGGCUCUGCAUCUUGGACUUCUAUAUGUUGGUUCACUUGUAGUACUUCUUGUGUAUUCUAUCCUAUAUGGUCUGACUGCAAAGGAAUCAAACUGGCUUGGGGCUACAACAUCAGCUGCCAUGAUAAUCCUUGGUAGUUCAUUUCCUACAUAUAUAUAUCUCCUUUUCUGACUCGUAUUGUGAUAUAAUUUCUUAUUUCUUUUUGGUAAGUACUGAAUUCACUAGCUUUUCAUUCAAUCAGAUUAGAACUUGGGAGUUUGCUUGUAUGGUUUUAAGCUUCUGAAAAGUCGAGUCAUCAUACUUUUUACUGCCGGUACAUCUCGGGUGUUCCUGAUCUGUUUUGGAGUUCAUUACUGGUUUGUUGUUAACCUAUGCUAAUUCAUUUUCUUCACGUAAAGGUUCCAAAAGCCAUAAAUCCAAUGCAAGUUUAGUGUGUUAAUAAAUUAUGUAGUGUGGAAACCUAUUUGAGCAUGAAUUGAGAUCAUAGAGGUCCCCAAGCUCAAGGAGAAGUUGAAAGUUUUCCUAUCGUUCGAAUUUUAGUGAGCGUUGAAACUUAGGUCAAAUUAAAUUGAUCAUUACUCUUUGUAUAUAUUGAAUUAGAGUGCCUACUACAUAUCAAAUGAAAGGUAUUUGAAUUAUCUUUCCAACGAUACCAAUUUCGCAAUAUUCUGACACCCGAGGAAGAAGUUAUGGCUUUGCAAAGUGGAGUGUGUCGUGCAGUAUCAGGUGUACGACACACACCCUAACUUAUGCCAUAAGGUGUGCGACGCACACCCUAACUUAUGCCAUAAGGUGUGCGACGCGCAACCUAAUAUGUGCGAUAAAGAGUGCGCCGCACAACCUAUAUUAUGCAUUAAGGUUUGCGCCACAUAUAUUAUUACUCAAUUGACUUAAACACUCCGUUUUUGGGUUAAAAUGGUCCUUUUCCCACCCUAAUUUAGCCAUAAAUACAAAAUCCAGUUCCCAAAAUACCCCAAAAUACACUUUCUUUCAUCAAAAUUGCUCAAGAACUCUCCUUUGGGUUUCAAAAUAGAAAUCCAAGCAACUCAAGAUUCAACCAUGAGUUUUUGAAACUAAUUGCAUAUUUGGAAUCCCCAAAACGUAGUCUUCAAGAAGCAACUAUCAUCUUCACAUAUAGAGGUACGUGGGGUUAUCUCAAAAAUCUCACGGGCUUAAAAAUUCAUGUUUUAAAAAUGGGGGUUUUGAAAUUAUGAAUAUAAUCCCGUUUUAAAUGUUUUACGAUAUUGAUUUAGUCUUUAGGUCUAUUCCCGAAGUGGUUUGAUAUAUGAUAUAUGUAUAUGCAUGUAUUCCGAAAAGAUGUUAACUUGAGAGCAUGAAUUAUAUGAAAUCCCUCUUUUUAUAUGAUCUCGUUUUAAAUUAUCAAAUGAUGUGAAAUGUUUGAAAUCAUCUUGACAAGCGUGACAUGAAAUUUUUUGAAAAUGGUCAUGGUUUUCACUUGCAACGAGAGGGUUGUUAUGUUGAAAUAUGAUUAAUAUAAUGGUUGCAUGAAAGAAUGAUGUGUUAUUGAUGGCUUGCAAGUCGGGUAUGACAAUACCCUACAGAAUAAGAUAUGUGAUUGAAUUAAAUGGAGUUUGAUGCAGUGAUUUUACAUGAGAUAGGUGAAUGCCCAAAGAAGGCAUUUGAGUGUAAAGUCUCAUCACUGAAAACCGUGUUUGCCGACAUGGGGAUUUGGUACCAGGCUAAGUGAUCUUGUGUACUUGACUUUAUGCCAUUCCCAAAUUUGAACUAUGGUUAGGAGCCCAGGCUAAGUGAUCUUAGGCACUACUAUACUUUAUUGGGUCGAGACACCCUGCUGUGUGAUCUUGUGUAUCUUCACCUCACUUACACUCUGAUCUUAGCGUCAACCAAGAUUUGAUAGUUGGUGUAAAUGUUAUAUGUAGGGUAUUCUACCUAGCUCAGCUGCAUUAAAUUAUUGUUGAAAACUAUUACAUUAUGCCCAUGUGUUUUCAAAUGAUUUGAUAUGGAACUUCUUUAUAAUAGCUCUCACCUAUAUUUGGAAAUAAAUAUUAUAGUUUUUUUUGGUUUCUCUAUGUACUAGUACUUUUGUAUUGACCCACUUCCCUCCCAGGUUUGGAGGCAUAGUUUAGGGGUCCAGAUAGCCGAUAGAUCUCUUCCGACAGAUUUAUAGAAUCAAGUGGUAAGCCUUCUAUAUUUUGGAAGGCCUAAUGUCUGUCAGUUCAUUUAUCAUUUAGUAGUUUUGGGUCUACUGGGGGCCUUGUCCCAGUUUUCAGACAGUAAUUUAUUUCAGUCAUGCAUUAGAGAUUUCGUGGACGGUUGUUCAGAUAUCGAUAUAUGUUGUGGGACAUUAUUUCCCCUUUGUUGAUUUCAUUUGAUUUAUGACCAUGUUUUUCAUAAUAUUGUGUAUCUUCCGCAUAUCUUAUUAUCAUAUGAAUUAUGUGAAUGAUUACCAGAUAGAUAGGGGUGUUUUGGGCCUUCAUGGUUCGGAAUGCUUGUCACGGCCAGGGCCCUGGUUCGGGUCGUGACAACAUAGUAUCAAAGCACGGUUCAUGGUCCCAGGGUAUCUGUGAAAUCGCAUCGGGUAGAGUCUUAUUUAUGGGUGUAUAGCGCGCCACACUUAUAAGCAAGAGGCUACCAGGCAUUUAGGAAUGUCUCUCUUUCUAGUUCAUGCAAUAGAGUCAGAAUGUUUCUCUUUCAUACUCUGAUUCGUUCUAUGGUGUCGCCCAUACGAAAGUAAAAAAAAAGUCAUCCCAAAUUCUUUCCUUACUCUAAUGUCCUCAGAUAUGUCUCAUUAUUAAGGUGAUUCAAGUGCAAAAUUUUAGAAUCUAAAUGGUAUGGUCCUUUCUGAUUGAACCAUAUAAGAGUUAAAAUUUGUGCAAGGACUUGAGAAGAGUCCAUUAGUGCUUCAAUGUGUAUUGAUUCCGUUGUAAGCAUUGAUUCUGAUGGAAUCGUGCUUUUCAUCUUGAGGUAUUAAUUGCAUUUAGUCCCCUUUAAAUUUAUGUUACAAAUGUCUUGCUUAAGGGGGGGGAUGAUGUGUAGUAGAAUGUUUGAACUGUAUUUCCACCCGAAUAGUAGUAUGCGUUAAAGUGUUGUUGUCAUGACCUAUUGGUAGUGAAAUUAGACCAAGAAUUUGGUGAUGUGAAGUCACAAAGUUAGAAGUCAUAGCGAGGGUGACUUUUGUGUAAAUGAAUAUUUUAGUUGAAUAACCAAUGUUCGAGAAUAAUUUACCCCCUUAUGGGGAUAGACUAAUGUGGUAACUAGUAGCAUGUGUAGAUGGUAUGGUAGUCCGUGGAGGAAGUGUUUGACUUCGAUUUUAUUUAUACAGAGUAAGAUGUGUAUUCUUAGUACUUGAUGUGUUAAAAUAGUACAUGCUAAUGAGUUAUGAUAAGGAAGACCAUAAGGUCAAGAUCAAUUAUUUUUUGUUUGGAAGUUCUAGUGUACUAGUGUUUCUUGAUGUCUAUUUCAUGGUAUCCAAGUGAGAAUCAUGCGUAAGGUUGGGUUGUAAAAUCAUGUUUAGCACUAGACAUUAAGUUUUGAACAAUUGAUGUCCAUGAAGGUGGAUGUGAUGAUUUCUUGGUUAGUGAUACUAGUUUUAUGGAAAUAAUCUAAUAGUCUUGAACGAUAUAUGCAAGACCUUAAGUUUAUUUGAUUCGUAGUGAAGUAUGAUGUUGCAUAUAUAAUGUAGAAGUAUUCCCAAGGUGAUCUGAGGUUGCGGUGUUUUCUAAGACUAUUACACGUUUUGUGUGACGAGUGGUAUAGUUGAUUUGCUAGGUGGAGAAAGAUUGGUUAGAUAGUAUAUGGUUUUCUAAAUAGCCAAGUUAAGGAGUUUUGAUUGAUAGUGUUGAGCCUUUUUAUAUGAUCUUGAUUCCCAUAGUAGAGAGAUUUAAGUUUGGAGUCGCGAUAUUGGUAGGCUAUGUCGGAAGUGGUAUGAUUCAUUGAAGGCUUGGUGAUAUCCAUGUUGAGUGCUAGAUUCUAAGUUUGAGUUUUUAAAGGUUGAACUAAUAGAAAUAAGAGUUAAAGCACUAGAGGGUGUGCACUUCGACUCUAGGGAUACCCAUGAAGACCCGAAGUUAGUAAGUAUGAAAGUAUUAUAUGAUGACUACUGGGUCUAUAGAAUGAUAAAGUGUAUCUCAGAAGGUAGUAGUAACAGUGAGUUUUCCACUUUCAGGUUUAGUCAUUCGGGUUAAGUGCCAUGAUAUGUGUGUAUAGUAGUUUUCCAAACCCCAGAGUGCAGUGAGUGUACUUCAGUUUAAAGUCUAGUAAGGGAUCUCCCAAACUUAAUAUGAUGGCUUGAAGCUAAAGGGGAGAUGAUAGAGCGAAUAACCAAGUCAGGCUUUCAGAUUCUAGUAGUGAUGUCAGUAUGACAUAGAACAUCAGAAGGGAAGAGUGAGGCUCAACCCAUUUCGGUCUUAGUAUUUUUUAGUUAUCCUAAUACCUACUCAUACCUCACGUUUCAGUUCCAUGAUCAUGGUUUUGCAUUAACAGACAUGCUUCUUUACACCCGAAGAAAAGUUACUUAGGCCAUCAGUAGCUGUUGAACCCAAUCCAUAAGGUAAAGAAGCUUAUCAUUUUGUCCAUUCUCAUCUAACGCUGUGAUAGGUCAUCUAUUUCCUAUCUCUCUUUAUUGUCGUUUCAAGCUUUCUAUUUAUUAGAUGAAGAAAAUGGUUUCAUGUUACUAUGUUGUUUGGCUUCAAAAUUCUUGCCUUGUCCUUCAAAUUAAUUUAGGGAGUUGCGCAUGGAUACAAGAUUUCAACAUUGAUUGGAAAAUUAACUAAAUAUGAUUGAAAAGUAGCUAUAUUCUGAUUUCAUCUGUUCUUCCUUGCAUGGAUAUUAGUUGAGAAGCCUCCUAUACCUCCUCUGGCUGGUCCUGCUCUUGGUACUAUUCCAUCCAUGUCACUGUAGGUAAGGUUGUGGAGGUUUGGGGGAGGGAUAAAUGACUUUUGAAGGUAGAGACAUUAUGAUAACUAUUUUCCCCACAUCUUUAGCAAUUCCAGCCUAUGCUUCCAGCCCACAGGCACAACCUUAUGGUUCCGGGUCAUCUCAACAAUUUCUACCACUUGGACAUGCAAAUGUUGCUAUGUGUCAACUUUCUCAAAUCUAAUUUCCUCAACCUAUGCAACAGGUUACUGGUAGACCUGUAGUAGGAAUGCAUAGUAUGCCUCAGGGACCACCUAUUCCCCAUGAUUUUCAGCAAAAUCUUUCAAUGUCAAAUAACCACAUGCCUGGUUCUAGUGGCCCAAAUUUACCUCUUUCUUCUUCAUAUAAUGUAAGGCCUUGGAAAGAUCUUUUGUGGUUGUUGUCAAUCAGUUUUCGAUGUUCCAUUCAUAUAUUAAUGAAAUACAUUUUGUUAUAGUCUUUAACAGCAGGUAAAUGCAGAUUCUUCUGGCUCCUAGUAUCAUAUAUAGAUAAAUGAUCAUAGGUUUCCAUCAGGGGUACAACCCUAGAUGCCAAUAAGUAAUCAUAAUGUGAAUUCUAUGACAACUAUGCAGAAGACUGGAGAAUUAGCAGCUCCCUUGGUUGUUCCGGUGAGAAUUCAAUGUGUUUUAUUGUACCUGUUUUGCAUAAAUAUUGUCAACAAGUAACAUGCUUAAGUUAAUGGGUUAGUGGGUGUGUGUUGAUUGAGAGAGUCAACAUUUGAAUUGUAUGACAGUUUUUUGUAAGCAAAUUAAGAUUCCAGUGAACAAAAAAGGUGUAAAACUGCGGUAUACAAGAAAAGGAGCUCUGCAAAAAUAUCAUUUUCAUUUAGAUCCAAUCUUUUUACCACUUUGUGUUCUCCAGACAGAAAAAAGAGCAUGCCGAUUUGGCUUUCUGGAAUUCUUGCUUUUGGAUUAUAUUCACAUAGGUUACUCAUAUAAAUAGGUUAAUGUCUGCAUCAUAAACACUUAAUGUCUUGUCUAUGAACAAGUGGUGGAUAUGUUGGCCCCCAUCACUGCCAAGAAAUCCCUCAAGUAUCCACGUCUAGUGCUUUGUACAUCAUUCUGUUUCCAUUGGUACUGGAGAUAAUAGGCCCUAUGUUUCAGUCCUCUUUGUCAAAGUUAUCAUAUGGGCUGCCGUUCACCGCUGCCAAAUUCUACCUGACUGUUGAUCAGCAGAACUUGAUACACCUCUACCAAUAACUUCAUUUUGACCUCAUUUCUCUAUUAUCAUACAUAUUUUAUAUGUGGCUAAAUGCUAGUAGGUAUUGCUAUUUUCAGCAUAUUUUGAUGAUCAAUAGGACAAUUAUGGUUGCUAAUGUUGUCAUAUUUCCUAUGGCUUUAUUACUCCAACUAAUUAAUAACAUUCUUACAAUUCUUGAAUUGAUUUUCAGAUGCUAUUAUAAUAGAAGGACAAGAAUCUCAACCUGGGAGAAACCUCGAGAACUGAUGACAGAAAUGGAGGUGAGGUCUCGUGUCAUCGAGAUUUUUAUGGGUAGUUUUAUCCAGUUUCUUGUGCUUAUCAAUGAAAAAAGAAGUACACAAUUCUUUUUCUAUGAAGCUUUGUAGAACCACUUUUUCUUUCCUAAGUAUAUGUGAUUUCUGUUGAAAGUUUGUUUAGCGAGCAAAUUUCCUCAAUCUUACUAUACUAUGUAGGUUUUAUUUGGGAUUUGCAUUGACCUUUUAUUUCCAAUAUAGUUCUAAAAGAUUUUAUAUUUAACACUACUGUUCUAAAAAUGUGUUUAAGCAUACACGACAGGAUUAUAUUUGGUCUAUUUUAAACAAUUUUAUUUGCUUUCUGAUUAAUGUAAUGUUAUUGUAACUCUAUGGUGAUAUGGAGAGAGGAAACUUGAUAUAAUAUUAUGGUUCACAUUUCUUAUUCUGGUUUACAGAAUAAUAUUUUGGCUGGUUGCACACUUGCACCCAAGAGUGUGACCUAGUGGUCAAUGAAGUAGAUUGAGAACCAUGAGGCCUCAGGUUUAAUUUCCAACUGAGAUAAAAACACUAGGUGAUUUCUUACCGUCUGUCCAAGCCUUGAUGGAUAGAGUUACCCUGUAUCUGUGCUGGUAGGAGGUAGUAGUACCUGGUGUAAAUAGUCAAGGUGCAAGCUAGCCCAAACGCGACGGUUAUCAAAGAAAGUUUUGCUGGUUGUGAGGGACAAGUAUUAAGGGACCAACAACUGGAGCUGUAAGGAAGUUUGAACAUUUUUAUUCUUUUCUUUUUGAGAUAAACAGUUUUUUUUUCGGAGAUAUUACUUUGCAUUCGUCAGCGUUAAGGUUAUGCUAGCAGUCCAAAAGAAAUGAAAAAUAAUGAAAAUAAUGCGAGGAUUCGAAGAGAUCUACUACCUGUUAUGCAUCCUGUACAAAUUGGCCCUUAAACAAAAAACAAAAAUCUACAAUGCUAUUCCAUUUAACUUUCUGAAUGGAAUUAUAUUUAUCUUCAAAAUACCUUUAACUUUUCUCUCUCCAUACAGUCCAUCAAAUACAAGGAAAUAUUUUUCUCCUCCAUUUCUUCUAACUCUUGCUAAUCCCUUCUAAUCCAACAGCUCAAUAGAUUGUUGUUGUUUCCUUUGAUAGUCUACUUUACUUCAACUCAAUAGAUCUGGUAUGUGUUCUGGCAUGGUCCACUUUACUUCUAUUAAACUAAAGGUGUCAAAUGGGCGGGCUUGGCUGGAUUUGGGCGGAUCAAAGAGGUCUGAGUUAAUAAAUGGGCGGGUUAUUAACCCUCCUUAAAGCUACUUGGACUGAAAUGGGUUGGGUUGAAAUGCUCUAAAAUGCGGGUCAUAACCCAACCCACCCAAUUUGAACUCAGAUUUAAUUGCUUUAUUUGUUAUUUUAAAAACUUUUAGUACUUGAAAAAUUAUUAUCUUUUUUUUUUUUAACUUUGUAACUUUGUAUUAUAUCACAUAGUACAUGGGUUUUACUGAAACCUUUAUAUACAAGAGUACUCCUAAAUCGACUGUUCUAUAUCUAAAUUUAGUCUAGAACAUCAAUUAUCGAGGCAGUAUCAUUAGAGUAUAGUUGAUUACACCAAAAACAUACAAGAAAAAUCCAGUUGAGUUUAACCUUUUGCACACUAUUCUCUAUGCUCUCAAAUCAUCUAGAAUUCCUUUCUUUCCAUAUAUCCCACCAUAUAGCACCAGGGAUAAUUCUUGAUCUACCUCUGUCCUUCGCAUGUACACCUGCUUCUCCCAGCACAUUAAAGUCUCGAAUACUUUCCUAGGCAGUAUCCUGGAAAUGCCUUUUAAUCUUAAGAUGAUUCUCCAAAGUUGUUGGGUGUACUUACAAUGUAGAAAUACAUGGUUAACCAUCUCUAAAGUUUCUCCACAGAGGAAACAUCUGGAGCACAAGGUUUUCCCUUUCUUCAUGACAUUAUCUUGUGUAAGAACUACUUCCUUGGUCAGUAACUAGACAAAGACAAAGCACGACACUGUGUGAGGUAUUAUACUUUUCCAUAUUUUCUUCCAUGGCCAUCUUGGAUCUGGGUGAUUUAUUUGGUUCAUCAUCUUGUAGGCUUUGUUGAAACUGAACAUUCCUUUUCAUUUCCUAUCCACCAUUGUACGUCCUUCACUGUCUGCAGUCUAUUGAAUAAGUGGACGGUAUUAAAAAAUUCAACUAUUCUCAUUACCUCCCAGUCAUUAAGUUGCCUUCUGAAAUUGAAGUUCCGCCAAUGUGGUUUCGAUAAUUUUGCUAUAGUCCUCUAUUGAAACAAUACCAAGUUGUAGAUAUCUGGAAACAUCACUUCCAUAUUCCCAUCCUCAUGUCAAUUAUCCAUCCAGAACCUAGUCUUGUUUCCAUCCAUCACUUUAACCUUUGAGUUGCUUGUAACUUCAUUCCACUAGUGUCUAAUAGAUCUCUAGAGGCUAACCCCAUAUAGUGUGGUCACUUCUUUAGACAUCCAUCUAUCUUCUUCAGAAUAUUUAUCCCCAAUCACAUUCCUCCAUAGAAGCUGGUUAUUGUUUGCAUAUUUCCACAACCAUUUCAUCACAAGAGCCUUUCCACAACCAUUUCAUCACGAGAGCCUUACUUUGAAUUUUUAAGUUCUUUAUCCCCAAUCCUCUAGUCUUCUUGUAAAUUGUCCACCACAGAGAGCACUACCAUUUUUUCUCGCAUAUCUUUGUUCCUUAUUCUAUCUAAACUAGUAUGCCCACACACCAAUCUCAGCAUCCUCAUUUCUGCUAUGUUUAUCUUUCGAACAUGCGAGCUCUUGACCAGCCAAACACUUUGCCCCAUGCAAGUUAGCUAGUAUAACAACCACUUUAUAAAUUUACCUUUAAGUUUAUUUUAACAAAAUUCUUAUACAUGGCAUGCUAGUUACUACCUCUUUUGCAAGAGCUAAUUGGGACAAAAAACACAUGUUCAGAAAUUGAUUCAUAAAAAAAAAAGCAUAACUGUAGUUUAUGAGUUUCAAACGUGUCCAAAUGGAAAAAAAAUUAUGGGGGGGCUAUGUUGAGUAUGGAACUUAGAACCUUAGAGCAGGAUUUGAACACCCUUACUGUCACACUCAGUCUUGUUUUUUUAGGCAAGGGUGUUCAUUAAAAAAUACUCAGAAACGACAGAAUUUGACCUAUAUAUAUAUAUACAAAAUGCGAUUAUCAGGUGAAUGUUGUUCAGUUGAUCACCCUUGGAUAGCUGUAGCUUGGCCGCAGCUUGGCAAUGCUUCCACCCUUCUUGUAGUUAUAUUCUACACAGUACAUUCUAGUCCUUUUCCAUGUGGGACAUUAUAUCAUUCAUAUUCUAACACUUCCAUCUAGUAUUGUACUGCUAGAAGUUACUAAUUUCUACUUCCAGGGUACUGUUUAUGUUCUGUUUUUUAAUUGACCUGCUUUCAUGCUAUUUUCAUUGGGACAGAGGGCAAACGUAUCAACUGACUUGAGAGAAUUUAUAAGUCCUAAGGGAAGAAAGUGUGUAACUUAUAUAUUCUCGUGGCCUCUUUCCAAUUGUUCUUCUACAGUGGGUACUUUUAUGUGUUACUUGUGCAUAAUGCUGAUUGCUUUGUUUGUUUUCUGUAGGUAUUACUACAAAAAGGUUACUAGAACGUCCAAAUGGAGAAUGCUGAUGAAGUCAAGGUGAUGUUAGAUUUAAAUCCAAUAUGGGUUUAUUCCGUGUUUUAAAUAGCAUGAUAAGAAGGGAUUGUUUUGUGCUUUAAAUAGCAUGAUAAGAAGGGACAAUGUUCUGUUUUCUUGGAUGCUCUAGUUCUCAUAAAAUCUUUAUGCAUUCACAGUUGCUAGCAUGAUAAGAAACGGAAAUAUUCUAUUUUCUUGGAUACUCUAUUCUCAUAAAGUUCAAUUAUUUAUAAAUUCACAGUUGGCUCUUGAAAAGGACACCAUUUUACACGCUUCUGAUUUUGGAUCCAUUUCUAUUGUUAAAACAUCAUCCCCGGGUGCAGAUGGUUCAUUAGUCUCGGCACACGGUGAUAAAUCAAUCCCAACUGUUGUGUUACCAGCUGCUAACUUACCAACUAUUAUGGCUUCAGAAUCAUCAAGUUUAUCUGGUAAGGUUUCUUGUCCAAUGAUUGAAACAGUCGAAAUGAAGAAUUCUUCAGAACCUGCUUCACCAGCUGUUGCUAAUUCAGAGAAAAUUGGAAUAGUAGUAACCUUGGAAAAUUUUGUCGCGUCACCGAUGUAUGUUUUCAAAUUUAUAUGUUAUAAAUUUGCCUUUGGUUUGUGUUGCUUCUUAUUUGGAAUUUACUUUUUCUGUAGUUCUGAGACUACUACAACUCAAGAUGCAAUAGUGUAUGGUGAUGGAUUUUGUUUGUAGAAUAGAGAGGUACUUUGUCCUUCUGAAAUACUUAUGUGAUUAGUUAAUUACUACUGGUUUCUGGUUAAAACACCAAGAAAGAUUUUUGUAGCUGUUAUGCUGGAUGUUGAUCCAACAAUUUUGUAGUGUAGUGUUAGUCAACUGCUAACAGGUGAAGAAUAUGCUCCAAAUUCCAAUGAGGUUUGCUUUUGUCCUUUGAGCUUGAUGUUUUGCCUAAAAUGCAGAAUGUCAAGAAAGAUGCUACAAUAACUGAAAUCGGAGGUGCUACUCCAUCAGAUGAGAAAACAGUUAAGCUGGGACCAUUUGUAAAUGAGAGCAAAGCGGUAUAGUUGACUAUUGCUUUUGUUCCCGUUUUAUGUAUGUUCUUAAAAUUUCUCUUAUUUUUAUUUUAAGAAUUUGAUUUUAUUUAGGAGGCAAAGAGUGCAUUCAACUCUUUUGGAAUCUGCAAAUAUUGGGUCUGAUUGCACGUGGGAUCAGGUUUAUUACUUGACUGUUUUGUGCAUACCAAACAAUUGAGGGAGAUCAUUUGACAUGAAUUGUAUUUGUCAGGCCAUGAGAGCAGUAGUUAAUGACCAGAGAUAUGGUGCUCUAAAAUCCCUUUGUGAGCGAAAGCAAACUUUUAAUGAGGUAUCUCUCCAAGUCGGCAUUGGAAUGGGUUAAUUACUGCUUCAAUGUUUCAGCAUACCAUAUUGCAAAAAGAUAGAUUGUGUUUGAUAUCUAAUUUUUUCAUGUUUGGUUGACUUAAAUAUUUUGGAAAAUGUUUUCCAAAUCAACUUAUUUUCCUUAAAGUUAAGGAAAAUGAAUUCCCUUCAUAAAGUAGGAAAAACAUUUUCCAAAACUCUCUUUCAAUCUCACUCUUAAGUUAAAAUGUUUAUACAACUCUCAAAUGUAUUUACUAAAAAAUAUUUUUUUAUUCACCAACCAAACACUAGAAAACAUUUUCUGAAAAAUGUUUUCCUUUCAUCAACCAAACAUAAGAAAACAAGUAAGAAACUAACUUGUUUUCUUGGAAAAAAUUUUCCUUCAUACCAAACACACCCAAGGUCUAUAGUGAUAAUUUUGAAGUUGUGUGUCUGUUCCAGUAUCUGAGCCAAAAGAAAAAACUGGAAGCUGAAGAGAGGCUUGUUAAACAAAAAAAAAACUCAGGAAGAUUUCAGGAUAAUGUUAGAUGUAAGUGAAAUUUUCUUUUGUGGGUGUCUUCCAUUUGAUAUAUCAUGAUAUUCACAUUACCAGUUUCAAAAAUAAAAAGAUAUUAUCAUAAUAUUCAUGAUGUGUUAGAGAUUGGUAUUUGACUUGUUCAAAAGAAUAAGUGGUAUUUUUCACAACAAUGUCCGUUGUUCUCAAUAUUACAGGAUUACAAGUAGUUGUCACCAUCGUCAAGAUGGAGGUUUGUCUUUCACUUGUAAUGUUAAGUUGUCUGCUGCUUGUUUUCUAUUCUUGGUCAUUAUUUGUAUGUGUUUUGGUACCUUGAAGUUGAUCCAUUACUUGUGUAAGUUCCAUUUGAUCCACUAACUAUUUGCUAUUGAUUAUUCAGUAAGGCAAUCUCCAUAUUCAAACAUGAUGAACGUUUUAAAGCUGUUGAGUGAGCUAAAGACCAUGAGGACCUUUUUGAAGAUUAUGUGGAGGAACUUGAGAAAAAGGUGAAGAUCCUUUUGCAGAACUUUCUUGUAAGCUUCUAUAUGUUAAAAACUAAGUGCGCGGACUGUAGUUUUCUUAUAUGGUCUUUGGCUUCUCACAAAUUAAGUUAGCCUUUCAUUUGAGAUAGAAACAAGGUCACUAGGUUAACUGAUGCUACAAAUGUCUAGUCUUGGUGUGCGAUUAAUGUAUAAGAAUCCCACACUAGUAAGGUGUAUGUGCUGAAGUUUCCUUAUAUGAUCUUGGACAAUCUUCACCACCUGACCUAGUUUUCAAAGUUGAGUUAGGUGCUGGUCCACUUAAUUAACAACAGUCAUUCUGUUCCUUUCCUUUGCAAGAUGUCUUUUAGUUUGUUCCCUUUUUUUGUUUUGCUUAAAGAGUAGAAAGAAGAAAUGUUGUAGAUAUUCAACAUAAAAUCUUGUGUUCUUUGAAUACAUUUUUAAUGGCUUCUCAAGGGUACAGCAUUUAAAUUUGUUCACCAUUGAAUUCUAAUUUAAACAGACUUCCAUGUAUUGUAUGUAAUUUUUCUUGAAACUUGAAACUAUUAUAUGCUUCUUCCUCUCCCCCCUUCGUUGUAAAAUCGAAAAAGUUUUUCAAUACUUUCAUGCAAGUGUAGUUAAAGUCUCUUUGUAAAUAUUGUGUUCUUUAUAGAGAAAUUUUAUUUUUUUUACUUUGUACUGGAUUUUAUUAAGAGCAUGCGAAGGCAUUGGAAUUAGCAUCAGUUCCUAGAUUAUGUUUUUCUAUUUCCAGGAGAUAGAACUUCCAUAGUUCCAUUUUUGCUGACUACUUUUGUUCAGGCCAGUAGCCAGUGGCAGAAAGUUCAGGACCGCUUAGAAACUGAUAAAAGAUGCUCCCGCUUUGAGAAAAUCGAUCGCUUGGAGAUUUUCCAGGUACUACUCAUUUUUCUAAUACAUCAUAACUAACUUUUUCCAAACAUCUCAUUUGUACGCCUCAGUUUUAAAGUUAUGUUGCAACCUUUUCUAUUUUAGGAAUACAUACGUGAUUUAGAGAGCGAAGAGAAGGAGCAAAGGAAACUGCAGAUGGUAUAUUGCUUAUUAGACUUGAGGGUUAAAAUUAAAUUUGGGUUUGGAGACUUUGAUUUAUCUCUUUCUCACUGGGCAUACAUCGUUGAUUCAAAUAGGAAGAAUUUAGGAAAGCUGAACAUAAAAAUUGUGAUGAGUUCAGAAAACUAAUGGAAGAGCACGUUGCUGCGGGAAUACUUAAUGCAAAAACUAACUGGCGGGAUUAUUGCAUCAAAGUUAGUUUUUCUUUCUUGUGUUCAGUGAGUGAUUACCUUCAUGAUUUCCCUUUUCAUCUUUUUGAAUUUUUCAUCCAAUAAUUUCCUUCUUUAUUUUGUGCUUGCAGAUUAAAGAUUUUGCUGCAUAUCUAGCUGUCUCAUCAAAUACUUCAGGAUCAACAGCAAAAGACUUAUUUACAGAUUUUAUGGAUGAUCUGGAGAAAUAGGUGAAAUAGGUUGCUAAUAGGAGUAUUGAAUUGUGUCAACUACAUUUGUUACACUAAGCCUUAUUUAUAGACUUUAAACUACAAUCCCUUUUCAUUAGCUUUUACUUAAUGAAGGUAUGAAUCUGAAUGGUUAAGAUAUCAGCCCACAAAGUCUAAAAAUCAUUUAGAUCCUCACUAAAAAUUUUAAUUCAUUAAGUAAUAAAGGAAGUUAGUGCAUUACUAUGUGGGAAUAUACUGGGUUUUUUGUUGUUGUUGUUGUUGUGCAUUAAAGAAUAGAACAUACUUGGUAGGAUAAAAUCAUGAGAUUGAGAUUUGAGAGUUACCCCUCUUCUUGCUUUUUUUUUUUUUUAAAUAACACAUAUUUUGUUGAGAUAAGAACAAUGACCUGUUGUUCCUAUUAAACAUCUGUGUUGUUUCUCUUUAUGCCAAUUAGUUUUCUCUUUUUUUUACUAGAUAGUAGGUAUUUAGGCUGAUAGUAUGUCAAUUAUUAGUAUGUUCCAACACUGGGCGUUUAAUAGCUCUAGCAAUUAGUUUUUAAAUUUCUGACAUUUUUGAUUGUUAUAGUUUUUUAAUUUCUGGCAUUUGUGAUUGUUUCACGGUUCUGAUGAAGUAUGCUGCUAAAUCUCUAGUUUCAAUUUGUCUAGCCUCUUUGGCUAUAAAAUUAAAUGCUCUGGAUUUUUACUUUUUUAUUCAUAAUCUCAUGAUUCUCAUUAUGUCGUAACAUUGAAUGUGAAUUUCUUUGUUGUUAUUAUUUUACAGAAUAAUGGGUGGUGAGGGCUUGCUGCUUGAAAUAUUUAACAAAUUUGUUAAUGAACUAAAAGAGAAGAAGUGCAAGCGUCAAGAGGAUAAGGUACUUGAAUUACUACAAACCCUUAUUCUUCUGCUACUUUCAGGUGGGGUAGUAGAUGUGUGGAUGUGAUUGGGUGUUGAUAUUGUUUUGCAGAAAUUUUGACUUACUGAGAUUCGCCACUUAAUUUUGAAAAGGAAUUAAGAAACCUUUAGAGAGCUACUGCAAAUGAUUCAAAAUAGAAAAAUCAUUUUAAGUUAGAGAUUCUAGAUAAGAGGUUCCUAUUAACGUUUUAGGAAGGGAUUAGGCACCUAAAAUGUCCUCUAACUUGCGGUUAUCCAGACUAUUUGAAAAUCGUCUUUUGAUCAACUUUGAAAAAGUUUAUUUUUUGAAAAGAAAAGCGAUUUUAGGAAUAUUUUGGUGUUUAUGCAAAACCAGUUUUUUAGCGACUUGACUAAGGAUUUUACUAGGUUCGCAAAACACACGUAAAACAAGUAAGCAAAUAAGACAAAAGGAAAGGGGAGAAGUAGUGAUUUAGGAUUUUAAGCCCAAACCAUCGACCCUGUCCUAAUCUAGUUAGGUUUUUGACCCAUCUUUCACCUGUCUUAAUUUUAUGUUUUAGAGCCCUUUUUGGCUCGAGUCUCGCUCCACCUAUUUUAAAUUUACAACUUUGGCUUCGAUGCCCAAAUGAAUAAAUAAAUAAGUCACUAAAUAAAUAAAAAUAUAAAUAAGUAAAUAAAUAAAUAAUGGAAACAAUGGAUAAAUAAAUCAAUAAAGAAGAAAUAACUAGAUUUUCAAGUCCCGUUUGCCGCUUCAAAGAUGGAACUUUAACCCAUUCUUCUUUCAAUUCCUCGUAUCCAUACGCCAUGCGAUGGAUUCUUGGAUUUUCUUUUUGGCUUAACUCGGAAGGAUAGGCCUCAUUGGCCCAUUUAUGAAAUGCAAAGAGAGAAGGGGCCCAUUUGAAUUCCAAGGGGGGUGCAUGCAAAGAAAGGAAUGAAGAAAUUAACAUACGUCCAAGAUUUUAACAAUUAAUAAGCUAUAGCAUUCAUGCUUCAUUCAAAUACACUCAUACACAGGUAAAAAUGCCACAGGAGCAAAAGUCUAUAAUGUUUGAAGAAACUAUUCAUAAUUAAUUAAAGAAAUUUCAACUACAGGAGGAAAUACAGCUUCAACAAGAAAUUCUUAUGGUCUUUAGCAAAAUAAAGAAAAUAAUUUAUCACUUUAAUGCCACAAAAGGACCCAAUUAAGCAUGUCACAAAAAAGAGUUACAACUCCUGGAUCAUACUACAUAAACAAUGGAUCACAAGCAACGUUCAAAUUCCAGAAUGCCAAACAUACAAAAUUAAAGACUUAAUCACUUUAGGCAAGGAAUACGAUAGCUAAAACUUCAAGAAAAGCAAGGCUAAAAUCUUAACGCCUUCGUUACCACUGGGUUAACAAACAAAUGAGAUUAAAACACUACAUAAACCCAAUUUUAGGUAAUUUAAUCAUGAGACAAGAUGCCACAACUUAUAUACGAACAAGAAAAGCAAGAAAGGAAAGAAACAUUAGCCCGUCAAACUUUAAUUUGUUCUCAUGAGUCAAUACAACAAAUUGAAUUAGCCAUGAAGAAAACAUAAUUCAUCCCUAUGGUCCACUCUCAUAUUUUAAAAUAAACUUUAGAAUCAAAUAAGACUAUUGUACAUCGAGAGUGGCAAGUCAGAAGAAAAUUACAUUCGAGUUCUUAUUUAUAAAAAUUUCCUGCGUUUGAGCAAAAAAGAUAUGCGAACAGGCUUCCUAAUAUCUAUUCUUUGAACAUUUUUUUGCAUUUCAAAAAUACGUAAAGAUUUUAUUCUCCUACUCUAUGAACUACAAAGCAACAUUGAAUAUGAGACCAACAAAAUAGUUUCUAAUGUCGAAGAAUUAAAGCUAACUAGUAACAUUCAGACAGAAUAAAAUGAGAGAGAUCAAGCAUGAUCGACAACCAAUCGAACACGGGAAAGAAUGAGUUUUUUAGUAGAACAAUAUAUCAAACACAAAAAUCCUAUGCCUUCCAUGCCUCUACAACAGUCAUUCCCAGAAAACAGAAGUGGAACCACGAAGAAGAAAAUGAUAACCACAACAAAAUUAAAAAGAAAGGUGUAUUUACCUCUUUCGAGGUAGCAAAAUGGGAUAACGAGCUGACGAUAGGAUUUCGACCACCGAAAAACUCACAACUGCUUCGACAGUUCAAACGCGCCUCCUAGGAAUGUAUGUUUCUUAGGCGUAAAGAUAAUAUUUUAUCCUUCUGAGAGCCCCCCUUUCUAACCCUUUUUUUUGUGUAUUUCUGAAUUUUUGAAGAUUUUCUCAAACCCUAAAUUCUCAACCCAAAAAUUUUGAACCCCCUUUGCCUCUAAAAUUUUGAACUCCAAAGAGAAAUAAGAGGAGAACCCAUAAAAGAAACGAGAGGCCAGUGAAAAAAAUUCCAAAAUCCCCCCAAAAAAUCCCCUUUUCUUGCUCUAAAGAGAGCUACUUAUAGAAGGGGAUUAAGGGUUCAUUUUUGAAAUUCAAAAGAUCCAGACCCUACCGAAUCGUACCUCUAUUUUGAUUUUCUUGAAUGGAAUUCCAAAAAGUGGCCAAUAGAAAUUGGUGGAAAGGGAUUAAUCUUCACAAGCCAAUGAAAAUACUCCACCUAUGUACGAAUUCAUAAACCUCUAUCCGAGAAUUUUGGGAUUUGAACGUUGGAUGAGACACCAAAGUGUGUUUCUAGAAGAUUCUCGGCAUCUUCUCAUUUAGAUUCGCGUGGAACGUGCGUGAUCAUAAAGAGGAAAAAGAAAAUAGGUUGAAUUUGGGUGCUGCGUCCUAUUUGAAGUCAUCUGCACCUGUGGUUUUGAUUUGAGAUUUUCAUCCUCUCAGAUGCUCUCGACAAUACUUCAAGCAAAAAGUUUUAGUUUUAAACAUAAUUCACGAAAGAGGUAUGCAGUCUUUUACCAUAUCUCCACGUGAGUUGUGGCCUGAAAAGAUGAGUCAUCUCUUCAUGUACCUGUUUGGAAUGAAAUAACCGGCAAUACCAAACACAACAACCCUCUUGGUUGUUGUAUAAUUAUGAAAUUUGUCGGUUGAAUAUGUCUUCAAAGUGGGUGGCCCUUUUGGACACCGGUGAUACUUUAUGCAGAACGGUCUCUAUAACCGUGUAAUCUUGUGCUGGUGUGGAAACCCUUUGGGUACCUAUAUCAGUUCCUAGAUUAUGUUUUUCUAUUUCCAGGAGAUAGAACUUCCAUAGUUCCAUUUUUGCUAACUUGUUUUGUUCAGGCCAGUAGACAGUGGCGGAAAGUUCAGGACCGCUUGGAAACUGAAGAAAGAUGCUCCCGCCUCGAGAAAAUCGACCGCUUGGAGAUUUUCCAGGUACUACUCAUUUUUCUAAUACAUCAUAAAUAACUUUUUCCAAACAUCUCAUUUGUACGCCUCAGUUUUAAAGUUAUGUUGCAACCUUUUCUAUUUUAGGAAUACAUACGUGAUUUAGAGAGCGAAGAGAAGGAGCAAAGGAAACUGCAGAUGGUAUAUUGCUUAUUAGACUCGAGGGUUAAAAUUAAAUUUAUGUUUGGAGCCUUUGAUUUAUCUCUUUCUCACUGGGCAUACACCGUUGAUUCAAAUAGGAAGAAUUUAGGAAAGCUGAACGUAAAAAUCGUGAUGAGUUCAGAAAACUAAUGGAAGAGCACGUUGCUGCGGGAAUACUUAAUGCAAAAACUAACUGGCGUGAUUAUUGUAUCAAAGUUAGUUUUUCUUUCUUGUGUUCAGUGAGUGAUUACCUUCAUGAUUUCCCUUUUCAUCUUUUUGAAUUUUUCAUCCAAUAAUUUCCUUCUUUAUUUUGUGCUUGCAGAUUAAAGAUUUUGCUGCAUAUCUAGCUGUCUCAUCAAAUACUUCAGGAUCAACAGCAAAAGACUUAUUUACAGAUUUUAUGGAUGAUCUGGAGAAAUAGGUGAAAUAGGUUGCUAAUAGGAGUAUUGAAUUGUGUCAACUACAUUUGUUACAAUAAGCCAUAUUUAUAGAAUUUAAACUACAAGCCCUUUUCAUUAGCUUUUACUUAAUGAAGGUAUGAAUCUGAAUGGUUAAGAUAUCAGCCCAUUAAGUGCUUUUUAAAAAAAAAAGAUUCAACCUGUUAAUAUAUCUUAAUGAAUCAGAUGUUAAACAAAGUCUGAAAAUCAUUUAGAUCCUCACUAAAAAUUUUAAUUCAUUAAGUAAUAAAGGAAGUUAGUGCAUUACUAUGUGGGAAUAUACUGGGUUUUUUGUUGUUGUUGUUGUUGUGCAUUAAAGAAUAGAACAUACUUGGUAGGAUAAAAUCAUGAGAUUGAGAUUUGAGAGUUACCCCUCUUCUUGCUUUUUUUUUAAAUAACACAUAUUUUGUUGAGAUAAAGAACAAUGACCGGUUGUUCCUAUUAAACAUCUGUGUUGUUUCUCUUUAUGCCAAUUAGUUUCCUCUUUUUUUUUACUAGAUAGAAGGUAUUUAGGCUGAUAGGAAUGGUAUUUUCGUAAGGUUUUAAGUUAGGGGUUCCAUACUUUUAAUGUAGUAUAGAUUUAGGUGAUUCUUUCAAUCUAGCCAAGUUGUAUUAAAUGCUACUUCACGGAUAAUUGUAAUUGACUUCUCCUCCGUUGAAUGCUGUUAAUGGUUAUAUUACCGUAAUUGUUAUAGUUUAUCGAGCAGAACAACUCUGAGAAGUGAUCAUCAAACAUCCAUGUUUUCACGUAGUUUCUUUGACUUUCGAGGACUCCUUUAAAGUAUCACACAACCACACCAUUGUGUUUCAUCUAAGACUGUAUUUGUUUUUAUUAAUAUUCAGACAUUUGAAUCAUUUUGAAUGCACUUCUGAAUGGUUAAGAUAUUGUCUCUAGAUCUUAAAACUAAAUGAUUAAGGUUGGGUGUUUCUCAAUAUCAGAAUGUGCAAAAUUUAUUUAUUUCUAAAUAUAAUAUAAUUAUAUAUUAUAAAUUUUUUUAAUUUAAUGCAAUUACAUUAUUAUUUGAUUAAAAAAAUAAAUAUUUAUAUUUGCUAGUGAUAGUGGAGAUGGUUUGUAAUGGUGGUGGUGGUUGUAAUAAAUUAAUUGAUGUUGGUGCUUAGCAAUAUUGGUGAUGAUAGUUGUGAUAGUAGAGAUAGUUGGCAAUGUAGUAACUGUCAUGAUAUUGGCGAUUGGUAAUGGUGGUGGUGGUUGUGAUGUGAAGUUGGUUAAUGUUAGUAGUUGGAGGUGUUGAUUGUGGUGAUGGAAAACUGUUUACAUGAUGGUUGAAGAUAUGUUGGUGGUCGUUGGAGACGCUAUUAGAUGUGAUAGUGGAAUGGUUGUUAGUACAGAUACUGUAGCGAGUGUAGUGGAUUUUAGUGGUAGAGGUGGUGACACCGAUGACAGUGGUGGUGGUUGAAGAAUGUUUGGAAGUUGAUGAUGUGUUAGUGGUUGUUAGCGAUGUGUGGAAGUUGAUGAUGUGUUGGUGGUUAUUAGUGGUAGUGCUAGUUCUGAUAGAUGAGUUGGUUGGUAGUAGGGAUCGACCGGUAGCAGUUGAUGGUGGCGGCGUUGGCUGUAGGGGUGUUCAUGGGUCAAUAUGUGUCGGUUAUUGGUCAAAACCAAAACCAAACAAUCUUAAUCGGUUUUUAAAUUUCUAAAACCAAACCAAACCAAACAAAAAAAUAACCAUUGGUUUGGUUCUUGUCGGUUUAGUUCGGUUUGAUUUGGAUUUUUUGGUUUAUAACUUUAGUUAAUGAUCAAAGUUGAAAAUUUUAAAAACAAAUCCAAUCUAACAUAUGAGAUGGCAAUCGAGUGUUGUAUCUCAAUCUUGAAACUAUGAUGUCAACUGAGUGUUAUACUUCGGCUAAGCCACGAUAACACCAUAUGAACGCUUUUAAAAAAAUAUUUAAAAACUAUAUUUAAUAGAAUGAUAUGAUAAACCCCCAAAAGGUGAACACAUAAACUUUUUGCUCAACAAGGUUGAAAAGAAAGUUAAAAUUAGUGAUUGUGUAUAGUCUAAUGAAUUUCAGCUGUAAAUUUCAAUAUAUAACAAGAUAUUAUUUUCACAAUUAGUAUCAUUUGUCAUUCAAAAUAUGAAAUUCAUUUAGAAUCUCAUAAUGUAUUGUCAACUAGAUGAAGAUAUAUGACUGAAUGUGUUGCGACUAAAGUUAAAUCAUGAUUAAAAUAUAAAAUGUAACAAAUAUUUAGAUUACAAUUAUGAAAAACAUAUAAAUAAUUAUAAUAUAUAUGUAUAUAGGUUCAGUUUGGUUAUUUUGUCGAUUAUUUUAGAGUAUAACCAAACCAAACCAAACCAAAUUAGUAUCUGUUUUUUCAAAUUCAAAUCCAAACCAAACCUAACCAAAUAUAGGUUUUUUUAAUCGGUUUGGUUUUGAUCGCGGUUUAGUUUGGUUAAAAACCAAAUCAUGAACACCCCUAGUUGGCGGUGGAUUUAUUUAGAAUAAUGAAAGUGGUAGGUGUGGUAGCGGCUGGCAGUGUAGUUGCUAUGAUGUUGGUUGUGAUGGUGGAAGUGGUUGGUGGUGGUGACAGGUGAUUAUGGAUAGAGUGGUGGUGAAUUUUAUCCUACACAAGAAUAUUUGUAAAUGAUAUUUAGACUUGGUUCCACAACUGAAUGAUUAAGACCUACUCAGACCUAUUAAGAGCUAAAAUCCUAAUAAAAACAAAUGCGCUUAAUGGUUUGAGGUCUGAACAGGUUCAUAAAUCCAGUAAGUGCAAACAAAUAAGACCUGAAAGUAGUUUGUCUGGUCAAGUUUCGACCAUGUUUUGUCCAUUUGUACCACACCCCAGUUUUGAUUUCACUUCGGAUGAUAUUACAACAACAACAACAACAAACCCAGUGUAUUCCCACUUAGUGGGGUCUGGGGGGGGUAAGAUGUACGCAGUCCAUACCUCUACCUCUGAUGAGGUAGAAAGGCUGUUUCCGAAAUCCCCCCGGCUCAAGUCACGAGAUAUCACACAAACACAUAGUACAGCACAGAAGCAGAUGACAUAACAUAGAUGCGGCACCCAUAAGGAAUAUAAAGCAGAGUAAAGCAUGAAUGCAGGAGUAUAAAGCAGAGGAAAGCACACAUAUUCGUAAUAAACAUGGAACACGGAACACGGAACAUUGAAUACGGAAUCAUAACAGGAAUACACCCCCACCAAUUAAUUCCNNNNNNNNNNNNNNNNNNNNNNNNNNNNNNNNNNNNNNNNNNNNNNNNNNNNNNNNNNNNNNNNNNNNNNNNNNNNNNNNNNNNNNNNNNNNNNNNNNNNNNNNNNNNNNNNNNNNNNNNNNNNNNNNNNNNNNNNNNNNNNNNNNNNNNNNNNNNNNNNNNNNNNNNNNNNNNNNNNNNNNNNNNNNNNNNNNNNNNNNNNNNNNNNNNNNNNNNNNNNNNNNNNNNNNNNNNNNNNNNNNNNNNNNNNNNNNNNNNNNNNNNNNNNNNNNNNNNNNNNNNNNNNNNNNNNNNNNNNNNNNNNNNNNNNNNNNNNNNNNNNNNNNNNNNNNNNNNNNNNNNNNNNNNNNNNNNNNNNNNNNNNNNNNNNNNNNNNNNNNNNNNNNNNNNNNNNNNNNNNNNNNNNNNNNNNNNNNNNNNNNNNNNNNNNNNNNNNNNNNNNNNNNNNNNNNNNNNNNNNNNNNNNNNNNNNNNNNNNNNNNNNNNNNNNNNNNNNNNNNNNNNNNNNNNNNNNNNNNNNNNNNNNNNNNNNNNNNNNNNNNNNNNNNNNNNNNNNNNNNNNNNNNNNNNNNNNNNNNNNNNNNNNNNNNNNNNNNNNNNNNNNNNNNNNNNNNNNNNNNNNNNNNNNNNNNNNNNNNNNNNNNNNNNNNNNNNNNNNNNNNNNNNNNNNNNNNNNNNNNNNNNNNNNNNNNNNNNNNNNNNNNNNNNNNNNNNNNNNNNNNNNNNNNNNNNNNNNNNNNNNNNNNNNNNNNNNNNNNNNNNNNNNNNNNNNNNNNNNNNNNNNNNNNNNNNNNNNNNNNNNNNNNNNNNNNNNNNNNNNNNNNNNNNNNNNNNNNNNNNNNNNNNNNNNNNNNNNNNNNNNNNNNNNNNNNNNNNNNNNNNNNNNNNNNNNNNNNNNNNNNNNNNNNNNNNNNNNNNNNNNNNNNNNNNNNNNNNNNNNNNNNNNNNNNNNNNNNNNNNNNNNNNNNNNNNNNNNNNNNNNNNNNNNNNNNNNNNNNNNNNNNNNNNNNNNNNNNNNNNNNNNNNNNNNNNNNNNNNNNNNNNNNNNNNNNNNNNNNNNNNNNNNNNNNNNNNNNNNNNNNNNNNNNNNNNNNNNNNNNNNNNNNNNNNNNNNNNNNNNNNNNNNNNNNNNNNNNNNNNNNNNNNNNNNNNNNNNNNNNNNNNNNNNNNNNNNNNNNNNNNNNNNNNNNNNNNNNNNNNNNNNNNNNNNNNNNNNNNNNNNNNNNNNNNNNNNNNNNNNNNNNNNNNNNNNNNNNNNNNNNNNNNNNNNNNNNNNNNNNNNNNNNNNNNNNNNNNNNNNNNNNNNNNNNNNNNNNNNNNNNNNNNNNNNNNNNNNNNNNNNNNNNNNNNNNNNNNNNNNNNNNNNNNNNNNNNNNNNNNNNNNNNNNNNNNNNNNNNNNNNNNNNNNNNNNNNNNNNNNNNNNNNNNNNNNNNNNNNNNNNNNNNNNNNNNNNNNNNNNNNNNNNNNNNNNNNNNNNNNNNNNNNNNNNNNNNNNNNNNNNNNNNNNNNNNNNNNNNNNNNNNNNNNNNNNNNNNNNNNNNNNNNNNNNNNNNNNNNNNNNNNNNNNNNNNNNNNNNNNNNNNNNNNNNNNNNNNNNNNNNNNNNNNNNNNNNNNNNNNNNNNNNNNNNNNNNNNNNNNNNNNNNNNNNNNNNNNNNNNNNNNNNNNNNNNNNNNNNNNNNNNNNNNNNNNNNNNNNNNNNNNNNNNNNNNNNNNNNNNNNNNNNNNNNNNNNNNNNNNNNNNNNNNNNNNNNNNNNNNNNNNNNNNNNNNNNNNNNNNNNNNNNNNNNNNNNNNNNNNNNNNNNNNNNNNNNNNNNNNNNNNNNNNNNNNNNNNNNNNNNNNNNNNNNNNNNNNNNNNNNNNNNNNNNNNNNNNNNNNNNNNNNNNNNNNNNNNNNNNNNNNNNNNNNNNNNNNNNNNNNNNNNNNNNNNNNNNNNNNNNNNNNNNNNNNNNNNNNNNNNNNNNNNNNNNNNNNNNNNNNNNNNNNNNNNNNNNNNNNNNNNNNNNNNNNNNNNNNNNNNNNNNNNNNNNNNNNNNNNNNNNNNNNNNNNNNNNNNNNNNNNNNNNNNNNNNNNNNNNNNNNNNNNNNNNNNNNNNNNNNNNNNNNNNNNNNNNNNNNNNNNNNNNNNNNNNNNNNNNNNNNNNNNNNNNNNNNNNNNNNNNNNNNNNNNNNNNNNNNNNNNNNNNNNNNNNNNNNNNNNNNNNNNNNNNNNNNNNNNNNNNNNNNNNNNNNNNNNNNNNNNNNNNNNNNNNNNNNNNNNNNNNNNNNNNNNNNNNNNNNNNNNNNNNNNNNNNNNNNNNNNNNNNNNNNNNNNNNNNNNNNNNNNNNNNNNNNNNNNNNNNNNNNNNNNNNNNNNNNNNNNNNNNNNNNNNNNNNNNNNNNNNNNNNNNNNNNNNNNNNNNNNNNNNNNNNNNNNNNNNNNNNNNNNNNNNNNNNNNNNNNNNNNNNNNNNNNNNNNNNNNNNNNNNNNNNNNNNNNNNNNNNNNNNNNNNNNNNNNNNNNNNNNNNNNNNNNNNNNNNNNNNNNNNNNNNNNNNNNNNNNNNNNNNNNNNNNNNNNNNNNNNNNNNNNNNNNNNNNNNNNNNNNNNNNNNNNNNNNNNNNNNNNNNNNNNNNNNNNNNNNNNNNNNNNNNNNNNNNNNNNNNNNNNNNNNNNNNNNNNNNNNNNNNNNNNNNNNNNNNNNNNNNNNNNNNNNNNNNNNNNNNNNNNNNNNNNNNNNNNNNNNNNNNNNNNNNNNNNNNNNNNNNNNNNNNNNNNNNNNNNNNNNNNNNNNNNNNNNNNNNNNNNNNNNNNNNNNNNNNNNNNNNNNNNNNNNNNNNNNNNNNNNNNNNNNNNNNNNNNNNNNNNNNNNNNNNNNNNNNNNNNNNNNNNNNNNNNNNNNNNNNNNNNNNNNNNNNNNNNNNNNNNNNNNNNNNNNNNNNNNNNNNNNNNNNNNNNNNNNNNNNNNNNNNNNNNNNNNNNNNNNNNNNNNNNNNNNNNNNNNNNNNNNNNNNNNNNNNNNNNNNNNNNNNNNNNNNNNNNNNNNNNNNNNNNNNNNNNNNNNNNNNNNNNNNNNNNNNNNNNNNNNNNNNNNNNNNNNNNNNNNNNNNNNNNNNNNNNNNNNNNNNNNNNNNNNNNNNNNNNNNNNNNNNNNNNNNNNNNNNNNNNNNNNNNNNNNNNNNNNNNNNNNNNNNNNNNNNNNNNNNNNNNNNNNNNNNNNNNNNNNNNNNNNNNNNNNNNNNNNNNNNNNNNNNNNNNNNNNNNNNNNNNNNNNNNNNNNNNNNNNNNNNNNNNNNNNNNNNNNNNNNNNNNNNNNNNNNNNNNNNNNNNNNNNNNNNNNNNNNNNNNNNNNNNNNNNNNNNNNNNNNNNNNNNNNNNNNNNNNNNNNNNNNNNNNNNNNNNNNNNNNNNNNNNNNNNNNNNNNNNNNNNNNNNNNNNNNNNNNNNNNNNNNNNNNNNNNNNNNNNNNNNNNNNNNNNNNNNNNNNNNNNNNNNNNNNNNNNNNNNNNNNNNNNNNNNNNNNNNNNNNNNNNNNNNNNNNNNNNNNNNNNNNNNNNNNNNNNNNNNNNNNNNNNNNNNNNNNNNNNNNNNNNNNNNNNNNNNNNNNNNNNNNNNNNNNNNNNNNNNNNNNNNNNNNNNNNNNNNNNNNNNNNNNNNNNNNNNNNNNNNNNNNNNNNNNNNNNNNNNNNNNNNNNNNNNNNNNNNNNNNNNNNNNNNNNNNNNNNNNNNNNNNNNNNNNNNNNNNNNNNNNNNNNNNNNNNNNNNNNNNNNNNNNNNNNNNNNNNNNNNNNNNNNNNNNNNNNNNNNNNNNNNNNNNNNNNNNNNNNNNNNNNNNNNNNNNNNNNNNNNNNNNNNNNNNNNNNNNNNNNNNNNNNNNNNNNNNNNNNNNNNNNNNNNNNNNNNNNNNNNNNNNNNNNNGGUAGGCUGGGGGGUGGAGAGAGGGUCGGGAGAGAGAGAGAGGGGGAGAGAGCCGUUGGGAGAGGGUCGGGAGAGAGAGAGAGCAACUUAAAUCCCAAUUCAAAAUAUAUUGUGUUGUCAACCAUAUAAAUUGGACUAAAUAAAAUUAGUUCCAGAAUUCGCCUCUGAAGAAGUAGUUGAGAUGUAAUGAAAGUAAAGGCUUAGAAAAGAUUAGCCUCGGAAAAAGUGCCUAAGAUCAUCUCUGUUUCUCUAAAUAAAGUUGCAUCUCCCUCACUAUGAUUUUGUUAGCCGUAAUCCACACUUGCGACUAACUAAACGAUAUAUUGUUUCAUCCUCUACCCUUUCUGAAAAGAAUUGAAGUUGAAUGAUCAAAUGUUAUUAGCAUUUAUCUCCUUGCUUGAUGAAAGAGAGAGUUUACCUGGUAUCCUAGCAUGGUAAUGAUCUUGUUCGUACUCUUAUUCAGUGAUUGAAUUUGGUAAUGUUUUCUUGAGUUAGGCUCUUGCUAUGGGAUGGUGAGAGUUAUACAUAACUCAGAUGCUGAAAAUCUUUUCUUUUUCUCUUGUAAGAUAAAGAUGUCAACUUCUAUCUUUAAAGUUUGUAUUACUGUAUGUGUGCAUAAAUGAUUCUUAUUAAGUAAAUAUAACGAAAGCGCUGUUCACAGAGAUGCUAUCCAUUUUUAUUUAUUCACUUUUUUUAUUAUCAAAAUAGGGGUGCUUGAUUUUUUCCUCAAUUUAACCUGAUCAGUGCAAUUAAGUUUAUGUGUCAAGUUUCUUGUGAUAUUGUAGAUGACUUUGAACAAGUGGAGAAAUGUUGGUAUUCAUGAAAGAAAUUUCAUCCCCAUCACCCUGCUUGUAAUUUAUAGACUUUAUGGUAACUCAAAUGCAUGGACAAGGCUCCAUUUGGUAUCCUAUUUUUGUUACUGAUAAGCAUUCUGAAUUUGUGUUACUUGUCUGUUGCUUCAGUAUCUUGAUGACAAGUCACAAAUUAAAGAUGCAGUUAGGAUGGCCGAGGUAAUCACCACUCUUCAUUUUAACCUCUUUUGUGCUUCGGUUAGUACCUAAUAUUUUGGCUGAGCCGUCUCUACUUUCAGAUUGGAUUGACAUCAACCUGGGCAUUUGAUGAUUUUAAGGUUGAAAUCACCAAGUAUAUUAGCUCUCCAACAAUGUUAGAUACCAACUUAAAAGUCUAAUUAUGGCUAGGAACUGUAUACUGUUUCACAUCGACCCAUGUUGAAUUGGAUGUUGUGAAAAUUGAAGUACCCCAUUCACUAAAUGGAUUUCUAUGUAUUUGUCCCCUUUUUGUCUUUGGGACAGGUCCUGGAUAAGAUGAGUGGAUUGAGUGCAAAAGCAUUAGUAGUACUUCCAUGUUAUGUUUCACUGGAAGUCGGUCAGCUUGUGAUUGCUAAAUUGGCAACUCAUAGGUAGUCAACUAUGAUUAGUGGAAUUUUCCUUUAGUAUCAACCAUAACCUAUCCCAUAUUAAAUUUGGAUCUUCUUGUAAUGGAGUUAAUAGAGGAGUAGUGUGUCGGUUAGCAAGUAAGCCUGAAACCUUCAAGAAUAAAGACGAGGACCACAUUGAUCAAAUAUUUGGUGUUAGCUUUUGCUUCCAAUUCUUCAGUUUUGGUUCCAUUUUCCUUAGUUUUUAUUUUUUGGAUGGCGUUGUUUAAUAUUACACCUACCGCAUACAUCUUAAGUUGCUUAAUUCAAAGCAAUUUGCCUUGUAGUUUUCUAUUUUUACGGUUAGUGGAUAAGAGUUUUACUCUACGAAACUGGUUAAAAAUCAUAACUGGAUGAUAUCAACGAUCAUUUGCUAUUUUUGUAAUGAGGAUAUUCUUCAUUUAUCAUUUGGAUUUUGGAGGUUAUUUAUGGUCAUGGCGUAUAAUCUAUGUAUGUGGGAAGAGGGAAUUGCAAGGGNNNNNNNNNNNNNNNNNNNNNNNNNNNAUGGUAAUAAUACUCUUACAUUAUAUCCCCUUGCCUUCCAAACGAAGGAAUAAGAGGACAUACAUGGAUUAUACUUAAUCUUAUUCCAUACUUCCUUUCUAAACUUUAUGUUCUACGCGUUUGGGCUUGCCGGGUCAUUGAGUAUUGAAUGUGCAUAUUUCAUCUGCAUAGUUUUUCUUUGAGGAGUUACUGGAAAGAGCCAGGGAGAAAGAAGAAAAAGAAGCUAAAAAGCAUAAACGUCUAGAAGAUGAGUUCUAUGAACUCCUUCAUGCAUCAAAGGUAUAGUAAACAGUUUACAAUCUCUCACAUUUCAAUGGAUGGGAUCCCAUGAUAUUUCCUUUAAACCAUAAUCUAUUUGUUUGCUGUGGUAGCAGGAAAUUACUGCAUCAUCGAAAUGGGAGGACUGUAAAUCCCUCUUCGGAGAUAGGAAAGUAGCUUCUUUUGCUUUUAUUAUUCUAGAAUUAGUAACAUGAUUGCAAGGACCAUUGGAGAAUGAUAAUUGAUAUUAUUUUCAAGGACCAACUCCUUCAAUAUUCUAAACUCAGUAAUUCACAUAGUUCUAGAAUGUACCUUAGAAUAAUAGCUGUGUUGAAUGAUUUGUUGUUUUAUAUUCCUCAACAUUUAGGUAGGCUAUUUCUUUAUAGUAUUAGCAUGAAUUACCAUUUUGCUAAGUGAUUUUUAAUGUUGAACUUAUCCCUCUAGAAAUUGGUUGAUGUCAAUUAUUAGUUGUUCCAACACUGGGCGUUUAAUAGCUCUAGAAAUUAGUUUUUAAAUUUCUGACAUUUGUGAUUGUUAUAGUUUUUUAAUUUCUGGCAUUUGUGAUUGUUUCACGGUUCUGAUGAAGUAUGCUGCUAAAUCUCUAGUUUCAAUUUGUCUAGCCUCUUUGGCUAUAAAAUUAAAUGCUCUGGAUUUUUACUUUUUUAUUCAUAAUCUCAUGAUUCUCAUUAUGUCGUAACAUUGAAUGUGAAUUUCUUUGUUGUUAUUAGUUUACAGACUAAUGGGUGAUGAGGGCUUGCUGCUUGAAAUAUUUAACAAAUUUGUUAAUGAACUAAAAGAGGAGGAGCACAAGCAUCAAGAGGAUAAGGUACUUGAAUUACUACAAACCCUUAUUCUUCUGCUACUUUCAGGUGGGGUAGUAGAUGUGUGGAUGUGAUUGUGGUUGAUAUUGUUUUGCAGAAAUUUUAACUUUUUGAGAGUCGCCACUUAAUUUUGAAAAGGAAUUAAGAAAACCUUUAGAGAGCUACUGUAAAUAAUUCAAAAUAGAAAAAUUAUUUUAAGUUAGAGAUUCUAGAUAAGAGGUUCCUAUUAACGUUUUAGGAAGGGAUUAGGCACCUAAAAUGUCCUCUAACUUGCGGUUAUCCGGACUAUUUGAAAAUCGUCUUUUGAUCAACUUUGAAAAAGUUUAUUUUUUGAAAAGAAAAGCGAUUUUAGGAAUAUUUUGGUAUUUAUGCAAAACCAGUUUUUUAGCAACUUGACUAAGGAUUUUACUAGGUUCCCAAAACACACGUAAAACAAGUAAGCAAAUAGACAAAAGGGAAAGGGGAGAAGUAGUGAUUUAGGAUUUUAAGCCCAAACCAUCGACCCUGUCCUAAUCUAGUUAGGUUUUUGAUCCAUCUUUCACCUGUCUUAAUUUUAUGUUUUCGAGCCCUUUUUGGCUCGAGUCUCGCUCCACCUGUUUUAAAUUUACAACUUUGGCUUCGAUGACCAAAUGAAUAAAUAAAUAAAUAAGUCACUAAAUAAACAAAAAUAUAAAUAAGUAAAUAAAUAAAUAAUGGAAACAAUGGAUAAAUAAAUCAAUAAAUAAGAAAUAACGAGAUUUUCAAGUCCCCUUUGUCUCUUCAAAGAUGGAACUUUAACCCAUUCUUCUUUCGAUUCCUCGUAUCCAUACGCCAUGUGAUGGAUUCUUGGAUUUACUUUUGGGCUUAACUCGGAAGGAUAGGCCUCAUUGGCCCAUUUAUGAAAUGCAAAGGGAGAAAGGCCCAUUUGAACGCCAACGGGGGUGCAUGCAAAGAAAGGAAUGAAGAAAUUAACAUACGUCCAAGAUUUUAACAAUUAAUAAGCUAUAGCAUUCUUGCUUCAUUCAAAUACACUCAUACACAGGUAAAAAUGCCACAGGAGAAAAAGUCUAUAAUGUUUGAAGAAAAUGUUCAUAAUCAAUUAAAGAAAUUUCAACUACAGGAGGAAAUACAGCUUCAACAAGAAAUUCUUAUGGUCUUUAGCAAAAUAAAGAAAAUAAUUUAUCACUUUGAUGCCACAAAAGGACCCAAUUAAGCAUGUCACAAAAAAGAGUUACAACUCCUGGAUCAUACUACAUAAAUGAUGGAUCACAAGCAACGUUCAAAUUCCAGAAUGCCAAACAUACAAAAUUAAAGACUUAAUCACUUUAGGCAAGGAAUACGAUAGCUAAAACUUCAAGAAAAGCAAGGCUAAAAUCUUAAUGCCUUCGUUACCACUGGGUUAACAAACAAAUUAGAUUAAAACACUACAUAAACCCAAUUUUAGGUAAUUUAAUCAUGAGACAAGAUGCCACAACUUAUAUGCGAACAAGAAAAGCAAGAAAGGAAAGAAACAUUAGCCCAUCAAACUUUAAUUUGUUCUUAUGAGUCAAUUACAGCAAAUUGAAUUAGCCAUGAAGAAAACAUAAUUCAUCCCUAUGGUCCACUCUCAUAUUUUAAAAUAAACUUUAGAAUCAAAUGAGACUAUUGUACAUCGAGAGUGGCAAGUCAAAAGAAAAUUACAUUCGAGUCCUUAUUUAUAACAAUUUCCUGCGUUUGAGUGAAAAAGAUAUGCGAACAGGCUUCCUAAUAACUAUUCUUUGAACAUUUUUUUGCAUUUCAAAAAUACGUAAAGAUUUUAUUCUCCUACUCUAUGAACUACAAAGCAACAUUGAAUAUGAGACCAGCACAAUAGUUUCUAAUGUCGAAGAAUUAAAGCUAACUAGUAACAUUCAGACAGAAUAAAAUGAAAGAGAUCAAGCAUGAUCGACAACCAAUCAAACACGGGCAAGAAUGAGUUUUUUAGUAGAACAAUAUAUCAAACACAAAAAUCCUAUGCCUUCCACGCCUCUACAACAGUCAUUCCCAGCAAACAGAAGUGGAACCACGAAGAAGAAAAUGAUAACCACAACAAAAUUAAAAAGAAAGGUGUAUUUACCUCUUUCGAGGUAGCAAAAUGGGAUAACGAGCUGACGAUAGGAUUUCGACCACCGAAAAACUCACAACUGCUUCGACAGUUCAAACGCACCUCCUAGGAAUGUAUGUUUCUUAGGCGUAAAGAUAAUAUUUUAUCCUUCUGAGAGCCCCCCUUUCUAACCCUUUUUUUGUGUAUUUCUGAAUUUUUGAAGAUUUUCUCAAACCCUAAAUUUUCAACCCAAAACUUUUGAACCCCCUUUGCCUCUAAAAUUUUGAACUCCAAAGAGAAAUAAGAGGAGAACCCAUAAAAGAAACGAGAGGCCAGUGAAAAAAAUUCAAAAAUCCCCCAAAAAAUCCCUUUUUCUUGCUCUAAAGAGAGCUACUUAUAGAAGGGGAUUAAGGGUUCAUUUUUGAAAUUCAAAAGAUUCGGACCCUACCGAACCGUACAUCUAUUUUGAUUUUCUUGAAUGGAAUUCCAAAAAGUGGCCAAUAGAAAUUGGUGGAAAGGGAUUAAUCCCCAAAAGCCAAUGAAAAUACUCCACCUAUGUACGAAUUCAUAAACCUCUAUCCGAGAAUUUUGGGAUUUGAACGUUGGAUGAGACACCUAAGUGUGUUUCUAGAAGAUUCUCGGCAUCUUCUCAUAUAGAUUCACGUGGAACGUGCUUGAUCAUAAAGAGGAAAAACAAAAUAGGUUGAAUUUGGGUGCUGCGUCCUAUUUGAAGUCAUCCGCACCUGUGGUUUUGACUUGAGAUUUUCAUCCUCUCAGAUGCUCUCGAUAAUACUUCAAGCAAAAAGUGUUAGUUUUAAACAUAAUUCACGAAAGAGGUAUGCAGUCUUUUACCAUAUCUCCACGUGAGUUGUGGCCUGAAAAGAUGAGUCGUCUCUUCAUGUACCUGUUUGGAAUGAAAUAUCCGGCAAUACCAAACACAACAACCCUCUUGGUUGUUGUAUAAUUAUGACAUUUUUCGGUUGAAUAUGUCUUCAAAGUGGGUGGCCCUUUUGGACACCGGUGAUACUUUAUGCAGAACGGUCUCUAUAAUCGUGUAAUCUUGUGCUGGUGUGGAAACCCUUUGGGUACCUAUAUCAUUUGUUGCAUGUGGGAUGAUAACCUCUCCGGUUAUAGCCGAUGAUCGAUUUAUAAAUUUCCUUUAAAUUAUCAAUCUUUGGAUAAUCUUACGCAUUAUUUGAUAUUGGAUACGAGGUGACUUACAGAUAUCCUUUUGAUUUCUAGGUUUUAGGUAAUCCUACACAUUAUCCGACUUUGAAUAAUAGAUGGCUUAUAGAUAUCCUUCCAAUUGCUAGCUUUCAGGUGUUCCUGCACAUUAUCCGACCUUGGAUACAAUGUGACUUUUAGAUAAUCCCUCAAAUUGUUAGUCUUGGGGUAAUCCUGCACAUAAUCGAUCUUGGAUAUGACACAACUUAUAGAGAACCCUUGGACGUAUCAAUUUGAUAAUCUUACAUAUUCUUCGGUAAGGAUUUAGUUGUGAAUUAUGUAUAACCUUUGAACUAUUGAUUUUUGGGCGAUCUUGCACACUAUCCGUUAGGAUGUUGUUAUGGCUUACGGAUGACCUACAGGCUAUCAACUCAUAGGUGAUUUUGCACACUAUCCUAUUUCAAAUAAUAUGACUUAUAGAUGACCCUCAAAUUGUAAAUUUCUAGGAAAUCUUAUAUAUCAUUUAUCCUUAGAUAGCGACUUAAAGGCGUCCCUUCAAAUCAUGUGCUCUCGAUGCAUUCAGAUGCUGAUUCAUAAAAUGAUAAGAUAUCAUCGACGCUAGUGUUUAUGUUUUGCAUGUUAAUAGAUAUAAAAUGAUGAUGAUAUCCUCAAUGCCAGCGUUGUGUCUUUCAUGUCAACAGAUAUAUUGAAUGCUGAUGAUAUCCUCGAUGCCAGCGUUGUGUCUUACACAUCAACAGAUAUAUUAAAUGUUGAUGAUAUCCUCGACGCCAGCAUUGUGUCUUGCACGUCAACAGAUAUUGCAUGAUGAUGAUAUCCUCAAUGCCAGCAUUGUGUCUUGCAUGUUAACAGAUAUUGCAUGUUGAUGAUAUCCUCGAUGCAAGCGUUGUAUCUUGCGUGUCAACAGAUAUAUAAUAAUGAUGAUAUCCUCGACGCCAGCGUUAUGUAUAGCCCAUCAAUAGAUGAUAUAUAUAUUAAAUGCUGAUGAUAUAUUCAAUGCCAGCAUUGUGUCUAGAGCAUCAACAGAUAUUGAAUGACGAUGAUAUGCAAUGGCCCUCUUGGCAAUGACAUGCAAUGGUUCUUCCAGUAAAUUAAAAACAGUUUCUCCUGAAAUCAUUUGUAAGGGUCUUGCUUUCUGCAUGUACCUGUACUCAAGGUAGAUGAUUAGUAGACAAAAAGUCGCUUUUGCUAGUGACUAUUUUUUUUUAUAAAAAUUUUAAAUACAAUAUUUGUAACGAAGACAAGACACUUUUGUUUGUCCUCCAUGAUCUCAAGAAAUGAGAUGGACAAUUCGAAAGGUCAUCAAUAAAUGGGUGUUGAACCGGUUUUUGGGCUACCAAAAGUAUCGUUAUUAAGCCUUAUAUGCUCUGUCAUGGCUCCCGACUUGAUUGGGGAUUUUUCAAAAAAAACGCUCAUUUUGUGUAUCGAUCCCUGCAUCCAUAAAAAUGAUUAAUUUGAAAGAAACUACUCCGUGUUGACCUCCUACGAUCCUUGAUUUGCCCUUGCCAUCUUUUAGGUAUUUCAUCAUGUUGGGACUUCCACCCCUAACUCCCCGUCCUAAUUGAUGUCUAGGAAAUCACUAAGUAAAAGAUUUAUAUAGAUUUUUUUCAAAGUAUUCUUAAUUUUUUAGAAAAUUGUUUCGAGAACUCCUGCAAAACUUCAAAAAAUCUCUCCCAGUCAUGUACUACAAUCCAAAUACUUCAUAAUUUGCUACAUACCUUCUCAUAAGUAGUACUAGUUUACAACUACCAACGAAAAAAGUCAAGGGGUAAGGUCACAUAAAAGGCAUGAUCAACCUUAAUCUGAUACUAUAACCCCAUACGAUCUUAUCUACUUAUGCGGAUUUGUCACCUCAUACUUACUUACUCAAGCAUACAUUUAGAUUGCCUUCAAAUUCCUCAAACUACAAUGAGUCUAUAAUCAUAACUUACUCGCUAAUAUAGCCAUUUUUCAUAUUCAAGCAACCAACAAAUCACCCUGACUAACAACUCCUUCUCUACCUUAUACUAAACUAACUCACAAGGAUGAAUCACCUCUUUACCAACUCUAUCUCAUGCAAACAGAUUCAGCCAAACAUAUAUUAAACCAACAAAAGAACAACAAGUUGCUAGUGAAUCGAAAUAGGCCUCACAAGGCUUCACUAGUCUUUGGUUUUGUAUUUUGAACAAGAAAAUGAGAUAGAUGACAAGGCAACUAUGCUAGUGAAUCAAAAGAGCCCCACACGGCUUCACUAGACUUAAAAAAAAAUUUCAAAAACACCAUGAUAACAAGAUUACAUAUUACAAGAGAUGGGAAAUUGACACAUAAUAUUUAAUGGUCUAAUACACAUCUUACUCCGUAUAAAUAAAAAUCUAAGUAAAAUACUUCCCCCAUGGACUACCAUACCAUCCACAAGUGCUACUAGCUACCACAUUAGUUUAUCACUAUAAAGGGGUAAAUCAUCCUCAAAUAUUGGUUAUUCAACUAAAAUAUUCAUUUACACCAAAAAUCACCCUCACUCUGACUUCUAACUUUGUGACUUCACAUCACUAACUUCUUGGUCUAAUUUUAUUACCGAUAGGUAAUGACAACAACACUUUAACUUGUGUUACUAUUCGAGUGAAAAUACAGUUCCAACAUUCUGCUAUACACCGUCCACAUCUGUAUCAAGAUUUUUGGGAGGGACUAGAUGCACUUAAUACCUUAAUAUGGAAAGCACAAUUCCAUCAGGAUCAAUGUUUACAUCAGAAUCAACACAUAUUGAAGCACCAACAGACUCAUCUCGAGUCUUUGUACUAUUUUUUUCUUAUAUGACACAGUCGGAAAAGACUAUAUUAUGUAGAUUCUAAACUUUUUGCACUUGAAUCACUCCAAAAAUGGGACAUGUUUGAGAACAUCAGAGUAAGGAAAGCAUUUGGGAUGACUUUACCUUCAUAUGGGCGACACCAUAGCAUGAAUGACGAUAUGAAAGAGGAACAUUUUGACUCUAUUGCAUGAACUGGAACAUGAAGAAAGACAGACAUUCCUAAACGCCUAGUAGCCUCCUGCUUAUAAGUGUGGCGUGCUACACACCCAAAAAAAGACUCUACCUGACGUGAUUUUGCAGACACCCUGGGACCAUGAACCGUGCUCUGAUACUAAGUCUGUCACGACCCAAACUGGGGCCCUGGCCGUGACAAGCAUUCUGAACCAUGAAGGCCCGAAACACCCCUAUUUGUCUAAUAAUCAUGCACAUAACUCAUAUGAUAAAAGAAAUGUGGAAGAUAAAUAAUAUUACGGAAACAUGGUCAAGAAUCAUAUGAAAUCAAUAACGAGGAGUAAUGUCCCACAAUCUCAAUACAACAUCUCUAUAACGUCUGCGAAAUCUCUACUGCAUGACUGAAAUAAAUAUCUAUCUGAAAACUAGGAUAAGGACCCCAGUAGAUCCAAAACUAAUAAAUGAUAAAUAAAACUACCAGAUAUCAGGCCUUUUGAAAUAUAGAAGGCUCACCAAGUGACUAUGUAAAUCUGUCUGAGGAAUCUACUGAUUUUCUGGACCCCUAGACUGUGCCUCCGAACCUGUGAGGGAAGGGGGUUAAUACAAAAGUACUGGUACGCAGAGAUAUCAAAACAAAACAUAAUAUUUUUACAAAAUAUAGUUGAGAGCCAUUAUAAAGUAGUUUCAUAUCAAAUCAUUUGAAAACACAUGGGCACAAUGUAAUUGUUUUCAACAACAAUAUAAUGCAGUUAAGCUAGGUAGAAUACCCUACAUAUCACAUGUACACCAACUGUCAAAUCUCAGUUGCCGCUGAGAUUAGAGUAUAAGUGAGGGGAAAACACACAAGAUCACACAACAGGGUGUCUCGACCCAAUGGUAAUGCAUAAAAUCAUAAAGUAGGGCUCCUAACUAUAGUCCCAACUUGGGAAUGACAUAAAGUCAGGUACACAAGAUCACAAAGCAGGGUACCAAAUUCCUAUGUCGGAAAAAACACGGUUUCUAGCGAUGAACCCUUACACUCAAACGCCUUCUUUGCGCAUCCACCUAUCUCAUGUAAAACCAAUGCAUUCAAAUUUCAUCUGAUUCAAUCACAUAUCAUAUUCUGUAGGGUAUCGUCAUACCCGACUUGUAAGCCAUCAAUAUCACAUCAUUCUUCUCAUUCAACCAUUGUAUUCAACAUGUUUCAAUACAAAUAGCCCUCUCGUUUUCAAGUCAAAAUCAUAUCAAUUCUCAAAACAUUUCAUGUCAUGCUUUUCAAGAUGUUUUCAAACAAUUUACAUCAUAUGAACAUUUAAAAAAAAUUCACAUCAAGAGAGGGAUUUCAUAUAAUUCAUGCUCUCAAAUUAACACAUUUUCGAAACACAUGCAUAUACAUAUAUAAUAUGUCAAAUCACUUCGGAAAUAGGCCUAAAGACCAAAUUAAUAUUAUAGAAACGUUCAAAACAUGAUUAUAUUCAUAGUUUCAAAACCCCCCAUUGUAAAACAUGAAUUUAAAGGCCCAUGAGAUUCUAGGAUAACCCCACGUACCUCUAUAUGCAAAUAUGAUAGGUGUUUCUUGAAGCCUCUGUAUGACUUAUUAUAUAUUUAUCUUUUAUUUCUACAAAUUAAAAAACUUAUUAUUUCAAUUAUAUAAACUCUUAAUUUCUCCAAACAACAUUUAGUUCAAACUUGAAGAUUUUUGUAAAUUUAAACACUUCAUGUAGGAUUUUUCUUGCAACUAAGAUUCAUUUUUUACAUGUUAGUUACUACUAUUUCUAUUUUAUGAGUAUUUUCUUACCGGUUAAACCGAAAACUGAAUCAUUAAGGACUAAAAACCGAAAAAAAAUAUUUUAUUGGUUUGGCUAUUGGUUUAGCAUAUUUAAAAACCGAAAACAAAUAAAUCUAAUGAUAAUAUGUAAAACCCAACUGAACCGACCGAUGCACUCCCCUAGACACAAAUGCUUAAAUCACUUGACAAAUUGUAUGAGAUGCACAAAUUUUGCAUGACAAAUUGCGAUACAAGACUCGCAUAUAUAUAUUUAUUUUAACUUUAUAUGAUAGUCUAAGUAUUUAUUUGUGCAACACUCAAAAUUAAAUAUAUAAAUAUUUAUUGAUGAUGUCAAGUUGAAAACACAUUUAUGUAUUAUGUCAAACGUAUAAUUCCUUUUUUGAACUAUAGCUAUAACAUGUAGCAUGAGUGAAUGUACUCUAAUUUUAAGUUGAUGAAUUCACCUAACAUUACUACAAUUAGUAGAUUAAUGAGCAAAAUUAAAUUCAUUGCUAUUUAUUUAUAUUUUAAAAAAGCAAGGUGGAGUCAGAGAGCAAUUAUCAUAAUUAAAGAGGAGCUAAAGGUAUAAUUAAAUGAGAAGCAUGGAGUCUUUUGAUAGAGUUUUUUAAAAAAUUAAUAACAACAACAACAAUAAAUUCAUUAUAUUUCCACAUAGUGGGGUCUGGAGAGGGUAAGAUGUACGUAGUCUAUAUCACUACCUUCGGAGAAGUAGAAAGACUGUUUUCGAUAGAUUUUUGGCUUAAGAAAAGGAAUAAUAAUCAAAUCUGUGAUAAAGCAUGGAAUGUAUUACGUAAAAAUUAAUGCAUCCAUUAAUUUAAGGUAUAUUAGUAAUACCUUUUUUGAUAUAUAUAUAUAUAACUAAUGCAAAAAUUAGUUAUAUACUCUAUUGUGUAUUGAGGUGUGUAUUUCUAAUAUCUCAAAAUUUAUGACAUUAGUAAUGCAAUGGAUCUAAUGCAUGCAUUAACAUGCUUAAAGUGGGGGUAUGAUUAUGUAAAAAAAAUAUGUAAUUCGUGUUAUUUUUAAUACUUUGAAUCAAAUACUGUAUAAGAAACAACAACAACAACAACAACACCCAGUGUAUUCCCACAUAGUGGGGUCUGGGGAGGUUAGUGUAUGCAGUUCAUAUCACUACUCAGGUGAAGUAGAGAGAAUGUUUUCGAUAGACUCCCAACUUAGGAUCAUAAUAAUAUACCAAACAUAAAAGAUAAAUGCAUAUAAACUAAUACGAUACGCAAAAUAAAACUAACAAUAUAACAAAUAUCAAAGAAAAUGUAUAUAAAUUAGUACCGUAUGAAAAAAUAGUCAAUCUACCAAGAAGUGUCAGCUUUGUGUUGGGUGGUUGGUAGUCAAGAAAGUGUCAGCUUUCCCAAAAAGAAAAACCCCAAUAAAGAAAGAAGUCCCUCCACUUUCACCAUUGAUUCAAUGUUAUUUUUAAUACGUAGAAUCAAAUACUGCGUAAGAAAAUAGAAGCAUAAUUAAUGCAAAUAUUAUUAAUAUACUAUAUUUUAUAUUAUUUUUAAAAGAAAAUGCUCUAAUUAAUUUUGUUGAAAUUAUCUAUCUAUAAUAAAGGAGGAUAGUCUAGUCUAAAACUAAGACAAGUGUCAUAUUGAAAACUACCUAUUUGAAUUUUUACAACAAAAAACCAUCAUUUCAUAACAAAAAGAUAUUUUAUUGAUUAUUUAAAUAUUUAAUAUUAUUUCAUAUUUCAUAUUUAAUAAAUUACAUUUCAUAUGUUUUUAAUAAUAUUAUUAUAAGAAAAUAAAUAUGAAUGAUUUGAUUACAAUUUACUAAAAGAAAUACUACAAGAAAAAAUAAAUUCUCAUAUGAUGUGAAAUGUUUGAAAUCAUCUUGACAACCUUGAAAUGAAAUAUUUUGAAAAUGGUCGUGGUUUUAACUUGCAAUAAGAAGGUUGUUAUGUUGAAAUAUGAUGAAUAUAAUGGUUGCAUGAAAGAAUGAUGUGAUAUUGAUGACUUGCAAGUCAGGUAUGACGAUACUUUACAGAAUAAGAUAUGUGAUUGAAUUAAAUGGAGUUUGAUGCAUUGAUUUUACAUGAGAUAGGUGGAUGCCCAAAGAAGGUAUUUGAGUGUAAGGGCUCAUUACUGGAAACCAUGUUUGCCAACAUAGGGAUUUGGUACCAGGCUAAGUGAUCUUGUGUACUUGACUUUAUGUCAUUCCCAAAUUUGAACUAUGGUUAGGAGCCCAGGCUAAGUGAUCUUGGGCACUACUAUACUUUAUUGGGUCGAGACACCCUGCUGUGUGAUCUUGUGUGUCUUCCUUUCACUUAUACUCUAAUCUCAGCGGCAACCGAGAUUUGACUAUUGGUGUAAAUGUUAUAUGUAGGGUAUUCCACCUAGCUUAGCUGCAUUACAUUGUUGUUGAAAACUAUUACAUUAUGCCCAUGUGUUUUCAGAUGAUUUGAUAUGGAACUGCUUUAUAAUGGCUCUCACCUAUAUUUGGAAAUAAAUAUUAUAUUUUGUUUUUGGUUUCUGUUAGUACUAGUACUUUUGUAUUGACCCCAUUCCCUUCCAGGUUUGGAGGCAUAGUUUAAGGGUUCAGAUAACCAGUAGAUCUCUUCUGACAGAUUUUUAGAAUCAAGUGGUGAGCCUUUUAUAUUUCGAAAGGUCUGAUGUCUGUCAGUUCAUUUAUCAUUUAGUAGUUUUGGGUCUACUGGGGGCCUUGUCCUAGUUUUCAAACAGUAAUUUGUUUCAGUCAUGUAUUAGAGAUUUCGCAGACAGUUGUUCAAAUGUCGAUAUAUGUUGUGGGACAUUAUUUCCCCUUUGUUUAUUUCAUUUGAUUUAUGACCAUGUUUUCUAUAAUAUUGUGUAUCUUCCGCAUAUCUUAUUAUUAUAUGAAUUAUGUGCAUGAUUACAAGAUAGAUAGGGGCAUUUUUGGGCCUUCAUGGUUCGGAAUGCUUGUCACGGCCAGGGCCCCAGUUUGGAAUGAGGCGCACUCUUUAUCGCACAUAUUAGGUUGUGUGUCGCACACCUUAUGGCAUAAGUUAGGGUGUGCAUCGCACACCUUAUGCUGCACAACACACUCCACUUUGCAUAGCCAUAACUUCUUCCUCGGGUGUUGGAUUUUUGCAAAAUUGGUAUCGUUAGAAAGAUAAUUCGAAGACCUUUUAUUUGACAUAUAGUAGGUACUCUAAUUCAAUAAAUACAAAUAGUAAUGAAUGAUUAAUGUUGACCCAUGUUUUGACGCUUACUAAAACUCAAUCGAUGGAAAAGCUUUCAACUCGUCCUUGAGUUAGGGGAGCUUUAUGAUCUCAAUUCAUGCUCAACUAGAUUUAUACACCAUAUAGUUGAUUAAAACACUAUAUUCACAAUAGAUUUAUGUUUUUUGGAAUGUGUACAAUUAGAAAUGACAAUUUAUGUUCAAGUUUGAAAGUAUGGGGUGUUAAAAAAAAUUAUUGGGUUAUUGGUUUGGUUCAAUUUUUUCUUAUUGGGUUAUUGUGUAAACCGAUAACCUAAUAAGAAAAUAUAUAUGACUUAUUAUAUAUUUAUCUUUUAUUUCUACAAAUUAACAAACCUAUUAUUGGGUUAAAUGAGAAGCUUGGAGUUUUUUGAUAGAGUGUAUUAAAAAAUUAAUAAAAAAAACAACAAUAAAUUUAUUGUAUUUCCACAUAGUGGGGUUUGGAGAGGGUAAGAUGUACGUAGUCCAUAUCACUAGCUCCAGAGAAGUAGAAAGACUGUUUCUGAUAGACUCCCGGCUCAAGACAAGGAAUAAUAAUCAAAUCUGUGAUAAAGCAUGAAAUAUAUUACGUAAAAAUUAAUGCAUCCAUUAAUUUAAUGUGUAUUAGUAGUUCCUUGUUUGAUAUAUAUCUUUUUAUCUUAUGUAUAACUAAUGCAAAAAUUAGUUAUAUACUCUAUUGUAUAUUGAGGUAUGUAUUACUAAUACCUCAAAAUUUAUGACAUUUGUAAUUCAUGUUAUUUUUAAUACAUUGAAUCAAAUACUGUAUAAAAAACAACAACACCCAGUGUAUUCCCACAUAGUGGGGUCCGGGGAGGUCAGUGUAUGCAGAUCAUAUCACUACUCAGGUGAAGUAGAGAGGAUUUUUUCAAUAGACUCCUAGCUUAGGAUCAUAAUAAUACACCAAACAUAAAAGAUAAAUGCAUAUAAACUAAUACGAUACGCAAAGUAAAACUAACAAUAUAACAAAUAUCAAAGAAAAUGUAUAUAAAUUAGUACCGUAUGAAAAAAUAGCCAAUCUACCAAGAAGUGUCAGCUUUGUGUUGGGUGGUUGGUAGUCAAGAAAGUGUCAGCUUUCCCAAAAAGAAAAACCCCAAUAAAGAAAGAAGUCCCUCCACUUUCACCAUUGAUUCAAUGUUAUUUUUAAUACAUAGAAUCAAAUACAGCGUAAGAAAAUAGAAGCAUAAUUAAUUCAAAUAUUAUUAAAGGAGGAUAGUCUAGCCUAAAACUAAGACAAGUGUCAUAUUGAGAACUACCUAUUAGAAUUUUUACAACAAAAAACCAUCAUUUCAUAACAAAAAGCUAUUUUGUUGAUUAUUUAAAUAUUUAAUAUUAUUUCAUAUUUCAUAUUUAAUAGAUUACAUUUCAUAUGUUUUUCAUAAUAGUAUUAUAAGAAAAUAAAUAUGAAUGAUUUCAUUACAAUUGACUAAGAGAAAUGUUACAAGAAAAAAUUAUUUAAGAGAAUAACCAAUUAAUAAAUAGUAACUGAUCAAUUUAUAUAGAAAAUAUUGUAAUCAUUCUGAAUAAAAAAAAUUAAAAAAAAGUGUCAUCCCUCAAAAUAAUUAAGUUUGACCUAUUUUUGUAAACAAAUAAAUGAAUGAAUAUAAGAAAAUCCAUAAUUAGGAAAAAAAAUAAUUGUUACCAUAUUUGAAUUUUUAGAAAAUUAUAAAGAUAAUAAUAAUCAAUUGACGAUAAUUAAAUUAUAAAUUUAUAAUAAAUAUUUGAAAAAUAAAUUAUAGAUUAAUUAAAUAUAAUCAAGCUACAAAAUUAGGACAGAUUUAUGGUAAAUAAAUAUAUAAUAUUAAUAAUAAUUUUAUUGCUAUCAAAUUAAUUAGAUUAAAUUGAACUAGAAAUUAGUUAAUGAUGACAAUUACUUAAAUAAAAAAAUAUAUGAAAAGAUUCGUAAUUGAUAUGCAUAUAUUGGUAAAAAAAACAACGAACCUUGACUACUCCUUUAGCUUUAAAUAUAUUUUAAAAUUUACAUACAACAUUAAAUUAAGGAACUUGAGUCUAUGUAUUAUGAUCACAAAAUUGAUUCUAAUUAAUUGAAAUUAAUUAGUUGAUUGUAUUGUUUUAUUACAAUAAUUUAGUACCUCAUUCAUUUAUUUAAUAAAAAUACAUAUAAUUAAUUGAUUGAUUUUGUGCAAUCUACUACAAUUUUAUUAAUUCAAAUGAAAUGACUUUUAAAUGAUAGGUUUGGAUUAUAAAAAUAAUGGUGAUUAUUGUAUGAAUUUAGCAUUUCUUAAGUAUUAAAAAAGAUCUAUAGACAAAAAAAUGUCAUCCCUCAAAACAAUUAAAUUUGAACUAUUUUAGUGAAACAAUGAAAGAUUGAAUAUAAGAAAAUCCGUAAUUAAGAAAAGAAAUAACUGUCACCUUAUUUGAGUUUUUAGCAAAUUGUAAAGAUAAUUAAAUAAUCAUAUUGUAAAUUGAUAAAAAAAAAUUUGAGAAAUAAAUAAGUAAUUAGGAAAAGAAAUAAUCGUUACCUUUUUAAAAUUCUUCCCAAAAUCAUAAAGGUAAUUAAUAUAAAUUUGAUAUAACCAAACUAUAAGAAUAUGUGAAAUUCAUGGGAUUAAAUUUUUGAAAUUAUAAAAGUAAGUAAUAUCAAUUGUUUCCAUAUUUGAGUCCUUUAUGGAAUUGUAGAUUAAUUAAAUAUAAUCAAGCUAUAAAAUUAGGAUAGAUUUAUUUAGAUUAAAUUGAGCUAGAAAUCAGCUAAUAUUGACAAUUAUUUUGAUAAAAAAUAUAUACAAAGUUUCGUAAUUGAUAUACAUAUAUUAGUAAAAAAAAAAAACAAUGAACACUAACUAAUACUUUAUCCAUAAAUAUAUUUUAAAAUUUACAAUAUUAAAUUUAAGGAAAUUGAGUCUAUAUAUUAUGAUCAUAUAAAUGAUUCUAAUUAAUUGAAAUUAAUUAGUUGAUUGUGUAUUGUGGGAAUACACUGGGUUUUUUGUUGUUGUUGUAGUUGAUUGUGUAGUCUUAUUACAAUUAUGUCGUAUAUUAUUUAUUUAAUAAAAAUAAUAUAAUUAAUUAAUUAGUUUUGUACAAUAUACUAUGAUCUUAUUAAUUCAAAUGAAAUGAUUUUUAUAUGGUAAGUUUGGGUUAUAAAAAAAAGGAGAUUAUUGUAUGGCUUUAUCAUUUCUUAUGUAUUAAGAAAAUUUUUGAGACAAAAAGAUGUCAUCCCUCAAAACAAUUAAAUUUGAACUAUUUUAGUAAAACAAAAAAAGAUUGAAUAUAAAAAAAUCCGUAAUUUAGAAAAAAAUAAUUUCUACCUUAUUUGAGCUUUUAGAAAAUUAUAAAGAUAAUUAAAUAAUUAAUUGACUACAAUCAAAUUAUGAAUUUAUAUGAAUUUUUUGAGAAAUAAAUCAGUAAUUAGGAAAAAAAAUAAUCGUUACCUUUUUUAUAUUCUUCCCAAAAUUAAAAAGUUAAUUGAUAUCAAUUUAAUAUAGUCAAUCUAUAAAAAACAUAAGAAAUUCAUGGGAUUGAAUUGCCGAAAUUAUAAAGGUAAUUAAUAUCAAUUAUUUUCAUAUUUGAGCCCUUUAGGUAAUUGUAGAUUAAUUAAACUACAAUAAAGCUAUAAAAUUAGGACAGAUUUAUGGUAAAUAAAUAUAUAUAAUUAAUAAUAAUUUUAUUUUUAGCAAAUUAAUUAGAUUAAAUUGAGUUAGAAAUAAGUAAAUAUUGACAAUUAUUUUAAUAAAAAAUAUAUGCAAAGUUUCAUAAUAGCUAUACAUAUAUUGGUUACAAAAACAACGAACACUAUCUUCUACUUUAGCCAUAAAUAUAUUUUAAAAUUUACAACAUUAAAUUUAAAGAACUUGAGUCUAUAUGUUAUGAUCAUAAAAUUGAAUCUAAUUAAUUAAAAUUAAUUAGUUAAUUGUAUAGUUUUAUUACAACAAUUUUGAACAUCAUUUAUUUAAUAAAAAUACAAAUAAUUAAUUGAUUGAUUUUGUGAAAUGUACUAUGAUAUUAUUAAUUAAAUGGAAUUAUUUUUAAAUGGUAAGUUUGGAUUAUAAAGAUAAAGGAGAUUAUUGUAUGACUUUAGAAUUUCUUAUGUAUUAAAAAAGAUUUAUAGACAAAAAUAUGUCAUACCUCAAAACAAUUAAAUUUGAACUAUUUUAGUAAAACAAUAAAAGAUUGAAUUUAAGAAAAAUUGUUAUUGAGAAAAAAAUAAUUGUUACCUUAUUUGAGUUUUUAGCAAAUUAUAAAGAUAAUUAAAUAAUCAAUUAACUAUAACCAAAUUAUAAAUUUAUAUGAAAUGUUUGAGAAAUAAAUUAGCAAUUAGGAAAAAAAUAAUCAUUACCUUUUAAAAAUUCUUCCCAAAAUAUAAAGGUAAUUAAUAUCAAUUUGAUAAAAUCAAACUAUAAGAAUAUGAUAAAUUCAUGGGAUUAACUUUUUAAAAUUUUAAAGGUAAUUAAUAUCAAUUGUUUCCAUAUUUGAGUCUUUUAUGUAACUGUAGAUUAAUUAAAUAUAAUCAAGCUAUAAAAUUAGGAAAAUUAUGGUUAACAAAUAUAUAAUAUUAAUAAUAAUUGUAAUGUUAUCAAACUAAUUAGAUUAAAUUACGGGAAAUCAGUUAAUAUUGAUAAUUAUUUUAAUAAAAAAUAUAUGCAAAGUUUCGUAAUUGAUAUACAUAUAUUGAUUAAAAAAAAAAACGAACAUUGAUUACUACUUUAGCCGUAAAUAUAUUUUGAAAUUUUCAACAUUAAAUUUAAGGAACUUUAAUCUAUAUAUUAUGAUCAUAAAAUUUAAUCUAAUUAAGUGAAAUUAAUUAGUUGAUUGUGUAGUCUUAUUACAAUUAUAUCGUACGUUAUUUUUUUAAUGGAAAUAUAUAUCAUUUAUUAACUGAUUUUGUAUAAUCCACUAUGAUCUUAUUAAUUCAAAUGAAACAAUUUUUAAAUGGUAAGUUUUGACUAUAAAAAGAGAGGAGAUUAUUGUAUGACUUUAGUAUUUCUUAUGUAUUAAAAAAAGAUCUAGUGAUAAAAGAAGUACAAUAUUACAAUAUUUUUGGGUUAUUUAAUUAAUUAUCACGUUUCAAAAUAUUGUUUAUAUCAAUUCAGUGAUGUUUAUAUGGAAGAGUUAAAUUUUGAAAAAAUAAAGAUAAUUAUAUUAAAUUACGGUAAAAAUCAGUUAAUAUUGACAAUUAUUUUAAUAAAGAAUAUAUACAAAGUUCCAUAAUUGAUAUACAUAUAUUGAUUAAAAAAGCAACGAACAUUGACUACUACUUUAGCCAUAAAUAUAUUUUGAAAUUUACAACAUUAAAUUUAAGGAACUUUAGUCUAUAUAUUAUGUUCAUAAAAUUUAAUCUAAUUAAGUGAAAUUAAUUAGUUGAUUGUGUAGUCUUAUUACAAUUAUGUCGUACUUUAUUUAUUUAAUGGAAAUAUAUAUCACUUAUUAACUGAUUUUGUACAAUCUACUAUGAUCUUAUUAAUUCAAAUGAAAAAAUUUUUAAAUGGUAAGUUUAGACUGUAAAAAGAAAGGAGAUUAUUGUAUGACUUUAGUAUUUCUUAUGUAUUAAAAAAAGAUCUAGAGAUAAAAGAAAUACAAUAUUACAAUAUUUUUGGGUUAUUUAAUUAAUUUAUCACGUUUCAAAAUAUUGUUUAUAUCUAUUCAGUGAUGUUUAUAUGGAAAAGUUAAAUUUUGAAAAAAUAAAUAUCUUAAAUUUCAUCAUUUAAGUUAAUUUGAAAAAGUUAAUUCAUAGUUUACAUUUUAUUUCUUUUAUAUGGAAAAUUUGACCUCAUAUGGCUAUUUAUAGCCAUUGAAUAACACAAAAUAUUUGUUACACUUUUCUUCUCUCUCUCUUUCUCUCAUGGGUAUUUCUCAAGUUUUUCAUUUUGAGUAUGUAAAUAUUCACUUCCCAUAUUUAUGGAUCCUUAUAAAUAUUCACUUGCCAUAAACAUAUCCUUGUAAAUAUUUACUUGCAAUUUACAGAUCCUUUUUAGUUGUAUAUGUGCAUUGUAUGAUGAUAAAUGAAAGACACAGAAAAAAAUUUUCUUCAUUGUAGUCUUUUGCUAUUUGUACAUUUCAAGAAAAAAUGACAAGAAUCCUACAGAUUCUGACAACCUUUUGCCGGCUCUUACUCUUUCAACUCUUUGAUUCAGUAAUUUCUCUUUUUUUUUAAUUAUUUACCAUGAUUAUUUGUAUUAUCAGAAGGAUUUGGUAAGUUCUUUGGAUUGUUCUUGUACUAUUUGUUUGUGGGGUAUUUUAUUAAUUUUCAGUAGAAGACUAGUAGUAAAUAGUUUCGUGUCAUGUCUCUUCUGAUUGUAGUAUUAGUAUAUAUUUUUCUUUUCUACUUGUUGUAUCCUAUACCUCUGUUUUCUUACUUUCUACUGUUGUUAAUAUCCUCGUGUUUUUGCUUUCCUUGCCGAGGAUUUAUGGGAAAUAAAUUUUCUACUUGCCAAGGUAGGGGUUACGUAUAUUGUUGUUGAAGAAGAAGCACGUAGAAAGAGAGAUGUUUUGCUUUGUCUCAUAACUUGUAGUAUUUUCAUGAAUGGAUAAUGAUUUGUAAGUGGCUGUUUAUGAUGAAGAACAACUUGUUCUUCUUUCGAUCAUCAACUAAUGAUGCAAACAAGACCCCUUCACCACCAUUAGAGUCCAAGGAAGUUUCUUCUUGGAGGAGUGUUUCAUUAUCAUCUGGAUCCUUCUAUGACAGCGGGUCAGGAAAAAAGAAUUUCACAGAUCUGAGCAAAUCUCCCCAUAGUCACAGUAAGAAAGUUCAUCCUAAGAAAUAUGGUCGUGAUUCAAGCUGGUAUGUAUAUCAUUUUUCUGUAGCUUCCUUUUUCACACUUAAACUAAUGUUUUAAUUUACAUUUACUUGUCCAAAGUAAUGACAAAUAUUUCUUCUCGGCAGAGACCUUAGCGUUCCAGUAUUGAUUCGGACUAUUAGAAGAUUGACAAAGGAGAAGGUACAAAUGGCUUCUGAAGUUUCAAGCAUGCUACGAAAUCAAGUUGCUGAAAGGGCUUCUGCUAAGGAAGAAGCCAGCAUAUUACAGGCAGAACUAGAUUCACAGACACAAAGAUUAGAGACAGUACUAAAAAAAGAGUUGGAUAGAAGAUCCAGCGAUUGAUCUCUAAAACUUGAGAAAUACCAAAUUGAACAACAUAGACUCCGUGAAAGGGUGAGGGAGCUUGCAGAGCAGAAUGCCUCUCUACAAAGGAAAGUCUCUUUAUUUAAUGAGAAGGAAGUAUAUAAUAGAAUAAAGAUCUCAUUUUUGGAGAAAUGCGUUGAAGAUUUGUCUAAGAGAAUAGAGCAAGUAUCAGAGGAGAAUUAAAAUCUAAGGCAGCAACUUGCUCAGUUAAAAGUGGAAAAUCGAGUAGCUCAAGACAAUAGAGAUUAUGUCCGGGAAAACUACUAGGAAAAGGUUAAAGAGCUUAAAUCAGAGACUUUGCUAACAACUAUGCUAAGGGAGAAGCUCUAUUCCGAGGAGAUGGAUAUAAAGAAACUUCAGGCUGAUCUAGCCGCAAUAGUUAGAGGUAACGGCAUUCUCAAAUGUGAAGUGUAAAAUGCACUGGACGCUCUUUCUUAUGCCACACCUAAGUUGAAAUAUCUCGAGCUUCAGGUAAACAGGCAAUGUUAAGAUCUCGUUGCAACGAAAUAGUUUUUAUUUUUUAACUUUGGAUACCUCAUCUUCAUAUAUGAUAGCCUAUUCACACGUUACUCUCUCUGCAUUAGCUUUCUACUUCUGUUUGAUUUUAGGUUCAUCUUUGUUCCAUCUGAAGUUCACGAUUUUCUUUAUGAACUUGUAUACAUGAGUUGCUGGCAUGUGGUAGUCUUCUGUGAAAUAUCCGAUCGUCUUAAUGUGUAAUAACUUGAACCAACCAAGAACAUGAUAUACUUUGUGAUAUCCUCAAACCUAUUGAUCUGAUUGUGCUCUAAUGUGGUAAAGUUACCCGAAGGGGUUUCGGUAAGUUUUCUCGUUCAUCUGACUUAAUUCUUGGAAAAGUUCAUGAGUUAUCUAUUGUGAAUUUUAACAGUUAAAAAAGAUUCAUGAUUUGGUUGAACUUCUAGGCUAUGAGUUUGUUUUGAAUUUCUGAUGAAAUGUUAUUGGUGAUCUUUGUGUCUUUCUUGUUUUUCAUGGUUUACGGUUGAUUCUGGAAGGUGCUAAAAAAGGACGAAAAUAUCAACN